rnacentral:lncRNA from 1 species
UGUUUGUUGAGUUGGUUUUUCAUCCUAACCAAUGAUCUGAUAAAAUAAAAUAGUUCAGCAGAUUGCGCAAGCUUGAGUCCCCACUCCCCAACAUGAUAUACCAUCAUUUAUCUCUUUAUGGUUACCUUUCUGAAAUAGAGAUCGAGGUCACUCCAGAAUACUCAUCUACUUCUGAAAUGUCUGAAGGUAGGUGUCCAACAUAUUUCUACUGCUCCAGGGUUUCAGUGAACCAGCAGAACUCUUGGGCAUGAUCUUUUUGUCUUUGUUGUUACCACGGAAACCGAGUUCUACUUUGAUUGAAUCUUGCAAUGCUUGAUUCAUCUCUGCUGCACUCAGUCAGGUCUGAUACUUUGCUAGAUUUGUGUCCUUAGACUCUUAAGCAAAAUCUUGUUGUAGUCUUUCUGAAGCAAAAUUGAUUCCUGUUUUGCAGUCUACUUAGACUCUUAGACCGCUGUUAGUUGAAACUGACGAAUCAUACUGGCACCUAGGUGGUAUCUUGUAUCACAAGUAGUGUUUGCCUUGGCUUUGUGCAGCGUUGUUCCUUGAGUCAGUGUCCAUGCAGAUGAUAGACGAGGUUGCACCAGCCACUCCGCUGUCCCAGUCAGGAAUUCCAAUGGAAUGCCUGGUCCUGGUCCAGGACUUUCUAAGGGUUAAAUGUUAACAACACCAUGUCCAAAUACUAACACUGCUUUUGUGCCUUUAUCCUUGCCAUGGAAACAGGGUUUGCUUCACUUUCUAUCCUAAACAAUCACAUUCCUUGGGCUUGACUUUGCAUAAUUAGCCAUGGUACAACAAAUAGUGUUAGGUAAUUAGCACCUAAAAAACAUUUAGGUUCAGUCUGAUUACUCUGUACAUACGUUACAUUGGUGGUCUUACCUGGUAGUGCAUAUUGUGCAAGCUCGAGUACUGUACACAAUUCAGCAAACCAGUACAACUUGUUUGGCCAUCAAUUUAAUUUGUCUCUUUGGUCUUAACAUAGAAAUAGAAUUCUCUGCUGCGAUUCAGUGUCACCGUGCACGGCACCAGGCACUAGUGCCACCAGAACAGCCAACGUACACCGUUGUCCUCAAAUUUGUUCAGGGGUGUCACAUGCGUCCUUACACUUUUAAAUUUGCAGAUUAUGUCGCUCAAGUUCCAAACAUCAGUAAUUAGCAUAUGCUUGCCUUUACCAUGCCAUUAAGUUGUUACACUCGCUUUCCUUUAGUCACUUGGUCUAUUUUGCAAAUUUUUACCGCUUUCGAUUGUGUUGUCAUCAGUCAUAAAAAAUAGGGAUAUUACUGAAAGUAGUUCCAUUAGGCUAUUGUCUUGUGAUUUUGGUGGUUGAGUGGUUUUGUAAUCACUAGGACUAAUAUGUUUGUAAAGUAUAUGUUUUGGAAGGGUUUCCUAGCUCUCAAGAUGAAAUACAAGUGAAGCAAGCAACCAUGGCGCAAAGAAUGGAGCAAAACAAGCAAAGAUGUACACUGGAGUGUUUGGUCGGUCACUGUGACUGAAAAAUAGUAUGUGGGACUGAAAUAGUUGAAGAUACACUAAAGAUAUACAUGUGGGACUGAAAAAUAGUAUUACAGAAGGGCGUAUACUCUGAUGUUUCAAGUGGGAAGUUAUGCAGAAAAGAAGAUUCUACAUGCCAGAUGAUCCAGCGUUGGUAAAAAAAAAAUAUAUAAACUACACGGCAUUGUAUUCACUACAUUACUGACGACUCAGACUAUCUGUAUAAUCGAUUUGAAUAGAAUGAAAUUAAUUCAAAGAGCAAAAAAAAAAAUACCGAAAUUCAAGUAAGGAUUUUGGGAUUCGAUAUUUUGGGGGGACAACUCCGAUUUGAAUUUUUGGUACUCAACCUGUAUCCGGAUAGGAUAAAUAGACGACCCCAAGGUUGAAACUGACGAAUGAGGAUUAGCUCAUGGCUUUGAGUGUGAACUCAACUUGAGAUAAUGAGCUCUGACUCAGCGGGAUUCUAAAUUGGAGAUGACGUGGGAAAUUGAUAAGGACUCGACGUUUAACAUUGAAGGGAAUUUGUAUUGACAAGUUAUAUAGCGAUAACGGCUUAAAUUCUGAGCUAGGUUUAAAUUUAAACCCGCACACAAUUAAUAUCCAAGAAGACUUGAACAAACCCAGAGAAACCCAAAACAAAAACAAUCAACACCUUACCUUAUUAUUAGCUAGCAAGAUUCACAUGUAAAUAAUUAGAAUAAAGUUUUAAAUGAAUAGAAAUAUCCAUAGUCCAUUCCUUUGCUAUCUACUCUACCCAUUUAAAUACAGGUGAAAUAGAGGUGCUCUUUGCUCGUAGCAACCCACGGGCAUGUUUGCCUAUUAUGAAUAAAAUAUAUGUUCCUUAAUAAUGUAUUAUUUUAUCUAUUUAUUUUGUUUAUUUAUUUAUUCUAUCACACCUGUAAUAUUUUUCUCACACGUGUAGAGAAAUGCUUCUGGUAUUUUUUCUCACACAUGUAGAGAAAUGCUUCUGGUAUUUUUCUCCCCAAAUAGUACGACCAUAAAGCUACUUAGACUUUUUUAAAAUCAUUUAGGUGAAAACCUUGCAUGUAGGUUGGGCAGCUAAGCUAAUUGUUGUGUGGAAAGGUAUUAGCCUUUCAUCAUAUCUUUUUUUUUUUUGCGGGCAAGGCUUUCAUCAUAUCUUUAAGGCGAGAGAAUCACCAAGUCAUCAUUUUAUCGUUAUAUCUCAUAGUUUCGAUAUUAUUGCAGCCAAAUGUUAGUACCAGUGUCUUGGUCCAGUACAGUAAAGCAUGGGGAGUUUUGGCACUAAUUCUACAGAUUUUUGUUUUUUUCUACCUAAAAUAUUGAAAUGAUUGUUUAUCAGUUCUAUUGAGCUCCAUCUCGUACGCAAAUAAAAAGACAAAGGAACAAUCGGUCCACGACACUGGUUGUAAAAGAAAGCAGACAUAUAGCGCCCAUAGGGCAUAUCACUAGGAACAUCUCAGCCGUCAAGAUUUGAGUGAGAGUGGGCAGUCUAGAGCCCACUCGAGCAUUUUUAGGCCAGUCCACACCCGAAUUACAAUCCAUCCAUUUAAUCCAAGUCCAUCCCCUACCCUAGUCUCUGCAUCAUGGUCAUCUUCACGCACGCGAAACGCAGUAGCCGCACGCCCGCAAGCAAACCGUGUAGGUUGCAGCGCCGAAGCACCCAUAGCUUGCUCCACCGAUUUCGGCGAGGCCCCGUGGCAGCAAUCACCACCAGCCUCCCAUUUUUCGACUCUGGCGAACUUGUUCAUUGUGUUGCCAUCCCCACCCCGCCCUCCUUCCUCGUCUCUAGCGGCUCUCGCCACUGGAUACGACCCUGCCGUCCACCCCCACGCUAAAUCACCGUUGGUGCUCUCCCUAUUAGUAGGGUGCUUUUGUCCCGGUUAACUUUGGAUUCAUGACUAAAGUGCCUUUAGUCCUGGGUCAAAAAUGUACCACCGAAGGCCACCGCCAGGGGGGGGGGGUUGUCGUUGUCAAGAAUCACGGGUCAAGACCGUGCAAGUGAAUUUGUUUUCUAUGCGCGUAAGGCUCGGAUGGUUGCACGAGAGGACACGGGGUUUAUACUGGUUCGGGCAGGAAUAGCCCUACGUCUAGUGUGGGAGACUGCUUGUGUUACUCAUGCAGAGUUUGCAGUAGGGGUUACAAAUGGGGGAGAGAGGGAAGCUAGUCCCAAAUCUCUUUGGGUGUGCACUGAUGCUCGUGUGGAAGGGUUGUGGGUGGAGAGUAGCUCUGGUUUGCUUGAGAGCCAUCCUUGUCUCAGGCCUCCUGGUCCUCCUUUUAUAGCGUAAGGAGGGCACAGGAGUUAUAAUUGAGCCAGGAGCAGAAGGGGGAGUGAAGAAGGUAAGCAGGGAAGUAACAGUGGAGGGAGAAGGACCGAGCCCCCGGGGUUGCCGCCUUCCCUUCCGGUCUCUGUCUCCUGUCAGCAUGACCACUGGAGGGGGAUGGUUGUUGUUGGGCCCCAUCGACGAUCCUCCGAUUGGCCGUCGUAGCCGAGCACGCGAGAUAUGAAUGGCGACCGAUCGCUAUAGCCAUGCAUGAUGAUGAUGAUGACUGGUCGCCGUAGUUGUGCACUCGUGGAGGACAGUCGACCUCUCUAGCCUCACAUAUUGACCGGGAGGCGUGGCUAACACGCCCCUGCCGCCAGGUCGAGCGGGAGACCGGGCGGCGCAUCCUCCUUUGUCGGGCGGCGUUGGCGAUGAGUGCCCUAUAACGAAUGUUACAGGGGAGGAUUAGGACGGUGCAGUUGUAGCCCUGUGCAGUCGUGGCUACAGUGUGCCACCCAAAAACUUUGGCCGGUCACGUCGAGGAGCGCGGGCGUCUUUCUGCGUGCCAGAGCCGUAUUGCAUUUAUGGAGAGAUCGGUGGGGGCCUACCAGAUCUGCGCCCUCGUCUACUGAUCCGCGCCCUCCCUCGGGCGAGGCGAAGCUCUGUCGUGUGUGUCCGGAUGUGCCCAACCUCUAGCACCUGGGGUCAUGCGAGACAGAGCCUUGCGCGAGGGGUCGGGCGCGUUCGACCCCUCGCGCCCGACCCCUUGCGCCCGGGGUCAGGCGAGGCGGAGCCUUGCGGCGCGGGGUCAGGCGCAUCCGACCCUUGGACCAUGGGUUGGGCGAGAUGGAGUGGAAUAUUCCCUAGCCGUGCCAAGUCGGUGGAGGUUACUGUCGCUGCAGGUGGGCCCGGGCCCUUAUGAUCGUUGUUUAAGGAAUAUAAGGAGGUCAUUAAUAUUUUCCCCUAACAGUAGCCCCCGAGCCAUUGGUGGAGCAAAAAUGCUCCUCCAGAGGCUGCAUUCGUUGUUUGUCAAGGACCUUUGUUUGUUCUGCAACCUUUAUUUGAUCAGGGAGAAAGAGUUUCGCUCGUUUGGUUUGACUGUGGAGUUUGGGUAGGCAAGGUGCUCCGAGGAUGGCUCAGCUCGGGAAGAUUCCCUAUCGUUCCGACGACCACUCCUACUCCAAGACUCCAAAUUGUGACCACAUGCGUGGUCGUUGGUUGCGAUGCCAGCCCCCGAGCCCCCGCACAUUGCAGGAGACUGAUCAAGUGGUUAGAUCAACUUUUGAUCGUUACCCCUCAAGCGCCCGUUCGCUGGGAUGGAGGGUGUGAGCCGUGCCACGUUAUCCUCGUUGGAUGAACCGUGGUGCUCGUUGAGCUGCGAACGGGUCAGUUCGAGUGGAGUCCUGGUCCCCGUUCGGGGGGGUUCGGCUCGGGCCAAGCUGGUGGCAUACUCCAGAUUCCGAAUGGCCAAUUCAUAUAGUUCCCGGGUCCAUUCGAUUGGAUCUGGGGGCUCGUUGCCUUUCUUUAGGGAAAAACCAUGAACUUAAAUGCCAGUCUGAACUCAAACGUGAGGUCGGGACACCCUUGGCUUUCGCUUGCCUGGGUGGUGGCCGCUAGUGGACCCAUCCCUUCUCACCCCUUCCUCGAGAGUGUCCUGGGGCGACUGUCGAACCCAUGGCGGGCCAGCCUUUGAACCCCUGGACCGUAAUGGGCCGUAGGAGCAUUUUCAGCUCCGUAUCCCUUUUUUACCUGUUGGUGGGCCCCGGGCCGUACGUGGAGGAAGUCACGCGCGUGUGCCCUCUGGGAGGCGAAGUGGUAGAAAAUACUGGGCUCGCGAAAUGAGGGAGGGGGAGAUGUUUUUUGCAGCAGAUCAUGCGCGCGGUUUCCAAAAAAGGCAGGGGGUGACGGGUGUACCUGGCAUCGCAAUAACUGCGAUUGGAUUGACCCUUUUGCUUCCCGCGCCCCCCCCUAUAAGACAAGGGAGUCCGCCUCGUCGGUUCCGCCCUGCACUCAUCCUCAAGCCUUUCUUGCCUUCUUGUGCACUUUUCGCCUCCCUUCGCUCCAGCGCAGCAGAUUUCUCCACACCCGCCGUUGAGCCUUCCAUUCCCUUAGCGAUGGAGUCCUGGAUGCGCUCAAACUUUAGCACCGCGCGCGCCACUGGCCUCAUAAAGAAGGGCCUCCUUUGAGAGAGGACCGCCAAGAACGAGUGGCGGUACCCCGGGAGGGAGGAUGUGUUGGGAUAUGAGGUAGGCUACACUAGCGCAAAUCAAAAUUUCUACCGCGUAUAACCAGGAAGAACUGCCGUAUAAGGAUCACGGGAUUACCACUCGACGCACUACUGGUGCGGAAGAUGUAGAUAUGCGUCGAUGCAAUGAAGACGAUCACGUAGUCGUACGUAGUCGAUCAACGUAGUCGUACGUAGUCGAUCACGUCCAGCAGCUCCUCAGCAGCUCGUCCACGUGCACAGCAAGAUCGCCUCCGGUACCGCGGCUCGUCGUCGGCUCGUCCAAGUGCUGCAGGCGCAACACCUCCAAGGUAUCCACACGUGCAGGGAGGAAGCGUCGCAAGCCGGAUUGCUAGAUCCGCGAGUUGCAACAGGCGAGGGCGUGGGAGGCGCGGCAGGUGUGUUUCGCCAAAAAGUGUAAACCCUAGGGCGCCCCCACCCCUCUAUUUAUAGAGGUUCCUGAUGGGCCUCUGGAUCCGAGGCCCAUUAGUACUCCUAAACCUAAUCCAACUCGGAUCAGAUCCGAAUUGGGCUUCCAGCCCCUUAAGUGUGUGACCCUAUCGGUUCGGAUACGUAUAGACAUGGCCCGAGUACUCCUACUCGGCCCAAUAGUCGGUAGCGGCCUCUAGCAAGACGUGCCAACUCCUAUACGCACACGAAGAUCAUAUCAGACGAACCAUCACAACAUAAUAUACAUGCUAUUCCCUUUGCCUCACGAUAUUUGGUCUAGCUUCAAGCCGACCGCUCUUUCUCGAUCCUAUGAUUCGGAAUCCCUUUGUAGGUUAACUCUUAACCGUACGUAGCAUGGCCAUGCAUUUUCGGAUCCGAUCACUCGAGGGGCCCAGAGAUAUCACUCUCAAUCAGAGAGGGGCAAAUCCCUUCUUGAUUGACCAUGUCUUAUAGCAUGCUUCUUGACAAACCCGAAAGCUACCUUUAUAACUACCCUGUUACGGCGUAGCGUUUGAUAGCCCCUAAGUAGGUCGAUCCACAUCUAGAAUACAUGCGACAAUCUCAGGUCUAAGGACAAAGCGUAUAUGUUGUCUAAAGAGAGAACUACUUCUCGUGUUGGGUCAGUCCUAACACAUGUCUCCACAUGUGUCCACAUUAUUAGUUCAACAUCUCCAUGUCCAUGACUUGUGAAACAUAGUCAUCAACUAAUACAUGUGCUAGUCUAAUAUUCAUGUGUGUCCUCACAUGAACUCCGACUAGGGACAACUUUAGAAUAACCAUACAAGUAAAGAGUUUCACAUACAAUUCACAUAAUUGCAAAUCAAUUCAAGUAGCCUUUAAUGGAUAUUCAAUGAACACAAUAUACAAAUCAUGGAUACAAAUGGAAUAUCAUCAUCUCUAUGAUUGCCUCUAGGGCAUACCUCCAACAGGAUGCGCCGCAGCCGGAUAAUGGAUACGUCAUCUCGUUCGCGCACUUCUAUGAGAGGGGGUUCACGACUCCGCCGAGCCUCUUUCUUUCGUGGGCUACUGCACUACUACGGGCUCGAGCUGCAGCACCUCAACCCCAAUGGGAUCUAGCACAUUGCGGCAUUCGUCGCGCUGUGUGAAGGGUACCUAGGGAUCGAGCCCAACUUCUCGCUCUGGAAAUACUUCUUCACGGUCAGCCUGCAUCACAAGAUCGAGAAGAGGGGGAUCCAGGUGCGGGUGGUUUUGGUGCCGAUGGGGUGUGCCGGCAUCCACCUCCGUCAGAACUGUGCUAAGGAGUACAUGGUGAUGAAGAUCAUGGCGUCCCACAAGGGGUGGCACCAGCAGUGGUUCUAUGUGAAGAACUGCCUCAAGUCCCCCUUGCUGGAGUUCACCGGCUGUGUCAUUGCGGCAGCACCGGAUCACUGGUCGUAUGGUCGGGUUGAAAAGGAGAAGAAGCACAUCGCCGGUCUUCUUCAGGCCAUCAACCGCUUGAAGGAGGAGGGCCUGACCGGGGCUGGAUUUAUCAGGGUUUACCACGCUCGGAGGGUGGCGCCACUGAUGCUCCGGGCCCGCGCGCUUGGCGAUAUGGUUCCCGGCGUGGUGACCAAGGGCACCGUCCUUACGACGGGUGUGCUUGCCACCGCCGAGAUUGAGCAGCGCGUCCAGGAGGCGCUGGACGACAGGGACAUCGUUUACCCGGUGCCGGGUCACCCUCCGAUGCGCUCGGACGAGGACUUCGUCCUACUGGUGAGAAUUUUGCACUCUCAUUCUUCUUUCUUGCAUUUCCUGGUUCGCCAUUCUGACGCGGAGUUUUGAAUCUGCAGGGUGAGCUGAACCAGGUCAUGACCUCGUGCUCGCCGGUGCCAGAGGACACCGCGCGGUGGCAGCAAAACCGUCUCCUCGUCGAAAAGUAGAAGAGGAGGAAAGACAAAGAGAUGGCGAGGAAGUGGAAGAGGUCCACGAAGGAGUUCCAAAGGCGGCGAAGGGAUGUGGUCAUGUCAGACGAUGACGACAAUGAUGAUGAUGAAGAUGAGAAAGAUGAAACCGAGGAGGAGGAGGAGGACGGUUAUGUUCCGGCCUUCGUGCCGAGCGCGCUCGUCAUUCGGGACCAGCCCCCACAACUGGCCACGGGGGAGAGGUCGAGCGGACCGCCCGCCUAGGGUUCGACCCCGUAGGGCUUGGGGGCCGCGCCCCAGGAGUCGGUGAGGGAUGCACCUCAGGAGUUGACCGGAUUGACUCCCGACCCUCUGUUUGCGUCGCACGGGCAGAGGGGUAGUGGCAAGCGGCCGCUAUCGGAUGUCCCGAGGUCGGCGUCGAGCUCGGAGGCGAAGCGCGCCCGCCGCCCUCGCACUGCGGCAAGGUAAGUGGAAAGUUCUCGCGCACCUUAUUCCUUUCCUAGCAUCGAGCCACUUCUGAUGAAGUUGUCGUCAUCUCGCAGUGCUGCUCCUCGAGACUUCGUCCUGCCACUGGCGCCGGAGAAGGUGCUCCAGGUGUCGACCGCCUCCGCGGGGUCAACCGUGACCCUGUCGGGAGCGAGCAGUGGUUGUCGGGAUACGAGGUAGGCUACACUAGCGCAAAUCAAAAUUUCUACCGCGUAUAACCAGGAAGAACUGCCGUAUAAGGAUCACGGGAUUACCACUCGACGCACUACUGGUGCGGAAGAUGUAGAUAUGCGUCGAUGCAGUGAAGACGAUCACGUAGUCGUACGUAGUCGAUCAACGUAGUCGUACGUAGUCGAUCACGUCCAGCAGCUCCUCAGCAGCUCGUCCACGUGCACAGCAAGAUCGCCUUCGGUACCGCGGCUCGUCGUCGGCUCGUCCAAGUGCUGCAGGCGCAACACCUCCAAGGUAUCCACACGUGCAGGGAGGAAGCGUCGCAAGCCGGAUUGCUAGAUCCACGAGUUGCAACAGGCGAGGGCGUGGGAGGCGCGGCAGGCGUGUUUUGCCAAAAAGGUGUAAACCCUAGGGCGCCCCCACCCCUCUAUUUAUAGAGGUUCCUGAUGGGCCUCUGGAUCCGAGGCCCAUUAGUACUCCUAAACCUAAUCCAACUCGGAUCAGAUCCGAAUUGGGCUUCCAGCCCCUUAAGUGUGUGACCCUAUCGGUUCGGAUACGUAUAGACAUGGCCCGAGUACUCCUACUCGGCCCAAUAGUCGGUAGCGGCCUCUAGCAAGACGUGCCAACUCCUAUACGCACACGAAGAUCAUAUCAGACGAACCAUCACAACAUAAUAUACAUGCUAUUCCCUUUGCCUCACGAUAUUUGGUCUAGCUUCAAGCCGACCGCUCUUUCUCGAUCCUGUGAUUCGGAAUCCCUUUGUAGGUUAACUCUUAACCGUACGUAGCAUGGCCAUGCAUUUUCGGAUCCGAUCACUCGAGGGGCCCAGAGAUAUCACUCUCAAUCAGAGAGGGGCAAAUCCCUUCUUGAUUGACCAUGCCUCAUAGCAUGCUUCUUGACAAACCCGAAAGCUACCUUUAUAACUACCCUGUUACAGCGUAGCGUUUGAUAGCCCCUAAGUAGGUCGAUCCACAUCUAGAAUACAUGCGACAAUCUCAGGUCUAAGGACAAAGCGUAUAUGUUGUCUAAAGAGAGAACUACUUCUCGUGUUGGGUCAGUCCUAACACAUGUCUCCACAUGUGUCCACAUUAUUAGUUCAACAUCUCCAUGUCCAUGACUUGUGAAACAUAGUCAUCAACUAAUACAUGUGCUAGUCUAAUAUUCAUGUGUGUCCUCACAUGAACUCCGACUAGGGACAACUUUAGAAUAACCAUACAAGUAAAGAGUUUCACAUACAAUUCACAUAAUUGCAAAUCAAUUCAAGUAGCCUUUAAUGGAUAUUCAAUGAACACAAUAUACAAAUCAUGGAUACAAAUGGAAUAUCAUCAUCUCUAUGAUUGCCUCUAGGGCAUACCUCCAACAGUGGUGUCGUUGGAGAAGCCGCGGUGCCUCCUACGGAGGCAGCCUUUGCGGCGGCGACUGGAAAAAGGGUGCCGCAGUUGGGCACGGAGCAGGGACCGACCCCUGUUCCAUCUUCUGCGGGACAAGAUGCUGCCCCUGGGGUUCCUCCGUCCGAUGAGGUGAUAAACCUUGAUGAUGAGGCGGAGGAGGAGCCGGUAGGGGAGGCAUCAGCGUCCAAGGUGCCGGUCACGGAGGCGGCAGCGACGGCGGUGGAAACGGCAGCGGUGGUGGAGGCAGCGGCGCCUACCUCAGCGGUGAUGAUGGAGACGGCGGUAGUGGCGGAGAUGGCGGCAUCGGCCCCGGCAGUGAUGACGGGGAUGGUGGUGCCUGCACCGGCGGCGACGACGGGGAUUGCGGCGGUGGCGGAGAUGGUGGCGCCUCCCCCGGCGUCAACGAUGGGGAGGACAGCGUCAGGGCUGGUCGGAGAGUCCUCCCAUGCCCUCGUCCUGCUUGGUCGUGACCCCAACACGUGGGGAGGGCCGACCAUGCGCUGGAUGUCCCGUGAGGAUCCAUAGAGGCCCCGCUUCGUGCUGGAUGAUGUCAAGGAGCAGAAAAGAUGGCAGGAGGUGCAGGGCAGACUCAAAGACGUCCGUGACGCCCUGUCAUCCGUGAUAGGGAAGCUGGAUGGCGUUGUUGUUCCCAGCGGUUAGGUACGGUGUUCUCCUUGAUGGUUAUUUUUCUUUCAUUUCUCCGUCCCCUUUUUCUCUUGACGGCUACUGAGCGUAAAUCAUUUUGCAGGCCCUCCAGGAAUGCAGCCGGGGGAAGUUCGAGUUCCUUCGGCGUGAGCGAGGGGUCUGGGAGUGCUUCACCAGGGAGGUGCGGCGGACCGGGGAGCUAACCGGGCAGCUCGCCGCCGCCCAGCAGAACGCUGCCGACCUGCGGGCGCGGGAGCAGGAGGUGCGGGAGGGCACGCAAAGGGCGGAGGACAAGUUUUGGGCCGCUGCCAAGGAGGCCCGUCGUGAUGCCGAGGAGCUUGCACGGUUGAGGAAGGAGCAUGAGGCCCUUUAGAAAACCGUUGAGCGCAUCCAGCUUGAGCGGCACACGGCUCGGCAGGAGCGCGACCUCGAGGCGGGCCGGAAGGUUGAGGCUGAAAAGGUGGCGGCCGACCUUGGGGCAGAUGUCAGUCGGCACCAUUCAUAGAUGCAGGGGCUUCAAACCGCUGUGUCCCAAGGGCUUGACCGGGAACAUCUGCUGAGGACCCAAUCUGAGGUUAAGGCUUUCGUUGUCCUCUUGUUUGCAGCGUUGUGCUGGUUUCUGACUUGGCGAGCUUUUCUGGACAUGUCUUGAGGCCGACCUCCCCCGGCUGAGGGACGCCGCCGAUGCGGAGCACGUCGAGCACGCCAAUCUGCGGGACGCCGUUCGCAUCAUUUGUGAGGACCUCAGUGUGGUCCAAGAGGAGGGGACGAGCAUGCUGGCGGCUUGUGUCCUCAGGGCGUACCGGCGGGCCCGUAAGAUCGCUCGGGAGGCGCUCCAUGUCGACGUGAGGUGGGCCUUCGGCGUCUUCGGCUCUCACUACUCCAACAUCAACUUCGCCACGAUGAGCGGGGGGUACGCCUCUGGCUACUCUGAUGCCGAGCUGGACGAGAUCGACGUGUCGGUGCUCAAUCCAGCGGAGGCCUUGGCGAAGCUCCUGGAGGAUCAGGCAAUCCCGCCAGAGGACCCGGGGACGAGCUAGCUGUAUCGGGCCAAGCUGCCCAAAAAUAUGUAAAUAGGUUAAGUGAUUCUGAACUUGCUUUUGUGAUGGCCAUAGAGGCCUUUUUAGUUUAUGAAAAUUUUCAGAAAAAGUUUUUGAUCCUCUUUCUAUUUUUUGGGUUUGGAAAGAUCAGAGCGUGAGUCGGAUGCGUCAGGAAGCGUUGAUGAGCAAAGGCACCGUAGCCGCUGGGGCGUAGGUUUCUCAUAGUCCGAUCGGUCUUGCCCGAGCGUCAUUCGUGCACUCCUUUCUUUUCACGCCCAAAUGUUUUGGAAGAGGGUCGGUUUGAAAAAAUGGUGUUUUGAGAAGACGGCAAGUGUCUUGGGUCGGGGCCCUUGAUAGCCCCCGUGGGAUAUGCAACCCUGGGGUUGAGCCAGGGUCGGAUAUCCCUAAGCUUGGGAUGAAACUUUAGCGAAGGCAACUCAAAACAGCCCCUUUUUCACAAACUAAAAGAUGACAGAAGUAUGUAUGUAUAAACUUGGAAAUAAUAGCUAAGGGUAGAAACAUCUUAGCUGCUCGAUGUUCCAAGCAUUGGUGAAGAUCUGCCCGUCGGGGGUCACUAUCUUGUACGUGCCUGGCCACAGUACUUGCACGAUGACGAAAGGACCUUCCCACGGAGGGGUCAGCUUGGGCCGACCUCUGUUGUCUUGAACGAGGCGGAGCACCAGGUCGCCGACGUUGUAGGCCCGACCCCGUACCUUACGACUGUGAUACCGUCACAAAGCUUGCUGGUACUUGGUCGAGUGCAGCUGGGCCACAUCAUGUGCUUCGUCGAGCUGGUCUUGCGCAUCCUCGAGAGAUGUUUGGUUCCCUUGUUCAUCGUACGCCCUGACCCUCGGCGACCCAUACUCCAGGUCGGUGGGGAGGAUUGCCUCGGACCCAUAGACCAUGAGAACGGGGUGAAGCCAGUUGCCCUGCUGGGGGUCGUCCUCAGGCUCCAUAGGACCGCGUGGAGCUCUGCAACCCAUCGGCCGCUGAACUUGUUGAGGCGGUCGAAGAUCCGUGGCUUGAGACCCUGGAGUAUCAUGCCACUAGCCCGCUCGACCUGUCCGUUCGUGCAGGGAAUGUGGUGGUCAUCGCAGAACUUGAGGAAUUUCUUCCUGGUGAACUGCGUGCCGUUGUCCAUGAUGAUGGAGUUGGGGACUCCGAAGUGAUGGAUGAUGUCGGUGAAAAAUUGCAUCGCCUGCUCGGACUUGAUAUGCGCAACCGGUCGUGCCUUGAUCCACUUCGAGGACUUGUCGACGGCGAUGAGCAGGUGGGUGAAGCCCCCGGGCGCCUUCUUGAAGGACCCGAUGAGGUCCAGACCCCAGACAGCAAAGGGCCACGUGAUGGAGAUGGUCUGGAGUGCUUGGGCGGGCGGAUGGGUUUGUCGCGCGAAUAACUAGCACCCUUUGCAGGUGCGCACUACGCUGGUGGCGUUGGCUACCGCCGUCGGCUAGUAGAAGCCCUGUCGGAAGGCAUUCCUGACGAGGGUUCUUGGUGCGGCGUGGUGGCCGCAGGCUCCGGUGUGGAUGUCCUGGAGUAACGCCUUUCCCUGCUCGGUCGGGAUGCAGUGUUGCAGGAUGCCGUUAUGGCUCCGCUUGUAGAGAUCUUGGUCGAUGAUGAUGAAGGAUUUGGCACGGCGGGUGAUCUUUCGCGCCACUGUCUUGUCCAUCAGGAGCAACUCGCGGAUGAGGUAAUCGAGGUACGGGGUUCUCCAGUCAGGUAGGGGGUCAGGCCCCUCUGCUGGAUCCGCAUCGAUUUCCAUGACCUUGGGGUCGGAGGAGUCGGCCUCCGAGUCCGGGACAGGUGGCGCAUUGCCGACCUCUCCCGGGUUAGCUCUCGAGUCCGGGACAGGUGGCGUGUUGCCGACCUCUCCUGGCUCCUUGUAGCGGAUCGAGGCUUAUGCUGGUCACUGAUAAAGACGCCAUCAAGGACUGGCUUCCGGCCGGACGCCGCCUUUGCCAACUCGUCAGCUGCCUCGUUGAAGCGUCUCGCAACGUGGUUGAGCUCCAGACCAUCAAACUUGUCCUCGAGCUUGCGGACUUCGUUGCAGUACGCUGCCAUCUUGGGAUCGUGGCAGCUCCACUCCUUCAUGAAUUGCUCGACGACUAGCUGAGAGUCGCCUCGGAUGUCCAGCCGUCCGAUGCCCAGCUCGAUGGCGAUAUGAAGCCCAUUGAGGAGAGCCCCAUACUUGGCGACAUUGUUAGAUGCGGGGAAAUGGAGGUGGAUCAUGUACCUCAUGCGCACGCCGAGGGGGGAGAUGAAAACCAGGCCCGCUCCGGCGCGAGAUUUCAUCAGCGACCCAUCGAAAUACAUCGUCCAGUGCUCCUGCUUCUCUGGUGCUGAUGGCAUGUGGAUCUCCGUCCAUUCCGCGACAAAGUUGGCAAGUACCUGGGACUUGAUGGCUGCCCGGGGGGCGUAGGUGAUGCCCUAGUCCAUAAGCUCGAGCGCCCACUUCGCGAUUCGUCCUGUGGCGUCUUGAUUCCGGAUCACCUCGCCGAGGGGGAACGAUGACACGACCGUCACCGGGUGGGAGGUGAAGUAGUGGCGUAGCUUCCUCUUCAUGAUGAGGACUGCGUAUAUGAGCUUCUGGAUUUGGGGGGUAGCGGGCCUUGGAUUCGGACAAGACCUCGCUGACGAAGUACACCAGGCGCUGCACCUUGAGGGCGUGUCCCUCCUCCUCUCGCUCCACCACUAGAGCAGCGCUAACCACCUGGGUGGUUGCCGCGAUGUAGAGCAGGAGUGGCUCCCCGUCGGUCGGUGGGACCAGGAUCGGGGCCUUCAUCAGGAUGUGCCUGAGCCGGUAAAGCGCCUCCUAGGCCUCGGCGGUCCACACAAAAUGGUCGGUCUUCUUCAGGAGUCGGUAGAGAGGGAGUCCUCGUUCACCAAGGCAUGAGAUGAAGCGGCUCAGGGCCGCAAGGCAUCUUGUGAUGCACUGUACUCCCUUCAGGUUUUGGAUCGGCCCCAUAUUGUUGAUGGCCGAUAUCUUCUUCAGAUUGGCUUCGAUGCCGCGCACGGAGACGAUGAAGCCGAGCAGCAUGCCCCUCGUUACACCAAAAAUGCACUUUUCAGGGUUGAGUUUGAUGCGCUUGUCCCUCAGUCUUUCGAAGGCCAGUUCAAGGUCAGGGAUAAGCUGGUCGCCCUUCUUGGACUUGACCACGAUGUCGUCCACGUAGGCCGCAACGGUUCACCCGAUGAGGUCCCCAAAACACUUGAGCAUACCUCGCUGGAAUAUAGCCCCCACAUUUUUGAGGCCGAACGACAUCGUGACAUAGCAGUAGGGCCUGAAAGGGGUGAUGAAAGAGGUCGCGAGCUGGUCGAACUCUUUCAUCACGAUUUGGUGGUAACCGGAAUACGUGUCGAGGAAGCUAAGGGUUUUGCCUUGUUGACUAUCUGAUCUAUGUGCGGCAAAGGAAAUGGAUCCUUUGGGCAUGCCUUGUUGGGACCCGUAUAGUCAACACACAUUCUCCAUUUCUCAUUCUUUUUUCGUACAAGAACAGGGUUGGCUAACCACUCGGGGUGGUGCACUUCCUUGAUGAACCCGGCCAUCAAAAGCUUCUAGAGUUCCUCACCGAUAGCCUUGUGCCUCUCCUCGUUGAAGCGGCGUAAGCCCUGUCUCACCAGUUUGUAGCCGGCCUUGAUGUUCAAGGAGUGCUCGGCGACUUCCCUCAGGAUGCCCGGCAUGUCUGAGGGUUUCCACGCAAAAACAUCGCUGUUUGCGCGGAGGAAGUUGACGAGCGCGCUUUCCUAUUUGGGGGAUAGGGUAGCGCCUAUCCGCACCAUCCUGCCGUCGGAGCAGUUGGGGUCGAGGGGGACCUCCUUUACACCCUCCGUGGCUUUGAAGGAAGUGGUGGACUGCUUGGAGUCGGGCGGAUCCUCAGCGCCCUCCGCAAGCCGGACCACGUGGUGCUCUGAACAAGUGAUGGCCGAGGCGUACUCGUAGCACUCGACAUCACACUCAUACACCUUCUGGAAAGACGUGCUGAUGGUGAUGACCCCGUUGGGCCCUAGCAGCUUGAGCUUGAGGUAGGUGUAGUUGGGGAUGGCCAUGAACUUGGCGUAGCAUGACCACCCCAAAAUAGCGUGGUAGGUCCUGUAGAAGCCCACCACCUCGAAAGUGAGGGUCUCCUUCCUGAAGUUGUAAGGAGUCCCGAAAGUGACGGGCAGGUCGAUCUUCCCGAGGGGCAUUGUCCAUUUUCCUGGCACGAUGCUGUGGAAUGGCGCCUCGCUGGGACGGAGACGGGAUCGGUCGAUCCCCAUGGUGUCGAGAGUCUUGGUGUAGAGGAUGUUGAGGCUGCUGCCUCCAUCCAUGAGCAACUUGGUGUGGAGCUUCGUGCCUACGAUGGGGUCGAUGACGAGGGGGUAGCGUCCCGGCUGCGGGACAUGUUCCAGGUUGUCGGACUGGUCAAAGGUUAUGGUGGACCUUGACCAGUCGAGGAAGGUUGGGGUAGCGGGGUCGGCCGCGUAGACCUCACGGCGUUCCAGCUUUUGGCGGCGCCUGGAGUCGUAGGCCGCUGGCCCACUGAAGAUCAUGAAGCAGCCGUCCACGUUAGGGAAGCCAUCUUCCUUCUCUUCGACGUCCUUUUUCUCUUCUUCAGGCUUCCGUCUCCAGUCACCCUUCACCGGAUUGCCCACAAUGUACCUCUUCAUGAGGUUGAAAUCCUUGUAGGCGUGCUUGGCAGGGAACUCGUGGUUCGGGCACGGUCCCUCAAGAAACUUGUUGAAGAAACCGGGGGUGCCAUCGGGAGGCGGCUGUCCCCGUUUGAGCUCAGCAACAACCACAAGGGGGGCCUCGCGCCGUUGCUUGUUCUUCUUCUUCUGCUGGCGGCUGGAGGUGCCCUCGUCGGCGUCCUCCUCCCACUUUGCCUUGCCCUUGGAGCGAUCGAAGAUCGCCCCAAUGGCCUCUUCGCCCGAGGCGAAGCUGGUGGCGAUGUUGAGGAGCUCCUCGGUGGUUCGUGGGCUCCUGCGUCCCAGCUUGUGGACUAGGGGCCUGCAUGAGGUUCCCACCAAGAAGGCUCCGAUGACGUUGGCGCCGGUGAUGUUUGAGAGCUCAGUGCGCUUCCUGGAGAAGCGUCGGAUGUAGUCUCAGAGGGACUCAUCCAACCCCUGGCGGCAGCUCCGAAGAUCCUAGGAGUUUCCAGGGCGCAUAUACGUGCCCUAGAAGUUCCCUACGAAGAUUUCCUUCAGGUCGUUCCAGUUACGGAUCCAACCUGAUGGAACGUGUUUUAGCCAGGCUCACGCCGAGUCGGCUAAGAACAGCGGGAGGUUGCGAAUGAUGAACAGGUCAUCAUCCGCCCCACCGGCCUAACAAGCAAGCCGGUAGUCGCUGAGCCAAAGCCCGAGGUUCAUCUCCUCGGAGUAUUUGGCCACGUUGGUGGACUGCCUGAAGUGCGCUGGGAACAGCGCAUUCAAGAUGUGCGCGGAGAAGGCCCUGGGCCCCGCUAGGUCGGGGCUCGGGCUCCGAUCUUCUUUGGUAUUGUAGCGGCCACUACGGUGGACGUGGUAGCCGUGGUCCGCUUCAUCCUCCUUGUCUGUGCGGGAGCGCCUCCGCGCGUCCAGGGUGUCACGGGCGUCACGGACGGGACCAACGCGCCAGUGGAUGGAUGGUGCUCCGCCACCUGCAGGCGGUGGGGUUCGUCGAACAGGCGCGGCCCGAUUUCCCCCGGGGGAGGCUGGUGGACAGACUCCUAUGCCUUUCGGGAGGCACGGUGGGCACUGCCCUACUAGUGUUGUGCGCGCGUCGCCGGGACGCGGAGCUCUCCGCCUGCUGGACUACGGUGCACUCAAGCAGGUUGCGCAUCUCUUGGUAGGCCUGUCGCUCCUCGGGUGUUGCUGGUUUGGGGAGUGGUCGGAGUAGGGACGCUAUGGCGGCGAUGUUCUGGCUGGUGCGUGCGAAGAGUUGAGGGCGAUCCUCAUCCUCACUGAUGUGCCGCUAGACGUCCCGUGCCCACUCACCUCCAGAUUGGGCACUGCACGCCUCUGGUAGACGUGGCCACUUUGGGACCCUGGCGAGGGCUCCGGUUGUAGCUACGGCACGCGGCGGGGGAGUGCACUGCCUCUCUUCGGCACCGUUGUCAUUGGACCCCGUGGAAUGCACGUCAGCCAUGAAGCACUCACGCGAGGGAUAGUGGCUCCCGUUGUCGGAACCAGCAUCAGAGGCUGUUCCCAUUGCGCCCACGAACUCGUUGUUUGCGAGUGGCGCGAUCAUGGAUCGUGCCAGGAGAUGACCAUAAGUUGCCGAGGCGUUGUGCGGGCCAAAGGGCCACUCCUCCAAAGGAGGCCCUAUGGUAUGCGCCCGGCCGCCCACCACCAUUUCAACGGUAAAGUCGGAGAUGAUGGGUUGAGCGAGCAGGACAAGGAGAGGAAUCAUCUUGAUUCCCUCUCCCGUGGUGAGGAAGUCCAGGCUCCCGAAGCGGAUGUGGGAGCUGAGAGCAAAGUUUAUGUUGUGGUUGGCCAUCCGAAGCCGGUGGUGAUCAUCGUACGCACAAAGGUCUCCUACCUGGCGCGCCAACUAUCGUUGUCAAGAAUCAUGGGUCAAGACUACGGCAAGUGAAUUUGUCUUCUAUGCGCAUAAGGCUUAGAUGGUUGCACGAGAGGACACGGGGUUUAUACUAGUUCGGGCAGGAAUAGCCCUACGUCUAGUGUGGGAGACUGCUUGUGUUACUCGUGCAGAGUUUGCAGUAGGGGUUACAAACGGGCGAGAGAGGGAAGCUGGUCCCAAGUCUCUUUGGGUGUGCACUGAUGCUCAUGUGGAAGGGUUGUGGGUGCAGAGUAGCUCUGGUUUGCUUGAGAGCCAUCCUUGUCUCGGGCCUCUUAGUCCUCCUUUUAUAGCGUAAGGAGGGCACAGGAGUUAUAAUUGAGCCAGGAGCAGAAGGGGAGUGAAGAAGGUAAGCAGGGAAGUAACAGCGGAGGGAGAAGGACCGAGCCCCCGGGGUUGCCGCCUUCCCAUCCGGUCUCUGUGUCCUAUCAGUAUGACUACUAGAGGGGGAUGGUUGUCGUUGGGCCCCAUCGAUGAUCCUCCAGUCGACCGUCGUAGCCAAGUGCGUGAGAUAUGCAUGGCGACCGACCGCUGUAGCCAUGCAUGAUGAUGAUGAUGACUGGUCGCCGCAGUUGUGCACGUCGUGGAGGACAGUCGACCUCUAUAGCCUCGCGUGUUGACCGGGAGGCGCGGCUAACACGCCCCUGCCGCCAGGCCGAGCGGGAGACCGGGCGGCGCAUCCUCCUUUGUCGGGCGGCAUGGGCGAUAAGUGCCCUAUAACGAAUUUCACAGGGAAGGAUUAGGACAGUGCAGCUGUAGCCUUGUGCAGUCAUGGCUACAGUGAGUCGCUCGAAAAGUUUGGCCGAUCACGUCGAGGAGCACGGGCGUCUUUCUGCAUGCCAGAGCCGUAUCGCAUUUAUGGCGAGAUCGGUGGGGGCCAACGAGAUCUGCGCCCUCAUCUGCUGGUUCGCGCCCGCCCUCGGGCGAGGCGAAGCUCUGUCCUGUGGGUCCGGAUGUGCCCGACCUCUAGCGCCUGGGGUCGGGCGAGAUGUAGCCUUGCGGCGAGGGGUCGGGCAUGUCCGACCCCUUACGCCCAAGGUCGGGCGAGACGGAGCCUUGUGGUGAGGCGUCGGGCCCCUCUAUGGCGGAACCGCCCUACUUAAGCUGGUUUAAGUGCGCCUAAUCGCUGUCGGAAUAGCAAUUAUCCGAAACGCACCUAAAACAGCAUAAGUCCGGUAGUCCGUCGAGUGUUCCUAGGACUCCUCGAAGGAUCCACGACGUGUCUCAUAGCCAUGCAUCAGGAUAGUAUCCGCGAUGGGAUAGCAUCAACAAACAUUACAUUUUUACAUACAUAUAAAAGGUACGAGUUAUUACAGAACAUAGAUUGAAGCAAACUUAACAGUGCGGUGUUAGACAGAGUUCUAAGAUUUAAACAUAAACAGUUCAGGAGGAGAUGAGCAUUUUUAAACUUCUUCUCUAAGGGUAUUGUGAGACUCAUAACAAUACCCUAGGGCUUCGGGGUUUCCUCCUCCGCAGACUCCUGCGGGGCUUCUGAAAGAUAGCCACAAGGGGAAAACCCUGAGUACGGGGUACUCAGCAAGUCUUACCCGACUAACCAAUAUAAUAGUUUUCUUGGGAUGUACAUGAUAGCUUUUUGGUGUACUUGGCUAAUGCAACUUUUUGCCAAAAAGCUUACUACAAGUGAUGCCUUAGUUUUAUCUUUUAUUUGGAUUAAGUCAUUACCUAACCAUUCUAAAUGAUGAGCAGAAAGUAAAAGCAAUCAUCGAUAUUAAGUCAUACAUCAAAUAUUAACAGGAAGAUACAUAUUGCAUGAAUUGAUACUAUGAUGCUCAACAGUGAUCAAGUGCAUUCAUAACCGAGAAUUGCGAGGAUCCGGAUCAAUUUACAUCCUGCAGGAGAGUACUCUGAUCACCAGCUUUAUACGACUGUCCAGGUCGUACAUGACAACCUCUCGAUUAGUAAAAUCAAUGAUUAGGAAUACGACUACCCGGACCCAGGGAUGCACCCCCACAUGGGACCCCACGUCUGGCCCGAUCUCCAUGUGAGUUUCAGGCUACACCCCUGCCAAUCUCCAGCACGUCAAGCGCGGGUACGAAGUAUUCCUGAUCAUAGAGUUUACUAACCUACUGGGCUUUACUGGUCCCAUACCCAGUAAGCGAUCAGAUGCUUAUCACUUGAUCAAAGGCUAAGACAACGAAUCGGGCCUUAACCAAUUAAUCCAGCAGACAGAACUAUAUUUCUAGCUUCUGUCCGCUUUUCUAUCUUCAAGUUAUCUUUCAUAAGCAACAUGUAUGACUCAAAAGUUUUCCUUAAGGUUGGUAAACCGAGUAUGUAAGCAGUAAGCAAUUCUAGACUUGGGUAUCUUCUAAGGUUUGAACAAGUGGCAAAGAUGUCCUUAAAACAAGGUAUGAUCAUACAUAAGAAUAGGUUUCAAGCAACUCCUAGACUUAGUGCAUACAUAUAGCAGAUAAUCGAUAAUUGGACACAUGAAAUAACGACUCCAAAAUAGAUAGGUAUAAAUGCACCGGGGCUUGCCUUGUUCGCUUAAAAAGUUAGUAUUCUCUGAUGGGUUGGCUUCACAGGGGACUAAUUCAAAAACUUCUUCGAACUCCGAAGGUCCUUCUGAAAAUUCCAAAUAUUCUCCUUCUGGUGCUUCGGGAUCUAUAGCACAAUAUAUAUGCAGGGGUUAGGAAUGCAAAUAUUUGAAUAAAGGACUAUACAACUUUCCUUCAUGAUAAAGUUGCAAGCCAACAAGGACUAUACAAUCUAUCAUGAUAAAGUUGCAAGCCAACACACAAAAACCCAUAAUUUUUAUUUUCUUACUUAACCCUACCUAAGGCUUUUUCUUUUAUUUUUAGAAAAGGUUAUAAUUAUUUUCUAACUUGAAAACCUAAUUCCCUAUGAGUUAAGAAUAAUUUGUGAUUAAGAAAAUGCUAUUUCAUAUUUUAUACAUUUUAUAAAUAUUAAGUAUUUAUUUAAUUACCUUGAAAGGAAGGCAUUAAAUAAAUACCCGAAUUUUUAUUAUUUUUCUAGGGUGUAAAACUUUUAAUGCGUAAAGGAAAAUAAAACAAGCCUAACAAAAUUGGUUUCACUAAUUUUGGACACUCCUAGAAAUUUAUGUGAUUUAAAUGGUUUAAAACGGAUUUAAACUAAUUACUUUCUAAAGGAAAUCUAAUUUUCCCGAAAAACACCCGGAAAACUUUUCUCACUCAGCUCGACGCUACCCUCUCUCACGCGCACUGGGCCCCACGGCGUGGACCCACCUAAUCACUGCUCCACUUACCCGCCGGCCUUUUCUCCCCCUGACGGGCCCCGUGGGCCGAUUCCUUUUCUUUUCCCCUUCUCCGGUCUGACACCGGCCCACGGCCCUCUUGUUCUUUUUCCAUUUUCCGCGGGCGCGGCCUACUCCUUACUUGGCCUCCGGCCCCUUUUUCCUUUCCGGUCGACCGCGCGCGCGUUACUGGGCCUCAAGGCCGCGGCCCAACAGACGGUCGCGCGCCGGCCUCUUUCUCCCCCUCCCCUCCUUUCUCUCUCUGUCGUGCGAGCCCGAGCGUCCAGGAGCUUCUUCCUCCUCCCGCCAAAACGCGCGCGCAACAAGGGGUGGCGCGACUCGCCGGUCGGCGCCCCACCGGCGGCGAAGCUAGGUCAGGACAGCACCUCUACACCUUCACGCACCCGUGCGCGGCAACAGCUCCUCGGGAGAUGGCCGGAGCCAUUCCCUCCACGGCGACGGGCGGCGACACCCUCGGCCAGCCGCGACUACUCCCGACGACGGCACAAACUACUUGAACAACUACUCUUACACCAUCCUAGGACCCUAAGGACUCGCCUACGACUACUUAAGAAGGAAGGGGAACAACGCAAGGUAGUGCUCACCGUGAGCGGAAGGCGCGGCGAUGGCGGAUAGAAGCGGCGGCGGUUCAAGGCGUGCCGGCGGAGAAGCUGGGCAACAAGUUGCUAGGAUUGCUGGUGGGGUGUGGUCGGAGGUGUGGACGGAAGGAAUCGACGGAAGGUGCGGUGUGGCGGUGGAAUUUUGCUCGGUGGCGGCAACGGGGAUAGAGGCGCUGGCGGCGGUAAAAAGGAACUGCGGUGAAAUGGCGGCGCGGGAGCGGUAAAUAUACGAACUGUUUACCGCGCGCAUGGGCGACACCAUGGCCUACUCAUAGGCUUGCGUGGUGAGGAGGUGGCCUAGCUGGUUGCGCUGGCGAGUGACCGACGACGGCGGCAGCGACACGUCCUGUUGCUCUAUCAUCGCCUCCCCCCUUUUCUUUUAACGCCCGAAACUUCAGAGUUCUAUCACGGUCGAUUCCAAAUCCGACGGUCCCCAAGUUGCUUAAACAAAGUUGGAGAUAAACUUGAAUCCUCCCAUUUUUAUUUUGGCUCUACCCUGAGAUAAACAUCAAACCACAGUCGAAUUUUGAAUUGUUUCUUGUGUUUGCCUGAACUUGACUGAAUCGGCAUUCAGUUCAUCAGGAACACGACAGUGAUACUUGCCUUACUUUGUGAUUGAAUUUUGUGAUCCAAAUCCUUCUUUUCCAGUCCAACUUCUUCCCAUUCGUGCUCUACUAUCUCCAAGGUUUCCAUUUUUCUCAAGAACACCUACCCCUCUUGAUCUACAUUGCUCUGAAUUCAAGUCCAAAGUCGACCCUAUGCUGUUGGUUUCAGACUUAACCAUUUUCAGGGUGACAGUUAACUGUGACAAUGUGCUGACUUUGAGCUCAAUUUCGAAAUUGUUCCCUUCCAUGUUCCUGGCCAACAACACCCAAUUAUUGGAGUCCAAAGUCCAUACUUUGAUAUGGUGUAGCUGUUCUGAUUCACUUAUUUGAAAAAUUCACCAGAAAUCAAUUUUGAAAACAGACUCUGCUGCUGUUUUUCUGAACUUCUAUUUUCGGACGGUGAACAGUAAAUGUGGUUUUUCAUUUCCUUCUCUGAUUUCCUUUGAGUGUUUAGGAUCAAAUCUUAUUCCAAAUUUUUGACCCUUAAGUUCUAAUCAUCCUUACACUUCUAUUCUAUAUUUUUGCCGAAUUUUUCUGAAUUUCAAAUUCAAAAUUCAAAUUUCGGCCAAAUUUGACCCGAAUUUGAUUUUUGGCCAAUUUCUUUUCCUUUUCUUCUCAAAUUGCUUCCAAUUCUUCAAAGUCACUUGAAUGACUUAAUUGGCAGCUGUUACAGCCUCUCCCCCUUAACAGAAUCUCGUCCCGAGAUUCCCAGGGUUAAAUCCUCGGUUUUGAGAAUGGAAAGGAAACUGCGUCAGGUCAACUAUUCUUCCUUUUUCUGUACAAGGAUAGUGGGGUGGUGGCUUUUGUUCAUCGGUUCCUGAUGGUAUCAAAUAAUUCCGGAUAUUUAGACUCUAGGUCUUCAGCUUGUUCCCACGUAGCUUCAUCCGGAGUAUGAUUUUUCCAUUGUACCUUGUAGAACGUGAUACUCCGAGUUCGGGUAUCUCUCGUCUUUUGAUCCAGAAUUUUAAUGGAUCUUUCCUCAUAGGUUAGAUCUGGCUCAAGCUCAAUUUCUGGAUCUUCUAAAAUUUCUUCUGGAACUCUUAAGCACUUCUUAAGCUGGGAUACAUGAAAUACGUCAUGUAUAGAAGCAAGUUGGUCUGGCAAUGACAGCUUAUAUGCCACUGGACCUUUUUGUUCCAGAAUUUCAUAGGGACCAAUAUAUCUUGGGGCUAACUUACCUUUUACUCCAAAUCGUUGUACUCCUUUCAUCGAGGAUACCUUCAAGUAUACAAAAUCUCCGGUAUGAAAUUCUAAGGACCACCUCCUUUUAUCCGAAUAACUCUUUUGUCGGGACUGGGCUAUUUCCAAGUGUUUGCGAAUCUUCUGGACCUUUUCCUCGGUUUCCAUAACUAAGUCUGACCCCAAAUGUGUCCUUUCCCCUACUCCUGACCAAUUUAAAGGAGUUCGGCAUCUUCGACCAUACAGGGCUUCGAAAGGUGCCAUUUUAAUGCUAGCUUGAUAGCUAUUAUUAUAGGAGAACUCGGCUAGGGGUAAACAUUCAUCCCAUAGCUUAGAGAAGGUAAGGACACAUGCUCUUAACAUGUCUUCCAAGAUUUGAUUGACCCUUUCUGUCUGUCCUCCCGUUUGAGGAUGAUAGGCAGAACUUCUAAUUAGGGUAGUACCCAUGUCUUUUUGCAAUCGUUCCUAGAAUCUGGAAACAAACUGGGAACCUCGAUCAGAGAUAAUGGUCUUUGGUACUCCGUGCAAGGAUACGAUCUGGGCUAUAUAGAGUUUAGCAUAUGUCGACACCGGAUAAGUAGUCUUGACUAGAAUAAAAUGAGCUGACUUAGUAAGGCGGUCGAUAAUAACCCAUAUGGAAUCAUAUCCCUUUGAAGUGGUAGGCAAUCCAACUAUAAAGUCCAUGGAAAUAUCUUCCCAUUUCCAGACAGGGAUUUCUGAAGGUUGUAAUAAACCUGCCGACUUUUGUAGUAUGGGUUUUACUCUUUGGCAAGUAUCACAUUCAGCUACAUAUCUUGCAAUUUCAGGUUUCAUCUUGGCCCACCAAAAUCUUUGCUUUAAAUCUUGGUACAUUUUAUUGCUUCCGGGAUGAAUAGCAAACUUAGACAAAUGUGCUUCUUCUAAGAUCAAUCUUUUUAGGUCCUCAUCUUUAGGAACUACUAUCCUCUUCUUGAAGUACAGUCCUUCAUCUUCUUCUUGAUUAAAUUCAGGGAUCUUCCCUUCGGCUUUUUGCUGAUAAAGUAUCUUAAUCCAUGGAUCUCCUUUUUGGGCUGUUAUAAUCUUUUCCUUUAGGGUAUCUUGAAUCAUAAUAUUCUGAAGGGUACCUUGUUUCACCAUUUCCAAACUCAACUCUUCCAUUUCCUCACACAAGGUCUUAAGGUUAGACUGGACGGUAGUGCAGUGGCAUUGGGCCUUUCUACUCAAGGCGUCGGCCACUACAUUAGCUUUACCAGGAUGAUAAUGGAUUUCUAACUUAUAGUCUUUAAUCAGUUCUAGCCACCGUCUUUGCCUCAUGUUUAAGUCCAUUUGAGUAAAGAUGUACUUCAAGCUUUUGUGGUCAGUAAAGAUACAACAUUUACUACCCAAAAGAUAGUGUCGCCAUAUCUUUAAUGCAUGCACUACGGCAGCAAGUUCUAAAUCAUGGGUAGGGUAAUGCUCUUCAUGACGCUUCAGUUGACGAGAAGCAUAAGCAAUAACUCUGCCUUCUUGCAUGAGAACACACCCUAUGCCUGUCCCUGAGGAAUCACAGUAUACAUCAAAGGGUUUCUCUAUGUCAGGUUGAGCUAGCACUGGGGCGGUAGUCAGCAAUUUCUUUAAGACUUGAAAUGAUUCUUCACACUCAGGUUUCCAUUCAAAUUUCACUUCCUUCUUUAAUAAUUCAGUGAUUGGUUUAGAAAUCUUUGAGAAGUUGGGGAUGAACCUAUGGUAAUAGCCGGCCAUUCCCAAGAAACUUCUUACUUUAUGAACAGAGGUUGGUGAUUUCCAAUCCAGUAUAUCCUUGACCUUUCCGGGAUCUACUUCAAUUCCUUUUUCGGACAAUAUGUGCCCAAGGAAUGGAACUUUCUUUAACCAAAAUUCACACUUACUGAACUUGGCAUACAACUGGUGUUCCCGGAGUCUAUUUAGAACAAUGCGCAAGUGUUGCGCAUGUUCCUCUUCAUUUUUAGAAAAGACAAGGAUAUCGUCUAUAAAGACGACCACAAAUUUAUCUAACUCUGGCACGAAUACUGAGUUCAUGAGGUACAUAAAAUGCGCUGGGGCAUUGGUCAGUCCGAAAGACAUAACCAAAUACUCAUAUAGUCCAUAUCGGGUUGAAAAGGCUAUCUUUGAUAUGUCUUCAGGUUCUAUCUUAAUCUGAUGGUACCCUGACCGAAGGUCGAUUUUUGAAAAGACCUUAGCUCCGGACAACUGGUCGAACAACAAAUCAAUCUGUGGCAGCGGAUAUUUGUUUUUAAUGGUUACCGCAUUCAAAGGGCGGUAAUCCACACAUAGCCUCAAUGUGUCAUCCUUCUCCCCAUGGCGAAGUGCUAGGUCGGACAAAACCUUUAUCCAAUAAUUCUUGGAGUUGUAUUUUUAAUUCUGCUAGCUCCUUAGGUGGCAUUCUAUACGGUCUUCUAGAGAUAGGACCGGUGCCUGGUUCUAACUCAAUAGUGAAUUCUACCGCUCUAUCAGGCGGUAGCCUAGGCAGAUCUUCUGGGAAUACAUCUAUAAACUCAUUAACCACAGGAAUAGAUUCUAGAGUCACUGCUCUAGUCUUUUUGACCAUCUGGUCCAAACAAGGAUGAGCGGGUAAUUGAAGCUUAAAAGAGUGGCCUUGGUCAUCUUUCAUACUAACGACCCGAUUAACCAUAUCAAUUUGAACCUUAUGUUCCUUCAUCCAAUUUACUCCCAAAAUAAGAUCUAUUCCUUGAUCUUCCAGAAUUAAAGGAUAAGCGCCCACCUUAUUCCCUUCUAGGUUUAAAAUCACAUUGCGAGCUACUUGAUUUGUAUUCUGUGCGGCCCCAGUAGCUUGAAUAGCAUACUUGACAUUUAAUGUAUGGACCUCUAGUUGGUGUUGUGUGACAAACCUUCUACUUAUAAAAGUAUGCGAUGCGCCUGAAUCAAAUAAAACCAUGGCAGGAUAAUUAUUAACAAGAUACAUACCUGCCAGGAUAGGCUCCCCUUCUGGAAUUUCUUCUACGUUCAUAUAAUGAGCUUGUCCUGUCUUGGUGUUGACGAACUUACGAUGGACAAACUUUUGUCCAGUGCCUUGGCCCGAGGUCUGAGCCCUUAAGUUUGCGUUUCCCCCAACCUUGGGAAAACGACAGUCCCGGGCGAAGUGCCCUGGCUUUCCACAGUUGAAAAAAACCUGUGGAUUUCCUGGAGGAGUGGGGUUACAAAACCCGAGAGGUGGUGCAAUUCCAGGACGAGGAGCAGCACUGGGAGCUCUAGCAUUCCAAGACUGGAAAGGCCGUUGCUAAAAUGAAGGUCGAUACAUGGGUCGAGGAGGACCUCGAUAUACCACCUUCAUUCUUUGUGGAGCAUUCCCAAAGUUUCCAGAAGGAACAUUCUUCCUCUUCAAUGCUUCUUCUUUCUUUAAGGUUUCAUCUAGAAUUCUCAUCUUUUCCUCCGCGGUAAUGGCCGUACUUACCGCAGAGCUAUAGUCGGCGAAAGUGCAGGUGGAUAGCUUUUCCUGCAUCCUUGCAUUAAGUCCUCGAAGAUAGCAAUCUCUUUUCCUGGACUCGGUGUUGACAUGUUCUGGUGCAUAUUGAGCUAGGUGGUCGAACUCACUGGUAUACUCCAGGAUACUGCGGUUUCCUUGUUGCAGCCGUAAGAACUGUUCCAGUUUCAUUCUCAUGAUACCCUCCGGCACAAACUGUGUCCUGAAGGCUUCCUUAAAAUUCUCCCACGUAACCUCCCUUCCAAUUGGUUGCCUGGCCAGAUGGCUGGUCCACCAGGUCCCUGCGGGGCCUUGAAGGCUGGAGCCCUGCAAACUCAGCCUUUUGAGUGGUGGUGCAUUGGGGGAUUACUCUAAACUUUUGUUCCAUAGUCUGAAGCCAUUCGUUAGCUUCAAGUGGAUGUUCGGCCUUCAAGAAUAUUGGGGGACGGGUCUCCAAGAACUGGGUGUAGGACACACCUCGCUCCGGAUCCCGCCGAUGUCCACCAUUACCCGUGUUCUGUACAAUCAUUUGAAGUAAUCGGGCUUGUUCUGCCCCGGAGUUCAUAAGGCUGGCUAUAGCAUCUGCCAGCGUGGGUGCUCUUGGUAAAUUCUCCUCCUGACCCUCUGAACCUGAAGCUCGUGGUCCUCUGGGAUCCGUCAUGCUGCCAAGAGUAAACAAAGUAUUAAUAUCUAGGGUGCAUUUUAUCAACGGUUUCCUGCACACUAAUAGGUCACACAUUAUAACAUGAUCACACAUAAACCACACUUAUACACAUACUUAUUUAUAAUACAUGUCCUAAAGUUACUUUUUACAAAAACCACCGUACUACUUGGUCCAACAGAUAUAUCUUACAUAAAUAUAUUACAACAUCUCAAAGACAAAGUUUCACUUCAACCAUCGUAGGGAAAAUGCCUAGUUCCUCGGCAUUCAAUCCCAGUCGAGCCAUUGCUGCCUGCAGGAUAUCUUGGUCUACGGUCAUCAACGUUUGUCCUGGAGGAGCGACAGGUGGGGCUUGGUUUACUGAGUUUUCACUUCCGGACUCCGGCCCGGGGUCACUCGAAGUGUAAGAAGUGUAGGAUGCAGAAGUGCUAACUCCGGAGUUUCCCUCCAUUUCUUCGGGAUCCUCCUCUUCUUCUCCGUCUUCGGGCUCCUCUUCUCCCCAUUACUGCAUUGGCCCAUAGCCCUGUGGAUCUAGCCCAUCGGCAUUGGCAUUGGCCCAGGCGAAUUGUUGAUUUCCUGCGGGAGCUUCACCCUGGUCGUCCUCCAUGUCAAUAUCGAAUCCCUCCAGGUUCUCAUGAGCAUACAGAUCAAUCUCAAGAACUGCAGGUGGAGCAGGAUCUUCUUCCACUUCUACCACAGGUACUAAUUGGUCCGCUUCCUCUGGGUUUGGUGGCUGAGGCUCUUCUGGUGGUGGAGGCGGUGGAACAUUAACGAUAUUUUGUGCAGGUACCUAGGCCUGCAUCUCCUCCAAAGCCAGACGAAGUGACAGGAUCUCGUCCAGCUAUUGGAAUCUUUCUGCUUCCAGCCUAUUGACAUUGGAUUCAGCUUCCUCCCUUGCUCUAUUUACCAUGCUCCUGCUGGCUUCGAUGAACCCUUGCAUCACCCUGAGUUUUUCUUCAUAAUCCUCAAUUCUUCCGGAUUGCUCCCUCAUUGUUUUCUCCAUGUCGUGCUCUCUUGCCAACGCCGCCUUUUUGUACAUCUCCUUGUCAUGUCGGGCACCCAUCAACUCCAUCUUAGCAUCUUCAUUCUUUUGCCUCUGGUUAUAAUAUUCUCUGAUACAGGCUUGAUGUAAAUUGUACAUAGCCAUCAUAUAAUCAGAAGCAGCAGCAACCAAGACAUCGUGCUCUACCCGAGAAGUGUUCUUCAAAGCUUUAAUCCUUCUCCUCCAUAUCCCGUCAUCUUGAUGCUUGAUAGGAUAGAACUGAGCAGAGCUCGACCCUACCUCCACCUUGUGGUUUUCACAUAACUCAGUAAGAGCAGUCAUAGCCGCCCUUUCUAUUGUGUCAUUGAACUCAAAACCCGACUCCAUCACCUCUUCUAGACGCCAAUUGGGACGGGUAUCGUCAUCGGGAAUAUGCACAUAAACAGUGCAAUAUUGCUUGUGGCUCGUAUCUUCUUUCCUCCAAUAAUAUUCCGGGGGAUUGUGGAAGCCCAAUUCUUGUAGCGUCUUCCAAAGCAGCUGCACAAACCCCGGCUUAUCCAAAUAAUGGCCGCGGGUCCAUCCAUCCUUAUCAGUGUAGCCUUCUUGAAACAUCCUAUAAAAGAAACGAGGUCAGGUCUAACGGCACUCACCAAACCCAAAAAUUUUGAAAAUAUGCUUAUGCAACAUGAUGCAACGAUUCCUACGAACUCACAUACUCAUAUACACAUUUGUAAUGAAAUUGGUGGCAUCGUAAUCUCUCCCUAAAUAAUAUCCUACCGAAUACUAACGACACGCAGCAAACAGUUAGCAUCUGCAAAACAAGCAACCGGUUAACACUACUGCCACCUGUGACUCUUGUUUUCGUUAUUUUAAAGUAGAGUCUCAAUUUUUUAAAAGGUAAUAUCUGUUGAUUAUCCCAACCUACGGCUCUGAUACCAGCUGUGGCGGAACUGCCCAACUUAAGCUGGUUUAAGUGCGCCUAAUCGCUGUCGGAAUAGCAAUUAUCCGAAACGCACCUAAAACAGCAUAAGUCCGGUAGUCCGUCGAGUGUCCCUAGGACUCCUCGAAGGAUCCACGACGUGUCUCAUAGCCAUACAUCAGGAUAGUAUCCGCGAUGGGAUAGCAUCAACAAACAUUACAUUUUUACAUACAUAUAAAAGGUACGAGUUAUUACAGAACAUAGAUUGAAGAAAACUUAACAGUGCGGUGUUAGACAGAGUUCUAAGAUUUAAACAUAAACAGUUCAGGAGGAGAUGAGCAUUUUUAAACUUCUUCUCUAAGGGUAUUGUGAGACUCAUAACAAUACCCUAGGGCUUCGGGGUUUCCUCCUCCGCAGACUCCUGCGGGGCUUCUGAAAGAUAGCCACAAGGGGAAAACCCUGAGUACGGGGUACUCAGCAAGUCUUACCCGACUAACCAAUAUAAUAGUUUUCUUGGGAUGUACAUGAUAGCUUUUUGGUGUACUUGGCUAAUGCAACUUUUUGCCAAAAAGCUUACUACAAGUGAUGCCUUAGUUUUAUCUUUUAUUUGGAUUAAGUCAUUACCUAACCAUUCUAAAUGAUGAGCAGAAAGUAAAAGCAAUCAUCGAUAUUAAGUCAUACAUCAAAUAUUAACAGGAAGAAACAUAUGCAUGAAUUGAUACUACGAUGCUCAACAGUGAUCAAGUGCAUUCAUAACCGAGAAUUGCGGGGAUCCGGAUCAAUUUACAUCCUGCAGGAGAGUACUCUGAUCACCAGCUUUAUACGACUGUCCAGGUCGUACAUGACAACCUCUCGAUUAGUAAAAUCAAUGAUUAGGAAUACGACUACCCGGACCCAGGGAUGCACCCCCACAUGGGACCCCACGUUUGGCCCGAUCUCCAUGUGAGUUUCAGGCUACACCCCUGCCAAUCUCCAGCACGUCAAGCGCGGGUACGAAGUAUUCCUGAUCAUAGAGUUUACUAACCUACUGGGCUUUACUGGUCCCAUACCCAGUAAGCGAUCAGAUGCUUAUCACUUGAUCAAAGGCUAAGACAACGAAUCGGGCCUUAACCAAUUAAUCCAGCAGACAGAACUAUAUUUCUAGCUUCUGUCCGCUUUUCUAUCUUCAAGUUAUCUUUCAUAAGCAACAUGUAUGACUCAAAAGUUUUCCUUAAGGUUGGUAAACCGAGUAUGUAAGCAGUAAGCAAUUCUAGACUUGGGUAUCUCCUAAGGUUUGAACAAGUGGCAAAGAUGUCCUUAAAACAAGGUAUGAUCAUACAUAAGAAUAGGUUUCAAGCAACUCCUAGACUUAGUGCAUACAUAUAGCAGAUAAUCGAUAAUUGGACACAUGAAAUAACGACUCCAAAAUAGAUAGGUAUAAAUGCACCGGGGCUUGCCUUGUUCGCUUAAAAAGUUAGUAUUCUCUGACGGGUUGGCUUCACAGGGGACUAAUUCAAAAACUUCUUCGAACUCCGAAGGUCCUUCUGAAAAUUCCAAAUAUUCUCCUUCUGGUGCUUCGGGAUCUAUAGCACAAUAUAUAUGCAGGGGUUAGGAAUGCAAAUAUUUGAAUAAAGGACUAUACAACUUUCCUUCAUGAUAAAGUUGCAAGCCAACAAGGACUAUACAAUCUAUCAUGAUAAAGUUGCAAGCCAACACACAAAAACCCAAAAAGAUUAACCCACAAUUUUUAUUUUCUUACUUAACCCUACCUAAGGCUUUUUCUUUUAUUUUUAGAAAAGGUUAUAAUUAUUUUCUAACUUGAAAACCUAAUUCCCUAUGAGUUAAGAAUAAUUUGUGAUUAAGAAAAUGCUAUUUCAUAUUUUAUACAUUUUAUAAAUAUUAAGUAUUUAUUUAAUUACCUUGAAAGGAAGGCCUUAAAUAAAUACCCGAAUUUUUAUUAUUUUUCUACGGUAUAAAAAUUUUAAUGCAUAAAGGAAAAUAAAACAAGCCUAACAAAAUUGGUUUCACUAAUUUUGGACACUCCUAGAAAUUUCUGUGAUUUAAAUGGUGUAAAACGGAUUUAAACUAAUUACUUUCUAAAGGAAAUCUAAUUUUCCCGAAAAACACCCGGAAAACUUUUCUCACUCAGCUCGACGCUACCCUCUCUCACGCGCACUGGGCCCCACGGCGUGGACCCACCUAAUCACUGCUCCACUUACCCGCCGGCCUUUUCUCCCCCUGACGGGCCCCGUGGGCCGAUUCUUUUUCUUUUCCCCUUCUCCGGUCCGACACCGGCCCACGGCCCUCUUCUUCUUUUUCCGUUUUCCGCAGGCGCGGCCUACUCCUUACUGGGCCUCCGGCCCCUUUUUCCUUUCCGGUCGACCGCGCGCGCGUUACUUGGCCUCAAGGCUGCGGCCCAACAGACGGUCGUGCGCCGGCCUCUUUCUCCCCCUCCCCUCCUUUCUCUCUCUGUCGCGCGGGCCCGAGCGUCCAGGAGCUUCUUCCUCCUCCCGCCUGUUGGGAUACGAGGUAGGCUACACUAGCGCAAUUCAAAAAUUCUACCGCGUAUAACUAGGAAGAACUGCCGUAUAAGGAUCACGGGAUUACCACUCGACGCACUACUGGUGCGGAAGAUGUAGAUAUGCGUCGAUGCAGUGAAGACGAUCACGUAGUCGUACGUAGUCGAUCAACGUAGUCGUACGUAGUCGAUCACGUCCAGCAGCUCCUCAGCAGCUUGUCCACGUGCAGCAAGAUCGCCUCCGGUACCGCGGCUCGUUGUUGGCUCGUCGGCGGCUCGUCGGCGGCUCGUCAAAGUGCUACAGGCGCAACACCUCCAAGGUAUCCACACGUGCAGGGAGGAAGCGUCGCAAGCCGGAUUGCUAGAUCCGCGAGUUGCAACAGGCGAGGGCGUGGGAGGCGUGGCAGGUGUGUUUUGCCAAAAAGGUGUAAACCCUAGGGCGCCCCCACCCAUCUAUUUAUAGAGGUUCCUGACAGGCCUCUGGGUCCGAGGCCCAUUAGAACUUCUAAACCUAAUCCAACUCGGAUCAGAUCCGAAUUGGGCUUCCAGCCCCUUAAGUGUGUGACCCUAUGGGUUCGGAUACGUAUAGACAUGGCCCGAGUACUCCUACUCAGCCCAAUAGUCGGUAGCGGCCUCUAGCAUGACGUGCCAACUCCUAUACGCACACGAAGAUCAUAUCAGACGAACCAUCACAACAUAAUAUACAUGCUAUUCCCUUUGCCUCACGAUAUUUGGUCUAGCUUCAAGCCGACCGCUCUUUCUCGAUCCUGUGAUUCGGAAUCCCUUUGUAGGUUAACUCUUAACCGUACGUAGCAUGGCCAUGCAUUUUCGGAUCCGAUCACUCGAGGGGCCCAGAGAUAUCACUCUCAAUCAGAGAGGGGCAAAUCCCAUCUUGACUGACCAUGUCUCAUAGCAUGCUUCUUGACAAACCCGAAAGCUACCUUUAUAACUACCCUGUUACGGCGUAGCGUUUGAUAGCCCCUAAGUAGGUCGAUCCACAUCUAGAAUACAUGCGAUAGUCUCAGGUCUAAGGACAAAGCGUAUAUGUUGUUUAAAGAGAGUACUUCUCGUGUUGGGUCAGUCCUAGCACAUGUCUCCACAUGUGUCCACAUUAUUAGUUCAACAUCUCCAUGUCCAUGACUUGUGAAACAUAGUCAUCAACUAAUACAUGUGCUAGUCUAAUAUUCAUGUGUGUCCUCACAUGAACUCCGACUAGGGACAACUUUAGAAUAACCAUACAAGUAAAGAGUUUCACAUACAAUUCACAUAAUUGCAAAUCAAUUCAAGUAGCCUUCAAUGGAUAUUCAAUGAACACAACAUACAAAUCAUGGAUACAAAUGGAAUAUCAUCAUCUCUAUGAUUGCCUCUAGGGCAUACCUCCAACAGUCUCCCACUUGCACUAGAGUCAAUCUAGAAGGUACCUAAUACCCAUAGCUCUUACAUGCGCAUCAUGCUUAGCCUGCGGGAGUGGUUUUGUCAACGGAUCAGAAAUGUUCAGAUCCGUGUGUAUUUUGCAUAUCUUGAUCUCACCCCAGUUAACGAAGUCUCGAAUGAGAUGAAAUCGCCGCAUUACGUGUUUGUUCUUCUGGUGGUUCCUUGGCUCCUUUGCUUGCGCAAUUGCCCCAUUGUUAUCACAGUAGAGAUUCAAUGGGCUGGACGCAUUCGGGAACACACCAAGCUCAAUGAGGAAAUUCCUUAUCCAAACACCUUCCUUCGCGGCUUCCGAAGCCGCGAUGUACUCGGCUUCUGUCGUAGAAUCGGCCACCAUCUCCUGCUUGGAACUCUUCCAACUAACAGCACCACCAUUUAGCGUGAACACAAAUCCUGAUUGUGACUUUGAAUCAUCUCUGUCGGUUUGGAAACUAGAAUCGGUGUAACCUGUUACAACAAGCUCCUCCUCACCUCCAUAGACGAGGAACAUAUCUUUAGUCCUUCUCAAGUACUUAAGAAUGUUUUUCACCGCUGUCCAGUGACUCUCACCUGGAUCAGAUUGGUGUCUGCUUGUCAUACUUAGCGCAUAUGAAACAUCUGGGCGAGUACUUAUCAUUGCAUACAUGAUAGAUCCAAUAGCCGAGGCAUAUGGCACUCUACUCAUGCGAUCCCGCUCAUCAGCAGUUGAAGGACACUGAGUCUUGCUGAGAUGUAUGCCAUGUGACAUAGGCAAGAACCCUUUCUUUGCCUCUUCCAUGCUGAACCGCUUCAACACUUUGUCAAUGUAAGUAUCUUGGCUUAAACCUAUAAGCCUUCUCGAUCUAUCUCUAUAGAUCUUAAUGCCCAGAAUAUAUGCCGCUUCCCCUAAGUCCUUCAUCGAAAAACUAUUUUUCAGUGAAGUCUUUACGGACUCAAGCAUAGAAAUGUUAUUUCCAAUCAGCAAUAUGUCAUCCACAUAUAAGAUUAGAAAUACUACAGAGCUCCCACUAACCUUCUUGUAAACACAAGACUCUUCUUCGUUCUUGGUGAAGUCAAACCCUUUGACCACUUCAUCAAAAUGAAUGUUCCAACUCCUAGAUGCUUGCUUCAAUCCAUAAAUGGAUCUCUGAAGCUUGCAUACCUUUCCAGCAUUUUUCAGAUCGACAAAACCCUCGGGCUGUAUCAUAUACACGUCCUCAGCUAGGUUUCCAUUCAGGAAAGCUGUCUUGACAUCCAUCUGCCAUAUCUCAUAAUCGAAAUAUGCAGCUAUAGCUAGAAUAAUCCGAAUGGACUUAAGCAUCACUACGGGCGAGAAGGUCUCGUCGUAGUCAACUCCUUGAACUUGUCGAAAACCUUUUGCGACAAGUCGUGCUUUAUAGAUGUGAACAUUUCCAUCCAUGUCCUUUUUCUUCUUAUAGAUCCACUUGCACUCUAUGGCUUUAACACCAUCAGGCGGGUCAACCAAGUUCCAAACUUGAUUGUCUCCCAUGGACUCUAUUUCGGAUUGCAUGGCACUCUGCCAUUUUUCGGAGUCUGGGUCCAUCAUUGCUUCUGCAUAUGUCGCAGGCUCAUCAUUGUCCAACAAUAAUAUUUCUCACAUUUCGCGGAGCCUUGCUGACCUUCGUGGUUGUGGCGGUGCUUCUCUUGCCAUGGGUAUCUCAACUUGUUCUGCUACGUUAGCAUCACUCAUUGAUUCUUGCCCGAUUGGCUCAUCUUGAACUUCUUCAAGAUGCACUGUCUUUCCACUCUUUUCUCCUUUGAGAAACUCUUUCUCUAGGAAAACCCCGUUCCGAGCGACAAACACUUUGCCUUCUGAUCGGUUGUAGAAAUAAUAUCCCAAAGUUUCCUUUGGAUAUCCCACGAAAAUGCACUUAUCCGACUUGGGUGUGAUCUUGUCCGACUGAAGUCGCUUGACAAACACUUCACAUCCCCAAAUCUUUAGAAAAGACAAACUAGGAACCUUUCCAGUCCAUAUCUCAUAUGGUGUCUUAACUACGGAUUUAGAUGGUACCCUAUUAAGUGUGAAAGCUGCUGUUUCUAGAGCGUAUCCCCAAAAUGACAACGGUAGGUCCGACUGGCUCAUCAUUGAUCCAACCAUGUCUAACAAAGUUCGAUUACGUCGCUCGGACACACCGUUUCUCUGAGGUGUUCCAGGCGGCGUAAGUUGUGGAACAAUUCCGCAACUCUUUAGAUGAUUGCUAAACUCGUGGCUCAAAUACUCGCCUCCACGAUCAGAUCGUAAGGCCUUAAUUUUCUUGCCACGCUGAUUUUCAACUUCAUUCUGAAAUUCCUUAAACUUUUCAAAGGUUUCAGACUUGUGCCUCAUCAAGUAGACAUAGCCAUAUCUACUAAAAUCAUCAGUGAAAGUUAUGAAGUAUUGGAAUCCUCCUCUAGCCGUCGUGCUCAUUGGUCCGCAUACAUCACUAUGUACGAGUUCCAACAAGUCUACUGCUCUCUCAGGAAAUCCUGUGAAAGGCGUCUUGGUCAUCUUGCCUAGCAAGCAAGCCUCACAUGUCUCGUAUGAUUCAAAAUCAAACGAAGUUAGAAGUCCAUCAGAAUGGAGCUUCUUCAUGCGCUUUUCACUUAUAUGACCCAAACGACAAUGCCACAAGUAGGUAGGACUCAAAUCAUUAGGCUGAGGCCUUUUAGCACUUACAUUACAGACAGGUGAACCAUCAAGAUUUAAAACAAAUAAUCCAUUCACAAUGGGUGCAAAAGCCAUAAACAUAUUAUUCUUAGAGAUCACACAACCAUUGUUUUCACUUGCAAAUGAAUAACCAUCCUUCAUCAAACAUGAAGGAGACAAAAUGUUUCGACUUAAACUAGGAACAAAAUAACAAUUAUUCAACUCCAUAAUAAAUCCUGACGGGAGAUGGAGUUGCAUCGUCCCGACGGUCAACGCAGCAACUCUUGCAUUAUUGCCCACGCGGAAAUCAACUUCUCCUCUUUCCACGCUUCUACUUCUUAUCAUUCCCUGCAUCGAAUUGCAAAUAUGAGCAACCGAUCCGGUAUCAAAUACCCAAGAAUUAAUAAUUGUAUCAGCGAGAAAUAUGUUGUCUAUAACAUUAACAACAAGCGUACCUGAGGUAGAAGUACUCUUACUUCCGCCAUUCUUCAACGAAGCUAGGUACUGCUUGCAGUUCCUCUUCCAGUGACCAAGUUCAUGACAGUAAAAGCACUCUUUAUCUGGAGCAGGUCCAGCUUUAGCCUUGGGUGCUGGGUUUGGCUUGGACACUCCAGCCUUACCCUUCUUCUUCCAAGAAUUGCCCUUCUUCUUGAAGGUAGGCUUGUUCUGUACAGCCAUCACAUGGCUGGUACUAGCGUUUUUCUUAAUGUCUACCUCUGCUGUCUUGAGCAUACCACACAGUUCAUUCAGACCCUUCUCCGUCCCAUGCAUAUGGUAGUUCGAGAUGAAGUUCCCAUAGCUAGGUGGAACAGAUGAAAGAAUGAAGUCAGUGGCCAACUCUUUGCCCAUUGGGAAGCCCAGCUUCUCCAAUCGCUGAGUGUAACCAACCAUCUUGAUUACAUGUGGUCCUACUGCUGCGCCUUCUGCUAACUUGCACUCCAGAAAGGCUUUGGACACAUUGAACCUUUCGGUCCUAGCCUGUGUCUGGAACAUGUCCUUGAGCGCCACGAUCAUAUCGUGUGCCUCAUGAUUUGUUUCGAACUGCAUCUGCAGCUCGGGUUCCAUGCAAGCAAGCAUAAGACAGCUUACCACAAGAUUAGCAUCAAAUGCCUUCUUGUAAGCAGCCUUCACGGCAGCAGAUGCAUCAUCAGCAGGUACUGGUGGUAGUGGGGUGUCUAGAACAUCUUCCUUUUUCUCAGCCCUGAGAACAAUUCUCAGGUUACGGAUCCAAUCCGAGUAGUUUGUUCCAUUCAACUUGUCCUUCUCAAGGACCGAACGCAAAGCAAACGAUGCGGUGGUGUUGCUAGGUGCCAUUUAAUCUACAACAAAAGUAAUGCAAAAUACACUAAGACAAACGUAUCCAUGAUAGAGCAAAUUACAUUAAACUAUUUUAACAGAAUCUACUCCCACUAAAAUCAAAAUCCCUCUAUUGAAACUUAGUGAUUCAGGAUCCACAACUAACAAGUCCACUAGUGAGCUUUAGCAUCACCGCUAGCAAACGAGGUAGAUCGGUAAGCAACUUUUGCUAAUCAUAUCACAUAUGACUCCUGUUGUUGGGUGACAUCUCUAUGUCUCGGCACCCAACCUUUAUGCCCCAAGGUCCUUAACCGUUAAGAUAACCUUGUUAAGCAAACCAACCCUUAUGCGUGUAAGUGUCCGACACAAACCCGUCUAGUCAAGGAAAACUAGUGGCACCCUAAUUUCAUAGACCCACCACUAAUUGUACAAGACAUGGGACGGUGCAAGUUUUAGUUGGGAGGGCAUACUAACUUAAACUUUGUGAGGGAUCAUUCUACUUCUAACAUCACAGCAUGCAGAAAGUAAAACAUAAACAGAAUAGCAUUCACACAGCUUGUGACACAGUAUGGCCCGUUUUCAUAUGGUGAUCUCCAUCUCCAUAGAACCUGUUCACCAUGGUGAUCUCCAUCUCCAUGUUCCAUGUGCGCCAUCCUCCUGGUGAUGAGUCCUCCAAGAACUAGAGCAUGCUAUUACGCCUAAUAGCUAGUAAAGAAUCUAGUAAUGAAGAUUACAUAGUUGCUUGGAUCAUCACAGAUUGGUACGCAGACCAUUAAAUACAAUAAAGUGACAACACAUAUGGCUCCUGCCGUGUUGCCGUACGCGUGACACACAGGUCAUGAAUGAGUUACACACAUGCAUCACAUACACAAGGGGGCCAUACUGAUCACAAGAUACAAACAUACAUCCUGCAAAACAGAGUUAGACGUCAUAACGUUCCAUACUUCGGAUGCCCGAAACUCCAUCUUCCAAGCCGAAUUUGGGAAAUCUAAUCUCGCCAAAAACGGCAAAGCAGUUGAAAUUCAUGUGUAACUUUUUCUGUAGAUCAAUUUUCGUAUAAAAAUCGCCCCGAUCCGAGAUCGUACCGAAAAGUUACGGCUGAUUUACCGAAGCAUACGCAUACGGCAAAAUCCCGACCCCGGCAGUAGAUCCCAUCUACUAUUGCACAUCUAAUGCGCCUGGCGUAUGACCCUGGAUCUCGAUUCGACCAAUCAUAUUGAUCUUCGCUCACUGCAACUGGAUUUACGUGUAUCACUUAACUCCGAUGGCGGAAACCGACCGGUAUGAGUAUGUCGUUACACUACCAUUGCAGCAAGGGCACGAAACCAGGACAUAGAUCAAACAGAAAACUCGCAUAUCUCCAUAUGCACACAUUCCGAAUCCAAAACUAAGCAGCUACGGCUCUGAUACCACUGUUGGGAUACGAGGUAGGCUACACUAGCGCAAUUCAAAAAUUCUACCACGUAUAACCAGGAAGAACUGCCGUAUAAGGAUCACGGGAUUACCACUCGACGCACUACUGGUGCGGAAGAUGUAGGUAUGCGUCGAUGCAGUGAAGACGAUCACGUAGUCGUACGUAGUCGAUCAACGUAGUCGUACGUAGUCGAUCACGUCCAGCAGCUCCUCAGCAGCUUGUCCACGUGCAGCAAGAUCGCCUCCGGUACCGCGGCUCAUCAUUGGCUUGUCGUGGCUCGUCGGCGGCUCGGCGGCGGCUCGUCAAAGUGCUACAGGCGCAACACCUCCAAGGUAUCCACACGUGCAGGGAGGAAGCGUUGCAAGCCGGAUUGCUAGAUCCGCGAGUUGCAACAGGCGAGGGCGUGGGAGGCGCGGCAGGUGUGUUUUGCCAAAAAGGUGUAAACCCUAUGGCGCCCCCACCCAUCUAUUCAUAGAGGUUCCUGACAGGCCUCUGGGUCCGAGGCCCAUUAGAACUUCUAAACCUAAUCCAACACGGAUCAGAUCCGAAUUGGGCUUCCAGCCCCUUAAGUGUGUGACCCUAUGGGUUCGGAUACGUAUAGACAUGGCCCGAGUACUCCUACUCAGCCCAAUAGUCGGUAGCGGCCUCUAGCAAGAUGUGCCAACUCCUAUACGCACACGAAGAUCAUAUCAGACGAACCAUCACAACAUAAUAUACAUGCUAUUCCCUUUGCCUCACGAUAUUUGGUCUAGCUUCAAGCCGACCGCUCUUUCUCGAUCCUGUGAUUCGGAAUCCCUUUGUAGGUUAACUCUUAACCGUACGUAGUAUGGCCAUGCAUUUUCGGAUCCGAUCACUCGAGGGGCCCAGAGAUAUCACUCUCAAUCAGAGAGGGGCAAAUCCCAUCUUGACUGACCAUGUCUCAUAGCAUGCUUCUUGACAAACCCGAAAGCUACCUUUAUAACUACCCUGUUACGGCGUAGCGUUUGAUAGCCCCUAAGUAGGUCGAUCAACAUCUAGAAUACAUGCGACAGUCUCAGGUCUAAGGACAAAGCGUAUAUGUUGUUUAAAGAGAGAACUACUUCUCGUGUUGGGUCAUUCCUAGCACAUGUCUCCACAUGUGUCCACAUUAUUAGUUCAACAUCUCCAUGUCCAUGACUUGUGAAACAUAGUCAUCAACUAAUACAUGUGCUAGUCUAAUAUUCAUGUGUGUCCUCACAUGAACUCCGACUAGGGACAACUUUAGAAUAACCAUACAAGUAAAGAGUUUCACAUACAAUUCACAUAAUUGCAAAUCAAUUCAAGUAGCCUUCAAUGGAUAUUCAAUGAACACAAUAUACAAAUCAUGGAUACAAAUGGAAUAUCAUCAUCUCUAUGAUUGCCUCUAGGGCAUACCUCCAACACCGCCAAAACGCACGCGCAACAGGGGGCGGCGCGACUCGCCGGCUGGCGCCCCACCGGCGGCGAAGCUAGGUCAGGACAGCACCUCUACACCUUCAUGCACCCGUGCGCGGCAACAGCUCCUCGGGAGAUGGCCAGAGCCAUUCCCUCCACGGCGACGGGCGGCGACACCCUCGGCCAGUCGCGACUACUCCCGACGACGGCACAAACUACUCGAACAACUACUCUUACACCAUCCUAGGACCCUAGGACUCGCCUACGACUACUUAAGAAGGAAGGGGAACAGCGCAAGGUAGUGCUCACCGUGAGCGGAAGGCGCGGCGAUGGCGGACAGAAGCGGCGGCGGUUCAAGGCGUGCCGGCGGAGAAGCUGGGCAACAAGUUGCUAGGAUUGCUGGUGGGGUGUGGUCGGAGGUGUGGACGGAAGGAAUCGACGGGAGGUGCGGUGUGGCGGUGGAAUUUUGCUCGGUGGCGGCAACGGGGACAGAGGCGCUGGCGGCGGUAAAAAGGAACGGCAGUGAAACGGCGGCGCGGGAGCGGUAAAUAUACGAACUGUUUACCGCGCGCAUGGGCGACACCAUGGCCUACUCAUAGGCUUGCGUGGUGAGGAGGUGGCCUAGCUGGUUGCGCUGGCGAGCGACCGACGGCGGCGGCGGCGACAUGUCCUGUUGCUCUGUCAUCGCCUCCCCCCUUUUCUUUUAAUGCCUGAAACUUCAGAGUUCUAUCACGGUCGAUUCCAAAUCCGACGGUCCCCAAGUUGCUUAAACAAAGUUGGAGAUAAACUUGAAUCCUCCUAUUUUUAUUUUGGCUCUACCCUGAGAUAAACAUCAAACCAUAGUCGAAUUUUGAAUUGUUUCUUGUGUUUGCCUGAACUUGACUGAAUCGGCAUUCAGUUCAUCAGGAACACGACAGUGAUACUUGCCUUACUUUGUGAUUGAAUUUUGUGAUCCAAAUCCUUCUUUUCCAGUCCAACUUCUUCCCAUUCGUGCUCUACUAUCUCCAAUGUUUCCAUUUUGCUCAAGAACACCUACCCCUCUUGAUCUACAUUGCUCAUAAUUCAAGUCCAAAGUCGACCCUAUGCUGGUGGUUUCAGGGUGACAGUUAACUGUGACAAUGUGCUGACUUUGAGCUCACCGAAAUUAUUCCCUUCCAUGUUCCUGGCCAACAACACCCAAUUAUUGGAGUCCAAAGUCCAUACUUUGAUAUGGUGUAUCUGUUUUGAUUCACUUAUUUGAAAAAUUCACCAGAAAUCAAUUUUGAAAACAGACUCUGCUGCUGUUUUUCUGAACUUCUAUUUUCGGACGGUGAACAGUAAAUGUGGUUUUUCAUUUCCUUCUCUGAUUUCCUUUGAGUGUUUAGGAUCAAAUUUUAUUCCAAAUUUUUGACCCUUAAGUUCUAAUCAUCCUUACACUUCUAUUCUAUAUUUUUGCCGAAUUUUUCUGAAUUUCAAAUUCAAAAUUCAAAUUUCGGCCAAAUUUGACCCGAAUUUGAUUUUUGGCCAAUUUCUUUUCCUUUUCUUCUCGAAUUGCUUCCAAUUCUUCAAAGUCACUUGAAUGACUUAAUUGGCAGCUGUUACACCCUCCGACCCCUUGCGCCUGGGGUCGGGUGAGGUGGAGCCUUGCGGCGUGGGGUCGGGCGCGUCGAACCCUUGGACCAUGGGUUGGGCGAGGCGAAGUGGAAUAUUCCCUAGCCGUGCCAAGUUGGUGGAGGUUACUAUCGCUGCAGGUGGGCCCAGGGCCUUAUGACCGUUGUUUAAGGAAUAUAAGUGUUGAUGCUAGAUUUCAACACGUAUGGAAUCGGCAUCGAGAAAGGAGAAGAUUGGCUGUUGCGGCAGAUUGGAAGGUCACGAUUGGGAAUCGGCCGAUUGGUGCUACAGUUGGGGAUCGGUCGAUUGGUGCUACAAUGUUUUGGUAGACGGAGUUGAUGAAGAUCGGCCGAUUGAAAGGCUGGAGCGAUUGGGCCAAUAUGGGCUUAAAAUGGGUCAGAGGAAGAAGAUGGAGGAAGAUUGGCCCAUGGGAAUACAAUAACCAACUCCGAUACGAGUUGUACUUGUAAAUAUUUGUUUUCAUUUAAAAUUAGAGAUAGAUCCUAGUCGGUUAAGAAAUUGGUUGUAACAGGCUAUAAAUAGCCAUCUUUAGGGAUUUGUAAAAGACACAUCAAUCAAUACAACAAUCUACUAUUUCUUCGUACUUUACUUUCAAGUCGGUGACUUCGCCAAUACUUUUCUUCUUUCACCAGUUCGUACGGGUUGGCGGGGCUACAUCGACACGAUCUCUGGCCGAUUCUGUAAGUUCCGCUUAUCGAGUAAUAUCUAAGCUUUAACUUCGGACGUAUCGCUGUCAUUUCAUUUAGAUUUAUUCACCAGUUAUUGGUAUUUACUAGAAUUAUAGGUUUCAUCUGUUGUUCUAGUUUUAUCACCAGUUAUCCAGCUUGAGAUCUGAACUGUCGGCUUUAUUAUUCAUUAUUUGUUAUUUUCAUAUAGCUGAUUAGAUCUAUUUCAAGUAUUGCUCCUGUAGCAUUAUCUAGUUUACUCUAGUAGUUUUCUUUAUAAUCGCUAUGUGGUUGUUAGCUUUAUCAUAGCCGAUUAUCUUUUUAUAGCAAAUUGGCCGAUUUGCUGAUACGCUUUCUCGAGAUCGGAACCUUAGCCGAUCGGAACCCUUGGAAUUUGACACGUUUUCUUCCUUGCCAAUCAACAGGUCAGAUUGGCUGGCACGCUGCGCGAAUCGCACCAUUGUGAUCACCCGAACAGGAGCUAAGCAAAUUCUCCCGGGUCAUGUGUCCGACGCUGAGAGUCAAUCGGCUGAUUUUUAGCGUCAACACACUUUUGGCACACUCGGUGGGACCAAUUCGACCUCCAACAGGUCGAAAGCCGCUGAAAUCUCUGAAGACAACAUCAUCGAAGUGACGGAAGCAGAUCUUAAGGAUGACCAGAAGGAAGAGUUGGAAAAGCAGGUAGAACAAUACCGGAAGACAUGCCUGCAAUCUUUCAGUCGUACCAGGAGCGGGGAGACUGUCAAGAAAGCUCCUUUGCCAACUCCCCACCAGAUCACCAUCACUGAGGACUCUGGCAAGAUGUCCGAUAUGGUUCAGCAGUUCGUCUAUCAGGCCUUCAUCGAUCAAUCCCCGGUGAUGGCUAACACGGUGUACAAUGCCGUCAUCAGCUCCCUGGCCAAUGGUGUAUCUCAAGGAUAUCAGGGGCCAGCAUACGCCCCACCCAUUACGGCCCCAGUCAGGAGCUUUCCAAGAACAUCUCACUCGGCUCCUCAGCCGAUGCCAGCUCAACAUGGAGGAUCCAGCACUUCCCUGCCUUCAAUGCAUCCAGGAUACAACAGUGCGCCAUACCAUCAACCACAAGCACCACCGCAGCCUGCUCAAGUUUCCUCUGUGCAAUCAGUGCCAUCGAACUCAGCACCUUGGGGGGCACCAUCGACAGCAGCCGUUCUAGAUCAAUUGGCUGGCUAUGGAGGCCCUCCAUUCCAGGCACCAUUCCAAUCGGCCAGUCAGCCGACGGUUCCACAGUAUCAACCUGCCACGUAAGAAAUCGGCAGGGGGCAGACGCUACUGAGGUGCUCCGAGGUGCGUGCCAAUGAUACUAUAUGAUGAGACGGCCGGUUCAAUGCACCACCAGAUGUCAACCGCUCAGCCGGCCACGUUACCGCAGAAUCCGCCGCAUGCAUUGAUUAAUCACCCGGUCAUCCCAUCACCGAUCCACCAACACGUGCCAAUUCCCCAGCCAGUAAUUCGUCAGUAGCAAGUGGAUUGGACGGCAAGGAUAGCGGAAGUAAUUCAAGAUCAGUUCAGGUUGAAGCCGAAGGUACAAACUUACACAUACAGGACGCCAUACCCGCCUACCUACGAUCUACUACCGUUUCCCCAUCGAUACAAAGUGCCCGACUUCACCAAAUUUUCGGGGCUAGAUGAUACUUCAACUGCGGAGCACGUGAACAGAUUCAUUAUCCAAUGCGGGGAGGUGGCUGCACAAGAUGCUCUAUGGGUGCGUCUGUUCUCAGCGUCCCUGUCCGGGUCAGCUUUCCAGUGGUUCACUACGCUACCGCCCAACUCCAUAGUUACUUGGGCCGACCUGGAGAAGCAGUUCCAUAAAUACUUCUACGCGGGGGUCCAUGAAAUGUAGCUUUCGGAUCUGACCAGCCUCAGGCAAAGGAGCAAUAAGCCAGUGUCCAAUUAUGUGCAGAGGUUCAGAGAGGUCAGAAACAAGUGCUACACCCUAGUCCUGACCGACGCGCAGCUGGCCGAUAUCGCCUUCCAAGGCCUCCUGUCGCAUAUCAAAGAGAAGUAUGCUUCCCAGGAGUUCGAGAGCCUGAGUCAAAUCGUUCACCGAUUGGCCGGUCAGGAAGUACGCCCUUUUGAUCAGCGGAAAAUUUUUCAGAAGAAGGUGGCAUAUCUAGAGGGAUCUGAAUCUGAGGAGGAAGCAGAAAUCGGUCUAGCGGAGUGGGUUAAAGGAAAAAAGCCGAUAUUGUGUCCUUUCGGGAAAAGAGAACUGGAGGCGUUCGGUUUUGACACGUCAAAGGCUGACAAAAUUUUCGAUCUACUUCUCCAAGAAGGGCAGAUCAAACUCUCACCCUACCAUACAAUCCCGUCUGUAGAGCAGCUAAAAAAGAUGAAGUAUUGCAAGUGGCACAAUGCCACGUCCCACGACACGAACGAGUGCAAGAUCUUCCAUCAGCAGAUACAAUCGACCAUCGAGCAGGGCAGGCUCAAGUUCGAGGUCCCAACAAAGCCAGCAAAGCCGAUGAAGGUUGAUCAGCAUCCUUUUCCUACUAACAUGGUUGAUACGGGAAGAAACGCGCUCCAAACCAUGGUGCUAACGUCGGAAUCGGCUAAAAAGAGUGGCGCUGUGGACCCCAGAAAUCAAGCUUCUGUGGAGGAUGUCAAGGGGAAGCGACGGGUUGACGACGAGGGUGAAGGAUCGAAAAGGCCGUGCAGACCUAUUACUUUCCAAUUUCUGCUCAACAAAUAUCAGUGGCAACAAGAAAGUUUGAGAUAUCGCGAAGAGAUGAUACGACGACACGAAGAUCAUUGGCGGUGCCAGUUCUUCAUCCAUUGUUGGGAAAAUAACCUCAGGUUGCCAUCGGCCGAUAAUUGCUCGGAGUGCAGCGGUCCAUAUAGCAAUAAUCGCCCAUUCAGGAGGUCUCGCUCCAAGGACAGAAGAACAGAGCCAAUCAGCAGAAACUGGCGCAAACAAGAAGAUCGGCGCCUUUCAGUGCGUGAUCGGCUGGGGGUAGAAUGGACCGAUAUGAUCGGCCAAGCGACAGAAGCAAGCAAUAUGAUAGGUCGGGGGGCAGGUGUGGUGAAGCACCUCGGAUUAACUUAGCUAAAGCACAGUUAAAUCGCCUAACACGUGAAUCACAUGCUUUAAUCAAGUUAAUUCGACGAUCCGUCGGAUUUCAUCCGAUAAAAACCACUUAGAUAGGACCGAGUUAGCAUAGCUCACACAAAGGUGAGUGGUUUAAGAGAAUAAAACAGAUCAAAUAAACAGUUCAACGAUUUAUUACACACUGGUUCGAAAAUCAAAGUUUUACAAGAUUCAAAAGCAGCGGAAAGAUAAAAUAGCGGAAGCUAGCGCUGUGGUCGGAUGUCCCUGAUGAGGCCGAUCAGGAUAUCAAUGAUCCUUCUCCUCACCGUCCGAGGAGGGAUCCCACUCGACCGUCCACCUAGGAGGAAGCUAGGGCGGCCAAGUGCCAACAGCAGCACACUCAGAAUCUUCAGCUUCACCUGAAAAGAGAUGCCACAACAAGGCUGAGCUUCUAAACUCAACAAGACUUAACCGACCGGUGGGAAAAACUACUCCACCACUCCAAGACAUGCAAGGCUCUUUGGCUGAGGGGUUUGUUUUGCCAAAAGCGACUACAGUAGGUCCUUACUUUCAAUAUUUUAGCUCAGAUUCUAAGUUCAUUAACCAGUCUACAUUGGCAACUUAUGUGAAACAAGAUACAUACAUCCUGCAAAACAGAGUUAAGCGUCCUAACGUUCCAAACUUCGGAUGCCCGAAACUCUAUCUUCCAAGCCAAAUUUGGGAAAUCUACUUUCGCCAAAAAUGGCGAACUAGUUGAAUUUCAUGUGUAACUUUUUCUGUAGAUCAAUUUUCAUAUAAAAUUCGCCCCGAUCCGAGAUCGUACCGAAAAGUUACGGCUGAUUUACCGAAGCAUGCGCAUACGGCAAAAAUUCCGACCCCGGCAGUAGAUCUCAUCUACUAUUGCACAUCUAAUGCGCCUGGCGUAUGACCCUGGAUUUCGAUUCGACCAAUCAUACUGAUCUUCGCUCACUGCAACUGGAAUUACGUGUAUCACUUAACCCUGAUGGCGGAAACUGACCGGUAGGAGUAUGUCGUUACACUACCAUUGCAGCAAGAACACGAAACCAGGACAUAGAUCAAACUGAAAACUCGCAUAUCUCCAUAUGCACACAUUCCGAAUCCAAAACUAAACAGCUACGGCUCUGAUACCACUGUUGGAAUACGAGGUAGGCUACACUAGCGCAAAUCAAAAUUUCUACCGCGUAAAACGAGGAAGAACUGCCGUAUAAGGAUUACGAGAUUACCACUCGACGCACUACUGGUGCAGAAGAUGUAGAUUUGCGUCGAUGCAGCGAAGACGAUUAACGUAGUCGUACGUAGUCAAUCAACAUAGUCGUACGUAGUCCAUCACGUCAACGUCCAGCAGCUCCUCAGCAGCUCGUCCACGUGCAGCAAGAUCGCCCUCGUGCUGCGGCUCAUCGUCGGCUCGUCAUGGCUCGUCGGUGGCUUGUCGUGGCUCAUCGGUGGCUCGUCCGAGUGCUGCAGGCGCAACACCUCCAAGGUAUCCACACGUGCAGGGAGGAAGCGCCGCAAGCCGGACUGCUAGAUCCGCAAGUUGCAACAGGCGAGGGCGUGGGAGGCCCGGCAGAUGUGUUUCGCCAAAAGGUGUCAACCCUAGGGCGCACCCACCCCUCUAUUUAUAGAGGUUCCUGACGGGCCUCUAGGUCCGAGGCCCAUUAGUACUUCUAAACCUAAUCCAACUCGGAUUAGAUCCGAAUUGGGCUUCCAACCCCUUAAGUGUGUGGCCCUAUGGGUUCGGAUACGUAUAGACAUGGCCCGAGUACUCCUACUCGGCCCAAUAGUCGGUAGCGGCCUCUAGCAAGACGUGCCAACUCCUAUACGCACACGAAGAUCAUAUCAGACGAACCAUCACAACAUAAUAUACAUGCUAUUCCCUUUGCCUCACGAUAUUUGGUCUAGCUUCAAGCCGACCGCUCUUUCUCGAUCCUGUGAUUCGGAAUCCCUUUGUAGGUUAACUCUUAAUCGUACGUAGCAUGGCCAUGCAUUUUCGGAUCUGAUCACUCGAGGGGCCCAAAGAUAUCACUCUCAAUCAGAGAGGGGCAAAUCCCAUCUUGAUUGACCAUGUCUCAUAGCAUGCUUCUUGACAAACCCGAAAGCUACCUUUAUAGCUACCCUGUUACGACGUAGCGUUUGAUAGCCCCUAAGUAGGUCGAUCCACAUCUUGAAUACAUGCGACAAUCUCAGGUCUAAGGACAAAGCGUAUAUGUUAUUUAAAGAGAGAACUACUUCUCUUGUUGGGUCAGUCCUAGCACAUGUCUCCACAUGCGUACACAUUAUUAGUUUAACAUCUCCAUGUCCAUGACUUGUGAAACAUAGUCAUCAACUAAUACAUGUGCUAGUCUAAUAUUCAUGUGUUUCCUCACAUGAACUCCGACUAGGGACAACUUUAGAAUAACCAUAUAAGUAAAGAGUUUCACAUACAAUUCACAUAAUUGCAAAUCAAUUCAAGUAGCCUUUAAUGGAUAUUCAAUGAACACAAUAUACAAAUCAUGGAUACAAAUGGAAUACCAUCAUCUCUAUGAUUGCCUCUAGGGCAUACCUCCAACAGCGCGCUGAUCUAUCUUGUCGCGGUCGGCGAUUGGGCGAGGCGGCGCUCGUCGGGGAGGUUGAGCCACGCGACAGAGAGGCUCUGAAGCGGGGCGCACGUGGGCUCUGGCGCGUCUGACUCAAGAGAUUUUUGGGAUCUGGUUUUGGGUCCACCAUUCAGUCUCUAGCUCUCCCACAGCUCCAAGUUUUGGAGGAACACUGGCCGUUUGCUGGGUGGGUGCGAUUUUGCUGGGUUUCAGCGGUCGGGCUGAUGGAGAGUGCAGAUUUGGGAUUUGCCUUGAGAUUAACUCAACUAAUUAAACCAAGGUCGUUACAGCCUACCCCUCUUAAAAGGAAUCUCAUCCCAAGAUUCGGGUGUAAGGGCAACCGGUGGGGGUGUGCGGUUCUUACCUUCUCGGCUGAAAAGAAAACCUCUGAAGUGCUUGUUUAGAUACUCCUCUGUUUCCCAGGUUGUUUCCUCCUCCGUGUGGUUGCUCCAUAGUAUCUUGUACAUUUUCACAACCUGCCAUCGGGUGUGUCUCUCCUUACGGUCGAGGACUUUGGCCGGGUACUCGGCGUAGGUCAGGUCGCGCUCGAUUUGAAGCGGCUCCUGUUCCAAGACCUCAGUUGGGACUUGGACACAUUUCUUCAGUUGGGAAACAUGGAAAACAUCAUGAACGGCCGAAAGCUGUUCUGGUAGUUGGAUCCGGUAAGCAACGGGCCCACAAAUUUCCAGAAUUUUGUAAGGGCCAAUGUAACGGGGAGCCUAUUUCCCUUUUAGUCCAAAUCGUUGCACUCCUUUGGUCAGGGAGACUCGAAGAUAUACGUGAUCACCGAGGUUAAACCGCAGGGGUCUCCUUCUCUUGUUGGAGUAACUCUUUUGUCGAGAUUGGGCUGCCUUGAGAUUUGCCUGAAUCACCCUAACUUGUUCUUCGGCUUCUACUACUAGAUCAGGACCGUAGGUUUGUCUUUCUCCAACUUGUGACCAACUCAAUGGCGUCCGACACCUCCGACCAUAUAAGGCUUCAAGCGGUACCAGCUUCAAGCUAGCCUGGUAGUUGUUGUUGUAGGAGAACUCUGCCAACGGCAAGCACUUAUCCCAAUUCUUAUCAUAGUGGAUGACACAAGCUCGUAGCAUGUCUUCAAGGAUCUGAUUUACUCUCUCAGUCUGACCAUCGAUUUGAGGGUGAUAGGUCGAGCUACGAAUGAGCUUGGUGCCAAGUGAUGCUUGUAGCUGUUCCUAAAAACGUGCUACAAACUGAACACCUAGAUCAGAUAUGAUCGUCCUAGGCACACCAUGCAGAGAAACAAUGCGGUCAAGAUACAGCUCUGCAUAUUUCUUGGCCGGGUAGGUGGUGUGAAUAGGAAGAAAGUGGGCAGACUUGGUGAGGCAGUCCACGAUAACCCAAAUGGAGUCAUGCCACUGAGAUGUAGGGGGCAUUCCAACAAUGAAAUCCAUGCUGAUGUCCUCCCAUUUCCAGGAUGGGAUAGGUAGCGGUUGCAGGGUAUCUGCUACCUUCAAAUGGCUGGCCUUAACAUGUUGGCAGGUGUCACAUUCCGAGAUAUAGCAUGCAAUUUCUGGCUUUAUUCCACCCCACCAAAAAGUUCGACAGAGAUCAUGAUACAUCUUAUUACUGCCAGGGUGGAUUGAGAACUUGGAGAGAUGGGCUUCAUCGAGGAGUUGCUUCUUAAGAGUGGGGUCGGAUGGGACAACAAGUCGGUUCCCAUAGUACACUCUCCCAUUCUCAUCCUGUCGGAAAUGCUUGUACCCUUCAUCUUUCCAGGAAAUCUUCCUUUUAAUUCGCUUUAUUUCCUCAUCCUCUAACUGUGCCGACCCAAUUUGGUCUUACAAAGCAGACUCAAGGAAAAUAUGACUGAGGGUUCCAUGGGAAAUAAUUUCCAAACUAAGUUUUCCCAUCUCAUGACAUAGAGUUUCGAUGAAGUUGAUUACCGACAAGCAAUUGCAAUGGGUCUUGCAGCUGAGAGCGUCUGCUACUACGUUGGCUUUGCCGGGGUGAUAAUGUACCUCCAAUUCAUAAUCUUUGAUCAACUCCAACCAUCUUCUUUGGGGCAUGUUGAGGUUGGCUUGAGUGAAGAUGUACUUGAGGCUCUUGUGAUCAGUGUAGAUGUUGUAGUGGGUGCCCAUCAGAUAGUGUCUCCAUAUCUUUAAGGCAUGAAUCACUGCUGCUAACUCAAGAUCAUGGGUCGGAUAGUUCAGCUCAUGAGGUCGCAACGCCCAUGAGGCAUAGGCAAUGACUCAGUUGUCUUGCAUAAGAACACACCCAAGUCCAGUGCUAGAGGCGUCACAGUAUACGUCAAACGGCCUGGAAGGGUCGGGUUGAGCUAAAACUGGGGCAGAAGUCAGCAAGCGUUUCAAGGUGUGGAAAGCUUCUUCGCAUUCGUGACUCCACAUAAACUUGACUUCCUUUUUCAGUAGCUCGGUCAUCGGUUUAGCUAUCUUUGAGAAAUCCGGAAUGAAACGCCAAUAGUAGCCUACUAGUCCACAAGAUCUGUGUUCUCAUCGGCUGGUCAGCACACAACCUUGGGCGAGUCAAAACCUCAGCCGAUGGGUCCAACUAUGUCCGACCUUAAGUGUCGGGGUCGGGCGAAGCGGAAUCAUGCAACAAGGGGUCGAGCAAGGUGGAGACCUGCCGCGAGGGGUCGGGCGCGUCUGACCUCAUGACCCUAGGUCGGCCACACUUGGACAGACCCAAAGGAACGGAAACCUACGUGCGGUCACAUCACAAAAACUCACACAACUUUGGCAUCAGAGGCGUGUCCCAAAAAGGAAUUGAUUUUACCAAGAUCAUUACAUUGCUGGUCCAUUAACACAGAGGGAGUACUCAACUCAAGGCUAACCCAUUACAUUGCUACCCAAAAUUUAGGUUGCCGAGGAGUACAACAAAAGAUUAGCUUCCUACAUCCUUCAACCUAAAAAUCAUCUAGGUUGCCUACUGAGGGAACACUAUGCGUCGGAGAAGGGGCAUCGCCAUCUUCAAUGUCCAUACUAGAGACUCCCACUACCUCCUCAGGGUCUUCCUUCUCCUCCAGGGCCAUUUGCUCAUCCAGCUGCAUUUCCAAAGCAUGGAUGGCAUCGAGCUCGGCGUGGUGCUCGUCCAAGUGUGCAUUAGCAACCGCGAGCUCCAUCUCAACCUCCAACUUCUCUUCAGCAAGCUGAGUCAUGUCAUGCUCCAUGUCCAUCACUUCUUCUUUGAGCUCGGAAAUCCUAACCUGCAUGUCGGAGACCUGUAUGCUCCUUUGAAUAAGCUAAUACGACUGUUCCACCAAGUCUCUCUUGGCGGUGUUGAAAUGCUCCUGGGUGUCUACAGCUAUCCGAGCCAAGAUAGCCAUAGCCCGUCCUUGAAGCUCAAUCAGUCGGUACAAAGCUGACAUGCACCUUGUUGUGGUAGAGAGGGUGGCCAAUGAGUGUGAGGCUGCCAACACCUCCAUGUUGUUAACGCGGUCAAGCCAAGCCGGGUCCAGCUAAUCUCUGGCGGGAAACAAACCGAUCGGGUCCAAAAGGACCUCAAACGGGUGUAGUCGGCAAAACUGGGUGAGAGCCUGCAAGGCAGCUGACUCCCAAGUGUCCUCAAGGGUGUGACCGUAGGUCGAGACCUCAAGCUGGGGCCACUCGGGCUGUACAGGGGAUGGAGGUACAACCACUUGCACGUUGCACCGCUGCACUCCGUGCUCCUGGUACUCCCGUCCCGCGUAAAGAGGCGGUGACUGGUACCUAAACCACCUCAAGGUAUCCCACAAAAUAGCAGGAAAGCCCUCGAAGUGAAGGCAUGUGGAGUGGGAAGUGCCAUCAGCGCCACGAAACACAUGUCCGGGAGCAGCCAUCUAGAACCAAGAACUGAAACAAGCGUGAGAUAGAAACCCCAAGGAGAACAGAUCGGGCAGGGAAAAGCACUUGGAUGUCUAACCAUAUCGCAAACUGAGAAGGUAGCUAGAAAUCCUUAAAGCGAAGAAGAGCCUUAAACCAGGGCAAGGUUGUUUUAGGGAGGUGGUUUUACAGAUUUUGCUCAUGACUCAUGCACGACCUACCUCGUCCUCUCAACCAAAAUAACUGCCAAAAGCUUUGGUCUUGCGCUGUUAGUGCCGGUGGCAAGGCAACAAGUACGUCGCUCCCUAUAGUAGCUAGUCGAUUUCUAGCAUCGUUCCCUAAGCGAACGCGGUUAGUGUACCCGCAGAAAAGACAACCACAUGAACCUUUCAUGCCAGCACUCAUGAAAGCGUCCCCAAGCAUUACCGUUCACUAUAAAAAUAGUACCCAUGCGUUUAACGCUGCAUGGACAGCACAACAACCGUGGAAAUAGGUCCCCUUUGAAUAGAACCAUAUAACCCUUUGCAUGCUCGCGAUACGGAAUCUAUGCACGUAUAAUAGACGUGGGCGAACAACCGUGAUGAUAGGCUUGUUGGAAUCAAACCAUACCACCCUUCACAUGAGUUAACAUGCGGAACCUGCGCACGUAUGAUAAACAUGAGCGAAACAACCGCGAUGAUAGGGUCCCUUGAAUAGAACUCCCUAUCAACCCUCGCAUACUCGCGAUGCAGAACUCGACACACGUAUGAUACACGUGGCGAAGUGCUGGAGGUUAGCAAAAUAACCAAUAAGUAAUAUCCACCUAAAAUAACCCCAAAAUCCCCUAGGGCCUCUCGUACUAAGGUCAUACUUAACGAUCAUACGAGAUUUUUCAACACCUUUCUUGCAAAUUUUAUUAAAAAAGGAAGUGUUUUAGGACCUAUUGUGUUCUCUGUCCUGCUAAACUAGCUUUGGUACCAGCUGUGGCGGAGCACCUCGGAUUAAGUUAAGUCGCCAAACACGCGAAUCACAUGCUUUAAUCAAGUUAAUUCGAUGAUCCGUCGGAUUUCAUACGAUACAACCACUUAGAUAGGACCGAGUUAGCAUAGUUCACAUGAAGGUGAGUGGUUUCAGAGAAUACAACAGAUCAAAUAAAUAGUUCAACGAUUUAUUACACACUGGUUCGAAAAGCAGAGUUUUACAAGAUUCAAAAGCAGCGGAAAGAUAAAAUAGCGGAAGCUAGCGCCGGGGUCGGAUGUCCCUGAUGAGGCCGAUAAGGACAUCAAUGAUCCCUCUCCUCACCGUCCGAGGAGGGAUCCCACUCGACCGUCCACCCAGGAGGAAGUGGGGCGGCCAAGUGCCAACAGCAGCACACUCAGAAGCUUCAACUUCACCUGAAAAGAGAUGCCACAACAAGGCUGAGCUUCUAAGCUCAACAAGACUUAACCGACCGGUUGGAAAAACUACUCCACCACUCCUAGACAUGCAAGGCUCUUUGGCUGAGGGGUUUGUUUUGCCAAAAGCGACUGCAGUAGGUCCUUACUUUCAAUAUUUUAGCUUAGAUUCUAAGUUCAUUAACCAGUCUACAUUGGCAACUUAUGCGAAACAAACAUAUAUAGAAUGAGCAUCGAGUUCAUAUCAUCCUCAUGUUCCAUCUUUACUCAGUGUAGCGUAGCGAUCAAGCAGUCUUAAACUGUGAGAGGCAGACGAAUCGAUUUGAGUUUCUUAACCAUGCAUGGCGAACCUAAUCUCACGACAUCCGCGCACCACAAAGGGUCGCUUCCUGUGUCGGCCAUCCUCAUCAAUUCCCAGGCAUGUGUUAGGUCCAAACUUCCCUUGGCAUGCAAUACUCCACAGUCCCGACCUCUUGUCGUACUAUGGCCGCACUUGCACCCACAUGAUGCACCAUGGGAACCUCGUUCCAGGGACAGCAGGGGUAUAAGCCACGCCCUAGUUCAAUCAGGUACUAGGCUUCCCCAUCCCAUACUAGGUAUGAGAUUAGUACUUUCAAACACUGGAUCAUGAAUGCCACCACUGUCAGACCUUAAACAGAUUCAAGUAGAUAGACGAGGCGAUCCACCAACCACCAAAAAAGUUCACCAGGCCCUGCCCCAUCCACAGUCCUUAUAGUUGUAACCGGAAGGAUAACAACCAACUCCUAUAACUCGCGAGUGAUAGGAAAUCACUUGACUUUUACCGAGUCCUAUUAAGUAUUGCAACUACUUGGACUUAUCAGACUAGUGUUCAGAUCAAGGGAAUUAAGUUAUGCAUCUAUGGUAUCAAACAACUCCUAUAACGUAAAUGCACAUACAUACGAAAGAAGGCAUGUGCAAUUUUAGAAAGUUGGGGUUAUGCUCCAGGGCUUGCCUUCGAACGGAGCGGAGGCAAACUGGUCUUCUGCGGGUUUUGCUUCAGCUUCUGCGGUCGGCGGCUCAGCUACUACUCCGUCUUUUGGCACCGGAUGCAGCUCGUAUGUGCCGUCGACGAGAUUUAGUUCUACACGGAAAUGCAAAUGCAGGGGUUAAACAUUUAGUUGGUUAUUUCAACAACACUUGCACGCUUUAGCUCAGAAACUUGUAGCAAAGCUACAGGAAAGGUGUGGAAGUCCAAGCUUCAGUUGAUGGAGAACAGAUGAAAGGGUCGGGUUGGGAGAAACUUAUGAUCUGACUCUCAGAACUAAGGAAUAACUAUACCGGGGUCCUCAGACUUAACACAGAGAAGUCCCCAAAAUUUUACACAAAUACCCUCGGGUCAAAGAAAAAGAUACAGCCGAGCCCUCGGGCAAAGCGGACAAGGGUCCGCGAAACAGACAGGGUCGGGCGAAACGAAAAAAGGGAUCGGGCAAACCGGAAAGGGGUCAACAGCUUACCUUUAGGCCUACUGGUGAAGUCUUGGGGUCGGGAAGGAACAGACUUAGGCGGAAGUACUCUAGGCACUAAGGCUUGGGCGGCGGCGGGGUUCGGCAGUGCUCCAGCGGCGGUAGUGCUUCUUGUGGACAACAAGCAAGCUCUAUCACCGAGCGGAGGAACAGGCGGCUGGUGGGUUGGGAAAAGCGGGUUUGAGCGAAGAGGGGAAGUUCCUUAAGAGCUUAAGCGGCAGCGCUCAAAUGCGAGCAGAGUAAGGUGCGGCGAGGCAGCAAUGGCGAAGGAAACUCCGGUAGAGGCUCUGGUACUCCCUUUUAUAGUUGCGCGAAAGAGAGAGAGAGAGAGUCCGAGCAGCGCGAAGUUCAGGUCAAAAAGGAUGGAGUGCUCUGCCGUGGCGGCGAUUGGGCAGCGCCUCCAUUGACCGGCGAAGCGGAGCUUCGGGGACAGGGUCUUUGGUCAUUAGGCACUGGAGACAAAGCCGACUCAGGCGCGGUUUUGUCGGGAUGAAGGGUUGGCAAGGGCGAGCACGGUCUAGUCGCGUCAAGCGGCAGAUUGGGUGCGACGACUCGACUAGCGUGUGAUAGGAAGGAACGAAAGGCACUACAAGGGAGGUCGCAGCAGGCGAGGUGACAGGGCGAGCGGCGACGCUAGCAAACGCAGAUCAGCGGCUUUGCCGGGGCAUGUUACUAGCGAGGCGGAAAAAGGAGUUGUCUCUGCCAGAGCCGUGGUUAGUGAGGGCGGUAUCGUCGUGGAGCGUGUGCGUGGGCAGUGCGACUGUGGGGGAGACGAAAAAGCCGGAAGGCAUCGGGGCGCGCGGCUGGGGAUUCGGGCGAGAUGAUGGGUGUGGGAGGCGAGGCGGUCUGGCGCGGCAGCGGCCAAUCCUCUAUCGCAGCGGCGACAGGGCGCCUUGGCAUGGCCGGCGAGGGUGCAAGCGAGAUGAGGCGAGGCAGAAAGGGCUGCAGGGGCUUCCGUGCGCGAUUGGGAAGGAGGCGCGCUAAUCUAUCUUGUCGUGGCCGGCGAUUGGGUGAGGCAGCGCUUGUCGGGGAGGUUGAGCCACGUGGCGGAGAGGCUCUAAAGCUGGGUGCACGCGGGCUCUGGCGCGUUUGACUCAAGAGAUCCGUGGGAUCUGGUUUUGGGUCCACCAUUUAGUCUCUAGCUCUCCCACAACUCCAACUUUUGGAGGAACACUGGUUUCAAGACUUAGAGAAGAGCUACCGUUUGCUGGGUGGGUGCGAUUUUGCUGGGUUUUCAGGGGUCGUGCUGAUGGAGACUGGAGAUUUGGGAUUUGCCUGGAGAUUAACUCGGCUGAUUAAACCAAAGUCGUUACAGCAGGUCUGAUCAGCACGAUCGACCAGGGAGCAGAGUCAGCGCACAAGAUCGACUACAAGAGAUGGCCGAUGCUCGGGUGUCAGAUGAAAAUCCCCUGGGAUGGGAGCCAGACUGGGAGCGCGCCAGACCGUCGGCCAAAUCGGUGAACCCCAGGUGGUGCCCUGACGGAUUGACCAAAUCCCAAAAACGAAGAAUCCAACGCCUGCGCCAAUGCGAACAACAGGAAGAAGAGUAGAAGUAGAUGGUGGAUAAGAAGGAUGACAGGUCUCGAGUCUGGCGCCCCAAAAGAAACAACAAUGAGGAAGAUGGCAACCAGAAAUCGGCAACUGACGUCAGCAUGGUGUUCAUCUUGCCGAUGGAGUUCAUGGCUCCCGCUGAUUGGAAUGACACGACGAAGAUGGAGGAACAGAUGGCAGAAUUGGCUUUGGAGCCAAUGACAGCUACUUUUGAGAAACCAGAAGAUGAAAAACGACAACACCUUAAGGCACUGUUCCUCAAAGGGCACGUCAACGGUCGGCCCGUCACCAGGCUACUAGUAGAUGGAGGCGCUUCAGUCAACAUCAUGCCGUACGCCAUGUUCCGAAAGCUGGGUAUAAGCGAUGAGGAUCUAACCAAGACGGACAUGAUGCUCAAGGACUUCGAAGGCAACGUAUCCCCCACCCACGGAGCGCUUUGCGUUGACCUCACCAUCGGCAGUAAGACCUUUCCCACUACCUUCUUUAUUAUUAAUGGCAAAGGGUCCUACAAUAUGUUGCUCGGUCGCGAUUGGAUACACGCAAAUUGCUUUGUCCCAUCUACAAUGCAUCAAUGCCUCGUGCAGUGGGUCGGCGACAACAUCGAGAUAGUCACCGCCGAUUCCGCCUACAGUUUUGCUGCGGCCGAUACGCAACAGUGGAGCUGCGAACACGUCAAGUGCAUAUCUGGAAGAACUUGGGACACCAAUUUCCUGAAAGUGUCCAAUUUUGGCCUACAGCCGAUCCGAGCAGUCGGCUCUGAAGAUUCAGAUUAGAUGGAUCAAGUCGUCCGAGAAGAUGGGAAGCUGGGGCACGGGUUUACGUUGGGCCGAUCAUUAGAGAUGAUAGAUCUAGGUGAUGGCACCAAACCGAGGCCAACGUACAUUAGUGCUAACUUGGAUCCAGAAUACAAGUGUAAAUUGACAAAUUUAUUGAAAGAAUUUAAAGAUUGUUUUCCUUGGGAAUAUCAUGAGAUGCCUGGUUUAGACCGGUCCAUUGUUGAAGACCCGUUGCCUAUAAAGCUGGGAUAUCGGCCAUAUCAGCAGCCCGCGCGACGAUGCAAUCUUAAAAUUCUACCUGAAAUAAAGGCCGAAAUUACAAGACUAUGUGAGGCAAAAUUUAUUCGGCAAUGCCGUUAUGCCGAGUGGAUCUCUAACAUUAUACCCGUAUACAAGAAAAAUGGAAAACUGCGCGUAUGCAUUGAUUUCAGGAACCUUAAUCAGGCCACGCCGAUGGAUGGAUAUCCGAUGCCGAUAGCAGAUGUGUUGAUAGAUGCCGCCGCAGGAUGUAAAGUCAUCAGUUUCAUGGACGGAAAUGCCGGGUACAAUCAAAUAUUAAUGGCCGAAGAAGACAUCUCAAAAAUGGCCUUCAGGUGUCCGGGCCACCUCGGUUUAUUCGAGUGGGUAGUAAUGACCUUUGGAUUAAAGAAUGACGGCGCUACAUAUCAACGGGCUAUGAAUUACAUCUUCCACAAGCUCAUCGGCGUCCUGGUGGAAAUCUACAUCGACGUCGUCGUGGUCAAAUCAAAAGGGCAUCAAGAACAUCUGGCCGAUCUGCGAGAAGUAUUGGAAUGCACGAGGAAACAUGGGUUGAAAAUGAACCCAAACAAGUGUGCAUUUGGCAUAUCGGCCGGGCAGUUCCUAGGAUUCAUGGUCCACGAGCGCGGGAUAGAAGUCAACCGGAAGAUCAUAGCGGCCAUCAACAAGGUUGUAGCCCCACAGAACAAAACUGAGUUGCAAUCUCUAAUCGGCAAAGUUAACUUUAUCAAAAGAUUCAUAUCCAACUUGUCUUGGCGUAUUCAAGCCUUCACGCCGUUAUUGAAGUUAAAGCCCAACCAGGAAUUUGUGUGGAGAGAGGAACAGCAGAAAGCAUUGGAAGACAUCAAGCAAUACCUGAUCUCGCCACCUGUAUUAGUCCCACCACAAGUUGACAAGCCAUUCAGACUAUACUUAUCGGCCGACGAAUGGGCUAUUAGAUCGGCGCUGGUACAGGAGUUCGAAGGGAAGGAAUGGGUGAUAUAUUAUGUUAGCAGAAGACUUCUGGAUGCCGAGGCAAGAUACUCACCGCCAGAGCAGCUGUGCCUAUGUCUUUAUUUCUCAUGUACCAAGCUUAGGCACUACCUUUUGUCGGCAGAAUGCAUAGUCGUAUGCAAAGACGACAUGGUAAAGUACAUGCUAUCAUUGCCAAUUUUGAAAGGACGAAUCGAAAAACGGAUCCUGGCUCUGUCAGAGUUUGACCUAAGGUAUGAAUCGGCCAAAGCUGUCAAGGGUCAAGUCAUGGCCGAUUUCGUGGCCCAACACUGCGGACCAAAAAUCGCUGUCGUGGAGCUGGCUCCAUGGACUCUAUACUUUGAUGGUUUGUCAUGUGGCGCCAGAUCAGGAAUCGGCAUCGUCCUCAUAUCGCCUCGGGGGGCAAGCUAUGAUUUCUCUCUGCCGAUAGAAGCUUCCGCGACCAAUAAUCAGGUGGAAUACUGAGCUGUCCUAAAAGGCAUUCAAUUAUUGAGGGAGAUCAAAGCCGAUGCUGUGGAGAUUUUUGGGGAUUCCAUGCUCAUCAUAGACCAGCUAACAGGAAGAUAAGAAUGUAAAGAUGACGUCCUGUGGAUUUACUAUGAAGAUUGCCUCCAACUUUUAAAUGAGUUUAAGACUGCAGUUAUUGAGCAUAUUCCUAGAGAUUAUAACGAAGAGGCCAAUAGGAUCACACAACACGCGUCCGGGUAUCGGCCGAUUCAGGGCACCCUGACUCUAGAACUCGCAGCCGAUGAUUGGCGAAAGGAGAUCGCUGAUUACUUAAGGGACCCGUCUAAGAAAGUGGAUCGGCGAAUACGUUUUCAAGCCACAAAGUACGUGCUACUCGAUGAUAAUUUGUUUUAUCAGAUGAUUGCUGGAGUUCUGCUCAAAUGCCUAGGGACGGAAGAGGCACAGAUCCUGAUGGGAGAAAUCCACGAAGGGGUGUGCGGAGCCCACCAAUCGGCCCAUAAAAUGAAGUGGAUGAUUAGGAAUAAUGGAUAUUAUUGGCUGAUGAUACUCGAAGACUGCUUCAAAUAUUAUAAAGGUUGUCAAGACUGUCAGAAGUUUCGCAACGUGCAACGUGCACCAGCAUCGACUAUGAAUCCGAUAAUCAAGCCAUGGCCGUUCAGGGGUUGGGGAAUAGACCUCAUCGGACAAAUUUAUCCUCCUUCAAGUAAGGGGCACAAGUUCAUAUUGGUAGCCACUGACUACUUUACCAAAUGGGUGGGGCAAUCCCACUAAAGGCCAUGACAUCGGCCGCUAUGGUCGAUUUUGUAAGAGACCACAUUGUUUAUCAUUUUGGGAUUCUCAAACCAUCACAACCGACCAAGGGACGAUGUUCACUUCGGAAGAGUUCGAGGAAUUCACUGCCGAUAUGGGGAUCAAGUUGCUAAAUUCUUCCCCAUAUUAUGCUCAAGCUAACGGCCAAGCUGAAUCGUCCAAUAAAGGGAUAAUUAAGUUAAUCAAAAGGAAGAUCGAAGAACAACCUAAGAAGUGGCACUUGUGUUUGACCGAGGCUUUAUGGGCUUACAGGAUGGCCUACCACGGGGCUACUAAGAUAUCCCCUUAUCAAUUGGUGUAUGGUUAUGAAGUAGUGUUGCCUUGGGAAUUAAGAACAGGGUCAAGACGUACAUCGCUUCAAGAUCAGUUGACGACCGAUGACUAUUUCUCGCUCAUGAAAGGAGAACUCGACGAUUUGGCAGGUCAAAGAUUGAGGGCUUUGAUCAGCAUCAAGGAGAAUAAAAAGAGAGUGGCCAGGUGGUACGACAAGAAGGUCAAAGUCAAGCAAUUCUCCCAAGGAGAUUUGGUAUGGAAGUUGGUGCUGCCAAUAGGGUCUAAAGAUCCCAAAUUCGGUAAAUGGUCGCCCACUUGGGAAGGGCUGUAUAAAAUCAGCAGAUGCGCUCCAGGAAACGCGUAUAUACUAGAGAUGAUCGAAGGAAAGAAUUCACAAGAGCCUUGAAUGGGAGGUACCUGAAAAGAUACUAUCCCAGUAUAUGGGUCGAUGCAUAAGUAGUUACGGAGUAUAUCAAGAUGAUGUAGCUAGCUCCUAGUAGAUCUUGUAGCUGGUGCAAGAACAACAUCGCCUCAAGAACAAUACAUUCGUUCAAGUUGUCCAAUUUAUUAUUCAGUGCGAACGAUAGGGUACAUGGCUAACACGGUACAAGUCACCCUUAGAACAAAAAGUACCAACACGCCUACUGACCAUGCUUUUUCUUAAUUUCCCUCUCUACCCGAUCUAGUUCUAUCAAGAGAUGGAUGCUUCUCUCCUCCACAUCCUUCAUCGCGGCUUCAGCCUGAACUUGACGGGGAAGAGGAUGGCUCCGGUCAAGCAGUGGUUGAGAUGUUCCCGCUGCAGCGUCUUCAAGGGCAACUGGGCGAGGGAGCGGAUGACUCCUUUCUAUUGGCGGCCGCCUAGAGCAGUUGGUGUCGAUGUGAUCCCAGAUCCGCUUGACUUCUGUAGGAACAUUAUCCCUGAGUUCUUCACGGUGAGCUCUAAUCAAAUCCUUGUCCUCCUACGACAAUGGUUCAUCGGAGUGCAUGAUCUCGAUUGCCCGUUCCAGUUCGGGACUAAGGCGUCUCGGCUAAAAAACAAAAGGCCGCUCGACGUCAGAGUAAUCAUAAUAUCGAACCAUGGAACGCAGGGCGAAGUAAGAUCUCGUACCUGGUUUACAGAGGAGGAGGAAUAGGAAGAGGAUGAAGAAGACAUCUUGGUGAUAGUCCGGUGGUAUGAACUACCAGAGGAGAAGAAGAUGAGCGAGGUGAGUACCCUUGGAAACAAUACGGGGUCUUGUACUUAUAGAAAGAAAAGGAGCGAGAGUUUGGUAAGACGCGUCCCAUCAGAGUAAAAGGGGUAAUAAAUGAAAGGCCACCACGAAGGACGGGUCAGGAUUGGAUUCGCACAUCAAACGGUCAAAGUGACAUUAAUGUCUUUAUAGAGCGGCCAGCACUUUUACGGUUCAUCCAAGGAGGGCAUUAAUGGCCGCAAUCGCUCAUUGCCUAACUUGAUCGGCCGAGUCUAAAACUCACUGGUCGUCAUCCGCCGAUCCUGGAACUUCUAGCAUAUGGCAAUGAAGUCUGAUUGCCUCGUGGACCAGGUGUUGUCUCUCUUGCUUCAGAUUGGCGAUGACAGUGGGAAGGUCUUGGAGUCUCUUCUCUUCAAUAGCUAUGUCUUUGGUCAUCUGCUCCAUCUCCUUGGCGAGCUCUGCCCUUCGGCGCUUGAGGUGAUCUAUAGCACCCACAAUACCUAGGCAGGAAUUUUCAAGGAAGUGGAUCUGGUGAUGUACCUCUUAGGCUUGGUGCUUGUAAGAGUCUUCCUCCUCACGAGCUUUAGCCAGAUUAGCAUGAUCGGCCAUGUGGUGCAAGGCCUUGAAUACGGGGAUCCGCAUUGAUUCAAUGUAUGCGGUGGGCACCAGAGCUUCUUCCGCCUCUUCUAGGACUCGGCCGCUGAUAUCACUGAAGAGCUGCCGAAUCGGCGAGGCGUCCUCCACCAAUCGGCCGAUGUCUUCUUGGAGGAGGGUCCGUAUACUCUCAAGUUUGGUGCCGACAUCAUCAUGGAUUGAGAUCAAGGUAACUUGACGUGAAGUGACCUCCUCAUCAUCAGAAAGCGCGAACGGAAAGGAGAAGAGACUGUUGUUAGGGGUAUCUUGUUCCUGCAAAAGAAUAUAAAAAAUGAAUUAGCCGACGGUAAUGGGAAAUUGGCCGAUUUGGGUGACAAGUCUCUUACCUCCUUGAAGCGGAUUUCUUCUGUUUGCAUCAACGGGAGCGCUGCCCUUGGUUCGGGAACUGGUGCGACUGGCUCAUCAGAGGAGGAGGAUUCGACGAUUAUUGGUGUCCUGCUUGGAUCGGCCUCCUGGAAAGGUACAAGGAGCAAGUUCUUAUGAGUAUGAUACAAAUGUUUAGAUCUGAUGACUCGGUGUGAUUGUCGUACCUCCAUGGUUUCCCUGGCCGAUGGCUGUUGAGAAGGCACAAUUGACGUACCAAGGGUGGCCUGCAUCAGAAUCGGUCAAGUUUUUGGUUAAGUAUUAAAAAAUUGAAUGAAGGGAUUCUUUACCUCAGUGGGAGGAGUUACUGGUGCUCCGAUUUCUGUUUGGGGCGUUGCCGAUUGCUGCAGAGGCACCGGGGCGUCUUGUGCGGCCUGAUAUAAAAGAGAAGUCAGUAUCGGGAGAAUGCUCAAGAGGAUGUGAACAUGAGGUUACCUGAAUGGCUUCCAGUAGCAGUGAUGCAGCGGUCGCUCCAGCUUCCGUACCAGCUUGGGGAUCAACUUCCUCGAUGAUCGAGAGAAUCGGCGCAGCCAAAGAUUCCGUUGAUGCCGCCGCAGACUAAUCGGCCGAUUCCGUGCGGGCGCGCACUUGGCGGCUUGUCUUAUUUACGGCUUUCUUCGACGUCUGUUUCAAUCGGCCAGUGGUGAUGUCAUCAAUGGUCGGGGCGUGAUGGCUGAUGAGUGGGAAUUCCGUGUACGGGUAGCGGUUUUCUAUCGGCCGGCCACUCUAGCUGCGUUUUGGAGGAAUUUGACUCCCGGACUAUAAAAGAAAGCAAGAAUUAGCAACAAGUUUGUAGCAUAAGAGGGAAAAUAACAUCAGAAUCGGCUCAAGGAAAAGCAGUACCUCUGCACUCGGGUCGAUGUUCUCAGGAUCUAGGUCAUUGCAAUAUGUCGCGGGAGAUGCACAAAAUAGAUGUUGCUUCCAUUCUGCCCACCAUAAUUUGAAUGGUUGGACAGCAAAAGGAGCUACUAUCCAGAUGUCCAGAUCGAUGGUGCUGGAAUCAGGCACUCGGUCGCACAGCCGGCUGUAGUCAAGGCCCUUGCUGAGCCCGUCUCGGAAUUGCAUGUGACCGGCGAAAUAGACUCGAAUCGGUAGCUAACCUAGGCCGAACUGCCAUGCCACAACUGAUGGGUUAUAAAAUUCAUAAGUAGGGGCAUCCUUCCCUGAGAAAAAGUUCGCCAGUAAGAUCCCCGGUUUAAUCAAGAUGUCCAUAAGGUCAUUCUCAAAGUUGUUGGUCAUCGAAUCAUAACAGAAAGGGAGCUCAAACAGUGGCUCUACCCUCUGAUAUGGGUACCAGCUGGUGGUUUCUUCACUGAAGCCGUUGUAAAAGCAUCGGAAAUAUUCGACUACUUUGGUGGCAGUGAGCUGGCAACCGGGGAAGACUGAUGCUGCCUCGCCGAAAGAAGUGCAUCGGCGCCGUACAGUGGGGUUUUCUUCCGAUUCAAUGUUGGGGAAGGUCAUGUGCUCCACCCGAUGCUAAGAGAUCUUGCUCAUAUACAAGUUGAGCCAAAGAUUGAUGAACCACCAGGGGCCACCUGGGUUUCCAAUUGGCUCUCCCAUGGAUAAAUUGACGCCGAUUUGAUGCAGCAUGUGAUAGGCCGAUCCCAGCAGAUGUUUCCCAAGGGGGACAGAGGCUCCUCUCGAUAAUGCUUUGGCCAAAGCCUGUGUGUUGGAAGAUGGACCGACUGCCCUGCCACAGAAAAGAUGUUUCUCCACCCGCCGAUUGCUUUUGUCUCCAGCCGAUAGGUCGGCUUGACCAGAUAAUGGAAGGGGGUGUCGGGAGAAGAAAUGUCAAGACCGGUCAACAUUACCACAUCGGCCAGAGUGGGGGUCAUGGGCCCAUGGCCGAAGAGGAAAGCAUUGAGGGCGUCGGACUAGAAGUAGGAGGCUGCCAUAACCAAGGGCUCAUUUCUCUCCACCUGAGACAGAGAAAGAUUGAUACACUGGCCGAUUUUUCGUUCGUCAGUCGGCUAUCCUUUGGUACCACUCUUUCCAACCCGGGGUUUCAUUCAGCCAAGAUCUAAAGGUGCCUGACCAUUGAUCCAAUUCCAUUGGGGAUUAUUUAAAUGGUAUUCUGUGAGUUUCUAAGUUUAUCAGAUCGAUUGGGUCUUGACUUCCCAUAGGGCCUAAGCAAAUGAGACCGGGAGCUUCGGAAAGGCGAAUGGUGAUUUGGUGCCUAACCGCCUAAAAAGGUACUAAGGGAAGAACUAAGAAUGUAUCUAAAAGCCAAUGCCUGGGCGGUAAAGGGUAAAAAGAAAAGUUCCGGGUAAAUACCUCCGGGAUGAAGGUCAUCGUCGCUGACGGGGCUGCUGGUAGAGCUGCCACCGCUGAAGCCGGUGGUGGGACCUCGGUCGCCGAUGGAGCUGCUGCCGCCGCCGUUGGAGCUGCCUCCGGAGUUUCUGUUGCUGGAGGGGUUGCCGAUGGUGUCGCCAUUGGGAAGAUGAGGCGAAAUGCAGAUGAACUAGGGGGUCGCCGGAGGGUUUGCUUGGAAGUCAAGAGGGCGCCGGAAGAAGAUGGAAACUAGUGCGCCAAAGAAAGGAAGUUAUUGGCUUGUGAAGAAGAAGUGCGGGACGUGCCAGUAUUUAAGGACGGUCCGAGAAGGGGUAAAGUCGGGAUUUUUACCGCGCCGUCUACACAAAUUUUGGGGGAGUGGUUGUCCUAGGCGCCCAUUUCGAAACGAUUGCAAUCAUCAGGUAGGAGACCGCGAAAUGGAACGAUAUUUUUAAUGCGUUUGUUUCGAAGGAGAAGUUGAAAUGGAAUUUCAAAGUAAAAGCUAUGUUUUACUCCGAAACUGGGGGGCAUGUGUUGACGCCAGAUUUUGACAUGUAUGGAAUCGGCGUCGAGAAAGGAGAAGAUUGGCUCAUGCGGUAGAUUGGAAGAUCACGAUUGGCGCUACAGUGUUUUGGCAGAAGGAGUUGAUGGAGAUCGGCCGAUUGAAAGGCUGGAGCGAUUGGGCCAAUAUGGGCUUAAAAUGGGUCAGAGAAAGAAGAUGGAGGAAGAUUGGCCCAUGGGAAUACAAUAACCAACUCCGAUACAAGUUCUACUUGUAAAUAUUUGUUUUCGUUUAAAUUAAGAGAUAGAUCCUAGUCGGUUAAAUAGCCAUCUUUAGGGAUUUGUAAAAAACACAUCAAUCAAUACAACAAUCUACUAUUUCUUCAUACUUUAAUUUCAAGUCGGCAACUUCGCCAAUACUUUUUCUUCUUUCACGAGUUCUUACGGGUUGGCGGGGCUGCAUAGACACGAUCUCUGGCCGAUUCUGUAAGUUUCACUUAUCGAGUAAUAUCUAAGCUUUAACUUCGGGUGCAUCGCUGUCGUUUCGUUUAGAUUUAUUCACCAGUUAUCGAUAUUUACUAGAAUUAUAGGUUUCAUCUGUUGUUCUAGUUUUAUCACCAGUUAUCCAGCUUGAGAUCUGAACUGUCGGCUUUAUUAUUCGUUAUUUGUUAUUUUCAUAUAGCCGAUUAGAUCUAUUUCAAGUGUUGCUUCUGUAGCGUUAUCUAGUUUACUCUAGUAGUUUUCUUUAUAAUCGCUACGUGGUUGUCGGCUGUAUCAUAGCCGAUUAUCUUUUUAUAGCAAAUUGGCCGAUUCGCUGAUAUGCUUUCUCGAGAUCGGAACCUUAGCCAAUCGAAACCUUUGACACGUUUUCUUCCUUGCCAAUCAACAGAUCAAAUUGGCUGGCACGCUGCGCGAACCGCACCAGGGUGAUCACCUGAACAGGUUCUAAGCAGAUUCGCCCGAGUCGUGUGUCCGACGCUGAGAGUCAAUCGGCUGACUUUUAGCAUCAACAAUAAGGAGGUCGUUAAUAUUUCCCCCCAACAGGGGGUAGUAGGGUGGCGGCUUUAGUCCCGAUUGUAAAGACCAACCAGGACUAAAGUCCCUUUUAGUCCCAGUUGUAACGGCUAUAAAAAUCGCACCGACGCCCCCCUUGUCCCGGUUGGAAAUUCCAACCCAGACAAAAGACCCCCCUUUUGUCCCAGUUGGUAAUUCCAACCGGAAUAAAAGGAGGGUCUUUUGUCCCGGUUGGAAAAAUCACCAACCGAGACAAAGGAGGGGAUAUUUUGUCCCAGUUGGAAUUUCCAACAGGGACAAAAUCUCCUCCCCUAUAAAUCCAACCAGCCUAAAACUCUUCUUCCUCCCCUAACUAGAGCCACUCCACCAGAGACCGAGAGCUUCAUCCUCCUCUCCAUGGCGAGCAAGCAACCUUAGGGGAGGUGCUACCCGAAUUUUUUCCCUCAUUUUCAUGGGGAUUUCACUCAUCCAAAGUGUUGUGAAGGUUAGCUACUUCAUCCUUCCUUCAUUUAUUGUUAUUAUGCUUUAUUUUAUGCUUUCUAGAGGGAGAAAAAUAAGUUUUCUAGAAUGAAGGAGAAUGGAGAGCAUUUUUAUUUAUACAUAUUUUUGAGCUAGAAUUUGAUGGAUAGCUUGUUAUAUAUGAUUCAUAUUAGUUAAAAGAACUUGAUCAAUAUAAGGUAUGUGAGGAAACAUAAAGUAAAUGUAUUUUUAAUAUUUAGUCAUUGCAAUAAAAUUAAGGUAAAUAAAUUUUAGGUGUAAGAAAUAGAAUUUGGUCAUUGCUACAAUUUUUCAUGUCACUGUAAUUUAACAAUAAUUGCAUUUAUUUGACCAAUAAUUUAUUUAUCUCAUAUUUAUUGCAAUAAUUAAAUAUUAUAAACACACUUACUCUAUUUUUUCCCCUACCUAAUAUUAAUCAAGUUGUUAGUGCAAUACGAAGCCCUAUGUUCAUUUUUCACGUAAUACGAUGCAGAUGGACUGGCAAUGGAUGUACCACCACCGUUUCUCCAAUCCCAGAGAAUAGUGUUUGCACAUGGCAUGGAUGUGCUUACACUAUUCUCUACACAUAACUCAAUCUUCUACGAAGUCUAUGGAGAGUUACCUCCGCUCCUCCAGUACCAAAAAAUAACUGUAGAACAGAAGAGCUUUGAAUCCACAAACUCGGGCUGAAUAUCAUAAAAUAAUCUUGAAAUAGUAUUCCAAACGCCUUUCAGAGCUUAAUUCUCAUAAUAGAAGUCCAAUAUCCUGUUCAGGAAGAGAUUUGUUCACUGACCUUGAUCCAUGGCUUUUAGUUGGUUUUGCCUUGCCAAAAUAAGCCAUGCUCAGUGAAUAUAUCUUUUGCCUGGACAGGCUAUUGUGUGCCACCAUACUUCUAUUAUGAGAAUAUAGCACUUGCUCCAAAAGAUGUUUGGACAAUGAUUUCAAGAUUCCUUUAUGAUAUUCAGCCCGAGUAUAUGGAUUCGAAGAUCUUCUAUUGUACCAUUAUUUUCUGGUACUGGAUAUGUGGAGGUGACUCUCGAUAGACUUCUUAGAAGAUUGAGUUAUGUGCACAGAUGUCUUGGAGGCCAAACAUUCUACUAUAUUGUACCAUUCUUUUAGGAUAAUUGACUACAUGAACUAAAGUACGGAGCGUCUGUAAUCUUUAAUGUAUAUGUAUCUUUAUUAUCUUGUUAUGAGUGUAAUCUUUAUAUAUAUCUUUAGUGAAUGUUAUGAAUAUUGAUUGGUGUAAUUUUCAUGUGAAUUGUUUUUAUCGUUGAUUGGCGUAAAUUAUGAAUAUUGAUCAAUUUCUUUAUCUAAUACGAAGACCAAUGUCCAUUUCUCAUGUAAUAAUUUAUUCAUCUAAUGUUGUUUGCAAGGACUAAAUAUUAUAAUCACAUUAGCUCUAUUUCCCCCCACAUAAUAUUGAGCAAGUUAUUUAUCUAAUACAAAGAUCUAUGUCCAUUUCUUACGUAAUACGAUGCAGAUGGACGGGCAAUGGAUGUAUAACAUGGAAAGAUGGACCAAGGAAUUUGUUGAUGGCUUGCAUUAUUUUUUCGAAGUGGCCAAAGCCAACAAGCCAGAGAACGGAUUCAUAUAUUGUCCAUGCUUCCACUGCAGUAACAAGAAGGACUACUCUUCCUGGGGACUGUUCACGACAACUUAUUUAGAUAUGGUUUCAUGCCUAACUACUUGGUUUGGACCAAGCACGAUAAAAAUGGGUUAUAAUGGAAGAUGAUGAAGAAGAGGAGGAUGAUAACAAUAUUCUAGAGUGGGCUGUAGGCCAAACUUUUACAGAUACUACAAUGGGUGAGGCUGAUGAAGAUGAGUUUGCAGAAGAUGACCCUACUGAUGAUCUUGGUCAGGUGCUACGGGAUGCACAGAGAGAUUGCAAAACUAAGAAGGAAUCAAAAAAGUUGUAGCGCAUGAUACAUGAUCACAAAAAAAUUGUUGUACCCAGAUUGCAAGCAAGGGCAUAAAAAAACUAGGUACCACACUAGAACUGCUACAAUGGAAGGUAAAAAAUGAUGUGUCCGAUAAGGCAUUUGAGGGAAUAUUGAAAAUUGUAAAGAAUAUUUUUCUUGAGAAUAAUGAAUUGUCGUCCACAACAUAUGAAGCUAAAUAGAUUGUUUUCCCUCUAGGAUUGGAGGUUCAAAAGAUACAUGCAUGCCCUAAUGAUUGUAUCCUCUAUUGUGGUGAUAACUAUGAGAAAUUGGAUGCUUGUCAUGUGUGCGAAUCGCUGCGGUAUAAGAUCAGGCGAAAUGAUCCUGAUGAUUUCGAGGGGCAGCCUCCCAAGAAGAGAGUUCCCGCGAAGGUGAUGUGGUAUUUCCCUAUAAUACCACAUUUGAAGCAUUGAUUCAGAAACAAGGCGAAUGCUAAGUUGAUGCGAUAGCACAAAGAAGAACGUAAGCAAGAUGAGAUGCUGAGGCACCCCGUGGAUGGGUCCCACUGGAGAUCAAUUAAUAGAGCAUUCCCGAGCUUCGAAAGUGAUGCAAGGAACAUAAGGUUUUUUUUAAGUACUAACGGAUUCAAUCCAUUUCGUGAGUUGAGUAGUGGUCAUAGUACUUGGCCUGUGACCCUAUGUAUGUUCAACCUUCAUCCUUGGCUGUGCAAGAAGUGGAAGUUCAUUAUGAUGCCGAUGCUUAUUAAAGGCCUAAAACAACCCAGCAACAAUAUUGACGUGUACCUAAGACCGUUGGUUGAUGAACUUUUACUGCUCUGGAAGGAAGAAAGUGUACGUGCGUGGGAUGAGGAUAAACAAGAGAGGUUUUACCUACGAGCAUUGUUGUUCGUAACCAUCAAUGAUUGUCCUGCGCUGAGUUAUCUUUUAGGAUAGACAAACAGCGGAUAUCGAGCCUGCACCCACAGUUUAGACGACACAGACAACAUGUAUUUGAAAUUCUAUAGGAAGGUUGUGUAUAUGGGCCAUCGUCGAUUUCUUCCUGCUAACCACCCGUUAAGAAAGAAAGGGAUGCAUUUCAAAGGGUUGCCAGACCAUCGUAAAAAACCUGCACACCGUAAUGGAAAGCGUGUAUUUGAGAUGAUAAAGGAUGUAAGGGAAGUCUUUGGACAGGGUCUUGGUAGCGAACCUGUUAUGAACGACGAUAACGGACGUGCACCCAUGUGGAAGAAAAAGUCUAUAUUUUGGAAGCUACCUUAGUGGGAAAUCCUAGAGGUUCGCAACGCAAUAGACGUAAUGCACCUAACAAAGAAUCUUUGAGUGAACAUGCUAGGCUUUAUGGGUUGUUAUGGGAACUCAAAAGUUACAUUGGAAACAUGAUAGGACCUAAAACAUAUGAAGCAACGAGAUGACCUACAUCCGGAAAAAAGAGAUAAUAGACAACACUACUUACAUCUUGUCAGCUACACUCUUAGCAAGGAAGAGAAGGAUAACAUGUUUGAAUGCAUGAAUAGUAUCAAGGUUCCAUUUGGGUAAUCCUCGAAUAUAAAGGGAAUAAUAAAUAUGAAAGAAAAGAAGUUCACAAAUCUCAAGGCCCAUGAUUGCCACAUGUUGAUGACCUAGUUGCUUCCGGAUGCACUGAGGGGUAUUCUACCAGAGAAUGUACGAUUGGCGCUCGUAAAGCUAUGUGCAUUUCUCAAUGCAAUUUCGCAGAAGACAAUCAAUCCAACCAAGCUAGUAAAGCUACAGAACGAUGUGGUACAAUGUCUUGUCAGCUUUGAGUUGUUAUUUCCACCAUCCUUCUUCAAUAUUAUGACGCACCUCCUGUUUCACCUAGUCAAAGAGAUUACUAUUCUCGAUCCAAUAUUCCUGCACAAUAUGUGGUCUUUCAAGAGGUUCAUGUGAGUCCUAAAAACUAUGUUCUUAAUCAUGCCCGUCCAGAAGGAAGCAUCCCCAAGGGAUAUGGAAUAAAAGAGGUUAUUGAGUUUUGUGUUGAUUUUAUUGACUCAAUUAAUUCGAUUGGGGUUCCAAUAUCAAGCCACGAGGGGAGACUGCGGGGAACAGGCACCCUUGAAAGGAAAUCAAGUUUGAGAAAUGAUACUAAUUUGUUCCAUAAAGCACACUUCACUAUUCUACAACAAUCAUCCUUUGUGGCUUCGUAUAUCGAGGAACACAAGCAGAUUCUAUUUUUCCAAUACCCGACGAAAUCCGAUGCCUGGAUUAUACAUCAUCACAUGGAUACUUUUCCCUCUUGGUUGUGUCAACUCCUUAUGAGUAACUCCACGAUUCAUGAACAAAUCAUUUGGUUAGCCAAGGGACCUUCUAGCACAAUCAUAAAAUUCCAAGGGUACAAGAUAAAUGGUUAUACAUUUUACACAAGAGCCUAAGACUAGAUAAGCACCAACUAGAAUAGUGGUGUCCGCAUAGAUGCCAUAGAUAACAAUAGGAGCAAGGACUCGUAUUAUGGUUUCAUAGAGGGGAUCUAGGAACUUGAAUACAGACCGCUGAACAUCCCUUUGUUUCGUUGCCAAUGGGUGAAGCUAACUAGAGGUGGUGUAACGAAAGAUCAGUAUGGAAUGACAAUAGUGGACAUGACCAAGACUAGAUAUAAUGAUGAACCAUUCAUCCUUGCCAGUGAUGGGCACUAGGUUUUCUAUGUGAAGGAUAUGUCUAGCAAGCUUAAGAAAAAUUCAGAAGAUAAAGAAAAACCAUGGGAGCCAAAGUGCCACAUAGUUCUUCUAGGUAAAAGAAAAAAUCAUGGGAGUCGAGGACAAAACAAAAUAGUUAGAUGAUUAUGAUUAGUUUGAUGGCAUGCCUCCAAUCGCUGUCAAAGUUGACCCAAGCAUCAUGCUAGCCAAAGAAGAGGCUCCGUACUAUAUUGUAAUGCUCUAUGGAGAACAUUUAUUCGAUCAUAUAAACAAUGUUAACUUAACCACAUACACAAUUGCAUUUUUUCCACAUUGAAAUUAUUUUGAAUAGUUUGUUGAUGAUAGUAAUGCAUUAACAUAAUUAUUUUAGAAACUUAAACAACUAAUAUAGAAUUAUUGAUAGAUUCAACCUUAUUUUAAAUAUACUUGCUAAUUUAAUAUAUUUUUGCAUGUUCAAAAUAUAUAAAGUUUUUAGUUUUUUCUUUAACAAAACCAGUGGAAAACAACUAAAACAUACAUAAAUUAUAAUUGGAAAACAAGCGGGGAAUGAAAAUUUCCACUAAAGGGCCUUUAGUCCCGGUUGGAAAGUCAAUCCGGGACUAAAGGGUGCAUUUUCAGCUCCCACGCGAAAAGCACCUGUUGGAUUUACAAACCCGGCAGUCCACUAGGGGGUUACCCAAGUGGUUGAUUUGUAGGUGGAGGUGAUUGCAAAACCAAGAACUUGAAGGUGAUCGUGAGAACACGAGGGACACGAGGGUUUUAGACAGGUUCGAGCCUCCCGAGCGUAAUACCCUAUGUCCUGUAUGCUUGGUGGCUUGUAUUGCUUGAGAAUCUCGAUGCCCCUGGCCGCCUUAUAUAGGCUGAUGACCUAGGUUUACAACUCAGUUUGAAUCUAAUCUAUUCAGUACUUACUUAGAAGGUGAUCUGAGUUAGACUACAAUACGUAUCACGCAAUAUCCGAGUUGGUUUGAACUGCCCGAUCUCCUUGGCGUGUACUCCAAGUAUCUUCAUAUCCAUAGCCCACACGCCCUGGUCAGGUGAGCCCAUUUGUCAAGUCCAACCAGUAUCCUGGUCGGUAGGGACCCAUGAGGUAUCCAUAUCCCUCAAGCCCUCGAGUGAUGUGUAGGUGAAUAGGAACUUGAGGACAUCGUAGCGAAGCUUGGAAUGUGGUUGGCGUCAUAAUGACGGAGAGGCUGCACAGUGCUCAAAAAGAAGAAAAUUUGAGCGAACGCAGAGCCAUACGUGUAGAGCGAAGUCGAGUGCCGAGUUGAUGGAUGGCGGGCAUCCAGUAAGUUGAAGCGAAGGACAUGGAGGGCGUCGCAAGAUGCACUCUAUAUGGAGUAGCCCCCGAGCAUUGAAGUGAUUAGUGUAAUCAGUCCAAUGGUUAAAAAGGAAGAAAAAAUUGAUCCCAGUACCCGAGCACAAGAAUAGGCAAAGCCACGGAGGCACACCAACCUGAAAUAGGCACCCAGCCCUUGAGCGUGAGCGCGAGGACUGGCAGAGCCACGGAGGCACGAUGACCUAAAAUAUGCACCCAGCCCCCUAGCAUGAGCGCAAGGACUAGCGAAGCCAUGGAGGCAGCUGACUUGAAAUAGGCGCCUAGCCCCUAAGCCUGGGAGCCGGACGAAUCGCGGAAGCACAUCGAGUCACGUCCCACCCCGAGCCAGAGAGGUUGGCCGGGAGAUAGGAGGCACGCCGAGUCAUUUGCGAAGCCCAACAUCAAAGCUUGGGAGCCGAAUGAGCUGCAGAAGAACGCUAAGUCACCUCCCGCCCCAAGCCAAAGAAGUCGGCUGGGCAACAGGAGGCACGCCGAUUAGUUUUUGAGCUGUAAAAGGACAGUACAAACAUUAUGUAGUGUAGUGUAGAUUAUUAAAUAAUUGAACUACUCAGAAGUUUAAUUCGCUUUAGAAGUAAAUUCUUGCACGUCCUGCUCUUGUAGGUCAUGUAAUUUCCCUAGGUAGUUAGCCUGUUACGUUUAAGCACCUAGACCUGCUGACCACUGCUCACGGAGAGGAUGGCUUAUCUCAGGCUAUAGCGCUAGGGCUGACCUGAUGCUUGCAUAUAGGAGACGUGCAAGAUGAGUUAAGGUUUCACGGAUUAAGGCGUGUGCUACCUGAGUACUUUAGCAACCGUUAAGAGAAGAUGUACAAGACAUGAAGGAGAUCGCAAAAUAGUAGAAACUGUACGAAAAAGCGAGUGUGUGCACUGGACACUCGUAGGUCGCAGUCCUGACUACCCGUGUAGUGGACGGACCAAGCUCUAUGAGCAAUCGGGGUGGUCGGCAGAAGUCACGGAGACAUAGGAGAGCCAAGACGGUCGGCGAAAGUCAUGGAGACAUGGAGGAGCCAAAAUGUAUGUAGGUAUAUGGAAGCCGCAAAAUAUUUAAUUGUAAAUAAGACUUAGCUUGAUUCAUGGCAGAGCUGAAAAGUCAGUGUCAUGCCCGAGUGGGCAACCAUCGGUGAAUAGUUGUUGAUGAAUCCGUUGACGGGUCCGGGUGGUCAAAGUUGUCAUAGGUGUGUCGGCGUCAAUCAUUGAUGCUGCUCUACUAUGGAAGGCGUCCAAGCUGAAGUCGUCGUAGACCCGCAGGCCGAGCCAUGCAAGGAGUAGUCCCAAUUUGCAUGUCAUUGGUAGUGCCAUGCAUCCCGAUCACUCUUGUAGUCUUGUUUAUCCCCGGCGAUAAACAAUCGCUUGGGCUUUUUGUUCCAUGCGGCAUUGUUUUUAGUUAGCCUGAUCCACGCAUUUGUCAGACUUGAUAGCUCAUCUGUAUCACCAUUAGCCAUCCCUCAAAUCUCCCAGUAGAUAACAAGAUGGCAAGAGCUGCUAGUGCUAGCCCUCACAAGCAUCCAGGCCAGCACGUAGUAGCAUAUUCUUCCCGGCCAGCCCGGACACGCAAUGCAAUGCAUCGCGUCGACCCUCCUCUCCUUGUACGAGGAACCACCUGUGACGCACGCCAUGGUAUGCAUGAUUACUCGCAUUCGUAUACGUCGUACCAAUCGCCGAAUGCGUCGCCAGUGCAUUCACCACCACCGCAACAUGCCCGGCGACAGCCAAUCUGAUCUGACUUGGCGACAGCGACGCAGUGGCGUUUGCUCGGUGCAAGGCCGACCUCCCUCAACCCCCGAGCUCAAGAACGAAACGGGACAUGCGCCACAAUUAGGUCGGAGGACGUGGGUGGGUAGGUUGUAGCCAGGAUGUUGGGAAUCAUCUCGGACAGGGAGAGAUCACCGACCUACUAGGCAAGCGGCGUGAUGAUCCUCGGUUGAAGACCUUGGUCUGUCGAAGUAGAUCCGACGGAUGCUGAGUUGGUAGUGGGCGUCGAGUUGGUGGAGGAGGCGAUGGAGUCAGAUUCCAUCAGCAUGCUCCCGAAGCGGAACUAGAUCGGGUUGGCGAGGAAGUCCUUCAUGCCCUCGGGAAGAUGACACCGGGGCAGGAUGCCAUCGAGCUCACUGGGGAGGAUCUCACAAUCACCCCAUAGAGCAUGUUGUCAGUGCGAACCCCAACCCUCUCCAAGCACUCAUUGAGGAGAGUGCAAAAGCCUAUGUAGCACACUCCGUCUCUAGAAAACGUACACCACUCCUUGGUCGUCAUCUGAAACAUGCAGUUAAGGGUUGUUAGAAAGUCGUAUAAGUCAGAGUAAACAAGGUAAUAACUAUAACAAUUCAAGGAGUUGUACACAGGUAGUUUAGGCUUCUUGAACUAAUGUCCAUUACUAGAGAUCAUCCUAUGGUCAAGUAUGGCUCUGAUACCAGCUGAAACGGACCCGAAUUCCUAUUUCUGAGAAUUCAAGCCUACGCACAUCGGCGAUAGUCCCAAGAAGGCUAUCACAUGCGAAUCCCUAUCUCAGAUAGUACAAAUCCAUACCAACACAGAAAUAGAAGGAGAAAUAGAGUACAAACAUCAUAGAUAACAUGAGUACGAGUACAUAUCAAUAGCACAUGUCGGUACAAGUCCCUCAGGACUGAAUCAGAAAAGGUAAAACAUCUACGCAGUGGAAACAAAAGCUAUGGUGAUCUCCAUCUUUGCAGGCGACUCGAGCGAAGAAUUGUCCCUAGUCCUCCCAACCGUCGUUGUCGAAGUUGUAGUGGGGCUACGAACCUAAAAAGCUAGCAUCUACCCGAGAAAUGGGUAGGCCAUGUCAACUCCCAAAAGUAGCAAAGCUAAGGAACAUGGGGGAAUUAUACUAUAUGCAUGAAUAAGAUCUAUAUAUGGCUGUAGAGGUUUAUGCAGCAACAACAACAACAAUCAAGGUAGUAGCUGCUGGCGCUAGAAAUCGGUCAACCGAAUCCCAACGUCCGACACACGACCCGGGAGAAUCUGCUUAACUCCUGUUCGGGUGAUUGCCCUGGUGCGGUUCGCGCAGCGUGCCAGCCAAUGUGACCUGUUGAUUGGCAAGGAAUAAUACGUGUCAGGUCCAGAAAUCAUGAUCGGCUAAGUUUCCGAUCUCGAAAGAGCUUAUCAGCGAAUCGGCCGAUUUGCUGUAAUAGAGAAAUCGGCUAUAAGGCAGCCGAUCACUGUAGCCUUGUAGAUAGGAAAUUACUAAAGUAAUCGAUACAAAGCUAUGAUAACAACACUAGGAACAGAUCUAAUCGGCAAUAGAUGAAUUUUAAUAGCAGAACGUAAUUAAAGCCGAAACUACCGAUUCCUAGCUGGAUAACUGGUGAUAAAACUAGAACAACAGGCAAGACCCUAUGAUUCUAGUAAAUAUCGAUAACUAGUGAAUAAAUCUAAACGAAACAACAGCGAUACGCCCGAAGUUAAAGCUUAGAUAUUACUCGAUAAGCGGAACUUACAGAAUCGGCUUGAGAUCAAGAUGAUGCAGCCCUGCCAACCCGCACGAACUCGUGAAAAAGAGGAAAGUGAUGGCGAAGUCGCCUGCUUGAAAGUAAGUACGAGGAAAAAGUAGCUUGUUGUAUUGAUUUUUUGAUGAUUACAGAUUCACAAAGGCAGCUAUUUAUAGCCCCAUACAGAUGACUUCUUAACCGACUAGAAUUCUAUCCCUAAUUCAAACAGAAAACAAAUAUUUACAAGCACGAUUCGUGCUAGGUUGGUUACUCUACGCUUUAUGGGCUGAUCUCCACCUCAUCCUUUUAUUCCUCUCCAAGCCCAUACAGGCCCAAUUAACCCAUCCUCCUAAUCGGCCGAUUCCUUAUCGGCAAAAGACAACCGAUUGGGACCCCGGCACGCUCGACCCGAAGUGAGACAGAAGUCAUCGGCCGAUCUCGCACUGUAGCACCAUUCGACCGAUUCCCAACUGUGCUUCUCCGAUUCCCUCUCUUCUUGGCACCGAUUUACUAGUGACGAAAUCUGGAGUCAACACAUGCCCCCCAGUUUCGGAGUAAAACAUAGUCUUUUACUUCGAAAUUCUUUAUAACCUCCUCUCCGAAACGGGCGCAGUAAAAAUAUCCUUCCGUUUCGCGGUCUUCUAGCUGAUGAUUGCAAUUUUUUCGAAACGGGCGCCCACGACAGCCACUACUCCCGAAAAACUCGAAACGCCGGCGCGGUGAAAAUUCUGUUUUUACCCUCCUUCAGGCAUCCUUUAAAUAGCGCUUCACCCCGCACUUCAUCUUCAAGCUCACGUCUCUUUUUCCAAGCGCGCGCGCCCUCUUCUCUCUUCAGCAUCCUUCCCUUGCCGCCGAAGCCUUCUAGCGCCAUCCUCCUGUUACUUUUCCCCUUCUCUUCCAAUGGCGGCUCCUUCUGGCAGCUCUCCAGCGUGCGACGUUCCAGAAGUAGCGCCUCCGGCGGUAGUGGCGACGGCCGUUGCUCCAUCCACAGAAGAAGGAGCUUCACCGGAGAUCCCAAUGGCGAUCCCCAUCACGGCCUCAUCGUCCGCACCUGCACCGGUGACCAUGCCGACCACACAGAACUUCAUCCCAGAGGUAAAUACCGAAUCUUUCUUCUAUCGGCAAUGUAUUUACUUUAGAUCUGUUUCUUACUUUUCCUACACCCCCCUUUCCUUUUUUAGGCAGUUAGGCAUCGUAUUACCAUCCAUCUCACGGGCAAUCCCGGCCUUAUUUGUCUCGGACCUAUGGGGAACCCAGAUCCAAUAGAGCUUAUCAAUUUGGAAACCCACAGGAUACCCUUCAAACUGUCCAAUAUGGACUUAGAUCAAUGGUUGGGUACUUUUAGGUCCUGGCCGAAUGAAACCCCAGGUUGGAGGGAGUGGUACCAACGGGUAGCCGCAUCAAAGAGUGUCUCAUGGGAGGAACUCAAAAUCGGCCAGUGCAUCAACCUGUCCUUGUCCCAGAUGGAGAAAAAUGAGCCGUUGGCAAUAGCGGCUUCUUAUUUUUGGUCUGACGCACUUAAUGCCUUCUUAUUUGGGCACGGACCUAUGACCCCAACACUGGCCGAUGUGGUCCUGUUGACCGGCCCUAACAUUUCUUCCCCGGACACAUCUUUCCACCUUUUAGCCGGAAUGUCACAUCGGCUGGACACAAGGGGAAUCGGCGGGUGGAAGGGAUUCAUCAGAAGCAAUAAAAGAACCGGGUCUGUUGAGAAUAGGGAGCAUACGGCCUUCUUGAUGAUGUGGUUAGAAAAACAUUUCUUUUGCGGAAGAGCCGCCGGCCCGUCAACCAACACCCAGGCCUUAGCUGAAGCAUUGUCCAGAGGAAACCAUGUCCCACUUGGGAAACAUCUGCUAGGGGCCGCGUACCACAUGCUCCAUCAAAUCGGCAUCAGACUAUCCAAGGGAGAGCCGAUCGGCAAUCCAGGCGGACCCUGGUGGUUCAUCAACUUGUGGCUGAACCUUUACAUGAGCGAGAUCACUCAGCAGAGGGUGGACCGUAUGAUGUUCCCCAACAUCGAAUCGGCAGAAGACCCUACCGAACGUCGCCGAUGCAUGUCCUUUGGUGAAGCGGCAUCAGCUUUGCCAGGUUGCACGUAUUCUGCUACAAAGGUAGCCGAGUACUUUUGAUGCUUCUAUAAUGGCUUUAAUGAAGAUGCAACCAUUUGGUUUCCUUAUCAGCGGGAUGACCCGGUCUUUGAACUCCCAACCUGCUUUGAUUCGACUACUGGCCGAUUUGAUGAGGAGUUCUAUGAUGAGUUAAUCAAGCCAGGACUCCUGCCAGCCAACUUCUUCUCGUGGAAGGACGCCCCUACGUAUGAGUUCUACAACCCUUCCGUUGCAGCUCGUCAGUUCGGCAUGGGUCAGCUGCCGAUUCAAGUGUAUUUUGCUGGCCGAAUCAAGUUUAGAGAUGAGCUCACAUCUGGUCUGGAUUAUAGUCAGUUACGAGACCGAAUUCCGGACUCCAGUACCAUUGACCUGAACAACUGGCUAGUAGCUCCCUUUGCUGUCCAGCCGUUCAAACUCUGGUGGGCCGAUUGGAAGCAAUUUCUCUUCUGCAAUUCGGCAUCGGCAUACUGCAACCUCCUGGACCCAGCCAACAUCGACCCGAACGCCGAGGUACUUUCCUUAGCCGAUUUUUAUUCCUCUUAACGUGACUGAGCACUAAUGAUUUUACUAUUUCUUCAGGCCGAGAAUCGAACUCCUCCAACACACAGCCGGAGCGGACGGCUAAUAGAGAGUCAUCCAUACACCACUUAUCCUCUUAUCGGCUAUGAUGCUCCGUCCGUGGACGUGAUUGCUGGCCGAUCGAAACAAGUCCAGAAGAGGAUCACCAAGAAGACCAGUCGCCGAGUCCGAGCUCGUAUAGAAUCGGCUGAUCCUCCUGUGCUCGUAUCGGCAGAGACUCCGGCCGCACCACCCUCUCAGGUCAUCCAAGAUACCGAUACCCAAGCCAUCGCGCAAUCGGCAGCAACCCAACCGGCCAUCGGCGCGCCCCCACUUCCAUCCGUUGAGGUACAACACUAUUUCACCGUUUUUCCCCUGGUACUUGCAUAAUGUACUUAUUCAAUUCUCUGGCACAGGUCAUCGGCACACCAAGCGCUCCUCAACCGCCGGUCUUUUCUCAGGGAGCUGGUCCAAGCACCGCACCGAUCGUUGUGGAGUCCUCCUCUUCUGACGAACCCAUGACACAAGCCCCUGAGCAAGGCGUGACGGCUUCCCAAAUGCAGCAUGAAGAAAUUCGCUUCAAAGUGGUAAGUUAUGUUCCGGCUUUACUCAGCCGAUUUGCUUUUACUCCUAGCCGAUUCAUUCUUCCUUUUUAUUAUCUCCAGGAACAAGACACCCCCGACAACAGCCUCUUUUCUUUUGCGGUAGCCCUCUCCGACGAUGAAGAAGUUGCUUCCCGCCAAGUUGCCUUGAGCUCCGUUCCUGAUGACGUCCGAGCCAAACUUGCUAGUAUCCGAUCCCUCCUUCAAGGGGACAUCGGCCGAUUAGUAGAAGAUGCUUCACCGAUUCGGCAGCUCUUCAGUGACGUCAGCGGAUGAGUACCAGAAGAGGUGGAGGAGGCCCUGGCGCCGGCAGCCUUCAUCGAGUCUAUGAGGAUCCCGGUCUUCAGAGCCCUUUGUCAUAUGGCCGAUCGCGCCAAGCUGGCCAAGACUCGUGAAGAGGAGGACGCAUUCAAGCGGCAAGCUCAAGAGGUGCAUCAGCGUAUCCAUUUUCUGGAGGACUCCCGCCCGGGGAUCAUCGGUGAGAUAGACCGCCUUAAGCGUCGGAGGGCGGAGCUCGCCAAGGAGAUGGAGCAAGUGACCAAGGCAGUCAGUGCCGAGGAGAAAAGGCUCCAAGAACUCCCGUCUGUCAUUGCCGAUUUGAAGCGGGAGAGGCAGCACCUGGCCCACGAGGCCCUGAAACUCCACCGCAGCGCAUCAGAAGUCCCCGGAUCAGCGGAUGACGACCAACGGGUCCUGGACUCUGCCGAUCAGAUCCGGCGCCGAGCAAUCACGGCUAUCGAUACCCUUCUGGGUAACCUGUAAAACACUGACUGUUUUGUAUGAACAUUUACUAUCUGCUUUGACCGUCCUUCGCGACGCCCUUUCUAUUUAUUGCCUUUCUUAUUUCUGAUGGGACGUAUCCUUACCAAAUUUCCAUGCCUCUUUUUCCUAUAAGAACCGGCCUAGGCACUUCCUCCCGAUAGUACCAGUUUGGCUUUCGGUUCUACUCUCUUACUCCUCUCGUCGGCGCGGCUCUUCGUCAUGUCUUCAUCGACUUCUUCCUCCUCUGUCAACUAGGUGAAAACUUGGCUUUGACUCCCCUUUCUCCUUUACGAUCUUAUGAAGAAAAUGCCUCCUUUUUAAUCUUUCUUUGUUUCAGCCUCAACGUCUUAGCCCUGAGCUCAUACGCGCCAUUGAGAUCAUACACUCUGAGGACCCAUUGUCGUCGGAGGAUAUGGAACUGAUCAGGGCUCAUCGUGAUGAACUUCGAGACCACGUCACCGCGGAGGCUCGUGUGGUCCUGGAGUUUGUGGAGAGUAAUGGUGGCCGGCGCUCUCCAACUGAUAGGAGCCAUCCGCUUCCUCCGCGAGUCGUCCUUGAAGACGCGGCGGCGGGAACUUCGCGCCCGCCCAUGGAUCGGAGCCAUCCUCUCCCUCGUCAAGUUGAAGCGGAGGCUUCAAUGAAAGAAAUAGAAGAAGCAUACCUCCGCAUCAUGAACGAGUUGGAUCGGACUGGGAAGGCGCACAAGAAGAAGAAUAAUUAGUUUUUUGUAUUUUUUGUUCUAAGGGCGACUAGUGUUUUGUCGGCCGUGUAACCCAUCGCCCGUACCGAAUGAAUACAUCGGCCGAUUUGGACGACUACAUGUUCGAACCGAUUUGUAUCGGCUAUGUGUGAUUGCAUUACAGUUAAUCCCUUAUGCUCCGACCCAUAUACUGGGAUAGUAUCUUUUUAAAUACCUUCCGUUCAAAGCUCUAGUAAAUUCUUCUCCCUCUAUUGUUUCCAAAAUGUAAGCAUUCCCUGGAGCACAUCUGCCGAUUUUAUACGGCCCUUCCCAUGUAGGGGACCAUUUUCCGAAUUUAGGAUCUUUCGACCCAAUCGGCAAUACUAACUUCCAUACUAAGUCCCCAGGGGAAAAUUGUUUGACUUUGACCUUUUUAUCUUACCACCUGGCUACUUUCUUUUUGUUUUCUUCAAUGCUUAUCAGAGCUCUCAAUCGUUGGCCAGCCAAAUCAUCAAGUUCCCUUUUCAUAAGUGACGAGUAGUCAUCAGCCGUUAACUGGUCCUGGAGCGAAAUACGCCUUGAUCCGGCCCUCGAUUCCCAUGGUAGUACUGCAUCGUGACCGUACACCAACUGAUAGGGAGAUAACUUGGUAGCCCCAUGACAAGCCAUCCUGUACGCCCAUAGGGCCUCAGUCAAACAUAGAUGCCAUUUCUUUGGCUGCUCCUCGAUUUUCCUUUUGAUCAACUUGAUUAUCCCUUUGUUGGAGGAUUCUGCCUGACCAUUGGCUUGGGCGUAAUACGGAGAAGAAUUUAACAAUUUGAUUCCCAUAUCGGUCGUAAAUUCCUCAAAUUCCCCCGAUGUGAACAUCGUUCCUUGAUCGGUUGUUAUAGUUUGAGGGAUGCCGAAUCGGUAGACGAUGUGAUCCCUUACGAAGUCGGCCAUGAUAGCCGAUGUCACGGCCCUUAAUGGAAUUGCCUCUACCCAUUUGGUAAAGUAAUCAGUAGCCACUAGAAUAAAUUUGUGCCCUUUGCUUGAUGGUGGGUAAAUUUGGCCGAUAAGGUCUAUUCCCCAUCCCCUGAACGGCCACGGCUUGAUAAUGGGAUUCAUAGCCGACGCGGGUGCACGCUGGACAUUCCCGAACUUUUGACAAUCCUGGCACCCCUUAUAAUAUUUGAAACAGUCUUCGAGGAUAGUUGGCCAGUAAUACCCAUUAUUCCUGAUCAUCCACUUCAUCUUGUGGGCCGACUGGUGUGCUCCACAUACCCCUUCAUGGAUUUCUCCCAUCAGAGUCUUAGCCUCCUCUGUUCCAAGGCAUUUGAGUAGAACACCGUCGAUCGUUCGGUAGAACAGGUUGCCUUCGAGCAGUACGUAUUUAGUAGCAUGAAAACGUACUCGUCGUUCCACCUUUUUAGACAGAUCUUUCAGGUAGUCGGCAAUUUCUUUUCGCCAGUCAUCGGCCACAAGUUCUAGAGCCAUAGCGCCUAGAAUUGGCCGAUAUCCAGAUGCGUGCUGGGCGAGCUUGUUGGCACCCUCGUUGUGAUCUCUUGGGAUGUGCUCGAUUACUGCCGAUCUAAAUUCUUUUAAGAGCUGCAAACAAUCUUCGUAAUAAAUUCUUAACACGUCGUCCUUGCAUUCAGAUCUUCCGGUCAGCUGAUCUACUAUAAGCAUGGAAUCCCCGUAGACUUCAACAGACUCGGCCUUGAUCUCUCUUAAUAGUUGUAAGCCCUUCAAUACAGCUUGGUAUUCUGCUUGAUUGUUAGUAGCGGUAGCUUCUAUCGGCAGAGAAAAAUCAUAGCUUGCCCCCCGAGGCGAUAUGAGAACGAUGCCGAUUCCUGAUCCGACCCCGCAUGAUGACCCAUCAAAAUAUAAAGUCCAAGGUGCCAGUUCUACGAGGGCAAUCUCUGGUCCGCAGUGUUGGGCGACGAAAUCGGCCAUGACCUGACCCUUGACGGCUUUUGCCGAUUCAUACCGUAGGUCAAACUCUGACAAUGCUAAGAUCCAUUUGCCGAUUCGUCCUUUCAAGAUCGGCAGUGAUAGCAUGUAUUUCACUACAUCCUCUUUGUAGAUGACCACGCAUUCUGCCGACAGUAAAUAGUGCCUGAGUUUAGUGCAUGAGAAGUAAAGACAUAGGCACAACCGCUCCACUGGAGGAUAUCUUGUUUCAGCGUCCAAAAGUCUUCUGCUGACAUAAUAAAUUACCCGUUCCUUGCCUUCGAACUCCUAGACCAGAGCCGACCCAAUAGCUUUUUCAUCGGCUGAUAAGUAUAGUUUGAACGGCUUACCAGUCUGAGGAGGAACCAAUACCGGUGGUGAGACCAAGUAUUGCUUGAUAUCUUCCAAUGCCUUGCGCUGCUCCUCCCCCCAUAUGAAUUCCUGGUCAGGCUUUAGCUUCAACAGUGGCGUGAACGCUUGAAUCCGUCCAGAUAGAUUAGAUAUGAAUCUUCUGAUGAAAUUCACCUUGCCGAUUAAAGACUGCAAUUCGGUUUUGUUUUGUGGAGCCACGACUUUGUUGAUGGCCGCUAUGGUCUUCCGAUUGAUUUCAAUCCCUCGUUCGUGCACCAUGAAUCCUAAGAACUGUCCGGCGGAUACGCCAAAAGCACAUUUAUUGGGGUUCAUCUUAAGCCCGUGCUUCUUGGUGCACUCUAGCACUUUUCGCAAAUCGGCCAGAUGCUCUUCAUGUCCUUUGGACUUGACUACGACGUCAUCGAUGUAGAUCUCCACCAGAAUGCCAAUGAGCUUGUGAAAUAUGUAAUUCAUGGCUCUCUGAUACGUAGCACCAGCGUUCUUCAAGCCAAAAGUCAUUACCACCCACUCGAACAAGCCAAGGUGGCCUGGACAUCUGAAGGCCGUUUUGGGUAUGUCCUCUUAGGCCAUGAGUAUUUGAUUGUACCCAGCGUUUCCGUCCAUGAAGCUAAUAAUCUUGUGCCCCGCGGCAGCGUCGAUCAGUACAUCGGCCGUCGGCAUGGGGUAACCGUCCAUCGGUGUGGCCUGAUUAAGAUUCCUGAAAUCAACGCAAACGCAUAGCUUUCCAUUCUUCUUGUACACUGGUACAAUGUUGGAGAUCCACUCGGCAUAACGGCAUUGCCGAAUAAAUUUUGCUUCGAUUAGCCGAGUUAUUUCAGCUUUUAUGUCUGGUAGAAUCUUGGGAUUGCAGCGCCGUGCGGGCUGUUCGUACGGCCGAUACCCUGGUUUUAUGGGUAGCCGAUGUUCAACAAUAGAUCGGUCUAAACCGGGCAUCUCAUGAUACUCCCAAGCAAAACAAUCCUUAAAUUCCUUCAACAAAUUUGUCAAUUUACACUUGUAUUCUGGGUCUAAAUUUGCACUAAUAUAAGUCGGCCUUGGUUUGGUACCAUCGCCUAAAUCUAUCAUUUUUAAUGAAUCGGCCGACGUGAAACCGUGCCCUAGCUUCCCAUCUUCCCAUGCGAACUGAUCCAUCUAUUCUGAGUCUUCGGAGCCGACUGCUCGGAUCGGCUGUAGGCCAAAAUCGGUGACCUUCAGGAAAUCGGUCUCCCAUACUCUGCCGGAUAUGCACCUGACGGUGUCGCAGCUCCAUUGCUGCGUGUCGGCUGUCGCAAUGCUGUAUGCGGAAUCGGCUUUGACUACCUCGAUGUUAUCGCCGACCCAUUGUACGAGACAUUGAUGCAUUGUUGACGAAAUACAGCAAUUUGCAUGUAUCCAAUCCCGGCCGAGUAGCAUGUUGUAGGAUCCCUUGCCAUUAAUAAUAAAGAAGGUGGUAGGAAGGGUCUUACUGCCGAUGGUGAGGUCGACGCAGAGAGCGCCGCGAGCGGUUGACACGUUGCCCUCAAAGUCCUUGAGCAUCAUGUCUGUCUUGGUCAAGUCGUCGUCACUUUUUCCAAGCUUCCAGAGCACGGCGUAUGGCAUGAUGUUGACUGCAGCUCCUCCAUACAAAUUAGUCUAGUGAGGGGGCGGCCGUCAACAUGCCCUUUAAGGAACAACGCCUUCAUGUGUUGUCGUUCGUCAUCAUCGGGCUUCUCGAACGUGGCCAUCAUUGGCUCCAAAGCCAACUGUGCUGUCUGUUCUUCCAUAGCCGAUACAUCCUGUUGAUCGGCGGGAGUCAUGAAUUCCAUCGGCAGUAUGAAAACCAUGCCGAUCUCGGCUGCCGAUUUGUCACCCGCCGAUUCGUCGUCCCUUUUAUCGUUUCUUUUGGGGUGCCACACCCGAGGCCUUCCUUCCUUCUUGUCUGUCGUGCUCUGUUGUUCCUCUUCUUGCUGUUCCCAUUGGCGGAGACGUUGGAUUCUUCGUUUUUGAGACUUGGUCAAUCCAUCAGGACACCACCUGGGGUUUAUUCGUCUGCCCCCUGACUUGGCGCGUUCCCACUCCGGUUCGCGUCCUAACAGGUUUUCGUCUGUCACCCGAGCAUCGGCCAUCUCUUCGAGCCGGCUUUGAACGUUGGCCUUGUUUUCUGACCGGUCAUGCCGAUCAGUCCUGCCCCCUGCCUAUCAUGGCGUCUAUCUUCCGACCGAUCAUAUCGGUCACUUCUGCCCCCCAGCCGAUCACGCACGGGAGGGCGCUGGUCAUCUUGGUUGUGCCAAUUCCUGCUGAUCGGUUCUGGCCUCCCGUCUCUGGAGCGAGACCUGUUGAACGGCCGAUCGCCACGAUAUGGACCGUUGCAUUCUGGGCAAUUAUCGGCCGAAGGUAGCCUGAGGUUGUUUUCCCAGCAGUGGAUGAAGAACGGGCACCUCCAGUGAUCUUCGUGCCGUCGCAUUGCUUCUUCCUGGGACCUUGAGCGUCCAUGCUGACGUUGGUACUUCUGGAGCAGGAACUAGGAAGUAAUGCGUGGCUCCUCUGAUUCACCAUCGUCAUCCUCCAUACGCCGCUUCCCCUUAACGUCUUCAGGUGUAGCUUGAUUUCUGGGGUCGACGGCGCCACUCUUUUUAGCCGAUUCGGACGUCAGCACUUUUGUUUGGAGUGAAUUCUUUCCCGUAUCAACCAUAUUGGUAGGGAAGGGGUGCUGGUCGAUCUUCAUUGGCUUGGCCGAUUUUGUCGGCACUUCAAAUUUAUGUCUGCCCUGCUCAAUGGCCGACUGUAUCUGCUGCCUGAAGAUUUUGCACUCAUUAGUAUCAUGGGAUGUGGCGUUGUGCCACUUGCAGUACUUCAUCUUUUUUAGUUGUUCGGCAGAAGGUAUUGUAUGAUAUGGCGAGAGUUUAAUCUGUCCUUCCUGGAGGAGAAGGUCGAAGAUUUUAUCGGCCUUAGUCGUGUCAAAACCGAACACCUCUGGCUCCUUUUUGCCGAAUGGGCAUGAUAUCGGCUUCUUCCCCUUGAUCCACUCCGCAAGUCCAACUUCAACAUCUUCCUCGUCCUCUAACUCUUCCAGGAACGCCACUUUCUUCUAGAAAUUCCUCCGUGGAUCGAAGGAACGUACCUCCUGUCCAGACAAUCGGUGGACAAUCUGGCUCAAACUCUCCAACUCCUGUGAGGCGUAUCUUUCUUUGAUGUGGGGCAGAAGGCCUUAAAAAGCUAUAUCGGCCAACUGCGCGUCAUUUAGGGCCAGGGAAUAGCACUUAUUCCUGAUUUCCCGAAACCUCUAUACAUACGAGGAUAUUGGCUCAUCACUUCUUUGCCUGAGGCUGGUCAGAUCGGACAGUUUCAUCUCAUGCACCCCGGCGUAGAAGUAUUUGUGGAACUGUCUUUCUAAAUUGGCCCAUGUGAUAAUCGAGUUUGGCGGCAAUGUCGUGAACCAUUGAAAGGCCGAACCAGACAAAGAUGAUGAGAACAACCGUACCCGUAAGGCAUCCUGCGUGGCUGCCUCUCCGCAUUGGAUGAUGAAUCUGUUCACGUGCUCUACGGUCGAAGUGUCAUCCAUCCCCGAAAACUUAGUGAAGUCAGGAACUUUAUACCGAUGGGGAAAUGGCAAUAGGUCAUAUGUAGACGGGUAUGGUGUUCUGUAGGUAUAAGUUUGUACCUUCGGCUUCAAGCCGAAUUGUUCUUGCAUCACCUCUGCAAUACGUGCCGACCAAUCUGGCUGUUGCUGGUGAACUGUUGGCUGAGGUAUUGGCACGUGCUGGUAAACCGGAGGCGGAAUAAACGGAGGCUGAUUGAAAGCAGGUGGUAUCUGAGUGAAAGCCGGCUGUGUAGUAAAAGUCGGCUGUCUGAAUGAGCCACUCGUUUCAUCAUACAGCAUGAGCUCUGCUGUCUUGUUGACCUCCGGAGCGACAGGCUGGUAUGGCGGUACGGUCGGCCUAGUGGCCAUCUGGAAAGAUGCCUGGAAUGGAGGGUUUCCUUGACUGGCCGAUUGAUUCUGCCCGGCCGUGGCUUAAGGUGCCCCCCAGGGUGACGGGCUAACUGGGGGGAAUGGUGCAGAGGACAGUUGGGUGGAGAUAUAUCCCAUAGGAGCUGAUGAUGAGGAAGCCCCUGAACCCCCGACAGAAAAUUGGAUCGGCUGUGAAACCGAAUUUGAAUAAUUCUGGUUUGGUGGAAUCGGUUGAAAAUAUGCCGGUCCCCUGUAUCCUUGAGGUAUCCCACCAGUGAAGGAGUUGACAACAGCGUUGUGCACCAUAUUUGAAAGUACCGGGGAUUGAUUGACGAAGGCAUGAUAAAUAGACUGUUGAAUCAUAUCGGACAUUUUGUCCGAGUCCUCAGAAAUCGUGAUCUGAUGGGGAGCAGGGAACGGAUUCUUCUUGAUAGUCUCCCCGCUUCUGGAGCGACUGAAAGAUUUUAGGCAAGCUUUCCGGAACUGCGUCGUAUACUUAUCCAAUUCUUCCUUCUGGUCGUCCUUCAGAUCUGCUUCCGUCACUUUGAUGACGUUAUCUUCGGAGACUUCAGCAGCUUUCGACAUGAUGGCGGUUGUAUUGGUCCCACUGGGCGUGCCAAAAGUGUGUUGGCACUAGAAAUCGGUCAACCGAAUCCCAACGUCCGACACACGACCCGGGAGAAUCUGCUUAACUCCUGUUCGGGUGAUUGCCCUGGUGCGGUUCGCGCGGCGUGCCAGCCAAUCUGACCUGUUGAUUGGCAAGGAAUAAUACGUGUCAGGUCCAAAAAUCACGAUCGGCUAAGUUUCCAAUCUCGAAAGAGCUUAUCAGCGAAUCGGCCGAUUUGCUGUAAUAGAGAAAUCGGCUAUAAGGCAGCCGAUCACUGUAGCCUUGUAGAUAGGAAAUUACUAAAGUAAUCGAUACAAAGCUAUGAUAACAACACUAGGAACAGAUCUAAUCGGCAAUAGAUGAAUUUUAAUAGCAGAACGUAAUUAAAGCCGAAACUACCGAUUCCUAGCUGGAUAACUGGUGAUAAAACUAGAACAACAGGCAAGACCCUAUGAUUCUAGUAAAUAUCGAUAACUAGUGAAUAAAUCUAAACGAAACAACAGCGAUACGCCCGAAGUUAAAGCUUAGAUAUUACUCGAUAAGCGGAACUUACAGAAUCGGCUGGAGAUCAAGAUGAUGCAGCCCUGCCAACCCGCACGAACUUGUGAAAAAGAGGAAAGUGAUGGCGAAGUCGCCUGCUUGAAAGUAAGUACGAGGAAAAAGUAGCUUGUUGUAUUGAUUUGUUGAUGAUUACAGAUUCACAAAGGCAGCUAUUUAUAGCCCCAUACAGAUGACUUCUUAACCGACUAGAAUUCUAUCCCUAAUUCAAACAGAAAACAAAUAUUUACAAGCACGAUUCGUGCUAGGUUGGUUACUCUAUGCUUUAUGGGCUGAUCUCCACCUCAUCCUUUUAUUCCUCUCCAAGCCCAUACAGGCCCAAUUAACCCAUCCUCCUAAUCGGCCGAUUCCUUAUCGGCAAAAGACAACCGAUUGGGACCCCGGCACGCUCGACCCGAAGUGAGAUAGAAGUCAUCGGCCGAUCUCGCACUGUAGCACCAUUCGACCAAUUCCCAACUGUGCUUCUCCGAUUCCCUCUCUUCUUGGCGCCGAUUUACUAGUGACGAAAUCUGGCGUCAACAGCAGCAAAGCAACAUCACCUCCAAGGUCAACACCUCAAACAAGGAAGUCGGUACAAAUCAUCAGAUCCUUCACCCAAGGGUCGAGCACCCAAACACACUAGGCGAUGUAAGAGCUCCAUUCCCUCACAUCUCAACGGCAAAUGCUGGCCUAUCUCAAAAAGGAGAAAAGUAGAAGCACGAGAAAAGUCUAGUCAGAAGUAGCGGUAGUCAAUAGCACUGUCCAUAACCAGUGGACACAGACUAUAGCUAUAGCUUUAUACACUCUGCAAAGAUUUUAUAACUGUACCCGCACGAAUGGAGCCUGAACGGUAGCGAUCCGUCCAAACCCCACCUAUUAGCCGGAGCCCUAGUAAGUGGAUAGCUCUCUCCUGUUUUAUCAAGUCUAGAACCAUCCUCAACUGCAAGGCACGCUGUCACCAGUGAGGACCUCGAAGCUGUGGAACGUACCCACGUCGGGGUGCAGUCUGGUUAGAGCAGGACAAUGCCUCGAACUCCUAAAAUGAUCCUCCAAUCUGCCUAUAUGCAGAGCACUAUCCACUACUAGUAUCGAACCGAACCCCGCCCAUAACGUAAGCGAGCGGUAAGUACGAAAAGUAGCUACUGUGAUUGGUGGUAAACUGACUCGGUCCUUAAGCUGCUGAGAGCAAGCACUCUACCAACAAGUACAUGCCAAAGCACCUGCAACGUACAAGUACGCCACCUGCUCCUUAGUAACAAACAAGGUACCUGCCACAGGUACGGGGUAUAGAGAGAGUCCAAAAAGCUCUCUCCUAGCUAGGCACUUCUCUGUACCAACCAUGGCUCACACCCACCAAGAACACAUCAAGGAGUCACACUCACCCAAAACACAUGCAAGAGUGUUCAAGGAAUCCCAUCACCAAAUCCAUGGAAAAUGCACAUCCAUAACUCAAAAGCACGUAUAUGGAUAAAUGAGCGGUGGACUAGCUAGGGGUCCGUAGCUAGUCCACAAAAGUAGGUCAACAAGGAAAAUAGGAUAAACAAUUAUCAAGGCAUGGCUAGAAACAUUGGCUAUGAAAUCCAUCAUCAUCAAGCAAUAUAAGUAAAAAGCUAGCAACUAAGCAUGCAUAGGAGCUAUAUGAUUGGAAGUGACAUGACACCUUGUCCGUAGUCGAACGGGUCCUCCUCAGUGUAGUCGGGGUCUUGAAGGUCUUCCUGGUUGUAGCUUGGGUCUGAACAGAAUGAGAUACGACGAAGCGUAAAUUAAACGACAAUACAUCUAGGCAAAAACUCUAAGAAAGCUAAAUUAGAAGAUCCAAAUAACACCAAACUAGCUACAAAUAGCACAGGUUCAAUUUUAUGAAUUUAAUGCAACUAGUUUAAUAUUUUUUGAGUUAAAAUGAAUUAGUUAUGAAUUUUUAAAGAUUAAAGGAUCAAUUCGAUUAUUUAAUAAUUUCAGAAAACAAUUAUUUAAAGGUGACACAUGUCAGCUCGGGAUUGGUUCAUGUGGCAUCCCUAGGGGGUGCCAUGUGUCCUGCUAACAUCACAUUGACAUCAGCGUUGACCGGUCAACAUGGGCCCCACGGGUGGGCCCAGCUUGGUGCGCCUGGCCUGGCCACGUCAGCCAUGUGGCACCUACGUGGCGGCCACAUGGGCUACGGCUGCGGCGUGGUGCGGCGCGCAGCGGCGGUCAGCGCACACGGGUGAGUGGCGGGGGCGCACAUGCGAGCGAGAGCGCGGGUGGGCGUGGCACGACGCUGAGCGCGUGCGGGUGUGAGCAUAGGCAAGCGCGAGCGGCAAGCAUGGGCGUGGCGCGCGGGCGAGCGCGGCGGCCACUGCCCGACCAAAGGCAGGACCUUUGGCCACGGCGAAGGCGCGGGCGGGCGUGAGCGUGCGCGCGGGCACAGGGCUUGUCUCGAUCGCGGUGGGGUGCGGGGUCCCGGUGCUCCAGGUCCGCGGCGACCAGCGGAAAUGUGGUGACGGCUACACUACCGAGGCAAAACGAGAGAGAGAGAGAGAGAGAAGGGAUUAGCGAUUCACGAUGAGGGCUCGGUGGAGACGGCGGUGGCGUGCACGACACGGCUCCAGCUUUUCUCCCCAUGAACAGCCUCCUCCUCCUCCCUUCUUAUUCCUCUUCUCCCCCUCUCCUUCUUCUCCUCCCUCCUUUCCUUCCCAUGGCCCUAUUCUCCCUUUCCUCCUUGGUGGCAGUGGAUGAGCGGAGCCCAGAUGGAUGGCGAGCGGGAGGCACUGGGGGUGCUAUUUGUAGCAGCGAGCGGCUAGAGUUAGGGCUCGAGUAGGUGGUGGAGGCUUCAAGGGUUGCUGGCGGCACCCAAGGGGUUUGGUGGCAUAGCGCCGGUGACAAGGGUAGCCGGGAUGCAUCGGCGGCUCGGGCAUGGCGGCGUGGUGGGCAUCAAAGGCUCCCAGCGCAAAAGCGAGGUGCGAGCGGGGGUCACGGGCACGUGGGCGAGUGCGAAACUGCACUCCAGCUCGACGUGGCGCGGCGUGUGUGGCGUGUGUGAGCGGGUGAGGUGGUACGGUGAGGUGGAGAAGAAGAAUAGUGCACGGCUGACGUGUGGGCCUAGGGCAUCGGCAAAGGAAGGAGGGAGCAGCACGGGCAUGAGCUGGGCCGACUGCGGCCUACUGGGCUUGGAGGCAGCGCGAGCGAGCAGGUGGGUGAGCGCGGUGCGGCGAGCUGGGCCAGCAAACGCGGGCACACGCGCGAUUAAGGGCGGCGCGAGCUGGCCCGAGCAGUUAGCAGGCCGACGAGCGGGCCAGGUUAGCGGGCUGAGUUAGUUUAGGUUAGAUUUAGGUUUUGUUUUUAUUUGGUUUAGAUUUUAGGUUUAAUUUAAUCAAGUAUGAACUCCCAAUAAAAUUCAAGAAGAUCCAAAUCAUGCCACACAUAUUUUUGAAAUGGAAUUUAGGGUAAGAGAGGAAAUAUCUAGCUUUUCAAAUGAGCACACAAUUCAAACAAGAAGUUUUAAAUUUUUGCAAAAAUUCACUCAUUCAAAUAUUGUAAGUUUUUGGAAUAUUACAGUCUCCCCCCUAAGAGAAUCUCGUCCUCAAGAUUUAAGGUUUGACCUCCUCCUCAAAUAGAUGUGGAAACUCCUUCUUCAAAUUUGCCUCUUUCUCCGAAGUUGCCUCCCUCUCGGUAUGGUUGCUCCAAAGCACUUUGCAGUAUGGGACGGACGUCCUCCUCAUAGCUUUUUCUGUGCGAGCCAAGAUCUUGACUGAGUAUUCUUCAUACUCCAAGGAGUCUUGCAAGUCUAGUGCCUCAGUGUGAACCUGCUCCUUGGGAACCCUUGGACACUUCCUCAGCUGUGAGACGUGAAACACCGAAUGCACUCCAGCCUUGCUCUCCGGUAAGGCAACCUUAUAGGCAAGGUCUCCAAUCCUCUUAAUCACCUGGUAGGGACCCACAAACCUCGGUGCAAUUUUCCCCUUAAUCAGAAGUCUCUUGGUUCCUCGGAGUGGUGAGACCUUGAGGUAGAUGUGAUCUCCAACUUCAAAAGAUAAGUCUCUCCUUCUCUUAUCUGCGUAACUCUUCUGGCAACUAUAAGGAAUCUUUAGGUUCUCUCGGACCUUGCUCAUGUUCUCUUUAGCCUCCUUGAUAGUUGCUGGCCCAAAGUGAGUCCUCUCUCCAAUCUCGGACCACAUUAGAGGUGUCAUACACUUCUUUCCGUAGAGAGCCUCAAAUGGUGACAUCUGAAGACUGACUUGGUAACCAUUGUUGUAGGAAAACUCUGCAAAAGACAAACUGCUCUCCCAAUCAUCUCCAUAGGUAAGCACACAAGCCCUUAGCAUGUCCUCCAGGAUUUGGUUUACUCUCUCAACCUGCCCAUCUAUCUGUGGGGGAAUGCUAUGUUGUACUCCAACGUAGUCCCCAUAGCCUUGUGAAAGCUCUUCCAGAACUUAGCAACAAAUUGUGGACCUCUGUCAGAAACGAUACUCUUAGGUGCUCCAUGUAGCCUCAAAAUGUUGUCCACAUACAGCUCUUCAAGAUCUCGGUUCUUAAGGUGUUCUUCACCGGUAUGAAGUGAGCUACCUUGGUGAGCCUGUCCAUAAUCACCCAAAUUGAGUCGUUUCCCUUCUAAGUCUUGGGCGAACCCAUAAUGAAGUCCAUGGAGAUGUCUUCCCACUUUCAAAUUGGUAUCUCGACUGGUUUAUGCAACCCUGCCGAUCUCUGGUGCUCAGCCUUUACUCGCUUGCAAGUGUCAUAACAGGCGACGUGGUUGGCUAUGUCGACUUUCAUAUCUUUCCACUAAAACCUCUCCUUCAAAUCUUGGUACAUCUUGGUGCAUCCUGGGUGAAUGGAGUACUUUGAGUCAUGAGCUUCCUUCAGAAUAGACUCGUGAAUAGCUUGAUCUUUGGGUACACAGAUCCUGUCCCUCAGCAGAUAGUGCCUUUGUCAUCCAUCCGGUAAUCAGUUGCCUUACCUCUUUUCAUCUGCUUCCGAAGAGGCUCAAUUUUUGAACAUUGCACUUGUGCCUACCUGAUCUGAUCUUCCAAGUUGUAUGUCACUUGUAGUUCACAAAGUUGUCCCUGCUCAACGAUCUCCAACUUGAGUUUCUCCAACUCCUCACACAGAUCAGGUUGCUCUUCCCUCACCAUCAGGUUGUUGCUAUAGGCUUUCCUACUUAGAGUGUUAGCCACAACGUUGGCCUUUCUGGGGUGGUAGUGGAUCUCCAACUCAUAAUCCUUGAUUAGCUCUAGCCAUCUCCUUUGUCUCAUGUUUAGCUCAGACUGAGUGAAGAAGUACUUUAAGCUCUUGUGGUCGGUUUAGAUCGCACACUUGUUGCUGAUUAAGUAAUGCCUCCAAAUCUUGAGAGCGUGCACAACAACUGCCAGUUCCAGAUCAUGUGUCAGGUAGUUCUCUUAAUGCUUCUUUAGCUGUCUAGACGCAUAGGCCACGACCUUUCCUUCCUACAUCAGCACACAGCCCAAACCCUGCUUGGAAGCAUCACAAUACACCACAAAGUCCUUGAUAUCUGGUAGAGUCAGCACUAGAGUGGUUGUAAGUUUCUACUUAAGCUCCUGGAAACUCUUCUCACAAGCUUCAAACCACUCAAACUUCAUGUUGUUCUUUAGCAGCUCGGUCAUGGGCUUGGCAAUCUUGGAAAAGUUCUCAAUAAACCUCUGGUAGUAUCCUGCCAAACCACAGAAGCUCCUGAUUCCUAUCACAUUGAGAGGCUACUCCCACUCUGUAACUGCUUCAAUCUUAGCUGGAUUAAUAUCUACUACCUUUGCUGACCACACGUGACCUAUGAAGGCAACUUCCUCCAUCCAGAACUAACACUUGCUGAACUUGACAUAAAGCUGGUGUUGCCAUAACCUCUCUAGCAUGACCCGAAUGUGCUCCUCGUGCUCUUCUACUAUCUCGGAGUAGAUUAGAAUAUCAUCAAUGAACAUUGCCACAAACUUGUCCAACACCUCCAUAAAGAUCUUGUUCAUCAUGUUCAUUAAGUAAGCAGGUGCGUUGGUCAAGCUGAAAGAAACCACUGUGAACUCGUACAACCCGUACCGAGGAGUGAACGCGGUCAUGGAUAUGUCACUCUCUCGAAUGUUCAUCUGGUGGUAUCCCGACCUCAAGUCAAUCUUGAAGAAGUACUUUGCUUUCCUGAGCUGGUCAAGCAGAUCGUCAAUUCGUGACAAAGGAUACUUGUUAUUAAUAGUCAUGGAGUUGAGCGUUCGAUAACCUAGAUAGAUCCUCAUGGACCCAUCCUUCUUCCUCACAAAUAGAACAGGCGAACCCCAUGAUGAAGCACUUGGUCAAAUGAACCAUUGCUCUAGCAACUUCUUCAACUGCUUCAUCUAACUCAUCGGCCGACAUCUGUUGGAUUUAUAAGCCCGGUAGUCCACCAUGGAGUUACCCAAGUGGUUGAUUUGUAGGUGAGGGCGAUUGCAAAACCAAGAACUCGAAGGUGAUCACAAGAACAAGAAGGGGACACAAGGGUUUUAGAUAGGUUUAGGCCUUCGGAGAGUAAUACCCUACGUCCUGUAUGCUGGAUUCUAUUGCUCGAGAGUUAUUUGAUGAUAGGGAUACCCUCGUGGGCUGCCCUUGGCUGCCUUAUACAGGCUGACGACCAAGAGUUACAAGUCAAUUUGAAUCUAAUCUACUCAGUAGUUACAUGGAAAGAAAUCUGAGUCGGAUUGUAAUACAUGUUCCAUGAUAUCCGGGUAGGUUUGGACAGUCUUGUUGCCUUCACAUGUACUCCAAGUAACUUCAUGUCCUUGGCCCGCACGCUCUGGUCAGGCAGGCCUACUUGGUAGGUUCGGCCAGUAUCCUGGUCGGUGGGGACCCAUAGAGUACCCAUAUCCCUCAAGCCCCCGAGCAAUGUGUAGGGGAACAGGAACUUGAUGUCAUCAUAGUGAAGCUUGGAAAGAGGUCGGCUAAAGCUGCUAUGCCGUCAUGGUGACGGAGAGGCUGCGCAGUGCUCAAAAAAGAAGAAGAUCCAAGCGAGCACAGAGCAAACGUGCAGAGUGAAGAUGAGUGCCGAGUUGAUGGAACAUAGCAUCCAGUAGGUCGAAGCAAUUGUCACGGAGGGCGUCGCAAGAUGCACUCCAUAGGAGUAGCCCCCAAGCAUUGAAGCGAUUAGAAUAAUCAGUCCAAUAGUCAAGGAAGAAAAAAGUUAUGUGUUGAAUUAGAUCCCAGUGCUCGAGUACAAGGAUAAGCAUAGCCACAGAGGCCUGCUAAAAAAAAGAUAUGCGCCAAAAUCUUCUGAAGAUAAGGACUCGUGCAAUGAUAGGUAAGCGACAAAAAUUCCUGCUCAUGGGAGGACUCCACUGUCGGAGCAACUUCACAGGAGUACUGCCCGUCACUAUUUGAAGAUGAAGCCGAGCAUCACAUGAACACUUUAGAGUUGUACCAGUAUGGAACCUCCUUGUCAUGCAACCUCACGAGUCUACUGUAGCACCUUGGAUGUUAGCUUGUGGCACAGCUAUAAAUAGACCAACGUUCAGCUUUGAGAGUCAUGGCUCGAGUAAUACCGCUUGUAGGCUUGAAGCUUGUAGUGUUUGAUAAUAGUAGCACCCGCCCAGAAGCAUGAUGCUAGAAGAAUUCUCAUGAGGGAGAUCAAGGUGCUCCUUCCCUUCGUAGUCUCUGCGAUAGAGUCGGGGGGUAACGAUGCUAGACGAAUCCUCGUGAGGAAGCUGUAUCGUGAACCCCGCCAACUUUGUCCAGAACACCGCUAGGGAAGUAUGUCGCACAACUUUCUUGUAUUGUGCCGUUUUCUUUUUCUACAUUCUAGCUUCUUAUCCUGGGAUGUCGGCUACCCUAGAGCUGUUCAUAGUUACUUGUAAUAUGUAAUGCCGAGAAUUUGAUAUUAGCUGAGUAAAAAUAUGCCCUUGCAUCUGUUUAUGGGGAUUUAUAAGGCCACAGAGGUGUGCUUUCCUGAAACUGGGCAACUAGUUCCUGAGAUUGAAGACUGGCUGUGCCACGGAGGCAAGUCGAGUAGAAUUAGGUGCCCAGCUCCUGAGGACGAGGACUGGCAGAGCCGCUGAGGCAUACCGAGUGGAAUUUAGGCGCCCAGCCUCCAAGAAUCAGGACUGGCAGAGCCCUUGAGGUGCGUCGAGUAGAAUUAGGCACCCAGCCCUCGAGUACGAGGACUGGUAGAGCCGCUGAGGAAUGCCAACCAGAAUUUGGCACCCAGCCCCCGAGGGCAAGGACUGGCAGAGCUACUAAGGCCCGCCGAGUAGAAUUAGGCGCACAGCCCCCAAGGAUGAGGACUGGCAGAGCUGCUGAGGCGCGCCGACCAGAAUUCAGCACCUAGCCCCGAGGAUGAGGACUGGCAGAGCCGUUGAGGCGCACUGACCAGAAUUUGGCAUCAGCCCCUGAGGGCGAGGACUGGCAGAGCCGCUGAGGCACGCUGAGUAGAAUUAGACACCUAGCCCCUGAGGACGAGGACCGGUAGAGUUGUCGAGGCGCACCAUUAAAAGUGAACAGAGAUCCUGCAGAUUCAGUCCCAUGCACAUGGCGCUAACAGAAAAUCCCAUAGAUUAUGCCCCACGUACACCACGAUAACAGAAGGCCCACGAUUUCCAUCCAUGAGUUACGCCGUCAUCCUCCUCAGAAGCACGAUGUCACACCCAAUUUUAAGGACAAAAUCAAGUGCAUUAAAUAUAUGUGCGCUAGGAUCAAGUUACACACAUGUACGACAUAAGCGAAAAUCAAAGAUAGUGCCAUAACAAAAUAAAGAGUGUUAACCAUUAGUACAUCACCGAAAGUCACAAAUAAACCACAAAGUCUAUUUAUUACACAGCGGAACUCCAAAGAUAGCAACGACUCCACAGGCAGCUGACUGAAGAACUGUACGCCUAGAACUCCUCAAAGUCGUGCAGGUACUCCUCCAGAUUAGCUUGGUCUAAACAGCGGUUUUGCAAGGGUGAGUACACUUAUGAUUGGUACUUAACAAGUCAUGGGGAACAGUGUAGUGUAAGGCAAAUCAAGGUAUGGCUAAGGUUUAAACAACAUCAGCUUUUAAUUUAGUUGGUCAAAUUUUAUUAGCAAUUAAUUAGAUGUAAGUUUAUACCACCCGAAAUUAAACAAGGACAUGAAUAAAGUAAUAACAUAACCAUAAAUGAAAUGAUAACAAUUUAAAUCCAUCUUUCAAUAGCAUUAUCAUGUGAGGGUGCAUGCCGCUCUUAACCGUGAACACGGCUGACCGAUCAGUUUUACACUCUGCAGAGGUUGUACAUCUUUACUCACAAGUCGCGUAAAAGUUCAAAAGAACUUUGGACCCAACCAUGAGGUGUUUGUAAGGCACAUACCAUACUUCUGAGGUGUGAUUGCAUAGAGACGCUACGAGGUCUUUACAAAGAUUCAUUAGUCAGUGGUAAUCCGCUAAGUUUCGGUGUCUGGCGUGCACAACCCUUCAUAGGCCGCUAAUGCAACGACUCAGUCCCCCCUCUUGCCUCAUCACAAGUAAGAUUACCCCAGACUAAUGUUUCUAAUUAUUCAGCCAAGACUAGAGCCAUUUAGUCUUGUGGUAGCACUGUUUUCCUAGGUGGUUCUCAAAGUUCCGAUUAAACAUUUAUGAUCUUGACUUAAUGAAAGGUAUAUCAUAAAUAAUACCAAAUUAAUGAUGUUUCAGAUUAAACCACCAUAACCAUGUUUGAGCACUAAGCACGAGCUACCCGACAUAAAUUUAACCUGGUUGGUCAAGGCAAUGUAGAUAAAGUCUAGGAAAUUCUUAAUUGGGACCCAUCAAGUUUAAAUUAUACUGUGCAUGGCAUUGUUGUAUAGAACAUGAAAGUAAAUGUGAAUAGAACUGAAAAGGAGUGAUCAAGGACACAACUUGCCUUCUUAACCUUGCUCUUGCUAUUCGUACUCCUCGAAAGCUUGCUCUUCGAAUCCUUCGAACUCUUGACCGUCUACACGCGUCACACGAGCACAUACAAGCAAACAAAUACAACAUAUAAGAAAACAGUACAUCAAUCAUAAUUAAACAGAGAAAACAAGUUUGAAAAGCUAUUCUACGCAUUAAAAUGAAUACACGUAUAUAAAGAAUGCCAAAAACGAAGCUAUAAUGCAAAAACUACGCUUAAAAUAAGAUGCAGGGGCAUAAUUGCGAGAAACCAAACUUCCAGGGACCUAAUUUAAAAUACUUUAAAACAGCGGGAGGGCAGCUGCGUAAAAACCGAAUACUGCAGGGCUAUAAUGUGAAGGCGCUGCUGCUGACUCGGCUGACUCAAUGCGAACCGUCGGAUGGAGAUCCGACGGCUGGUAGCUGCUGCGUUGACGUCAGCGACGGCGAGCGGUGGCGGAAAAAUGGCAGUUCGCCGGAAUCGCCCGGGAAUGCGCGACAAGGCGCAGAAUUGGGCGAGGAUUAGCCCAGGAGAGCAGGGGCUUGAGGCGGACUCAUUCCGGCAGUUGGUGAUGGCCGAAACGCGGCGAGGCGGUGCCCGGCGGCGCUCCGACGAGGUCUCGUGGGCGAAAGGAACGAGGUACCGCGCGGGAGCAGCUUGGCCGGGUCCUCACCAGGAUGCAAAGCUUCGAGCGGCGCUGUUGGACAUGGAGAGACGAUGGCGGCGCAGAUCAUCAAUGCACGAGCGGUGGCGCAAGUGCGAGCUUGGAGGAAGCGGGCUGUCUGUAGAUGAAAAAAAAACAAGGGUUUGGUGGGGCUCAGAGGCGAUGGUUUUGCAGCGUCUAAGGGCAUGUACAAUGGGUGACUGUGAGCUGUCUGCGAGCGGGCGUUUUUGCAAAAGUGUCCUCAUUUGAGCCAAGCAACGGGCGCGCCGUCGUCUCGCGGGCUCGUGCUCCAACACUCGGCGACGACCUACAGGCGCCGUUGUACGAUCCAUCGGCGCACCUCCGGAUCGAGUGCGAAAUCAGCCCGCGCUGCUCCAACCGAUUCCAACCACUUCCCUCCCUGCGUGCGGGACGCCGACGGGAGGCGAGGCCGGAUAGCUGGGCCGCCGCCGCGCCACGCCUCCUCCCUCCGCGCGGGAUGCCGAUGGGAGGCGAGGCUGGAUAGCUGGGCUGCCGCUGCGCCACGCCUGCUCCAUCUCCGCGGCGUCACCGGAGGCGAGCCCCCCCUCCCCUGAGAGAGCAGAUCGAAAUCCCCCGUCACGAGCUCCCCUUCAGCAUCCAGAUCCGUGACUCCCUUCUCUCCGUCUCCACAUCGACACGAGCUCACGCUGCUGCCGAAGAGUAGCGCCUUCGUGUACGCGUCGUCGCCGCGGCUCCACAUCAUCUGGGGCUGCUUCGAUUGGGGACUGACGAUGACGCGCUGCCGACGAGCAAACAGAGGGGAAGAGGUGAGCCGUGACUCUUCUUGCCGAGAUUCAUCAGCUGAGCUGUUGUUUCUUUUCUUCCCUUUUGUUCACUUCACUAGUUCACUUCAGUAGAUCAAUCAAAGCACUGUCUCUGAACAUGAGGUGCUCAUGGCUCCGUCGCGAAAGGAAGGGAUGAACAGUGAAGAAGCUAGUUAACUCAAUUAUACUUGUACCUAUUCAGAUUUUUUAGACGACUACAAUAUGACUGUUGCUAUCUUCUAUUGUAUGUUCAUACUAGAUUACACUCAAUAUGACUAGUCUACAGUUUGAUAGUGAAAUUUGAUCGGUGAGGUAUUGGUGUCAAAAUCAUUAGUACUUUUUAGGAUUGGACCAUCGAUUGACGGUGUGAGCAGAACUGCAGAAGACAUUUGAUUGGCACUCAAGAUUACCUUCAGUUUGCUUUAGUUCUCUAAAGAUUCGAUCGUCUGGAAACCUGUCAUUUGUUAUUGGCAGACAUGCAUGUCUCGUUGAGCCAUCUCAUUCUCUAAUGCUCGUUUGGAAGGAAAGUUUGAGAAUGAGUUAGAGUGUGGGCUGAAUUGAGAUUCUGAUAACACUGUAAAUAUUUUGUUGGUCUUUGCAGUCUGGGAGAGCUAGCUUGCAGCUUCCAGUGGAUAUGAUCGAUAAGAUCCUAUCUUCCUAGCAUGCCUUGCUUCUCCCUGCAAGUUUGGCGUAAUAUCAUAAAGGGGAGAAGCUUUCUUGAUUGCCUCAGGAAGCAUGCAUUGCAUUCAGCCAAUAAGCAACAAAAUAGUAUACAUAGAUCAUAUUUAUACCCUAUCAUCUUGAUUUGAAUGAAUUAAAUGACUUGCAGAUAAGUUAAAAGACAAAUCAUUAUAUAAAAUCACUGUCUAUAUGUGACUUGCCGACGGCAGCCGUCUAAAAUGUUGAAGGUGCUCUAAAUGCGGCCUUGGCGUGCGGCCCCAGAGGCCAAGGCGGAUACAGACGGUUCGUUUCGCGAGUGUGACUCGGACCUGAGUCCGACGCGGAGAAGUCUCGUCAACCAGCUCGCGGAGAAGGAGCGAGGCGUGCGAGCUGGGCGGAAGCAGGCGGAAAGAAGGAGCUGAUGGCAGGGCCCCAGCGGCCAGAGGAAAGGAAUAGCGGUGCGUGAGGGAAAAGGGUAGCUGGGCCGCUGCUUGUUGGGCCGGCACAGGGAUAAACGGAACUGGGCCAGAGGGAGUAGCAGGUGCUGCGCUGGGCUAAAAAAGAAAGGGGCUUUGGGCCGGCGCAGCAAGGAAACAAAACUGGGCCGGAAAGGAAAGGAAACGAGAGUCCAAAACAAAAAGGAAACUGCGCCCGCAGCUUGCUCCUGACUCAGAACUGAAAAUAGCAAAACAGGAACAACGCCCAGCAGACAGCAACUCUGAAACCUGACUGAACUUCCAGGAAACUGACAGAACUCCCAAAGACAGAACUGAAGCUCGACAGGAACAAGCAAACUGCAACCGAACUGAAGACAAGAAAACCACAUAAAAGAACUACAGAACUCUGAGCCGAAGAACUGAACCUGGAUAAUGGCUUGACUGAAAACAGAAACACCACCAGAACUGAACUAACUGACAGAAAAAAAAAGAAACAGCCACCUAAAGCAAACCACAAGCUCGAAACCAAGCAAACAAGAUGAACACUAUGCAGCGGCAUGAAUGCACAAACAAAAUCCUAUGUUUCAUUAUUAAAUUAGAAAAAUGCUUAAAUGCCUAGUAAAUGCAAAAAUGACCCCUUAUAUGCCUUAAACAUGCAAAUUGUUUCUAGCAAAUUUUAAUAAAAUGCAAAGUUGUAAAUUUUGGGUGUUAUACGCGAGGGGUUACGGAGCCGUUUUCAUCCUUAUCUUCAACAUUCUUAGGGCCUCCACCUUGAGCUCACUGAGCACUUUGCCGCCGCACUCGCUAACCCUAGGCGUGCCGCCGCAAUCCACAUUCCGCUCGCGCGCAUUGCUGCUGCUGCCCGAGUUGCCGUACCACCACCACCUGAGCCGCCGUGCCGUCGUAUGCACAUCAAGACCCUAGUCCUUUUUAGAUCUAAAUCUCAAGGCAUCGAGCUUGAAGAAAUGGCGUAAUCCAAUGCCCCGGAGCAAUCUUCAAUCUGGAUGAAGUUCGUGAUGACACAAGAGCACAUCCAAUCCCUCGUUGACCGAGGCCUCCUCGGACCACAAGCGCUGCUGGAGUGGAAGCCCAUUGCCAGCCAAGAGUUCCUAUUGGAGGACACGGUGGAGAUGUUGGUGUUCGCGCUGUUCUUCAAGCGCAGAUUCAGGUUCCCAACAGGAGACUUCUUCCACGGCCUCCUCCACUACUACAAGAUUGAACUGGUACACUUGAAUCCAAACUCAAUCUUGGAUAUAUUUGUCUUAAUCCAUCUAUGUGAAGCAUACUUGGGCAUCCCUCCACACUUUCAUCUGUGGCGCUACUUGUACCAAUUGAAUCCCGUGAUUACUAAGGGGAAAAAAGACCGGGUUAUUGGGGGUUGUGGAUUCUCGCUACGGCCCAAGAAGGUGUAGGAGUAUUUUGAUCUGCAGUUGAGGGAGUCCAACCAGGGGUGGCACAGCGAGUGGUUCCUCAUCGCAAAUUAGCAUCCUGAGCUACUGCCGCGCAAAGGGUAUGGGCUAGUGUCUACGCCCGAGUGGUCAAACUAGCCCACCUCGAAAGAGCAGGUCCAAGUAGAUGAGCUGCUAGCGAAGAUCGCAGACUUGAAGGCACGGGGACUGACAUCCACGGCCAUCAAUAUCAACUUCUGUCAAAGGGCGAUGCAACCGAUCAAGUACCAAGUGCAUCCGUCGUACGAGUACUCGGGGCUAGAUGAUUCGACCCGAGAGGUUCAUGGCAAGGUGCCCAACAAAGAGGUCAUCGACAGGGUGUGUGAGUUCUUCAAGGGUGUUGUUAGUAACAGGGACAUCCCCAAAGCCUUCUCAAUGAAAAGGCCGUCGCCCACCUUGGUAAGAUUGUCGUCAGCAUUUACUUCAUGCAUUAUAUAUACUUGUGAUGUUUCUAAAUGAGUAAAUGAAUUGAUUAGGAUGAUGUGUUUGUUUACUUUUGCCCGACGCCACUGCUUGGAGGGGUUGAGGUGAGGCCACCCAAGAUCUGUCCGACCGAUGUACCAGUUGCACCACCCGCCGAUCUUGAGUGGAACUCGGAGUCUUCUUUUGGGUCGAAAGUGGGGGUGACGAAAGAGGUUGGCUAGGACCAAGGCACUGAGCAGGUUGGGUGGUGGACACGGCAGGCCAUCUCCAAGGCACCGCAGCCAGUGGGAAGAGGAAGAAGAUGGCCGGCAACAAGAAGGAGAAAGCUGCACCGAGUAUUGCUGCCUCAACCAGGUCGGUCAGUGAGGCAGAGUCCGACACGCCAAGCCCGGUUGCAAAGAAGAAGUCGGAGCUCCAAGAGACCAUCGCAGCUAAUGCGACCCAUGUUAAGGAGGCGCUGAAGGUAAAGAUGCGCAGCGGAUCCAGCGAAGAUACAUCCGUGCCACCUUCGCAAUUGCACCCCAAGUUCUGGGUGAAGAAGAAGAGCACCCUAUAAGUGUCGCCAUCUUAAUACUAUCCAUGUUUAUGAUUGCAGUCUAACUUGCAUGAAUUGCUUGGUUGUAAUGAUGAUGCAGGACCGGUGUUGGGUCUAACGGUGCUAGCGCACAGUUGACCAGGUGCUCGGGCCAGACCGAGGCGACCAGCUGUGGCACCGUCGAGUAGCUGCUGGCCACAGAGGUCAGGAUUGUUGAGGAUGGUCGCACUGUAGAGGUUGCGCCGAAUCCAACACCACAAAGGGAUGAGGCUGUCUCCAAAGAUGAAAACGCCACCAUGGUCGACCCCGAGGUCGAGAAGAAGGCUGAGGUAGAUGCUAGAGUCAAGCCUUAGCAGGAUGAGCUACCCAGGGAUGAUCCGCCACCGGAAAGAUCCAGCAGUGGUGCCGACAUUGGCAUGUAAGGCACUCAUAGGGGUCGACCUCUCAGAAAAAUAGGAACUCGUGCUCACCAGUUUCCUCCGAGAGAACUCGGACAUAUUUGCGUGGAAGUCAUCCGAUAUGCCUAGUAUCCCUAGGGAGCUAGCUGAGCACUCCUUGGACUUGAGCAAGACUACACAGCCGGUCAAGUAGAAACUUCGUUGCUUCACCCAAGAUCGCAAGGAGGCCUUUAGGGUAGAAUUAAAUAAGCUCCUAGUUGUCGGAUUCAUUCGUGAAUAUAAGCAUUCUGACUAGUUAACCAACCUAGUUCUUCUAAGAAAGAAAACUGGUAAAUGGAGAAUGUGCAUUGAUUACAUUGACCUGAACAAGCACUGCCCUAAGGACCCCUUCCCUCUUCCGUGCAUGGACCAAGUCAUAGACUCUACGGCAGGGAGCAUCCUGCUCUGCUUCCUCAACUGCUACUCAGGCUAUCACCAGAUUGCUCUUGAUCCAGCCGACCAAGACAAGACGACAUUCAUAAUGCCCUUUGGCAUCUAGUGCUACAAUAUAAUGACCUUCCGGUUGAAAAAUGCCAGCGCCACCUACCAGAAGGCAAUCCAGGGUUGCCUCGCAACACAGCUGCAGGAAUGCUGAGGCUUACGUCGAUGAUGUGGUUGUCAAAAAAAAAGGAUGAGGAAAGUUUCAUAGCCGACCUCGAGGAGACCAUCAACAGCCUCCGGGCUUACCGCUGGAAACUCAACCCCAGCAAGUGCAUCUUCGGUGUCCCAUCUGGAAAGCUCCUGGAGUUCAUGGUCAGCCAGCGAGGCAUCGAGGCCAACCCUGUCAAGGUGGAUGCAAUCCGAAACAUAGCAAAACCAUCUAACAAGAAGGAGAUCAUGAAACUUACUAGCAUGAUGGCAGCCCUUAGCUGCUUCAUCAGCAAACUUGGAGAAAAAGGUCUACCCUUCUUCAAGAUCCUUAAAAAGGCAGACAAAUUUGUGUGGGAUGAUGAGGCCAGCAAGGCACACAAAGAGCUCAAAGCUUUCCUCAACACUCCUCCCAUCAUGAUGGCCCCGGCCCACCAAGAAAAGCUGUACCUCUACAUCUCCACAAUGACGCAUCUUGUCAGGACCGUGCUAGUUGUAGAGCGCUAGGAGCUCGACCAUGCUUACAUGGUGCAACGGCUAGUGUAUUCUGUCAGCGAAGUCCUUAGCGACACCAAGACACGCUACACCCAGGUUCAGAAACUGUUCUACACAGUGCUGAUGUCAUCAAGAAAGUUGCGCCAUUACUUCCAGGCACACAAGAUUUGCGUAGUAUCUUCGUUCCUUAUUGGUGAAAUCCUACAUAACAGGGACGUCAAUAGUCGAGUUGUUAAGUGGUCUGUGGAGCUCAGCGAAUUCGACCUUGAUUUUUGCCCAAGUCACGUGAUCAAGUCACAAAUCCUGGCUGACUUCGUGGCUGAGUGGACAAAGAUCCAGAAGCCACCCUCUCUGGAGAGGCCAGAACACUGAACCAUGUACUUUGACGGCGCCCUGAACCUCGAAGGAGCCGGCGUGGGGGUCCUCUUCAUAUCCCCUAAAGGCGAGCAGCUCAAGUAUGUGCUCUAGAUCUACUACAACACCACCAACAAUGGCGCCGAGUACGAAGCUCUGAUCCACAGCCUCCACAUCGCCGUGUCCCUCGAAAUCAAGCAUAUACUCGCUUAUGGCGACUUCAAGGUUGUCAUCGAGAAAGUCAACAAGUAUUGGGAUUGCACCAAGGAAUCCAUGGAUGCUUACUACAUGGAAAUCUGCAAGCUCGAGGACCACUUCAAUGGCCUUGAGUUCCAUCAUGUCCCCAAGGACCAUAACAUCGCUGACCGACAUCCUGUCCAAGCUCGGCUCCAAGCGUGCGCAGGUUCCGGUUGGCGUAUUUGUACAAGAUCUUUGGAAAAUCUUCCAUCAAAAUUCUAGAUCCGGACCAAGCCAACGACGCUGGCGCUCAGGGCCCGGCUGACCCAAAACCCACUGACGUCAUGAUGAUCAAGGCAGAAGAAGAUUGGUUGCCCCAUUCAUAGCCUUGAUCACUGACCAGAUGUGCCAGAGGAUAAGAUAGAGCAUGAAAAAUUAGCUCGGCGCAGUGCAAACUAUGUCUUCAUUGGCUAGGAGCUCUACACGAAAGCCGCAUCCAUGAGAAUCCUGAUAAAGUGUAUCCUAUGCAAUGAAGGCAUCGAACUCCUGAAUGAAAUCCAUUUGGGAACAUGUGGCAACCAUGCUGCCUUGGGCACUUUGGUCAGCAAAGCCUUCCGCUUUGGUUUCUACUAGCCAACGAUGCAAAGGGUGUCAAUUCUUCUCCAAGCAGCAGCACUUUUAAGCUUAGACCCUACACACCAUCCCACCAUCCUAGCCUUUCGCAUGCUGAGGGCUAGACAUGGUCGGACCAUUCAAAACUGCUUUGGGUGGCUACACACACAUCUUCAUGGUAGUGGAUAAAUUUACCAAGUGGAUUAAGGUCAAGGCUAUUACCAGCACUGAGUCGGCUAAAGCCGCCUAGUUUGUGGAGGAAAUUAUGCACCGCUUUGGAGUGCCAAAUAGGAUCAUAACCGACCUUAGCAUGCAAUUCACAAGCUCCAAGUUGUGGGAUUUUUGCCAAGACAACCUCAUCGACGUGUACUACUCCUCAGUAGCGCACCCACGCUGCAAUGGUUAGGUUGAACGUGCAAAUGGGAUGGUCCUCCAAUCCCUCAAAUCACGCAUUUUCGACGACACGUCCAAGUACGCCAUGAAGUGGCUACGUGAGCAAUGUUAUCUGGGGUCUACGAACGCAGAAAAGUUGGGCUACCAGCUACACCCCUUUCUUCAUGGUAUACGGCUUAGAGGCCGUCCUAUCAUCAUACGUGGCCUUUGUCACCCCACGCAUCCAGUACUACGAGAAAGGCGAUGCAGAAAAAAGUCAGCGGGUCGACAUCGACAGCCUUUAAGAGUAUCGUGUGGCAGCCCUCAUCCAACAUGCAUGCCAUAAGCAUCAGAUACAUUGCUACCAUGAUUGAAAUGUCAGGGAACGCUCCUUCAACGUUGGCGACUUGGUGCUUCACCGGGUCCAAUCCACCAAGAACAUGCACAAAUUGGCUACCCCCUGGGAGGGCCCCUUCAUCAUCAAAGAAGUCAUCCAGCCAGGCACCUACCGACUACAAUUGGCAGACGGCUUCGACACCCCUAAUCCAUGGAAUAUCGAGCAUCUACGAUGUUUCUACCCGUAUAAAUAUAAAGCUAUGUACCCUAUUUCCCUUCUAUAAUAAAUAAAUAAAACCUCAGUGGUUCUUUCUACGUACCUACUAUCUUAUUGUUCUCCUUCCCAAGCUAUCCCUGACGCUCGGGGGUUGUCCGACCUGUUCAACAGCCCGCUUGCUGACAAGCUCGGGGGCUUUCCCCAGGCGCUAACCUCUGGGUCACGAAUUUUUCUCCUCCCCCUCUCAAGGUGUUGGCGCUAGAAAUCGGUCAACCGAAUCCCAGCGUCCGACACACGACCCGGGAGAAUCUGCUUAACUCCUGUUCGGGUGAUUGCCCUGGUGCGAUUCGCGCGGCGUGCCAGCCAAUCUGACCUGUUGAUUGGCAAGGAAGAAUACGUGUCAGGUCCAAAAAUCACGAUCGGCUAAGUUUCCGAUCUCGAGAAAGCUUAUCAGCGAAUCGGCCGAUUUGCCGUAAUAAAGAAAUCGGCUAUAAGGCAGCCGAUCACUGUAGCUUUGUAGAUGGAAAACUACUAGAGUAAUCGACGCAAAGCUACGAUAACAACACUAGGAAUAGAUCUAAUCGGCAAUACAAAAUAGAUGAAUUUAAUAGCAGAACGUGAAGAAAGCCGAAACUACCGAUUCCUAGCUGGAUAACUGGUGAUAAAACUAGAAAGACAGGUAAAACCUAUGAUUCUAGCAAAUAUCGAUAACUAGUGAAUAAAUCUAAACGAAACAACAGCGAUACGCCCGAAGUUAAAGCUUAGAUAUUACUCGAUAAGCGGAACUUACAGAAUCGGCCGGAGAUCAAGCUGAUGCAGCCCUGCCAACCCGCACGAACUCGUGAAAGAGAGAAAAGUAUUGGCGAAGUCGCCUGCUUGAAAGUAAGUACGAGGAAAAAGUAGUUUGUUGUAUUGAUUUGUUGAUGAUUACAGAUUUACAAAGGUAGCUAUUUAUAGCCCCGUACAGAUGACUUCUUAACCGACUAGAAUUCUAUCCCUAAUUCAAACAGAAAACGAAUAUUUACAAGCACGAUUCGUGCUAGGUUGGUUACUCUGCGCUUCAUGGGCUGAUCUCCCCCUUAUCCUUUUAUUCCUUUCCAAGCCCAUACAGGCCCAAUUAAACCAACCUCCUAAUCGGCCGAUUCCUUAUCGGCAAAAGGCAACCGAUUGGGACCCCAGCACGUUCGAUCCGAAGCGAGACAGAAGUCGUCGGCCGAUCUCGCACUGUAGCACCAUUCGACCGAUUCCCAACUGUGCUUCUCCGAUUCCCUCUCUUCUUGGCACCGAUUUACUAGUGACGAAAUCUGGAGUCAACACAUGCCCCCCAGUUUCGGAGUAAAACAUAGUCUUUUACUUCGAAAUUCUUUAUAACCUCCUCUCCGAAACGGGCGCAGUAAAAAUAUCCUUCCGUUUCGCGGUCUUCUAGCUGAUGAUUGCAAUCUUUUCGAAACGGGCGCCCACGACAGCCACUACUCUCGAAAAACUCGAAACACCGGCGCGGUGAAAAUUCCGUUUUUACCCUCCUUCAGGCAUCCUUUAAAUAGCGCUUCACCCCGCACUUCAUCUUCAAGCUCACGUCUCUUUUUCCAAGCGCGCGCGCCCUCUUCUCUCUUCAGCAUCCUUCCCUUGCCGCCGAAGCCUUCUAGCGCCAUCCUCCUGUUACUUUUCCCCUUCUCUUCCAAUGGCGGCUCCUUCUGGCAGCUCUCCAGCGCGCGACAUUCCAGAAGUAGCGCCUCCGGCAGUAGUGGCGACGGCCGUUGCUCCAUCCACAGAAGAAGGAGCUUCACCGGAGAUCCCGAUGGCGAUCCCCAUCACGGCCUCAUCGUCCGCACCUGCACCGGCGACCACGCCGACCACACAGAACUUCAUCCCAGAGGUAAAUACCGAAUCUUUCUUCUAUCGGCAAUGUAUUUACUUUAGAUCUGUUUCUUACUUUUCCUACACCCCCCUUUCCUUUUUUAGGCAGUUAGGCAUCGUAUUACCAUCCAUCUCACGGGCAAUCCCGGCCUUAUUUGUCUCGGACCUAUGGGGAACCCAGAUCCAAUAGAGCUUAUCAAUUUGGAAACCCACAGGAUACCCUUCACACCGGCCGAUCUCGCACUGUAGCACCAUUCGACCGAUUCCCAACUGUGCUUCUCCGAUUCCCUCUCUUCUUGGCGUCGAUUUUACUAGUGACGAAAUCUGGCGUCAACACAAGGAUAUACGACUAACUCAUGUGGUCGGUGUCCUAGCUCGUGAAACCUAGACAACAUCGUAUUCACCCCUCCUACAAGCUCGAGAUUCGGUCUCAGCAGGACGCUGGCCAGGCAAGGUUAGGUGCUUAGCGGCUACAUGACAGCUACAUGCUGUCAUGUCGUAUACACCAAGGGAGGGAUGGAGUUUCUCUUCAUUACAUAUAAUUAAGAACAUUGCAUUCAACGUUUCAUCAAACAGCUUGAUACAUCUUAAAUGUUUUUCCUACAGGUCCAAGUCAUUUACAAUGGUCUCAGCCACAUCAUGGUACUGCUCAACCACCUCAGGAAUCAAGUCUUCUUCGAAGUCGGCCGCGACUCCUAUCACAACACGUUCCAAGGGAAGUUUCAGGAAUUAUGAUGCCAACAAAGCAAAGGUGUUCUUGAUGCAUUCCAAUGCAGUAUCCUUCAGUAGCGCCUUGAGCCGACCUGGUGCAUCCUUGAGACGGUCCAGUAGCAGCAUUGGUGCAGAUGGGUCGGCGUCUGCUUGGACCAUGUCCAUCACAUAGCUGGCUGCCUUCCACAGCUGCUCCAUCUCUAACUCCAACCCUGCAAUUACACGCUGGUCAUUUUGGAGAUUACUUACAGCAGCCUCUAAGCAGCACUCGGUUUCCUUGCGUGCAUUGGCUUCGUGGGCCAACUUCUAUGAUACUGCAUACUCACGCUUGACUGCCAUGUCAUGCUCCUGCUCAAGACGUGUGUUGGAUUGUUCGCACUCCUUGAGGUGCUAUUUCAGCCUCUCCUCCCUCAGCAUGGCAUCUAUUUGUCCGACCAAGUCUACAUGAGCAUCAAGAUAUCCAAGAGAAAUAUGAUUUAACAAGUCGGCACAGCAUACCUCUCAAGUGCGAAGUGAAAACUUCCUUCUCAAAAGCAAAGUCAAUCCUGUCCUUCAACAAGUGAUUGGCCUACUUCACGACAUCCUCCUUGGCCUUCUUAAGGUCGACCUCGAGUCACUCCACCUUAAGGCAGUAGUGGUCAGCUUGGUGGGCCGUAUCCGCCCACUUCUGCGCUUGUUCGGCCAGACCUUGCACAUAUCUUCACAUUUAGAAUUCGGCAACUAAAAGGGAUUUCUGCAACAGGUCUUCUAGGUUGGUCAGCAAACUUACACUCAAAAACUCGAUGAUCCUCGAGGACGACUGCUGCAGCUCGGCAAGAGCCUUGUGGUCCACCUCAACGCCUUCACCAACGCCUUGUGGCCCGGAGGGUCUUCUAGGCCGAGGCAAAUCUUCUUGAGUCGGGGGUCGGGCUGCAGCGUGUUGGCUCCUUACUAAUCUUUUGGGCCUUGGUUACCAUGGCGGUGGCCUUAGCUGAUAACUCCAGUGCUUCUGCGAGCUGAACUGCCUCAGUGUCGCAUCUGUAUGACGUCUCCACAUCACCGUAGAUGGAGAGGACUCCGUUUGGGGCCGGCAUCUUGAGGAAAAGGUAGGUGUGGUGCAGGAUUGCCAUAAAUCUUGCUAGCAUGGGCCGACCAAGGAUGGCAUGGUAGGAAGUCUUGAAAUUUGCCACCUCAAAUGUGAGAUGCUCCGUGCGGUAGUUGGCCUGUGUGCCAAAAGUAACCGGCAAAACAACUCGACUAAUGGGGUAAGAUCCUUUGAUAAGGACCAUGUCAUAGAAGGGUUCUUCACAAGGCUGGAGCCGCUCAAAGUCGAAGUCCAUGCACUUCAAAGUCUUAGUGAAGAUGAUGUUUAGGCCACUGCCACCAUCAAUUAGCACCUUGGGGACUAGGGCCCAAUCUAUAGUCAGGAAAACCACUAGUGGGUAGGACCCGGGAUGUGCGAUGUGGACCUAGUGAUCUUGCCUGGAGAAAGUUAUGGACUGUUCUGACCAGCGCAGAUACUAGACUGGCUAUACAGAGACAAAGUGCACCUCUCACUGGCGUAACUUCUGCUAGCGCUUGCAGCAAAAGGUGUUACGGCCACCCAUGAUGAUCUUGACUUGGUGCUCUGGUCGCUGGAAGUCUUUGUUCUAGUCGACACCGAGCUGUGGGGCGUCUUGAUGUGGCUGGUCGCCGUGCUCCUCUCUGUUCUAGUUGUCACGGUCGUCGUGUCUGCUGUUAUUGUGGUCUUCAUGGUUGCCGCGGUUGUCGCGAUGGUGGCCGUUGCGGUCGUCGUGGUGACGGUCAUCAUGGUCGUUGUGGCGACGGUCGUCGUCACGGCUACGGUAGUCGUGUUUGUUGUGAUCCCGAUGGUAGUGGUUGCGGCGGGGUCGCUUGUAUUCCACCGGGGUGCCGAGCUCUUUCUUUAGGACUGUGCAAUACCGAAAAGUAUGACGUGCGUCCUUAUGGAAGGGGCUUGGAGCACUGAGGGUUCUGUCAAAUUCUUCCCGGAUGAAAGUGGUCGGCCUAGCCGGAUCUCCUUCAGCAACAUGGACCUCUGGGGCCCUUUUUCGAAGUCGGGACUCCGAGCGUGCAUGUGGUUUGUCAUGGAUUGGCUGAUCGUAGUUGUCGACAGUGCAAUGCUUGAUGUUCUGGAACUAAACUUUUGCCGCCUCCUCUAUGUCUACUUGUCUAUUAACAACUUCCAUCAUCUGCCCGACCAUCUUGGGAGCAGCCUCGUACAACUUGCAGAACAUGGGGUGGUUCAUCAAGCCAGAGCGAAAAUACCAGAUGAUAUCACGAAAUUUGAUGCGAGCUAGUGUGUUGCGGUUCUCGAAGAAGCAGUUGGCAUAUUCUCGAAUAGUUUCACAUAUCCUUUGACAAGCUUGGCCCAGUUUCUCCCUAUUACCAGGUCGGCUAUACGUGGCCUUGCAAUUCUAGGUGAAAGCUCUAGCAAGCUGACCCCAACUAUCGAUGCUAUUCGGAGGGGGAUUCUCCAGCCACAGGAGUGGAGCAGGACCCAUCACCAUCGGGAAGUAGGCGACCAUUUGGUUGUAGGUGCCAUUCGCAGCUCUCACUGUGAUACCGUAUGUCUUGAGCUAGAUGGCAGUGUCGGAGCAACCAUCAUACUUUUCAUUAAUGGUCGGCUUGAAUGUGGCUGGCCAAUCAACAGCCCUAAGGUGUGGGGUGAAAGCAGCGAAGCCAUCGAUCAUCAUGUCAUCAUCGUAAUCAUCAUCGAUGUAGUGUUGGAUGGGUGGGGCCCUGUGGCGUCCGCUAUAAUUGUGCCUGGGCAGGUAGUAGGCAUCUUCGGGAGCGCCGUACAUGUGGUCGUAGUCGCACCUUGUCCGGUUGUAGGAGUCUUCAAGGGCGUAGUAUACACGAUCGCAGUUGGUGUGGCAGCGCAUCUCAUCUUCCUGGCGACAACGGUCCUCACGCUCCUCAUUGCGGUUUAGCCCAGGAGCGCCAUAGUCACGGUUGUGCUCGGCACGGCGAUGGAGCUUGGCCCCUUCACGCUCAUGGUGGUAGUUGUUGAGGUUGGCAUGGAUGUCACGAUGCUGGUGGAGGUCGCGCAGCUCAUCACGGAGAUCACAUUGCCAUUCUGGUCGACCUCGGUUGUCAUCAUUGCCUCACCUGCCAUGGAGGCGGUUGUCGUUGUUGUCGUACUGGCAUGCGUUGUUGACGUUGUUGUGGACAGGUGGAUUGACAUGAUUGUUGGCCGGUGGGUUGGCAUUGUUGUUGACAGGUGGGUUGGUGGGUAGGAUGCUGUUCUGCUCCACCUCCUCUUCACGGAUUGGCUCCAUCUGACACCGAAAAUGCAUUUGGUAGGGUUAAGUUUCCAGCGGAAAGCUCGCAGGCUUGAGAAGAUUUCCUCCAAAUCAAUGAUUAGGUCUUCCUUAUUUCUUGUUUUGAUGACUACAUCGUCCACGUAAGCUUCUAUAUUGUGAUGCAAUUGUUUUCAAAGCACAUCUGUAUGGCGCGUUGGUAAGUUGCGCCUGCGUUUUUUAACCCAAAUGACAUUGUUUUGUAGCAAAAAGCCCCAAAUGGAGUGAUGAAGGCUGUUUUGGUUUGAUCUUCUUCUUUGAGACUUAUCUGGUGGUAGCCUGAGUAACAGUCAAGAAAGCAUAGCAAGUCGCAUCCGGCAGUAGAGUCGACUACUUGGUCGAUCCUGGGUAGUCCGAAAGGGUCCUUUGGACAACGUUUGUUGAGAUCCAUGUAAUCGACACACAUUCUCCAUUCAUUGUUUUCUUGCGAACUAGUACAGGGUUGGCUAGCCAAUCAGGGUGAAAGACUUCUUUGAUGAACCCUGCUGCGAGUAGUUUGGCUAACUCUUUUUUUAUUGCUUCUCGUCUGUCUUGGGUGAACCUUCGGAGGCGUUGUUGUUUUGGGGUAGCCUUGGGAUCAACAUUUAGAGAAUGCUCAAUCAGUUCGUUGGGCACACCAGGCAUGUCAGCUGGUUUUCAGGUGAAGAUGUCGUGGUUAGCCCGAAGAAAACUGAUGAGCGCGGUUUUCUAUUUGGGAUCCGUCCUAUCCCAAUCAGUGCUGCCUUAGAAGGAUCGCCGGUCUUGAGAUCGACUGCUUUGAAGUCUGUCUCAUUUGUUGCCUUCACUUUUGCUAUCCCUGAAUUGUUUUCUAGGAUUUCAAGUUCUGUUGGAUGAAGCUUCUUUGAGGCUGAAAAAACUUAUUGCAUGGGACUGGGCCCUUGUGAAGUUGCUGCAAUUUCCACGGCUUCGGUGUCGCAUUCAUAAGAUCUCCUUAGGUCUCCUCGUAGUGUUAAUUCUCCCUUGGGUCCUAGCAUUUUGAGUACCAGGUAGACGUAGUGUGGAAUAGCCAUGAAUUUAGCCAGAGCUAGUCUCCCGAGUAUGGUGUGGUAAGAGGUUUCGAAGUCGGCGACUUCGAGUCUGAUGUACUCGGUUCGGUAAUGCUCCUUAGUGCUGAAAGUAACUGGUAGGAUGACUUGUCCUAGUGGUAUAGCUGCGUUGCCUGGUAUGAUUCCGUAAAAGGGAGAAUCUAUUGGAGUGAGCAUUUCCGUGACGUCGAGACACAUUUUUCUUAAUGUCUUGGCAAAAAUGACGUUGAGUCCACUUCUGCCAUCGAUGAGUACUUUUGUUAGUUUUGAGCCUGCCACGACAGGAUCGAGUACUAGGGGAAAUCGGCCUGGCUCUAAAAAGUUUGUCCAUUGGUCCUUUCUGCUGAAGGUUAUGGGUACCUCGAACCAUUUUAGCGGUGUUGGAUCUGUCGGUUCGAUGGCCAUGAUUUUCCUGAGUACCAACUUGCUGGACCGCUUCGAAGCGAUACCCGGGAUUCCGCAAAAGAUGAUGUUGACUAUUUUGGAGGCGGUCUGGAAGUCUCCUGCUCCUUCUUCAUUCUUAUGGACUUUGUUUUUUCCUUUAUCUUUUUUCUGGAUGUACUCCUCGGGAGGUGGUGGUGCGGGUAAUUCUUGCAUUGCUCGGCGCAUGCUGUAGCAGUCUAUGGCAGAAUGUUUGCUGUUUGGGUGCCAUGGGCACUAUUUUUUGAGCAAUUCGGUGAAGCUAGGUCCUUCAUCAUGUUUGCAGGAUCCUUUCUUCCCUGAGUUGGUCAUGGAAGUAAUGGUGUUGUCAGGUUUCCAUUUGCGAUUUUGGUUACUCAAAAAGUUGUUCCGAGUAUCGCUUUGUUGUUUCCUGUCCUGUUCGUGGCUGCUAUUGUCGCACCCACGGCUGCGAUGGGAGCCGAAUUGUUCUUGCUCUUUAUCUUCUUCGUCUGUCCAUUGUUGCCUGGUCGUAGUCUACCAAAGUCCUGAUACAUUCGACGAUCAUAGAGGCCAUUUUGGAAACACUCGAUGACGUCUGUUUCUGAAAUGUCGACUAUUGUGGCCUUCUUUUCAAAGAAUCGCUGUAGGUAGUCGCGUAGUGUUUCGCCUUCUUUUUGUUUUACUCGGCUUGGAUCGAUCUUGUUGCCUGGUCUAUUCAUGGAGCCUGCGUAGUUGUUGGUGAAUGCUUUUGUCAGAUCCUCCCAAGAGUCAAUUGUUUUGGGCUUGAGUGGCUCAAGCCAUGUUAGGGGUACGGGUUCCAUGCAUAUGGGAAAAUGGAUGACUUUGGUGUCAUUGUUGCCUCCGGCUGCUUGGACUGCCAACAAGUAGCAUCAGAGCCAUUGAAUUGGGUCUUGCUUGCCAUCAUACUUGGUGAUUCUUGUUGGCUUCAAUUUUUCGCGUAGUCUUGUCCUCAUUACCUGAGCUGUGAAGGUGGGGAAGUGGUUGUAGUUGUCGACUUCUCAUUCUCGGCGACUAUUGAUUAUUUCGCGUAGAUUGCUGAAAUUUGACACUUUGUAAUUGUUCCUAAUGUGGCGAGGGCUUUUUGCUGAAUUGGUCUAGCUAGCCUCUCUGAGGUCUUUAUGUCAUGCUGGAACUUCAUGUUUACUCUGUCCUUGGCUAAGCUGCCUUGGUUGGUUGAUUACCUCAUUGUUUCUUUGUGUUUUGUGAAGGCCAUUGUCGAUUGCAGUGCCCCUGCUGCCCACUUGAUGAGCCGUGUUGUGAGGGAUAGAUGGGAUUGGUGAUUCUUUAUCGAGUAAUUUGUAUGCUUGCUAUGCGAGUUGCACAAUUAGCCCAUUGCCUCGCUGCACGAGUUGGGCCGUUACUUUAGUGUCUCUAUUUCGAGGUAUCAGAGUUGAUAUGAGAUUGAUUGAGGCAAUCGCUGCAAGUGGAGUGGUGUGUUCUUGAGCUUGUACUGCAUCAAAUGCUCUUUCAAGGUUUGUGAUGGGAAUGUUUGUAGCUAGUAAUUGUCGGCACUCUGCCCGAUUAAUGUUUCGUAUCCUUCUUUGGUUUCUUUGAUCGGGAGUUUCGUCUUGUGGAGCGUUAGCCGAAGACUCAUCUUCUGAAAUGUUGUCGAGCUGCGCUAUCCGUCGAGGUGUUCUCUGCUGGCUAGUACCCACAUUGUUAUUUUGAGUGAUGACAAAGACUUCUCUGUCCGGGUAGUAGCUUCCAGAGCUUGAUGUUGUGAUUUCUGUGGAGCUCUCCUCGCGGCUUGAUGUAAGCGAGGUGCCUUCUUGGUAUGGAAGGUUGUCUAUGUGAGCGACAAGGCGUGACUCGUAGUCGCGGGUAAGGAAAGAUGGCUUCAUUCCUGGCCAGUGAAUGAAUCUGCCUUGUGGUAUUGAGGUUAUUACCAAACCUUGGGUUGGCCCUGAUAACGGGGUUUCUUGGAUAUAGUCCGAGUCAAAGUCAUGGUCCUCGUCUUCCCCGAGUUCGAGUUGAGUUCGGGUGAAGAGAUCUUGGUAGACUUCGGCUGUAUUACGAAGUCCAUAUGGGAAUCACUUUUGAGUUGAAGUCGACUUGUGAAGUGACUCGGGCUCCAGCUUGUGUCGACUAGUCCGAUCCGAGGCUGAGUCCGGAGUGUAGUCGAACUCGGGGUUGUUGACUUUGAGAAUUUGGCUUUUCUUGAUGAACUCCCUUGUUUUCGGCUGAGGAAAACUUUUGUCGUGGGGUUUCUUCUCCUGGAUGCUGACGAUCUAAUGCUGAAACGAUCCAGUGCCAUCGGCGAUGCAGAGCCAGGAUCCAAAAAUGAAGGUUGCGCCUGCCUCGAAGGUGAAGACAGGCUUGAUAACGAUCGAUGCCAUUGAACUCGCGCAGGGAAACUCGGCGACUACCCCUACCUGGCGUGCUAGCUGUCGGUGUUUUAGACCAGUAACCCACCUAGAGGGUACCCUAGGAGGUCUUUUGUGCAGUAGGUGUUGGAGGUAUGCCCUAGAGGCAAUCAUAGAGAUGAUGAUAUUCCAUUUGUAUCCAUGAUUUAUAUUGUGUUCCUUGAAUAUCCAUUAAAGGCUACUUGAAUUGAUUUGCAAUUAUCUGAAUUGUAUGUGAAACUCUUUACUUGUAUGGUUAUUCUAAAGUUGUCCCUAGUCGGAGUUCAUGUGAGGAUACACAUGAAUAUUAGACUAGCACAUAUAUUAGUUGAUGACUAUGUUUCAUGAGUCAUGGAUAUGGAGAUGUUGAACUAAUAAUGUGGGCACAUGUGGAGACAUGUGCUAGGACUGACCCAACACGAGAAGUAGUUCUCUCUUUACACAACAUAUACACUUUGUCCUUAGACUUGAGAUUGUCGCAUGUACUCAAGAUGUGGAUCGACUUACUUAGGGGCUAUCCAACGCUACGCCGUAAUAGGGUAGUUAUAAAGGUACCUUUCAGGUUUGUCAAGAAGCAUGCUAUGAGACAUGGUCAAUCAAGAUGGGAUUUGCCCCUCUCUGAUUGAGAGUGAUAUCUCUCGGCCCCUCGAGUGAUCGGAUCCGAAAAUGCAUGGCCAUGCUACGUACGGUUAAGAGUUAACCUACAAAGGGAUUCCGAAUCAUAGGAUCGAGAAAGAGCAGUCGGCUUGAAGCUAGACCAAAUAUCGUGAGGCAAAGGGAAUAACACAUAUAUAAUGUUGUGAUGGUUCGUCUGAUAUGAUCUUCGUGUGCGUAUAGGAGUUGGCACGUCUUGCUAGAGGCCGCUACCGACUAUUGGGCCAAGUAGGAGUACUCGAGCCAUGUCUAUAUGUAUCCGAACCCAUAGGGUCACGCACUUAAGGGGCUGGAAGCCCAAUUCAGAUGUGAUCCGAGUUGGAUUAGGUUUAGAAGUACUAAUGGGCCUCGAACCCAGAGGCCCGUUAGGAACCUCUAUAAAUAGAGGGGUAGGGGCGCCCUAGGGUUUACACCUUUUUGGCGAAACACAUCUGUUGCACCUCCCAUGCCCUCGCUUGCGAUGCUUCCGACCUAGCAGUCCGGCUUGCGAUGCUUCCUCCCUGCACGUGUGGAUACCUUGGAGGUGUUGCGCCUAUAGCACUUGGACGAGCCGCCGACGAGCCACGAUGAGCCGCCGACGAGCCACGAUGAGCCGACGACGAGCCGAUGAGCUGCACGUGGACGAGCUGCUGAGGAGCUGCUGGACGUUGAUGUGAUCGACUACAUACGACUACAUUGAUCAACUUCGCUGCAUCAACGCGAAUCUACAUCUUCCGCAUCAGUGCGUCGAGUGGUAAUCCCGUGAUCCUUAUACGGCAAUUUUUCUAGUUUACGCGGUAGAAAUUUUUGAUUUGCGCUAGUGUAACCUACCUCAUAUCCCAAUAGUGGUAUCAGAGCUGUAGUUGUUUAAGUUUUAGAUUCAGGAUAUGUGCAUAUGGAGAUAUGUGAGUUUUCAGUUUGAUCUAUGUCCUGGUUUCGUGUUCUUGCUGCAAUGGUUGUGUAACGACGUACUCCUACCGGUCGGGUUUCCACCAUCGGAGUUAAGUGAUACAUGUAAUGCUAGUUGUAGCGAGCGAAGAUCAAUGUGAAUGGUCAAAUCGAGAUCCAGGUUCAUACCCCAAGCACAUGAGAUGUGCAAUAGUAAAUUGAAUCUACUACCAGGUCGGGAUUUUGCCGUAUGCGAGUGCUUCGGUAAAUCAGCCGUAACUUUUUGGUAUGAUCUCGGAUCGGGGCGAAUUUUAUAUGAAAAUUGAUCUACAGAAAAAGUUACACAUGAACAUCAACCACUUCGCCAUUUUCGACAAAAUUAGAGUUCCCAAAUUCAGCUUGGAAGAUGGAGUUUCGGGCCUCCGAAGUUUGGAAUGUUAGAACGCCUAACUCAUUCGUGAUCAGUAUGUAUGUAUCUUGUGAUCAGUAUGGCCCUUUGUGUAUGUGAUGCAUGUGUGUAACUCAUUCGUGACCUGCAUGUCGCGUGUACGGCAACACGGCUGGAGCCAUAUGUGUUGUCACUUUAAUGUAUUUAAUGGUCUGCGUACCAAUCUGUGAUGAUCCAAGCAACUAUGUAAUCUUCAUUACUAGCUUCUUUACUAGCUAUUAGGCGUAAUAGCAUGUUCUAGUUCUUGGAGGACUCAUCACUAGGAGGAUGGCGCACAUGGAACAUGGAGAUGGAGAUCACCAUGGUGAACAGGUUCUGUGGAGAUGGAGAUCACCAUAUGAAAACGGGCCAUACUGUGUCACAACUGUGUGAAUGCUAUUCUGUUUAUGUUUUACGAUCUGCAUGCUGUGAUGUUAGAAGUAGAACGAUCCCUCACAAAGUUUAAGGUAGUAUGCCCUCCCAACUAAAACUUGCACCGUCCCAUGUCUUGUACAAUUAGUGGUGGGUCUAUGAAAUUAGGGUGCCACUAGUUUUCCUUGACUAGACGGGUUUGUGUCGGACACAUACAAGCAUAAGGGUUGGUUUUCUUAACAAGGUUAUCUUAAUGGUUAAGGACCUUAGGGCAUAAAGGUUGGGCGCCGAGACAUGAAAAUGUCACCCAACAACAGGAGUCAUAUGUGAUAUGAUUAGCAAAAGUUGCUUACCGAUCUACCUUGUUUGCUAGCGGUGAUGCUAAAGCUCACUACUAGACUUGUUAGUUGUGGAUCCUGAAUCACUAAGUUUCAAUAGAGGGAUAUUGAUGUUAGUGGGAGUAGAUUCUGUUAAAAUAAGUUUAAUGUGAUUUGCUCUAUCAUGGAUACGUUUGUCUUAGUGUAUUUUGCAUUACUUUUGUUGUAGAUUAAAUGGCACCUAGCAGCACUACACCGUUUGCUUUGUGUUUGGUCCUUGAGAAGGACAAGUUGAAUGGAACAAAUUACUCAGAUUGGAUCCGUAACCUGAGAAUUGUUCUCAGGGCUGAGAAAAAGGAAGAUGUUCUAGACAACCCACUCCAGAAGAACCUGCUGAUGAUGCACCCGCUGCUGCUAAGAAUGCUUACAAGAAAGCAUGUGAUGCUAACCUUGAAGUAAGCUGCCUUAUGCUUCCUUGCAUGGAACUCGAGCUGCAGAUGCAGUUCGAAACAAACCAUGAGGCGCACGAUAUGAUCAUGGCGCUUAGAGACAUGUUCCAAACACAGGCCAGGACUAGAAGGUUCAAUGUGUCUAAGGCCUUUGUGGAGAGCAAGCUAGCAGAAGGCGCAGCAAUAGGACCACACGUAAUCAAGAUGGUUGGUUACACUCAACGGUUGGAGAAGCUGGGCUUCCCACUAGGCCAAGAGUUGGCCACUGAUUUCAUUCUUUCAUCUCUUCCGUCUAGCUAUGGGAACUUCAUCUCGAGCUACCAUAUGCAUGGGACGGAGAAGGGUCUGAAUGAGCUGUGUGGCAUGCUUAAAAUAGCAGAGGCUGACAUCAAGAAAAGUGCUAGUAGCAGCCAUGUGAUGGCUAUACAGAAUAAGCCUAGCUUUAAGAAGAAGGGAAAUUCUUGGAAGAAGAAGGGCAAGGCUGGAACGUCCAAGCCAAACCCAGCGCCCAAGGUUAAAGCUGGACAUGGACCUGCUCCAGACAAAGAGUGCUUUUACUGUCAUGAACUUGGUCACUGGAAGAGAAAUUGCAAGUAGUACCUAGCUUCAUUGAAGAAUGGUGGAAGUAAGAGUACUUCCACCUCAGGUACGCUUGUUAUUAAUGUUAUAGACAACAUAUUUCUCGCUGAUACAAUUAUUAAUUCUUGGGUAUUUGAUAUCGGAUCGGUUGCUCAUAUUUGCAAUUCGAUGCAGGGAAUGAUAAGAAGUAGAAGCGUGGAAAGAGGAGAAGUUGAUUUCCGCGGAUUGGUUGCUCAUAUUUGCAAUUUGAUGCAGGGAAUGAUAAGAAGUAGAAGCGUGGAAAGAGGAGAAGUUGAUUUCUACGUGGGCAAUAAUGCAAGAGUUGCUGCGUUGACUAUCGGGACGAUGCAACUCCACCUCCCGUCAGGAUUUAUUAUGGAGUUGAAUAAUUGUUAUUUCAUUCCUAGUUUAAGUUGAAACAUUUUGUCUCCUUCAUGCUUGAUGAAGGAUGGUUAUUCAUUUGCGAGUGAAAAUAAUGGUUGUGUGAUCUCUAAGAAUGAUAUGUUUAUGGCUUUUGCACCCCACCUCCUGUCAGCAUUUAUUAUGGAGUUGAAUAAUUGUUAUUUCAUUCCUAGUUUAAGUUGAAACAUUUUGUCUCCUUCAUGCUUGAUGAAGGAUGGUUAUUCAUUUGUGAGUGAAAAUAAUUGUGUGAUCUCUAAGAAUGAUAUGUUUAUGGCUUUUGCACCCAUUGUGAAUGGAUUGUUUGUUUUAAAUCUUGAUGGUUCACCUGUCUGUAACGUAAGUGCUAAAAGGCAUCGGCCUAAUGAUUUGAGUCCUACCUACUUGUGGCAUUGUCUUUUGGGUCAUAUAAGUGAAAAACGCAUGAAGAAGCUCCAUUCUGAUGGACUUCUAACUUCGUUUGAUUUUGAAUCAUAUGAGACAUGUGAGGCUUGCUUGCUAGGCAAGAAGACCAAGACACCUUUCACAGGAUUUGCUGAGAGAGCAAUAGACUUGUUGGAACUCGUACAUAGUGAUGUAUGCGGACCAAUGAGCAUGACGGCUAGAGGAGGAUUACAAUACUUCAUAACUUUCACUGAUGAUUUUAGUAGAUAUGGCUAUGUCUACUUGAUGAGGCACAAGUCUAAAACCUUUGAAAAGUUCAAGGAAUUUCAGAAUGAAGUUAAAAAUCAGUGUGGCAAGAAAAUUAAGGCCUUACGAUCUGAUCGUGGAGGCGAGUAUUUGAGCCACGAGUUUAGCAAUCAUCUAAAGAGUUGCGGAAUUGUUCCACAACUUACGCCGCUUGGAACACCUCAGAGAAACGGUGUAUCCGAGCGACGUAAUCGAACUUUGUUAGACAUGGUUCGAUCAAUGAUGAGCCAGUCGGACCUACCAUUGUCAUUUUGGGGAUACGCUCUAGAAACAGCAGCUUUCACACUUAAUAGGGUACCAUCUAAAUCCGUAGUUAAGACACCAUAUGAGAUGUGGACUGGAAAAGUUCCCAAUUUGUCUUUCUUUAGAUUUGGGAAUGUGAAGUGUUUGUCAAGCGACUUCAGUCGGACAAGAUCACACCCAAGUUGGAUAAGGGCAUUUUCGUGGGAUAUCCAAAGGAAACUUUGGGAUAUUAUUUCUACAACCGGUCAGAGGGCAAAGUGUUUGUCGCUCAGAACGGGGUUUUACUAGAGAAAGAGUUUCUCAAAGGAGAAAAGAGUGGAAAGACAGUGCAUCUUGAAGAAGUUCAACAUGAGAUCGGGCAAGAAUCAAUCAGUGAUUCUAACGUAGCAGAACAAGUUGAGAUACCCAUGGCACCGCUACAACCAUGAAGGUCGGCAAGGCUCCGCGAAAUGCGGGAAAUAUUAUUGUUGGACAAUGAUGAGCCUGCGACAUAUGCAGAAGCAAUGAUGGACCCAGACUUUGAAAAAUGGCAGAGUGCCAUGCAAUCCGAAAUAGAGUCCAUGGGAGACAAUCAAGUUUGGAACUUGGUUGACCCGCCUGAUGGUGUUAAAGCCAUAGAGUGCAAGUGGAUCUAUAAGAAGAAAAAAGACAAGGAUGGAAAUGUUCACAUCUAUAAAGCAUGACUUGUCGCAAAAGGUUUUCGACAAGUUCAAGGAGUUGGCUACGAUGAGACCUUCUCGCCCGUAGUGAUGCUUAAGUCCAUUCGGAUUAUUCUAGCUAUAGCUGCAUAUUUCGAUUAUGAGAUAUGGCAGAUGGAUGUCAAGACAGCUUUCCUGAAUGGAAACCUAGCUGAGGACGUGUAUAUGAUACAGCCCGAGGGUUUUGUCGAUUCGAAAAAUGCUGGAAAGGUAUGCAAGCUUCAGAUAUCCAUUUAUGGAUUGAAGCAAGCAUCUAGGAGUUGGAACAUUCAUUUUGAUGAAGUGGUCAAAGGGUUUGACUUCACCAAGAAUGAAGAAGAGUCUUGUGCUCUCAAGAAGGUUAGUGGGAGCUCUGUAGUAUUUCUAAUCUUAUAUGUGGAUGACAUAUUGCUGAUUGGAAAUAACAUUCCUAUGCUUGAGUCCGUAAAGACUUCACUGAAAAAUAGUUUUUCGACGAAGGACUUAGGGGAAGCAGCAUAUAUUCUGGGCAUUAAGAUCUAUAGAGAUAGAUCGAGAAAGCUUAUAUGAUUAAGCCAAGAUACUUACAUUGACAAAGUGUUGAAGCAGUUCAACAUGGAAGAGACAAAGAAAGGGUUCUUGCCUAUGUCACGUGGCAUACAUCUUAGCAAGACUCAGUGUCCUUCGACUGCUGAUGAGCGGCAUUGCAUGAGUAGAGUUUCAUAUGCCUCGGCUAUUGGAUCUAUCAUGUAUGCAAUGAUAAGUACUCGCCCAGAUGUUUCAUAUGCGCUAAGUAUGACAAGCAGACACCAGUCUGAUCCAGGUGAGAGUCACUGGACAGCGGUGAAAAACAUUCUUAAGUACUUGAGAAGGACUAAAGAUAUGUUCCUCGUCUAUGGAGGUGAGGAGGAGCUCGUUGUAACAGGUUACACCGAUGCUAGUUUCCAAACCGACAGAGAUGAUUCAAAGUCACAAUCAGGAUUUGUGUUCAUGCUAAAUGGUGGUGCUGUUAGUUGGAAGAGUUCCAAGCAGGGGACGGUGGCCGAUUCUACGAUAGAAGCCGAGUACAUCAUGGCUUUGGAAGCCGCGAAGGAGGGUGUUUGGAUAAGGAAUUUCCUCAUUGAGAUUGGUGUGUUUCCGAAUGCGUCUAGCCCAUUGAAUCUCUACUGUGAUAACAAUGGGGCAAUUGCGCAAGCAAAGGAGCCAAGGAACCACCAGAAGAACAAACACGUAAUGUGGUGAUUUCAUCUCAUUCGAGACUUCGUUAACCGGGGUGUGAUCAAGAUAUGCAAAAUACACACUGAUCUGAACAUUUCUGAUCCGUUGACAAAACCACUCCCGCAGGCUAAGCAUGAUGCGCAUGUAAGAGCUAUAGGUAUUAGGUACCUUCUAGAUUGACUCUAGUGCAAGUGGGAGACUGUUGGAGGUAUGCCCUAGAGGCAAUCAUAGAGAUGAUGAUAUUCCAUUUGUAUCCAUGAUUUAUAUUAUGUUCCUUGAAUAUCCAUUAAAGGCUGCUUGAAUUGAUUUGCAAUUAUGUGAAUUGUAUGCGAAACUCUUUACUUGUAUGGUUAUUCUAAAGUUGUUCCUAGUCGGAGUUCAUGUGAGGAUACACAUGAAUAUUAGACUAGCACAUAUAUUAGUUGAUGACUAUGUUGCACGAGUCAUGGACAUGGAGAUGUUGAACUAAUAAUGUGGGCACAUGUGGAGACAUGUGCUAGGACUGACCCAACACGAGAAGUAGUUCUCUCUUUACACAACAUAUACGCUUUGUCCUUAGACCUGAGAUUGUCGCAUGUACUCAAGAUGUCGAUCGAGUUACUUAGGGGCUAUCAACUGCUACGCCGUAACAGGGUAGUUAUAAAGGUAGCUUUCGGGUUUGUCAAGAAGCAUGCUAUGAGACAUGGUAAAUUAAGAUGGGAUUUGCCCCUCUCUGAUUGAGAGUGAUAUCUCUGGGCCCCUCGAGUGAUCGAAUCCGAAAAUACAUGGCCAUGCUACGUACGGUUAAGAGUUAACCUACAAAGGGAUUCCGAAUCAUAGGAUUGAGAAAGAGCGGUCGGCUUGAAGCUAGACCAAAUAUCGUGAGGCAAAGGGAAUAGCAUGUAUAUAAUGUUGUGAUGGUUCAUCUGAUAUGAUCUUAAUGUGUGUAUAGGAGUUGGCACGUCUUGCUAGAGGCUGCUACCGACUAUUGGGCGGAGUAGGAGUACUCGGGCCAUGUCUAUACGUAUCCGAACCCAUAGGGUCACACACUUAAGGGGUUGGAAGCCCAAUUCGGAUGUGAUUCGAGUUGGAUUAGGUUUAGAAGUACUAAUGGGCCUCGGACCUAGAGGCUCGUUAGGAACCUCUAUAAAUAGAGGGGUGGGGGCGCCCUAGGGUUUACACCUUUUUGGCGAAACACAUCUGCUACGCCUCCCACGCCCUCGCCUGUUCCAACUUGCGGAUCUAGCAGUCCGGCUUUCGACGCUUCCUCCCUGCAUGUGUGGAUACCUUGGAGGUGUUGCGCUUGCAGCACUUGGUUGAGCCGCUGACGGGCCACGACGAGCCGAUGGCGAGCCGUGGCACGAGGGCGAUCUUGCAGCACAUGGACGACUACGCUGAUCAACUUUGGUGCAUCGACGUGAAUCUACAUCUCCGCAUCAGUGCAUCGAGUGGUAUUCCUGUGAUCCUUAUACGACAGUUUUCCUGGUUUACGCGGUAGAAAUUUUUGAUUUGCGCUAGUGUAGCCUACCUCGUAUCCCAACAGUGGGUGCCAUCGAGAAUUAAGGAGUCAAAUGGUGACACAGGGAACACGAUUUAGACAGGUUCGGGCCGCUAGAUCGCGUAAUACCCUACGUCCUAUGUGUUGAUUGUAUUGAACUUGGGUGAGUUGGGAGUUGUUGUCUUGAGGAGGUCCCUGCCCGCCCUUAUAUAAUCGGGGGAGCAGGGUUACAAGCGAGAAGCCUAGUCGGGUACGGUUACAGAGUUCUACUUGGGGUAGACACUACCUUCCAUAUACCUAACUAGUCUUCAGGAGUCCGAGUGGGAUACGCCUUGCUGCAUAGCCCCCAUCUGAAUUCUGUGCGAGUACGACCCUUGGUGGGCCGCACAAGGCCUACUCGCGGGCCUGGGAUCCAUGCCCAACAUCUGCUAUGCCCAAACCUGCUUCGAGAGUGCUAGGAAGUUGUGGACCGAGAAUGUGUGAGUCGGUUAUUAAUUUGCUCCUGGAUGUGGGUGUUGGUGACUUGGAGUCACGCUUUGAAUCCGUCAUAUUUGUUCUAAAUCUAGAAAAUUUUCAACCUCGGCAAAGGUAGCCCCCAGGUUGGCCUGGGGUGUGGCAAAGAUGUUGUGGCCGACCUGCUUAAGGUUGGCUAGUAAAUUGCAGGCGCGUAUAGGGUGCCUGCGUUUUUCUCGAGGCCAACUUGGUCGGCGUUGUCGCGGUCGUUGCGCGACUGCUGGUGCUGCUCACCUGCUGCGUCUGCGUCAGCAACAGGUUGUUGUUGGGUGUCGAGUUGCUCCUGUUGGCGUCAUGCUGCGCGGAUCUGGUUCCUAGCAUUACGACCUUCUUCUUGAGAUUUUGUUUUGCCAUCCCGAGGUGGCUCGUCAGCAGAGACUACGAAAGCUUCAUGAUCUGGCGUGGAGGAGUUUCUCUCAUCACCGCUUCCGUAGGGAUUUGGUGUCAGAAUGAUGUGAGGCACCUAGAAUUCACCACACUCUGAAAACUGGGUGGGUUUGUGUGGGUCUCCAGAUUGGAUUUGGAAAACCUGGUCAAGCUCGACGGAGUACUCGGUGCUCGAUUUCCACAGACUAAAGGGGACACGGGAUGGGUCCUGCGUCGACCUUGUGGAGCGUAGCGCUGCCUCAAAUAAUUCUAUACACUUAGCAAUAGUGCUGCUGAUAUGAUCUAGCCCCGUGAUCAGGUCGGAGGGCAUAGGUGGGUGGGUGCCGGUGAGUAGAUCUGGAACCUUCUCGUAGAGAGAGAGUUCGCCGACUUGCUAGGCGAGUGGCAUCAUGAUCUUUGUGUGGAGAACUUGUUCUGCCAGAGCAGAUCCAAUGGAAGUUGAGUCAGUGUUGGGCACCAAGUUGACUGUAGUUGUCGAGUCAACGGGAGUUGCCGAGUCGACCGAAGAAGUGGUCGGAUCGGAAUCCGCGGUCAUGGUCCCGAAUUGAAUUUGGACUGGGUUGGUGAGGAAGUCCUUCAUGCUCUCAAGAAAAACUACACCAGGACGGGAUGCCGUCGAGGUCGCAAGAAGGAUCUCUCAACCCCCCUACCUGGCACACCAACUGUCGAAUUUAUAAGCCCGACAGUUGACCAGGGGGUUACCUAAGUGGUUGAUUCGUAGAUGAGAGUGAUUGCUAAAUCAAGAACUCGAAGGUGAUCACGAGAACACGAAGGGGACACAAGGAUUUUAUACAAGUUUGGGUCUCCGGAGAGUAAUACCGUAUCUGAUGAUGGGGAUACGCUCGGGAUUGUAUUGCUCGAGAUUUAUCUGAUGAUGGGGAUACGCUCGGGGGAAACCUUAGCCACCUUAUAUAGGCUGACAACCAAUAGUUACAAGUCAGUUUGAAUCUAAUCUACUCGGUAGUUACAUGGAAAGAAAUAUGAGUCAGAUUGUAAUACACGUUCCAUGAUAUCCAAGUAGGUUUGGAUAGUCUUGGUUCCUUGACGUGUACUCCAAGUAACUUCAUGCCCUCGGCCCGCAUGCCCUAGUCGGGCGGGCCCACUUGUAAGGUCCGACCAGUAUCCAGGUCGGUGCGGACCCAUAGAGUAGCCAUAUCCCUCAACAUCUGGUAUGGUCACUGUGCUACCGGUCCUGCGCCGAGUACUAGGUCAAUCAAAAACUCCACAUUCUGAUCUAGAGGUAAUUCUGUCAGCUCUUCUGGAAACACGUCGGGAAACUCACACACCACGGGUACCUCUUCAAGGGUCUUGGAAUACAAACUGCAUAGUAUCGGGGCUAUCUUGGGGUACACGGCUCAAACUGUACUUGAACUCUGCUCGGACGCUCCAAUCUGAUGAAGCAGGGGUUACACAAAACCAGUCCCUUGUUCUUAUCCAACCAAUCCAUUCCCAAGAUCACAUCUAUGGCUGAAGACUUCAACACUGUCAAAUUUGUUAGGAACUGUUGCUUCUCGAUCACCAACGGUACUGCCGUGCAUUGUAAGGUGCUCCUAACUUCUCCUAGGGGAGAACUUGUGAUAAUAGGCCUUGGUCGAGGUGUAGUGGGGAGAGACUGUUCUUCCACAUACUUGGUUGAAACAUAGGAAAACUUGGCACCAGUAUCAAACAAAACUAUAGCUUUGAUUAAAUCAACAAGAAACUCACCUAGAGCAAUGUCUGGAGCUACUGCGGCGUCCUCAGCGGUCAAGUGGUUCAGGCAUCCUCAAGUAGGUGACGGUGCUGUCCUUGCUGGAUUCCUCAGUGGCGGUCCUCCUGGUGCUGGUGUCUUGAUGGGCAUCUGGUACUGGCUGCUGCAGUUCUAUCCUCCUGCCUAAGUCUUCUGUGGACACUCAUAGGACUUGUGCUCGGGCUGUCGCCAUGUGUAGCAGAUGACCAACUUUGUGCCCUCAGGUGCGGUAGGCUGCUGGGGCCUUGGCUUCCAAGUACCUAAACUUCCUCCUCCUACACUGGGGUUCUUGUACUACUGCUGUUGUGGAAGGUAGCUGCGUGGCUUCUACUGCUGAAACGGUGAGGGUCCCGUCCUCAGCCUCUGAGACCGCUCCUGACGCUUCCUCUUGUGUCCACGGAACUCCUCGAACUCCAGCCUCAACUUCCCCACUCGGAGUGCCUUGCCCACAAGUGCGUGCAGAGUAGGGCAGUUGUGAGUGGACAAGUGCAUCUCUAUGCCAUGUGAAGUCCCUUGCGAAACUAGUACAUCUUCCUUUUCUCCAUGUUGGAGUCAUCCGGUGUGUACCUCAUCAGCUCCUGGAACUUGUUGGCAUACUCUUGCACUUUCAAGUUCCCCAUCUUCAAGUUUCGGAACUCAUCUACCUUUCAAUCCAUGACUGCUUCUGGGAUAUGGUGGUUGCGAAAAGCUGCAGCGAACUCGUCCCAUGUGAUGUGAGCUUGGUCUGCGUGAGAGUCACAGAAACUAUCCCACCAAGCACAUGCUGUCCCAAUCAGCUGGUGAGUGGCCAGCGCCACACACUCCUCAUCUGUACAAUAUGUCAGGUCCAACUUCUUCUCAAUCUCCCUCAGCCAAUCGUCUGCAUCCAGUGGGUUAUCAGAGUUGUCGAACGUGGGUGGACGAAGCUUGGUAAACCCUUCAACCUUCCUCUGCAAAGUCUCAACUGGUAGGUUCCUACACUUUCCUCCCUCCUAGUUGUACUAGAGCAAAGCAUCAACCAUGGUCUGCAUCAACUGCGUCUGAAUGGCCAUCACCUCUGCAAGGUUAGGUGACGGUGGUGCCUGCUGGUCCUCUACACCUCCAGCAUUCAUGUUCUGCUCCUGUUCCUCCUGACCCUCCUGGUGAGCUUCUCCCUUAGCACUAGCUGCGUCUUCUCGUACCUCCAUCUCUGGGACAUGUCCACCCCACCCUCUGUGAUGACCUCCAUGAAGUCCACCUCAGGGACCACGACCUCCACAGUGACCACGACCUCUACCGGGGUUAAACCCAUCCUCGUUGGCCGCCUCUUCAAAAUGGUGCAGCAACCGUCCCGACCUCCUUAAUCCUGACGUCUAUUCCAAAUGAGAUCGUAAUCAGUGGUUACUCUUAAGAAAUUAGGUAGGGGGUUAAUUAAAUUAUAAGAGAAAUACAAAGAUAUAUAAAACACACAAAUAAUUUCACACAGACAAUAAGAAGCAUAAGAACCAUAAAAUCCAUAUCACUCAAGCAAAGGCACCAUACAAAAGAGGUGUAUCUCGAGAUCUACAAUAGAAGCCUUCAAGAUUACAUGAGGAUCAUCAUGCUACUACAUCGAGAAUCAUGGGGGUGGUAGUCUCUAAAGCUACAACAUCAUAGUGAGCCUAACUUGAACCUAGCACUAGAUCAGAAGCGGUCCUAUCAGUCGGAGAGCGGGAAGUCGUUGUUGUCCACGUCACCAUCUCUAGGGUGGUACUCAGGAGUAGGGCCUCUCCAUAGUCCUGACUCAUCAUCCGAGGGCACAGACAGCUUCAGCGGGUCUCCUCCGUAUAGCCGUGAGAGUGUAGAUAGGGCUCUAGUCAUCUCCUCUUUGGCAACCCUGCCUGGCGGGUACAACACCUGUGUGUACAACUUGGACAUUGUUAACUCAAAGCUCUCCACACAAGGCUCCUCUUGUACUCGACUGGAACCUAAGCACUCAACUCCUCCAACUCCAUCAUCCGCUUGCGGUUAGAAUGCUCCCACAUGUGUUGAAGCCUCUCUACCAAGUCCCUGUUACAGUAACAACGUGAUCCACCAGGUUGUAGUAGUUCCUAUGCAAGCGGUGGUGUAGCUGCUCGACGACACCAUUCAUGGCAGCGAGAGCGGCGUCCAAGGUGUCAACCAGCUCCUCAUUCUCCUUGAUCAUCGCGUUCUUCUCAUUGAUCAUCUAGUCCCUGGUCUUCAGAGCCUCCUCCAUACGAGCGACCCUCAUCUCUAGCUUUAGGAUCUUAAGAGCAUCCCUCCCAUCAUAGGGGUUUGGUGCAGUGUUGAUCUCAUGACGAAGGCAAAGAUUCAUUUGGUCCAGACUCUCCAAAUAUCAAUCAAGUCCCUUGAUCUUGCCCUCCAGCAUGGCGUUGGCUCCGAUGCAGUCAUCCCAACCCUUGCGAAGGACCUCCAUCUCUCAGUCGCACCAGAAUAGUGCAAGGCCCUGAGCGUGAAUGGAGCAGGAGGCAACUUUUAACCUCUCAUCGUGCUCUUCGUAGGCGUCCUCCUGGUUCUGCCAGGCUGCUCUCUCAAAGUACACCUUGGGUAGGCAGCGGUAGGGAGUCUGUGCCAGUCUAUCUCGAAGCUGCGCGUGCACCUCUCGCACGGCGAUCCUAGCUGCAGUCCGGUGAGCCUCCGACACUGAAAGCUCGAACGCAAACACCACAACCUUCUCUAGCUCGGGCACCCUGGGGUCCGCAGGCACUGUCAACCUCACCUCCAUCAGCACUGUUGGGAUACAAGGUAGGCUACGCUAGCGGAAAUCAAAAUUUUUCUACCACGUAAACCAGGAAAACUGCCGUAUAAGGAUCACGGGAUUAUCGCUCGACGCACUGGUGCGGAAGAUGUAGAAUCGUGUGGGUCAGCAAAGUCGAUCAGUGUAGUCAAACGUAGUCGAUCAUGUCGAUGUCGAGCAGCUCCUCAGCAGCUCGUCCACGUGCAGCAAGAUUAUCUUCAUGCCGCGGCUCGUCGGCGGCUUGUCGUGGCUCGUCGACGGCUCGUCCAAGUGCUGUAGGUGCAACACCUCCAAGGUAUCCACACGUGCAGGGAGGAAGCGUCGCAAGCCGGAGUGCUAGGUCCGCGAGUUGCAACAGGCGAGAGCGUGGGAGGCGUGGCAGAUGUGUUUUGCCACAAAGGUGUAAACCCUAGGGUGCCCCCACCCAUCGAUUUAUAGAGGUUCCUAAUGGGCCUCUGGGUCCAAGGCCGACCCAGAGGCCCAUUAGUACUUCUAAACCUAAUCCAACUCGGAUCACAUCCGAAUUGGGCUUCCAGCCCCUUAAGUGUGUGACCUUAUGGGUUCGGAUACGUAUAGACAUGGCCCGAGUACUCCUACUCGGCCCAAUAGUCGGUAGCGGCCUCUAGCAAGACGUGCCAACUUAUAUACGCACGCGAAGAUCAUAUCAGACGAACCGUCACAACAUUAUGUACAUGCUAUUCCCUUUGCCUCACGAUAUUUGGUCUAGCUUCAAGCCGACCGCUCUUUCUCGAUCCUAUGAUUCGGAAUUCCUUUGUAGGUUAACUCUUAACCGUACGCAGCAUGGCCAUGCAUUUUCGGAUCCGAUCACUCGAGGGGCCUAGAGAUAUCACUCUCAAUCAGAGAGGGGCAAAUUCCAUCUUGAUUGACCAUGUCUCAUAGCAUGCUUCCUGACAAACCUGAGAGCUACCUUUAUAACUACUCUGUUACGAUGUAGCGUUUGAUAGCCCCUAAGUGAGUCGAUGCACAUCUCGACUACAUGCGACAAUCUCAGGUCUAAGGACAAAGCGUACAUGUUGUGUAAAGAGAGAACUACUUCUCGUGUUGGGUCAGUCCUAGCACAUGUCUCCACAUGUGCCCACAUUAUUAGUUCAACAUCUCCAUGUCCAUGACUCGUGAAACAUAGUCAUCAACUAAUAUAUGUGCUAGUCUAAUAUUCAUGUGUGUCCUCACAUGAACUCCGACUAGGGACAACUUUAGAAUAACCAUACAAGUAAAGAGUUUCACAUACAAUUCACAAAAUUGCAAGUCAAUUCAAGUAGCCUUUAAUGGAUACUCAAGGAACACAAUAUAAAUCAUGGAUACAAAUGGAAUAUCAUCAUAUCUACGAUUGUCUCUAGGGCAUACCUCCAACAGUCUCCCACUUGCACUAGAGUCAAUCUAGAAGGUACCUAAUACCCAUAGCUCUUACACGCGCAUCAUUCUUAGCCUGCGGGAGUGGUUUUGUCAACGGAUCAGAAAUGUUCAGAUCCAUGUGUAUUUUGCAUAUCUUGAUCUCACCCCGGAUAACGAAGUCUCGAAUGAGAUGAAAUCGCCGCAUUACGUGUUUGUUCUUCUGGUGGUUCCUUAGCUCCUUUGCUGGCGCAAUUGCCCCAUUGUUAUCACAGUAGAGAUUCAAUGGGCUGGACGCAUUCGGGAACACACCAAGCUCAAUGAGGAAAUUCCUUAUCCAAACACCCUCCUUCGCGGGUUCCGAAGCCACGAUGUACUCAGCUUCUGUCGUAGAAUCGGCUACCGUCUACUGCUUGGAACUCUUCCAACUAACAGCACCACCAUUUAGUGUGAACACAAAUCCUGAUUGUGACUUUGAAUCAUCUCUGUUGGUUUGGAAACUAGCAUCGGUGUAACCUGUUACAAUGAGCUCCUCCUCACCUCCAUAGACGAGGAACAUAUCUUUAGUCCUUCUCAAGUACUUAAGAAUGUUUUUCACUAUUGUCCAGUGACUCUCACCUGGAUCAGACUGGUGUCUGCGUGUCAUACUUAGUGGAUAUGAAACAUUUGGGUGAGUACUUAUCAUUGCAUACAUGAUAGAUCCAAUAGCCGAGGCAUAUGGCACUCACUCAUGCGCUCCCGCUCAUCAGCAGUCGAAGGACACUGAGUCUUGCUGAGAUGUAUACCAUGUGACAUAGGCAAGAACCCUUUCUUCGCCUCUUCCAUGCUGAAUCGCUUCAACACUUUGUCAAUGUAAGUAUCUUGGCUUAAUCCUAUAAGCCUUCUCGAUCUAUCUCUAUAGAUCUUAAUGCCCAGAAUAUAUGCCGCUUCCCCUAAGUCCUUCGUCGAAAAACUAUUUUUCAGUGAAGUCUUUACGGGCUCAAGUAUAGGAAUGUUAUUUUCAAUCAGCAAUAUGUCAUCCACAUAUAAGAUUAGAAAUACUACAGAGCUCCCAAUAACCUUCUUGUAAACACAAUACUCUUCUUUGUUCUUUGGAUAUCCCACGAAAAUGCACUUAUCCGACUUGGGUGUGAUCUUGUCCGACUGAAGUCACUUGACAAACACUUCACAUCCCCAAAUCUUUAGAAAAGACAAACUGGGAACUUUCUAGUCCACAUCUCAUAUGGUGUCUUAACUACGGAUUUAGAUGGUACCCUAUAAGUGUGAAAGCUGUUGUUUCUAGAGCGUAUCCCCAAAACAAUAAUGGUAGGUCCGACUGGCUCAUCAUUGAUCGAACCAUGUCUAACAAAGUCCGAUUACGUUGCUCGGAUACACCGUUUCUCUGAGGUGUUCCAGGCGGCGUAAGCUGUGGAACAAUUCCGCAACUCUUUAGAUGAUUGCUAAACUCAUGGCUCAAAUACUUGCCUCCACGAUCAGAUCGUAAGGUCUUAAUUUUCUUGCCACGCUGAUUUUCAACUUCAUUCUAAAAUUCCUUGAACUUUUCAAAGGUUCCAGACUUGUGCCUCAUCAAAUAGACAUAUCCAUACCUACUAAAAUCAUCAGUGAAAGUUAUGAAGUAUUGGAAUCCUCCUCUAGCCGUUGUGCUCAUUGGUCCGCAUACAUCGCUAUGUAUGAGUUCCAACAAGUCUACUGCUCUCUCAGGAAAACCUGUGAAAGGCGUCUUCAUCAUCUUGCCUGGCAAGCAAGCCUCACAUGUCUCGUAUGAUUCAAAAUCAAACGAAGUUAGAAGUCCAUCAGAAUGGAGCCUCUUCAUGCGCUUUUCACUUAUAUGACCCCAACGACAAUGGCACAAGUAGGUAGGACUCAAAUCAUUAGGUUGAGGCCUUUUAGCACUUACGUUACAGACAGGUGAACCAUCAAGAUUUAAAACAAACAAUCCAUUCACAAUGGGUGCAAAAGCCAUAAACAUAUCAUUCUUAGAGAUCACACAAUCAUUAUUUUCACUCGCAAAUGAAUAACCAUCCUUCAUCAAGCAUGAAGGAGACAAAAUGUUUCGACUUAAACUAGGAACGAAAUAACAAUAAUUCAACUCCAUAAUAAAUCCUGACGGGAGGUGGAGUUGCAUCGUCCCGACGGUCAAUGCAACAACUCUUGCAUUAUUGCCCACGUGGAAAUCAACUUCUCCUCUUUCCACGCUUCUACUUCUUAUCAUUCCCUGCAUCGAAUUGCAAAUAUGAGCAACCGAUCCGGUAUCAAAUACCCAAGAAUUAAUAAUUGUAUUAGCAAGAAAUAUGUUGUCUAUAACAUUAAUAACAAGCGUACUUGAGGUUGAAGUACUCUUACUUCCGCCAUUCUUCAACAAAGCUAGGUACUGCUUGCAAUUUCUCUUCUAGUGACCAAGUUCAUGAUAGUAAAAGCACUCUUUGUCUGGAGCAGGUCCAGGUCUAGCUUUAACCUUGGGCGCUGGAUUUGGCUUGGAUGUUCCAGCCUUGCCCUUCUUCUUCCAAGAAUUGCCCUUCUUCUUAAAGCUAGGCUUGUUCUAUAUAGCCAUCACAUGGCUAGAACUAGCGUUUUUCUUAAUGUCAGCCUCUGCUAUUUUGAGCAUGCCACAUAGCUCAUUCAGACCCUUCUUCGUUCCAUGCAUAUGGUAGUUCGAGAUGAAGUUCCCAAAGCUAGGGGAAAGAGACGAAAGAAUGAAAUCAGUGGCCAACUCUUGGCCCAGUGGGAAGCCCAGCUUCUCCAACCAUUGAGUGUAACCAACCAUCAGUAAGCAAGCAUAAGGCAACUUACUUCGAGGUUAGCAUCACAUGCCUUUUUGUAAGCAUUUUUAGCAGCAGCAGGUGCAUCAUCAGCAGGUUCUUCUAGUAGUGGGUUGUCUAGAACAUCUUCCUUUUUCUCAGACCUUAGAACAAUUCUCAGGUUAUGGAUCCAAUCCGAGUAGUUUGUUCCAUUCAACUUGUCCUUCUCAAGGACCGAACGCAAAGCAAACAGUGUAGUGCUGCUAGGUGCCAUUUAAUAUACAACAAAAGUAAUGCAAAAUACACUAAGACAAACGUAUCCAUGAUAGAGCAAAUGACAUUAAACUAUUUAACAGAAUCUACUCCCACUAAAAUCAAUGUCCCUCUAUUGAUACUUAGUGAUUUAGGAUCCACAACUAAUAAGUCUACUAGUGAGCUUUAGCAUCACCGCUAGCAAACAAGGUAGAUCGGUAAGCAACUCUUUGCUAAUCAUAUCACAUAUGACUCCUAUUGUUGGGUGACAUGUCCAUGUCUCGGCGCCCAACCUUUAUGCCCCAAGGUCCUUAACUGUUAAGAUAACCUUGUUAAGCAAACCAACCCUUAUGCGUGUAAGUGUCCAACACAAACCCGUCUAGUCAAGGAAAACUAGUGGCACCCUAAUUUCAUAUACCUACCACUAAUUGUACAAGAUAUGGGACGGUGCAAGUUUAAGUUGGGAGGGCAUACUAACUUAAACUUUGUGAUGGAUCGUUCUACUUCUAACAUCACAGCAUGCAGAAAGUAAAACAUAAACAAAAUAGCAUUCACACAGUGGUGACACAGUAUGGCCCAUUUUCUUAUGGUGAUCUCCAUCUCCACAGAACCUGUUCAGCAUGGUGAUCUCCAUCUCCAUGUUCCAUGUGCGCCAUCCUCCUGGUGAUGAGUCCUCCAAGAACUAGAACAUGCUAUUACGCCUAAUAGCUAGUAAAGAAGCUAGUAAUGAAGAUUACAUAGUUUGCUUGGAUCAUCACAGAUUGGUACGCAGACCAUUAAAUACAUUAAAGUGACAACACAUAUGGCUCCAGCCGUGUUGCCGUACGCGCAACACGCAGGUCACGAAUGAGUUACACACAUGCAUCACAUACACAAGGGGGCCAUAAUGAUCACAAGAUCCAUACAUCCUGCAAAACAGAGUUAGGCAAUCUAACGUUCCAAACUUCAGAGGCCCGAAACUCCAUCUUCCAAGCUGAAUUUGGGAAAUCUAAUUUUGUCAAAACUGGCAAAGUGGUUAAAUUUCAUGUGUAACUUUUUCUGUAGAUCAAGUUUCAUAUAAAAUUCGCCCCGAUCCGAGAUUGUACCGAAAAGUUACGGUUGAUUUAUCGAAGCACACGCAUACAGCAAAAUCCCGACCUGGUAGUAGAUCCAAUCUACUAUUGCACGUGUGAUGUGCUUGGCGUAUGAACCUGGAUCUUGAUCCGACCAGUCACAUUGAUCUUCGCUUGCUGUAACUUGCAUUACGUGUAUCACUUAACUCCGAUGGAGGAAACCCGACCGGCAGGAGUAUGUCAUUACACAACCAUUGCAGCAAGAACACGAAAUCAGGACAUAGAUCAAACUGAAAACUCGCAUAUCUCCAUAUGCACACAUCCCAAAUUCAAAACUAAACAACUACGGCUCUGAUACCACUGUUGGGAUACAAGGUAGGCUACGCUAGCGCAAAUCAAAAUUUUUCUACCACGUAAACCAGGAAAAUUGUCGUAUAAGGAUCACGGGAUUACCGCUUGACGCAUUGGUGCGGAAGAUGUAGAAUCGCGUCGGGGUAGCGAAGUCAAUCAGCGUAGUCGAACAUAGUUGAUCACGUCGAUGUCGAGCAGCUCCUUAGCAGCUCGUCCACGUACAGCAAGAUCGUCUUCGUGCCGCGGCUCAUCGGCGGCUCGUCGACGGCUCGUCCAAGUGCUGCAGGCGCAACACCUCCAAGGUAUCCACACGAGCAGGGAGGAAGCGUCGCAAGCCAGACUACUAGGUCCGCGAGUUGCAAUAGGUGAGAGCGUGGGAGUCACGGCAGAUGUGUUUCGCCAAAAAGGUGUAAACCCUAGGGCGACCCCACCCCUCUAUUUAUAGAGGUUCCUAACGGGCCUCUAGGUCUGAGGCCCAUUAGUACUUCUAAACCUAAUCCAACUUGGAUCACAUCCGAAUUGGGCUUCCAGCCCCUUAAGUGUGUGACCCUAUGGGUUCGGAUACGUAUAGACAUGGCCCGAGUACUCCUACUCGGCCCAAUAGUCAGUAGCGGCCUCUAGCAAGACGUGCCAACUCCUAUACGCACGCGAAGAUCAUAUCAGACGAACCGUCACAACAUUAUGUACAUGCUAUACCCUUUGCCUCACGAUAUUUGAUCGAGCUUCAAGCCGACCGCUCUUUCUCCAUCCUGUGAUUCGGAAUCCCUUUGAAGGUUAACUCUUAACCGUACGCAGCAUGGCCAUGCAUUUUCAAAUCCGAUCACUCGAGGGGCCCAGAGAUAUCACUCUCAAUCAGAGAGGGGAAAUCCCAUCUUGAUUGACCAUUUCUCACAGCAUGCUUCCACAUGUGCCCACAUUAUUAGUUUAACAUCUCCAUGUCCAUGACUUGUGAAAUAUAGUCAUCAACUAAUACUUGUGCUAGUCUAAUAUUCAUGUGUGUCCUCAGAUGAACUCCGACUAGGGACAACUUUAGAAUAACCAUACAAGUAAAGAGUUUCACAUACAAUUCACAUAAUUGCAAGUCAAUUCAAGUAGCCUUUAAUGGAUAUUCAAGAAACACAAUAUAAAUCAUGGAUACAAAUGGAAUAUCAUCAUUUCUAUGAUUGCCUCUAGGGCAUACCUCCAACAGGCACAGAGUCCAUACUACCCCUCAUGUGGCCCUCUUAGAACACGCCGUCAGUGCCAACCCCGGCCCUCUCCAAGCACUCGUUGAGGAGAGUGCAAAAGCCUCCAUAGCGCAUUCUGUCUCUAGAAAAUGAAUGCCACUCCUUAGUCAUCAUCUGAAACACAUAGUUAAGGGUUGUUAGAAAGUCAUAUAAGUCAGAGUAAACAAGGUAAUAAUAGUAACAAUUCAAGGAGUUGUAUAGUAAUCAAGGGGUAUAUACUCAAUCAAGGGUAGUUUGGGCUUCCUGAACUAACAUGCUAGGGAUCAUCCUACGGUCAAGUAUGGCUGUGAUACCAGCUGAAAUGGACCCAAAUUCCCAUUUCUGAGAAUUCAAGCCAACGCACAUUGGUGAUAGUCCCAGGAAGGCUAUCACGUGCAAAUCCUUGUCUCAGAUUGUACAAAUCCAUACCAACAUAGAAACAGAGAGAGAAACAAAGUACAAAGAUCAUAGUUAACAUGAGUACGAGUACAUCUCAGCAGCACAUGCCAGUACAAGUCCAUCAGGACUGAAUCAGGAAAGGUAAAAUAUCUACGUAGUGGAAACAAAAGCUAUGGUGAUGUCCAUCUUCACAGGUGACUCGAGCGAAGAACGGUCCCUAGUCCUCCCAACCGUCAUUGUCGAAGUCAUAGUUGGGCUCUGACCCUGAAAAGCCAGCAUCUACCCAAGAAGCGGGUAGGCCAUGACAACUCCUAAAAGCAACAAAGCCAAGGAAAUGGAGGAAUUAUAUUAUAUGCAUGAAUAAGACCUAUAUAUGGUUGUAGAGGUUUAUGCAGCAGCAACAACAACAAUCAAGGUAGCAGCAAAGCAACAUCAUCUUCGAGGUCAACACUCAAACAAGAAAGUUGGCACAAAUCACCAAAUCUUUCACCCAAGGGUCUGGCACCCAAACACACUAGGUGAUGUGAGAGCUCCCUUCCCUCACAUCUCAACAACAAACACUGGCCUAUCUCAAAAAGGGGAAAGGUAGAAGCACGAGAAAAGUCUAGUCAGAAGUAGCAAUAGACAACAGCACUGUCCAUAACCAAUGGACAUGGACUAUAGCUAUAGCUUUAUACACUCUACAGAGGUUGUACAACUGUACCCGCAUAGAUAAAGCCUGAGCGGUAGCGAUCUGUCUAAACCCCACCUAUCAGCCGGAGCCCUAGUAAGUGGAUAGCUCUCUCUUGUUUCCUCGAGUCUGGAACCAUCCUCAGCUGCAGGGCACGUUGUCACCAGUGAGGACCUCAAAGCUGUGAAACCUACCCAUGCCGAGGUGCAGUUUGGUCCAAGCAGGACAAUGCCUCAAACUCCUAAAAUGAUCCUCCAAUCCGCCUACAGGCAGAGCACUAUCCAUUACUAGUCUCAAACUGAACCCUGCCCAUAACGUAAGCGAGCAGUAAGUACAAAAAGUAGCUACUGUGAUUGGUGGUAAACUGACUCGGUCCUUAAGCUGCUGAGAGCAAGCACUCUACCAACAAGUAUGUGCCAAAGCACCUGCAACGAACAAGUAUGCCACCUGCUCCUCAGUAAUAAACAAGGUACCCGCCACAGGUACGGGGUAUAGAGAGAGUCCAGAAAGCUCUCUCCCGGCUAGGCACUUCUCUAUACCAACCAUGGCUCGCUCCCGCCAAGAACACAUCAAGGAGUCACACUCACCCAAAAAACACGUGAGAGUGUUCAAGGAAUCUGUUGACGCCGGAUUUUGACAUGUGUUAACGUCGGCAUCAAAGGAGAGGAAGGUGGUCGAUGCGGUAAGCAAGAAGCUACAGUUGGAGAAUCGGCCGAUAGAGCUACAGUGUUCCGGCCGAUUGGCCGAGGGAGUCAAUGAAGACUGGCCGAUUGGGAGCCAGAACGGCUUGGCCAAUGUGGACCUAAAAUGGGCUAGGGUGGUGAUUAGCCGAAGAUGAAGAUUGGCCCGUGGAAAAAUAAUAACCAACUCUGAUGCGGGUUGUGUUCGUGUGUAUAUAUUUGUGAUUAGAGAUAGAUCCGAGUCAGUUAGGAAAUCAGUUGUAACAGGGUAUAAAUAGGUGCCUUGUAAGGUUUGUAAAAAAUACAACUAUAAUCAAUACAGAACUACUCUUUCCAUGUACUUUACUUUCAAGUCGGCGACUUCGCCAAACCCUUUUCCUUUUCAUGAGUUCGUGCGAGGUUGCAGGGCUGCACGACCUUCGGCCAAUUUGUAAGUUCCACAUAUCAAAUAGUAUCUAAGCUUUAACUUCAGGAGCAUCGACGUUCUUUUUUUUAGAUUUAUUCACCUGUUACCGAUAUUAACUAGAAUUAUAGGUUUUACCUGUUGUUUUAGUUUUUAUCACCAGUUAUCCAGCUUGAGACACGAAUUGUCAGCUUUUUAUCAAUAUCUUUGUUUAUCACUAUAUAGCCGAUUAGAUUUGUUCCAAGUGUUGCUUUUGUAGCACUGUUUAGGUUGCUCUAGUGGUUUCUUUUGCAAUCGCUACGUGGUCAUCGGCUGUUUUAUAUCCGGUUAUCUCUACAGUAAAUUGGUUGAUUCGCUGAUACACACUUUGAAAUAGAUCGGAACAUCAGCCAAUCAAAACCCUAGACGCCUUUCUUUCCUUGUCAAUUAGCAUGUCAGAUUGACUGGCACGCCGCGCGAACCGCACCUGGGAGACAACCCGAACAGGAGCUAAGCAGAUUCUCCUGGGAUGUGUGUGCGACGUAGAAGCCGGAAUCUCCGUUCGAUUUUUAGUGUCAACACACUUUUGGCAUGCCCAGUGGGACACAAACAAGAUCUAACAUGUCGAAGGCUGCUGAAAUCUCGGAAGACAAUAUCAUGGAGAUCACUGAGGCAGAUCUGAAAGACGACCAGAGGGGUGAGCUGGCAAAGGCUAUGGAAGACUACAAAAAGGCAUGCCUGCAAUCCUACAGUCGCACCAGAAGCGGGGAACCCAUUAGAAAGACCGCUCUUCCGAAUCCUCACCACAUCACCAUCGCUAAAGACUCAGGGAAGAUGUUUGAGAUGAUCCAGCAGUCUGUCCAUCAGGCCAUGAUCGAUCAGUCCAAGGUGAUGACCCACACAGUGUACAAUGCCGUCAUCAGCUCCAUGGCCAAUGGCGUCGCUCAAGGAUAUCAGGGGCCAGCUUACGCCCCUCCCGUCACCUCACCGGUCAGAGGCUUCUCGGCGGAGCCUAACGUGUCUCAAUUGGCUCCUCAACCGAUGCAGAUGCAGAGUGGGGGGUACAACACCAUGAUACCCCUAGGUUAUAACGGUGCAACACCCUAUCAAUCGCAAGCGUCGUUUACCCUGCACCGGUCUCCCCCGUGCAGCCACUGUUUGUAACAUCAACGCAGUGGGGAAUGGCGGGAAUACCUGCCGAUCUAGAUCUGUCUACCAGUUACGGAAAAUCUCUGGUGUAGGCGUCGUUUCCAUCGGCCUCUCGACCGACAGCUCCACAGUACCAGCAGGCUACCCCGGAGGUCGGUAGGGGGGUAGGCGCUCCAGAUCCCCUCAGAACUGCGGCGCCGAUAGUAUUGUACGACAAGGUGGCAGAUGCACUACAUCAUGUUGAUCCCACAUGACAGCAGCCGUCAUCUCCUCAGCCGGUAGUCCAGCCGCAAGUCCUACAGCACGCUCCGGUCUAUCACCCAAUCACGGUGCCGCAACAGCAGCAUCAACAGUAGGUGGACUGGAUCACAGGAAUAACUGAUAUAAUACAGGAUCAGUUUGGAUUAAAGCCAAGAGUGCAGACUUAUAUGUACAGGACACCAUAUCCACCCACCUACGAUCUGUUGCCGUUCCCUCAUCGAUACAAAGUGCCAGACUUCACCAAAUUUUCAAGCUAAGAUGAAACAUCCACGGUGGAGCACGUUAACAGAUUCAUCAUCCAGUGUUGAGAAGCUGCUGCACAAGACACUCUGAGGGUAUGGUUGUUCUCGUCAUCCCUGUCCGGGUCAGCCUUUCAAUGGUUUACGACGUUGCCGCCCAACUCCAUCGUGACUUGGGCCAAUUUGGAGAAACAAUUCCGCAAGUGCUUCUUUGUAGGGGUCCAUGAGAUGAAGCUGUUAGAUCUAAUUAGCCUCAAGCAGAGAAGCGAUGAGUCGGUGGCUAGCUACAUACAGAGAUUCAGGGAGGUUAGGAACAAGUGCUACAUCCUGGUCUUGACCGAUGCCCAGUUGGCUGACACCACUUUCCAGGGACUCCUACCGCAUAUCAAAGAGAAGUACGCGUCCCAGGAGUUUGAGAGUUUGAGCCAAAUUGUUCACCGACUAUCCGACCAAGAGGUGUGCCCCUUUGAACAAUGAAGAAAUUUCCAGAAAAAGGUGGCAUACGUGGAAGGGUCCGAGUUAGAAGAAGAGGCAGAAAUCGGCCUAGCAGAGUGGGUUAAAGGGAAAAAACCAAUCUCAUGCCCAUUUGGUAAAAAGGAGCUGGAAACAUUCGACUUCGAUACAUCUAAGGCCUAUAAGAUCUUUGACUUGCUGCUACAAGAAGGACAAAUCAAGCUUUCACCCUACCAUACGAUUCCGUCGGCCGAACAACUCAAGAAGAUGAAGUACUGCAAGUGGCACAAUGCUACGUCUCACGACACCAAUGAGUGCAUAGUCUUUCGUCAGCAGAUACAGUCGACCAUCAAGCAAGGGAAACUUAAGUUCGAAGUCCCCACAAAGCUAACAAAGCUGAUGAAGAUCGACCAGCACCCCUUCCCUGCCAACAUGGUCGACGUUGGAAGGAACGCGCUCCAGACCAAGGUGCUGACGUCAGAAUCGGCUAGACGGAGUGGCGUGGUGGACUCCAGAAAUCAAACCUCGGUCGAAGAUGUUAAGGGAAAAGGCCGGGUGGAGACGGAAGGCAAAAGCUCGGAGAGGUCCCGUCAGCCUAUCACAUCUCGAGAUCUGCUCAACAAGUACCAGAGACAACGGGAGGACACGAGGCGCCGCGAAGAGAUGAUGCGUUGACACGAAGAUCAUUGGAGGUGUCCAUUCUUCAUCCAUUGCUGGGAAAACAAUCUCAGAUUGCCAUUGGCUGACAACUUCCCUGAAUGUAACGGUCAAUAUCACAGCAGCUGCCCAUUCAAGUGAUCACGCUCCGGGGAUCGAGGACGAGAGCUGAUUAGCAGAAAUAGGCUCAAGCAAGAAGAAUGGCCCAUUUCAGUGCAUGAUCGACUGGGGGGCAGAGUAGACCAGCGUAAUCGGCUGGGGGGCAGAGUAGACCAGCGUAAUCGGAUGGGGCGUAGAGCCAACGCGCAUGAUCGGUUAGGGGAAAUGGCCGACGCAAGGGUUUCUGAUGAGAAUCCGUUGGGCCGAGACCCGGAAUGGGAGCAUGCCAAGCCGCUGAGUAAACCAGUGAACUCUAGAUGGUGCCCAGAUGGUUUGACCAAGUCCCAGAAGAGAAGGGUCCAACGUUUGCACCAAUGGGAACAGCAAGAAGAAGAACAAGGCAAGCGGUAGACAGAAGAGGAGUCAAAUCUCAAGUUUGGCACCCUAGAAGAAAAGCUGAUGAAGAAAACGAUGAUCAGGAUUCGGCUCUUUACGUCAACAUGGUGUUCAUCUUGCCGAUGGAGUUCAUGGAUCCCGUCGACCACAACAAUGCAACAGAAAUAGAGGGGCAGAUGGCACAAUUGGCUUUGGAGACAAUGACCGCUACUUUUGAAAAACCUGAGGAUGAAAAAUGCCAGCAUCUCAAGGCUCUGUUCCUAAAAGGCAAGUCAACGGACGACCAGUCACUAAGCUGUUGGUGGACGGAGGCACUGCCGUGAACAUCAUGCUAUAUGCUAUGUUCCACAAGCUGGGCAAAGGGGAAGAAGAUUUAAUCAAUAUGGACAUGAUGCUCAAGGAUUUCGAAGGCAACAUAUCUCCGGCCCGGGGGGCACUCUGCGUCGACCUCACCAUCGGUAGUAAGACCCUACCCACCACUUUCUUUGUUAUUAAUGGUAAAGGGUCCUAUAAUAUGUUGGUCGGGCAAGAUUGGAUCCAUGCAAACUGCUACAUCCCAUCUACGAUGCACCAAUGCCUCGUCCAAUGGAUCGGUGACACCAUUGAAGUAGUCAUUGCCAACUCCGCUUACAGCGUUGCUGCAGCCGACGCGCAACAAUGGAGUUACAAGCACAUCAGAUGCAUAUCUAGCAGGACCUGGGACACUGAUUUCUUGAAAGUGUCCGAUUUCGAUCUACGUCCGAUCCAAGCAGUUGUCUCGGAAGAAUCAGAUUAAAUGGAUCAGUUCGUCCGAGAAGAUGGAAAGCUUAGGCACGGGUUUACGUCGACCAAUUCAUUAGAGAUGGUGGACCUUGGAGAUGGUAGCAAGCCAAGGCCGACAUAUAUCAGUGCUAGGUUAGACCCCAAGUACAAGCGCGAGUUAAUAGAUUUGUUAAGAGAAUUUAAAAAUUGCUUCGCUUGGGAGUAUCAUGAAAUGCCUGGUCUAGACUGGUCCAUUGUUGAACACCAGUUGCCUAUAAAACCAAGGUAUCGGCCAUAUCAGCAGCCCGAACGAUGUUGUAAUCCUAAAAUUCUAUCUGAUAUAAAGGCCGAAAUCACAAGAUUGAUUGAAGCGGGGUUUAUUCGGCAGUGUCGAUAUGCCGAGUGGAUUUCUAAUCUUGUUCCUGUAUACAAGAAAAAUGGAAAGCUGCGUGUAUGCAUUAACUUUAGAAAUCUUAACCAGGCUACACCGAUGGACGGGUACCCAAUGCCGACGGUAGAUGUUUUGAUAGAUGUGGCCGUGGGGCAUAAAGUCAUUAGCUUUAUGGAUGGUAACGCUGGGUAUAACCAAAUACUAAUGGCUGAAGAAGAAUCUCAAAAACGGCCUUCAGGUGCUGUGGUCACCUCGGCUUGUUCAAGUAGGUAGUUAUGACUUUUGGAUUGAAGAAUGCUGGGGCUACGUAUCAAUGGGCCAUGAAUUAUAUAUUCCAUAAGCUUGAUGGUGUCCUAGUGGAGAUUUACAUUGAUGUUGUCAUCAUCAAGUCAAAGGGGCAUCGACAGCAUCUGGCUGAUUUGCGCGAGGUAUUGGAGUGCACAAGGAAGCAUGGGUUGAAAAUGAAUCCAAACAAGUGCUCUUUUGGCGUUUCGGCUAGUCAAUUCCUGGGCUUCAUGGUUCAUGAGCGCGACAUUGAGAUCAACCAGAAGAUUAUAGCCACCAUCAAUAAAGUUGUGACCCCACAAGACAAAACUGAGCUACGGUCCUUAAUCGAUAAGGUGAACUUCAUCCGGAGAUUCAUAUCGAACUUGUCUGGGCGCAUUCAAGCUUUCACCCCAUUGUUGAAAUUAAAACCUGACCAAGAGUUUGUUUGGGGCGAGGAAUAGUAGAAAGCAUUAGAUGACAUCAAACAGUAUCUGGUUGCCCCACCGGUGUUGGUUCCUCCGCAGGCUGAUAAGCCUUUCAGACUAUAUCUAUCGGCCGAUGAGCAAGCUAUCGGCUCGACGUUGGUCCAGGAGUUCAAGGGAAAAGAAAGGGUAAUUAAUUAUGUCAGUAGAAGAUUUUUGAAAACUGAGACUAGAUACCCUCUGGUGGAAUGGUUGUGCCUUUGCCUAUAUUUUUCUUGUACCAAACUCAGGCACUACCUGUUAUCGGCAGAGUGCGUAGUUGUGUGCAACGAUAAUGUUGUCAAGUAUACGUUAUCUCUGCCAAUCUUGAAAGGGAGAAUUGGAAAGUGGAUUCUAGCCCUCUCGGAAUUCGAUCUAAGGUACGAAUUGGCCAAGGCUAUAAAGGGUCAGGUAAUGGCCGACUUCGUAGCCCAGCACUGUGGACCAGAGAUUACUGUAGUCGAACAAGCUCCAUGGAUGCUGUACUUCGAUGGAUCUUCAUGCGAGGCCGGAUCAGGAAUUGGCAUCAUCCUCAUAUCGACUCGGGGGGCAAGUUAUGAUUUCUCUUUGCUGAUUGAGGCGUCCGCCACUAAUAAUCAAGUGGAGUAUCGGGCUGUCUUAAAAGGUAUCCAGCUAUUGAGGGAGGUCAAGGCCGACGCAGUAGAAAUAUUUGGGGAUUCCAUGCUUAUCGUAGAUCAGUUGACUGGAAAGUGUGAGUGCAAGGAUGAUAUUCUAAGGAUUUAUCAUGAAGAGUGCCUCCAGUUACUGAAAGAGUUCAAGACAGUAAUUAUUGAACAUAUCCCCAGAAAUUACAACGAAGAAGCCAACAGACUUGCUCAACAGGCUUCCGGUUACAGGCCGAUUCAAGGUGCUAUGGCUCUGGAGCUUGCGGCCGAUGACUAGAGGAGAGAAAUUGCCGACUAUCUGAAAGAUCCAUCCAAGAAAGUCGAUCGGUGAAUACGCUUUCAGGCUACAAAAUACGUACUGCUUAUAGAUGAUUUGUUUUACCAAACAAUUGAUGGGGUAUUACUCAAAUGCCUUGAAGUAGAGGAAGCUAAAACUCUGAUGGGUGAAAUUCAUGAGGGUGUAUGUGGGGCCCAUCAAUCGGCUUAUAAGAUGAAGUGGAUGAUUAGAAAUAAUGGGUAUUGAUGGCCGACGAUACUUGAGGAUUGUUUUAAAUAUUAUAAAGGGUGUCAAGAUUGUCAGAGAUUCAGCAAUGUACAACGAGCACCGGCUUCGGCUAUGAACCCAAUAAUAAAGCCAUGGCCAUUUAGAUGCUGGGGAAUCGACCUCAUCGUUCAGAUCUAUCCACCGUCAAGUAAAGGACAUAAGUUCAUAUUGGUGGCCACUGACUAUUUCACUAAAUAGGUUGAGGCAGUUCCCUUAAAAGUCAUGACGUCGGCCAACAUGAUUGAAUUUGUGAAAGAACAUAUAAUUUAUCGGUUUGGUAUUCCUUAGACUAUUACGACACUAUUACAGCUGAUCAAGGGUCGAUGUUUACCUCUGGAGAAUAUGGGAAUUAAGUUGUUAAAUUCUUCUCCGUAUUAUGCUCAGGCCAAUGGUCAGGCCGAAUCGUCUAACAAGGGGGUCAUUAAAUUGAUUAAGAGAUAGAUCGAAGAACAACCAAGGAGGUGGCGCAUACGAUGCUGAAUGAGUCCUUGUGGGCCUACAGGAUGGCUUGUCACGGUGCCACCAAGGUUCCCCCUUACCAGUUAGUAUAUGGGCAUGAAGUAGUACUGCCUUGGGAGUUGAAGACUGGGUCUAGACGCACAUCACUUCAAGACCAGUUGACCGCCGAUGACUAUUCCGUUCUCAUGAAGGGGGAGUUGGAGGAUUUGGCAAGCCAGUGGUUGAGGGCCUUGAUUAGUAUUGAGGAAAGUAAGAAAAGAGUCGCCAGAUGGUAUGACAAGAAGCUCAAGGUCAAACAGUUUUCCCAAGGAGACUUAGUCUGGAAGUUGAUCUUGCCUAUAGGAUCUAAAGAUCCAAAAUAUGGGAAGGGCCGUACAAAAUUGGUCGAUGCGCGCCAGGUAAUGCAUACAUAUUUGAGACCCUUGAGGCAGAAGAAUUUACAAGGGCCCUUAAUGGAAGGUAUUUGAAGAAGUACUACCCUAGCAUAUGGGUAGAAGCUUAGCCAGUAAUGUAGCAUAUCAGGUUCUUACGGCCGAUACCUAUUGACCCACGUUCAUAUAGCUGAUACAGAGGGUAUCGCCUUAACGAUAAAAAAGUAAGAAAGCGUUCAUGCAAAUAGGCCAGUUAAUGUUCUGUACAUUAACUGGAUACAUGGCUGACAUGGUACAAGUCACCCUUAGAAUAAAAAGUACCAAUACACUCAUAAGUCAUAGAUAUUCAAAGGUGUUUCAGUUGGCCUUUUCUUGCGUUGAUCUCUUUCUGAAUCCUGCCCAGUUCAAUCAGAAGGUGGGUGUUUUUCUCCUCUAUUUCCGUCAUUGCAUCCUCGAGGGCGAUUUGAUGAGGUAGUUGGUGACUCCUUUCGACCGGCGGCUGGGUUGGCCUCCCGGAAGUGUUGGCUUCAAUGUUGUCUACGAUCUUCUUGAUAUGCGUGGGGAGGUGGUCCUUGAGUUCUUCGUGAUGAGCCUGGAUUAGAUCUUUGUUCGCCUGGGUCAGCGGUUCAUCGGAGUGCAUAAUUUCAAUUACUCGUUCGAGUUCGGGGAUGAGCCAGUUUGGCUGAAGGGAUAAUAGGAAAGUCAAUCAACAAAGCAAAUCAGUCAAGAAAUGAAGGAGUUAAUGUUGCACCUGAUUGACUGAGGAGGAAGAAGCCAUCCGGAUCCAUGAUUGGAGAUCUGGAAGCGUCUAUAGGGGGGAGUAUAUGGGUGUUAUGUGAGUGCCUCUAGGGAGGAUGUGAAGGUCUCGUAUUUCUAAGAUGAGAAGGCGAUGAGCAACGGUUAGUAAAGGAAGGUAUUCAAAGCAAAUGACUAUUGAGUCAAAAAGCUGUGGAGAAAGCCAUUCGGAUUCAUAUUCACAUAGAAACGUUGAAAGUGUUAAUGCUUUACAAGACAUUCAAAGGGUGUUCAAGUUUAGUACAGUUAUCUGAGGAGGGCAUUUAUGGCCUCAAUCGCCUGUAGGCAGAUCUGAUCUACCGAAUCUAAUACUCGCUAGUCGUCAUUGGCUGAUCCGGGGAUUUCUGGCAUGUUGCGGUUUAGUCGGAUGGCCACGUGAGCAAGGGUUUGCCUUUCCUGUUUUAAAUCGGCAAUGACGGCCGGGAGGUCUUGGAGCUUCUUCUCCUCAGCAGCGAUGGCCUUCACGACUUGCUCCAUCUCUUUGGCGAGUUCCGCUCUACGCCGUUUAAGUCGAUCUAUGGCACUGACAAUGCUUGGAUGGAAAUUUUCAAGAGCGCCGAUCCGGUGGUGUACCUCUUGAGCUUGGUGCUUAUAAGAUUCCUCUUCCUCGUGUGCCUUUUCCAGCUUGGCACGAUCAGCCAUAUUUCGCAAAGCUCUGAAAACUGGAAUUUGCAUCGACUCAAUAUAUGCCGCAGGCGCAAGAGCUUCUUCCACAUCUUCUGGAACUCGGCCUUUGAUUUCAUUGAAUAUACGCCGAAUUGGAGAAGCAUCCUCUACCAAUCGGCCGAUGUCGUCCUGGAGAAGGGCUCGUAUGUUCUAGAGCUUGGCACAGACCUCUUCUGGUAUUGAGCCCAAAGCUAUCUAGCGUGAAGCAACUUCCUCGUCAUCGGAGACUGCGACCGCGAAGGAGAAAAGGCUAUUGUUGGUCGUGUCUUGUUCCUGUGAGAAAUAAAGGGAAAGAGUGCCUUAACCGACAGGAGUAAAAAAUUGGCCGAUAGAGGUAGAGGUUCCUUACUUCUUUGAAACAGAUUUUCUCUGCUUGGGUUGGCAAGAUUGCUGCUCCCACUUCAGGAAUCGGUGUCGGCAGUUCACCAGAACAGGAGGAUUCAACAAUGAUUGGUGCGGUACUUGGUCCUGCCUCCUUGAGAAUGGGAAGAGAAGUUCUUAUGAGUAUGAAAGGAUAAUUGGAUCUGGGAAUGGGUUUUAGUUAUCUCACCUCUGAAAACCACACAACCAAUGUUUGCUUGAAGGGUACAAUCAAUGUGUUCGAGAUAUCUUGCGCCAGAGAUCAAUCAGUUUUAGUUAAAGAUUGGGGAAAUCAAGUGAAAAGCAUACUCUUCACCUCAAUUGGGAGGUUUGCUGGUGCAGUCUCUUCUUGAGGAUCGGCUGGUUGAUGAGUGGUUUGCUCCGGAAGAAGGUGCACAACCUAAUAAGAAGAGGUGGAAUUAAUGUUGACAACAUACUUAGAAGAGUUAGAGCAUGUGAGAUUACCGAUGCAACUUCCACCAGCAGAGAUGCAGCUGCUGAUCUAGCUUCUGAAACCACUUGGGGGUUAAUCUCCUGAAUUGUCGGCACGACUUCUGAUGGGGCUAGUAUGGCUGAGGGCUCGACCGAUGGCGUCGCCGAUUGAUCAACCGUCAGAGUUACUGUUGAUUCGGUACGGGCUCGUACUCGGCGGCUUGUCUUCUUUGAAGUAGACAUCUUUAGCUUAUGCUUCAAUUGACCGGUAGCAAUGUCCUCCAUUGAUGGUGCGUGAUAGCCAAUGAGUGGGUAAAGUGUGUACGGAUGACGGUUUUCUAUCGGCCUACCACUUCGGCUGCGUGUUAGAGGUGCCUGGCUAUCGGACUGCGCAAAGAGGGGGAGUCCGUAAUGAGAACCUUGUGGCAUAACGAGGUGAAAAUGAGAAAUCGAUCGAAAAGGUUUUGUUACCUCUGCAUUUGGGUCGACAUGAGCAGGGUCCAACUGAUUGCAAUAUACUGCAGGAGCUGUGCAAAAAAGAUGUUGCUUCCAUUUGGCCCACCAUAAUUUGAAUUGUUGAGUGGAGAAGGGUGCUACCAGCCAAUUGUUCAAGUCAAUAGUGCUGGAGUCUGGUAUCAAGCUGCAUAAUCAGUUAUAUUCAAACCCUCUUGAAAGUGACUCUCGAAACUUCACCCGGCCGAUGAAAUAAAUUCCAAUAGGCAUCUAUCCUAGGCCAAAUUGCCGGGCUACCACCGACAGGUUGUAGAAUUCAUACAUCGGGGAGUCCUUUCCAGAGAAGAAGUUUGCUGGCAAAAUCUCGAGCUUGAUAAAGAUCUCCAUAAUCCUGUCUUCAAAAGAAUUGGUGUCCAACUCAAAGCAAUCAGGAUUCUCAAAAAGUGAAUCCUCUCUCUGGUGCAGGUACCACCUCGUGGUCUCUUCACUGAAGCCGAUAUAAAAGCAUCUAAAAUAUUCGGCUGUCCUUGAGGGAGUGAGUUUGCCUCCUAGAAAAGAUGAUACGGCUUCUCUGAAGGAGGUACAGCAGCGCCUUGCUGUUGGGUUGGUCUCUGACUCGAUGUUGGGGAAGGUCUUGGUCUCGAUCCGUUCUCUGGAGAUUUUGCUCAUAUAUAAAUUAAGCUAAAGGUUAAUAAACCACCAGGGACCGCUAGAGUUCCGAAUGGGCUCUCCAAACGAUAGCUUUACAGCAAUCUGGUGCAUCAUGAAGUAAACCGACCCCAACAGAUGUUUUCCCAAAGGAAUAGUAGCACCUCUUGCCAGCGCUUCAGCCAAGGUUUGUGUGUUGGAGGUGGGGCCGACCGAUCUGCCACAGAAUAAGUGUUUUUAUAGCCACAUCAUCAAGAAGGCCGUAUACUGUCUGUUAGUAAUGGGUCUGGUCUUCAUGUUCUUUUCAAUGAAACCUUUCCAUCCGUCGAUGCCCUUUGUUUCCAAAUGGUGAGUUGGCUUGAUUAGAAGGUCAAAGGGCAUAUCGAUGCAGGAGACGUCAAGACCAGUCAACAUCAGGACAUCGGCCAGAGUGGGAGUCAUCGGCCCAUGGCCAAAAAGAAACGCAUUGAGGGCGUCGGACCAGAAGUAAGAUGCUGCAAUGAGUAGGGAGUCGUUCCUCUCCAUAUGAGACAGGGACAAAUUUAUACAGUGGUCGAUUUUCCCCUCAUCCCAAAAAACUCUCUUCGAGUUUGACAUCCUUAAGAACCAUUCUCUCCAACCGGGGGUUUCGUUCAGCCAAGACCUGAAUGUGACUGUCCAGUUAUUCAAAUCCAUCGUUGAUUGCUUGAAAGGGAUUCUGUGAGUUUCCAGAUUAAUCAGCUCAGUUGGAUCAGGGUUCCCCAUGGGGACAAGUCCGAUGAGGCCAGGAGCGUCAGAUAGGGGGAUGGUGAUUCUUUGCCUAAGCUCCUAAGAAGAUAUGAGAAAAAACUUAGAACAGAUCUAAGAUUCGCAGAACGGUGAAAAGUAAAAAAGGGAGAGUUUCGGGGAAUUUACCUCCGGGAUGAAAACCAUAGUGGCUGAAGGAAUCGCCAUUGGAGUUUGAGGGGAUAGCGCAAUUGAUCAAAGGAUGAGAUGGGCUCAUCGGAGGGCACUGGAAUGCUCCUAGAAGCGGAAUGGGCGCCGGAGUGCGUUGGAAGAUGGUUCACCGGGAGAGAAAACUUUUUAGCUCGGGGAAGAAGAAGAAGCGGAAGAGGUGAGUAUUUAAAAGAUGGUUUGAGAGAAGGGUAAAGAUGGGAUUUUUACCGCGUCGUCCACGCAAAUUUUGAAGAGAGUGGUUGCCCGCGGGCGCUUUAUUCAAGAAAAUGCAAUCAUUAAAGAGUAGACUCCGGAGCGAAAUGGGUUUUGCCAUGUUUACUAUUGCACUUUCUCCAAAGGGAAGAGUUGGAGUUGAGACACUCUGAAAUUGGGGGGCAUGUGUUGACGCCGGAUUUUGACACGUGUUAACGUCGGCGUUAAAGGAGAGGAAGGUGGCCGAUGUGGCAAGCAAGAAGCUACAGUUGGAGAAUCGAGCGAUAGAGCUACAGUGUUCCGGCCGAUUGGCUGAAGGAGUCAAUGAAGACUGGCAGAUUGGGAGCCAGAAUGGCUUGGCCAAUGUGGGCCUAAAAUGGGCCAGGGUGGUGAUUAGCCAAAGAUGAAGAUUGGCCCAUGGGAAAAUAAUAACCAACUCCAAUGUGGGUUGUGUUCGUGUGUAAAUAUUUGUUAUUACAGAUAGAUCCUAGUCGGUUAGGAAAUCAGUUGUAACAAGGUAUAAAUAGGUGCCUCGUAAGGUUUGUAAAAAAUACAACUAUAAUCAAUACUGAUCUACUCUUUCCACGUACUUUACUUUCAAGUCGUCGACUUCGCCAAACCCUUUUCCUUUUCACGAGUUCGUGCGAGUUGGCAGGACUGCAUCAACACGACCUCCGGCCAAUUUGUAAGUUCCACGUAUCGAAUAGUAUCUAAGCUUUAACUUCGAGCGCAUCGCUGUUGUUUUGUUUAGAUUUAUUCACCAGUUAUCGAUAUUAACUAGAAUUAUAGGUUUUACAUGUUGUUUUAGUUUUUAUCACCAGUUAUCCAGCUUGAGACACAAACUGUUAGCUUUUUAUCAAUAUUCUUUGUUUAUCACUAUAUAGCUGAUUAGAUUUGUUCCAAGUGUUGCUUGUGUAGCAUUGUUUAGGUUGCUCUAGUGGUUUGUUUUGCAAUCACUACAUGGUCAUCGGCUAUUUUAUAGCCGGUUGUUUCUAAAGUAAAUCGGCCGAUUCGCUGAUACACACUUUGAAAUAGAUCGGAACUUGAGCCGAUCGAAACCCUGGAAUUUAAUACCUUUCUUUCCUUGUCAAUCAAUAGGUCAGAUUGACUAGCACGCCGCGUGAACCGCACCAGGGCGACAACCUGAACAGGAGAUAAGCAGUUUCUCCUGGGACGUGUGUGCAACGCAGAAGCCGGAGUCUCCAUCCGAUUUUUAGCGUCAACAAAAUCCCAUCACCAAAUCCAUGGCAAAUGCCCAUCCAUAACUCAAAAGCAUGUAUAUGGAUAAAUGAGCGGUGGACUAGCUAGGGGUCGGUAGCUAGUCCACAAAAGUAGGUGAAUAAGGAAAACAUGAUAAACAAUUAUCAAGGUAGGACUAGAAACAUUGGCUAUGCAAUCCAUCAUCAUCAAGCAUUAUAAAUAAAGCACUAGCCACUAAGCAUGCAUAGGAUCUAUAUGAUUGGGAGUGACAUGACAUCUUGUCCGUAGUCGAUCGGGUCCUCCUCGACGUAGUUGGGGUCUUGAAGGUCUUCCUGGUCAUAGCUCGGGUCUGAACAGAACGAGAUACGAGGAAGCGGAAGCAUAAAUUAAAUGGCAAUAUAUCUAGGAAAAAACUCCAAGAAAGCAAGAUUUUGAAGAUCCAAAUAACACCAAACUAGCUACAAACAGCACGGGCUCAAUUUUACGAAUUUAAUGCAAUUGGUUUCAUAUUUUUUUGAGUUAAAAUGAACUAGUUAUGAAUUUUUAAAGAUUAAAGAAUUUAUUCAAUUAUUUAAUAAUUUCAGAAAAUAUUUAUUUCAAGGUGACACAUGUCAGCUCGGGAUUGGUCCAUGUGGUAGCCCUAGGGUGCCACUUGUCCAGCUGACGUCACGCUGACAUCAGCGUUGACCGGUCAACGAUCAUAGUGGGCCUGGCCUGGCCACAUUAAUGCCACGUGGUGCGUAUGUGGCAGCCACGUGGGCUGCGGCGGCAGUGUGGGCGUGCACGGUGCGGCACGCGGCGGCCGUUAGCGUGCACAGGCGAGUGAUGAGCUGCAAGCACGCGGGUGAGAGCGCGAGCGGGUGUGGCAUGCAAGGCACGGGUAUGACAUGACGCUGAGCGUGCGGGGUCUCAAGCGUAGGUGAGCGCGAGCGGCAAGCGCGGGUGCGGCGGCCCUUGCCCAGCCAAAGGCGGGGCCUUUGGUCGUGGCAAAGGCGCGGGUGGGAGGCACACGUGUGCGUGGGCACAGGGCUUGCCCUGGUCACGGCACAGUCGUGGUGGCGUGCAAGGUCCUGGCGCUACGGGCCGUGGCAGCCGGCGGCAAGGCGGCGAUGGCGGCGGCCUACGGUUACAGCUAUACUACCAAGGCAAAAAUAGAGAGAGAGAUGGGAGAAGUGGCUCACGGCGCGGGCUUGGUGGAGACGAUGGUGUUGGUGGCAAGUGGCGGUGACAGCUUCGGGCGGUGGCAUGCACGGCGCGGCUACAACUUUUCUCCCCAUGAACAACCUCCUCCUUCCUUCUUCUUCUUCCUCUUCUCCCCCUCUUCUUCUUCUCCUCUCUCCUUUCCUUCCCAUAACGCUCUUCUCCCUUUCCUCCUUGGUGGCGGUGGAUGGGCGGAGCCUGAAUGGAUGACGAGCGGGAGGCACCGGGGGUGCUAUUUAUACUGGCAAGCAGCUAGGGUUAGGGCUCGGUUAGGUGGUGGAGGCUUCUGGAGCAGCCGACAGUGCCCUAGGGGGUUGGUGGCGUGGCGCCGGCGACGUGGGCGGCCGGGAUGCGCCGGCGGCUCGGGCACGGCGGCGUGGCGUGCAUCAAGGGCUCCCAGCACAAAAGCGAGGCACGGCCGGGGGUCACGGGCGCGUGGGCGAGCGCGGAAGUGCACUCCAGCUCGACGCGGCACGAUGCUUGCGACGCGUGUGAGCGGGCACGGCGGUACGACGAGGUGGAGAAGAAGAAUAGUACAUGACUAACCUGUGGGCUCGUGGCGUUGACAAGAGAAGGAGGGAGUGGCCCAGGCGUGAGCUGGGCUGACUGUGGCCUACUGGGCUUGGGGGCAGCAUGGGUGAGUAGGCGGGUGAGCGCGGUGCGGCGAGCUAGGCUAGCAAACGCAGGUGCGCGCGCCGCACGUCAGGGCGACACGAGCUGGGCUGAGCGGUUAGCGGGCCGGCGAGCGGACCAGGUUAGCGGGAUGAGUUAGUUUAGGUUAGAUUUAUUUUUUUUUGGUUUAGAUUUUAGGUUUAAUUUAGUUUGAAUUCAAAAUUCAAACAACACUUAAGCAUGAACUCCAAAUGAAAUUCAAGAAGAUCCAAAUCAUGCCACACAUAUUUUUGAAAUGGAAUUUAGGGUAAGAGAGGAAAUAUCUAGCUUUUCAAAUGAGCACACAGUUCAAACAAGAAGUUUUAAAUUUUUGCAAAAAUUCACUCAUUCAAAUAUUACAAAUUUUGGAGUAUUACAGGCGCCCCCCCCCAAACCGGGGCCCUUGCUGAUGCAAGCCCGGGGCUUGCUGGUACAAGGGCCCCUUUUUUACUGUUUUAAUUUCAUUAAAAUUGUGUAUUACUAUUUUUAUUUAAUUAUAAUUGUGUCUUACUGUUAUAUUUAAUUAGCUUCAAAUAGUUUAAUUGUUUACUAGUAUGGAGUAAUUCAUUAUAAUUGUGUAUUACUGUUUUUAUUUCAUUAUAAUUGUGUACUAAUUGCUUUUAUUUAAUUAUAAUUAUGUAUUACUAUUUAUGUAAUUACUGUUUUACUGUUAAUUGAUAUUCCUAUUAAUAUGGAGUAAUUAAACUUAGAGUUAUGCUUCAAUAUUUACCUACAAUAAACUUAGCUUCAAAUAGCUUCAAGUAAUUUCCAAAUCCAUUUACCCGAUAUUCCUAUUAAUAAAAGACGCAAUUUCCCUUAUAAUAUGAUUCAUUUAUGCUACAUCACACUUUGAUGCUGAAUGAUUCAUUGAUGCUAUAUCAAAGUCUAUGAUACAAUUUUUAAUUUAAUGUAUCUAUGAUUUCAUGUGUUUAAAUUAGGUGAGAUGGGAGACGAAGAGGACACUACUAGAUUUUUAGCCUAUGGCAAGGGUGGAAAAAUGUGGCAAUAGGGCCAAAAUAGUGGCAAUAGGUAGCAUUUGCAUCAAUGUCAGUUUGGUUGGCAGCCGUUGCAAAAAACUUCAUGGUAAUAGGUGCAUUGCAAUGGGUUUUUUUAUUUUGGUGCAAUGUUAUGGUAAUUACCACACACUAGUUCAUUGCAUUAUAGAGUAUUGCAACUUUUGAUUCUGUGGCAUUAGCAUGUAUUGCCACGCAACUAGGCAUUGCUAUAGUAUGUAGUUGCAAUGGACUGACACUGUGGCAAUAUUGUAUUUGGCCAUGACCAACAUGGUGGCAAUAGAAUAUAUUACCACACAUAUUUUACGUUGUGACAGAUCCUACGGCAAUACAAUUUCUUUCGUGGAAAUAAACUAUAUUGCCAUGGAAACAAGUUUGGUGGCAAUAAUUUGUUUUGCAACGGAAAAUAUUUAGAAGCAAGAAAAUAUGUUGCAACAAAAUAUUGGUGAAGGUUAUUAAGUAUUAUAGCAUCUUUUUUCAUUUGUGGCAAUAAGUUGUUUUGUAAUGAAAAAUAAAUAGAGGUAAGAAAAGAUGUUGCAACAAAAUAUAGGCCGUGGCGCACUAUUUGUUUUGCAAUGAUAUAUAUUUAUGUCAAUAACUUAUAGCAACCAACUAGAAUUGUUGCAUUUAUUUCUUUUUGCAACAGGAAGAUGUAUUUCUUUUUGCAGCAGGAAGAUGUAUUUCUUUUUGCAACAGGAAGAUGUAUUUCGCAACACAUAUUGCAUUUUAUAUAUUUGGAUAUUGAAUCAUUUGUGCAACAAAUGAUUUCAUCAAAAUAUGAAUUGUAUCAUCAUGAAUAUAAAACGAAGCCAUCCUGACAAUCAUCAAGUAAAAGUGCCAACUACAUUCUCCAAAUCGAAAAUAGUUCAUAACUAGUGUUGGGUGAUCAAUAGUACUAAAUCUAUCUUAUGUAGACUACAGCAAGCAUGCACUGCAUUGAUUUUCCUUGUGUCGAUCAUGGCAUGACUCUGAAUCUGUGCGAUCCAUUCAAGAUGAAUGUUCCUGUUGAAAAAAAAGAAUGUAGUGUAUCAGCAAAAUUCAUGAGUAAGUCACAGCCACAUAUGCUGUCACAGCAAGAGCAAAGGUCAUUCAAUUCUGAUAAUAAGAAGGCAUUAAUUUGUCAUGAUUAUAUUAGUUAUAACCAAAAUAUGUUCAGUUAGAAAUAACAUUCAAUGCUAGAAACCUUCAGCUCUUAUUAGGUCACACACAGUUCAGCUCUUUAUAUUAUAACGACACACAGUUCAGGUCAGCGGUGGAUCCAGCGCUCUUUAACCUUGAGGCGUGAUUCAUUUACAUGAACCUUAUCAUUAGGUUUUGUAUCACCACAUGAACCUUGCUGCAGUUUUAUUCCUCAAAUACUGAACUGUAUCCAGUGACAAUGAAGUGAGGGCCAUGCUGGAUACUGAAUUGUAUCCAGUAUUCUUACAUGCUUGUUCAGGCUAUUACAAACUUGCAAUGCAAGGACACCAAAGUGUUUCCAGAUUACUACUAAAAAAUCCAUGAUGUCUAUGUUAAGACCAGUUGACUUACAUUUUCAUAAACUACAUCCUGGCUACUAAUAGUUUCUGCAUUAGUCUAGUGCUGCCAUGAUUGUUAUUAGCAAGACAGAUGUCUAAACUGUAUGAUUGUUGCACUGAAUUGUUGUUAGCUUUUGAUAAUGUAAUGUGAUCAUAUUUUACAGGAAUAAAUUAUAUUUCUAUAUGAUUUCUAACCAAGUACAACCCUUGUUUUGUGUAGAAAAACAAAGAGGCUACUGGAUGCAGCACAAGACUUUCUUGUACCGGGAUGUGAUCAGCUUGGUAUAUGGAAAGGACCAUGCAGCAGGUGAUGCAGUGUGGACUACAGCAGAAAGAUGAGAUGAACAAGGAACAGAGUGGCAACAAAGAGCCUACUUCAUCGGUAACUUCAGCGAGUUUUAAGAGGCAAAGGUCUGGUGAUUAUUGAACUUCAAUGAUGGCUGAAAAUUUGGAUAAAUUUACUGAAGCACUUAAACAAGAAGCACCUAAAGGCCCAACAUCCAAAGAGAUCCUUGAUUCACUAAACAAGAUAGACGAACUACAUGAAGACACUCUGUUGGACCUAUUUGAUAUUCUAACAAGUGACUAAUGCAAGUAUCAGUCUCCUUUGGCCCUACCAGUGAAGAUGAGAAAAAGAUGGCUGACAAUGGAUGGUAUUGGUAAGUCUCCAUAAAUUAUAGUAUAUACCUGACCUGUCAAGUGAAUGGAUGGUUUGCAUCCAGAUAAUCGGUGAAAGUUACCCAUUUCUGUUCGUGCGUUAUUUGAUAUUACUAGUGUAGUAGUGCUUUUGCAAAUUUAUGGCAUAUUUGAAAUCCAUAAAUUUAAGGCGUUGAGUCAGUCUGCUGCUGUGGUUGCUCCUUUGGGUUGUGUUGGAAGCUAAAAGCACAAGACCAGCAGCAGGUACAUCUCCCCGACCUCAUUACUGACCCCCUCACAUUGGUGCCUCAUUUGUCUAUGCAAUGCAAAUGUGACUCCCAGACUCGCGGCUGCCAGCCUGCCUUAUGCCCAGCAGCUAUGCAUGGCCUAAAGUCCAUACUACAGGCUACAAGCCCUGCUGAAUAAUGCAUGAGCACUUUGAUUUAAGGUAAAAAAAAGGUGUUGACAACAUUAAGAAAUUAUGUGAUAAACAAUAUAGGGAAGUUUUGACAUGGGAUUAUUUCUGUGCCACGCACAGAUCCAGCCCCCAUCACAGUCGAUUUCUGGAUCCGCCACUAGUUUAGGUCAUAUAGAGUUCGCAACAUAGAUUAGAAAUUAGAUUUGCUUUUUCAUACAUGUUGGCUUCUUGUGCAUACAUGUUUCGUAGCAGCAUUCAGUAGUUGAUGUCAAGUAAUAAAACCUCCUGCCAUAUUGCUUUUGCUGUUUUGAAAAAGACCUCGAGACACUGUACUAGUUCUAUAUUUGCUAGCAUUUUUGUCAAUUAUUGGCGUAGCUGCACUUGGGAUGAUGCUCCGUGGGUCAGUCUGCAUAGGAAAAACAAGUGGAAGGAAUUUUGCUACAAAACACAUUCCAAUAUGCUCAUGUGUGUAACAAAUAUCCAAAUUGCUUUUACCUGAAGUAAUGGGGUUUGUCUCUAUUCUACAAUCUUUGAUAGCAACUCUAACAUGAUUUCUUCCCUAAGUGCUUGCCUUUUCCUUUUCUCUUCUUGUUGAAUUUGUACCAAUUUUUCUUCAAAUAUCCUUUCCCUUUCAGCCUUUUCAUUUGCAAGUUGUUCUUCUAACUUGUCAACCUUAUCUUGGAGCACAUUAUUUCUCUGGUUGGCUGCAUACUUCAAAGUAGACUAUGUUCGGUAAAGAGUGCUACUGCCCAAACAUGAAAGGCUGAAACUAUUUAUAGAACCAAACAAAACCUAACAUUAGUUGAUUUUUUUGGACAUAGAGAUUAACUUCCACGAAAGCAUAGUGAAAAUGAUCUACAAAAGGACAUUGUAUCUAAUUUUCUUCCACCCAAAUGCAUAUGACUAGAAGUAAUUAAGCUUAGAAUCAAAUUAGGGCACAGGGAACUAACCUCGUUGGGGGAUUAAGAAAUCCUAACCUCAUCCCCAUGAUUGAACCCUACAGAACGAAGGCCGUUGUUGGUUGCAUUUGGAGCUGGAGCCCCUUGGUCGGCGGUGGCAGCAUGAGGACCAGGAGACCCUUGGCUGCCGGCAGCGUGAACAUCAUAAGCACCACAGUCACCGGCGGCGUGAAGAGGAGUCUCGCGACCGGCGGCGUGAAGAGGAGUCUCGCGACCGGCGGCGUGAAGAGGAGUCUCGCGACCGGCGUCGUGAGGAGUAGGAGUGUCAUGGCCGGCGGCAUCAGGUACAGGAGUGUCGUGGCCGUGCGGCGCGAGGUGGAGCAGGAGUCCAUCGGUUUGCAGUCUCCAUCGGGAGGAAUAGAUGGAAACGGUGCCCCCUCCCACACGUAUGAGUCUGGCGAUUUUAGGGGAAGGAUUGCCGGCCUUUUAGUAUAUCUACUCUGGAAAAUAUGGAGGGGAAAUUAGGUGGGGUGGUGAGAAUCGUGGGAAAAAAUUGGGGAGAAGAGGUGGGAGAGGUUUAGGGCCCCUUUGGUAGCAUGCGCGCGGAUGGUAGGGGCCAAGCGGCGGAUGGUGCGAUGAGCGAUGAGCGGGGCACGAGGCCGAGUGCACCGGCGUGCGUGCGUGGCGCGGCAUUGGCUAGCGGGUAGGGGUCGGUGCAGCGCGGGCAUGGGGCUGGGGGGCGCGGCAGGGAGGUGGCGGUGUGCGGUGCAGCCAUGGCGCGAGGCGGGGUGCACGCGUGGCGAGCGGCAGGGCAUAGGGCGCACGGUGCGGCCAGGGGCGAGCGGGGCGUGGGGCCAGCCUGGUGGGAGCGCAGCAGGGUGCAAAGUGGGGCUGGGGCACGACAGCGGUGUGAGGUAGUGCCGUGGUGGUGCCCCUGUUCCAGCAGCACUAGUAGAGAAUUGGCUUUCGAUUCGCCCCCUUUUGUCCCGAUUUAAAGUUGGCCCGGGACAAAAGGGGGUGCGCCACGGUAGGCAAAAUUGGAGGGGAGCUUUACUCCCGGUUGGUAAUUGCAACCGGGACUAAAGGCCCCCCUUUAGUCCCGGUUGCAACGGCUAGCUGGGGGGUGUCGGUGGCGGGACCCUUUUAUCCCGGUUGGAGGAUCCAACCGGGACUAAACUUCCAACCGGGACAAAAGGUGUUCCUUUUUGUCUCGGUUGGAGUUUUUAACCGGGAUAAAAACUCAUCCCCAUUAUAUACGGCCAAGACAGAGGACUUUCUUCCUCCUCCAGCCCGAGCCAGUCCAGCACAUUGACAGAGAGAGCUGAGCUUCACCUACUCUCCAGUGGUGCCGAAGCAAGCAAGGAAGGUGCUGCCCGAAGUUUUUUCCCUCAUUUUCGUGGGAAUUUCACUCAGCCAACACAAGUGUUGCGAAGGUUUGCUACUUCAUCCUCGUGUUAUGCUUUGAUUUAUGCUUUGGAGAUGGAAAGAUUAUUUGCUACAAUGUGAUGAUGAAGUAGAAAAAUGGAGAGGUAUUUUAAGCUAGAAUGUGAGGGAGAUUGAUGUGUCAUAUAUAGUAUGCAUUAUUGCAGUGGUUUAAAAAUGAUGCUACCUUGUCUAGACGGUUUAUCUUAUCAAAUUCAAUAUGGUUUUUUAAAUCCAUAUACUUGUUGAACUUGCAUACCGUGUUCAUUUCGGCGAGAAUGUUCUCCGCCGAGCAGCAACGUAUGUCAAGAAGGAGGUUCGAUUCUACGAGAAGGAGUGGAUACGGACAUCGUGACCGUGUCCCCUUUUUCGUAGCAUCUAACCUCUUUCAUGACGAAGUGCGGUGCCGCCCAGCUGAGGACAUCCUCGCGAAAUGAACACGGUCUUCAAGUUCAACAACUUCUGUAGUGGUAAGGAAAGAAUGUUUGUACAUAGAUGACUUCUGCUACUUGUUGAACUUGCAUACCGUGUUCAUCUCUCCGAGGAUGUUUUCCGCCGAGCAGCAACGUAUGUCAAGAAGGAGGUUCAAUUCUACGAGAAAGAGUGGAUACGGACAUCGUGACCGUGUCCCCUUUUCCGUAGCAUCUAACCUCUUUCAUGACGAAUACCGGUGCCGCCCAGUUGAGGACAUCCUCGCGAGAUGAUCACGGUCUUCAAGUUGAACAACUUAUGCAGUGUUAAGAUAAUAAUUUUUGUACAUAGAUGGCUUCUGCUACUGGAGGAAGUGGCGAUGGUGGGGACGAUCGUGGUUCCUAUUAUGGCAAGGUUCCAAUCAUAGUUGGACCUCAGCAUAAGCCGAAGAAAAAGAGCGCGCUGGAAAAAGCAAUGCUUCGUUAUUUGCAGCAACGUCAUGAAGAAGCUGUUGCCGCGGGUCAGGAACUUCCUUUUGGUGGUCGUUAUGCUCCACCCUCAAUCCCGGGUGUUUCACGUCCACUUAGUACUACCGUUUCAGGCGGCACAAAUAAACCUAAGGAUGAGGUUGGGUCAGCGGAACCUUCGUCUUCACCGUCCAAGGAUGCUUAAAGUCCUCCUUGAUAAUAACCAGUGGAUGGCUUGUUGUAUUGUAUCAUGUUGUUUGGGACUUUAAUUUAAAUAUGUGUAUUUGGAUCUUCAUGUUGUUGUAUUGUACCAUGUUGUUUGGAUCUUUAAUCAAUUUUCACGCGUAAUCCAUUGUCAAGUGUAAUCCAUUUUCAUGCGUAAUACGAUGCAGAUGGACCGGCAAUGGAUGUAUAAUGCAGACAGGCGGAGCAAGGCGUUUAUUGAUGGCUUGCAUUAUUUUCUCGAAGUGGCAAAAGCGAACAAGCCAGAGAAUGGGUUCGUAUGUUGUCCAUGCUUCCAAUGCAAUAACAGGAAGGAGUAUUCAAAGGAUUCCUGGGGGACUAUUCACAGCCACUUGUUUAAAUACGGUUUCAUGCCUAACUAUUUGGUUUGGACCAAGCACGGUGAACUAGGGGUUGUAAUGGAAGAUGGAGAGGAGGAGGAGGAAGAUGACACCAUUCCGGACUGGGUUGCAGGCCAAGCUUUUGCAGGUACUACAAUGGGCGAGGCUGAUGAAGAUGAGUUUGCAGAAAAUGACCCUACUGAUGACCUUGGUCAGGUGAUACGAGAUGCAUACAGAGAUUGCGAAACUUAGAAGGAAGCAGCAAAGUUGCAGCGCAUGAUAGAUGAUCAUCAAAAAUUGUUGUACCCAGGUUGCCAGCAAGGCCAUAAAAAACUAGGUACGACACUAGAAUUUGUGCAAUGGAAGGCAAAAAAUGGUGUGUCCGAUAAGGCAUUUCAGGGGAUGUUGAAUAUUGUCAAGAAGAUUCUCCCCGAGAAUAAUGAAUUACCGUCCACAACAUAUGAAGCUAAACAGAUUAUUUGCCCUCUCGGAUUGGAUGUUCAGAAGAUACACGCAUGCCCUAAUGACUGUAUCCUCUAUCGUGGUGAUGAAUACGAGAAAUUGGAUGCUUGUCCCGUCUGCGAAGCCCUGCGGUAUAAGAUCAGGCGAGAUGAUCCUGGUGAUGUCGAGGGGCAGUCUCCCAAGAAGAGAGUUCCCGCGAAGGUGAUGUAGUAUUUCCCUAUAAUACCACGCUUGAAGCGCUUGUUCAGGAACAAGGCGAAUGCUAAGUUGAUGCGAUGGCACAAAGAAGACCGUAAGGAAGAUGAGAUGCUGAGACACCCCGCAGAUGGGGCACAGUGGAGAUCAAUUGAUAGAACAUUANNNNNNNNNNNNNNNNNNNNNNNNNNNNNNNNNNNNNNNNNNNNNNNNNNNNNNNNNNNNNNNNNNNNNNNNNNNNNNNNNNNNNNNNNNNNNNNNNNNNUGAGUUGAGUAGUGGCCAUAGUACUUGGCCUGUGACCCUUUGUAUGUUCAACCUUCCUCCUUGGCUGUGCAUGAAGCGGAAGUUCAUUAUGAUGCCGGCGCUUAUCCAAGGCCCAAAACAACCCGGCAACGACAUUGACGUGUACCUAAGGCCGUUGGUGGAUGACCUUUUACAGCUCUGGAAGGAAGAAGGUGUACGUGUGUGGGAUGAGGAUAGACAAGAGAUCUUUAAUCUACGAGCACUGUUGUUCGUAACCAUCAACGAUUGGCCUGCAUUGAGUAACCUUUCAGGACAGACAAAUAAGGGAUAUCGGGCAUGCACCCACUGUUUAGACGACACAGACAGCAUGUACUUGAAGCACUGUAAGAAGGUCGUCUAUAUGGGUCAUCGUCGAUUUCUCCCUGCUCACCACCAGCUGAGAAAGAGCGGGAUGCAUUUCAAAGGGGCGCCAGACCAUCGUAAAAACCUGCACACCGUAAUGGAAAGCGUGUGUUCGAGAUGAUGAAGGAUGUAUAUGUAGUCUUCGGAAAGGGACUUGGUAGCCAACCUGUUCCGAACGAUGAUAACGGACAUGCACCCAUGUGGAAGAAAAAGUCAAUAUUUUGGGAGCUACCUUAUUGGGAAAUCCUAGAGGUUCGCAACGCAAUAGACGUGAUGCACCUGACGAAGAAUCUUUGCGUGAACGUGCUAGGCUUCAUGGGUGUUUAUGGAACCUCAAAAGAUACAUUGGAAGCACGACAGGACCUGAAAGCCAUGGGGCAACGAGAUGACCUACAUCCAGAAAAGAGAGAUAAUGGACAGCACUACUUAUGUCCUGCCAGUUACACUCUCAGCAAACGCCGAUUAUUGCGAACGGACCACCUACUAGAAACGGNNNNNNNNNNNNNNNNNNNNNNNNNNNNNNNNNNNNNNNNNNNNNNNNNNNNNNNNNNNNNNNNNNNNNNNNNNNNNNNNNNNNNNNNNNNNNNNNNNNNCUUGUGGGUGACAAAGAAAAACCAAAAAAAAGACCAUAUGCCGCCUCUUUUGAAACCUGCAACAAAAAAAAAAUGGGCCAGACACGGUUCAUGGAAAAAAUGAGAAAGAAUGAAAACACGUAAGCGUUUAUUUCGGUGCCAUACAUGUCCUGAUAAAACCCCCCCCCCCUUUAUUCCCCAAAGAAAUAAGAACCCCCCCCCCCUUUUUAUCCCGGGUCGUGACGGCACCCGGGACAAAAGGCCCUUUUGUCCCGGGUGCCAUUACGAACCCGGGAUAAAGGGGGGGGGGGUUAAAAGGCACUGUACUCCCUUCUACCCCCCGCCAGUUACACACUUAGCCAAAUUUUCGCCAAGUCCCGCGCGUUCUCCGCCGUCGCCGCCCGUCCGCCUCCCUCGCCGGCCGCCGCCGUCGUCGUCCCCCAUUGCGCCGUCGAUGUCCCCCAUUGCGCCGUCGUCGUCCCCCGGCUGGCCCGCCUCGAUCCCCUCCUCGUCCGUCGACGCGCCCGGCCCCCGGCCCCCUCGUCGCGUCCGGCCACCGGCUCCACAUCCUCGUCGCCGGCUCCAUCCUCGUCGCCCCUCGUCGCCGUCUCGUCGCCGUCCUGCCUACGCCGCCGUCGUCGUCGUCGCCUCGGUCGCUGUCGUCCUCGUCGCCUCGGCAGCUGCCGUCCUCGCCGCCCCGGUCGCCGCCGUCCCGCCGCCCGGCCGCUGCCGUCCCGCCGCCCCGGCCGCCGCCGUCCCGCCGACCCGGCCGCCGCCGUCCCGCCGCCCCGGCCGCCGCCCCGCGCGCGAGAGCUUCGCUGCCGCACCGGCCGGCAGCGCCGCUGGGAGGGUUUUCUUUUUAGGUUAGAAAAUUAAGUUUUAUUUUUAGAUAGAUUUCUAAUUUUGUUAAGUUAGAUUUUUAGAUUUCUAAUUUUGUUAAGUUAGAUUUUUAGAUUUCUAGUUAGUUUGUUAAGUUAGAUUUCUAGUUAGUUUGUUAAGUUAGAGUUGAUACAGAGAAAAUGAAGUUAGAAAUUCGUAGGAUGCACCGCCGUCCCCUCCGCCGUCCCGCCGCCGUGAUCGCCGCCGUCCCGCCGCCCGUCACAACCUAGUUCCGGUGAACCGUCCCCGCCUCCGCCGUACCGUCACCGCCUCCGCUGUCCCGUCCCCGCCUCCGCCGUACCGCCGCCGUCCCGCCUCCGCCGCCCUGAUCGUCGCCGUCACAACCUAGGCACCGCACGUGGAUAUUGUUACAAAUUCGUAGAAAUUCGUCAAAAUUCGUAGAAAUUCGUAGAAAUUCGUCAAAAUUCGUAGAAAUUUGUAGAAAUUUGUAGAAAUUCAUAGAAAUUCGUAGAAAUUUCUAGAAAUUCAUACAAAUUCGUAGAAAUUCAUACAAAUUCGUAGAAAUUCGUAGAAAUUCGUAGAAAUUUGUAGAAAUUCGUAGAAAUUUGUAGAAAUUCAUAGAAAUUCGUAGAAAUUCGUAGAAAUUCAUAGAAAUUUGUAGAAAUUCGUCAAAUUCAUAGAAAUUUGUAUAAAUUCGUAGAAAUUCGUAGAAAUUCAUAGAAAUUUGUAGAAAUUCAUCAAAAUUCAUAGAAAUUUGUAUAAAUUUUGUAGGACUUUGUACAAAUUUGUAGUAAGACGAUUUCUAUGACUGUCAUGUAUGAUUCCAUGUAUGUUUCCAUCAAUAGUUGAAAUGGCAGACGAUGAGAUCGCAAGGUAUAUCAUGGAGCAGAUAAUCGCUGGUGAUGGUAGUGGAGACAACGUUCCACUAUCAUACACGGAUGAAGAGGGCACCCAGGCGGACAUGUUCCUCAACAUGUCCGCCGAUGGGAAUGAAGAGCAACAGCCGCAGCAACAACUUGCCGUGGCGGAAGGUUCCGGCGAGGUAUAUACAACCAUUCUUGUAUUGUUUCACGCCACCAUUACUACUACGUACUAAUUAACGAAUCUUGAAUUGUUAGCCCUCCGGAUCGACACAAGGGCAGAAGACCCGAGGUCGUACAAAGGUGAUGGAAGGGAGGCUUGUCAUCACCGAAGUUACAGAAGAGGGCAGGCCGGUUGCUCCCGAGAAAGUAGCAAAGAAGUACGUGAGUCAAAUCGAGGCAAUCGUCCGGGACAACGUGCCUAUCAGCAUCAGAGAAUGGAAGGGCAGAAGCACUAAUCCGUAUGCCCUUCCAGAGACAGAAAAGAAUAUGCUGUGGGAAGACGUGAAGAGACAUUUCACAUUCCCCAAAGGAUAUAGUGAGAAGGAUGUCAAAGCUUGGACGCUUAAGAAGAUGGCUACUCAAUUCCAGACAUUCAAGAAGAUGCUGGAUACCCACUACAUCAAGAAGGGCAAAACUCCAGACUUCAACGCGUGGCCAAAGUUGAGGGACCACUGGGAUGCAUUUGUUGAAUACAAGAGGAGUGAAGAAGAUGUGAAAAAGAUCACGACCAACAUAGCAAAUGCUAGUCAGAAGGGCUACCACCAUCAUUUGGGGUGAGGUGGGUAUGGCUCAGCAAUUCCCAAGUGGAGGAAGAUGGAACAAGAUCUGAUCGAACGGGGAAUCGUACCUGCAACUAUUGAAUGGCCCGAACGAUCAAAAAAUUGGUACUACGCUCAUGGAGGCUCCCUAAGCCAAGAGGAUGGGACGUUGAUUUUCAAUGACACAAUACGUGAGAAGGCCGAACAUCUCAUGAAGAACAUUGAAGAUUCCAAGGCUAGGAGGUUGAAGGUGGACCGAGAAAAUGAUGAGCUCACAUUGGCCCUCGGUAAUCCAGAGCACCCAGGACGUUGCCGAGGGUUCGGGGUGGUUCCGUGGAAGUUCGCUUUCCGAGGCGACAGCGCCUCUUACAGAAGCUGGAAGCGAAGAAAGGAACAGAUCGAGGAGAGCUGGCGGCAGAUGCUAGAACAAAGAAUGAUGGAUGAAAUCAAUCGGCGGGUGGCCGACGCAGUUGCGGAGUUGGACCAAUCUGGAGCAAUGCCGAUUCCUAACACCGCCAGCCCUUCUCAACGCCUCGGGAGCAGUUGUGCUUCUACAGGGGUCCCCGAUGCGCAGACGCCCAGGUUACCCGUGGAGGAGCAACGAUUCCCCGUGGAUGCCAUCACGCAAUGGACCUCAUGUGAGUUGCAUGCACCGGUCGGCAACCUAACUAUUAAGGUAUACUUAUACAUAAUAUUUAUGCAAUCUUGUCAAUUGAUCCAGGCCUCGAGAUCGGAGUUCAACUUGUUUACUUCUGCUAUAUGUACAGGUAGCGUACGGGAGUGCAUUAGCAACCCUGGCAGGGCAGAGCAGUCAUGGCAUGGACAUUCCAACAGGCUACGCCAGCGUCUGCGUCGAGCAAAUAGUUGAUCCCCAGUAUGAAGGUCUAGAGCUCGACUUCCCGGGAGGCGACGGGGAAAAGACAUUGGCAGAUGCGCUUCAUGGGAUCAUUCUAUGGAAGAAACGCUACAUCAUUAUUCCCAGCACGGAGCCAUCUCCUCAGACCUCAAGACCGCUCCCUGUAGAUCCCCAGCAGCGACCUUCUCCUCAUACCUCGAGACCGGCAUCUCCUGCUCCAGGACCGUCCCUUCCAUCUGUAUCAAGGUCUCCAUCUCCACCACAUCCUGGUGCUAGGAGCGACGACGACAAUAACAACACCCCUCCCCGAUCACCGUCGCCGGCACCAAGAGCGGCCCCCUUGAAGGAACCUGCAGCACCACUAAAGAAGUCACGAGCACCGCCUCCCAAGCAAAGACAGAGAAAGAAGAAAACAAAGGAGCCUGAAGUGACUCGUAAGGAACGCUGGGAGGCAAUGUCUCAUGAAGAACAGUGGGCAGAAAUCCAACGAGAGGCCAGUGAGUGGUUCAAGAAACAAGCCGAAUUAAAAAAGGCAAGGGAGAUGGAGCCACCGCCAGUAAGUCGGCGAGAUUUAAACUUUUUUAUCAGGAUGGAAGAAGGAGCCAAGAAAAGGAUACCACUCUUGUCAAACUAUGAACGAGCUCUAGUAAAGGCUGAUGAAAAGGAUAAAAGGAAAGGAAAAUCAUCCUCCAGCGGUCCAGUCCCCGACCUCAGCCAUUUAUCAAAAAAAGAUGCUCAACGGGUAAAAGCAAUGCCCUUGGAUCAACAAGCAAAUGUAUUGAAGUUCAUGGAAGAAACAGGUCUGGGACUUGAUGAAUGCAUAGGGCAAGUUGAGACGCCAACUGCACCGCCCCCUGAGCCGAAGUGGCCUUAUGAGCUAGGCAAACCUCUAGUAAAGCCUUCAUUGGUACGGAAGCUAUCAACAAAGAUGUACGAAUUCCAUCAAUGGUACAUGAUGGCAUCCGCCGACUCGAGGGAGAUGAUCGGCAUGAAGGUAAAACCGAUAGAUUUUCACGGUGAAGGGGAGAAAGUGCUGUGGCUAGACUUCAAGGAUAUAUACGAAGUGUACCAUCAUGAUGCCCUGGACGUCUCUCUGAUCAGCGCUUGGAUUCUGUAAGUGUCCGUUUAUCUCUACAUGUAAAUUUUGACGUGCGUCACCGUACUAACUUCAUCUUCCAUUUCAUGUAGGAUGCUAAUUCAGACAUGCCGCCGAGAUGCGUACCUACAUAUAGGCUUCAUGGAUCCAUCUGUAGUUAACCAACAACAGAUACAAUUAGCGCCGGAAAAAACCUUUGAGGAAAUAUACAAUUUCCUACACAAACAAACAUUCAAGGAUUUCAUACUACUUCCAUACAACUUCAAGUAAGUGUGUGUAUACCGUCUACUUUCGAUGUCUUUUUCCUUAUCUCUACAUGUUAGUUAGCUCUAAUAUGCAUGAACAUUUUACGCACGCAGCUUCCACUGGAUCCUUAUUAUAAUUGAGCCUGAAAGAAGCCACGUCACUGUCUUUGAUUCGUUAAGGAAAGAUCUGGUGGACUACCAAGAAUUGCAAGACAUGCUAGGCUUGUAAUAAUUCUGGACCUUUAUCUCUAUGCAAAAAUUUAUUUCCUAAAUUUUAUCCCUGUUACACUAUGUCAUUCAUUAUUCUAAUCCGCAGCGCAUGGAAACAAUUCAUAAGGACACACAAAGGUCCAUUCAAAGAAAAUCUUACAUGGAACAUAGACUUCCCGGUACGUAUGCAGUCUGCACAUUUAUUACAUUGUAUAACACGAAUAUUUCAUAACUUAUUUUUUUCCGCACUGAAGUGCUUAAGACAGGAACCCGGGAAUAAUCUAUGUGGCUACUACAUCUGUUAGCACAUGCACAAUUUUUUGGGACCCAAGGGACCGAAGAUGACGCCGCACAACUUUAAAGUACGUAAAAUAAAUAUAUUACUAGUUAAUUAUUUUGUAGCUCCUUAUAUGUAUUUGUUCAUGUAACAUUCACAAAUUUCAAAAUUAUAGAUGUUAAAUAUUCAACAAGGACUCUUGAAGGAAGAAAGAGUAGCGGCAAUAUGUGAAGGUCUCAUUGGAUUCAUAAUGGACGAGGUGGUAAAUCCAAAAGGAGAAUUUUAUUACGAUGGACGACAAUUAGACACUCCGAUCAGCAACACCACGACGGGAAGAUUGUAGGAAGAUACUUUGAUUUAUUUGUAUAUAUAAUACGCGCUAAUUAUGAUCGAUUUGUACUAAGCUAGUUGAAUUGUGUAUAUGAAUUGUGUAUCAGGAUUGUGUAUAUAUAUAGUAAUUGUAUAAUUACAAAUCCCAUUCGUUUAAAUACUAGUUGAUUUCGUUCUAAAAAAAUCUCAACUACAAGGUUAACAAAUUAAAAGGGCCGCGGUACUACGUAUACGUGAUGCAUGCAUGAAAAAUUCAGGCAUCACGGCAGUGCCAUGCAAGCGCCAUUUAGUCCCGGUUGGAAUCGAGCCGGGACUAAAGGGGGACCUUUACUCCCGGUUAAAAGAUCCGGGACUAAAGACCCCCCCUUUUGUCCCGAUUGGUUUAUCCCGGAUGGAUUUUCGAGAGAUAUACACCCUACCAACCGGGACUAAAGGCCAAUUCUCUACCAGUGCAGGUAGAUGGAAACAGCGCCCCCUCUCAAUCUACUCAGAUGGAGAAGGCAAUGGAAGCAGAUCUCGGGGAGACAGGGAGGUUAAUGUACAGGUGGGAAGUUGAGCGACACGAUUUAAUCGCUAAUCUUGGGAUGCGCUGGCCAUUAGGUGGGGAAUAACUGCAAUCAUCUUGGCGGCAUGUGAAUUUUUAGCUAAAUUCAUUGUGGCAGGUGAAUUUUUUCAUUGUGGCAGGUGGCAAAUUGAAUGUACCAAGUUAAUGAUUUUAUUUGUAUGCAUGAGAAUAUUUUUUUUAAAUAUAGUUUGACAUACAUCUAAAAAAAUUACUAAUUAAUAAGUUAUUGAUAUUCAUGACUACCCAUAUCUUAUAACAAUGAUUUUAUUUUGAAGCAUUGGAAAUCUUUAAUAUUAUCAUAUUCAUACUCAACGAAAGAAGAGGACCAGAAUGAUAUAUUGAUAGAGCAAGUGGCGUGCUAUGGUUGGACUUGGUAUAAUAAUGGCUUUCAGAGUGGCACUCAUUCGGAAGUAACGACAAAAAGAUACGCUAAUAGACCAAGUGAUGUGUUACAGUUUAGGCUCGAUGUUAAUAAUAAUCUGAAAAAGAUGACAGGAAAGAUAUAUGAUGGACGGUGCAACUUGGAUGAUUGUCUUUGAUACAAGUGACGUGGAUGUACCUGUCCGGUAAAUAAGGGAGCUAGCGGCGUGAGGGGUGGGGUCUCGAUGCCAUCGCCAUAGGCCACCGCUUCGACGAGUGAGCAAGCAUCUGCUAUCGACAAGCUGCUCCGUCAGUCGUGCACGGGCAUCCGCUACGGAGUUGCUGCUUCGUUGCGCCACUCUUGCUGUUCUUGCCAACUGAACCGCCAUCGUCCUCGUUGCUGAUGCGGUGAGCUCGCGAGGUCAAUCCCUCCCUGCCACCUGGAUCGUCUUGGAAGCGGAGCUCGCAUGAGGAGGAGGCAGGGCCUGAGACGCAGCCACACGAUAUGGUAGACGCGAAGCAGGCUGGAGCUUGGCUGCCACCGCGAUGAUCCGUUCCUCGACCUCUGACGCAUAUAGGAGUCGGGUGUCGGAGCAGGGAGAUGGGAGAUGGGAGGUCGAUUUCAACAAAUACGGAGGAGGAACGUUCGACACUGUGGAAAGGCCUGCUGUAAUACGCCCAAUACGGCUUGGUAUUGGAAGGGUUUUUCAAAUUCCAAUUCCAUGAACAUCCAAACUAAGAUAUUGAGUGUACCCAAUACCAAUUCCAUUUCCCAAGCUUCAAUAUCUACAUCCAAAUGGGGUGUUAUACUUUUAUAUCACCUAUAAGAUUUCUAAUGAUUGCAGGAUGAAGCCAUAUAUUGGAAUCGUUAUUGCAAACUGCAGAAAAUUCAACAUUAGGUGUUUCUCGAAAUUAAAAGAAUAGCAAGUUUAAAAGGGUAGAAAGAUAAAAACAUAGAGCUCCAAAUAUGGAGUCGAUCUGUUACAUCCAUGUUCGAAACCAUGACGCUAGUGAUGCCUAUUAUGACAGGCUAUAAGAAAUAUAUAUAUAGAUAGAUAUGUUUCUCGCUAGCUACAGAAUAGUCAAUUCUAUGGUCAGAUCAUCCAACCCAGCGGAUCCACCCAUGCUUCGGAGCUUCAGUUCAACCCAAGGGUGAAUGAUAAUGCACGCUCUGUGCUUGCAUAAAUACCCCAGCAAAGCUGAGGACCAGCACGGGCAGAGCAUAGUUCAUUCGUUUCUCUGUGCAGGUUUGCAGCGGGAGCAAGAAAAGAGUUCAAACCUGAACUACAGAUGAGGUUGAAUGCUGCGUCAUGCAGGUCUUUGCUUGUACGCUCACGAAUCCCAUUUUUGACAGCCCUCGAUGAAAUUCUUUUUUCUGUCAAAUCUUUUUUCUGAUAUAGUCAAGGAGCAAGACUUAUCUACUGGUGCCAGUUAGCUAGUGAUGGAUUUGCUUUGAGUACAAAGUUAUUCCUACAGAUUUCAAAGUAUUAAGAAAGCUCUGUAAAUUUCUCAUUAUUUACUGUUGAUGUACAUGUACUACUCAAUUUGGCAAGGAAAGAUAUAUCAUAUAUUAUUUGGCUUUGAACUGUGUAUAAGAGACUAAAUUGUAAAAGUAAUCUUUUCCUGUAAUAUGGACUCUGAUUCUGAACGAAAGAACUUAAAGAAAGUGGUAAAUUGAUUACAAUAGUGUCUGGUAACUACCAUUGUCAUAAACUGAUGACGCUACACUUGUAAAGACCUCUGGUAAAUUCAUGACACUAUUUUUGUAAAUACCUUUUUGGUAAGUUGAUGACGAUAUUCCAGUAGGUACUUUGUGGUAAAUUGAUGAUGCUAUUCUGGUAAGUACCUUGUGGUAAAUUGAUGACACCAUUUUGAAAAUAUUAUCAUCUGGUGCCAUUCGACUUACACAGUAAAUGGUUUCCUGGAAUAGCUUGACAAAAAGUUGUGGUACCUCCUGAUCCUGAUAUAAAGUAAAUUUUCAGACAUUUCUCAUGCAGUAAGUCCUAUUAUGCAUCAUUGUUAUACAUGCUUCAUUUUUUCGAUUUUCACCAGGAUUGACUAGUUGUUGCUGCCUCGCAUUCCCAGAAACAUUUGUGUCUUGAUAUAGUUCAGUCCUGAUUAUCUUAAACUAAUAAUGCAGGAAAAUGUGCCUCACUAUGUCGUAGCGGCUCUGAACCUUUACCACCCACUGAACAGAAUCUAGAAGCUCCCUGCUGGACAUGAGUCGGCUAGAUCUUGAUCUUUGCUGAUGGUUGUAGUCAAAGUAAAUACUGACAGUAUCUUAGUUGCCAUCAUUUGUGUUUGUUUUACUCCCAGGGAUAAAAGGAUGAGUACCCUGUGCAACAAAACAGUGUGUACCCAACACUUUUUCUGAAAGCAACGUUUUUUUGUUUUCAGACACACCAAUUCAAUUAUGGUGACUUUUGUAUCGCUGUCAUUAUUUGUGCCUUGGCACUUGUGGUAAAUCACCUGCCACAGUUUUGUCACUAGACUUUUUAAUUAUGGUAAAUACCCAUUGCCCUUAUGCCUUGUGUGGUAAAUCACUUCAUAACUAUCGUCAAUAGACAGUUGAAUUAUGUCAAAUUGUACCAUUUUGCAUCGCUAAAUCAUCUCUUCAAACCUCAUUUUGCUCACUCGUGGUAAAUCACCUGCCACAUUAUUGUUACUAGACGUUUAUUAUAGUAAAUCACUAUUAUUGUAAAUUGAUUCCUCAAUGCUAUAGCUUGUGUAAAUUGUACCUCUCGUUGUAGUAAGUAUGCAUGAAACAUCAUGUGCUAUUGCUUGCAUUCUCGUAAAUAAUCCUCUAUCUAUUUUUAAUUGUGUCCAAAAUAUACUUGAAAACAACACAACUAGCACAUGCCGUUUAGUUUCUUGUAAGUGAAUUACCUUGUUUACUACUACUCGCUGAGCAAAACAGACUAGUUUUGUAAUAGCCGGGAAUCACUGAAAGCGUGCAAGCGCUGGGCCUCCAUCUCCGGUAAAUAUGCUGCUGAAAUCGGAAGGACUGAUCCGACGCUCGGCUAGUUAAUUGCCAUAAUAACACUCGGCUCCGCUCGGUCACCUCGCUCGCUUGUGGGCUCACGUCCAGACCCGAUCUAUCAUAAUUAGUUUAUGAUAAUCUCGUCAUUGCAGUAACAGGUUCCUCGCAAUAUGAGAAUGUCUUGUCGCAUAUAUUGUACAUCUAUAAGUUAUAGAAAAAAUUCCAACUUUCAAACUUUGGAUCCAAAUAAUAAAAUAAAGAAAAGCUACUGACGUGUGCCUGCUGCAGCAGACGUGCUCCGCCCACCUGCCCGUGGCGGCGUGCUAAUGACACUAAUGACGCUAAUCAUUGUUAUGUUUGGCUCGUAAUGACGCUGCGUUCGGCUUGUAACUGCCGGCUUGCCUUGUCGGACCACCGGCGGGGACCUCGCCGCUCGGCUUGCGACAACCAGGAGUGGACGAGUCGGGAGGAAAAAAGGGAAUAGUGGCAGAUCGGACCAGUGCUGGCUGUCGGAUGGGGUGGUCACAGAAUAACCUAUGCUAGGACCAGCUACAGAAUUUACUCUUCUAGGCAAAACUACUCACGUCGUUUCACAUAGCAACAUGGGUUUUUCUAGUAGUGAUCCCAGAACUCAAUUCAGUCACAAGAAGGCAAAAUUAACAAGAAGGAAAUUGUACAGCUACCAAGAACUACGAAAAGAAGCUACAAGUAACUUGUACCAAAAUUUUCACUUAGUAAGCAUAUGGUCUACUACCAAUCACUUCCUGCAACAUAAGACCAUGGAUCAGUAAGUGUUUUUGUUAAACAAACUUUCCUCUGAUUGUUAAAUAAACAAUGAUAUAUACUUGUAGGUGAUAGUAAAACUUACCAUAUAGAUGAGGCACAGGGAUGCUUAUAUAGUGUUGGUAAUGGUUGGCAGGCUGGGAUGCCGAUCUGGUUGUUGUUCAACUUGGACAAAAUAUAAAGGGUACAUAGAACAAGAACAUAUCAGAAAAUAUCAGAGAACCAAAAAGGAAAAAACAGAGCAACAAAAAGAAGAAAUAUGUCAUAUGCCUAUAAAUUGAACUAUGAUUUUAAUUAUACCAAAGAACUGAGCCUGAUGAUUGAGUGAACCAUGUAGUGCCAUCACGCCCGGAAUUACAGGGCACAAUACGAAAUAAAAUCACCCAUGACCUCAUACCAUUCCAGUGAAUUUUUGUUGGCAAUGACUACAUGGUUCAAGUAGUCAUUAGGCUAGUAACAAGCACAUUUUUCUGAAACUCUAUGAAUCCAAUCAACAGCUAAGUAUGUAUCUUAUCACCAACUACAAAUCACAAAAACUGUAUAUAAGAUCAUUGCUUCUAGUUGAAUCCACUGGCCUCUCAUUAGUUCUAUGGUAACCAUGACAGAAAACAAAAAUUUAGAAACCAAAGUAUGUUCAGGCAUCAAAUAGAUCACUAUUAUUUUGGGCAAUCACAACUAGCAUGCUAGGAUCCUUGUGAGCAUCUUUCAUGAGACCCCCUUCAAAUCCCUCAUGAAUUUGACUUGGAUUUGAAGUUUUUCCAAAAAUUCAUGUUCUUGGUAGGGUCUCUGUUUUCUCCAAAAUCCAUGAUGAAUAUUUGAGCAUUUUGAGAUCCACCGCCAACCCUCCAUUCAUUCCCCACCGUCGCGCGUGCUACCUUUUCCUCUGAAAUCAGCUGCCCCGCCACCAACCCCUUCUUCCAUUCCUCCAAAUUGCCGCCGCGCGGGCUCCCCUCCCCUCCGAAAUCAGCUGCCGUGCGGGCUCCCUCCCCUCCAAAAUCAGCUGCCCUGUCCCUCCCUGACCUACAAAUCUCCCGCAGCCCCCAAAUCCUGCGCCUCCCUCCCCUCGCACGCAUCCUCGCCCCUCCCCACCCGCAGACCCUCGCGCCGCCCCGGCAUUGAUGAGUACCUGCGCCAUCCCAGCAUCAACGAGCUCCUGUGCCGCCCCGGCUCCGUCCGCAACCAAGGGGCUCGCCACUUGGAGUCCGACCCCGGCGCCGCUUCUAUGCUGACCCAGAGCUGGAUGCCGGUGCCUCCCUGAUUCGACCCCGAGCAGGAUGCCUCCACCGCCUCCCCAACCCAACUGCCAAUCCACACCAUCGCCACUUACCCUACCCGACCCACCCAAGCGCCACCACCUGGAGACCAACCCACACACCACAACCUGCUCCUUCUAUCGCUCGGCACAUCUACCAUCACUUUCAGAUUUACUCCUGCGCACGUUUGUGUGCUUUGAUUUGGUCAGGUAGUCAUAGAUUUUGAGCCUUUCGGUGAUGUUGAUGCUUAGUAAAUCUGUUAAGUAAGAGAAUCUACACAUGAUAUGAAAUAUUGCUAAGUUAUGAAAAGAAGUGAAGGUACCAAUUUUCUUACUGGUUGCUUUAUUUAUCUGUAAUCUAUGUCACUUUCUAUGUCACUUAGUGUUGCCUGCAGAUCAUAUCAGUCUUACUGUUUAUUCUUUUUUUCUUCAUUUAGGCCAGCCUGUGAGAUAUGAGGUGUAGGGUACGACCACACUCACCUUCAUUGCAAAGAAGUACCCUCCUCCAUGCUACUGCCAAGCGUUUCUACAUCUCAUCUUAGAGGUAUGUUACAACCUGAAAUAUCUAGAGAAAAUUGAUAUCUUCACUGCUAUGCUCAUAUGGAAGUCAGAAGUGUGCUCGUUUGCAGUGGUUGUUACUAAGGAUAGCUAUAUAUUUGCAUCAAGUGUUAUCUACUACAAAUUAAAAAUUUAUAAAAUGAGUAUUCUAAUUAAUCUUUCAUAAUUUCUAUCUUGGCCAAUGUCUUAUUGAUGCAAUGAAUCUACAUGAAAUUUCAGUGAAUGAGUAACUUGUGGGAUUGAUGAGGUAAUUAAAAAUGAAUAUUCUAAUUAACUUUCAGAAUCUCUAUACUUAAUGUUCUUGGCCAAUCUCUGAGGUAUGAAAGGAAAUGCGUGUGACCUUUUCUUUUAUGGAAUCUGUCACAUCGUGUGCCACUAAUACGCUUUUCUAUAAGGUGUGCUGUUUAAAAAAUGCACGUGCUGAGUAAAUGAGUAACCUGUUGGUCCUUAACCAUCCCUUUUCAGAUAAAAACUGCUGAUGUAGAAUUUUCUUCCUUGCAUUAUUUUAAUCAACAGUUAUGCAAAUGUUGUGAGAAUAGGAGUGGCGGCGGCAAGAAAAAUGGAGGGCAGCAGGAGCAAGAAUAGGAGUAAGUUAUGCAAAUGUUUUGCCACUGAGAUUGAAAAAGAAGAGGUACUGAAAAUUACAAAUGUCGGGUUAUCAAGGGUCCAAUGAAGGCAGGGGCGCACACCCUAGGCAGAUGCGCGGAUGGGACUAUGGUAAGUUCAUGCGUCCAUGUAGCAGGUAGAACAGUAGGGAUUGACCAUUGGAUUCAGUUCAAUGCUGAAAACAGAACUGUGCUCGUUCAAAGCUGAAAAGUUUAUUUUUAAUUAAAACAGGUCAAACUUAGGUGCUACAAAUUAUCACACUUAAACAUAAAACACAUCCUCCACUCCUUCCACGGUAGAAUUCACAGGUGCAAUGUAUCCAUCAUCAAUGUAGUCGUCGGUAUCAUCUUCUUCUUCUUCAUCUACUAAGCCAAUAGUUCUUGGUUCAUGUAUGGAUGCAGCAAGUGCUUUUUGAAUAACAUAAGCGGCACCAGUGACACCUUCAAUGCCUGACCUAGUCUAAUUUGUCAACUCUUCAUGUCUGCCUGAAUCGAUCAUAUCUCCCACUCCGACGUCAAGUGAGUCAACAUCAAUUUCUUCCUCGUUAUAUGUACUUACUUAUUUGGUGCCUCAUCGCAAUUUGUUAAUAUCCAGUGCCUAAUCCGCUGCAUAUCUAGCCUAGAAAUUGAGUCAAUUCAAAAUCCUUUCUUAAUAUAAUCAAUGUUGCUAAAUAUGCUUAAACCAGCCGGUGGUUCAUUUACUACCGCUUUCAUGACGCUCUGGACGAUUAACCUUGGUGUCGACGUCAUCCAAAAAGCGAGAGCAAAAAGUCACACACUCCUCUAGUAUAUAUCCCUCUGCUAUUGAACCUUCAGGAUAGCCUUUGUUCCGCACAUAGCCUUUCGAUGUACGUAGAAACCUCUCUAUUGGAUACAUCCAUCUAUAGCAUACAGGUCCUCCUAGUUUAGCCUCUUUAGCAAGAUGAACCGGCAAAUGCAUCAUGAUAUCAAAAAAAAGCUGGUGGGAAGAUCAUCUCAAGAUGACAAAGAGUCUCUCUAAUCGAAAUGCUCAAUUUUUCUAACUCUUUGGUGCUCAACUCCUUUGAACAUAUUCCACUGAAGAACCUACUAAGCUCAAUCAAUGGUUUAACAACCUCUUCUGGAAGUAUGUUACAAACCACAAUGGGUAAUAGUUUCUCAAAUAUAAUAGGCAGUCAUGAGUCUUGAGUCCAGAAAGGUUACACCUUGCCACAUCCACACAUCUCUUGAUAUUAGAUGCGUAACCAUCAAGCAUUUUGAUACUUUGCAGAAAUUUGCAUAAAUAUACCUUGUCAUCUUGAUCCAAACUGUACAAUGCUGGAGGCAAAGUGUAUUUGUCAUUCUUCACCAAAGGAUGUUGAUCCUUCCUCAUGCCCAAAUGUUCCAUGUCAAGACGAGCCUUCUCGCUAUCCUUGGGUUUACCUGCCAUGUCAAGCAAAGUUCCCAAAAUGCUCUCACAGAUAUUUUUUUCAAUGUGCAUCACAUCCAAAGUAUGCCUUACAAGCAACUUUUCCCAGUAAGGCAGUUCAAAAAAACUACUCUUCUUCCUCCAAGUGUGCCAUCUAUUAUCCAUUUCACGCUGCUUCCUCUUUCUUGUCGUGUUCCCAAAUGUCACUUGCUCAAAGCUUUCAUACUGUUGCAGCACCCCUUCCCCAUGUAGUGGCACUGGAGGCUCCCUAGUUUCCACCUAGUUGUUAAAGCUAAUCUUGUUGCGGUGCCACCUGUGAUCCAUUUGCAAAAAGCAGUGAUGACCCAUGUAGCAAUGCUUGGAACCAAGUUUCAACCAUAAAUAGUUAGUAUCCUUGUGGCAGUAUGGACAUGCAAACUUGCCUUUUGUACUCCAACUGGAUAGCAUGUCGUAUGCUGGGUCAUUAAUUGUCCAAAGUAGAAUAACACGUAGAGUGAAAUUCUUCUUUACCUUUGCAUCCCAUGUCUCAACACCGUUGAGCCAAAGAUCUUUUAGCUCAUCGAUGAGGGGCUGCAAAUACACAUCAAUGUUAUUCCUAGACGAUUUUGACCCCGGUAUCAAUAUUGACAUCAUCAAGAAUGGUUGUUUCAAACACAACCAAGGAGGCAAAUUGUAAGGGAUUAGGAUCACAGGCCAUGUAGUGUAUGUCAUGUUCAACAUCCCAAAUGGAUUGAAACCAUCAGAUGCAGGACCCAUCCUUACAUUACGAGGAUCCAAAGCAAAUUCCUUAUAAUUUUCAUCCACUUGCUUCCAUGCCAUAGAGUUAGCAGGGUGCCACAUUUUUCCAUCUUUGACAAGUCCCUCCUUAUGCCAACACAUAUAUUCAGAUGUGGUCGCUCUCAUGUAUAGCCUUUGCAUACGAGGGGUCACUGGAAAAUACCUUAGGAUUUUUUGUGGAACAAGCUUCUUUGGUGUAGCAUCACCACUCGCUGCCUCCUUCUCACUUGAACCAGCAGCUUUCCAUCUAGACUCUCCACAUGUUAGACAUUUAUCCAAGUCAACAUAUUGCUUUCUAAAUAAAAUACAAUCAUUGAUACAUGCAUGUAUCUUUUUGUAGUCCAGGCCAAGAUCAUGAACUACCCUUUACACUUUAUCCAAAGUAUCUAGAACACAAUGACUGUCGAGCAUGCUCCCCAGGCCCACGAGUAGACCUUGGGCAGCCCAUAAGGGACGUACUCGGGCAUGAUCAAAACAAGGGGAUAGGCUUAUCCCGAUCGGACUAGUUAAGUAUGUAUAUGGAAACUACACGGACCAUACCAAGUAGAACUCUGUAAAUGUACUCGACUAGGACUCAGACUUGUAACCCUGCCCUCCCGUGUAUAUAAGGGUGGGCAGGGACCCCCUCAAAGAACAACUCCAAGGUAUCUGAGAUCAAUACAAACAAACAUACAAGACGUAGGGUAUUACACGAUCUAGCGGCCCGAACCUGUCUAAAUCGCGUUCCUUGCGUCACCAUCGACUCCUUGAUUCUCGACGGCCCUUACCGCACAAAAUACCACCUAGGGUACCCCUUAGGUGGGUUGCUGGUCUAAAACACUGACAGCUUGCGCGCCAGGUAGGGGAGCUCAUUGAGUUUCUCAGCGUGAGCUCGAUGGUGGCCGUUGUUUUUAAGCCUGUCUUCACCAUUGAAGCGGGCGCAACCUUUGUUUUUGGAUCCUGGCUCUGCAUCACCGACGAUGCUGGUUCGUUUCGGCGCCAAGUCAUCAAUGCCCAGGAGAAGAAAUCAGAGGAUUUGGUCAGGAAAAGCCAAAACUUCAAAGUCAACAAUCCCGAGUUAGACCACGCGUCGGACCCGACCUCAGUUCGGACUAGUCGGUCCCAGUCACUUCCCAAGUCGACUUCGACUACAAAACGGUUUCCACACGGACUCCGCAAUGCAGCCAAAGUCUACCAAAGUUUCCUCACUCGAACUCUACUCGAACACAGGAACAAUGAAGACGACGACUCCGACUCGGUCUACCCCCAGAGAUCGGACUAACAGGACCAGCCAAGGGACUUGUAAUAACUUCGACAUCGCAAGGCAGAUUCAUUCACUGGCCAGGUAUGAGACCAUCCCUUGCUCGCGACUACGAGUCGCGCCUUGUCGCUCACAUAGACAACCUCCCAUUCCAAGAAAGCGUCCCACUCACUUCAAGCCACGAGGAAAGUUCAACUAAAAUUGCAACAUCAAGAUCUGGCAGCUACUACCCAGACAGAGAAGUCUUUGUUAUUACUCAAAAUAACAACCCGGGUACUAGCCAAAAUAGAACCCCCAGGCGAUUAGCACAACUUGACAAUGUUUCAAAAGACGAGUCAACAGCUAACGCCCCACAAGAUGAAACUUUCGAUCAAAGGAACCAAAGAAGGAUGCGCAAUACUACUCGGGCUGAGCGAUGACAGACACUAGCUACAAACAUUCCCAUCACGAACCUCGAAAGAACAUUUGACGCAGUACAGGCUCAAGAACAUACCACUCUACUCGCAGCAAUUGCCUCUAUCAACCUCAUAUCAACACUCAUACCUCGAGACAAAGACAACGAAGUCACAGCUCAACUCACGCAACGCGGUAACGGACUAAUCGCGCAACUCGCAGAGCAAGCUUACAAGCUACUCGAUAAAGAAUCGCCGAUCCUGUCUGUUCCCUGCAUCGCAGCUCAUCAAGAAGGCAGUAGAGGUGUUGUAGCUAACGACAACCCCAAUGAAGUGCAAAGGAAUGACAACGAAGUUGUAAACCAACCAAGGCAACACAACCAAGGUCCGAGUAAACACAACGCCCGAAUACACCAGAAGGAUGUUGGAGAAGUCAGCUGCACUAACUUGUUGGAGGUAUGCCCUAGAGGCAAUCAUAGAGAUGAUGAUAUUCCAUUUGUAUCCAUAAUUUGUAUAUUGUGUUCAUUGAAUAUCCAUUAAAGGCUACUUGAAUUGAUUUGUAAUUAUGUGAAUUGUAUGUGAAACUCUUUAAUUGUAUAAUUAUUCUAAAGUUGUCCCUAGUCGGAGUUCAUGUGAGGACACACAUGAAUAUUAGAAUAGCACAUGUAUUAGUUGAUGACUAUGUUUCACAAGUCAUGGACAUGGAGAUGUUGAACUAAUAAUGUGGACACAUGUGGAGACAUGUGCUAGGACUUACCCAACACGAGAAGUAGUUCUCUCUUUAAACAACAUAUACGCUUUGUCCUAAGACCUGAGAUUGUCGCAUGUAUUCAAGAUGUGGAUCGACCUACUUAGGGGCUAUCAAACGCUAUGCCGUAACAGGGUAGUCAUAAAGGUAGCUUUCGGGUUUGUCAAGAAGCAUGCUAUGAGACAUGGUCAAUCAAGAUGGGAUUUGCCCCUCUCUGAUUGAGAGUGAUAUCUCUGGGCCCCUCGAGUGAUCGGAUCUGAAAAUGCAUAGCCAUGCUAAGUACGGUUAAGAGUUAACCUACAAAGGGAUUCCGAAUCACAAGAUCGAGAAAGAGCGGUGGGCUUAAAGCUAGACCAAAUAUCGUGCGGCAAAGGGAAUAACAUGUAUAUUAUAUUAUGAUGGUUCGUCUGAUAUGAUCUUCGUGUGCGUAUAGGAGUUGGCACGUCUUGCUACAGGCCGCUACCGACUAUUGGGCCGAGUAGGAGUACUCGGGCCAUGUCUAUACGUAUCCGAACCCAUAGGGUCACACACUUAAGGGGCUGGAAGCCCAAUUCGGAUCUGAUCCGAGUUGGAUUAGGUUUAGAAGUACUAAUGAGCCUCGGACCCAGAGGCCCGUCAGGAACCUCUAUAAAUAGAGGGGUGGGGGCACCCUAGGGUUUACACCUUUUGGCGAAACACAUCUGCCGCGCCUCCCACGCCCUCGGCUGUUGCAACUCGCGGAUCUAGCAGUCUGACUUGCGAUGCUUCCUCCCUACACGUGUGGAUACCUUGGAGGUGUUGCGCCUGCAGCACUUGGACGAGUCGCCGACGAGCCACGAUGAGCCGCCGAUGAGCGACGACGAGCCGCGGCACGAGGGCGAUCUUGCUGCACGUGGACGAGCUGCUGAGGAGCUGCUGGACGUUGACGUGAUCGACUACAUAUGACUACGUUGAUCGACUACGUACGACUACGUUGAUCGUCUUCACUGCAUCGACGCAAAUCUACAUCUUCCGCACCAGUUGUGCGUCGAGUGGUAAUCCCGUGAUCCUUAUACGGCAGUUCUUCCUGGUUUUACGCGGUAGAAAUUUUGAUUUGCGCUAGUGUAGCCUACCUCGUAUCCCAACAUAACUCUAUAAAAAGUCCUCGCCCUACUCGAAAACAUCAUGAAGUAUCAAAUUUCAGUGAUCUACGAGAAAUUAUCAACAGUCAGCGUGAGUGAGAAGUCGACAACUACAACCACUUUCCUGCUUUCACAAAUUGGGUAAUGAGGACACGACUACCCGAGAAGUUCAAACCAACAGGAAUAACCAAGUAUGACGGCAAGCAAGACCCAAUUCAAUGGCUACGAUGCUACUCGCUGGCAGUCCAAGCAGCUGGGGCCAAUAACGACACCAAAGUUAUCCACUUUCCCAUAUGCAUAGAACCAGCACUGCUGACAUGACCUUCAGGGAGCAUAAGCGAGAAUAACUAAAGUAUAGCCUCUAGUGCACUGUUACUAAGACCAAACAUGCACUUAAUCUGAAAUAGCCUGACAAUGAAUGAGACCUUAAUAGCCUCCUUGCAACCCACAUAUAGUUCCUUCUACGCCUUUGUUAAUAAUUUAAAGAAUUUCUUAUCGCUUUCAUUUGGCUCUUCAGUUCCACUACCUAUGAUGUCUCCAUGUAUUGCUCCACUGAUUAGUGACGAAACCAAAUCCUUCAUAGAAGGACCAUCACCUGAUUCACCAUCAUUGCCAACUCCUUCAAUGAUGCUCUCAUAUGAAUCAUUUUCUUCUCCUUCCCCUUGGAUAAAACUUUCAGAAAAUCCUCUAAAAACCAAAUGACUUCUAACUUUGUUAACUGUUCUGUAUGACAUGGAACGGCAUCUUGAACAUGGACAUGGUGCCGUAUCUCCGUUAGAUGUGCCUGCAAAUCUAGUCUCUAUAAAUUGCUUGAAUCCUUUUUGCCACUCAUCUUAUACAUAAAGCAGUCGCAUCUAACUCCUAUCAUCAUUAUGCGACAUACUUCCAACUCUUUACAAAUCAAAGCCACACACACUGAUUAAUCUCUUGCAUAUAUACAACAAAAGAAAGCACACAAUUAAACUGUGAUUGUACUAGGGUUAUGAAAUUGUAGUGGGAACUAGACCAUAGUGUUUGUUCAAUUGUCCUGUAGUAAAAUUCUUUUGAAAGGGCAUUUGUUUUCCUUCUAAGUUGAGGCACGUUGUAAUACGAAGUUGUAGCUCCAUUUUUUUGGUACAUUUCACUCCAUGAGCAUAUUUAGUUUUUCAUUUGAAAAGCAGAAGAAAAAAUGCAUGUGCUCAUUCACUUGCCCUUCCAUUGUCUGCGGCUAUACUUCUGCUCCUUUGUGUUUGUUUCUCAAAGGACAGUGACAAAUUUAACCUGCAUUCAACUUAUUCUAACUUAACUUGCCAUCCUUGUUCCUGUUAUUCUAAGCUGGUACUACCUGUGUCUAGAUUGUUUUGUAAGGGUAUCUGUGGACAAAUCUGCACAUACUUGGCUUCUGCUCCUGUAAUAGUCCUCGAAUGUUUGUAGCAUGAUAUUUGUCUGAACGAAAAUCAAUAGUUUUCUUCCAGGAUUUUUCUUGCUUUGGAGUUUGCAAGUUGCUGGCUACAUUCUCAGUCUCCUUUAGUGAUAGAUAGUGUGCUUAUCUGGUCUUUUUCUUUGCUAGGAAUAUCUGUAUUGUUUACAAAGUAUAACUGUUUGGUUAUCUAUCUUCCUCCUAGAGCCCAGGCUGACAUGUUAAAAUGGGCCAUUUGCAUGUUCGUACAUAUGCCUGAUGCUCUAGGAUUCUCACCACUUACAUGUUUGUUUUUGGAACUAAUGAGCUCAUAAUUUAAGUGUGCAGAGAAUGGGUGUCAUCCUUCAGGAUUUCAGCUUUGGAGCUAACUGAACUUAACUCGAGCGCUUUGGCUAGCACAGUUAAACUUUCAGAAGAGCGUUGUUAUAAAAAAAAAACUUUCAGAAGAGCGUGAAGGAAACACCGAAUCCCAAAUUACCUUAGCAAGCGCCGGAUAGCAGGACCGAUGAAGACAGGUAGCAGCCGAAGCAGAGAGCAGCUCGCCGUGUCAACAAUGUGCGAAUGGCUCUUUUGAUUCCAAACUCACGUCACCAUGACGCGUUAGUUGCAAGUCAGCAAGUGAUUAGUAUUAUACGUCGAGUGAUAAUUCGAGGCACGGUGACAGUUAAUUUUGAAUGACAGCGUAGCUUUAGGUUUAUGGUCAGCAUCUUGCUUUUGCAUUUGAAUUGAAUUCACCAUGAACUAUCCAUAAAGUGCUUUGCAUGAUAUUUUUUAAAUAAUAAUUGAUAUUUUUUCAAAUUUUGUGCCCGUGGCAAAGCACGGGCUAUUACCUAGUAGUAUUAAACACUAUUCUUGAAGACCAUGGUGAAAGAUUGGGGCCUUAUAUGCUGGGGUUUAAUUUUGAGCCAAAACAUCAAUGGUGUUUACUUUACAUCUCCAGAUGUCAAAACAGGUGCAGAUUAGUUCCUGAGGAUGGUUUCAUGGGUACCUUUGGGUCACUCUGUGGCCAUGUCACACUGUCCUCCACUUGGCAGCAGACCUGUAUAUCAGUGGCAUAUUUGCUAUAAUCUCUACCUAAUAUUAAUAUUAAAGUACAGAACAAAACCUUCAUUCUGCCACCUUAGUUUCGACCGUCAUCCUUUGAAAAGUGGUCUAGCACCAUACAACAUGAGUUGAGAACGAACUGAUGGCAACUUUUAGACGAUAAGGAUCCGUAGCAACGCACGGUCACUUCUACUAGUUUUACUCACUCCCCACAUGGAUAUCAAAGAAUGGGAAACAUAGCAUGCAAUUAAUUGAUUUUGCUGUAGUAGACCAAGUGACUAAAUUAUAACUCAUAAAAGAUUACCAUGCCACCAGAUCAUCACAACUAAAUAAAUUAUAACCACAAUGAAAAAAAUCGACAGCUGCUCCCAUGUCUAAAGGACGAUUAUUGUCGGCUGAUGAGAAAUCAGAAAAAAAUUCGUGCAGGAGCCAUGCAUCAAUUUAACUUGCCAAUUAGCAAUGUUGCCAGAUGAUUAUUAUAGAGGAAUAUACAUGCUGGAAGAGCAAUUUGAUUAGAGGGGCCUGGACAUACGAAUGUAGACUCGCAGUUGAGUUAAUUUGCAUUCUAAUCUAAAUUCACCUGCACGUCGACCGGCCAUCCUUUUCCCGUCAUGCUGCUGCCGCCUCACAGGUGACCACACGGUAUGGAGGACCUGCUGCCACCCUCACCAACGAGUAACACCGGCCGAGCAGUCAGCACACUUGCGCCUAGGAUCGGAGUCAGUGACCUCCAAUCGUGCGAUCUGGAGGUGGUGCUGGGCACACCGAGCCGCCGCUCCCCAGCCCUCUUGUCGCGAGCUCACAAGGAAUUUCAAGAGCGACCUUCUGGAGAGAAUAGAUGAAACACGCACAUGGAGAGAGGCCUCCUGGAGAUACACACGUACAUGUUUUUGCUCAUGCGCGACGUUCAUGUGGUUCUUUGAUGACGUCCUGUCUAGGAUUUGCCCAACUCAAUUUUUGGUCUCCACAUAUGCAAUGCCCACCAAAAAAUUUGUGGCAAAACCUUGAACCAUUGCAACAACAUAAACUACCAUGUACCAACAAAAAUAACUAGUGGCAAUAGCAUUUUCUUUCAUGCAACCACACUUAGUUUUGUUGCUAUAUAGACAAACAUACCGCAACGCACAUGCGGAUUAAGACAACACACCAAAUUUGUGGCAAUACUGUUUACGACUUGCAACCAUUUUGAAUUUAAUGUCAAUAAGCCUUGCAUAUAACAGCGAAAAAAAGUUUAUAACAACGCAAAAUAAUUGUGGCAAAUUUUUCAGCGACUUGCAAUCAUUUUUCAACUGGUGGUGACAACAUUAAUCUUUUGCAAUGGAAUGAUAAAAUGGUGGCAAUAACACCUAUCUAUUGCAACAUAUUUUCUGUUGUUGCCAUGGACUCUGUUGCAAUAGACCAAAAAUCUAGUAGUGGGAUGCAAGGUAUAUAAUGGAGCAGAUUAUUGCCGGUGGUAGUGGCUCCAACAUUCCAAUAACGUACACCGAGGAUGAGGGUAGCCAGGCGGACAUCUUCCUCAACAUGUCCAGUGAUGGCAAUGAUGAGCCCGAGCACCGCGUUGAUGACAAUGCGGUUCAAAACCUUGCCAUGAUGGAAGGUUCCGGCGAGUGUUGACGCCGGAUUGUGACACGUAUGAAAUCGGCGUCAAGGAAAGAGAGGGCUGGCCGACGCUGCAGAUUAAAAGGUCACGAUUGGGAAUCAGCCGAUUGGUUCUACGAUUGGGGAUCGGCCGAUUGGAAGGCUGGAGCGAUUGGGCCAAUAUGGGCUUAAAGUGGAUUAGGAAAAGAAGAUAGAGUAAUAUUAGCCCGCGGGAGUAUAAUAACCAACUCCGAUACGAGUUGUGUUUGUAAAUAUUCGUUUUCGUUUAAGAUUAGAGAUAGAUCCUAGUCGGUUAGGAAAUUGGUUGUAACAGGCUAUAAAUAGCCGCCUUUAGAGAUUUGUAAAGAACACAUCAAUCAAUACAAACAAAUCUACUUUUUCAUUGCACUUUACUUUCAAGUCGGCGACUUCGCCAAUACUUUUCUUCUUUAACGAGUUCGUACGGGUUGGCAGGACUGCAUCAACACGAUCUCCGGCCGAAUCUGUAAGUUUCGUUUAUCGAGUAAUAUCUAAGCUUUAACUUCGGGCGUAUCGCUGUUGUUUCGUUUAGAUUUAUUCACAAGUUAUCGAUAUUUACUUGAAUUAUAGGUUUUAUCUGUUUUUCUAGUCUUAUCACCAGUUAUCCAGCUUGGGACUUGAGCUAUCGGCUUUGUUAUUAUUAUUUUCAUUCAUCAUAUAGCCGAUUAGAUCCGUUUCAAGUGUUGCUUUCGUAGCCUUUUUCAGUUUACUCUAGUAGUUUCCUUCGCAAUCGUUACGUGAUUGUCGGCUGUAUUAUAGCCGAUUAUCUUCAUUUAGCAAAUCGACCAUUCACUGAUACACUUUUCGAGAUCGGAACCUUUAGUCAAUCGUAACCCCUGGAAUUUGACACGUUGAUCUUCCUUGACAAUCAACAGGUCAGAUUGGCUGGCACGCCGCGCGAACCGCACCAGGGCAAUCACCCGAACAGGAGCUAAGUAGAUUCUCCCGGGUCGUGUGUCCGACGCUGAGGGUCAAUCGGUUGACUUUUAGCGCCAACACACUUUUGGCACGCCCAGUGGGACCAAUACAACCUCUAACAUGUUGAGAGUUGCCGAAAUCUCUGAAGACAACGUCAUCAAAGUGACGGAAGCAGAUCUCAAGGACAACCAGAAAGAAGAGUUGGAAAAGCAGAUAGAACAAUACCAGAAAACAUGCCUGCAAUCUUUCAGUCGUACCAAGAGCGGGGAGACCAUCAAGAAAGCUCCUUUCCCAACUCCCCGCAAGAUCACCAUCGCUGAAGACUCGGGCAAGAUGUCCGAUAUGGUUCAGCAAUCCGUCUACCAGGCUUUCAUUGAUCAAUCCCCGGUGAUGGCCAACACAGUAUACAAUGCCGUAAUCAGCUCCCUAGCCAAUGGCGUAUCUCAAGGAUAUCAGGGGCCAACAUACGCCCCGCCCAUUACGGCCCCAGUCAGGAGCUUUCCAAGCACAUCUCACUCGGCUCCUCAGCCGAUGCCAACUCAACAUGGAGGACACAAUGCUUCACUGCCUUCAAUGCAUCCAGGAUAUAACGGUGCGCCAUGCUUUCAGUCGCAAGUGCCACCUCAACCUGCUCAAAUUUCCUCCGCGCAAUCAUUGCCAUCAAACUCAGUGUCUUGGGGGGGCACCGUCGACAGCGGCCGUUCUAGAUCAAUCGGCCGGCUCUGGAGGCCCUCCGAUCCAGGCACCAUUCCAAUCGGCCAUUCGGCCGACGGCUCCACAGUAUCAACCUGCCACGUCAGAAAUCGGCAGGGGAACAGACGCUGCUGAGGCUCUCCGAAGUGCAGCGCCGAUGAUGCUGUACGAUGAGAUGGCCGGUUCGCUGCGCCACUAGAUGUCAAUCGCUCAGCCGGCCACGUUACCACAGAAUCCGCCACAUGCUUUGAUUCAUGACCCGGUCAUCCCGCCGCCAAUCCACCAACAUGUGCUGAUUCCCAGCCAGUAAUUCAUCAGCAGCAAGUAGACUGGACGGCAAGGAUAGCAGAGGUGAUCCAAGAUCAAUUCGGGUUGAAGCCAAAGGUACAAACUUACACGUACAAAACGCCGUACACACCUGCCUACGAUCUACUGUCGUUUCCCCAUCGGUACAAAGUUCCCGACUUGACUAAGUUUUCGAGGCUGGAUGACACCUCCACCGUGGAACACGUAAACAGAUUCAUCAUCCAAUGUGGAGAGGUGGAUACACAGGAUGCUUUGCAGGUGCGCCUAUUCUCAUCGUCCCUGUCCGGGUCGGCUUUCCAGUGGUUCACUACGCUUCCGCCCAAUUCCAUCGUCACCUGGGCCGACUUGGAAAAAUAGUUCCACAAGUACUUCUACGCGGGAGUCCAUGAGAUGAAGCUCUCAGAUUUGACCAGCCUCAGGCAGAGGAGCGACGAGCUCGUGACCAAUUAUGUGCAAAGGUUCAGAGAAGUCAGAAACAAAUGCUACACCUUGGUCCUGACCGAUGUGCAGCUGGCUGACAUUGCCUUCCAAGGCCUUCUGCCAAAUAUCAAGGAGAAAUACACUUCCCAUGAGUUCAAGAGCCUGAGUUAGAUCGUCCAGCGAUUGUCCGGUCAAGAAGUACGCCCCUUUGAUCAGCGAAGAAAUUUUCUGAAGAAGAUGGCAUACUUAGAGGGAUCUGAAUCUGAGGAGGAAGUGGAAAUCGGCCUAGCAGAGUGGGUUAAGGGAAAGAAGCCGAUAUUGUGUCCUUUCGGAAAAAAGAAACCGAAGGUGUUCGGUUUUGACACGUCAAAGGCUGACAAAAUUUUUGACCUACUUCUCCAAGAGGGUUAGAUCAAACUCUCACCUUAUCAUAUGAUCCCAUCGGCCGAACAACUAAAAAAAGAUGAAGUAUUGCAAAUGGCACAAUGCUACAUCCCAUGACACAAACGAGUGCAAAAUCUUCCGACAGCAGAUACAAUCGGCCAUUGAGCAAGGCAGGCUCAAGUUCGAGGUUCCGACAAAACCAGCAAAGCCAAUGAAGAUCGAUCAGCAUCCUUUCCCCACUAACAUGGUUGAUACGGGAAGAAACGCGCUUCAAACCAAAGUGCUGAUGUCGAAUCGGCUAAAAAGAGAGGCGCUGUGGACCCCAGGAAUCAAGCUACGAUCGAAGACGUCAAGGGGAAGAGACAGGUUGACGAUGAGGGUGAAGGAUCAAAAAGGCCGCGCAGACCUAUUACCUCCCAGUUCUUGCUCAACAAGUAUCAGCGGCAACUGGAUAGUUCGAGAUAUCGUGAAGAAAUAAUACGACGACACGAAGAUCAUUGGCGAUGUCCUUUCUUCAUCCAUUGCUGGGAAAAUAACCUCAGGUUGCCAUCGGUUGGGUCUGGAUUCCCCAUAGGACCUAGACAGAUGAGGCCAGGGGCUUCGGAAAGGCGAAUGGUGAUUUGGUGUCUAACCGCCUAAAAAGGUAAAAAGGAAAGAACUAAGAAUGGAUCUAAAACAAAUGCCUGGGCGGUAAAGGUAAAAAGAAAAAGUUUCGGAUGAGUACCUCCUGGAUGAAAGUCAUCGUCGCCGAUGGGGCUGUUGGUGGGGCUACCGCCACUGGAGCCUCUGUUGCUGAUGGAGCUGCUGCCGCCACUGUUGGAGCUGCCGCUGGAGUUUCUGUUGCUGGUGAGGUUGCUGAUGGUGCCGCCAUUGGGAAGAUGGAGCAGAAUGCAGAUGAAAAGGGGGUCGCUGGAAGAUGUGGUUGGAAGCCAAGAGGGCGCUGGAAGAAGAUGGAAACUAGUGCACCAAGAAGAAAGUUACUGGCUUGUGAAGAAGAAGUACGGGGCGUGCCAGUAUUUAAAGGCAGUCCGAGAAGGGGUAAAGGCGGGAUUUUUACCGCGCCGUCUACGCGAAUUUUGGGGGAGUGGUUGUCUCAGGCGCCUGUUUCAAAAAGAUUGCAAUCAUCAGGUAGGAGACCACGAAACGGAAGGAGAUUUUUUGAUGCAUUUGCUUCGGAGGAGAAGUUCAAAAGGAAUUUUGAAGUAAAAGUUAUGUUUUACUCCGAAACUGGGGGCAUGUGUUGACGCCGGAUUGUGACAUGUAUGGAAUCAGCGUCAAGGAAGGAGAGGGCUGGCUGACGCUGUAGAUUAAAAGGUCACGAUUGGGAAUCGGUCGAUUGGUGCUACAGUUGGGGAUCAGCCGAACAGGAGCUAAGCACAUUCUCCCGAGUCAUGUGUCCGACGCUGAGGGUCAAUCGGCUGACUUUUAGCGCCAAAAAGUGUGAUUGCCCUGGUGAUUGCCGAAAAGUCAGCCGAUUUACCCUCAGUGUUGGACACAUGACCCAGGAGAAUCUGCUUAGCUCCUUGUAACGGAUCUAAUCGGCUAUAUGAUGAAUGAAAAUAAAAUAACAAAGCCGAUAGCUCAAGUCCGAAGCUGGAUAACUGGUGAUAAAACUAGAACAACAGAUAAAACCUAUAAUUCUAGUAAAUAUCAAUAACUUGUGAAUAAAUCUAAACGAAACAACAGCGAUGCGCCUGAAGUUAAAACUUAGAUAUUACUCGAUAAACGAAACUUACAGAAUUGACCGGAGAUCGUGUUGAUGCAGCCCUACCAACCCGUACGAACUUGUUAAAGAAAAAAAGUUUUGGCGAAGUCGCCGACUUGAAAGUAAAGUGCGAUGAAAAAGUAGAUUUGUUUGUAUUGAUUGAUGUGUUCUUUACAAAUCUCUAAAGUCGACUAUUUAUAGCCUGUUACAACCAAUUUCCUAACCGACUAGGAUCUAUCUCUAAUCUUAAACGAAAAUGAAUAUUUACUAACACAACUCGUAUCAGAGUUGGUUAUUAUACUCCCAUGGGCCAAUCUUUCUCUAUCUUCUUUUCCUGAUUCACUUUAACCCCAUAUUGACCCAAUCACUCCAGCCUUCCAGUCGGCCGAUCUCCACCAACUCUGUCCGCCAAAAUACUGUAGCGCCAAUAAGCCGAUCCCCAACUGUAGCACCAAUCGGCCGAUUCCCAAUCGUGACCUUUUAAUCUGCAGCGUUGACCAGCGCUCUCCUUCCUUGAUGCCGAUUCCAUACGUGUCACAAUCCGGCGUCAACACAUGCCCCCAGUUUCGGAGUAAAACAUAACUUUUACUUCGAAAUUCCUUUUUAACUUCUCCUCUAAAACAAACGCAUCAAAAAAUCUCCUUCCGUUUCACGGUCUCCUACCUGAUGAUUGCAAUCUUUUGGAAACAGGCGCCUGAGACAACCACUCCCCUGAAAUUCGUGUAGACAGCACGGUAAAAAUCCCGCCUUUACCCCUUCUCGGACCGCCUUUAAAUACUGGCACGCCCCGUACUUCUUCUUCACAAGCCAGUAACUUCCUUCUUGGCGCACUAGUUUCCAUCUUCUUCCGGUGCCCUCUUGGCUUCCAACCACAUCUUCCGGCGACCCCCUUUUCAUCCGCAUUCUGCUCCAUCUUCCCAAUGGUGGCACCGUCAGCAACCUCACCAGCAACGGAAACUCUGGUAGCAGCUCCAACGGCGGCGACAGUAGCUCCAUCGACGACACAGGCUCCACUAGCGGCCUUAGUGGCGGUAGCCCCACCAGCAGCCCCGUCGGCGACGAUGACUUUCAUCCUGGAGGUACUCAUCCGGAACUUUUUCUUUUUACCUUUACUGCCUAGGCAUUUGUUUUAGAUCCAUUCUUAGUUCUUUCCUUUUUACCUUUUUAGGCGGUUAGACACCAAAUCACCAUUCGCCUUUCCGAAGCCCCUGGCCUCAUCUGUCUAGGUCCUAUGGGGAAUCCAGACCCAACCAAUCUGAUAAAUUAGAGACUCACAGAAUUCCAUUUAAACAAUCCCCAAUGGAGUCGGACCAGUGGUCAGGCACCUUUAGAUCUUGGCCGAAUGAAACCCCCGGUUGGAAAGAAUGGUAUCAAAGGAUACCCAACUCCAAGAGAGUUCAAUGGGACGAACAAAAAAUCGACCAUUGCAUCAAUCUUUCUCUGUCUCAGAUGGAGAGAAAUGAGCCCUUGGUGAUAGCAGCCUCCUACUUCUGGUCUGAUGCCCUUAAUGCGUUCCUCUUUGGCAAUGGGCCUAUGACCCCCACUUUGGCCGUUGUUGUGAUGUUGACCGGCCUUAACAUUUCUUCCCUGGAUACCCCCUUCCAUUAUCUGGUCAAGUCGACCCAUUGGCUGGAGACAAAAGAAAUCGGCGGGUGGAAGGGGUAUAUCAAGAACAACAUGAAGACCGGGACCGUUUCAGAGAGAGAAUAUGCAGCCUUCCUGAUGAUGUGGUUUGAGAAACACAUUUUCUGUGGCAGGGCAGUCGGUCCGUCUUCCAUCACACAAGCUUUGGCCAAAGCAUUAUCAAGAGGAGCCUCUGUCCCCCUCGGGAAGCAUCUACUAGGAUCGGCAUAUCACAUGCUGCACCAAAUCGGCGUCAAACUAUCCAACGGAGAGCCGAUUGGAAACCCAGGUGGCCCCUGGUGGUUAAUCAAUCUCUGGCUCAAUUUGUAUAUGAGCAAGAUCUCACAGCAUCGGGUGGAGCACAUGACAUUUCCCAACAUUGAGUCAGAAGAAAACCCCACCGUACGGCGCCAAUGCACUUCUUUCGCGUGAAGCAGCAUCAGUCUUCCCUGGUUGCUAGCUCACUGCCACCAAAGUAGCUGAAUAUUUCAGAUGUUUUUACAACGGCUUCAGUGAAGAAACCACCAGCUGGUAUCCGUAUCAGAGGACAGAGCCGCUUUUUGAACUCCCCUUUUGUUAUGAUUCGACGUCCAACACCUUUGAUAAUGAUAUCAUGGACAUCUUGAUCAAACCAAGGAUCUUACCGGUGAACUUCUUCUCGGGGAAGGAUGCCCCUACUUACGAGUUUUACAAUCCAUCCGUUGCAGCACGGCAGUUCAGCCUAGGUCAGCUGCCGAUUUAUGUUUUCUUCGCCGGUCAUGCAAAAUUCUGAGAUGAGCUCACCAAAGGUCUUGAUUACAGUCGGCUGUGCGAUCGAGUGCCCGACUCCAGCACCAUCGAUCUGACCAAUUGGAUACUAGCACCUUUUGCUAUCCAACAGUUCAAACUAUGGUGGGCAAAAUGGAAACAACACCUCUUUUGUGCAUUUCCUGCGAUAUACUGCAACAUCCUGGAUCCCGACAACAUUGACUCGAAUGCAGAGGUAUCGUUCUUCCCUUAGCCGAUUUCGAUGCCAUUUUCCUUUUUAUACUACUAACUCUUAUUUCUUUUACAGUCCGAGAGUUAACUCCCUCCAAGGCGCAGCCGGAGUGGCAGGCCGAUAGAGAACCGUUACCCGUAUACAAAAUUCCCACUCAUCGGCCAUCAUGCCCCAUCCAUUAAUGACAUCACCACUGGCUGAUUAAAUCAGACACUGAAGAAAACCUUAAAGAAGACAAGCCGCCGAGUGCGUGCCCGCACGGAAUCGGCCGAUCAGUCUGCGGCAGCAUCGACGGAAUCUUUGGCUGCGUCGAUUCUCCCGGUCAUCGAGGAAGUUGAUCCCCAAGCUACUACAGAAGCUGGAGCGGCCGCUGCAUCACUGCUAUUAGAAGCCAUUCAGGUAACCUCGUGUUCACAUCCUCUAGAGUAUUCUCCCGAUACUGACUUCUCCUUUACAUUAGGCCGCACAAGUUGCCCCAGUGCCUCCAUAGCAAUCGACGAUACCCCAAGCAGAAAUCGGAGCACCAAUAAUUCCUUCCACUGAGGUAAAGAAUCCCUUAACUCAAUUUUUUUAUACUUAAUCAAAAGCUUGACCGAUUCUGAUGCAGGCUACCCUUGGUACGUCAAUUGUACCUUCUCAACAGCCAUCAGUCAGGGAAACCAUGGAGGUACGGCAAUCACCACAUGUCAUCAGAUCUAACCAUCUAUAUUAUACUCAUAAGAACUUGGUCCUCGUACCUUUCCAGGAGGCCAGUCCGAGCAGGACACCAAUAAUCAUCGAAUCCUCCUCCUCCGAGGAGCUGGUCGCACCAGUUCCUGAACCAAGGACAGCACUCCCAUUGACGCAAACAAAAGAAAUCCGCUUCAAAGAGGUAAGAGACUUGUCACCCGAAUUGGCCGAUUUCCCUAUUACCAUCAGCUAAUCGAUGCUUAUCAUUUUACUUUCUUGCAGGAACAAGAUACCCCCAAUAAUAGUCUCUUCUCCUUCACGGUCGCACUUUCUGAUGAUGAGGAGGUUGCUUCACGUCAAGUCACUCUGAGCUCAAUUCCUGAUGACGUCCGCGCCAAGCUCGAAAGCAUAAGGACCUUCCUCCAAGAUGACAUCGGCCGAUUAGUGGAGGAUGCCUCGCCGAUUCGGCAACUCUUUAGCGAUAUCAGAGGCCAGGUUCCCGAGGAGGCAGAAGAAGCUCUGGCACCCGCCGCAUAUAUUGAAUCAAUGCGGAUCCCAGUGUUCAGGGCCUUGCGCCACAUGGCUGAUCACGUCAAGUUAGCUAAAGCUCGUGAGGAGGAAGGCUCUUACAAGCACCGAGCCCAAGAGGUAUAUCAUCGAAUCAAUUUCCUUGAAAACUCCCGCCCGGAUAUUGUUGGUGCUAUAGAUCGCCUCAAGCGCUGAAGGGCAGAGCUCGCCAAGGAGAUGGAGCAGGUGACCAAGGACAUAGCCAUUGAAGAGAAGAGACUCCAAGACCUCCCUUCUGUCAUCGCCGAACUGAAGCAAGAGAGACAAAGUCUAGCCCAUGAGGCAAUCAGACUCCAUCACCAUAUGCCAGAAGUCCCAGGAUCGGUCGAUGACGACCAACGAAUUUUAGACUUGACCGAUCAAGUUAGGCAACCAGCGAUUGCGGCCAUUAAUGCCCUCCUUGGGUGAACUGUAAAGGUGAUGGCUGCUCUGUAAAAACAUUAAUAUCUUUUGACUGUUUGACGUGCGAAUCCAAUCCUGACCUGUCCUUCAUGGCGGCUUUUCAUUUAUUACCCCUUUUAAUCUGAUGGGACGUGUCUUACCAAACUCUCGCCUCUUUUCUUUCCAUAAGUACGAGACCCGAUAUUGUUUCCACAGGCAUUCGCCUCGCUCGUCCUCUUCUCCUCUAGUAGUUCAUACCACCAGACUAUUCACCAAGAUGUCUUCUUCAUCUUCCUCCUUUUCCUCCUUCUCCGUCAACCAGGUACGAGAUCUUCCUACGCCCUCUAUUCCUCGGUCUGACAUUUUAACCGGUCUGACGUCGAGCGGUUAUCCGUUAAUUUUUUCAGCCGAGACGUCUUAGUCCCGAACUGGAACGGGCAAUCGAGAUCAUGCACUCUGAUGAACCGUUGUCGCAGGAGGACAAGAACUUGAUCAGAGCCCAUCGUGAAGAAAUCAGAGAUCAUGUCCCUGCUGAAGUCCAGAGGAUCUGGGAUCAUAUCGAUGCCAACUGCUCCAGGCGGCCACCAAUCGAAAGGAGUCAUCCACUCCCCCGCCUAGUCACCCUUGAAGACGUCGUAGCGGGAACGUCUCAAUGACCGCUUGAUCGGAGCCAUCCUGUUCCUCGCCAAGUUGAGGCUGAAGCCGCGAUGAAAUAUCUAGAGGAAAGGAGCAUCCGCCUCUAGAUAGAGUUAGGUUGGGUAGAGAGGGAGCUUAAGAAAAAGCGUGGUUAAUAGAUGUGUUGGUACUUUUAGUUCUAAGGGUGACUUGUACCGUGUCAGCCGUGUACCCCAUCGUUCACACCAAAUAAUAAAUCGGCCAACUCGGACAAAUGUUUUGUUCUCAAGGUGAUUUUAUCUUUGCAUCGGCUAUAAGAUCUAAUAGGAACUGGCCGCGCCAUCUUGAUACACUUCAUAACUAGUUAUGCAUCGACCCAUAUACUAGGAUAAUAUCUCUUCCAGUACCUCCCGUUCAAGGCCCUUGUGAAUUCCUCUGCUUCGAUCAUCUCCAGUAUGUAUGCGUUUCCCGGAGCGCAUCGGCCGAUUUUAUAUGGACCUUCCCAAGUGGGCGACCAUUUAAUGAACUUGGGAUCCUUGGAUCCUAUCGGCAGUACCAACUUCCAUACCAAUCUCCUUGGGAGAAUUGCUUGACUUUGACCUUCUUGUCGUACCACCUGGCCACCCUCUUUUUAUUCUCCACAAUGCUGAUCAGAGCCCUUAAUCGUUGACCUGCCAAAUCGUCGACCUCUCCUUUCAUGAGGAAGGAAUAGUCAUCGGCCGUCAACUGAUCUUGAAGCGAUGUGCGUCUUGACCCCAUCCUUAAUUCCCAAGGCAACACUGCCUCGUGACCAUACACCAAUUGAUAAGGAGAUAUUUUAGUAGCCCCGUGGCAGGCCAUCCUGUAAGCCCAUAAAGCCUUGGUCAAACAUAAGUGCCACUUCUUAGGUUGUUGCUCAAUCUUCCUUUUGAUCAACUUAAUUAUCCCCUUAUUGGAUGAUUCAGCUUGGCCGUUAGCUUGAGCAUAAUAUGGAGAAGAAUUUAGCAACUUGAUUCGGCAGUGAACUCCUCGAAUUCUCCCGAAGUGAACAUCGUCCCUUGGUCGGUUGUGAUGGUUUGAGGAAUACUGAAACUAUAAACAAUGUGGUCCCUUACAAAAUCGACCAUAGCGGCCGAUGUCACGGCCUUCAAUGGGAUUGCCUCCACCCAUUUGGUAAAGUAGUCAGUGGCUACCAAUAUGAACUUGUGCCCCUUACUUGAUGGAGGAUAAAUCUGUCCGAUGAGGUCUAUUCCCCAACCCCUGAACGGCCAUGGCUUGAUUAUCGGAUUCAUAGCCGAUGCCGGCGCACGUUGUACGUUGCCAAACUUCUGAUAGUCUUGACACCCUUUAUAAUAUUUGAAGCAGUCUUCGAGUAUCGUCGACCAAUAAUAUACAUUAUUCCUAAUCAUCCACUUCAUUUUAUGAGCCGAUUGGUGAGCUCCGCACACGCCUUCAUGGAUUUCUCCCAUCAGGAUCUUUGCUUUUUCCGUCCCCAGGCAUUUGAGUAGAACUCCAUCAAUCAUUCAGUAAAACAAAUCAUCAUCGAGUAGUACAUACUUUGUGGCUUGAAAACGCACUCGCUGAUCCACUUUCUUGGACGGGUCCCUUAAGUAAUCAGCGAUCUCCUUUCGCCAAUCGUCGGCCGCGAGUUCCAGAAUCAUGGCGCCCUGAAUCGACUGAUACCCGGACGAGUGUUGGGCAAGCCUAUUGGCCUCUUCAUUAUAAUUUUUGGGAAUAUGCUCAAUAACUGCAGUCUUGAAUUCUUUUAAAAGUUGGAGACAAUCUUCGUAGUAAAUCCUCAGGACAUCAUCUUUACAUUCUGAUCUUCCUGUUAGCUGGUCUACGAUGAGCAUGGAAUCCCCAAAAAUCUCCACAGCGUCGGCUUUGUUCUCUCUCAAUAAUUGAAUGCCUUUUAGGAUAGCUCGAUAUUCCGCCUGAUUAUUGGUUGCGGAAGCUUCUAUCGCCAGAGAGAAAUCAUAACUUGCCCCCUGAGGCGAUAUGAGAACGAUGCCGAUUUCUGAUCCGGUGCCACAUGACGAACCAUCAAAGUAUAGAGUCCAUGGAGUCAUCUCAACGACAGCGAUUUCUGGUCCGCAGUGCUUGGCCACAAAAUCGGCCAUGACUUGACCUUUGACAGCUUUGGUUGAUUUGUACCUUAGGUCAAACUCUGACAGAGCCAGGAUCCAUUUUCCAAUUCGUCCUUUCAAAAUCAGCAAUGAUAGCAUGUCCUUUAUCACAUCAUCUUUGCAUACGACUAUGCACUCUGCCGACAAAAGGUAGUGCCUGAGCUUAGUGCAUGAGAAAUAAAGACAGGCAUAGCCGUUCUAUCGGUGAAUAUCUUGUCUCGGCGUCCAGAAGUCUUCUGCUAACAUAAUAUAUCACCCAUUCCUUUCCUUCGAACUCCUGUACCAGCGCCGAUCCGAUGGCCCGUUCAUCGGCCGAUAAGUAUAGUCUGAAUGGCUUGUCAGCUUGUGGUGGGACCAAUACAGGUUGCGAGAUCAAAUAUUGCUUGAUGUCUUCCAGUGCUUUCUGCUGCUCCUCUCCCCACACAAAUUUCUAGUCGGGCUUUAAUUUCAAUAACGGCGUGAAGGCUUGAAUACGCCCGGACAAGUUGGAUAUGAAUCUUCUAAUAAAGUUUUAUGUCCGGGCUGCUGAUAUGGCCGAUAUCCUAGUUUUAUGGGCAACCGGUGUUCAACAAUGGACCGGUCUAGGCCAGGCAUCUCAUGGUAUUCCCAAGCAAAACAAUCUUUAAAUUCCUUUAAUAAGUUUGUCAAUUUACACUUGUAUUCGGGAUCCAAGUUAGCACUAAUGUACGUUAGCCUUGGUUUGGUGCCAUCACCUAAAUCUAUCAUCUCUAAUGAAUCGGCCGACGUAAACCCGUGCCCCAGCUUUCCAUCUUCUCGGACGAACUGAUCCAUCUAAUCUGAAUCUUCAGAGCCGACUGCUCGGAUCAGCUGUGGGCCAAAAUCGGACACUUUCAGGAAAUUGCUGUCCCAAGUUCUUCUGGAUAUGCACUUGACAUGUUCGCAGCUCCAUUGCUGCGUAUCGGCCGCAGCAACACUGUAGGCGGAAUCGGCGGUGACUACCUCGAUGUUCUUACCGACCCAUUGUACGAGGCAUUGGUGCAUUGUAGAUGGGACGUAGCAAUUCGCGUGUAUCCAAUCGUGUCCGAGCAACAUGUUGUAGGACCCUUUGCCAUUAAUAAAGAAAGUAGUGGGAAGGGUCUUACUGCCGAUGGUGAGGUCGACACAGAGCGCCCUGCGCGCGGGAGACACGUUGCCCUCGAAGUCCUUGAGCAUCAUGUCCAUCUUGGUUAGAUCCUCGUUGCUUUUACCCAGCUUCCGGAACAUGGCGUACAGCAUGAUGUUGACUGCAGCGCCUCCAUCUACUAGCAGCCUAGUGAUAGGUCGACCAUUGACGUGUCCUUUGAGGAACAGUGCCUUGAGGUGUUGCCGUUUUUCAUCUUCGGGUUUCUCAAAAGUGGCUGUCAUUGGCUCCAAAGCCAAUUGUGCCAUCUGUUCCUCCAUCUACGUCGUGUCGUACCGAUCGGCGGGAGCCAUGAACUCCAUUGGCAAGAUGUACACCAUGCUGAUGUCAGCUGUCGAUUCUUGGUUGCCAUCUUCUUCAUUGUUGUUUCUUUUGGGGUGCUAGACUCAAGACCUAUCGUCUUUCUUAUCCACCACCUGCCUCUGCUCUUCUUCCUUUUGUUCCCAUUGGCGCAGGCGUUGGAUCCUUCAUUUUUUGGAUUUGGUUAAUCCAUCAGGGUACCACCUGGGAUUCACCGGUUUGGUCGGUGGCCUGGCGCGCUCCCAGUCUGGUUCUCGUCCUAGGGGGUUUUCAUCUAACACCCUAGCAUCAGCCAUCUCCUCUAGCCGAUCGUGUGUGCUGACUCUGUGUAACGGCCUCGGACAAAAUCCUUCGCGUCAAUCUUAAUCCGAGUCCCUGAUCACCUGUCUUAGUUUUUUUUUCCAAGCCUAAGUGUUCAACCUCCAGAUCUUCCAACCCCUGCGAUCCGACCCCUCGCCGUGGUCUCCCCAGUUCCGACCCCGCCGACCCCCAACCCACCGUCGGAUCUUUCUAAGCCAUCCCGCAGCAUCGCCCUUCAGUCCGAGUAGUGGACCACCGAGACUGACCGGUGGGCCCAUGAGAUCUUUUCCCCCAGAUCUCCCGCGACAGGCGCACUCGAGUUGCAUGCCCGCUUCAGAGUUCCCCCGCCACGUGGCUCAACUCCUCCGACGUCCGUUGCUCCGCCUCGUCUUCGGCCCGCGACCGGGUGGAUUCUCGCGCCCCCUUCCCUAAUCACGGCGGAUGCUCCUUUGCCACCCUUUCUGCAGCACCUCACCACCCGCGCCCAUCAUCACAUUGCCAGAUCCCGGCCGCAGAGCCCGAUGCCGCCUGUCUUUUCCGUCACCUCGCCACUGUCGCACCGCCCCGGUCUUCGCUACGCGAAGAUUCCUCCUCCGCCAACCCAGACCGCGGCAGCGACAGCUCCUUUUCCCGCCCUGUCAGAAGCCGCCCCGACAAUCUGUUGCUCCGCGCUCGCCCGCGCGCCCGCAGCCGCCUGUCUUCUCACCUGUGCGCCCUUGUUCCUAGCGCCGUUAUCCCGGUCACUUCCAUCAGAUCCACCGCAUGACGACGCCCACCUCCGCCAAAUCUCAACCACCGGCAAACCCGCGCUUGCGUCGCCCUGACGUCAGUGCCCAAUGACCACUGGCGUCAUCCCCGAAGUCCUGCUCCACCGCCCUCGUCGCGCAAUCGCCGCCCGGGCAGAGCACUCCAUCGUUUCUUCCCCGGCCUUCGCGCCUCUCCUCCCUCCCUCUUCCACGCCGCUAUAAAAGGGAAUGCAGAAGUUCCGCCGGAGUUCCCCCUUUUUCCUUCGCUGCCAUCUCUCUUACUCCCUGUUCGAGCUCACAGCACCACCAGCUAAGUCUGAGGAACUCUCCUCUCUGCUCAAGCACCGCCGCCGCCGGAAUACCGCCGGACAUCCUCACCACACCCAAGCCAUUAGUCCUUUCCACCCCAAGCCUUCUCUGUAAGACGAAGGUAGGCUGCCGACCCCUGCUCGCUUCGUCCGACCCCUCUUAUACGCCCGACCCUGGUUCCGUCUCGCCGGACCCUGUCUGUUCCGCCGACCCUUCUCCGCCUCGCCUGAGGGCUCGGCUGUAUCUUUUCUUUGAACCGAGGGUGUAUGUGUAAAACUUGGGGACCUUUCAGCGUUGAGUCUGAGGACCCCUAGUACAUCAAAUCCUCUAGAUUAAGGGUCAGAUCAUAAGUUUCUUCCUUCCACCCCUUACAUCCUGAUCUCCAUCAACUCCAUUGAACCUCCCCACCCUCCUGUAACUUGUCGCAAGUUUCUGGGCUCAAACUUGCAAGUGUUGCUGUUGAAAUAACCGUCUAUGCUAACCAAUGCAUUGCAUUUGUGUAGAACUGCGUCUUGCCGACGGCUACUAUGAGCUGCACCCGGUGCCAGAAGACGAUGGUGUAGCUGAGCUCCUGCUUCCCGAAGCCGAAGCUUCCCAAGAAGACGUGCAGUUCCCUUCCUCCUUGCUCGAAGGCAAGCCCCGGAUGCAUGAAUCCCCUAUGUUUUACCAGACUUGCGCAUGCCUUCUUUAACAUGCUUGUGCAUUUACAUAUAGGAGUUGUUUGGAACCCUAGAUGCAUAACUUAGCUCCCUUGAUCUGAACACUAGCUGUUGGACCGAGUAGAUGCUUUGCUUAAAUAGGAAACGGUAAAAGCCGAGUUAUUCCCUGUCACUCGCGAGUUGUAGGAGUUGGAUGUUUACCCUUCUGUCACAACUAUAAGGAUGAUGGACGGGGCAGGGUUUGAGGUAACCCUUUGGUGGUCGGUUGAUCGCCCUGUCUGUCUAUGCAACUUGCUAAGGCCCGACAGUGGUGGUGUUCAUGAUCAAGUGUUUGAAAGUACUAAUCUCAUACCUAGUAUGGGAUGGGGAAGCCUAGUACCUGAUUGAACUAGGGCGUGGCUUAUACCCCUGCUGUCCCUGGAACGAGGUUCCCAUGGUGCAUCAUGUGGGUGCAAGUGCGGUCACAGUACGGCAGAGGCCGGGACUGUGGAGCAUUGCAUGCCAAGGGAAGUUUGGACCUGACACGCGCCUGGGAAUUGAUGGGGAUGGCCAACACAGGAAGCGGCCCUGGUGGUGCGCGGAUGUCGUGAGAUUAGGUUCGCCAUGCAUGGUUAAGAAACUCGAAUCGAUUUGUCUGCCUCUCACAGUUUGAGACUGCUUGAUCGCUAUGUCACCCUGAGUAAGUAAGGAAUCUGAUGAUGACAUGGUUUUGUUGAUGAUGUAUAUAACUUUUGGUUGGUUCUAUGUUUGCUUAGAAUAGGUUGCAAACUUAGAACGGAUAAUGAACUUAGAACCGGAGCUAAAACUUGAAAGUAGGGAUACAUCUAGCGCUUUUGGCAAACAAACCCCUCAGCCAAAAAGCCUUGCAUGUCUAGAAGAGGUAGUUUAGAGCGCUCCCUGUCGAUUAAGUCUUGUUGAGCUUAGUAGCUCAGCCUUGUUGUGGCUCUUCUUUUUCAGGUGAAGUUGUUGCUUCUGAGCCCCCUUCUGCUGGCACUUGGCCGCCCCAACUCCCUCCGGGUUGGACGGUUGAGUGGGAUCCCUCCUCAGACGGCGAGGAGAGGGAUCAUUGACGUCCCGGUUGGUCUCACCAGGGAUGUCCGACCCCGACGAAGUAGCUUCCGCUUGUUGUUUUAUCUUCUGUGGUUUUCUUUCAAACCUUGUAAACUCUGAUGAUGUUUAUAGCCAAACUAGAUGGUUAAAUUGCUUAACUUAGUGGACUUGCUGUAUUCUCUGGAACCGCUCACCUUCAUGUGGGUUUGCUAUUCGGUCCUGUUCAAGUGGUUAAAUCGGAUGAAAUCCGACGGCACUUCGUGUUUACUUGGUUAAGGCAUGAGUGUCGCAUAUCAGGCGGCUUAAUCAUGUUUAAUCAAGCAAAUCCGAAGUGGAUCCGCCACACUCUGCCCCCCGGUCGGUCAUGCUGUUCGCGUCUGUCCCUUGGCCGAUCGUAUCAGUCAACUCUGCCCCCCAGUCGAUCACGCACUGAAAGGCACCGAUCCUCUUGCUCGCGCCAGUUUCUGCUAAUUGGCUCUGAUCCUCUAUCCCUUGAGCGAGAUCUCUUGAACGGAUGAUUAUUGCGAUAUGGACCGCUGCACUCUGGCCAAUUAUUAGCCGAUGGCAACCUGAGGUUAUUUUCCCAGCAAUGGAUGAAGAAAGGACAUUGCUAAUGAUCUUCGUGUCGUCGUAUUAUUUCUUCACGAUAUCUCGAACUGUCCUGUUGCCGCUGAUACUUGUUGAGCAAGAACUGGGAGGUAAUAGGUCUGCGCGGUCUUUCCGAUCCGUCACUCUCAUCGUCAACCCGUCUCUUCCCCUUGACGUCUUCGAUCGUAGCUUGAUUCCUGGGGUCCAUAGCGCCGUUCUUUUUAGCCGAUUCCGACGUCAGCACUUUGGUUUGAAGCGCGUUUCUUCCCGUAUCAACCAUGUUAGUGGGAAAAGGAUGCUGAUCGAUCUUCAUUGGCUUUGCUGGUUUUGUCGGGACCUCGAACUGGAGCCUGCCUCUCAAUGGCCGAUUGUAUCUGCUGUCGGAAGAUUUUGCACUCGUUUGUGUCACGGGACGUAGCAUUGUGCCAUUUGUAAUACUUCAUCUUUUUAGCUGUUCGGCCAAUGGGAUCGUAUGAUAAGUUGAGAGUUUGAUCUGCCCGUCUUGGAGGAGUAGGUCGAAAAUUUUAUCGGCCUUUGACGUGUCAAAACCGAACACCUCCGGUUCCUUUUUUUCGAAAGGACACAAUAUCAACUUCUUUCCCUUAACCCACUCUGCUAGUCCGAUUUCCACUUCCUCCUCAGAUUCAGAUCCCUCUAAGUAUGCCACCUUCUUCUGAAAAUUUCUUCGCUGAUCAAAGGGGCAUACUUCUUGAUCGGACAAUCGGUGGACAAUCUGACUCAGGCUCUUGAACUCCUGGGAAGCGUAUUUCUCCUUGAUAUGUGGUAGGAGGCCUUGGAAGGCAAUGUCGGCCAGCUGCGCAUCGGUCAGAACCAGGGUGUAGCAUUUGUUUCUGACUUCUCUGAACCUUUGCAUGUAAUUGGUCAUGGGCUCAUCGCUCCUCUGCCUGAAGCUGGUCAAAUCUGAGAGCUUCAUCUCAUGGACUCCCACGUAGAAGUACUUGUGGAACUAUUUUUCCAAGUCAGCCCAGGUGACGAUGGAAUUGGGCGGAAGCAUAGUGAACCACUGGAAAGCCAACCCGGACAGGUAUGAUGAGAACAGGCGCACCCACAGAGCAUCCUGUGUAGCCGCCUCUCCACAUUGGAUGAUGAAUCUGUUUACGUGUUCCAUGGUGGAGGUGUCAUCCAGCCCCAAAAACUUAGUGAAGUCGGGAACUUUGUACCGAUGGGGAAACGGUAGUAGAUCGUAGGCAGGCGGGUACGGCGUUUUGUACGUGUAAGUUUGUACCUUUGGCUUCAACCCGAAUUGAUCGUGGAUCACCUUUGCUAUCCUUGCCGUCUAGUCUACUUGCUGCUGAUGAAUUACUAGCUGGGCAAUCAGCACAUGUUGGUGGAUCGGUGGCGGGAUGACCGGGUGAUGAAUCAAAGCGUGCGGCGGAUUCUGCGGUAACGUGGCCGGCUGAGCGGUUGACAUCUGGUGGCGCAGCAAACCGGCCAUCUCAUUGUACAGCAUCAUCGGCACCGCACUUCGGAGCACCUCAGCAACAUCUGCUCCCCUGCUAAUUUCUGACGUGGCAGGUUGAUACUGUGGAGCCGUCAGCCGAAUGGCCGAUUGGAAUGGUGCCUGGAUCGGAGGGCCUCCAUAGUCAGCCGAUUGAUCUAGAACGGCCGCUGUCGAUGGUGCCCCCCAAGGCACUGAGUUUGAUGGCAAUGAUUGGACGAAGGAAAUUUGAGUAGGUUGAGGUGGCGCUUGUGACUGAAAGCAUGGCGCACUGUUAUAUCCUGGAUGCAUUGAAGGCAGUGAAGCAUUGUGUCCUCCAUGUUGAGUUGGCAUUGGCUGAGGAGCAGAGUGAGAUGUGCUUGGAAAGCUCCUGACUGGGGUCGUAAUGGGCGGGGCAUAUGCUGGCCCCUAAUAUCCUUGAGAUACUGUGGCGGAACCGUCCAACUUAAACUGGUUUAAAUGCACCUAAUCACUGCUGACGCAGCCAUUAUUCGAAACACACUUAAAACAGUAUAAGUCCGGUCGUCUGUCGAGUGUCCCUAGGACUCCUCGAAGAUCCACGUCGUGUCUCAUAGCCAUACAUCAGGAUUGUAUCCGCGAUGGGAUAGCAUCAACAAAUAUUACAUUUUUACAUACAUACACGAGGUACGAGUUAAUACAAGACAUAGUUUGAAGCAAACUUAACAGUGCAGUGUUAGACAGAGUUCUAGGAUUUAAAACAUAAACGGUUUGGGUUGAGAUGAGCAUUAUAAGCCUUCUUCUAAGGGUAUUGUGAGAUUCAUAACAAUACCCUAGGGUUUCGGGGCUUCUUCCUCGGUGGACUCCUGCGGUGUUUCUGAAAAUAGCCACAAGGGAUAACCCUGAGUACGAGGUACUCAGCAAGGCUUACCCGACUAACCAAUAUAAUAGUUUUUCUUGGAAGUAUAUGAUAGCUUUUUCGAUGUGCUAGGCUGACACAUUUUUGCCAAAAAGCUUACUAAAAAAAAGAGACCUUAGCUUUAUCUUUUAUUCGGAUUAAGUCAUUACCUAACCAUUUUAGGUGAUGAUAAAAGAUUAUUUGUAAACAAUAAGGUAUUAAGUCAUACACCAAACAUUAUUAGAAAGAUAUGGCAUUCAUGAAUUUAUGCUACGAUGCUCAACAGUGAUCAAGUGCAUUCAUAACCGAGAAUUGCGGCGAUCCGGAUCAAAUUACAUCCUGCAGGAGAGUACCCUAAUCACCAGCUAUAUACGACUGUCCAGGUUGUACGUAACGACUUUUCAAUUAGCAAAACCCAUGAUUGGGAAUAAGACUACCCGGACCUAGGGACGCACCCCCACAUGGGACCCCACGUCUGGCCCGAUCACCAUGUGAGUUUCAGGCUACACCCCUGCCAAUCUCCAGCACGUCAAGCAUGGGUACGAAGUAUUCCCGAUCAGAGGGUUUACUAACCUACUGGGCUUUACUGGUCCCAUACCCAGUAAGUGAUCAGAUGUCUUUCACUUGAUUAAAGGUUAAGACAAUGAAUCGGGCCUUAACCAGAUUAAUCUAGCAGACAGAACUACAUCCUUAGCUUCUGUCCACUUCUUAAUUUCCAAGUCAUGUUUCCAUAAUUAACAUGCAUGACUCAAAAUUUACCUUAAGGUUUGGUAAAGCAAGUAUUUAAGCAGCUAAGCCAUUCUAGACUUGGGUUAUCUACUAAAGGUUUGAACAAGUGGCAAAGAUGUCCUUAAAACAAGGUAUGAUCAUGCACAAGAAUGGGUUUCAAGCAACUCCUAGACUUAGUGCAUAUAUUUAGCAAAUAACCGAUAAUGGGCACAUGAAAUAUUGACUCCAAAUAAUAGGUAUAAUGCACUGGGGCUUGCCUUGUUCGCCAAAAAAGUUAGCACUGUCCGAAGGGUUGGCCUCGUAGGGGACCAAUUCAAAGACUUCCUCAAAUUCCGGAGAUCCUUCUGAAUAUUCCGAGAAAUCUCCUUCUGGUGCUUCGGUGUCUAUAACACAACAUAUGCACGGGUUAGGAAUGCAAAUUUUUGAAUACAAGACUAUACAACUUUCCUUCAUGAUAGAGUUGCAAGCCAACAAGGACUAUACAAUUUAUCAUGAUAAAGUUGCAAGCCAACACACGAAAACCCGAAAAGAUUAACCCAACAAUUUUAUUUCCUUAACUAACCUUACUUAGGGCCUUUUCUUUUAUUUUAGAAGAUGUUAUAAUUAUUUUCUAGCUUUAAAACCUAAUUUCCUAUGAGUUAAUACUAAUUUGUGAUUAUGAAAAUGUUAUUCCAUAUUUUAUGCAUUUAAUAAAGAUUAAGUAUUUAUUUAAAUACCUUUAAAAUAAAGGCAUUAAACAAAUACCCAAAUUUUUAUUAUUUUCCUAGGGUAUAAAAAUUUUAAUGCAUAAAGGAAAAUAAAACAAGCCUAACAGAAUUGGUUUCACUAAUUUUGGACACUCCUAGAAAUUUCUGUGAUUUAAAUGGUGAGAUUCGGAUUUAAACUAAUUAUUCUAUAAAGGAAAUCUAAUUUUUCGCGAAAAAAACCCCCGGCAACUUUUCUCAGGCGACCCUAUUCUACCCCCUCUCUCUUACACUGGGCCCGCGACUCGGACCUACCCCUUCUCCUAUUCAUCCUACCCGCCGGCCUACCCCCUCCUCUAACGGGCUCUCUAGGCCGAUUCUUCUUUUCCUUUUCUCUUCUCGGACCGGCACCGGCCCAACGGCCCACUCCUUCUUUUCUUUUUCUCCCGUGAAACCUGGCCUGCUGAAAGCUUGGGCCUCCGGCCUUUCUCUUAACGGCCGACCGCACCGGCUCCUUGGGCCUCCGAAACGCUGGCCCAACUGACGCCCGCGCCCGACCGGCCUGCCUCCUUUUCUCCCCCGCCUCCUCUGACUUGCGGGCCCGUGGGGGCGGCGCGGCUUGCCGGCCGGCGCCCUACCGGCGACGGGGCUAAGCCGGGGAAGCAUCCCCAUGCCCUAGCGCACCCGUGCGCGGUGACAGCUUCCCGGGAGAUGACCGGAGUUACUUCCUCCACGGUGGCGGGCGGCGACGCCUACGGCCGGUUGUGGCUAGGCACAACGAUGGCGCAACCUACCCCGACAACCACUACUAUAGCUUCCUAGCACCCUAAGGACUCGCCUACGACUACCCAAGAAGAAAGAGAACAAGAGCAAGGAGGUGCUCACCGUGAGCAGGAGGUGCGGCGACGGCGGAUGGAAACGACGACGGUGCAGGGUAUUCCGGCAAGGAUGUUGGACAACGACUCGACUGGGGUGUAGCUGGGGUAUCUGUGGAGGAGUGGGAGAGAGGAAUCGACGGGAGGUGAGGCAUGGCAGAGGAAUUUGGCCGACGGCGAUGGCUUGGACAGAAGGGCGGCGGCGGUAAAAAGAAUAGGCAGUAGAAACGGUCGGCGGGAGCGGUAGUUAUUCAAGGCUUUCACCGCGCGCAUGGGUGACACCGUGGUCUACUCGUAGGCUUGCGUGGUGAGGAGGUGGCGUAGCUGCCGCGCUGGCGGGCGACCGAGAACACCGGCGGCGACACGUCGAGCUCGGCUCUGUCAUCCUCCCCCUCUUUAUUUGUGACGCCCGAAAUCUUCAGAGCUCAAUCACGGUCAAAAGUUCAUCCGACGGCCCACAAGUGUCUUAACCAAAGUUGUAGAUAAGUUUGAGCUCUACAAUUCAUAUUUAAACUCUUGCCCAAGAUUUUCAUUCAUUUGUUGGCAAUUUCAAAAUGUUUGGCCUCAGGUGACUGAAUUCCAUUGAAUUCCGAUUCAUUUCGUCAGUCACUUGGUCAUGGUCAUUUACCCUACUUUGUAAAUCAUUUCAGUGAUCCAAAUCCUUUCCUUUCAGUCCAACUUCUUCCCAUUUGUGUUCUACAACAUUCAAAGGUUCCAUUUCGCCCAUAAACACUUACACCUUUUGUUCUACAGUUUUCUGAAAUUAGCUCCAAAUUCAGCCACAUAUUGCUGUUUUCAGACUUAGUCAAUUUCAGCAAUGCAGUCUACCGUGACAAUGUGCUGACUUUGAGCUCAAAUUUCAAUUUGUUCCCCUUACUGUUCCUGAUCAACAACACCCAAAUAUAUAUGUACAAAGUCCAUACUGCAUCACUAUGUAGUUGUCUUGGUCCACUUAUUUGGAAAAUUGGUCGGAAAUUAAUUUCCAAAAUGGACUCUGCUGCUGUUUUUCUGAACUCCUUAUUGUCAGAUGGUGAACAGUAUUUGGGUUUUUAAUUUCUUUCUUUGAGUUUUCUUGAGGUAUUUGGGACCAUGUCUUGUCCCAAAUCUUGAUCUUCAAGUUCUAAUCACCCUUACACCUCCAUUCCAUAUUUUUGCCGAAUUUUUCUGAAUUUCGAAUUCAAAAUUCAAAUUUCGGUCAAAUUUGACCCGAAUUUGAUUUUUAGCCAAUUUCUUCUCCUCUUCUUCAUGAAUUGCUUCUUUUUCUUCAGAGCUACUUUGAUGACUAAAAAUGGUAGGUAUUACAGCCUCUCCCCCUUAACAGAAUCUCGUCCCGAGAUUCCCGGGGUUAAACCCUCGGCUUUGAGAAUGGAAAGGAAACUGCGUCAGGCCAACUAUCUUUCUGUUUUCUGUACAAGGAUAGUGGGGUGGUGGCUUUUGUUCAUCUGAUCCUGAUGGUUUCAAAUAACUCAGGAUAUUUAGACUCUAGGUCUUCAGCCUGUUCCCACGUAGCUUCCUCCGAAGUAUGAUUUUUCCAUUGUACCUUGUAAAAUGUAAUACUUCGAGUUCGGGUAUCUCUUGUCUUUUGAUCCAGAAUUUUAAUAGGCCUUUCUUCAUAGGUUAGAUCUGAUUCGAGCUCAAUUUCUUGAUCCUCUAGAAUCUCUUCUGGAACUCUUAAGCACUUCUUAAGCUGGGAUACAUGAAACACAUCAUGUAUAGAAGUAAGUUGGUCUGGUAAUGACAGAUUGUAUGCUACCGGACCCUUUCGUUCCAGAAUUUCAUAAGGACCAAUGUACCUUGGACUAAUUUACCCUUUAUUCCAAAUCAUUGUAUUCCUUUCAUCGAGGAUACCUCCAAGUAUACAAAAUCUCCGAUAUGAAAUUCCAAGGACCGUCUCCUUUUAUCUGAAUAACUCUUUUGUCGAGACUGGGCUAUUUCCAAAUGUUUACGAAUUUUCUAGACCUUUUCCUCGGUUUCCAUAACCAAGUCUGAUCCCAAAUGUGUCCUUUCUCCUAUUUCCGACCAAUUCAAUGGGGUUCGACAUCUUCGACCAUACAAGGCUUCGAAAGGUGCCAUUUUGAUACUAGCUUGAUAACUAUUAUUAUAGGAGAACUCAGCUAGGGGCAAACAUUCAUCCCAUAGCUUAGAGAAGGUAAGGACACAUGCUCUUAACAUAUCUUCCAAGAUUUGGUUGACCCUUUCCGUCUGUCCUCCGGUCUGGGGAUGAUAGGCAGAGCUUCUGAUUAAAGUAGUGCCCAUGUCUUUUUGCAGUUGUUCCCAAAAUCUGGAAACAAACUGGGAGCCUCGAUCGGAGAUAAUUGUCUUUGGUAUUCCAUGCAAGGAUAAGAUCUGGGCUAUAUAGAGUUUCGCAUAUGUCGACACUGGGUAGGUAAUCUUGCCGGGGAUGAAAUGGGCUGACUUAGUGAGUCAGUCGACAAUAACCCAUAUGGAAUCAUAUCCUUUUGAAGUGGUAGGCGAUCCAACUAUAAAGUCCAUGGAAAUAUCCUCCCAUUUCCAGACAAGGAUUUUUAAAGGUUGAAGCAAACCUGCCGACUUUUGUAGUAUGGGUUUAACUCUCCGGCAGGUAUCACACUCGGCUACAUAUCUUGCAAUUUCAAGUUUCAUUUUGGCCCACCAAAAUCUUUGCUUUAAAUCUUGGUACAUUUUAUUGCUUCCGGGAUGAAUGGUGAGCUUAGAUAGAUGUGCUUCAUCUAAGAUCAAUUUUCUUAGGCUUUCAUCCUUAGGAACUACUAUCCUUUUUCUGAAAUACAGUCCCCCAUCCUCUUCUUGAGUAAGUUCAGAAAUCUUCCCUUCUGCCUUCUGUUGAUGAAGCACCUUGAUCCAAGGAUCUUCUUUUUGGGCUGUUAUGAUUCUCCCCUUUAGAGUGUCUUGCACAACAAUGUUCUGGAGGGUGCCUUGUUUCACUAUUUCCAAGUUUAAAUCCUCUAAUUCUUCACAUAAGGUCUUAAGAUUAGGCUGAACAGUGGUACAUUGGCACUGGGCCUUUCUGCUCAAAGCAUCAGCCACCACAUUAGCCUUACUAGGAUGGUAGUGAAUCUCUAGCUUAUAAUCUUUUAUUAGCUCCUACCACCGUCUUUGCCUCAUAUUCAAGUCCAUUUGAGUGAAGAUGUACUUUAAGCUUUUGUGAUCAGUAAAGAUACGACAUUCACUACCUAGAAGAUAGUGUCACCAUAUCUUUAACGCAUGGACUACAGCAGCAAGCUCUAAAUCGUGGGUAGGGUAAUGCUCUUCAUGACGCUUUAGUUGACGAGAAGCAUAAGCAAUAACUCUACCUUCUUGCAUAAGAACACACCCUAUCCUUGUUCCUGAGGCAUCACAGUACACGUCAAAGGGCUUCUCUAUAUCAGGUUGAGCUAGCACUGGGGCUGUAGUCAGUAGCUUCUUUAGGGUUUGAAACGAUUCUUCACAUUCGGGUUUCCACUCAAAUUUCACUUCCUUCUUUAAUAACUCUGUGAUUGGUUUGGAAAUUUUUGAGAAAUUGGGGAUGAACCUACGGUAAUACCCGGCCAUUCCCAAGAAACUUCUUACUUCAUGUACCGAAGUUGGUGAUUUCCAAUCCAAUAUAUCUUUGACUUUUCUGGGGUCUACUUCAAUUCCUUUUUCGGACAGUAUGUGCCCAAGGAAUGGAAUUUUCUUUAACCAGAAUUCACAUUUACUGAACUUGGCAUACAACUAGUGUUCCUGGAGUCUACUUAGAACAAUACGCAGGUGUUGCGCAUGUUCCUCUUCAUUUUCAGAAAAGACGAGGAUAUCAUCUAUAAAGACGACCACAAAUUUAUCUAAUUUUGGCAUGAAUACCGAAUUCAUGAGGUACAUAAAAUGCGCUGGGGCAUUUGUCAGUCCGAAAGACAUAACCAAGUACUCAUAUAAUCCAUAUUGGGUUGAGAAGGCUGUUUUAGGUAUGUCUUCGGGUUUUAUCUUAAUCUGAUGAUAUCCUGACCGGAGGUCGAUUUUGGAAAAGACCUUGGCUCCAGCUAGUUGAUCAAAUAACAAGUCAAUCCGUGGCAACGGAUACUUGUUUUUAAUGGUUACCGCAUUCAAAGGGCGGUAAUCCACACACAACCUUAAUGUGCCAUCUUUCUUUUUAACAAAUAAAGCAAGGCAGCCCCAUGGUGAAGUGCUAGGUCGGACAAAACCUUUAUCCAGCAAUUCUUGGAGUUGUACUUUUAAUUCUGCUAACUCCUUAGGCGGCAUCCGAUACGGCCUUCUCGAGAUAGGAGCAGUACCCGGUUCUAACUCGAUGGUAAACUCUACCGCUCUAUCAGGUGAUAGUCCAGGAAGAUCUUCUGGAAAUACAUCUACAAACUCAUUAACCACAGGAAUAGAUUCUAGAGUUACUGCUCUAGUCUUUUUAACCAUCUGGUCCAGACAGGGAUGAGCGGGUAAUUGGAGCUCAAAAGGAUGGCCUUGGUCAUCUCUCAUACUAACAACCCGGUUAUUCAUAUCGAUUUGAACUUUAUGUUCCUUCAUCCAAUUUACCCCCAAAAUAAUAUCUAUUCCUUGAUCUUCCAGAAUUAAAGGAUAAGCACCCACCUUAUUUCCUUCUAAGUUCAAAAUCACAUUGCGAGCUACCUGAUUUGUAUUUUGAGUAGCCCCAGUAGCUUGAAUAGCAUAUUUGACAUUUAAGAUGUGCACUUCAAGUUGGUGUUGUGUAACAAACUUUCUACUUAUAAAAGUAUGUGAUGCACCCGAAUCGAAUAAAAUCAUGGCAGGAUAAUCAUUGACAAGGUACAUACCUGCCAGAAUAGGCUCUCCUUCCGGAAUCUCCUCCACAUUCAUAUAAUGAGCCUGCCCCAUUUUGGUGUUCAGAAAUUUGCGACGAACAAACUUCUAUCCGGUGCCCUGACCAGAGGUUUGAGCCCUUAAAUUCGCGUUUCCCCCAACCUUGGGAAAACGGAAGUCCAGGGCAAAGUGUCCCGGCUUCCCAUAGUUAAAACAAACCUGUGGAUUCCCUAGAGGAGUAGGGUUACGAAACCCAACAGGUGGUGCAUUUCCAGGACGAGGAGCAUUAAUAGGAGCUCUGACAUUCCAGAGCUGAAAGGGCCUCUGUUGAAAAGAAGGCCGAUAUGCGGGUCGAGGAGGACCUCGGUAUACCACCUUCAUUCUUUGUGGGGCGCUUCCGAAGGUUCCAAAAGGAAUAUUCUUCCUCUUCAAGGAUUCCUCUCUCUUCAAAGUUUCAUCUAAGAUUCUCAUCUUCUCUUCUGCAGUAAUGGUUGUGCUUACCGCAGAGCUAUAAUCAGCAAAGGUGCAGGUAGAUAGCUUCUCCUGCAUUCGUGCAUUAAGCCCACAAAGAUAACAAUCUCUUUUCCUGGACUCCGUAUUGACAUGUUCUCGUGCGUACUGGGCCAAGUGAUCAAACUCAUUGGUGUACUCCUGAAUGCUACGGGUUCCUUGCUGCAGCCCUAGGAAUUGUUCCAGCUUCAUUCGCAUGAUACCUUCUAGCACAAACUGUGUCCGGAAGGCUUCCUUGAAAUUCUCCCAUGUAACUUCCCUUCCAACUAGUUGCCUUGCCAGAUAACUGGUCCACCAGGUCCCAGCGGGACCUUGGAGCUGGAGUCCAGCAAACUCCGCCUUCUGGGCGGUGGUGCACUGGGGAAUCACUCGAAAUUUCUGCUCCAUCGUCUGAAGCCAUUCAUUAGCUUCUAGUGGGUGCUCAGCUUUCAAGAAUAUUGGAGGACGAGUUUCCAAGAACUGGGUGUAGGAUACACCCUGUUCUGGGUCUCAUCGGUUUCCACCAUUUCCGGUGUUUUGUACGAUCAUCUGAAGCAGUCGAGCCUGUUCGGCUCCUGAAUUCAUGAGGCUGGCUAUGGCAUCAGCCAGCGUUGGGGCUCUAGGUAAAUUCUCCUCGUGGCCCCCUGACCCUGAAGCUCGAGGACCUCUCGGAUCCAUCAUGCUGCCAAAACCAAACAGAGUAUUAAUAUCUAAGUUACAUUUCACCAACAGUUCUCUAUGCGCACUAGUAUUUCACACAUCACAUCACGACUAUUGUAAUUACACACAAAUCACACUUAUAUACAUAUUAUUUAUUUACAUGACUUGAAGUUACUUUUUACAAAACCACCGUACUACUUCAUCCACUGCAUUUAUCUUACAUAUCUACAUCACAACAUCUCUUGGUUAAGAUCUUUCUUCAACCAUCGUAGGGGUAGAUGCCUAGCUCUUCGGCAUUCAGUCCUAGCCGGGCCAUCGCAGCCUGCAGAACAUCUUGGUCCACUGUCAUCAAUGUCUGUCCCGGAGGAGCGACAGGUAGGGCCUGAUUCACUGAGUUCUCACUUUCUGACUCUGGCCCGGGGUCACUUGAAGUGUAGGAAGUGUAGGAUGCAGAGGUACUGACUCCGGAAUUUCCCUCCAUUUCUUCGGGGUCUUAUUCUUCUUCCCCGUCUUCCUGCUCAGCUUCACCCCACUGUUGCAUUGGUCCGUAGCCUUGUGGAUCUAGCCCAUCGGCGUUUGCAUUGGCCUAGGCAAAUUGUUGGUUUCCCAUGGGAGCUUCACCCAGAUCAUCUUCCAUGUCGACAUCAAUCCCUUCUAAAUUCUCGUGAGCGUAUAAGUCGAUCUCAGGAGCUACAGGUGGAGCAAUAUCACCCUCCAUUCCUACAACGUCCACCAACUGAUCUGCUUCUUCUGGGUUCGGCGGCUGGUGUUCUUCCAGUGGUGGAGGCGGUGGAACAUUGACUAUGUUCUGAGCAGGUACCUGGGCCUGCAUUUCCUCCAAAGCCAGACGAAGAGAUAAGAUUUCGUCCAGCUGCUGGAAUCUUUCUGCCUCGAGCCUAUUAACAUUGGAUUCAGCUUGUUCUCUUGCCCUGUCUGCCAUACUCCUACUGGCAUCCAUGAAUCCCUGCAUUACCCUGAGCUUCUCUUCAUAUUCAUCUAUUCUUCUGGACUGCUCUCUCAUGAUUUUCUCCAUGUCGUGUUCCCUUGCUAAUGCCGCCUUCUUGUACAACUCCUUAUCGUGUCUGGCACCCAUUAAUUCCAUUUUGGCAUCCUCAUUUUUCUUUCUCUGAUUAUAGUAUUCCCUAAUGCAAGACUGGUGCAGGUUGUACAUGGCCGUCAUAUAGUCGGAGGCAGCAGCAACCAAAAUAUCAUGCUCUACACGAGAAGAGUUCUUUAGGGCUUUAAUCCUUCUCUUCCAGAUUCCAUCAUCUUGAUGUUUUAUAGGAUAGAAUCGAGCAAAGCUCGACCCUAUUUCUACCUUGUGCUUCUCACACAGGUCUGUGAGAGCAGUCAUAGCCGCCCUUUCAAUUGUGUCGUUGAACUCGAAGCCUGACUCCAUCACUUCUUCUAGAUGCCAAUUGGGGUUGGUGUCUUCAUGUAGGAUACGCACAUAAACAGUACAGUACUGCUUGUGACACGUGUCCUCCUUCCUCCAAUAGUACUCUGGAGGGUUGUGGAAGCCUAACUCCUGCAGCGUUUUCCACAGCAGCUGCGCAAACCCUGGCUUGUCCAGGUAAUGCCCUCGGGUCCAUCCGUCCUGGUCGGUGUAGCCUUCUUGGAACAUCCUAUAAAAGAAACGAGGUCAGGUCUAACGGCACUCACCAAACCCAAAAGUUUUUAAAACAUGCUUAUGCAACAUGAUGCAACGACUCCUACGUACUCACAGACUCAUAUACACACUCGUAGAGAAAUUUGUGGCAUCGUAAUCUCUCCCUAAUAAUAUACUACCGAAUACUAGCGACACGCAGCAAUCAGUUAGCAACUGCAAAACAAACAACCAGUUAACACUACUGCCACCUGUGACUCACGUUUUCUUUGUUUAAAAUAGAGUCUCAAUGUUCAAAUGGUAAUAUCUGUUGAUUAUACCAACCUACGGCUCUGAUACAAGCUGUGGCAGAACCGUCCAACUUAAACUGGUUUAAAUGCGCCUAAUCGCUGCUGACGCAACAAUUAUCCGAAACGCACUUAAAACAGUAUAAGUCCGAUCGUCCGUCGAAUGUCCCUAGGACUCCUCGAAGAUCCACGUCGUGUCUCAUAGCCAUACAUCAGGAUUGUAUCCGCGAUAGGAUAGCAUCAACAAAUAUUACAUUUUUACAUACAUACACGAGGUACGAGUUAAUACAAGACAUAGUUUGAAGCAAACUUAACAGUGCAGUGUUAGAUAGAGUUUCAUAGCCAUACAUCAGGAUUGUAUCCGCGAUGGGAUAGCAUCAACAAAUAUUACAUUUUUACAUACAUACACGAGGUACGAGUUAAUACAAGACAUAGUUUGAAGCAAACUUAAUAGUGCAGUGUUAGACAGAGUUCUAGGAUUUAAAACAUAAACGGUUUGGGUUGAGAUGAGCAUUAUAAGCCUUCUUCUAAGGGUAUUGUGAGAUUCAUAACAAUACCCUAGGGUUUCGGGGCUUCUUCCUCGGUGGACUCCUGCGGUGUUUCUAAAAAUAGACACAAGGGAUAACCCUGAGUACGAGGUACUCAGCAAGGCUUACCCGACUAACCAAUAUAAUAGUUUUUCUUGGAAGUAUAUGAUAGCUUUUUCGGUGUGCUAGGCUGAGACAUUUUUGCCAAAAAGCUUACUAAAAAAAAGAGACCUUAGCUUUAUCUUUUAUUCGGAUUAAGUCAUUACCUAACCAUUUUAGGUGAUGAUAAAAGAUUAUUUGUAAACAAUAAGGUAUUAAGUCAUACACCAAACAUUAUUAGAAAGAUAUGGCAUUCAUGAAUUUAUGCUACGAUGCUCAACAGUGAUCAAGUACAUUCAAAACCGAGAAUUGCGGCGAUCCGGAUCAAAUAACAUCCUGCAGGAGACUACCCUGAUCACCAGCUAUAUACGACUGUCCAGGUCGUACAUAACGACUUUUCGAUUAGCAAAACCCAUGAUUGGGAAUAAGACUACCCGGACCCAGGGACGCACCCCCACAUGGGACCCCACGUCUGGCCCGAUCACCAUGUGAGUUUCAGGCUACGCCCCUGCCAAUCUCCAGCACGUCAAGCGCGGGUACGAAGUAUUCCCGAUCAGAGGGUUUACUAACCUACUGGGCUUUACUGGUCCCAUACCGAGUAAGUGAUCAGAUGUCUUUCACUUGAUUAAAGGUUAAGACAACGAAUCGGGCCUUAACCAGAUUAAUCUAGUAGACAGAACUACAUCCUUAGCUUCUGUUCGCUUCUUAAUUUCCAAGUCAUCUUUCCAUAAUUAACAUGCAAGACUCAAAAUUUACCUUAAGGUUUGGUAAAGCAAGUAUUUAAGCAACUAAGCCAUUCUAGAAUUGGGUUAUCUACUAAAGGUUUGAACAAGUGGCAAAGAUGUCCUUAAAACAAGGUAUGAUCAUGCACAAGAAUGGGUUUCAAGCAACUCCUAGACUUAGUGCAUAUAUUUAGCAAAUAACUGAUAAUGGAAUAUUGACUCCAAAUAAUAGGUAUAAUGCACCGGGGCUUGCCUUGUUCGCCAAAAAAGUUAGCACUGUCCGAAGGGUUGGCCUCGUAGGGGACCAAUUCAAAUACUUCCUCAAAUUCCGGAGAUCCUUCUGAAUAUUCCGAGAAAUCUCCUUCUGGUGCUUAGGUGUCUAUAACACAACAUAUGCAGGGGUUAGGAAUGCAAAUUUUUGAAUACAAGACUAUACAACUUUCCUUCAUGAUAGAGUUGCAAGCCAACAAGGACUAUACAAUUUGUCAUGAUAAAGUUGCUAACCAACACACGAAAACCCGAAAAAAUUAACCCAACAAUUUUAUUUCCUUAACUAACCUUACUUAGGGCUUUUUCUUUUAUUUAGAACAUGUUAUAAUUAUUUUCUAGCUUUAAAACCUAAUUUCCUAUGAGUUAAUACUAAUUUGUGAUUAUGAAAAUGUUAUUCCAUAUUUUAUGCAUUUAAUAAAGAUUAAGUAUUUAUUUAAAUACCUUUAAAAUAAAGGCAUUAAAUAAAUACCUAAAUUUUUAUUAUUUUCCUAGGGUAUAAAAAUUUUAAUGCAUAAAGGAAAAUAAAACAAGCCUAACAAAAUUGGUUUCACUAAUUUUGGACACUCCUAGAAAUUUCUGUAAUUUAAAUGGUGAGAUUCGGAUUUAAACUAAUUAUUCUAUAAAGGAAAUCUAAUUUUUCGCAAAAAACACCCCCGGAAACUUUUCUCACGCGACCCUAUUCUACCCCCUCUCUCUUACACUAGGCCCGCGACUCGGACCUACCCCUUCUCCUAUUCAUCCUACCCGCCGGCCUACCCCGUCCUCUAACGGGCUCUCUAGGCCGAUUCUUCUUUUCCUUUUCUCUUCUCGGACCGGCACCGGCCCAACGGCCCACUCCUUCUUUUCUUUUUCUCCCGCAAAACCUGGCCUGCUGAAAGCCUGGGCCUCCGGCCUUUCUCUUAACGGACGACCGCACCGGCUCCUUGGGCCUCCGGAACGCUGGCCCAACUGACACCCGCGCCCGACCGGCCUGCCUCCUUUUCUCCCCCGCCUCCUCUGACUUGCGGGCCCGCGGCUCCAGUACCUUCUUCCUCCUCCCACCAAAAACCGGCACGACAGGGGGUGGCACAGCUUGCCGGUCGGCACCCUACCGGCAACGGGGCUAAGCCGGGGAAGCAUCCCGAUGCCCUAGUGCACCCGUGCGCGGUGAUAGCUUCCCGGGAGAUGGCCGGAGUUACUUCCUCCACGGCGGCGAGCGGCGACGCCUACGGCCGGUUGUGGCUAGGCAAAACGAUGGUGCAACCUACCCCGACAACCACUGCUAUAGCUUCCUAGCACCCUAAGGACUCGCCUACGACUACCCAAGAAGAAAGAGAACAAGAGCAAGGAGGUGCUCACUGUGAGCAGGAGGUGCGGCGACGGCGGAUGGAAACGACGGCGGUGCAGGGUAUUCCGGCAAGGAUGUUGGACAACAACUCGACUGGGGUGUAGCUGGGGUAUCUGUGGAGGAGUGGGAGAGAGGAAUCGACGGGAGGUGAGGCGUGGUAGAGGAAUUUGGCUGGCGGCGAAGGCUUGGACAGAAGGGCGGCGGCGGUAAAAAGAACAGGCAGUAGAAACGGUCGUCGGGAGCGGUAGUUAUUCAAGGCUUUCACCGCGCGCAUGGGUGACACCGUUGUCUACUCGUAGGCUUGCGUGGUGAGGAGGUGGCGUAGCUGCCACGCUGGCGGGUGACCGAGAACGCCGGCGGCGACACGUCGAGCUCGGCUCUGUCAUCCUCCCCCUCUUUAUUUCUGACGCUCGAAAUCUUCAGAGCUCAAUCACGGUCGAAAGUGCAUCCGACGGCCCACAAGUGUCUUAACCAAAGUUGUAGACUAGUUUGAGCUCUACAAUUCAUAUUUAACUCUUGCCCGAGAUUUUCAUUCAUUUGUUGGCAAUUUCAAAAUGUUUGGCCUCAGGUGACUGAAUUCCAUUGAAUUCCGAUUCAGUUCAUCAGUCACUUGGUCAUGGUCAUUUACCCUUCUUUGUAAAUCAUUUCAGUGAUCCAAAUCCUUUCCUUUCAGUCCAACUUCUUCCCAUUUUUGUUCUACAACAUUCAAAGGUUCCAUUUUGCCCAUAAACACUUACACUUUUUGGUCUACAUUUUUCUGAAAUUAGCUCCAAAUUCAGCCACAUAGUGCUGUUUUCAGACUUAGUCAAUUUCAGCAAUGCAGUCUACCGUGACAAUGUGCUGACUUUGAGCUCAAAUUUGAAUUUGUUCCCCUUACUGUUCCUGAUCAACAACACCCAAAUCUAUAUGUACAAAGUCCAUAAUUCAUCACUAUGUAGUUUUCUUGGUCCACUUAUUUGGAAAAUUGGUCGAAAAUUAAUUUCCAAAAUGGACUCUGCUGCUGUUUUUCUGAACUCCUUAUUGUCGGAUGGUGAACAGUAUUUGGGUUUUUAAUUUCUUUCUUUGAGUUUUCUUGAGGUAUUUGGGACCAGGUCUUGUCCCAAAUCUUUAUCUUCAAGUUCUAAUCACCCUUACACCUCCAUUCCAUAUUUUUGCCAAAUUUUUCUGAAUUUGGAAUUCAAAAUUCAAAUUUCGGUCAAAUUUGACCCGAAUUUGAUUUUUAGCCAAUUUCUUCUCCUCUUCUUCAUGAACUGCUUCUUUUUCUUCAGAGCUACUUUGAUGACUAAAAAUGGCAGGUAUUACAGAUACACCGUUGGCCAGGGAGUUGAUUACGGCAUUGUAUACCGUGUUGGCCAUCACUGGGGAUUGAUCGAUGAAAGCCUGGUAGACGGAUUGCCGAACCAUAUCGGACAUCUUGCCCGAGUCUUCAGCAAUGGUGAUCUGGCGGGGAGCUGGGAAAGGAGCUUUCUUGACGGUCUCCCCGCUCCUAGUACGACUAAAAAAUUGCAGGCAUGUUUUCCGGUAUUGUUCUAUCUGCUUUUCCAACUCUUCUUUCUGGUCGUCCUUGAGAUCUGCUUCCGUCACUUCGAUGAUGUUGUCUUCGGAGAUUUCGGCAACUUUCGACAAGUUAGAGGUUGUAUUGGUCCCACCGAGCAUGCCAAAAGUGUGUUGGCACUAAAAGUCAGCCGAUUGACCCUCAGCGUCGGACACACGACCCGGGAGAAUCUGCUUAGCUUCUGUUCGGGUGAUUGCCCUGGUGCGGUUCGCACGGCAUGCCAGCCAAUCUGACCUAUUGAUUGGCAAGGAAGAACAACGUGUCAAAUUCCAGGGGUUACGAUCGACUAAAGGUUCUGAUCUCAAAAAGCGUAUCAGCGAAUCGGCUGAUUUGCUAUAUGAAGAUACUCGGCUAUAAUACAGCCGACAAUCACGUAACGAUUGCGAAGGAAACUACUAGAGUAAACUGAACUAGGCUACGAAAGCAACACUUGAAAUGGAUCUAAUCGGCUAUAUGAUGAAUGAAAAUAACAAUAACAAAGCUAACAGCUCAAGUCCCAAGCUGGAUAACUGGUGAUAAAACUAGAACAACAGAUAAAACCUAUAAUUCUAGUAAAUAUCGAUAACUUGUGAACAAAUCUAAAUGAAACAACAGCGAUGCGCCCGAAGUUAAAGCUUAAAUAUUACUCGAUAAAUGAAACUUACAGAAUCGGCCGGAGAUCAUGUUGAUGCAGCCCUGCCAACCCAUACGAACUCGUUAAAGAAGAAAAGUAUUGGCGAAGUCGCCGACUUGAAAGUAAAGUGUGAUGAAAAAGUAGAUUUGUUUGUAUUGAUUGAUGUGUUCUUUACAAAUCUCUAAAGGCGGCUAUUUAUAUCCUGUUACAACCAAUUUCCUAACCGACUAGGAUCUAUCUCUAAUCUUAAACAAAAAUGAAUAUUUACAAACACAACUCGUAUCGGAGUUGGUUAUUAUACUCCCGCGGGCCAAUCUUUCUCUAUCUUCUUUUCCUAAUCCACUUUAAGCCCAAUUGGCCCAAUCGCUCCAGCCUUCCAGUCGGCCGAUCUCCACCAACUCCAUCCGCCAAAAUAGUGUAGCGCCAAUCGGCCGAUUCCCAAUCGUGACCUCUUAAUCUGCAGCGUCGGCCAGCCCUCUCCUUCCUUGAUGUUGAUGCCAUACGUGUCACAAUCCGGCGUCAACACAUUUUUAUUGUUUCACCCCAUCUAUAAUUUCAUAUUCAUUAUCACUAUGUACUAAUUAACAAAUCUUGAACUGUUAGCCCUCUGGAUCGAUGAAGCGAAAUAAACUACGAGGUCGUACAAAGAUAAUGGAGGGAAAGCUUCACAUCACAGAAGUGAUAGAUGAGGGCAAGCCAAUUGCUCCCAAACAUGUGGCUAGAAAGUUCAUGAGUUAGAUGAGGGCUAUUGUAAGGGACAAUGUGCCCAUCAGCAUUAGAGAAUGGAAGGGUAAACAAGAUGAGCCAUACAUGCUCCCGCAGGCUCAAAAGGAUAUCUUGUGGGCAGAUGUCAAGAAACACUUCACACUUCCUGAAGGUGUCGAAGAAAAAUAUGUGAAAGAGUGGACAUUGAAGAAGAUGGCAACCCAAUUCCAGACCUUCAAGAAGAAUCUGGAUGCCAACUUUAUCAAGGAGGGCUGAACUCCAGAUUUUGAUUAGUGGCCAAAGUUAAGGGACCACUGGAACUCAUUUGUCCAAUACAAGAUGAGCGAAGGUAGUGCGAAUAAGGUUGGCAUCAAUGUUGCCAAUGCUAGCAAGGAGUACCAUCAUCGUCUAGGGCAAGGUAGUUACAUGAGUGCAAUUCCCAAAUGGAAAAAGAUGGAACAAGACAUGUUCGAUCGAGGUAUCAUACCAGCAACUAUUGAUUGGCCCGAUCGAUCAAAAAAUUAGUAAUACGCUCAUGGAGGCAACUUGAGCCAAGAGGAUAGGACACAUAUGUUCAAUGAAACAAUAUGUGAGAAGGCCGAAAGGCUUAUCAAAAAUAUUGAAGAUGCUAAAGCUAGGAAGUUGAAGGUUGAUAGAGAGAACGAUGAGCUCACUUUGGCACUCGAGAAUCCCGAACACCCAAGAUAUUGCCGAGGCUAUAGGGUCAUUCUGUGGAAGUUUGCUUUUCGUAGGAACAUCGACUCAUACAGAAGCCGCAAGCGAAGAAAGGAACAGCAAGAGGAGAGCAAGCGGUGCAUGUUAGAGGCCAAAGUGCAUUCACAAGAAGUAAGAAUGCAGGAAGAAAUUAAUCGUCGAGUGGCCCUAGCAGUUAUUGAGAUGGCCCAAUCUGGAGCACUACCGGAUCCCAACGUCGUCAGCCCUUCUCAACACCGAAGCAGCUAUGCUUCCACAGGGGUCCCCGAUGAGCACAUGUCAAGAUUACCCGUGGACAACCAACGGUUCCCUAUGGAUGACAUCACUCAUCGCACCUCAUGUGAGUUGCAUAGACCAUUCGGCAACAUCACUAUUAAGGUAUACAUAUAUAUAAUUUAUACAAUCUUCUCAAUUGAUCCAUGCCUCAGGAGUUUAAUAACUUCUUUAUUUCUCCUAUAUGUACAGGUGGCGUACGGGAGUGCUUUACCAAUCCUGCCAGGGCAAACAAGCCAUGGCAUGGAGAUUCCACUUGGCUACUCCAGCGUUGGCCUAGAGCAUAUUGUUGAUAGUCAAUAUGAAGGCCUAGAGCUCAACCUCCCAACAGGUUAUGGGGAAAGGACACUAGGAUAUGCACUUAACGGGAUCAUUCUAUGGCGCAAACGCUACAUGAUCAUCCCCGGUAAGGAGGCAUCAUUACUCCUCGUAGAUCCCCCGUAGCGACCAUCUCCUCAAAACUCAAGACCGUCAUCUCCAGUACAUCCACCUCUAGGAUCAUCAUCACCACUGGGACUGUCACAUCCUGCUCGAUCACCGUCUCCAUCUCCAUCAAAUCGUGGUGGUGCGAGCGACGACGACCACAACACCCCUCCCCGAUCACCGUCGCCGGGCCUAAGACCCGCAGUGAGCAAGGAACCUGCAGCACCUCUGAAGAAGCCAUGACCACCACCUUCCAAGCCAAGGCAGCCAAAGAAAAUAAAGAAGUCUGAACCCAUUCAGAAGGUACUGGCCGAUAUGACUACGGAGGAAUUGCGGGAGCUAUCGCAUGCAACAGUGAAGGAGUUCUUCAAAAAAUGUGCUGAACAAAGAAAAGCAAAGCAGAUGGAGCCAAAGCUAGUAGAUUGAAGCGUCCUCACAUAAGUAGAGACUAAAUGUGAUACAAAUAUCAGUCCCAGGAGGCUGAUAACACAUUUAUUCGAUAGGUAAUUCAAUUACCGUACAACUCCCGAGGGAGUGGGCGUGAGAGCCACGCAGCGAUAAGAAGUAAAUAAACAAUAGCGGCUAACCAAGCAACUGUCAAAAGACAGCACUCAGGACUACACGGCAGCAGCAGCAUCUUGGAAAGGGCCAACACCACAGGCAGCGUUGGGUGCGGACACAACCUCUACUCAAGGUCGUCGGCGAUGAAGUUCGUGUCUUCCUCUGUAGCAACGAAGCAAGGGUGAGUACGAACGUACUCAGCAAGUCCAACCCCAUCCACGGAGGGGGAUACAAACAAGUAUAUGCAUAGGAUACAACAAGGAUAGGCUAGAGUUUAUUUGCAAUAAAGCUAAAUUUUUCAACACGUGCAUAGGCUCGUUUGCAAACAAAUUUUUGUAAAGCUUUUCUUUAGUAACCAAACAAAAAGUAGGGUUGAUCCUACACAAAGGAUCCAAGUUUUUAUCGCUAUCAGACUCCCCGUCUGCCAUAGCGCACGGCACAACUGCCAGACUCUUCCAAAAUGCAACCCACACACACAAACACACACCAUUCAUGCCCAAGUGCUAGUUAUGUGACCAAGCUGUAACUCGUCCAAUGCUGUGGACACGGCUACCCGGAUAGGUUUUAACUCUGCAGAGGUUGUACACUUUUCCCACAAGCAGGGUACCGCAGCACGAUCACUUUAGUGCUGGUGCGGAUCCUAACAAAGCCAUUACCCACCUUAGCUAAGACUGGCUAGCCCUCACGGAAGCACCCAAGGGGUUCACGGCUCAUCCACGAGACCGUAACCAGGACCUAAGUCACCAAGAUCUUAUUCCUUUUCCAUGGGCUCCCACUGCUCACCAGCACCCCUGAAGACUAACAGUUCAGCUAGUGGGAUUUAUGCUAAGCCGUUGCCCAUACAACGGUCGAGUGGUUGCACGAUGGUUGAAUUAGGCAAGAUGACACAUCAACUCGGUCCUUAACCAUGACAAGAUGGAUAUCUCACGACAUUGCUCAACCACCAAGGUACGAGCACAACACCCUGGCAUCCCACACAAGGAAUACCCAUCCAUCCUAUCUACACAUCCUUUCCCUUGAACCCAGAAAGUCAUUUUCCCUUAUUUGCACACACACACACAUGUUUAUUUUUCGAAAACAUAAUUGUAGUGAUGAUUGUAUUUGAGUAGUAAUUUCCUAAGCAUUCUAGCGAUGGCUAUCGACCAAAUAGAGCGAAUCAUAUUUAGAGACAACCAUAGGAUAACAAGGAAUGUUCAUAACAAUCAAGGGGUGGCUAUCCAACCAUGUCUUGCAAUAAAACAAUAUGCAUUUUAUAAAACAGGCCAAUAGGUUGUGUUUGAAAAACUGGGUAUUAAGUAUGCAUCAAAGGGUGAGAUUGGACUUGCCGUCUUCAAAGUCUUCCGGGAGUUCCGGCUCAUGUUGCUGAUCCUCGGGCUUGGGCUCACGGUCAAACUCCUCCUCGGGAUCCUCCUUGGGCAAUCCGCGAUCUACGGCACACACAAACGGACACACAAAUAAAUAAAAGAAAUAGCGGUUUUUAACUGUGAGCUCCGAACAGAAAAUGUGAACGGAAAAUAGGUAGAAAGAUUACUUUUCAGAAAUUUGGAUAUAGAUCGGCGGAAGUAUUUUGGAGGAUGAUGUGGUAAAAUUUGGGAUUAAUUGGAGGAAGUUUGGCGCAUGAAAUGACGGGUUAAACAUGAAUUAGGGGCUUAAACGGAGGUUUAGGACUGAGUUAUAAUAAACCAAGGACUUAUUUGCGAAUACUUUUGGAGGUGGAGGGGUCGAUCUGCGAAAUAGCCUUUGAAAGAGUUGGAAGGACCUAUGUGUAAAUUGGGGAAACUUGGGGGUCGGAUCGAGAUUGGAGGACUUUAGCUUUUCUUCUUCCAGGAAGGGAGAGAGAGUGGGGAGUUGGGGAUCCGGCGGCGGCCGGCCGGCGGGGCUUCGCCGGCGGCGAGCCAUGGGCCGGGGGCGGCGGAGGGAGGGGGAUCCAUUUGGCCCCUUACCUUGGAGUUUCGGAGAGGGAAAAAGGGGGGCGGCCGGCGGUGGUCCGGUGGAGGCAGCGUUUGGGCGGAGGAGUUUGGGUGGUGGCGGCGCUAUUUGCGGCGGCGGGGCUCGGCGCGGGCACCCGGGUGGCGGUGGCGGGGGUUGGGUGUGGAGGAGGUGGCCGAGGCGCCCCUCCUUUUAUAGGCCGACAGUGGCGUACUAACCGGCGGGAAGGGUGGGGGUCCGGGUCCGGCGGCGUACGGCGGAGGUAGGGGUCAGACAGGUCGGGCCGGCGGCGUGGGCGCUGGGUGGAGUCGUUGCGGCGGUCGGCAUGGCAAGGGGCGGGUCCGGCGGCGUGUGGGAGGUGGGGGUCCGGUGGUGGCGCGCCGGGCAAAGUGGCCGAUGGGCCAAACCGGCCGGGGAGCCGGCGCGGGGCGGCGGCACGUGGCCCGAGUGCGGGCCUAAGGUGGCCGGGCGGCGUGGCGCCAGGGGGCGUGGGCACCGGCGGGAGUAAUGGCACCGGGCCGAAUGGAGCAGUGGCGCCAGUGGAAGUGGUGCCGGGUGCCAGGGAGAAGAAAGGAGGAGAGAGAAGAAGGAAGGAAGAAGAAAGAAGGAGGAAGAAAGGAAAGAGGAAAAAGAAAAGAAAACGGGGAGGGAAAAAGAGAAAGAAAAAGAGAGGGACCGGCGGCGUUCGCGGCACGCGGUUAGAGCACGCGCGCGGCGUCUGGUGACGGCACGCGGCGGAAAAUAUGGGCACGGAUAAAGAGAUAGGGGUCGGCUUGGGUGCCGGGACGGCGAAAUCGCCGGGAAGGUUUUGGAAUUCCGGGAGCUCAGCGGUAAAAAGAUUUUAAAGACGAUUUUUAACGGGUGAUUUUAGUUGGUGAUUUUCGCGGAUGUUACAAACCUACCCCACUUAAAUUGAAUCUCGUCCUCGAGAUUCGGCUGAGUCCUGAAGAGGUGGGGAAAUUCCUUCUUUAAUGUGUCCUCAUGUUCCCACGUGGCCUCUUCUUCGCCAUGUCUACUCCAUUGCACUCUGCAGAUCCGGACUGCUGUAUUUCUUGUCCUUCUUGUGACGGUGUCCAAAAUCUUGACGGGCACUUCUUGAUACUGAAGGUCCUUUUGUAGGUCUAUUGUCUCCACCGGUACUUGUUCCUCCGGUACUCUCAACCAUUUCCUCAGCUGAGAGACAUGAAAUACCGGGUGUAUAUCCGACAUUUCUUCGGGCAGUUGGAUACGGUAUGCUACGGCUCCAACUCUCUUUAACACCUGGUAUGGUCCAAUAUACCGAGGGGCUAGUUUUCCUUGCACUUGAAACCUUCGAGUACCCCAAAUCGGAGAGACCUUGAGGUAGACAAAAUCUCCCUCAUUGAAGCACAAUUCCCGUCUUCUUUUGUCCGAGUAGCUCUUCUGUCUGGACUGUGCAGGCUUCAGCUUCUCUCGGAUUUCUGCCACAUGGUCUUCUGCUUCCUUGAUGAAAGCUGGUCCGACCAGGGAGCGUUCUCCCACUUCUGACCACAUCAAAGGGGUCCAACACUUUCUACCAUAAAGGGCCUCAAAUGGUGACAUGCCUAGGCUGGCUUGAUAACUAUUGUUGUAUGAGAACUCUGCAUAGGGUAAACUUUGUUCCCAAUCCUUGCCACAGGUGAGGACACAUGCUCUCAACAUAUCCUCCAUGAUUUGAUUUACCCGCUCUGUUUGGCCAUCGGUCUGGGGGUGAUAGGCUGAACUAAAGUCCAAUUUAGUGCCCAUGGCUUUAUGCAAACCUGUCCAAAACCUGGAGGUGAAUUGGGUCCCUCUAUCCGAGACGAUCCUGCUGGGCACACCAUGCAGCUUUACUAUGUUAUCGACGUAGAGUCGGGCUAGCCUUUCUCCACCAUAAGUGGUCCGUACGGGUAAAUAGUGAGCAACUUUAGUGAGUCGGUCCACUAUUACCCAUAUGGAGUCAUUUCCCUUCUGAGUUCUAGGCAAGCCUACUACAAAAUCCAUGCCAAUCUCAUCCCACUUCCAAACCGGGAUAGGCAAGGGUUGCAGCAAGCCGGCUAGCUUCUGGUGCUCGGCCUUGACCCUUUGGCAAGUAUCACAACGGGCGAAAAACUGAGCUAUGUCCUCCUUCAUUCCAUUCCACCAGUACUUCUGUUUCAAGUCCAUAUACAUUUUGGUGGACCCGGGGUGAAUGGAGUAUGCCUAGUUAUGGGCUUCGUCCAUGAUGGUCUGCUUGAACUCUUCGUCCUUGGGGACACAAAUUCUAUCCUUGUACCACAGGGUUCCUUUGUCGUCCACCCUGAAAUCUGGGGCUUUAUUUACUCCGGUUUGCUUGCGGAUUUUUACUAAGUCCUGAUCUGAACUCUGGGCUUCUCAGAUUUUAUCCUCCAAGGUGGGCUGGACACUUAGCUUGCAGCUAGUAUUCUGGGGAACUAUGUGUACAUUUAGCCGAGUUAUCUCCUCUUGUAGGCGGGUGUUCUCGGGUCUGGGCUGUCCAUAGGACUUUCGGCUUAAGGCGUCAGCCACAACAUUAGCCUUACCGGGGUGAUAGUGGAUUUCUAGGUUGUAGUCCUUUACCAGUUCUAACCACCUCCUUUGCCUUAAAUUCAGAUUGGGCUGGGUGAAAAUGUACUUUAGGCUCUUAUGGUCGGUGUAGAUUUCACACUUAUUCCCAAUCAGAUAAUGUCUCCAGAUCUUGAGGGCACGCACUACGGCUGCAAACUCUAAGUCAUGGGUUGGGUAGUUCUGUUCAUGGGGCUUAAGUUGUCGGGAAGCGUAUGCCACAACCUUCCCAUCCUGCAUGAGGACACACCCUAAUCCUUGUCGGGAUGCAUCACAGUAGAUGACGAAGUCUCGCUGGAUAUCAGGUAAGGUUAAUACUGGGGUUGUCGUCAACCUCUUCUUCAGCUCUUGGAAGCUCCGCUCACAUGACUCAGUCCAGGUGAACUUCUUAUCAUUCCUGAGCAGCUCUGUCAUGGGCCGGGCUAUCUUGGAGAAUCCCUCAAUAAAUCUCCGGUAGUACCCAGCUAAACCCAGAAAACUCCUGAUCUCACUAACAUUGGAGGGUUGCUGCCAGUUGGAGAUGGCUUCAAUUUUCUCAGGAUCAACUGCAACUCCUUCUGCGGUCAGGAUAUGACCAAGGAAUGCCACUUUCUCGAGCCAAAAUUCACACUUGCUGAAUUUAGCAUAGAGUCGGUGGGCUCUCAAUUUCUCUAACACCACCCGUAUGUGUUGUUCAUGCUCCUGAACACUCUUGGAGUAAAUAAGUAUGUCGUCAAUAAAGACUACGACAAACUUAUCUAACUCAUCCAUAAACACCUUGUUCAUGAGAUUCAUGAAAUAAGCAGGUGCAUUGGUCAAUCCAAAAGACAUCACGGUAAACUCAAAUUGACCAUAACGGGUGACAAAAGCCGUCUUUGGGAUGUCGCUCUCCUUGAUCUUGAGCUGAUGAUACCCUGACCUUAGAUCUAUCUUAGAGAAAUACUUGGCUCCUUUCAGCUGGUCGAAUAGGUCAUCUAUUAUGGGGAGGGGGUAUUUGUUCUUAAUGGUGACCUCAUUCAGUGCGCGAUAAUCUACGCACAUCCUCAUACUCCCAUCUUUCUUCUUGACAAAAAGUACGGGGGCUCCCCAUGGGGAUGAGCUAGGCCUGAUAAAGCCACUCUGCUGCAAUUCCCCCAACUGCUUCUUCAGGUCGGCUAACUCUGAGGCUGCCAUCCUAUUGGGUCUCUUGGCUAUAGGGGAGGUUCCGGGGACGAGGUCAAUUACGAACUCUAUGUCCCUGUUAGGGGGCAUUCCAGGUAGUUCCUCAGGAAAGACAUCCGGGUAUUCACUCACUACUGGGACCUCUUCUAUGGUCUUGGUCUCCAUGCUAAACACCAUGGGGUCUGGACCACUUCCUCGGGUGUGACAGGUCACUUGCACACCAUCCCUAUUGGUCAGGCGUACUACCUUAUCAGCACACCCUAUAUGACCGUCAUGCAGGCUCAACCAGUCCAUACCAAGAAUCACAUCUAUCCCCUUAGACUUAAGUACUACUAGAUCUGCUAUAAAUUCUACCCCACUUAAAUUAAUCCUUACCCAGGAACAACCUAGUCGACACUGGAUGUCGGCCCCAGGAGUCCGGGUUAAUAGGGGUAACUUUAGUAAUACUGUGGGUAUAUGGUGUUCUUCCACAAAACUUGAGGAUAUGAAGGAAUGUGAUGCUCCAGAGUCAAAAAGUAUUGUUGCCAAGACUGAGCUGACUAAAAACUCACCGAGUACCACGCCCUGAGCUUCGCGAGCCUCUUGCGCGCUGAUGUGGUUGACAUGGGCUCGUCCAAAUGAUUGCUGGGGCGGCCUCAUCUACUAACUGUUGUUGUUGCUGGGCUUGUUGUUGCUGCGGCCCUGGAGAAGGCUGCUGGCUUGUUGGCAUAGAGGCAGUUGGCGAUGAAAUGACCUGGCUCUCUGCAGUUGAAGCAUGCCCUGCCGUUGCUGGUGAUUUGGCUGGCGCUGCUCUGUGGGGUCUUGGCAGGGUUCUGGCUCCUGAACAGGGCAGCGGUCUGGUGCGAACCGGGUGUUUGGGACUGGGUCCGGUAAUGCAUGGGAGCUUGGGACCUAGGUAAGGGGUGACCGAAGCUCCUUUGCUUCUGGAAUCGGUCCUACUGGUGAGUCUUGCUCUCCAGGAACCGGCACUUGUUGUCCCUCCGUUCUUCUGCCUUGGCCCUCUCGGUCAAGAUGGCCAUGUUCAUCAAGGUGUUGAAGUCGGGGUAGAUCUGGGGAGUGAGUAGGGUCCUCAGUUCUGCGUUCAAGCCUUUCUUGAACAUGUCCUGCUUCUUCUCAUCCUUAUCCACCUCCUCUAGAGCAUAACAGGCCAGCUCCAUGAACUAGAAGGUGUACUCCUCCACAGAUCUGUUUCCUUGGCGGAGCUCGUGGAACUCAUCCGCCUUGCGCUUCAUGGUGGCUGUGGGGAUAUGGUAGCGACGGAAUUCCAUCAUGAACUCAUCCCAGGUGAUCGUGGAGGCAUCCUGGGCGGCAGAGCAGUAGUUCUCCCACCAGGCUAGGGCAGUUCCAAUGAGCUGGUGGGCCGCCAAGAGAACUUUGUCCCUGCCCUCGCAACCAAAUGGCUCCAGCUUCCUCUGGAUGAUGCACAACCAGUCAUCUGCGUCCAGCGGGUUGACGGACCCACCAAAAGUGGGUGGCUUGGUCCAGAGGAAGUCCGUCAACUUCUCAUUCAUGUUCUGCCCGCAGGGCCUCUGGUGGGUAACGGCGUUGGCCAGAGCUUCCAGCAGAAGGGUCUGGUUGUUCAUUACUUGAACCAGAUCAAUAACUGGUGGGGGUGGUGGCUGCUGUGUUCCCACUUGGCUUUCUCCCCUUCCUUCUGGCUGGCUUACUUCCUGUUCCUCAGGAAGCACUGCUGAAGGUGGUUCUUGCCUUUUUGGCUGCCUCUCAGCACUGGGGGUGGCAUGGGCCUGACUUGGGGAAGUCCUGGUGGUACACUUGGGCGGCAUCUGCAGAUUGAGUGAGACUUUAUGAGAGUGGGAUUUGGAUUUUAGUGAUCUUUAAAGUGGUUAUUUCGUAUUUUUGAAGAGACAGAAUCCACCUCCUGUCGACAAACACACAGACUAACAAGCAACAAACACAAGCGAUUUUAUUUAUUUUGCCACGAGGGGGGGUACAACACUGCUGGGGUAAGGCCAAAACACGUACUACACGACCGGUUACAACAACACAACUGGAGGGGGUACAACUCUAAACUAUGGACCAUGUCGGCUUCAUUCUCUGGACAUCUUUGGGCGGGGCAUACUACUCGCGGGGCGAGUCUUCUCCCUGGACUAAGUGGUCUUCUAACGGGAUGAGGAGGGCCAGCACCUCAUCCUUCAAAGUCCCGCCCGCUGGAGGGGUCUCGGGCGCCUCUCCAUCCGACACCUCAGAGUUCCUUUCCGAGGGCGGUGGCGCUGGGGUGGCAUCUGGGCUCUUCCGUUUACUGGACCCUGGGGCGAUGGGAAUUCCUUCAAGGAUCGGGGCCUCUUCAUCCUCGGUGGCCACCAUCCUCCUCCUGGCACGAAUGGUGAGGUGGGCAUCCUUCAGUUCCUUGGAGUGCUGAUCCUCAGCCUCCUUGAGAGCCUCCACGGCAAUGGCCUCGUUGCUUUGAGCGGCUGCGGCUCGGGCUUCGGCGGCGGCUAACUUCACCUGAAGCCUUCUCACCAUAACCUCUGCAUCCUCGGCCCUACGAGUCUACUGCUUCAACUUAGCAGCCUACUCGUCGUAGAGCUCGUCCAAGGUGAGAAGGUAGGCAGCCAUGUGGAGUACAGUGGGAUCGUCCUCGCGCUGUCCACGUCCUUCCAAGGUUCUCACCCGGGCCAGCCAUACCGGGCGGUUCUUCUUGAUAGGCGGGUAGAACCUCAUCGGAGUGCGGCCGAUGUGCCUCUCGUAGAUCUGGCAUAGGAAACGGAGGGCCUUCCGAGCUGCCACUUGAUAAGUAUCCUUGUGUCGGAAGCCGGUGGCAGUCACAUUCCAAGGCUGGAUGUCGGGGUAGCGGCUACUCCGCCCGAUGUAGAUAAUCAUCUCACAUCGAGGGGUUCCGCGGUCCUCGUAUUCCCUGCUGGUGUACUCCGGACGCUCGUAGAUUCCGAGGCGGUCCAUGCAAGCGAACAAUAAUCUAGGAAAACCGGGCUCCUCCAGGCAGUGGCUGUUGACCCAUCCUUCCUCGGCCAUCUGGAAAAGAUCCGGGCAUAAAUUAGUUUCGCAAUAGAGCAGAGGUAGGCAAAAAUUUUAUAAAUCUUUUAUUUUGGUCAAAAAGGGCUAAUCCAGUCCUAAGGUCGCGUCCUACAGCCAACGAUGGCUCUGAUACCACCUGAAGCGUCCCCAUGUAAGUAGAGACUAAAUGUGACACAAAUAUCAGUCCCAGGAGGCUGAUAACACAUUUAUUCAACAGGUAAUUAAGUUAGGGAGUGUUCGUUAAUCGAAUUGCCUCUGCAACUAAAGUCUCUUAACCCCACUGGUACUUUGAUUCCUACUAAAAUUAGUACUGACUGAANNNNNNNNNNNNNNNNNNNNNNNNNNNNNNNNNNNNNNNNNNNNNNNNNNNNNNNNNNNNNNNNNNNNNNNNNNNNNNNNNNNNNNNNNNNNNNNNNNNNUUCAGUGAGUCUUUACGGACUCAAGCUUGGGAGUGUUAUUCACACUCAGUACAUGUCAGCCACAUUAUAGGAUUAGAAAUACUACAGAGCUCCCACUAACAUUCUUGUAAACACAAGACUUUUUUUCGUUCUUGGUGAAGUCAAACCCUUGACCACUUCAUCAAAACAAAUGUUCCAAACUCCUAGAUGCGUGCUUCAAUCCAUAAAUGGAUUUAAGAAGCUUGCAUGCCUUUCCAGCAUUUUUCGGAUCGACAAAACCCUCGGGCUAUAUCAUAUACAGUAACUGAAUUACUUGUCAAAUAAAUGUGUUAUCAGCCUCCUGGGACUGAUAUUUGUGUCACAUUUAGUCUCUACUUAAGUGGGGACGCUUCGUAGAUCCAGGAAAAUUAAAAAAAUUUAUUGGCAUGUCAAAAGAAGUAAAGAGGAUUGUACUAUCGAACUACGAGUGUUCGUUAGUUAAGUCUGAUUAGAAGAAAAAAUGGCGAGGAGUGUCAUUUUUUAGUCGUACUGCCCCCAGCUCAGGGAUCUAGCAGAUAAAGAUGCUCAAACUAUAGCAGCAAUGCCCUUAGAACAACAAAUCAGAGUCAUUGGAUUUAUGCAAGAUACAUGUAUGUCGCUUGCUAAUGUUCUAGGGCAAUUUGAACCGCUAGCUCCAGAGCCAAUUGUAUCUUAAUGGUGCUUUGAGGUAGGCAAGCGUCUAGUAAGGCUGAAUUGGUAUGGAAGCUCUCCACGAAGAUAUACGAAUUCCAUGAAUGGUACAUGGAGCAAUCUGCCAACGAGAGGCUCAUGUUCGCUCUUCGGGUUAAACCGAUUGAUUUUUUCGAUGAAGGUGAGAAACUCCUAUGGAUGGAAUUCAAGGCCUUGACGUCUCUCUCAUGAGCACCUGGUUCUGUAAGUGUCUCUUUAUCAGUAUGUAAAUUUUUGCUCAGGUCAUUAUUUUUUAUGUGUGCGUCAUCCUACUAAAUUCGUCUUCCAUUGUAUGUAGAAUGCAAAUUCAGAGGUGCCACAGAGAAUCAUACUUUAAUGUUGGCUUCAUAGAUCCAUUGUUCGUUAACCAAAAUCAAAUACGGGAUCAGCCAAAGAAAACAUUGGAGGCAGUAUACAAUUUUUUGGAGAAACAAAAUUACAAAGAAUACAUACUACUACCAUACAACUUUAAGUAAAUGUGGGUACCAUCUAUUUUCAUUUUCUUAUUCCUUACCUAAUUAAUGGUAGUUAGAUCUAAUAUGAACAUUUAUGUACGCAGUUUUCAUUGGAUCCUCCUAAUAAUUAUGAUUGAUAAAAGCCAUGUCGUUGUGUUCGAUUCAUUGAGGAUUUCGAUUCAUUGAAGAAACCACCGGUGAAGUACCAAGACAUUCAAGAUAUGCUAAACUCUUGGAGAAGGGGAAUAUUUUGGCAAUAUGUGAAGGUCUCAUAGGAUUCCUGGUGGACGAGGUGAUAAAUCCCGCGGGAGAAUUUUAUUACGACGGACGUUCAAUAGCCGCACCGAGCAACACCACGACAGGACGAUGCUAGAAAUGAAGUGGACAAAUUAUUGUAUAUAUAGUAAUUAUACAAAUACUAGUUUGAUGUGUAUAAUAUACUAAUAAUUGUAUUUAUAUAUAUUACUACUAUGAAAUAUAUAUACAACUUGCAUACAAUAUUAAUAUGACUUGAAUACAAUAUUAAUAUGGAAAAGAAUUUUUUUAAAAAAAUCUGUUGGCGCUAAAAAUCAGCCGAUUGACUCUCAGCGUCGGACACACGACCUGGGAGAAUCUGCUUAGCUCCAGUUCGGGUGAUCGCCCUGGUGAGGUUGGCGUGGUGUGCCAGCCAAUCUGACCUGUUGAUUGGCAAGGAAGAAACAUGUCAAAUUCCAGGGGUUGCGAUCGGCUAAGGUUCCGAUCUCGAGGAAGCGUAUCAGCGAAUCGGCCGAUUUGCUAUAAAAAGAUAAUCGGCUAUAAUACAGCCGACAAACACGCAGCGAUUAUAAAGAAAACUACUAGAGUAAACUAGAUAACGCUACAGGAGCAACACUUGAAAUAGAUCUAAUCAGCUAUGUGAAGAUAAUGAAUGAAAAUAACGAUAAUCAAGCUGACAGCUCUAAUCUCAAGCUGGAUAACUGGUGAUAAAACUAAAACAACAGGUAAAACCUAGAAUUCUAGUAAAUAUCGAUAACUGGUGAAUAAAUCUAAACGAAACGACAGCAAUGCGCCCGAAAUUAAAGCUUAGAUAUUACUCGAUAAACGGAACUUACAGAAUCGGCCGGAUAUCGUGUCGAUGCAGCCCUGCCAACCCGUACGAACUCGUGAAAGAAGAAAAGUAUUGGUGAAGUCGCCGACUUGAAAGUAAAGUAUGAGGAAAUAGUAGAUUGUUGUAUUGAUUGAUGUGUUGUUUAGAGAUCUCUAAAGAUGGCUAUUUAUGGCCUAUUACAACCAAUUUCCUAACCGACUAGGAUCUAUCUCUAAUUUUAAACGAAAACGAAUAUUUACAAGUACAACUCGUAUCGGAGUUGGUUGUUGCACUCCUGCGGGCCAAUCCCCCUUCGUCUUGUCUUUCUGAUCCACUUUAAACCCAUAUUGGCCCAAUUGCUCCAGCCUUUCAAUUGGCCGAUCUCUACCAACUCUAUCCAUCAGAAUACUGUAGCGCCAAUCGGCCGAUCUCCAACUGUAGCACCAAUCGGCCGAUUCCCAAUCGUGACCUUUUAACUUGCCGUAUCAGCCAAUCCUUUCCUCCUUGACGCCGAUUCCAUACGUGUCAAAAUCUGGCAUCAACACAUGCCCCCCAGUUUCGGAGUAAAACAUAAUCUUUACUUCGAAAUUCCUUUUCAACUUCUCCUCCGAAACAAACGCAUUAAAAAUAUCCUUCCAUUUCGCGGUCUUCUGCCUGAUGAUUGCAAUCUUUUUGAAACGGGUGCCUGAGACAAGAACUCCCUCCUCAGGGUCUUCCUCCUCCUCCGGGGCGAUAUGCUCAUCCAGCUGCAUUUCCAAAGCAUGGAUAGCAUCGACCUCGGCAUGGUGCUCGGCCAAGUGUGCAUUAGCAACUGCGAGCUCCAUCUCAACCCCUAGCUUUUCCUCCGUGAGCAGCACCAUAUCAUGCUCCAUGUUCGUCACUUCUUCUUCGAGCUCGGAAAUCCUGGUCUGCAUAUUGGAGACCUGUAUGGCCCUUUGGAUAAGCUGAUAUGACUGUUCUACCAAGUCUCUCUUGGUGGUGUUGAAAUGCUCCUGGGUGUCUACAGCUAUCCGAGCCAAGACAGCCAUAGCCCGUCCUUGAAGCUCAAUCAGUCGGUACAAAGCUGACAUGCACCUUGUCGUGGUAGAAAUAGUGACCAGCGAGUGUGAGGCUGCCAACACCUCCAUGUUGUUGACGCGGUCAAGCCAAGCCAGGUCCAGCCGAUCCCUAGCAGGGAACAAACUCAUCGGGUCCAAAAGGACCUCAAACGGGUGUAGCCGGCAAAACUGAGUGAGAGCUUGCAAGGCAGCUGACUCCCAAGUGUCCUCAAGGGUAUGACCGUAGGUCGAGACCUCAAGCUGGGGCCACUCGGGCUGCACAGCGGAUGGAGGUACAACCACUUGCACAUUGCACUGUUGUACUCCGUGUUCUUGGUACUCACGUCCCGCGUAAAGAGGCGGUGACUGGUACCCGAACCACCUCAAAGUAUCCCACAAAAUAGCAGGAAAGCCCUCGAAGUGUAGGCAUGUGGAGUGGGAAGUGCCAUCGACGCCACGAAACACAUGUCCGGAAGCAGCCAUCUGGAACUAAGAACCAAAACAAGCGUGAGAUAGAAACCUCAAAAGAGAACAGAUCGGGCAGGGUGAGACACUCGGAUUUCUAACCAGAGCGCAAACUAAGAAGGUAACUAGAAAUCCUUAAAGUGAAGAAGAGCUUAAAACCAGGGCAAGGUUGUUUUAGGGAUGUGGGUUUACAGAUUUUUGUUCAUGAUGCAUGCACGACCUACAUCGUCCUCUCAACCAAAAUAACUGCCAAAAGCCUUGGUCUUACGCAGUCAGUGUCGGUGGCAAGGCAACAAUUACGUCACUCCCUAUAGUAGCUAGUCAGUUGCUAACAUCGUUUUCCUUUGCGAACGCGGUUAGUGUACCUGCAGAAAACACAACCACAUGAACCUUUCAUGCCAGCACUCAUGAAAGCGUCCCCAAGCAUUACCGUUCACUAUAGAAACGGUACCCAUGCGUUUAACGCUGCAUGGACAGUGCAACAACCGUGGAAAUAGGUCCCCUUUGAAUAGGACCAUAUAACCCUUCGCAUACUCGCGAUGCGGAAUCUGCACACGUAUAAUAGACGUGGGUGAACAACCGUGAUGAUAGGCUUGUUGGAAUCGAACCAUACCACCCUUCGUAUCAGUUAACAUAUGGAACCUGCGCAAGUAUAACAAAUGUGGGUGAAAACAACCACGAUGAUAGGGUCCCUUGAAUAGAACUCCCUAUCAACCCUGCAUACUCGUGAUGCCGAAAUCGGCACACGUAUGAUACACGUGGCGAAGUGCUUGUGGUUAGCAAAAUAACUAAUAGAUAGUAGCCACCUGAAAUAACCCCAAAAUUCCCCUAGGGCCUCUCGUACUAAGGUCAUCCUUAACAAUCGUACGAGAUUUUUCAACACAUUUCUUGCAAGUUUUAAUUUUUGAAAAGGUGUUUAGGACCUAUUGUGUUCUCUGUCCUGCUAAACCUGGUUCUGAUACCAGCUAUGGUGGAACACCUCAGAUUAACUUAGCUAAAGCACAUUUGAGUUGCCUAACACGCGAUCAUAUCCUUUAAUCAAGUUAACUCGACGAUCCGUUGGAUUUCAUCCGAUAAAACCACUUUACAGGACCGGGUUAGCAUAGCCUACCCGAGGGUGAGUGGUUCCAGAGAAAACAACAGAUCAACCUCUUAAACAAGUUCAAAUUGUAUUCCAACAUUGGUUUGAAAAUCAGAGUUUUAACAAGGUUCAAAAGCAAUGGAAAAAAAAGAUAAACAGAACAGCGGAAGCUAGAGCCGGGUUGGAUGUCCCUGAUGAGGCCGAUCAGGACAUCAAUGAUCCCUCUCCUCGCCGUCCGAGGAGGGAUCCCACUCGACCGUCCACCCAGGAGGAAGCUGGGGAGGCCAAGUGCCAACAGCAGCACACUCCAAAGCUUCAACAUCACCUGAAAGAUGUGCCACAAACAAGGCUGAGUUACUAAGCUCGACAAGACUUAACCAACAGGUGGAAAAACUACUCUGCCACUUCUAGACAUGCAAGGCUCUUUGGUUGAGGGGUUUAUUUUGCCAAAAGUGACUACAGUAGGUCCUUACUUUCAAUAUUUUAGCUCCGGUUCUAAGUUCACUAACCAGUCUACAUUGGCACUUAGGCUAAACAAACAUAGUUUCCAAACAACAUAUAUAUAGAACAAGCAUCAAGUUCAUAUCAUCAUCAUGUUCCAUCUUUACUCAGUGUAGCAUAGCGAUCAAGCAGUCUCAAGCUGUGAGAGGCAGAUGAAUCGAUUUGAAUUUCUUAACCAUGCAUGGCGAACCUAAUCUCACGACAUCUGCGCACCACCGAGGGUCGCUUCCUGUGUGGCCCGUCCCCAUCGAUCCCCUGACCCGUGUCGGGCCCACUUCUCUUGGUGCAAUGUUCCACAGACCUGGCCUCUGCUGUUCUGUGACCACACUUGCCACCACAUGCGUCCGCAAGGGAAAACUCCAUUCCAGAGAUAGUGGAUCGAACCGCUCACAUCCAGGUUCAAUCAGGUACUAGGCUUCCCCAUCCCAUACUAGGUAUAAGAUUAGUACUUUCAAACACAUGAUCACGAACACCAUCACUUUUAGAACUUAAUUAGAUUCAAGUAGACAGACGGGGCGAUCCAUCGACCACCAAAAAGAGUUCACAAGGCCCUGCCCCGUCCACCGUCCUUAUAGUUUUAACCAGAAGGAGAACAACCAACUCCUAUAACUCGCGAGUGACAGGAAAUCACUCGACUUUUACCGAGUCCUCUUAAGCACUACAACUACUCGGACUUAUCAUGCUAGUGUUCAGAUCAAGGGAACUGAGUCAUGCAUCUAUGGUUUCAAACAACUCCUAUAACAUAAAUGCACAUACAUACAAAAGAAGGCAUGCGCAAGUUUAGAAAGAUUGGGUUAUGCUCCGGGGCUUGCCUUCGAUCGGGGUGGAAGCAAACUAGUCUUCGGCGCACUCGGCUUCAGCUCCUGCAGUCGGCAGCUCAGCUACCGCUCCGUCUUCAGGCAUCGGGUGCAGCUCAUAGGUGCCAUCAGCGAGGUUUAGUUCUACACAGAAAUGCAAAUGCAGAGGUUAAACAUUUAGACGGUUAUUUCAACAACACUUGCACGCUUUAGCUCAGAAACUUGUAGCAAAGCUACAUGAAAAGGUGUGGAAUCCCAAGCUUCUGUUGAUAGAGAACAAGAUAAAGGGGUCGGGUCAGGAAAACUCAUGAUCUGACCCUCAGACGUAAGGAAUAACUGUACCAGGGUCCUCAGACUUGACACAGAGAAGUCCCGAAUUUUUAAACAGAUACCCUUGGUCAAAAGAAAGGAUACAGCCGAGCCCUCGGGCGAGGCGGACAAGGGUUGGCAAAACAGACAGGGUCGGACAAGAUGGAAAAGGGUUUGGGCGAAACGGGAAGGGUCAGGUGAGAGGGAAAGGGUUUGGGCGAGAUGGAAAGGGGUCAGGUGAGACGGAAAGGGGUCGGGCAAGAUGGAAAGGGGUUGGGCGAACCGGACAGGGGUCGGCAGCUUACCUUUAGGCCUACUGAUGAAGUCUUGGGGUCAGGAAGGAAUAGACUCAGGUGGAAAGACUUUGGGCGGCGGCGGGGUUCGACAGUGCUUCAGCGGUGGCAACGCUUCUUGUCAACAACAAGCAAGCUCUAGCACCGUGCGGAGGACACAAGUGGCUGGUAGGUUGGGAAAAGCGGGUGUUGAGCAGAGAGGGGGGGUUUCUCAAGAGCUUAUGCGGCAGUGCUUGAGUGCGAAACAGAGAAAGGUGCGGCAAGGCAACGAUGGUGAAGGGAACUCUGAUAGAGGCUCUGGUACUCCCAUUUAUAUCUGCGCGGAAGAGAAGGAGUUCGGGCAGCACGAGGAUCAGGUCGAAGAGGAUGGAGUGCUCUGCCGAGGUGGCGAUUGGUCAACACCUCCAUUGGCCGGCAAAGCGGAGCUUCGGGGAUAGGGUCUUCGGUCAUUGGGCACUAGAGACAGAGCUUGUGCAGGCGCGGUUUUGCCGGAAGGAAGGAUUGGUGAGGGUGAGCGCGGGUCUGGUUGCGUUAAGCGGCGGAUUGGGGGCGGCGGCUCAGCUAGCGUGCGGCAGGAAGGAACGAAGGCGCACUGCAGGCAAGGGCGCUGCAGGCGAGUUGACAGGGCGAGCGGCGACGCUAGUAGGCACAGACCAGCGGCUUUAUCAGGGCAUGCUACUGGCGAGGCGGAAAAAGGAGUUGUCACUGCCGGAGAUGGGGUUGGCGAGGGUGGUAUCGUCACGGUGCGUGCGCGGGGGCAGCGCAACUGAGGGGACGACAGAAAAGAUGGAAGGCAUUGGGACACGGCCGGGGAUCCAAGUGAGAUGAUGAGCACGGGAGGUGAGCUGGUCUGGCGCGGCAGCGGCCAAUCCUUGGUCAUAGCGGCGACAGGGCGCCUGGCGCGGCUGGCGAGGUUGCGGGCGAGACGAGACGAGGCGGAAAGGGCUGCAGGGCGCUUCCGCGUGCGAUUGGGAAGGAGGCGCGCUGAUCCAUCUUGUCGCGGCCGGCGACUUGGCGAGGCGGCGCUCGUCGGGGAGGUGGAGCCACGCGGCGGAGAGGCUCUAAAACCGGGCGCACGCUUGCUCGGGUGCGCUUGACCCGAGAGAUCCGUGGGAUCUAUUUCUGGGUCCACCUUCCAGUCUCUCGCUCUCCCAAACCCCCAAGUUUGGAGGAACACUAGUUUUUGGGACAUAGAGAGAAAAAUGGCGGUUUGGCUGGGUUUCAAGGGUCGGGAUUGAGUCGAACGGCAGAUUUGGGAACUUGUCUCAAGACUAAGCUCGGCUGAUAAACCUAAGUCGUUACACCUGGGCUUCGCGUUUGGCCUUGCCCUUGUCCUAGCCGCCGUUGAAGACCACCCCGACUGUCUCCUUGCCAGAGGUGUGGUUUGUGGUGAUGUCAAGCAAGUCACAGGUGGUCCGGGGUUUGAUGCAGCCGAGCUUGUGGAUUAAAGAUUUGUAGGUCAUCCUAGAGAGGAACGUGCUGACAACGUCAGGGAGGGAGUUGCAUUGCUUGGAGAACCUGCGGACCGCAAGGACUCAUUGGGCUCCUAUUUACAACUUUUGAUGUCCUAGGAGUUCCUAGGGCGGACGUAGGUCCCCUAGAAGUUCCCUAUGAAGACCUUCUUGAGGUCCGCCUAGUCGCAGAUGCUUUUGGGUAGAAGGAACUCGAGCCAAGCUCAAACGAACUCCCCUACAUAGAUGGGGAUGUACUGGAUGAUAAAGUAAUCAUCAUCUGCGCCGUCGGCUCGGCAGGCGAGCUGGAAGUCUUCCAACCAUACACCGGGUUUCAUCUCCCUAGUGUACUUGGCGAUGUUGAUGGGCGGUUGGAAGCGCUGUGGGAAUGGCGCUUUCAAGAUGCGGCAACCAAAAGCCCGUGGUCCCGAUUCAUUUGGGCUAGGACUCCGGUCGCCAUUCCGGUCACUCGGUCGGCCACCACACCUAGGGUGCACCUCCUCGCGUUCCUCGUCGGACCGGUCAUGGCCCGCGCCGCCUGCGCUUGCCACCAUUCGGUGGAUGUUGGUGUCAUGUCGAGCCAGGCGUCUCACGUGGAUGACACUGUGUGCGUCACGAUUUGGCCCAAGCUGCUCAUGCACGCGCUGGCACCAUGGAGCUAGUGCCGGGUUAAGCUGCGGCGUGGAUGCAGCAUUCCAUCCUGCACGAUGCGGCUGCGGGGGCAACCGGAUGGAGCGAUUCGGCUGGUGCGGCCCUAAUCCCUCGGUCGGGCAAAAGGCCGUGUGCCACUGUCGUGAUGCGGAGCUUUCUGCCUGCUGGAUGGCGGUGGUCUCUAUCAAUGCCCGGAGGUUCCGGUGGAUUGCCUGCUCCUGCGGGUCUAUUGCGCAAGCAAAGGAGCCAAGGAAUCACUAGAACAACAAACACGUAAUGCGAUGAUUUCAACUCAUUCAAGACUUCGUUAACUGAGGAAAGAUCAAGAUAUGCAAAAUACACAUAGAUUUAAAUAUUUUGAUCCUUUGACAAAGCCUCUCCCACAGUCUAAGCAUGAUGCGCACAUAAGAGCUAUGGGUAUUACAUAUCUUCUAGAUUGACUCUAGUGCAAGUGGGAGACUAUUGGAGGUAUGCCCUAGAGGCAAUCAUAGAGAUGAUGAUAUUCCAUUGUAUCCAUGAUUUAUAUUGUGUUCCUCGAAUAUCCUUUAAAUGCUACUUGAAUUGAUUUGCAAUUAUGUGAGUUGUGUGUGAAACUCUUUACUUGUAUGAUUAUUCUAGAAGUUAUCCCUAGUCAGAGUUCAUGUGAGGACACACAUGAAUAUUAGACUAGCACAUGUAUUAGUUGAUGACUAUGUUUCAUAAGUCAUGGACAUGGAGAUGUCAAACUAAUAAUGUGGGCACGUGUAGAGACAUGCGCUAGGAAUGACCCAACGCGAGUUACAUAGUUCUCUCUUUACACAACGUGUAUGCUUUGUCCUUAGACCUGAGAUUGUCGCAUGUACUCAAGAUGUGGAUCUACUUACUUAGGGGCUAUCAAACGCUACACCAUAACUGGGUAGUUAUAAAGGUAGCUUUUGGGUUUGUCAAGAAUCAUGCUGUGAGGCAUGGUCAGUCAUGAUGGAAUUUGCCCCUCUCAACUUGAGAGAGAUAUCUCUAGACCCCUCAAGCAAUCGGAUUCGAAAAUGCAUGGCCAUGCUAGGUGAGGUUAAGAGUUAACCUAGAGAGGGAUUUCAAAUCACAGGAUUGAGAAAGAGAGGUCGGCUUGGAGCUAGACCAAAUAUCGUGAGGCAAAGGGAAUAGCAUGUACGUGAUGUUGUGAUGGUUCGUUUGAUAUGAUCUUCGUGUGCGUACAGGAGUUGGCACGUCUUGCUAGAGGCUACUGCCAACUAUUGGCUGAGUAGGAGUAGGGCUGGAAGCCCAAUGAGGAUAUGAUCUGAGUUGGACCAGGUUUAGGAGUACUAAUGGGCCUCGGACCUAGAGGCCCGUCAGGAACACCUAUAUAUUGAGGGGUGGAGGCAGCUUAGGGUUUGAUCUCUUUUACACGAGCAGCAGCCACGCCUCCCACGCCCUCACCUUAUUGCACUCGUGGACCUAGCAGUCCAGCUUGUGACACUUCCUCCCCGCACGUGUAGAUACCUUGGAGGUGUUGCAUCUAUAGCACUUGGAGGAGCCACCGCACAAGAGCUUGACGAGCCAACGAGGAGCCUGACAAGCCUGCGAGGAGCUUGACGAGCCAGCGCACGAGGAGGAAGUCGCUGCACAUGGACGAGCUGUUGAGAUGCUAUUGGACAUGGAGGUUUCGACCACGCUACCCUAACAAAGUGAUCGACUACACUACUCGACACGGUUCAUCAACUUCCGCAUCUGCGGGUCUAGUGGUAACAACAGUAUUCCUGGUUUACGUGGUAGAAAAUUUUGUUUUUGGCGCUAGCGUAGCCUACCUACUAACCCUUCAGUGGUAUCAGAGCCGAUGCUAUUUAGUCAUGGGUUCAGGAUGUGUGCAUAUGGUGAUAUGCGAUUUUCAGAUUGAUCUAUGAUAUGGUUUUGUGAUCUUGCUGCAAUGAUCGUGUAACGACAUACUCCUACCAGUCAGAUUUCUGCCAUCGGAAUUAAGUGAUGCACGUAAUGCCAGUUGCAGCGAGCGAAGAUCAAUGUGAUUGGUCAAAUCGAAACCUAGGUUCAUACGCCAGAUGCAUAUGUGUUGGAGGUAUACCCUAGAGGCAAUCAUAGAGAUCAUGAUUAUAGGUAUGCCCUAGAGGUAUGCCCUAGGUCCAUUUGUAUCCAUGAUUUAUAUUGUGUUCCUUGAAUAUCUCUUAAAUGCUACUUGAAUUGAUUUGCAAUUAUGUGAAUUGUAUGUGAAACUCUUUACUUCUAUGGUUAUUCUAAAGUUGUCCCUAGUCGGAGUUCAUGUGAGGACACACAUGAAUAUUAGACUAGCACAUGUAUUAGUUGAUGACCAUGUUUCACGAGUCAUGGACAUGCAGAUGUUAAACUAAUAAUGUGGGCACAUAUGGAGACAUGUGCUAGGACUGACCCAACACGAGAAGUAGUUCUCUCUUUACACAACAUGUACGCUUUUGUCCUUAGACCUGAGAUUGUCGCAUGUACUCAAGAUGUGAAUCGACUUACUUAGGGGCUAUCAAACACUACACCGUGAUAGGGUAGUUAAAAGGUAGCUUUCGGGUUUGUCAAGAAGCAUGCUGUGAGAUAUGGUCACUCAAGAUGGGAUUUGCCCCUCUCUGAUUGAGAGUGAUAUCUCUGGGCCCCUCGAGUGAUCGGAUUCAAAAAUGCAUGGCCAUGCUACGUACGGUUAAGAGUUAACCUACAAAGGGAUUCCGAAUCAAAGGAUCGAGAAAGAGCGGUCAGCUUGAAGCUAGACCAAAUAUCAUGAGGCAAAGCGAAUAGCAUGUACAUAAUGUUGUGAUGGUUCGUCUAAUAUGAUCUUCGUGUGCGUAUAGGAGUUGGCAUGUCUUGCUAGAGGCCGCUACCGACUAUUGGGCCGAGUAGGAGUACUUCGGCCAUGUCUAUACGUAUCCAAACCCAUAGGGUCACACACUUAAGGGGCUGGAAGCCCAAUUUGGAUGUAAUCUGAGCUGGAUUAGGUUUAGAAGUACUAAUGGGCCUCGGACCUAGAGGCCCGUCAGUAACCUCUAUAAAUAGAGGGGUGGGGGCGCCCUAGGGUUGACACCUUUUUGAAAAAACACAUCUGCCGCGCCUCCCACGCGCUCACCUAUUGCAACUCGCGGACCUAGCAGUCCGGCUUGCGACGCUUCCUCCCUGCACAUGUGGAAACCUUGGAGGUGUUGCGCCUGCAGCACUUUGACGAACCGCCGACGAGCCGCCGAUGAGCCGCGGCAUGAGGACGACCUUGCUGCAUGUGGACGAGCUGCUGAGGAGCUGCUCAACGUCGACGUGAUCGACUACGUGUUCGACUACGCUGAUCGACUUCACUGCCCCAACUCGAUUCUACAUCUUCCGCACCAGUACGUUGAGUGGUAAUCCUGUAAUCCAUAUACGGCAGUUUUCCUAGUUUACGCGGUAGAAACAAUUUUGUUUUGUGCUAGCGUAGCCUACCUCGUAUCCCAACAGUGGUAUCAGAGCCAUAGCUGUUUCAUUUUGGAUUUGGGAUGUGUGCAUAUGGAGAUAUGCGAGUUUUCAGUUUGAUCUAUGUCCUGGUUUCGUGUUCUUGCUACAAUGGUUGUGUAACGACAUACUCCUACCAGUCAGAUUUCCGCCAUCGAAGUUAAGUGAUACACGUAAUGCCAGUUGCAGCGAGCGAAGAUCAAUGUGAUUGGUUGAAUCGAAAUCCAGGUUCAUACACCAGGCGCAUGAGAUGCACAAUAGUAGAUUGGAUCUACUGCCGGGUUGAAAUUUUGCCGUGUGCGUGUGCUUCAGUAAAACAGCCGUAACUUUUCGGUACGAUCUCGGAUCGGGGUGAAUUUUAUAUGAAAAUUGAUCUACAGAAAAGGUUACACAUGAAAUUCAACCGCUUUUCUAUUUUCGGUAAAAUUAAUUUUCCCAAAUUCGGCUUGGAAGAUGGAGUUUUGGGCCUCUGAAGUUUGGAACGUUAGAACACCUAACUCAGUUUUGCAGACUGUAUGUAUCUUGUGAUCAGUAUGGCCCUUUGUGUAUGUGAUGCAUGUGUGUAACUCAUUCAUGACCUGCAUGUCACGCGUACGGCAACACGGCUGGAGCCAUAUGUGUUGUCACUUUAAUGUAUUUAAUGGUCUGCGUACAAAUCUGUGAUGAUCCAAGCAACUAUGUAAUCUUCCUUACUAGCUAUUAGGCAUCAUAGCAUGUUCUAGUUCUUGGAGGACUCAUCACCAGGAGGAUGGCGCACAUGGAACAUGGAGAUGAAGAUCACCAUGGUGAACAGGUUCUGUGGAGAUGGAGGUCACCAUAAGAAAAUGGGCCAUAUUGUGUCACAACUGUGUGCAUGUUAUUCUUUAUGUUUUACUUCCUGCAUGAUGUGAUGUUAGAAGUAGAACGAUCCCACACAAAUUUUAAGUUAGUAUGAAAUUAGGGUGCCACUAGUUUUCCUUGACUAGACGGGUUUGUGUCGGACACUUACACGCAUAAGGGUUGGUUUGCUUAAAAAUGUUACCUUAACGGUUAAGGACCUUGGGGCAUCAAGGUUGGGCGCCGAGACAUGGAGAUGUCACCCAACAACAGGAGUCAUAUGUGAUAUGAUUAGCAAGGAAUUGCUUACCGAUCUACCUUGUUUGCUAGCGGUGAUGCUAAAGCUCACUAGUAGACUUGUUAGUUGUGGAUCCUGAAUCACUAAGUACCAAUAGAGGGAUAUUGAUUUUAGUGGGAGUAGAUUCUGUAAAUAGUUUAAUGUGAUUUACUCUAUCAUGGAUACAUUUGUCUUAGUGUAUUUUGCAUUACUUUUGUUGUAGAUUAAAUGGCACCUAGCAACACCAUAUCAUUUGCUUUGCGUUCGGUCCUUGAGAAGGACAAGUUGAAUGGAACAAACUACUCGGAUUGGAUCCGUAACCUAAGAAAAGUUCUAGACACCCCAUUACCAUAAGUGCCUGGUGAUGAUGCAUCUGCUGCCGUUAAGGCUGCUUACAAGAAAGCAUUUGAUGCCAAUCUUGAGGUUAGCUGCCUUAUGCUCGCUUGCAUGGAACCUGAGCUACAAAUGCAGUUCGAAACGAAUCAAGAGGCACAAAAUAUUAUUGUGGCGCUCAAGGAUAUAUUCCAGACACAGGCUAGGACCGAAAGGUUCAAUGUGUCCAAGGCCUUUCUGGAGUGCAAGCUAGCAGAAGGCGUAGCAGUAGGACCACACAUAAUCAAAAUGGUUGGUUACACUCAGCGAUUGAAGAAGCUGGGCUUCUCAAUGGGCAAAGAGUUGGUCACUGACUUCAUUCUUUCAUCUAUUCCUCCUAGCUAUGGGAUCUUCAUCUCGAACUACCAUAUGCAUGGGACGGAGAAGGAUCUGAAUGAACUGUGUGGCAUGCUCAAGACAGCAGAGGUUGACAUUAAGAAAAGCGCUAGUAGCAGCCAUGUGAUGGCUAUACAGAACAAGCCUAGCUUCAAGAAGAAGGGCAAUUCUUGGAUGAAGAAGGGCAAGGCUGGAGUGUCCAAGCCAAACCUAGCGCCCAAGGCUAAAGCUGGACCUGCUCCAGACAAAGAGUGUUUUUAUUGUCAUGAACUUGGUCACUCGAAGAGAAAUUGCAAGCAGUACCUAGCUUCGUUGAAGAAUGGCAGAAGUAAGAGUACUUCCACCUCAGGUAAGCUUGUUAUUAAUGUUAUAGACAACUUUCUCACUGAUACAAUUAUUAAUUCUUGGGUAUUUGAUACCGGAUCGGUUGCUCAUAUUUGCAAUUCGAUGCAAGGAAUGAUAAGAAGUAGAAGCGUGGAAAGAGGAGAAGUUGAUUUCCGCGUGGGCAAUAAUGCAAGAGUUGAUGCAUUGACCGUCGGGACGAUUCAACUCCACCUCCCAUCAGGAUUUAUUAUGGAGUUGAAUAAUUGUUAUUUCGUUCCGAGUUUAAGUCGAAACAUUUUGUCUCCUUCAUGCUUGAUGAAGGAUGGUUAUUCAUUUGCGAGUGAAAACAAUGGUUGUGUGAUCUCUAAGAAUGAUAUGUUUAUGUCUUUUGCACCCAUUGUGAAUGGAUUGUUUGUUUUAAAUCUUGAUGGUUCACCUAUCUGUAACGUAAGUGCUAAAAGGUCUCGGCAUAAUGAUUUGAGUCCUACCUACUUGUGGCAUUGUCGUUUGGAUCAUAUAAGUGAAAAGCGCAUGAAGAAGCUCCAUUCUGAUGGACUUCUAACUUCGUUUGAUUUUGAAUCAUACGAGACAUGUGAGGCUUGCUUGCUAGGCAAGAUGACCAAGACGCCUUUCACAGGUUUUCCUGAGAGAGCAGUAGACUUGUUGGAACUCGUACAUAGUGAUGUAUGCAGACCAAUGAGCACGACGGCUAGAGGAGGAUUCCAAUACUUCAUAACUUUCACUGAUGAUUUUAGUAGAUAUGGUUAUGUCUACUUGAUGAGGCACAAGUCUGAAACCUUUGAAAAGUUCAAAGAAUUUCAGAAUGAAGUUGAAAAUCAGCGUGGCAAGAAAAUUAAGGCCUUACGAUCUGAUCGUGGAGGCGAGUAUUUGAGCCAUGAGUUUAGCAAUCAUCUAAAGAGUUGCGUAAUUGUUCCACAACUUACGCCGCCUGGAACACCUCAGAGAAACGGUGUAUCCGAGCGACGUGAUCGAACUUUGUUAGACAUGGUUCGAUCAAUCAUGAGCCAGUCGAACCUACCGUUAUCAUUUUGGGGAUACACUCUGGAAACAACAGCUUUCACACUUAAUAGGGUACCAUCUAAAUCCGUAGUUAAGACACCAUAUGAGAUGUGGACCGGAAAAAUUCCCAGUUUGUCUUUUCUAAAGAUUUGGGGAUGUGAAGUGUUUGUCGCGACUUCAGUCGGACAAGAUCACACCCAAGUCGGAUAAGUGCAUUUUCGUGGGAUAUCCAAAGGAAACUUUAGGAUAUUUUUUCUACAACCGAUCAGAGGGCAAAGUGUUUGUCGCUCGGAUCGGGGUUUUUUUCCUAGAGAAAAAGUUUCUCAAAGGAGAAAAUAGUGGAAAGACAGUGCAUCUUGAAUAAGUUCAAGAUGAGCCGAUUGGACAAGAAUCAAUGAGUGAUGCUAACGUAGCAGAAUAAGUUGAGAUACCCAUGGUAAGAGAAGCAUCACCACAGCCACGAAGGUCGGCAAGGCUCUGCGAAAUGCGGGAAAUAUUAUUGUUGGAUAAUGAUGAGCCUGCGACAUAUGCAGAAGCAAUGAUGGACCCAGACUCCAAAAAAUUGCAGAGUGCCAUGCAAUCCAAAAUAGAGUCCAUGGGAGACAAUCAAGUUUGGAACUUGGUUGACCCGCCUGAUGGUGUUAAAGCCAUAGAGUGCAAGUGGAUCUAUAAGAAGAAAAAGGACAUGGAUGGAAAUGUUCACAUCUAUAAAGCACGGCUUGUCGCAAAAGGUUUUCGACAAGUUCAAGGAGUUGACUACAACGAGACCUUCUCACCCGUAGUGAUGCUUAAGUCCAUUCGGAUUAUUCUAGCUAUAGCUGCAUAUUUCGAUUAUGAGAUAUGGCAGAUGGAUGUCAAGACAGCUUUCCUGAACGGAAACCUAUCUGAGGACGUGUAUAUGAUACAGUCCGAGGGUUUUGUCGAUCCAAAAAAUGUUGGAAAAGUAUGCAAACUUCAGAGAUCCAUUUAUGGAUUGAAGCAAGCAUCUAGGAGUUGGAACAUUCGUUUUGAUGAAGUGGUCAAAUGGUUUGACUUCACCAAGAAAGAAGAAGAGUUUUGUGUUUACAAGAAGGUUAGUGGGAGCUCUGUAGUAUUUCUAAUAUGAUAUGUGGAUGACAUAUUGAUGAUUGGAAAUAACAUUCCUAUGCUUAAGUCCGUAAAGACUUCACUGAAAAAUAGUUUUUCGAUGAAGGACUUAGGGAAAGCGGCAUAUAUUCUGGGCAUUUAGAUCUAUAGAGAUAGAUCAAGAAGGCUUAUAGAAUUAGGCCAGGAUACUUACAUUGACAAAGUGUUGAAGCGGUUCAGCAUGGAAGAGGUGAAGAAAGGGUUCUUGCCUAUGUCAAAUGGCAUAUUCUCAGUAAGACUCAGUGUCCUUCGACUACUGAUGAGCGGGAUCGCAUGAGUAGAGUGUCAUAUGCCUCGGCUAUUGGAUCUAUCAUGUAUGCAAUGAUAAGUACUCGCCCAGAUGUUUCAUAUGCGCUAAGUAUGACAAGCAGACACCAGUCUGAUCCGGGUGAGAGUCACUGGACAGCGGUGAAAAACAUUCUUAAGUACUUGAGAAGGACUAAAGAUAUGUUCCUCGUCUAUGGAGGUGAGGAGAAGCUCGUUGUAACAUGUUACACCAAUGCUAGUUUCCAAACCGAUAGAGAUGAUUCAAAGUCACAAUCAUGAUUUGUGUUCACGCUAAAUGGUGGUGCUGUUAGUUGGAACAGUUCCAAGCAGGUGACAGUGGCCGAUUCUACGAUAGAAGUUGAGUACAUCGUGGCUUUUGAAGCCGCGAAGGAGGGUGUUUGGAUAAGGAAUUUCCUCAUUGAGCUUGGUGUGUUCCCAAAUGCGUCCAGCCCAUUGAAUCUCUACUGUGAUAAUAAUAGGGCAAUUGCGCAAGCAAAGGAGCCAAGGAACCACCAGAAGAACAAACACGUAAUGCGGCGAUUUCAUCUCAUUCGAGACUUCGUUAACCGGGGUGAGAUCAAGAUAUGCAAGAUAUACCCGGAUCUGAACAUUUCUGAUUCGUUGACAAAAUCACUCCCGCAGGCUAAGCAUGAUACGCAUGUAAGAGCUAUGGGUAUUAGGUACCUUCUAGAUUGACUCUAGUGCAAGUGGGAGACUGUUGGAGGUAUACCCUAGAGGCAAUCAUAGAGAUGAUGAUAUUCUAUUUGUAUCCAUGAUUUAUAUCGUGUUCCUUGAAUAUCCAUUAAAGGCUACUUGAAUUGAUUUGCAAUUAUGUGAAUUGUAUGUGAAACUCUUUACUUGUAUGGUUAUUCUAAAGUUGUCCCUAGUCGGAGUUCAUGUGAGGACACACAUGAAUAUUAGACUAGCACAUGUAUUAGUUGUUGCCUAUGUUUCACGAGUCACGGACAUGGAGAUGUUAAACUAAUAAUGUGGGCACAUGUGGAGACAUGUGCUAGGACUGACCCAACACGAGAAGUAGUUCUCUCUUUACACUACAUGUACGCUUUGUCCUUAGACCUGAGAUUGUCGCAUGUACUCAAGAUGUGGAUCGACUUACUUAGGGGCUAUCAAAUGCUACACCGUGACAGGGUAGUUAAAAAGAUAGCUUUCGGGUUUGUCAAGAAGCAUGCUAUGAGACAUGGUCAAUCAAGAUGGGAUUUGCCCCUCUCUGAUUGAGAGUGAUAUCUCUGGACCCCUCGAGUGAUCGGAUUCGAAAAUGCAUGGCCAUGCUACGUACGGUUAAGAGUUAACCUACAAAGGGAUUUCAAAUCACAGGAUCGAGAAAGAGCGGUUGGCUUGAAGCUAGACAAAAUAUCGUGAGGCAAAGGGAAUAGCAUGUACAUAAUGUUGUGAUGGUUCGUCUCAUAUGAUCUUUGUGAUGUAUAGGGGUUGGCACAUCUUGCUAGAGGCCGCUACCGACUAUUGGGCCGAGUAGGAGUACUCGGGCCAUGUCUAUACGUAUCCGAACCCAUAGGGUCACACACUUAAGGGGCUGGAAGCCCAAUUUGGAUAUGAUCCGAGUUGGAUUAGGUUUAGAAGUACUAAUGGGCCUCAGACCCAGAGGCCCGUCAGGAACCUCUAUAAAUAGAGGGGUCGGGGCGCCCUAGGGUUGACACCUUUUUGAAAAAACACAUCUGCCGCAUCUCCCACGCCCAACUCACAGACCUAGCAGUCCGUCUUGCAACACUUCCUCCUUGCACGUGUGGAUACCUUGGAGGUGUUGCGCUUGCAGCACUUGGACGAAUCGCCGAUGAGCCACGACGAGCCGUUGACGAACCACGACGAGCCGACGAUGAGCCGCGGCACGAGGACGACCUUGCUGCACAUGCAAAAGCUGCUGAGGAGCUGCUCGACGUCGACGUGAUCGACUACGUGUUCGACUACGCUGAUCGACUUCACUGCCGCAACGCGAUUCUACAUCUUCCGCACCAGUGCGUCGAGUGGUAAUCCUGUGAUCCAUAUAUGACAGUUUUCCUAGUUUAUGUGGUAGAAAAAAUUUUGUUUUGCACUAGCGUAGCCUACCUCGUAUCCCAACAAUAUGAUGCGCAGUAGUCGAUUCGAUCAACUACUAGAUCAGAUUAUUUACCGAGAUCAUGUGUUUUGGUAAAACGGACGUAACUUUUUGGUACGAUCUCGGAUCAAGGCAAAUUUUAUAUGAAAAUUGAUCUACAGAAAAAGUUACACAUGAAAUUCAAUCACUUUGUCAUUUUAGGCGAUAUUAGAUAUCCCAAAAUCGACUUGCAAGAUGGAGUUUCGAGCCUUUUAAAUUUGGACGAUAGAACGUCUAACUCUGUUUUGCAGGAUUUUGUGAUCGGUAUGGCCCUUGUGUAUGUGAUGCAUGUGUGUAACUAAUUCAUGACCUAUGUGUCAUGCGUACGGCAAUUCGGCUGGAGCCAUAUGUAUUGUCACAUUAAUGUAAUUAAUGACCUGCGUGUCAAUCUGUGAUGAUCCAAGCAACUAUGUAACCUUCUUUACUAGUUGAUUAGAUGUAAUAGUUUGCACUAGUUCUUGGAGGACUCAUCACUAGGAGGACGGCGCACAUAGAUCAUGAAGAUUGAGAUCAUCAUGGUGAACAGGUUCUGUGGAGAUGGAGAUCACCACUAGAAAUCGGGCCAUACUGUGUCACAACUGUGUGAAUGCUAUUCCUUUUAUUUUACUCCUUCAUGAUGUGAUGUUAGAAGUAGAACGAUCCUUCGCAAAUUUUACGUUAGUAUGCCCUCCCAACUAAAACUUGCACUGUCCCAUAUCUUGUACAAUUGGUGGUGGGUCUAUGAGAUUAGAGUAUCACUAGUUUUCCUUGACUAGAUGGGUUUGUAUCGGCUACUUACACGCAUAAGGGUUAGUUUGCUUAAACAAGGUCAUCUUAACGAUUAAGGACUUUGGGGCAUGAAGGUUGGGCGUCGAAACAUGGAGAUGUCACCCAACAAUAGGACUCAUAUGUGAUAUGAUUAGCAAGGAGUUGCUUACCGAUCUACCUUGUUUGCUAGCGGUGAUGCUAAAGCUCACUAGUAAGCUUGUUAGUUGUGGAUCCUGAAUCACUAAGUAUCAAUAGAGGUAUAUUGACUUUAGUGGGAGUAGAUUCUGUUAAAUAGUUUAAUGUGAUUUGCUCUAUCAUGGAUACGUUUGUCUUAGUGUAUUUUGCAUUACUUUUGUUGUAGAUUAAAUGGCACCUAGCAACACCACACCAUUUGCUUUGCAUUCGGUCCUUCUUUCGUCCUCACCCCGCUUCAUUCUCUCCAAUGGCGGCUCCAUCAGCGACCAUGAACUUCAUCCCAGAGGUAAACAUCUAAAGCUUUACCUUUUACUUUUUAGUGCUCAUGCGUCUUUUAUUCUUAGUUUUCCCUUUUUCAUCUUCCUUAGGCGAUUAGGCAGCGAAUUACCAUCCCUUUCUCAGACGCACCUGGUCUCAUCGGCCUUGGCCCUAUGGGAAACUCAGAUCCAACCGACUUCAUCAAUUUGGAAACCCACAGAAUUCCUUUCAAGCAAUCACCCAUGGAUCUGGAUCAACGGACGGGCGUAUUUAGAUCUUGGCCGAACGAGACCCCUGGUUGGAAGGAAUGGUUUCAAAGGAUGGCCGAUUCUAAGAGGGUUCUGGGGGAUGAAUAGAAAAUUGGCCAUUGCAUAAACUUGUCUUUAUCUCAGAUGGAGAAGAAUGAGCCCCUGGUUAUGGCAGCGUCUUAUUUCUGGUCUGACGCCCUCAACGCAUUCCUCUUUGGCCAUGGGCCCAUGACUUCGACUCUAGCCGACGUCAUGUUAUUGACCGGCCUUGACAUUUCUUCACCCGACAGACCCUUCGACUUCCAGAUCAAGUCCACCCAUCGCCUUGAAAUGAAAGGAAUCAGCAGAUGGAAAGGCUAUAUCGAUAGGAAUAUGAAGACCGGAACCAUUGGCAACAGAGAGCACACAGCCUUCCUGAUGAUGUGGCUAGAAAACAUUUCUUCUGUGGCCAAGCAGUCGGCCCUUCGUCGAACACGCAAGCUUUGGAUGAAGCAUUAGCGAGGGGUUCCAAUGUUCCUCUAGGAAAUCACAUGUUGGGAUCGGCCUACCAUAUGCUACAACAAAUUUCCGUAAAGUUGUCGACUGGAGAGGCGAUUGGAAACCCCAAUGGCCCUUGGUGGUUCAUUACCCUUUGGCUCAAUCUAUACAUGAUCAAAGUUUCUCGGGAACGAAUUGAAACCCAAACAUUUCCCAAUAUUGAGUUAAGGGAAAAUCCAACAGUUUGCUGGCAUUGCACUUCUUUUGGUGAAGCAGCGUCGGUGCUCCCCAGUAGUAAAUUCACUCCCACCAAGACCGCUGAGUACUUCAGGUGCUUCUAUGCUGGCUUCAGUGAAGAAGCCAUAAGCUGGUAUCCAUAUCAAAGAACUGAGCCACUCUUUGAAAACCUUGCCUGUUUUAAUUCAACCACCAAUUCUUUUGACAAUGAACUUAUGGAUAUCUUGAUCAAGCCUAGGAUUCUGCCAGCGAACUCCUUUUCGGGGAAAGACUCCCCGACUUAUGAGUUUUACAACCCAUCAGUGGCAGCAUGACAAUUCGGCCUUGGACAAUUGCCGAUUGGGAUUUAUUUUGCUGGCCGCGUGAAAUUUCGGGACGAGCUUACCACGGGGCUCGAAUAUAAUCGGCUAUCCAGUUGGCACUAGAUUCCAACACCAUUGACUUGGCCAACUGGGUGGUGGUUCCCUUCACCGUCCAACAAUUCAAGUUAUGGUGGGGCGAAUGGAAACAGCAUCUCUUCUGCAUGUACCCCGCAACAUACUGCAACGACCUGGAUCCCGCCAACAUUGAUCCAAAUGUAGCGGUACUACCCCUUUUUUAGCCGAUUUUAACAUAAUUCCUUUGCACUGCAAGAUUACCACUGACUUUCUUUUUCUUCUGCAGUCUGGAAGUCAUCUCCCCCCAACGCGCAGUCGCAGCGGAAGGCCGAUAGAUAAUCGCCAUCCUUAUACUUCAUUUCCAAUUAUUGGUUUCCAGGCUCCGUCCAUCAAAGAUAUCUCAAUUGAAACAGAAGCUAAAGAUAUCUUCUUUAAAGAAAACGAGCCGUUGGGUGCGCGCUCGUAUAGAAUCGGCGGACCAAUCAGCGGCGGCACCGGUUGAGUCUUUGGCCAUACCGACCCCGCCAAUUGUCGAAGAAGUCGACCCCCAAGCUGCUGUAGAAGCCGGAUCAGCGGCCGCAUCUUUACUGCUAGAAGCUGUUCAGGUAACUUCAUACUCUUUGAAUUUUUCCAAGUACACUGUCAGUAUUAAUUUCUUCUUUCUGUUAGGCUGCACAAACCAUCCUAGAGCAAUCUCCACAGCAAUCGGCCACACUCCAGGUAGAGACUGAGAUGCCAGCAAUCCCUCCCACCGAGGAAGAGAAUAUUUGUUUUACUCAAAUCUCUUAAUCCUUAGUCGAAAUCUGACCGAUUUCUAAUGCAGGCUACUUUGGGUGCGUCGAUUGUGCCCUUCCAAUGAUCGCCGGCUGGACGACUCGUAGAGGUAGAGCAGUUAUUAUUCAUCAUCAGAUUUAACCAUUGCUUCAUACUUAUAGAGAUCCAUUUCAUGUAACUUUCCAGGAGGCUGGCCCGAGUACGGCACCGAUAAUCGUGGAAUCUUCUUCUUCCAAUGAGCCAGCUGCGUCGAUUCCCGAAAUGAGGGUAGCACUCCCACCAACACAAAUAGAAGAAAUCCGUUUUAAAGAGGUGAGAAACUUGAUGUCCAAAUCGGCCGAUUUUUUGCUACCGUCGGCUAAUCCGUCUCUUUAUUUUAUCAGGAGCAGGACACUCCCAACAACAGCCAUUUUUCUUUUGCGGUCGCAAUUUCUGAUGAUGAGGAGGUCACCUCACACCAGGUUGCUCUGAGUUCAAUCCCUGAUGAAGUUCACACCAAGCUCCAGAGCAUACGAACCCUUCUCCAGGAUGAUAUCGGCCGACUGGUGGAAGAUGCCUCGCCGAUUUGGCAGCUCUUCAGUGAAAUCAGAGGCCGAGUUCCAGAAGAAGCAGAAGAAGCCCUAGCACCCGCAGCAUAUAUCGAGUCAAUGCGAAUCCCGAUGUUCAGAGUUUUACAACACAUGGUCGAUCGUGCCAAACUAGCAAAAGCAUGUGAAGAGGAGGAUUCCUACAAACACCAAGCUCAAUAAGUACACCAGCGAAUCAGCUUUCUCGAAAACUCUCACCCAGACAUCGUUGGCACCAUAGACCGCUCAAACGGCAAAGGGCAGAGCUCGCCAAGGAAAUGGAGGAGGUGACCAAAGCUAUAACCGCCGAAGAGAAGAAACUCCAUGAUCUCCCAUCUGUUAUCGCCGAUCUGAAGCAGGAGAGGCAAAACCUUGCCCAUGAAGCCAUCAGACUUCAUCGCAACAUGCCAGAAGUCCCUGGAUCGGCUGACGACGACCAAAGAACCUUAGAUUCGGCCGAUCAGAUCUGGGAGCGAGCGAUCGCGGUCAUUAAUGCUCUCCUCGGGUGAACCGUAGAAACACUAAAUGCUUUUGUACAAACAUUUAAUGCUCUUUUUCCAUUGCCGUGCGAAUUUAAACUUGGACGGUCUUUUGUUGCAGCAUUUAAUGGCCCUUUACUCCGACGGGACGUGUUUUACCAACCGUUACCCUUCAUCUUUUCCCUCUAUAAGUAUGAGACCCCUGAGCUGCUUCUAGGGGCAUUCGCACCUUGCCCAGCCUUCCAUCCUUAAGUUGUCUUAUUUCCAUACUCUUAAGCUAGGUGCCAAGAUGUCUUCCUCUUCCUUCGUCAAUCAAGUUUGAAAUCCCCCUUCGUUCCUCUGCCAGAUGCUCAUCAAUCUGACGACGGGCGAUUAUUUGUUAUUUUCCCAGCUAAGAUGCCUUAGCCCUGGCCUGGAACGGGCUAUCAAGAUUAUGCACUCCGAGGAAUCACUGACGCAGGCGGAUAAAGAUCUGAUCGAGGCCCAUCGCGAAGAACUCAAAGAUCACAUCCCCGCUCAUAUCCACAAGAUCUUGGAUCAUAUUGAAGCCAACUGCUCCAGGCGGCCGCCAACCGAGAAGAGCCACCAGCUACCUUGUCAGAUCGUUCUUGAGGAUGCCAUGGCAGGAACAUCCCAACCACCUCUCAACAGAAGCCACCAACUUCCUCGUCAAGUUGCCAUUGAAGCCGCCAUGGAGGAUUUGGAGGAAAAGAGCACCCGUCUCUUAAUAGAACUAGGCCGGGUCGAAAGAGAGAUUAAAAAGAACAAAGCUCAGCUGAAACAUGGUCAAUGAAUGUAUUGGUACUUUUGGUCUAAGGGCGACUUGUACCGUGUCGGCCAUGUAUCCUAUUGCUAUACCGAAUAAUAAAUCGGCUAGACUGGUCAAAGGUUCCAUCCUCAAGGCGAUGUCUCCUUGCACUGGCUAUAUGAAUACGAGUCAAUAGGAGUCGGCCACAACGUCUCAAUACGCCAUAUCGUCGGCUACGCAUCCACCCAUAUGCAAGGAUAAUAUCUCUUCAGAUACCUUCCAUUUAAAGCUCUUGUGAAUUCCUCUCCUUCGAUAGUCUCUAAUAUGUACGCAUUUCCUGGAGCGCAUCGGCCGAUUCUAUACGGCCCUUCCCAAGUAGGCGACCAUUUACCAAAUUUGGGAUCUUUAGACCCUAUCGGCAGCACCAGCUUCCAUACCAAGUCUCCUUGAGAGAAUUGCUUGACCUUGACCUUCUUGUCGUACCACCUAGCCACCCUUUUCUUAUUUUCUUCGACACUGAUCAAGGUCCUUAAUCGCUGACCCGCCAAAUCAUCAAGCUCCCCCUUCAUGAGGAGGGAAUAAUCACCGGCUGUCAACUGAUCUUGAAGUGACGUGCGUCUAGACCCGAUCCUUAAUUCCUAAGGCAAUACUGCCUCGUGACCGUACACCAAUUGAUAAGGAGAUAUUUUAGUAGCUCCAUGGCAGGCCAUCCUGUAGGCCCAUAAAGAUUCAGUCAAGGAUGCGUGCCACAUCUUGGGCUGCUCCUCUAUCUUCCUCUAGAUCAACUUGAUUAUCCCCUUAUUGGAUAACUCGGCCUGACCGUUAGCUUGAGCAUAAUACGGAGAAGAAUUCAACAAUUUAAUUCCCAUAUCGGUGGUGAACUCUUCAAACUCUCCCGAAGUGAACAUUGUCCCUUGAUCAGUUGUGAUGGUUUGAGGGAUACCGAACUGAUAAACAAUGUGGUCUCUCACAAAAUCGAUCAUAGCGGCCGAUGUCACGAUUUUCAGGGGAACUGCCUCCACCCACUUGGUAAAGUAAUCAGUGGCUACUAAUAUGAACUUGUGUCCCUUGCUUGAUGCAAGAUAAAUCUAUCCCAUGAGGUCUAUUCCCUAACCCCUAAACAGCCAUGGAUUAAUUAUUGGGUUCAUAGCUGAGGCUGGUGGAUGUUGCACGUUGCCGAACUUCUGGCAAUCCUAACACCCUUUAUUAUAUUUAAAGCAAUCCUCGAGUAUCGUCGGCCAAUAAUAACCAUUGUUCCUGAUCAUCCACUUAAUUUUGUAAGCUGAUUGAUGAGCCCCGCAUACGCCAUCGUAAAAUUCUCCCAUCAGAACCUUCGCCUCUUCCAUUCCAAGGCACUUGAGCAGAACCCCAUCAAUCGUCUAGUAAAACAAAUCAUCCUCAAGUAACACAUACUUCGUGGCCUGAAAACGUAUUUGCCGAUCCACUUUCUUGGACGGAUCUUUUAAGUAAUCGGCGAUCUCCUUUCGCCAAUCGUCAGCCGCAAGCUCCAGAGUCAUGGCACCUUGAAUCGGCCGAUACCCGGAAGCAUGUUGGGCAAGCCUGUUGGCCUCUUCAUUGUAAUUUCUAGGAAUAUGCUCAAUAACCGCAGACUUGAAUUCUUUUAACAACCGAAGGCAAUAUUCGUAGUAAAUCCUUAAGACAUCAUCUUUGCAUUCAGAUUUCCGCGUCAAUUGAUCGACAAUGAGCAUGGAAUCCCCAAAAAUCUCCACUCCAUCGGCUUUGAUCUCUCUCAAUAAUUGGAUACCUUUUAGGACAGCCCGGUACUCUGCCUGAUUAUUGGUGGCGGACGCCUCUAUCGGCAGAGAGAAAUCAUAACUUGCCCCCCGAGGCGAUAUGAGGAUGAUGCUGAUUCCUGAUUCGGCCCCACAUGAAGAACUAUUGAAGUACAGUGUCCAUGGAGCUGGCUCGACGAUGGCGAUUUCCGAUCCACAAUGCUGGGCCACAAAAUCGGCCAUAACUUGCCCCUUGACAGCUUUGGCCGAUUCGUACCUCAGGUUGAACUCUGAUAGAGCUAGAAUCCAUUUUCCAAUUCUUCCUUUCAAAAUCAGCAAUGACAGCACGUACUUUACCACAUCAUCUUUGCACACGACUACGCACUCCGCUGAUAACAGGUAGUGUCUGAGUUUGGUACAUGAAAAAUACAGACAAAGGCACAGCCGUUCCACUGGGGAAUAUCUAGUCUCAGUGUCUAGGAGCCUUCUACUGACAUAAUAGACUACCCUUUCUUUUCCUUCAAAUUCUUGUACCAGCGCCAAUCCGAUAGCUUGUUCUUCGGCCGACAAGUAUAGUCUGAACGGCUUGUCAGCCUGUGGCAGGACCAACACCGGUGGUGAGAUCAGGUACUGCUUGAUGUCUUCCAACUCUUUUUGUUGUUCUUCUCCCCACACGAAUUCCGGGUCGGGUUUCAAUUUCAACAAAGGGGUGAAGGCUUGAAUACGCCCGGACAAGUUGGAUAUGAACCUUCUAAUAAAGUUAACUUUGUCGAUUAGGGACUGCAGCUCAGUUUUGUUCUGUGGGGCCACAACUUUAUUGAUGGCAGCUAUAAUCUUCCGGUUGACUUCUAUCCCGCGCUCAUGUACCAUGAAUCCUAGAAAUUGUCCAGCUGAAAUGCCGAAGGCACAUUUGUUUGGGUUCAUUUUCAAUCCAUGCUUUCUCAUGCACUCCAACACUUCUCGCAAAUCAGCUAGAUGCUCCUAAUGUCCUUUUGACUUGAUCACGAUGUCAUCAAUGUAAAUUUCCACCAGGACACCAAUAAGCUUGUGGAAAAUAUAAUUCAUAGCCCGUUGAUAUGUAGCUCCGACGUUUUUUAAACCGAAGGUCAUCACCACCCACUCGAACAAACCGAGGUGGCUUGGACACCUGAAAGCCAUCUUUGAAAUAUCUUCUUCGGCCAUUAAUAUUUGAUUAUACCCAGCAUUACUGUCCAAGAAACUGAUGACUUUAUAUCCUGAGGCGGCGUCUAUCAAAACAUCGUCUGUUGGCAUUGGAUACCCAUCCAUCGGCGUAGCCUGAUUAAGAUUCCUGAAGUCAAUGCACACGCGUAGCUUUCCAUUUUUCUUGUAUAUGGGUACAAUAUUAGAAAUCCACUCGGCAUAACGGCACUGCCGAAUAAAUCCUGCUUCAAUCAAUCUUGUAAUGUCGGCCUUUAUAUCAGGUAGGAUUUUAGGGUUGCACCGUCAUGCGCGUUGCUGAUACGGCCGGUAUCCUGGUUUUAUAAGCAACCGGUGCUCGACCAUGGAUCGGUCUAGACCGGGCAUCUCAUGGUAUUCUCAAGCAAAACAAUCUUUAAACUCUUUUAAUAAACUUGUCAAUUUACGCUUGUACUCGGGGUCUAAACUAGCACUAAUAUACGUCGGCCUUGGUUUGCUGCCAUCUCCUAAGUCCACCAUUUCCAACGAAUCGGCCGACGUAAAUCCGUGCCCAAGCUUCCAGUCUUCUCGGAUGAACUGAUCCAUCUAGUCCGAUUCUUCAGAGCCGACUGCUUGGAUCGGCUGUAGACCAAAAUCGGACACCCUUAGGAAAUCGGUGUCCCAGAUUCUGCCAGAUAUGCACCUGACGUGUUCGCAGCUCCACUGUUGCACAUCGGUCACGGCAACACUGUAGGCGGAAUCGGUAGUGACUAUCUCGAUGUUGUCGCUGACCCACUGGACGAGGCACCGGUGCAUUGUAGAUGGGACACAGCAAUUCGCGUGUAUCCAAUCGUGCCCGAGCAACAUGUUGUAGGACCCUUUGCUAUUAAUGAUAAAGAAAGUAGUGGUAGGGUCUUACUGCCGAUGGUGAGGUCGACGCAGAGUGCUCCACGGGCCGGGGACACGUUCCCUUCAAAAUCCUUGAGCAUCAUAUCUGUCUUGGUCAGAUCUUCAUCAUUUUUGCCCAAUUUCCGGAACAUAGCAUACAGCAUGAUAUUGACCGCAGCGCCUCCAUCUACCAGUAGCCUAGUGACUGGCCGUCCGUUGACGUGUCCUUUGAGGAAUAGGGCUUUGAGAUGUUGUCGUUUUUCAUCGUCGGGUUUCUCAAAAGUGGUUGUCAUUGGCUCCAAAGCCAAUUGUGCCAUUUGCUCCUCUAUUGUUGCAUCGUCCCGAUCGGCGGGAGUCAUGAACUCCAUCAGCAAGAUGAACACCAAGCUGACAUCAGCUACCGAUCCCUAAUUGUCGUCGUCCUCAUCGGUUUUUCUUCUAGGGAGCCAGACUCGAGGCCUAUCCUCCUUCUUAUCCAUCGUCUGCCUCUGUUCUUCUUCUUCUUGUUCCCAUUGGCGCAGACGCUGGAUUCUUCAUUUCUGGGAUUUGGUCAAGCCGUCUGGGCACCAUCUGGGGUUCACCGGUUUGACCGGUGGUUUUGCACGCUUCCAGUCUGGUUCUCAUCCUAGGGGGUUUUCAUCAGCCGCUCUGGCAUUGGCCAUCUUCUCCAGUCGAUCAUGUGUGCUGGCCUUGCCCCCCAGUCAAUCACGCUGGUCAACUCUGCCCCCAGCUGAUCACGCACUGAAAUGCGCUUAUCCUCUUGUUCACGCUAGUAUCUGCUGAUCGGCUCUGAUCCUCGAUCCCUGGAUCGUGACCUCUUGAACGGGCGACCGCUAUGAUACUGACCGUUGCACUCAGGGCAAUUAUUGACUGAUGGUAACCUGAGGUUGUUUUCCCAGCAGUGGAUGAAGAAUAGGCACCGCCAGGGAUCUUCGUGUCGGCAUAUCAUCUCUUCAUGGCAUCUAGAACUUUCUUGCUACCGUUGAUACUUGCUGAGUAAGUAUUGGGUGGUGAUAGGUCGACGUGAUCUCUCUGAUCUUUUGCCCUCGUCUUCAAUCCGUCCUUUUCCUUUGAUGUCCUCGACCCUGGCCUGAUUUCUAGGGUCCACGGUGCCGCUUCUCCUGGCCGAUUCUGAUGUUAGCACCUUGGUCUGGGGUACGUUCCUUCCUGCAUCGACCAUGUUAGUAGGGAAAGGAUGCUGAUCAAUCUUCAUUAGCUUUACUAGCUUUGUCGGAACUUCGAACUUGAGUCUACCUUGCUCAAUGGCCGAUUGUAUCUGCUGUCGGAAGAUUUUGCACUCGUUCGUGUCGUGGGACGUGGCAUUGUGCCAUUUGCAAUACUUCAUCUUUUUGAGCUGCUCGGCCGAUGGAAUCGUGUGAUAAGGUGAAAGCUUGAUCUGCCCCUCUUGGAGAAGUAAAUCGAAGAUUUUGUCGGCCUUUGAUGUGUCAAAGCCAAAUGCUUCUAGUUCUUUCUUUCCAAACGCGCACGAUAUCGAUUUUUUCCCUUUUACCCAUUCUGUUAGGCCGAUUUCCGCCUCUUCCUCCGAUUCAGACCCCUCCAAGUAUGCCACUUUUUUUUGAAAAUUCCUCCGUUGGUCGAAAGGGUGCACCUCUUGACUGAACAGUCAGUGGACGAUCUGACUUAAGCUUUCAAACUCCUGGGAGGCGUACUUCUCCUUGAUGUGUGGCAAGAGACCUUGGAAGGCGAUAUCGGCUAGCUGAGCAUCAGUCAGGACUAGGGUGUAGCACUUAUUCCUGACCUCUCUAAAUCUCUGUACGUAACUUGUCACUGGUUUGUCGCUCCUCUGCCUAAGGCUAGUGAGAUCUGAGAGCUUCAUCUCGUGGAUUCCUGCGUAGAAGUACUUAUGGAACUGCUUCUCCAGAUUGGCCCAAGUGACGAUGGAAUUGGGCAGCAGCGUAGUAAAACAUUGGAAGGCCGAUCCGGAUAGGGAUGAUGAGAAUAAUCGCACUCGUAGAGCAUCUUGUGUGGCGGCUUCCCCACACUAGAUAAUGAAUCUAUUCACAUGCUCCACAGUUUAUGUGUCGUCCAGUCCUGAGAACUUGGUGAAUCGGGAACCUUGUACCGAUGGGGAAAUGGCAACAGGUCGUAGGCAGGCGGGUAUGGCUUCUUGUACAUAUAGGUUUGCACCUUUGGUUUCAACCCGAAUUGAUCUUGAAUUACUUCUGCUAUCCUUGUGGUCCAAUCCAUCUGCUGCUGAUGUAUGACCAGUUGAGGAAUCAGUACAUGCUGCUGGACCGGCGGUGUCAUGGCUGGGUGAUGGAUAAGAGUGUGCUGCAGAUUUUGCGGUUGCGUAGUCGGCUGAACAGCCGAUAGUUGGUGGCGCAGGGGAUCUGACGCCCCAUCGUAUAGCAUCAUCGGCGUCGCACCCCUGAGUGUUUCUGCAGUGUCUGCCCCCCGCCAAUUUCUAACGAAGCCGACUGAUAUUGUGGGACCAUCGGUCGGAUGGCCGAUUGGAAUGAUGCUUGGACCAGAGACUUCCCAUAACUGGUUGAUUGAUCCGGCCCGGCUAUCGUCGCUGGUGCCCCCUAAGGCACUGAGUUUGAAGGCAGUGACUGUACGGAGGAAAUUUGAGCAGGCUGAGAUGGCGCUUGCGAUUGGUAGCAUGGCACGCCGUUGUACCCUAUGGGCAUUGAAGUGUUGUAUCCUCCAUGUUGCGUCGGUAUCGGCUGAGGAGCUGACUGAGAUGUGCUUGGUAACGCUGAGGAGCCUCUGAUUGGAGCUACGAUGGGUGGGGGUGUACGCUUUCAAAAGAAGGGCCAUUCUUGGAAGAAAAAGGGCAAGGCUAUCUCCAAGCCAAACCCAGUGCCCAAGGUUAAAGCUGGACCUGCUCCAGACAAAGAGUGCUUUUAUUGUCACGAACUUGGUCACUGGAAGAGAAAUUGCAAGCAGUACCUAGCUUCGUUGAAGAAUGGCAGAAGUAAGAGUACUUCCACCUCAGGUACGCUUGUUAUUAAUGUUAUAGAUAACAUAUUUCUCUCUAAUAUAAUUAUUAAUUCUUCGGUAUUUGAUACCGGAUCGGUUGCUCAUAUUUGCAAUUUGAUGCAGGGACUGAUAAUAAGUAGAAGCGUGGAAAGAGGAGAAGUUGGUUUCCACGUGGGCAAUAAUGCAAGAGUUGCUGCAAUGACCGUGAGGACAAUGCAACUCCACCUCCCGUCAAGAUUUAUUAUGGAGUUGAAUAAUUGUUAUUUUGUUCCUAGUUUAAGUCGAAACAAUAUGUCUCCUUCAUGCUUGAUGAAGGAUGGUUAUUCAUUUUCGAGUGAAAACAAUGGUUGUGUGAUCUCUAAGAAUAAUAUGUUUAUGGCUUUUGCACCCAUUGUGAAUGGAUUGUUUGUUUUAAAUCUUAAUGAUUCACCUAUCUAUAACAUAAGUGCUAAAAGGCCUCGGCCUAAUGAUUUGAGUCCUACCUACAUGUGGCAAUGUCGUUUGGGUCAUAUAAGUGAAAUGCGCAUGAAGAAGCUCCAUUCUGAUGGACUUUUAACUUUGUUUGAUUUUAAGUCAUACGAGACAUGUGAAGCUUGCUUGCUAGGUAAGAUGACCAAGGCAAAUUUCACAGGUUUUCCUGAGAGAGCACUAGAUUUGUUGGAACUCAUACAUACCAAUGUAUGCUGACCAAUGAGCACGACAGCUAGAGGAGGGUUCCAAUACUUCAUAACUUUUACUGAUGAUUUUAGUAGAUAUGGCUAUGUCUACUUGAUGAGGCAUAAGUCUGAAACCUUUGAAAAGUUCAAGGAAUUUCAAAAUGAAGUUGAAAAUCAGUGUGGCAAGAAAAUUAAGGCCUUACGAUCCGAUCGCGGAGGUGAGUAUUUAAGCCACGAGUUUAGCAAUCAUCUGAAGAGUUGUGGAAUUGUUCCACAGCUUACGCCGCCUAGAACACCUCAGAGAAACGGUGUAUCUGAGCGACAUAAUCGAACCUUGUUGGACAUGGUUCAAUCAAUGAUGAGCUAGUCAGACCUACCGUUAUCAUUUUGGGGAUACACUCUAGAAACAACAGCUUUCACACUUAAUAGGGUACCGUCUAAAUCCGUAGUUAAGACACCAUAUGAGAUGUUGACUAGAAAGACUCCCAGUUUGUCUUUUCAAAAGAUUUGGGGAUGUGAAGUGUUUGUCAAGCGACUUUUGUCCGUACGCUCAAAUUUCUAAGCCCUCAGAUAUGAAACAAACGGUUGAGAUCAUCCUCUCUUCCUCCUUUUGUCUUCUAACUUGGGCAUUCUUAUCCACUCGUUAGCGUGGCCCGUCCUCCCUCCUCCUUCUCCCUUCGUCGUUCGUUCCUGUUGUCAAGCUCACCUUCAGCAGCAUUCGUGUUAUGAAGCCUCUACGGCCAGUGUUGGCCUACCCAUCUCCGACUGCUAGAUCCACCACCUCUGUCUCAACCACCGCCACACCAACUCAUUGUUGCUGCUCGCCCCCACCUCUCCACGGCCCAAUCGAGGGGUCCACUGCUACCUCGGUGGGUGGCUACGCCGUCGCCUCAACCGGCGUCUCUAUCGCCACCACCGCCUACUAUCUUUCUAUCCCGAAGCUUUGUCUUGGUGCGUUGGAGAUAGGUAAGACCCAUCCCCGAACCCCGAACUCUAUUGGCAUAGUUUAGCUUUUCCUGAAGGUAAACUUUGCCAUAAGUUUUUUGAGAAAAGAUAGAGAAAAUCCUAAAAAAAUUUGGGGCUUGCUGGGCCGGUGCGCGAGAGGUGGGCCGCGGGCUUGUCAAGCCAAGCGCAACGCCUGGGCCAUCUUGGCUGGGACCCACCCGCCAGCCAGACUUCGCCAUCCCUCUCCUCUCCCCGCCUAUAUAACGGCCGUGCCCUCCACCUGUUGCCCGGAACGGAAGCCAAAACCACCAGAGAGCAGAGAGGCGAGACCGCGAGCGCCACCGCUAGCCGCGCAGCAGCACCGAGAGCCCGGUGAGGGAGGGACACAUCACGCCGGCGACCCGAUGGCGACCGGGAGUGGUGUCCGCGUCGUCAACACGGAGGGGCGGGACGAGGGCGACGCCUACNNNNNNNNNNNNNNNNNNNNNNNNNNNNNNNNNNNNNNNNNNNNNNNNNNNNNNNNNNNNNNNNNNNNNNNNNNNNNNNNNNNNNNNNNNNNNNNNNNNNCGCCGCCGACGACGACGCCGACGACGAUACCGACGCCGACGCCGACGACGACACCGACGCCGACGCCGACGACGACACCGACGCCGCCGACGACGACGCCGACGCCGACGACGACACGACGCCGCGACGACGACGCCGACGCCGACGCCGCCGCCGCCGAUGCCGCGCCUGGGGGCCAGCCGCACGAGGACGAGGACGGAGACGCGACCCCUCCUCCUCCCUCGCUUCCUCGCCACACCGUCGAUCACCGCAGGCCGGGCCCGGCUUCUUGGAGCCCCUUCUUCUCGCGGGUGCGGGCGGCGCUCCUCAUCAUGGGCACAGCCGCCGCCGCAGCCGCCGCGCGCGACCUGUUCCCUUCCAUGGUCCAGGUCCCGCCACUGGACUCCCGCCCCAUCAGCGCCGUACCAGGUGUCUAUUCUUCUUUUCCUUUUUCUUGUUUUCUUGUUUAUGUCCUUAAUAGUCCCAACUUCUUGAUUAUGAUGACUGAAGCAUGAUCGAAAUAGAUCAGCACAUAAUCCUAUGCUCUGAUUAAACCAAACAUUCUUGAUUGCGUUGGCAAUGAAUUACAAUCUGGACCCUUGUUGCAUAAAAAAAUAUACUGUUGCUCCAAAUCUUGUUUUUAAAGAUUAGCAUAAACUUCUUUUGAUGCUCUAUAUUACUUAUCAUCAUGUGUUAUGACAAUUGUAUUUGUAUCUUUCCGUACUUUGGUUACUGAAUCUUUUAAACUGAACUCAGGGGUUUUACCAAACCUGCUUGAGCACCAGUUGGUGUGGUCCAACAUCCCCCGUGGCGGAACCUCCAUUGUACUAUCCCAUGCUCCGGGUAUGACUACAGAAGAUGAACUCAAUUUCCGACUUUCUUCUGAUAAUCUAGAAAAGUAAAUAAGCUUAUAAUAAUGUACAGUUACCGCUUGUUGACAUUGCCAAAUAAUCUGUAUCUCUCAACAUAUUUUGUUGUUACAGUCUGUGUUAUGUGAGAUUGCAAAAAUACAACCUGAAAAGUAGUCACUUGACACAAUACUGGUGCCUGUUGCCCAAAGCCCUCUUUGAAUUUUCAUCUACUCACUGUUCUUUAUUCUGCUAAUGAACACUUGUCUGGUGAAAAAUAUUUGUUCAUAGUUGCUGCAAUCCCUGAUUCUGUGUAUGCAUUAUUCUCUAUUUGGUGCUGAGUUCAAUUGAGUGGCAUUUAUUAUUUCAGAUCAACUUUCACCUGGUAGGUGGUUAACACAUUCUGUGGCCCUAGUGUUAAUGAAAUGCAUUAGAGUAUUUUCUGGACAUUUAUGUAUUUGUUGUUCCUUGGAAGGACUGUUUUCACCAUCCAUAGAGUUGCUGCUAGACAAAUCUUGUUUUUCUAGAUUAGCAUAAACCUUGCUUUGAUGCUCUGUAUUACUUAUCAUGAUGUGUUAUGACUGUUGUAUUUGUAUCUUUUCGUACUUUGGUUACUGAAUAUUUUAAACUGAACUCAGGGGUUGUAGCAAACCUGCUUGAGCACCAGUUGGUGUGGUCCAACAUCCCCCGUGGCGGGACCUCCGUCGCACUAUCUCAGGAUCCAGGUAUGAUUACCAAAAGAUGAAAUCAAUUUGCAACUUUGUUCUGACAAUCUAGAAAAGGAGAUAAGCUUAUAAUAUUGUACAGUUACUGUUUGUUGACAUCUUGCCAAAUAAUCUGUAUAUCUCAACAUAUUGUGCUGUUACAGUCUGUUUAUGCGAGAUUGCAGAAAUGCAAACUGAAAAGUAGUCACUUGACACAAUACUAGUGCCUGUUGCUCAGAGUCCUCUUUGAAUUUUCAUCUACGCAUUGUUCUUUAUUCUGCUAAUGAACACUAAUCUGGUGAAAAAUAUUUGUUCAUUUUGCCGCUAUCCCUGAUUCUGUGUAUGCAUUAUUCUCUAUUUGGCUCUGAGUUCAGUUUAAUGACAUUUAUUAUUUGGUCUUACUUGACAGCCACUGUGCAUUUCUGUUGAGAUCUGUUAGUUUGUUGUCCUUAUGAUCUGAUAAAUUUAUGUGUCAAACAGAAAUUCAUGUCAGUCCAGAGGCCUUGCCUGUAGAUCAGAUUUCUCCUGGUAAGUGGUUAACACAUUCUGCGGCCAUAGUGCGGCAAAGAACUGGAUCAGAUUAUUUCCUGGAUAUUUAUGUAUUUGUUGUUCCCUUGGAAGCAGGACUUUCUGCCCCUCCCAGUCUCAUCAUGGAUGAUCCGGUGCCACGGGCUAUGCAUCAUACUCGUAGAGGAACUUCAAUUGCAGUGCUAAGUGACAUCCAACAAUCAGGUAACCUUGGCAUAUAAAGGCAUUGCCAUAUGCAUGCCUCCUAGUAAACACUGGAGGCCUUUUGGUUGACAAAAAGAAACUGUCACUUACGUUUGCCAUAAUAAGCAGGUACACUGGCAUCGGAGCCUGGGCCUGCAUCAGCAACUGUAGGACCUUGGUCAGCCUCUUGGGCGCAAGGCACUAUCUACUUCCUCAACUUCAUGAUAGUCAUGGUACUUUUUUCAGCAGUGGUGGCUAUGUUACAGGAGCCUUGAGAGAAUUGGAUCCUUUGGUCCUCAUGGCUUAGAGGAAGAUUCAUGUUCCUGUGGUAGUUACUGAAACCAGGGAUAACACUAUACUCUGUGGCAGCAUAUGCAGAAUCCUCUAGAUUUUCUCUGCCUGCUUAGCUUCUGAGGACAAGUCAUCUUGUGUGGUCCUUUGAAUGGUGAUUGAUGGUGGAGAUUUGGAUUUGUGCAGUACCUGCUAGUAGGAUGAUGUGCUGCAUGUGGAAUGGAUAUUGUGAAGUACACUUGGCGCCUUUUGUGGUUUUGUCUGAAAAUGCUGAUGCUUCUGCUUUGAGUCCUAAAGUUCAGUUGUUUUGAUAUUGCCUUUAUUUUGGGUGUGUCCAGAUGAAAUUAAGAAGAGAGGGGAACAUAGUUGAGUAACAGUCCUGGAAUAUGCAGUGUUAUAAAGGAAAAUACAGAAUAGUACAAGAUCUUGGGACAAAAGCAACUGUCUGACAACCUAAGGGUUCAAGUGAAUUGAUGAUACUUUCAUGCAUAUCUGAAAUCUGUUGAAUUGAAUAAGUAAUACAGUAUGGAUUCUUGAUAAAUCAAUCACAGGCGUCAUUGCUUCAUUUUAUUUGAAGGUGCGCUGGGGGGAUGAAACCCCCUCCUGUAUUCAAUUAAACCACAGACUUCUGGCUACUGAAUUCAUCCUGUUGGCUUCGCAGCCUCUGCGCCAUGGGACAGGCCCGUGUUGCUUUGUAUGAUGAUUGAUGGUCAACGUUUGGAUUUGUGCAGCACCUGCUAGUAGGAUGAUGUGCUGUAUGUGGAAUGGAUAUAGCGAAGUACACUUGACGCCUUUUGUGGUUUUGUCUAAAAAAUGCUGGAGCUCCACUUUGAAUCCUAAAGUUGAGUUGUUUCAAGAUUUCCUUUAUUUUGGGUGUCUUCAGAUCAAAUAGAGGGAGAAAAUAGUUGAGCUACAGUGCUGGAAGAUGCACAGCCGUAUAAAGGAAAAUACAGAGUAUUACAAAAUCUGGGGACAACAGCCACUGUCUGCCAACCGAGUUCAGGUGAAUCUACAAGAAAUGUGGUGCGGGUACUUGAUCUAUCCAUCGCAGGCAGCAUUCCUUCCUGUUUGCAUUCAGUUGUAGACUACAUCUGCCCCUUAGGUAGAUUUCUGGCUACUGAAUUCCUCUAGUUCUCCUUCCAGCCUCACUAUGCCAUCGGAUGGGCCCAUGUUGCAUGCAAGCUUCUGCUAGGUGACAGUGACACUCCCCCACGGCCACGUCUCCUCUCUGGUGCAGUGUUUUCCGUUGAGAUCUUAGUGCUGUUCUAGAUUAUUUGUCAUUUGCAUCAGUGUUUUUUAAGUGCAGCCACACCAAUAUUUUCUGCGCUUGCAAACUUCUCAUUAUACUUUCUCCCUAUGCACUAUUCUAUACUCUGCCAGCGUACUCUGUCGUAGUAAACACUUGAGUUACAUGCUGAUCAUAUGUCUGUUGCAGAUGUUGUCCCUGAUUGGCUGAGUCAGUAUCCACACCGAUGGAGGAGGUUCCACCAGCCUCUGUUCUAGCCCGGUCAGACAUUCCAGUGCCUGGUCCUCAAUUAUCUGAAGGUUAAGUGGUUAAUGACACAUUUUUCCUGUUGUGCUAGAGUAAACCAGCACGUGCCUUUGUUUGACUUACUAAUUUCAUUUUUAUGUCUUUGUUGUUCUAUCUUGAACUCCAAGGACCGUCGGGCUUGGGCUUUGGUCAAUCAGUCAGAGUACUACAGAGACUCAGCCACUCAGGUACAAUUAGCAUGAAAAAGCAUUUGGAUCCAGUCACUCUGGUAAGGACUAAGAAGUCCUCAAUACAGCUAGUUUGCUUCUCUGUGUUUGUUGAGUUGGUUUUUCAUCCUAACCAAUGAUCUGAUAAAAUAAAAUAGUUCAGCAGAUUGUGCAAGCUUGAGUCCCCACUCCCCAACAUGAUAUACCAUCAUUUAUCUCUUUAUGGUUACCUUUCUGAAAUAGAGAUCGAGGUCACUCCAGAAUACUCAUCUACUUCUGAAAUGUCUGAAGGUAGGUGUCCAACAUAUUUCUACUGCUCCAGGGUUUCAGUGAACCAGCAGAACUCUUGGGCAUGAUCUUUUUGUCUUUGUUGUUACCACGGAAACCGAGUUCUACUUUGAUUGAAUCUUGCAAUGCUUGAUUCAUCUCUGCUGCACUCAGUCAGGUCUGAUACUUUGCUAGAUUUGUGUCCUUAGACUCUUAAGCAAAAUCUUGUUGUAGUCUUUCUGAAGCAAAAUUGAUUCCUGUUUUGCAGUCUACUUAGACUCUUAGACCGCUGUUAGUUGAAACUGACGAAUCAUACUGGCACCUAGGUGGUAUCUUGUAUCACAAGUAGUGUUUGCCUUGGCUUGGUGCAGCAUUGUUUCUUGAGUCAGUGUCCAUGCAGAUGAUAGACGAGGUUGCACCAGCCACUCCGCUGUCCCAGUCAGGAAUUCCAAUGGAAUGCCUGGUCCUGGUCCAGGACUUUCUAAGGGUUAAAUGUUAACAACACCAUGUCCAAAUACUAACACUGCUUUUGUGCCUUUAUCCUUGCCAUGGAAACAGGGUUUGCUUCACUUUCUAUCCUAAACAAUCACAUUCCUUGGGCUUGACUUUGCAUAAUUAGCCAUGGUACAACAAAUAGUGUUAGGUAAUUAGCACCUAAAAAACAUUUAGGUUCAGUCUGAUUACUCUGUACAUACGUUAUAUUGGUGGUCUUACCUGGUAGUGCAUAUUGUGCAAGCUCGAGUACUGUACACAAUUCAGCAAACCAGCACAACUUGUUUGGCCAUCAAUUUAAUUUGUCUCUUUGGUCUUAACAUAGAAAUAGAAUUCUCUGCUGAGUGUCACCGUGCACGGCACCAGGCACUAGUGCCACCAGAACAGCCAACGUACACCGUUGUCCUCAAAUUUGUUCAGGGGUGUCACAUGCGUCCUACACUUUUAAAUUUGCAGAUUAUGUCGCUCAAGUUCCAAACAUCAGUAAUUAGCAUAUGCUUGCCUUUACCAUGCCAUUAAGUUGUUACACUCGCUUUCCUUUAGUCACUUGGUCUAUUUUGCAAAUUUUUACCGCUUUCGAUUGUGUUGUCAUCAGUCAUAAAAAAUAGGGAUAUUACUGAAAGUAGUUCCAUUAGGCUAUUGUCUUGUGAUUUUGGUGGUUGAGUGGUUUUGUAAUCACUAGGACUAAUAUGUUUGUAAAGUAUAUGUUUUGGAAGGGUUUCCUAGCUCUCAAGAUGAAAUACAAGUGAAGCAAGCAACCAUGGCGCAAAGAAUGGAGCAAACCAAGCAAAGAUGUACACUGGAGUGUUUGGUCGGUCACUGUGACUGAAAAAUAGUAUGUGGGACUGAAAUAGUUGAAGAUACACUAAAGAUAUACAUGUGGGACUGAAAAAUAGUAUUACAGAAGGGCGUAUACUCUGAUGUUUCAAGUGGGAAGUUAUGCAGAAAAGAAGAUUCUACAUGCCAGAUGAUCCAGCGUUGGUAAAAAAAAAAUAUAUAAACUACACGGCAUUGUAUUCACUACAUUACUGACGACUCAGACUAUCUGUAUAAUCGAUUUGAAUAGAAUGAAAUUAAUUCAAAGAGCAAAAAAAAAAUACCGAAAUUCAAGUAAGGAUUUUGGGAUUCGAUAUUUCGGGGGACAACUCCGAUUUGAAUUUUUGGUACUCAACCUGUAUCCGGAUAGGAUAAAUAGACGACCCCAAGGUUGAAACUGACGAAUGAGGAUUAGCUCAUGGCUUUGAGUGUGAACUCAACUUGAGAUAAUGAGCUCUGACUCAGCGGGAUUCUAAAUUGGAGAUGACGUGGGAAAUUGAUAAGGACUCGACGUUUAACAUUGAAGGGAAUUUGUAUUGACAAGUUAUAUAGGGAUAACGGCUUAAAUUCUGAGCUAGGUUUAAAUUUAAACCCGCACACAAUUAAUAUCCAAGAAGACUUGAACAAACCCAGAGAAACCCAAAACAAAAACAAUCAACACCUUACCUUAUUAUUAGCUAGCAAGAUUCACAUGUAAAUAAUUAGAAUAAAGUUUUAAAUGAAUAGAAAUAUCCAUAGUCCAUUCCUUUGCUAUCUACUCUACCCAUUUAAAUACAGGUGCUCUUUGCUCGGUAGCAACCCGCGGGCAUGUUUGCCUAUUAUGAAUAAAAUAUAUGUUCCUUAAUAAUGUAUUAUUUUAUCUAUUUAUUUUGUUUAUUUAUUUAUUCUAUCACACCUGUAAUAUUUUUCUCACACGUGUAGAGAAAUGCUUCUGGUAUUUUUUCUCACACAUGUAGAGAAAUGCUUAUGGUAUUUUUCUCCCCAAAUAGUACGACCAUAAAGAUACUUAGACUUUUUUAAAAUCAUUUAGGUGAAAACCUUGCAUGUAGGGAACUUUUUUUUAUUUUUAACCCUUUUUUUUCUUUAUUUUUAAAAAUAACCUCAGCUGGGUUUUAUUUGCGGGGCUGACCCUUUUGGCCGCGCCAGACCGCCUGGCGCGGCAGGAAGAUGCUGCCGCGCCACAUGCACUGGCGCGGCAGCCCCCUGCCACGCUGGCGCGGCGAGUCGCGUCGCCAGGCGGGCGCUGACGUGGGCGUGCGUUCGCCGCGCCAGCCCGCCUGGCGCGGCAGGGCCAACACUUAGGCCGCGCGCCGGUCCCUUCCUCCUCCCUCCCUCCUUUCUUCCUCCUCCAGAAACACCACACAGCAGCACCUUGCAGCGCCGGCCCCCGCCACCCCACCCCCAAAUCCACCAAAAAUCCGGCGUUUUUGGUGGGGGAAAGUAGUGGGAAUCGAUCCCUACUUCGUGUGGAAGGUAUUCCCCUACUUAUUCUCGUGUUUUACCGUUGCAUUUGGUAGAUCGGAGGAUGUUUAGGUGACUUAGGGUUAGGUUAGUGAUUUGAAAUUUCAAUGAAAUGCAAUGGUGUUUUGUGUUAGAUGAUACGUAGUUCAUACGCAAUUGAGUCUCUGCCCGCGAUAUUGACGUGUAGAACUCGUUGAAUGCUUCGAUUAAGGUAUAUAUUCAUCCAAUUGUGUGGUUUACAUGACAUGUAUUUUUUUUAUAUGUUCAAUUAAUUAGUCUCAUUUCUGUUUCAGUGUUUGUAUUUUGUAGAUCGAUUGUUUACAUUUUAUCAAAAUGAUGUAUAUAGCUAGUAUGGAUUACGUGUGUAAAGUUUAUUUCUAUAUUAAAUUUGUUGCACUUGAUUUCCAGGUGAGAUGGCGUCGUUUGGUUGUGAAUACAAACGGUGUAGGUGGUAUGUGCGUUAUGUCGGGGAGUCCAAUGUUGCUGGUCCCGUACCUCCUGCUCUUCCGGUACCACUUUGUAGAUGUGGCGCGCAAGCAGAGGUGAAACAAUCAAGGCAUCCAAAGACAGCCGGAAGAGCCUUCUAUGUAUGCAAAUGGACUUUUGAUCCAUUGCCUGCCGCACCUUGCGAUUUCUUUCAGUGGAUCGAUGGACCCGACAAAUAUGAUCCUAGGAUCCGCCUAUUCCCAUAUCAUAGCACAGAGCUUAAACCAUACCAUUAGUUUAGGCGUUGGGUUCCUCCUCCACCAAACCCACCUAGGAUGACCGAUGAGGAGAAGCAGGAGGCUGCUUGUAGGCGUGUGAGGGAUCCUCCCAUGUGCAAGUGUGGUGUUCCUGCUAAGCUUAUGCGUCCUAACUUAGGGGAUCCACCUAAGUUUACUCCAUUCUUUCGAUGCUCCCUAAAGACUCAUGUAAGUAUAUUACGAGAAUAUUAGUAUGUCGUUUAGCUAGCAGUUAUAAUUUUGCAGUAUAUUGUUCAUACUUUAAUUUGAUGUUAUUGCUUGGAAGUUGGAGUAGCGUUUUGUAGUUACUUUACAUAUGAGUAGUUCACGUCGUGGGUUUUUUGCAGGAUGGGUGGCCGUUGUGUGAUUUCAAUGAGUAUAUAUACGGCCCAAUGGCAAUGUGGCCAACAGAGGAGGAAGUGCGGGAGUUUGAAAGUGAAAAUGCACCGUGGCCAUGUGUGUCCUCUCCUAGUGAUAGAUGCAAGUGUGGUAUAUUGGCAACAGAAGGUGUGGUGCCUUCUGAACUUGGAUAUGGUUCGUUCUGUGGAAAUGCACAUGGCGAUUACUGGGUUAGUAACUACUCGUCUCCUAUGUUUUAUGAAGGUUGUAACUUGAUUCAAAUUUGUAAGAAUAUUUAAUUGUUGUUGCAGGAGGGAAGGACAUGUGAUUGGGAAGAUUUUUGUGGUCGAUAUGAUUUGUUAUUAAAGUUGGGAAAUACAUCGGAACCAUGGAAGUCAAGGAAACAACAAGAAAUUAAAGAAAAGAUUAGGAAGAAGUAUGAUGUGCCUAUUCCUGACGACGACUUGCUUUGGGGAAAAAUAUAUCAAGAUAUGGUGCAUGAGACUUGAGUGGAACCUAAAGGACUUUAUGCAAGGGAAACUAUUAUUAAGUAUUGGAGGCAAAAUAGAUCCAAGUAUCCACGACCUCUAACUGAAAAUGAGAAGAGAGAAAAUAGGAGGAAGUUGCAGGAGGAGAGGGAGUUGGAGAAACAAAGGUUGAUGGAGGAAAGAGAUCGCUUAGGUUAUGUGGUUGAUCCGAAUGUGAAAUACCCUGAGGGUUCAUGGGAACAAUAUUUGCAGCAAGUUAGGGCAAGAAAAAGAAGGCUUGAAAUGGAAGAGUUACAACAAAAAGCGGAAGAGGCACAGAUGGAGACGAUGAAGGCUCUUGUUGCCGAUUUACCUGUUGGUAAGGUUAAUGUCGAUAAGAAAGGCAAGGGAGUUGUUGUUGCCGGAGAUGAUGAUGAUGAUGAUGAUGACGACGAGUUACUAUAUGAAGGUGACUCGGACUAGAUGAACGUGUUGAUGUAGCUGGAUCAUGUUUCUCUGUAGCUGUGAAAACUAUGUAGAACAUUAUGUUUAUGUUUAUUCUGGAAACUACAAUUAGUUGUCAAAAAUUAUUUUCAUUUCCGAGAGAACUAUGUUCAAACGCAUCAAAGUUUCCAAAGGUAGACCUGAAUGGAAACAAAGGCAAACCGAUGAAACAUCCCGACUAGACAACGACGUAGUGAACUAUGCGAGAGAGGCCAGGCCGUGCACAGGCCGUGCACAGACCAGCGUCCAAUUUCCACGCGUUUCCUUGGGUCGCUUGUAGGAAACCGGACGGUGGAUUCCUUGGUUCCUUUUUAUUUCAUCUUUUUUCUGUUUCUCACAUACAGCACUUCUCAGGCAGCUGAUCUGAUUUGCUACCUACUCCUAGUAUUCUGUACUACUAGCUGAUCGAGUGCGUAGAGAGUGAGGUAGUGGAGUGAGAAUCACUGUAAACGUGUCGAACGUUUCGUAACCCCCUAAUUUUCAACUUUGCAAAUUAAUAAAAUUUGUUAGAAUUUACAAGAAUUUAAUUACUUUUACUUAAAGAUUUAAGGAAUUUCUAAGGUUUUAUUUAAUUUCUUGGGCACUUAAAUCUUUUCUGAAAUGAAUCAUAGGAGUUAAUCAGGCGCAUUGAUUUUGGUCGUUUGAAUUCAAAUUAGUAUUUGAAUUGAUGUUUGAAUCCUUUUCAACCAAUAGGAAAAUCUUUUCAGUAGGGUUGGCCUUGCCGCGCCAGGCGGCCUGGCGCGGCAGGGGUGAGCUGCCGCGCCAGCUGCAACCUACUUUCAGUGGGUUUCGGGGCGGUGGCCGGCCUUGCCACGCCAGGCCGCCUGGCGCGGUAGGGGUGAGCUGCCGCGCCACCUGGAACCUACUUUCAGUAGGUUUCGCCGGGUGGGAGGCCGGCCUUGCCGCGCCAGGCGGCCUGGCGCGGCAGGGGUGAGCUGCCGCGCCAGCUGCAACCCACUUUCAGUAGGUUUCGGGGCGGUGGCCGGCCUUGCCGCGCCAGGCGGCUUGGCGCGGCAGGGGUGAGCUGCCGCGCCAAAUGCAACCCAAUUUCAGUAGGUUUCGCCAGGGGGGGGUGGCGCUCUUGCCGCGCCAGGCGGCCUGGCGCGGCAGGGGUGAGCUGCCGCGCCAAAUGCAACCCAAUUUCAGUAGGUUUCGCCGGGGGGUGGUGGCGGCAAGGGUGCACGGCCGAGCCAAUUUUAGUAAACUUUCAUUAGGUUUCGGCCCAGGGGGGUGGGGCAUCAGGAGCGCGCUGCACAAUCCGAAACGUAUUUUUGUGCUAAACAUUUACGGAAAAAUACACGAAAUACAAGUACAUCAUGGAGCAAACAUAUAACAUUGUACGGACAUAAAAAAUGUAACAACCAACUUAGUCUUUUACAAACGUGACAUGAAUAAACCUAACAUGCUUAGUCUUUUACCAACUUAGUCUUUUACAAACGUGACAUGAAUAAACGUGACAUGGAAUAAUUGGGCACAUGAUAGGUUCAGUGGCGUGACCGCCGCUCAUCCGGAGGGCUAAAAGGAUCUCUUGGGCGACGCUCCCUCCUUGGAUGCGUGGGCAGCACAUUGGCGCUGCCAACAUCGGUGUGGUCCCGGGAACGACGACGUCGGCGUGGCAACCGGGUAUGAGUUGCAGGUUUCUAUUGAAUAAUUGGGCACAAAUCAUAAAAUUUGUAUGACACUUCGGGAGCGAACAUUAAAAUGUAUAAUUGAAAUUGGAGGAACUUCUGAAUAUACCUGGCUGGACUCUCCCUGCGUCUGAGUCACAGGUGGAGCAUCGUGAGAAAUCUCGAGUUCCUCACCAUACGUAGGGUCAUCAUCCUCAGACUGCUCACCUUCCGAGUCCUCGCUUUCCUGAGGGGAUGCGCGUUCCUUACCUCGCGAUCUCCUGCUAGGACCUGCCGCAGUGGACGGUGUUGCAGCCCUGGGGGUAGUCACCAAUGCAGUCCGACGUGAUCCUGAAGAAGUACCCUGGACAUUGGCCCCGUCGUGCGCAUCUGAGGAUGUCAUGCAGUUCAUCCUCUGCGCCAUUCGCCUGCAACUUUUACGAACCCUCUGCCAUAUAUUCACGACUAUGUUAUUGAUGGUUACAAAGAUAGUACGAGUAUAAGUGAAAAUUUGUUUGGGCUUCUACCUCUGCAAAAGCACGAAGCAGACUAUCACCUUCCCCAACAGCGUGCUCCAUAAUCACGCCCGCCUCGUUAGAGAGCCUUGCAAGCUGCUGUCCCUGCACGCAGUAGUUUUCAUUCCAUAAGUGAUCAAUGUGACGAUACUAUAAUUACAAACCGAAAGCUUACCAUGUAGUCGUGGAGAGGUGCACGCUCAGGCUGUGUCCCAUGGCAUGUCACGGUGUCGUACGCGUCAGCUAUGUCAGCGUCAUCAUCAGACGGUGCAUCCUCAAUGGGCACAUUAGUCCAAGAUGGUUUCACUUUGGUUCUCGUCGAAGUACAGUACCGUCUUAUGUACUCAUUGUUGGGUCGCCAGUACGGUCCACCUUUAGGAUCGCAUCCUUCCUUGUUCUGCCACAGGUGGAUGUACCGGUCAUGCUUCACCCUCCAAUCAUUUUCCUUGUACCGCUUUCUGCGGUCGAUACUGCAUCAGAAAUUAGUGAAGUAUUAGUAUAACACGUUAAUUGCGUUAAUUGAAUACCCUCCAAUAGUUAUUUAUUCCUGCGUACCUGUGCAGCUGCUGCGAAGUCGAUAAUUCCAAAGGAGGGCACGGUUGCAUCCUCCCAAACUGCCGCAUCACCCUAUGCGGCAUAUGAAACUCUACCACGUAGUACAGUAUCAUUGGGGUCGUGCACCUCCACAGCUCUCUGUCUCUGUAGCACGUCGGUGAAAAGACGAUCUCGCUAAGCUGCUGACGGUCAUACGGUUUCCAUUCCACCUUCAAAAAUUUUCACGCAAUACUUAUUUCAUCUACCAUUAUACGCAAGUUAGCUUAAAAAACUAUUAUGGUUACCAAAUUACCUGGUACUGCGUGAGAACAUCAAACUCGUUCGUGUAGGCCCUGUAGCGCCUAUCCGGAUUGCCACGAACGGGCCGCACAUGCUUCCACACGUGAUAGAAUGUGGGAAGAGCGUCGUCUCGAUGCCAUGGCUGAAAUUGCAAGUAAGUCCAAUUGGUCACAUGAUACAAUAGUUUUUCGAACAUUAACGUAGAAAAAGGAAUUAGCCGUUGUGACUUACAUCGACACGGAGGCGGGAAGGUCGACCCACGGGCAUUCGCUCCCAAAUCCAUAUCUGGAGCAUAUAAGUGCACCCUCCAACAUUAGAAUCUCUCGCUGUGCGCCGGCAAGCCUCACAUAACUGUCUGUACAGCCAGGCAAGAGCCGCUGAGCCCCAACUGUAAGUGGCUAUGUUUUCCCAAACUUGACCUAGAAUGGGAAGAACCAUCCACGAUACUGUGUUCCCAGCUGCAUCUGGAAGGAGGAAUGUACUGACAAAGUGCCAUAGCCACACUCGAGCAAAGCGCUGCACGACCUCGUCAUUUGCUCCCGGAGGACACACCUCGAAGUGCUCCCUCAACCAUGCCGAGCUAACACCGGACGUCUUCUUCGAGCUAUCUCCGCCCUCUGGCUCUGGCGACCUAAUCCCGAUAUGCAUCUCGACCAUAUCACGCCAAUUCUCAUUCUGGAUAAUACCUGUCACUGGCAGCCCAUGCAGUGGAAGGCCGAGUAUCAUAGCCGCAUCCUGCAUUGUGAUAGUCAUUUCUCCGAACGGCAUGUGGAACGUGUGAGUCUCCGGACGCCACCUAUCGACCAUAGCGGUCAACAGUGGUCCGUCCAUUGGAGGGAGACCCCCCACGACCUGAACAGCGAUAUCCAAGAAACCUGCUCUCUGCAGGUACUGGGCGUACCGCUCAUCCCACCUAAGUGGUGAGUGCACCCUAGCCCUCAGUGGUGUCAAAUUCUGCAAAAUAUUAUAAGAACAUUUCAGUAUGAGAAGUCAAUCCAAUUGUGAAUAACGGGCUUCUAAAGUGGUAAGUAACACAAAUAUGAUACAAAUGACAUUUGUAGUAUGAAAUUGUUUACACUCUACACAAGCGAAUAGUAACGAUAGGCACAUCCUUAAUUAAUUUAUAAGAACAUUUCAUACGAAAAUCUUGCAAUUCUCAUCCUAAGGUAUGCAUUCAUCAGCAAAAAUUAGCAACCAUUGUUAUACCUCAUUCAUGUCCGCGAGGUGGUGGGCACGGUAGUGCAAGUCGUAAGCAGCCUCAAGAAGAGGGUACCCCGGGGCCGCCAUCCUAAAGAAACAACAUAAAUGAUCGUUAGUAAAAAGCUUCAUUACAUGAUAAGUACGGAAAAUAUGAUAAUGUACUACUAUAAAAAAGAUAAAAUAAUAGCCACGCAUAAUACAAGCAAUGCGCAUACCCAAUUGUUCGAAGUACGCGGCCUAUUACUGCUCGGUCUAGAUUUAGUGCCUUUUGAUUUUCUACUGUGGCAUGUGCAAUUCCUGAUGAUCUUGUGGCACUUGGAGCAACGAUUUUCCGACUUGUCAAUAUCAAAAUCACCAGUAUCAUAAUCUGCAGAAAGCCUCCCUUCCGACACGUCCAUCUCGCCUGUGAAAUGCUUCUUCUGCCGCUUUCCUACUUUAUUUCUCAUUAAACUGGGGUUAGGCACGUACCCUACCCCUUCAUAUGCCGGCCAUUGUGACGGAUCUAGGUAAGGUUGAAAGCUUGAUUCCCAAAUUUUGAUGGUGUGCUCCCUAGAGUACAACGGUGACAUGUACAUGGGGCUUUCAAAGUUAAGACCUCUUGCCUUGCAAGCUGUAAUGAAGUGUGAACAUGGAAGGUGCAACAAUUGAGGAACAUUGCAGGUGCACGAAACUUCGUGCAGAUCCACUCUAUAGUGUCGGCCUCCAUGACUCUCACCCCCAAUGUUAGUCGUACCGUAACUUCUUAUAGAAUACACCAUCCUUUCUGGCCCGUACGGUUCUGCUAAGUGGUGCACGGAUCUAAGCUCAGCCUCUGAUAAAUAAUUAUCUGCAACUUGCCCAAUUCUAUAGCCUUGAUCUAACAUUUCACGCGCCUUUCCCCAUCGGUUCACAAAGUAGGCGUUGCAUUUUUCGAAUGUGUAUUCAAUAAUUCCAGCAACGGGCCUACUUCGGAUGCCUUUGAAAACUCCGUUGAGUGAUUCCGAGAAGUUCGUGGUCAUAAUACCCCACCGCAUCCCUCCCUCAUCGAAAGCCUGCGCCCAUUUAUCCUUGUCCCCCAUUUCACCCUUCAACCAUUCUUUUGCGUCGUCGUUCAAGUCCUUCACUAAAUCUUCUAACUUCUCACGAAAUUCUCUCUCUGUAUGAACCGUGCAUAAUAAUUUCAAUUUUCCAAUCACACGAUUGCUCUUCUGCCGACGCGACAUGUUGGCAGCAAAGUGCCUCAUGCACCACCUAUGCACAAGCGGUGGAAAACCAUCAAUGUGGUCCUUUGCACAAUUUAGAAGCCCAUGAUGCCUAUCUGAUAUCAUACACACUAUCCGUGAAGGUCCAAGAACAUUUACCCGAACAAGUUUCAUAAACCAUGACCAACUCUCAUUAUUCUCACUCUCGACCAAGGCAAAAGCAAGAGGCACAAUCUGUUGUUCUGGAUCUACAGCAACUUCCAUCAUUAAUGUACCCUUGUACUUGCCAGUCAAGAAUGUACCGUCCACCAGUAUCACAGGAUGGCAAUGUUGAAAUGCCUCACUACAUUGAGGGAAGCACCAAAAUAACCUUUGCAGUAUAUGCUUCAACACUCCAUUGUCAGGAACCAUCAUGCCACAUGAGUCGAUCCACCAUUUAACUCCGGGAUUGUAGUAGGUUAUAGCUGAGAGUACCCUAGGAACCAUGCCGUACGACUCCUUCCAGUCGCCCCAAAGCAGGGCAACAGCGUGUUGCUUCGCCCGCCAAGCCUUCGAAUACUUCACACGGUACCCACUAAAGAUAAAGAUGGACUCCACGAGUGAUGGCACCGAUGUCUCGCUGUCUUUACGGAUAAUGCCUAGGAUACGCCGUCAAAGGUACUUUGCUGUGCACUGUACAUGCUCUCGCUUCGGCUGUGACGACCGACAAGUAUGCGGUUGCACAACAUUUGAAAUUCUCCAUUGUGCGGUGCUUGAUAUUAGCCGAGACCAUACACGCCAAUGGCAUCCUUGCUUGCACAUCACAUUGUAUCUUAAGUUCUUGUCAGAGUGAACUACGCUAAAAGGUCUAUGUAACCUCACCGCGUAGUCAGCCAAGAAAAACUUCAGCUCCUCAAGACUAUUGAACUUCAUCCCCUUCUUAAUCACUGGACUCUCACCAAUGGACGUCCCUUCGGCAUUCACAAUACUAGAUUCACAUAUUGCUUUGUGAACCAUACUUAUGUCCUUAUCAUUGGGAACGGAUGACAGUUCGACAUCACGUUCUUUUAACAUCCGCAACUCACACUGGGUGUAAGAAAAACAAUCGUCCAUACGACGAAUGCCUUCUACAUCAUGUACGGUUGCGGUGUCAAAUUGCAGUCCAUCCUCUUCAUUUUCUACCCCGACGUUCUCAUAUUCAUGCCCACCACUCUCAAAUAGUGAUUCCUCCUCUACCUCCUCACCUACUACCCCAUCUUCCUCCAAUUCACAAUCUUCGGAACCCAUAGAGACAUUAUCAACAUCUAUAUUUGCUUCAUCCCUCUCAAAAAUGUUAUUGGGAAAAUCAUCAUUGGCAAUAGCCAAGUCAAAAUCACGUUCUGUUUCACCUAACACGUGAUGCAACAUUUCUGACUCCUGGGUACCAUUAUGGUUCACUACCGUCACUUCCUCCCUCAUGACAACAUUUGGGCCAGGCAUACGAACAAUUUCGACUAUAACCUCCAAACAUGCAACAUUAGCUUCGUGCACAACAUCCUUAUAGUGCUUCCAAUUCGCAUCGGAUGCUAACUUCAUGAGAACAUAAUGAGCUCUAGCUUUCCCACAAUCAAAACGACCUCUCAAACUGAUCUCAUCCACUCUACAUCCAUACUUCGUCAUUACACGGUCAACUAAAUCACUAAAACUUGGAGGACCAUCAAAUAUUUCAAUUGACUCAUUCAUAUUCUCUAACUCCCCAUUUUGUUUCACAACACCACCAUGAAAAAAUCGAACUAAACGAUCCAUCUACAAAAUACAAACAUUUCACCAUGUCAUAUACACUACACAUUGCACAUAUUCGACAUAUCAACUACACACAUUACAUAUAUUGGACAAAUUGCAAACAAAAAAUACACAUAUACAUUGCACUAUACGAUUCAAUGAAUAUAUCCUUAAAUCAAUAAGUUCUACACGUCAAUAUCGCGGGCAGAGACUCAAUUGCGUAUGAACUACGUAUCAUCUAACACAAAACACCAUUGCAUUUCAUUGAAAUUUCAAAUCACUAACCUAACCCUAAGUCACCUAAACAUCCUCCGAUCUACCAAAUGCAACGGUAAAACACGAGAAUAAGUAGGGGAAUACCUUCCACACGAAGUAGGGAUCGAUUCCCACUACUUUCCCCCACCGAAAACGCCGGAUUUUGGGUGGAUUUGGGGGUGGGGCGGCGGGGGGCGGCGCUGGAGCUUCGGGCUCGGGCGUUUCUGGAGGAGGAAGAAAGGAGGGAGGGAGGAGGAAGGGAGCCGGCGCGCGGUCUAAGUGUUGGCCCUGCCGCGCCAGGCGGGCUGGCGCGGCGAACGCCCGCCCACGUCAGCGAACGCCCGCCCCCGCGCCUGGCGCCGCGACUCGCCGCGCCAGCGUGGCAGGGGGCUGCCGCGCCAGUGCAUGUGGCGAUGCAGCAUGUUCCUGCCGCGCCAGGCGGUCUGGCGCGGCCUAACCGGCCGCGCAAAUAAAACCCCGCUGAGGUUAUUUUUAAAAAUAAAGAAAAAAAAGGGUUAAAAAUAAAAAGAAGUUCGCAUGUAGGUUGGGCAGCUAAGCAAAUUGUUGUGUGGAAAGGUAUUAGCAUUUCAUCAUAUCUUUUUUUUUGCGGGCAAGGCUUUCAUCAUAUCUUUAAGGUGAGAGAAUCACCAAGUCAUCAUUUUAUCGUUAUAUCUCAUAGUUUCGAUAUUAUUGCAGCCAAAUGUUAGUACCAGUGUCUUGGUCCAGUACAGUAAAGCAUGGGGAGUUUUGGCACUAAUUCUACAGAUUUUUGUUUUUUUCUACCUAAAAUAUUGAAAUGAUUGUUUAUCAGUUCUAUUGAGCUCCAUCUCGUACGCAAAAAAAAAAGACAAAGGAACAAUCGGUCCACGACACUGGUUGUAAAAGAAAGCAGACAUAUAGCGCACAUAGGGCAUAUCACUAGGAACAUCUCAGCCGUCAAGAUUUGAGUGAGAGUGGGCAGUCUAGAGCCCACUCGAGCAUUUUUAGGCCAGUCCACACCCGAAUUUCCAUCCAUCCAUUUAAUCCAAGUCCAUCCCCUACCCUAGUCUCUGCAUCAUGGUCAUCUUCACGCACGCGAAACGCAGUAGCCGCACACCCGCAAGCAAACCUUGUAGGUUGCAGCGCCGAAGCACCCAUAGCUUGCUCCACCGAUUUCGGCGAGGCCCUGUGGCAGCAAUCACCACCAGCCUCCCAUUUUUCGACUCUGGCGAACUUGUUCAUUGUGUUGCCAUCCCCACCCCGCCCUCCUUCCUCGUCUCUAGCGGCUCUCGCCACUGGAUACGACCCUGCCGUCCACCCCCACGCUAAAUCACCGUUGGUGCUCUCCCUACUAGUAGGGUGCUUUUGUCCCGGUUAACUUUGGAUUCAUGACUAAAGUGCCUUUAGUACUGGGCCAAAAAUGUGCCACCGAAGGCCACCGCCAGGGGGGGUUGUCGUUGUCAAGAAUCACAGGUCAAGACCGUGCAAGUGAAUUUGUCUUCUAUGCACGUAAGGCUCGGAUGGUUGCACGAGAGGACACGAGGUUUAUACUGGUUCGGGCAGGUAUAGCCCUACGUCUAGUGUGGGAGACUGCUUGUGUUACUCAUGCAGAGUUUGCAGUAGGGGUUACAAACGGGGGAGAGAGGGAAGCUAGUCCCAAAUCUCUUUGGGUGUGCACUGAUGCUCGUGUGGAAGGGUUGUGGGUGGAGAGUAGCUCUGGUUUGCUUGAGAGCCAUCCUUGUCUCGGGCCUCCUGGUCCUCCUUUUAUAGCGUAAGGAGGGCACAGGAGUUAUAAUUGAGCUAGGAGCAGAAGGGGGAGUGAAGAAGGUAAGCAGGGAAGUAAGGAGGGAGAAGGAUCGAGCCCCCGGGGUUGCCGCCUUCCCUUCCGGUCUCUGUCUCCUGUCAGCAUGACCACUGGAGGGGGAUGGUUGUCGUUGGGCCCCAUCGACGAUCCUCCGGUUGGCCGUCGUAGCCGAGCGCACGAGAUAUGCAUGGCGACCGAUCGCUAUAGCCAUGCAUGAUGAUGAUGAUGACUGGUCGCCGUAGUUGUGCACUCGUGGAGGACAGUCGACCUCUGUAGCCUCACGUAUUGACCGGGAGGUGCGGCUAACACGCCCCUGCCGCCAGGUCGAGCGGGAGACCGGGCGGCGCAUCCUCCUUUGUCAGGCGGCGUGGGCGAUGAGUGCCCUAUAACGAAUGUUACAGGGGAGGAUUAGGACGGUGCAGCUGUAGCCCUGUGCAGUCGUGGCUACAGUGUGCCACCCAAAAACUUUGGCCGGUCACGUCGAGGAGCGCGGGCAUCUUUCUGCGUGCUAGAGCCGUAUCGCAUUUAUGGAGAGAUCGGUGGGGGCCUACCAGAUCUGCGCCCUCGUCUGCUAAUCCGCGCCCGCCCUCCGGUGAGGCGAAGCUCUGUCGUGUGAGUCCGGAUGUGCCCAACCUCUAGCACCUGGGGUCAUGCGAGAUGGAGCCUUGCGGCGAGGGGUCGGGCGCGUCCGACCCCUCGCGCCCGACCCCUUGCGCCCGGGGUUAGGUGAGGCGGAGCCUUGCGGCGUGGGGUUGGGCGCAUCCGACCCUUGGACCAUGGGUUGGGCAAGACGAAGUGGAAUAUUCCCUAGCCGUGACAAGUCGGUGGAGGUUACUGUCGCUGCAGGUGGGCCCGGGCCCUUAUGAUCGUUGUUUAAGGAAUAUAAGGAGGUCAUUAAUAUUUCCCCCUAACAGUAGCCCCCGAGCCAUUGGUGGAGCAAAAAUGCUCCUCCAGAGGCUGCAUUCGUUGUUUGUCAAGGACCUUUGUUUGUUCUGCAACCUUUAUUUGAUCAGGGAGAAAGAGUUUCGCUCGUUUGGUUUGGCUGUGGAGUUUGGGUAGGCAAGGUGCUCCGAGGAUGGCUCAGCUCGGGAAGAUUCCCUAUCGUUCCGACGACCACUCCUACUCCAAGACUCCAAAUUGUGACCACACGCGUGGUCGUUGGUUGCGAUGCCAGCCCCCGAGCCCCCGCACAUUGCAGGAGACUGAUCAAGUGGUUAGAUCGACUUUUGAUCGUUACCCCUCAAGCGCCCGUUCGCUGGGAUGGAGGGUGUGAGCCGUGCCACGUUAUCCUCGUUGGAUGAAAGGCGUAUGACCAAAUUGACGCAGCGCCAGAAGAAAAGGCACGCGGCAUCACCAUCAACACCGCACACGUCGAGUACGACCAAGCUGGUGGCAUACUCCAGAUUCCGGAUGACCAGUUCAUAUAGUUCCCGGGUCCAUUCGAUUGGAUCUGGGGGCUCGUUGCCUUUCUUCAGGGAAAAACCAUGAACUUAAAUGCCAGUGGGUCCUGUGGGUCCGGAUGUGCCCGACCUCUAGCGCCUGGGGUCGGGCGAGACGGAGCCUUGCGGUGAGGGGUCGGGCACGUCCGACCCCUUGCGCCCGGGGUCGGGCGAGACGGAGCCUUGUGGCGAGGCGUCGGGCCCCUCCGAGCCCUUGCGCUCGGGGUCGGGUGAGGUGGAGCCUUGCGGCGUGGGGUCGGGCGCGUCUAACCCUUGGACCAUGGGUCGGGCGAGGCGGAGUGGAAUAUUCCCUGGCCUUGCCAAGUUGGCGGAGGUUACUGUCGCUGCAGGUGGGCCCAGGCCCUUAUGACCGUUGUUUAAGGAAUAUAAGUGUUGAUGCUAGAUUUCAACACGUAUGGAAUCGGCAUCGAGAAAGGAGAAGAUUGGCUGAUGCGGCAGAUUGGAAGGUCACGAUUGGGAAUCGGCCGAUUGGUGGUACAAUUGGGGAUCGGCCGAUUGGCGCUACAGUGUUUUGGUAGACGGAGUUGAUGGAGAUCGGCCGAUUGAAAGGCUGGAGCGAUUGGGCCAAUAUGGGCUUAAAAUGGGUCAGAGAAAGAAGAUGGAGGAAGAUUGGCCCAUGGGAAUACAAUAACCAACUCCGAUACGAGUUGUACUUGUAAAUAUUUGUUUUCAUUUAAAAUUAGAGAUAGAUCCUAGUCGGUUAAGAAAUUGGUUGUACCAGGCUAUAAAUAGCCACCUUUACGGAUUUGUAAAAAACACAUCAAUCAAUACAACAAUCUACUAUUUCUUCGUACUUUACUUUCAAGUCGGUGACUUCGCCAAUACUUUUCUUCUUUCACCAGUUCGUACGGGUUGGCGGGGCUACAUCGACACGAUCUCUGGCCGAUUCUGUAAGUUCUGCUUAUCGAGUAAUAUCUAAGCUUUAACUUCGGACGUAUCGCUGUCAUUUCAUUUAGAUUUAUUCACCAGUUAUUGAUAUUUACUAGAAUUAUAGGUUUCAUCUGUUGUUCUAGUUUUAUCACCAGUUAUCCAGCUUGAGAUCUGAACUGUCGGCUUUAUUAUUCAUUAUUCAUUAUUUUCAUAUAGCUGAUUAGAUCUAUUUCAAGUGUUGCUCCUGUAGCGUUAUCUAGUUUACUCUAGUAGUUUUCUUUAUAAUCGCUAUGUGGUUGUUAGCUGUAUCAUAGCCGAUUAUCUUUUUAUAGCAAAUCGGCCGAUUUGCUGAUACGCUUUCUCGAGAUCGGAACCUUAGCCGAUCCGAACCCUUGGAAUUUGACACGUUUUCUUCCUUGCCAAUCAACAGGUCAGAUUGGCUGGCACGCUGCGUGAACCGCACCAGGGCGAUCACCCGAACAGGAGCUAAGCAGAUUCUCCCGGGUCGUGUGUCCGACGCUGAGAGUCAAUCGGCUGACUUUUAGCGUCAACACACUUUUGGCACACCCGGUGGGACCAAUUCGACCUCCAACAUGUCGAAAGCCGCUGAAGUCUCCGAAGACAACGUCAUCGAAGUGACGGAAGUAGAUCUUAAGAAUGACCAGAAGGAAGAGUUGGAAAAGCAGGUAGAACAAUACCGGAAGACAUGCCUGCAAUCUUUCAGUCGUACUAGGAGCGGGGAGACUAUCAAGAAAGCUCCUUUGCCAACUCCCCGCCAGAUCACCAUCGCUGAGGACUCGGGCAAGAUGUCCGAUAUGGUUCAGCAGUUCGUCUAUCAGGCCUUCAUCGAUCAAUCCCCGGUGAUGGCUAACACGGUGUACAAUGCCGUCAUCAGCUCCCUGGCCAAUGGUGUAUCUCAAGGAUAUCAGGGGCCAGCAUACACCCCACCCAUUACGACCCCAGUCAGGAGCUUUCCAAGCACAUCUCACUCGGCUCCUCAGCCGAUGCCAGCUCAACAUGGAGGAUCCAGCACUUCCCUGCCUUCAAUGCAUCCAGGAUACAACAGUGCGCCAUACCUUCAACCACAAGCACCACCACAGCCUGCUCAAGUUUCCUCUGUGCAAUCAGUGCCAUCGAACUUAGCACCUUGGGGGGCACCGUCGACAACAACCGUUCUAGAUCAAUUGGCUGGCUAUGGAGGCCCACCAUUCCAGGCACUAUUCCAAUCGGCCAGUCGGCCGACGGUUCCACAGUAUCAAUCUACCAUGUAAGAAAUCGGCAUGGGGGCAGACGCUACUGAGGUGCUCCGAGGUGCGGUGCCAAUGAUACUAUACGAUGAGACGGCCGGUUCACUGCACCACCAGAUGUCAACCACUCAGCCGGCCACAUUACCACAGAAUCCGCCGCAUGCAUUGAUUAAUCACCCGGUUAUCCCAACGCCGAUCCACCAACACGCGCCAAUUCCCCAGCCAGUAAUUCGUCAGCAGCAAGUGGAUUGGACGGCAAGGAUAGCUAAAGUAAUUCAAGAUCAGUUCAGGUUGAAGCCGAAGGUACAAACUUACACAUACAGGACGCCAUACCCGCCUACCUAUGAUCUACUGCCGUUUCCCCAUCGAUACAAAGUGCCCGACUUCACCAAAUUUUUGGGGCUAGAUGAUACUUCAAUUGCGGAGCACGUGAACAGAUUCAUUAUCCAAUGCAGGGAGGCGGCUGCACAAGAUGCUCUACGACUGCAUCUGUUCUCAGCGUCCCUGUCCGGGUCGGCUUUCGAGUGGUUCACUACGCUACCGCCCAACUCCAUAGUUACUUGGGCCGACCUGGAGAAGCAGUUCCAUAAAUACUUCUACGCGGGGGUCCAUGAGAUGAAGCUUUUGGAUCUGACCACCCUCAGGCAAAGGAGCGACGAGCCAGUGUCCAAUUAUGUGCAGAGGUUCAGAGAGGUCAGAAACAAGUGCUACACCCUAGUCCUGACCGACGCGCAGCUGGCCGAUAUCACCUUCCAAGGCCUCCUGCCGCAUAUCAAAGAGAAGUACGCUUCCCAGGAGUUCGAGAGCCUGAGUCAAAUCGUUCACCGAUUGGCCGGUCAGGAAGUACGCCCUUUUGAUCAGCGGAGAAAUUUUCAGAAGAAGGUGGCAUAUCUAGAGGGAUCUGAAUCUAAGGAGGAAGCGGAAAUCGGUCUAGCAGAGUGGGUUAAAGGAAAAAAGCUGAUAUUGUGUCCUUUCGGGAAAAGAGAACCGGAGGCGUUCGGUUUUGACACGUCAAAGGCCGACAAAAUUUUCGAUCUACUUCACCAAGAAGGGUAGAUAAAACUCUCACCCUACCAUACGAUCCUAUCCGCAGAGCAGCUAAAAAAGAUGAAGUAUUGCAAGUGGCACAAUGCCACGUCCCACGACACGAACGAGUGCAAGAUCUUCCGUCAGCAGAUACAAUCGACCAUCGAGAAGGGCAGGCUCAAGUUCGAAGUCCCAACAAAGCCAGCAAAGCCGAUGAAGGUUGAUCAGCAUCCUUUUCCCACUAACAUGGUUGAUACGGGAAGAAACGCGCUCCAAACCAAGGUGCUAACGUCGGAAUCGGCUAAAAAGAGUGGCGCUGUGGACCCCAGAAAUCAAACUUCUGUGGAAGAUGUCAAGGGGAAGCGACGGGUUGAUGACAAGGGUGAAGGAUCGAAAAGGCCGCGUAGACCUAUUACUUUCCAAUUUCUGCUCAACAAAUAUCAGUGGCAACAAGAAAGUUCGAGAUAUCGCGAAGAGAUGAUACGACGACAUGAAGAUCAUUGGCGAUGCCAGUUCUUCAUCCAUUGUUGGGAAAAUAACCUCAGGUUGCCAUCGGCCUAUAAUUGCCCGGAGUGCAGCGGUCCAUAUAGCAAUAAUCGCCCAUUCAGGAGGUCUCGCUCCAGGGACAGAAGAAUAGAGCCAAUCAGCAAAAACUGGCGCAAACAAGAAGAUCAGCGCCUUUCAGUGCGUGAUCGGCUGGGGGGCAGAAUGGCCUGAUAUGAUCGGCCAAGCGAUAGAAGCGAGCAAUAUGAUAGGCCGGGGGGCAGGUGUGGUGAAGCACCUCGGAUUAACUUAGCUAAAGCACAGUUAAGUCGCCUAACACGUGAAUCACAUGCUUUAAUCAAGUUAAUUCGAGAUCCGUCGGAUUUCAUCUGAUAAAACCACUUAGAUAGGACCGAGUUAGCAUAUCUCACACAAAGGUGAGUCGUUUAAGAGAAUACAACAGAUCAAAUAAACAGUUCAACGAUUUAUUACACACUGGUUCGAAAAUCAAAGUUUUACAAGAUUCAAAAGCAGCGGAAAGAUAAAAUAGUGGAAGCUAGCGCCGGGGUCGGAUGUCCCUGAUGAGGCCGAUUAGGACAUCAAUGAUCCCUCUCCUCACUGUCCGAGGAGGGAUCCCACUUGACCGUCCACCCAGGAGGAAGCUAGGGCGGCCAAGUGCCAAUAGCAGCACACUCAGAAGCUUCAGCUUCACCUGAAAAGAGAUGCCACAACAAGGCUGAGCUUCUAAGCUCAACAAGACUUAACCGACCAGUGGGAAAAACUACUCCACCACUCCAAGACAUGCAAGGCUCUUUGGCUGAGGGGUUUGUUUUGCCAAAAGCGACUACAGUAGGUCCUUACUUUCAAUAUUUUAGCACAGAUUCUGAGUUCAUUAACAAGUCUACAUUGGCAACUUAUCCGAAACAAACAUAGUUUCCAACAUCAAUAUAUAGAACGAGCAUCGAGUUCAUAUCAUCUUCAUGUUCCAUCUUUACUCAGUGUAGCGUAGCAAUCAAGCAGUCUCAAACUGUGAGAGGUAGACAAAUCGAUUCGAGUUUCUUAACCAUGCAUGGCAAACCUAAUCUCACGACAUCCGCGCACCACAAAGGGUCGCUUCCUGCGGUCGGCGGCUCAACUACUACUCCGUCUUCUCGCACCGGAUACAGCUCGUAUGUGCCGUCGGCGAGAUUUUGUUCUACACGGAAAUGCAAAUGCAGGGGUUAAACAUUUAGUCGCUUAUUUGAACAACACUUGCACGCUUUAGCUCAGAAACUUGUAGCAAAGCUACAAUAAAGGUGUGGAAGUCCAAGCUUCAGUUGAUGGAGAACAGACGAAAGGGUCGGGUUGGGAGAAACUUAUGAUCUGACUCUUAGAACUAAGGAAUAACUAUACCGGGGUCCUCAGACUUAACAUAGAGAAGUCCCCAAAAUUUUACAUAGAUACCCUCGGGUCAAAGAAAAAGACACAGCCGAGCCCUCGGGUGAAGCGGACAAGGGUCGGUGAAACAGACAGGGUCGGGUGAGACGGAAAAAGGGGUCGGGCGAAUCAGAAAUGGGUCAGCAGCUUACCUUUAGGCCUACUGGUGAAGUCUUGGGGUCGGGAAGGAACAAACUUAGGCGGAAGGACUCGAGGCGCUAAGGCUUGGGUAGCGGUGGGGUUCGGCAUUGCUCCAGCGGCGGCGGUGCUUCUUGUGGACAACAAGCGAGCUCUAGCACCAUGCGGAGGAACAGGCAGCUGGUGGGUUGGGAAAAGCGGGUUUGAGCGGAGAGGGAAAGUUCCUUAAGAGCUUAAGUGGCAGCGCUCAAGUGCGAGCAGAGUAAGGUGCGGCAAGGUAGCGAUGGCGAAGGAAACUCCGGUAGAGGCUGUGGUACUCCCUUUUAUAGUUGCGUGGAAGAGAGAGAGAGAGAGAGAGAGAGAGAGAGAGAGAGAGUCCGAGCAGCGCAAAGUUCAGGUCGAAAAGGAUGGAGUGCUCUGCCGUGGCAGCGAUUGGGCGGCGCCUCCAUUGGCUGGUGAAGCGGAGCAUCGGGGCGCGCGGUCAGGGAUCCGGGCGAGAUGAUGGGUGCAUGAGGCGAGGCGGUCUAGCGAGGCAGCGGCCAAUCCUCUGUCGCAGCGGCGACAGGGUGCCUUGGCAUGGCCGGUGAGGGUGCUAGCGAGACGAGGUGAGGCGGAAAGGGCUGCAAGGGCUUCUGCACACGAUUGGGAAGGAGGCGCACUGAUCUAUCUUGUCGCGGUCGGCGACUGGGCGAGGCGGCGCUCGUCGGGGAGGUUGAGCCACGCGGCGAAGAGGCUCUGAAGCGGGGCGCACGCGGGCUCUGGCGUGUCUGACUCGAGAGAUUCGUAGGAUCUGGUUUUGGGUCCACCAUUCAGUCUCUAGCUCUCCCAUAGCUCCAAGUUUUGGAGGAACACUGGUUUCAGGACUUAGAGAAGAGCUGCCGUUUGCUGGGUGGGUGCGAUUUUGCUGGGUUUCAGCGGUCGAGCUGAUGGAGACUGUAGAUUUAGGAUUUGCCUGGAGAUUAACUCGGCUGAUUAAACCAAGGUCGUUAUAGCCUACCCAUCUUAAAAAGAAUCUCAUCCUGAGAUUCGGGUGUAAGGGCAAUCGGUGGGGGUGUGCGGUUCUUACCUUCUCAGCUGAAAAGAAAACCUCUGAAGUGCUUGUUCAGAUACUCCUCUGUUUCCCAGGUUGCUUCCUCCUUCGUGUGGUUGCUCCAUAGUAUCUUGUACAUUUUCAUAACCUGCCGUCGGGUGUGUCUCUCCUUAUGGUCGAGGACUUUGGCCGGGUACUUGGCGUAGGUCAGGUCGGGCUCGAUUUGAAGCGGCUCCUGUUCCAAGACCUCAGUUGGGACUUGGACACAUUUCUUCAGUUGGGAAACAUGGAAAACAUCAUGAAUGGCCAAAAGCUGUUCUGGUAGUUGGAUCCGGUAAGCAACGGGCCCGCAAAUUUCCACAAUCUCGUAAGGGCCAAUGUAACGGGGAGCCAAUUUCCCUUUUACUCCAAAUUGUUGCACUCCUUUGGUCAGGGAGACUCGAAGAUAUACGUGAUCACCGAGGUUAAACCGCAGGGGUCUCCUUCUCUUGUUGGAGUAACUCUUUUGUCGAGAUUGGGCUGCCUUGAGAUUUGCCUGAAUCACCCUAACUUGUUCUUCGGCUUCUACUACUAGAUCAGGACCGUAGGUUUGUGUUUCUCCAACUUGUGACCAUCUCAAUGGUGUCCGACACCUCCAACCAUAUAAGGCUUCAAACGGUACCAUCUUCUAGCUAGCCUGGUAGCUGUUGUUGUAGGAGAACUCUGCCAACGGUAAGCACUUAUCCCAAUUCUUAUCAUAGUGGAUGACACAAGCUCGUAGCAUGUCUUCAAGGAUCUGAUUUACUCUCUUAGUCUGACCAUCGGUUUGAGGGUGAUAGGUCGAGCUACGAAUGAGCUUGGUGCCAAGUGAUGCUUGUAGCUGUUCCUAAAAACGUGCUACAAACUAAACACCUCGAUCAGAUAUGAUCGUCCUAGGCACACCGUGCAGAGAAACAAUGCGGUCAAGAUACAACUCUGCAUAUUUCUUGGCCGGGUAGGUGGUGUGAAUAGGAAGAAAGUGGGCAGACUUGGUGAGGCGGUCCACGAUAACCCAAAUGGAGUCAUGCCACUGAAAUGUAGGGGGCAGUCCAACAAUGAAAUCCAUGCUGAUGUCCUCCCAUUUCCAGGAUGGGAUAGGUAGCGGUUGCAGGGUACCGGCUACCUUCAAAUGGCUGGCCUUAACACGUUGGCAGGUGUCACACUCCGAGAUAUAGCAUGCAAUUUCUAGCUUCAUUCUACCCCACCAAAAAGUUUGACGGAGAUCAUGAUACAUCUUAUUGCUGCCAGGGUGGAUUGAGAACUUGGAGAUAUGGGCUUCAUCGAGGAGUUGCUUCUUAAGAGUGGGGUCGGAUGGGACAACAAGUCGGUUCCCAUAGUACACUCUCCCAUUCUCAUCCUGUCGGAAAUGCUUGUACCCUUCAUCUUUCCAGGAAAUCUUCCUUUUAAUUCGCUUUAUUUCCUCAUCCUCUAACUGUGCUGACCCAAUUUGGUCUUCCAAAGCAGACUCAAGGGAAAUAUGAAUGAGGGUUCCAUGGGAAAUAAUUUCCAAACUAAGUUUUCCCAUCUCAUGACACAGAGUUUCGGUGAAGUUGAUUACCGACAAGCAAUUGCAAUGGGUCUUGCGGCUGAGAGCGUCUGCUACUAUGUUGGCUUUGCCGGGGUGAUAAUGUACCUCCAAUUCAUAAUCUUUGAUCAACUCCAACCAUCUUCUUUGGGGCAUGUUCAGAUCGGCUUGAGUGAAGAUGUACUUGAGGCUCUUGUGAUCGGUGUAGAUGUUGCAGUGGGUGCCCAUCAGAUAGUGUCUCCAUAUCUUUAAGGCAUGAACCACUGCUGCUAACUCAAGAUCAUGGGUCAGAUAGUUCAGCUCAUGAGGUCGCAACGCCCGUGAGGCAUAGGCAAUGACUCAGUUGUCUUGCAUAAGAACACACCCAAGUCCAGUGCUAGAGGUGUCACAAUAUACGUCAACCAGCCUGGAAGGGUCGGGUUGAGCUAAAACUAAGGCAGAAGUCAGCAAGCGUUUCAAGGUGUGGAAAGCUUCUUCGCAUUCGUGACUCCACAUAAACUUGACUUCCUUUUUCAGUAGCUCGGUCAUCGGCUUAGCUAUCUUUGAAAAAUCCGGAAUGAAACGCCGAUAGUAGCUACUAGUCCACAAGAUCUGUGUUCUCAUCAGCUGGUCAGCACACAACCUUGGGCGAGUCAAAACCUCAGCCAGUGGGUCCCACUAUGUCCGACCUUAAGUGUCUGGGUCGGGUGAAGCAAAACCGUGCAACAAGGGGUCGGGUGAGGCGGAGACCUGCCGUGAGGGGUCGGGUGCGUUCGACCUCAUGACCCUGGGUCGGCCAUGCUUGGACAGACCCAAAGGAACAGAAACCUACGUGCGGUCACAGCACAAAAACUCACACAACUUUGGCAUCAAAGGCGUGUCCCAAAAAGGAAUUGAUUUUACCAAGAUCAUUACAUUGCUGGUCCUUUAACACAGAGGGAGUACUCAACUCAACGCUAACCCAUUACAUUGCUACCCAAAAUUUAGGUUGCCGAGGAGUACAACAAAAGAUUAGCUUCCUACAUCCUUCAACCUAAAAAUCAUCUAGGUUGCCUACUGAGGGAACACUAUGCAUCGGAGAAGGGGCAUCGCCAUCUUCAAUGUCCAUACUAGAGACUCCCCCUACCUCCUCAGGGUCUUCCUCCUCCUCCGGAGCCAUUUGCUCAUCUAGCUGCAUUUCCAAAGCAUGGAUGGCAUCGAGCUUGGCGUGGUGCUCGUCCAAGUGUGCAUUAGCAACCGCGAGCUCCAUCUCAACCUCCAACUUCUCUUCAGCAAGCUAAGUUAUGUCAUGCUCCAUGUCUGUCACUUCUUCUUUGAGCUCGGAAAUCCUAGUCUGCAUGUCGGAGACCUGUAUGCUCCUUUGGAUAAGCUGAUAUGACUGUUCCACCAAGUCUCUCUUGGCGGUGUUGAAAUGCUCCUGGGUGUCUACAGCUAUCCGAGCCAAGAUAGCCAUAGCCCGUCCUUGAAGCUCAAUCAGUCGGUACAAAGCUGACAUGCACCUUGUUGUGGUAGAGAGGGUGACCAACGAGUGUGAGGCUGCCAACACCUCCAUAUUGUUGACGUGGUCAAGCCAAGCCGGGUCCAGCUGAUCUCUGGCGGGAAACAAACCGAUCGGGUCCAAAAGGACACCAAACGGGUGUAGCCAGCAAAACUGGGUGAGAGCCUGCAAGGCAGCUGACUCCCAAGUGUCCUCAAGGGUGUGACCGUAGGUCGAGACCUCAAGCUGGGGGCACUCGGGCUGUACAGGGGAUGGAGGUACAACCACUUGCACGUUGCACCGCUGCACUCCGUGCUCCUGGUACUCCCGUCCCGCGUAAAGAGGCGGUGACUAGUACCCAAACCACCUCAAGGUAUCCCACAAAAUAGCAGGAAAGCCCUCGAAGUGUUGGCAUGUGGAGUGGGAAGUGCCAUCAGCGCCGCGAAACACAUGUCCGGGAGCAGCCAUCUAGAACCAAGAACCGAAACAAGUGUGAGAUAGAAACCCCAAGGAGAACAGAUCGGGCAGGGAAAAGCACUUGGAUCUCUAACCAUAUCGCAAACUGAGAAGGUAGCUAGAAAUCCUUAAAGCAAAGAAGAGCCUUAAACCAGGGCAAGGUUGUUUUAGGGAGGUGGUUUUACAGAUUUUGCUCAUGACUCAUGCACGACCUACCUCGUCCUCUCAACCAAAAUAACUGCCAAAAGCUUUGGUCUUACGCUGUUAGUGCCGGUGGCAAGGCAACAAGUACGUCGCUCCCUAUAGUAGCUAGUCGAUUUCUAGCAUCGUUCCCUAAGCGAACGCGGUUCGUGUACCUGCAGAAAAGACAACCACAUGAACCUUUCAUGCCAGCACUCAUGAAAGCAUCCCCAAGCAUUACCGUUCACUAUAGAAACAGUACCCAUGCGUUUAACGCUGCAUGGACAGCACAACAACCGUGGAAAUAGGUCCCCUUUGAAUAGAACCAUAUAACCCUUCGCAUGCUCGCGAUGCGGAAUCUGCGCAUGUAUAAUAGACGUGGGCAAACAACCGUGAUGAUCGGCUUGUUGGAAUCAAACCAUACCACCCUUCACAUGAGUUAACAUGUGGAACCUACGCACGUAUGAUAAACGUGAGUGAAACAACCGCGAUGAUAGGGUCCCUUGAAUAGAACUCCCUAUCAACCCUCGCAUACUCGCGAUGCAAAACUCGGCACACGUAUGAUACACGUGGUGAAGUGCUGGAGGUUAGCAAAAUAACUAAUAAGUAAUAGCCACCUAAAAUAACCCCAAAAUCUCCUAGGGCCUCUCGUACUAAGGUCAUCCUUAACGAUCGUAUGAGAUUUUUCAACACCUUUCUUGCAAAUUUUAUUAAAAAAAGGAAGUGUUUUAGGACCUAUUGUGUUCUUUGUCCUGCUAAACUAGCUCUGGUACCAGCUGUGCCGGAGCACCUCGGAUUAACUUAGAUAAAGCACAGUUACGUCGCCAAACACGCGAAUCACAUGCUUUAAUCAAGUUAAUUCGAUGAUUCGUCGGAUUUCAUCCGAUACAACCACUUAGACAGGACCGAGUUAGCAUAGCUCACACGAAGAUGAGUGGUUUCAGAGAAUACAACGGAUCAAAUAAACAGUUCAACGAUUUAUCACACAUUGGUUCGAAAAUCAGAGUUUUACAAGAUUCAAAAGCAGCGGAAAGAUAAAAUAGCGGAAGCUAGCGCCGGGGUCGGAUGUCCCUGAUGAAGCCGAUCAGGACAUCAAUGAUCCCUCUCCUCGCCGUCCGAGGAGGGAUCCCACUCGACUGUCCACCCAGGAGGAAGUGGGGCGGCCAAGUGCCAACAGCAGCACACUCAAAAGCUUCAACUUCACCUGAAAAGAGAUGCCACAGCAAGGCUGAGCUUCUAAGCUCAACAAGACUUAACCGACCGGUUGGAAAAACUACUCCACCACUCCUAGACAUGCAAGGCUCUUUGGCUGAGGGGUUUGUUUUGCCAAAAGCGACUACAGUAGGUCCUUACUUUCAAUAUUUUAGCUCAGAUUCUAAGUUCAUUAACCAGUCUACAUUGGCAACUUAUGCGAAGCAGACAUAUAUAGAACGAGCAUCGAGUUCAUAUCAUCCUCAUGUUCCAUCUUUACUCAGUGUAGCGUAGCGAUCAAGCAGUCUUAAACUGUGAGAGGCAGACGAAUCGAUUCGAGUUUCUUAACCAUGCAUGGCGAUCCUAAUCUCAUGACAUCUGCGCACCACAAAGGGUCGCUUCCUGUGUCGGCCAUCCUCAUCAAUUCCCAGGCACGUGUCAGGUCCAAAACUUCCCUUGGCAUGCAAUACUCCAUAGUCCCGACCUCUUGUCGUACUGUGGCUGCACUUGCACCCACAUGAUGCACCAUGGGAACCUCAUUCCAGGGACAGCAGGGGUAUAAGCCACGCCCUAGUUCAAUCAGGUACUAGGCUUCCCCAUCCCAUACUAGGUAUGAGAUUAGUACUUUCAAACACUGGAUCAUGAACGCCACCACUAUCAGACCUUAAACAGAUUCAAGUAGACAGAGAAGGCGAUCCACCAACCACCAAAAAAGUUCACCAGACCCUACCCCGUCCACCUUCCUUAUAGUUGUAACCGGAAGGAUAACAACCAACUCCUAUUGUUGGAGGUAUGCCCUAGAGGCAAUCAUAGAGAUGAUGAUAUUCCAUUUGUAUCCAUGAUUUGUAUGUUGUGUUCAUUGAAUAUCCAUUGAAGGCUACUUGAAUUGAUUUGCAAUUAUGUGAAUUGUAUGUGAAACUCUUUACUUGUAUGGUUAUUCUAAAGUUGUCCCUAGUCGGAGUUCAUGUGAGGACAAACAUGAAUAUUAGACUAGCACAUGUAUUAGUUGAUGACUAUGUUUCACAAGUCAUGGACAUGGAGAUGUUGAACUAAUAAUGUGGACACAUGUGGAGACAUGUGCUAGGACUGACCCAACACGAGAAGUAGUUCUCUCUUUAAACAACAUAUACGUUUUGUCCUUAGACCUGAGAUUGUCGCAUGUAUUCUAGAUGUGGAUCGACCUACUUAGGGGCUAUCAAACGCUACGCCGUAACAGGGUAGUUAUAAAGGUAGCUUUUGGGUUUGUCAAGAAGCAUGCUAUGAGACAUGGUCAAUCAAGAUGGGAUUUGCCCCUCUCUGAUUGAGAGUGAUAUCUCUGGGCCCCUCGAGUGAUCGGAUCCGAAAAUGCAUGGCCAUGCUACGUACAAUUAAGAGUUAACCUACAAAAGGAUUCUGAAUCACAGGAUCGAGAAAGAGCGGUCGGCUUGAAGCUAGACCAAAUAUCAUGAGGUAAAGGGAAUAGCGUGUAUAUUAUGUUGUGAUGGUUCGUCUGAUAUGAUCUUCGUGUGCGUAUAGGAGUUGGCACGUCUUGCUAGAGGCCGCUACCGACUAUUGGACCGAGUAGGAGGACUCGGGCCAUGUCUAUACGUAUCCGAACCCAUAGGGUCACACACUUAAGGGGCUGGAAGCCCAAUUCGGAUCUGAUCCGAGUUGGAUUAGGUUUAGAAGUACUAAUGGGCCUCGGAUCCAGAGGCCCGUCAGGAACCUCUAUAAAUAGAGGGGUGGGGGCGCCCUAGGGUUUACACCUUUUUGGCGAAACACACCUGCCGCGCCUCCCUCGCCCUCGCCUGUUGCAACUCGCGGAUCUAGCUGUCCGGCUUGCGACGCUUCCUCCCUGCACGUGUGGAUACCUUGGAGGUGUUGCGCCUGCAGCACUUGGACGAGCCGCCGACGAGCCACGACGAGCCAACGACGUGCCGCGGCACCGGGGGCGAUCUUGCUGAACGUGGACGAGCUGCUGAGGAGCUCCUGGACGUUGACAUGAUCGACUACGUACGACUAUGUUGAUCGACUACGUACGACUACGUGAUCGUCUUCACUGCAUCGACGCAUAUCUACAUCUUCCGCACCAGUAGUGCGUUGAGUGGUAAUCCCGUGAUCCUUAUACGGCAGUUAUUCCUUGUUUUACGUGGUAGAAAUUUUGAUUUGCGCUAGCGUAGCCUACCUCGUAUCCCAACAGUCGUAUCAGAGCCGUAGCUGCUUAGUUUUGGAUUCAGGAUGUGUGCAUAUGGAGAUAUGCGAGUUUUCCGUUUGAUCUAUGUCCUGGUUUCGUGCUCUUGCUGCAAUGGUAGUGUAACAACAUACUCCUACCGGUCGGUUUCCGCCAUCGGAGUUAAGUGAUACACGUAAAUCCAGUUGCAGUGAGCGAAGAUCAAUAUGAUUGGUCAAAUCGAAAUCCAAGGUCAUAUGCCAGGCGCAUUAGAUGUGCAAUAGUAGAUGAGAUCUACUGCCGGGGUUGGGAUUUUUGCCGUAUGCGUAUGCUUCGGUAAAUCAGCCGUAACUUUUCGGUACGAUCUCGGAUCGGGGCAAAUUUUAUAUGAAAAUUGAUCUACAGAAAAAGUUACACAUGAAAUUCAACGGCAUAGCCGUUUUCGGUGAAAUUAGAUUUCCCAAAUUCGGCUUGGAAGAUGGAGUUUCGGGCCUCCGAAGUUUGGAACGUCAGGGCGCCUAACUCUGUUUUGCAGGAUGUAUGUAUGUAUCUUGUGAUCAGUAUGGCCCCCUUGUGUAUGUGAUGCAUGUGUGUAACUCAUUCGUGACCUGCGUGUCGCGCGUACGACAACACGGCAGGAGCCAUAUGUGUUGUCACUUUAUUGUAUUUAAUGGUCUGCGUACCAAUCUGUGAUGAUCCAAGCAACUAUGUAAUCUUCAUUACUAGCUUCUUUACUAGCUAUUAGGUGUACUAGCAUGUUCUAAGUUCUUGGAGGACUCAUCACCAGAAGGAUGGCGCACAUGGAACAUGGAGAUGGAGAUCACCAUGGUGAACAGCUUCUAUGGAGAUGGAGAUCACCAUAAGAAAAACGGGCCAUACUGUGUCACAAUUGUGUGAAUGCUAUUCUGUUUAUGUUUUACUUUCUGCAUGCUGUGAUGUUAGAAGUAGAACGAUCCCUCACAAAGUUUAAGUUAGUAUGCCCUCCCAACUAAAACUUGCACCGUCCCAUGUCUUGUACAAUUAGUGGUGGGUCUAUGAAAUUAGGAUGCCACUAGUUUUCCUUGACUAGACGGGUUUGUGUCGGACACUUACACGCAUAAGGGUUGGUUUGCUUAACAAGGUUAUCUUAACGGUUAAGAACCUUGGGGCAUAAAGGUUGGGCGCCGAGACAUAGAGAUGUCACCCAACAACAGGAGUCAUAUGUGAUAUGAUUAGCAAAAGUUGCUUACCGAUCUACCUAGUUUGCUAGCGGUGAUGCUAAAGCUCACUAGUGGACUUGUUAGUUGUGGAUCCUAAAUCACUAAGUUUCAAUAGAGGGAUAUUGAUUUUAGUGGGAGUAGAUUCUGUUAAAAUAGUUUAAUGUGAUUUGCUCUAUCAUGGAUACGUUUGUCUUAGUGUAUUUUGCAUUACUUUGUUGUAGAUUAAAUGGCACCUAGCAGCACUACACCGUUUGCUUUGCGUUCGGUCCUUGAGAAGGACAAGUUGAAUGGAACAAAUUACUCGGAUUGGAUCCGUAACCUGAGAAUCGUUGUCAGGGCUGAGAAAAAGGAAGAUGUUCUAGACAACCCACUACCAGAAGAACCUGCUGAUGAUGCACCCGCUGCUGCUAAGAUGCUUACAAGAAAGCAUGUGAUGCUAACCUCGAAGUAAGCUGCCUUAUGCUUGCUUGCAUGGAACCCGAGCUGCAGAUGCAGUUCGAAACAAACCAUGAGGCGCACGAUAUGAUCGUGGCGCUUAGAGACAUGUUCCAAACACAGGCCAGGACUGAAAGGUUCAAUGUGUCUAAGGCCUUUGUCGAGAGCAAGCUAGCAGAAGGCGCAGCAGUAGGACCACACGUAAUCAAGAUGGUUGGUUACACUCAACGGUUGGAGAAGCUAGGCUUCCCACUAGGCCAAGAGUUGGCCACUGAUUUCAUUCUUUCAUCUCUUCCGCCUAGCUAUGGGAACUUCAUCUCGAACUACCAUAUGCAUGGGACGGAGAAGGAUCUGAAUGAGCUGUGUGGCAUGCUUAAAACAGCAGAGGCUGACAUUAAGAAAAGCGCUAGUACCAGCCAUGUGAUGGCUGUACAGAACAAGCCUACCUUCAAGAAGAAGGGCAAUUCUUAGAAGAAGAAGGGUAAGGCUGGAGUGUCCAAGCCAAACCCAGCGCCCAAGGCUAAAGCUGGACCUGCUCCAGAUAAAGAGUGCUUUUACUGUCAUGAACUUGGUCACUGGAGAGAAACUGCAAGCAGUACCUAGCUUCGUUGAAGAACGGCGGAAGUAAGAGUACUUCUACCUCAGGUACGCUUGUUGUUAAUGUUAUAGACAACAUAUUUCUCGCUGAUACAAUUAUUAAUUCUUGGGUAUUUGAUACCGGAUUGGUUGCUCAUAUUUGCAAUUCGAUGCAGGGAAUGAUAAGAAGUAGAAGCGUGGAAAGAGGAGAAGUUGAUUUCCGCGUGGGCAAUAAUGCAAGAGUUGCUGCGUUGACCGUCGGGACGAUGCAACUCCACCUCCCGUCAGGAUUUAUUAUGGAGUUGAAUAAUUGUUAUUUUGUUCCUAGUUUAAGUCGAAACAUUUUAUCUCCUUCAUGCUUGAUGAAGGAUGGUUAUUCAUUUGCGAGUGAAAACAAUGGUUGUGUGAUCUCUAAGAAUAAUAUGUUUAUGGCUUUUGCACCCAUUGUGAAUGGAUUAUUUGUUUUAAAUCUUGAUGGUUCACAUGUCUGUAAUGUAAGUGCUAAAAGGCCUCGGCCUAAUGAUUUGAGUCCUACCUACUUGUGGCAUUGUCGUUUGGGUCAUAUAAGUGAAAAGCGCAUGAAGAAGCUCCAUUCUGAUGGACUUCUAACUUCGUUUGAUUUUGAAUCAUACGAGACAUGUGAGGCUUGCUUGCUAGGCAAGAUGACCAAGACGCCUUUCACAGGAUUUCCUGAGAGAGCAGUAGACUUGUUGGAACUCGUACAUAGUGAUGUAUGCGGACCAAUGAGCACGACGGCUAGAGGAGGAUUCCAAUACUUCAUAACUUUCACUGAUGAUUUUAGUAGAUAUGGCUAUGUCUACUUGAUGAGGCACAAGUCUGAAACCUUUGAAAAGUUCAAGGAAUUUCAGAAUGAAGUUGAAAAUCAGCGUGGCAAGAAAAUUAAGGCCUUACGAUCUGAUCGUGGAGGCGAGUAUUUGAGCCACGAGUUUAGCAAUCAUCUAAAGAGUUGCGGAAUUGUUCCACAACUUACGCCGCCUGGAACACCUCAGAGAAACGGUGUGUCCGAGCGACGUAAUCAAACUUUGUUAGACAUGGUUCGAUCAAUGAUGAGCCAGUCGGACCUACCAUUGUCAUUUUGGGGAUACGCUCUAGAAACAGCAGCUUUCACACUUAAUAGGGUACCAUCUAAAUCCGUAGUUAAGACACCAUAUGAGAUAUGGACUGGAAAGGUUCCUAGUUUGUCUUUUCUAAAGAUUUGGGGAUGUGAAGUGUUUGUCAAGCAACUUCAGUCGGACAAGAUCACACCCAAGUCGGAUAAGUGCAUUUUCGUGGGAUAUCCAAUGGAAACUUUGGGAUAUUAUUUCUACAACCGAUCAGAAGGCAAAGUGUUUGUCGCUUGGAAUGGGGUUUUCCUAGAGAAAGAGUUUCUCAAAGGAGAAAAGAGUGGAAAGACAAUGCAUCUUGAAGAAGUUCAAGAUGAGCCGAUCGGGCAAGAAUCAAUGAGUGAUGCUAACGUAGCAGAACAAGUUGAGAUACCCAUGGCAAGAGAAGCAUCGCCACAACCACGAAGGUCGGCAAGGCUCCGCGAAAUGCGGGAAAUAUUAUUGUCGGACAAUGAUGAGCCUGCGACAUAUGCAGAAGCAAUGAUGGACCCAGACUCCGAAAAAUGGCAGAAUGCCAUGCAAUCCAAAAUAGAGUCCAUGGGAGACAAUCAAGUUUGGAACUUGGUUGACCCGCCUGAUGGUGUUAAAGCCAUAGAGUGCAAGUGGAUCUAUAAGAAGAAAAAGGACAUGGAUGGAAAUGUUCACAUCUAUAAAGCAUGACUUGUCGCAAAAGGUUUUUGACAAGUUCAAGGAGUUGACUACGACGAGACCUUCUCGCCCGUAGUGAUGCUUAAGUCCAUUCGGAUUAUUCUAGCUAUAGCUGCAUAUUUCGAUUAUGAGAUAUGGCAGAUGGAUGUCAAGACAGCUUUCCUGAAUGGAAACCUAGCUGAGGACGUGUAUAUGAUACAGCCCGAGGGUUUUGUCGAUCCAAAAAAUGCUGGAAAGGUAUGCAAGCUUCAGAGAUCCAUUUAUGGAUUGAAGCAAGCAUCUAGGAGUUGGAACAUUCAUUUUGAUGAAGUGGUCAAAGGGUUUGACUUCACCAAGAACGAAGAAGAGUCUUGUGUUUACAAGAAGGUUAGUGGGAGCUCUAUAGUAUUUCUAAUCUUAUAUGUGGAUGACAUAUUACUGAUUGGAAAUAACAUUCCUAUGCUUGAGUCCGUAAAGACUUCACUGAAAAAUAGUUUUUUGAUGAAGGACUUAGGGGAAGCAGCAUAUAUUCUGGGCAUUAAGAUCUAUAGAGAUAGAUCGAGAAGGCUUAUAGGUUUAAGCCAAGAUACUUACAUUGACAAAGUGUUGAAGCGGUUCAGCAUGGAAGAGGCAAAGAAAGGGUUCUUGCCUAUGUCACAUGGCAUACAUCUCAGCAAGACUCAGUGUCCUUCGACUGCUGAUGAGCGGGAUCGCAUGAGUAGAGUGCCAUAUGCCUCGGCUAUUGGAUCUAUCAUGUAUGCAAUGAUAAGUACUCGCCCAGAUGUUUCAUAUGCGCUAAGUAUGACAAGCAGACACCAGUCUGAUCCAGGUGAGAGUAACUGGACAGCGGUGAAAAACAUUCUUAAGUACUUGAGAAGGACUAAAGAUAUGUUCCUCGUCUAUGGAGGUGAGGAGGAGCUCGUUGUAACAGGUUACACCGAUGCUAGUUUCCAAACCGACAGAGAUGAUUCAAAGUCACAAUCAGGAUUUGUGUUCACGCUAAAUGGUGGUGCUGUUAGUUGGAAGAGUUCCAAGCAGGAGACGGUGGCUGAUUCUACGACAGAAGCCGAGUACAUCGCGGCUUCGGAAGCCGCGAAGGAAGGUGUUUGGAUAAGGAAUUUCCUCAUUGAGCUUGGUGUGUUCCCGAAUGCGUCCAGCCCAUUGAAUCUCUACUAUGAUAACAAUGCUAUGAUUACAAUGGGGCAAUUGCGCAAGCAAAGGAGCCAAGGAACCACCAGAAGAACAAACACGUAAUGUGGCGAUUUCAUCUCAUUCGAGACUUCGUUAACCGGGGUGAGAUCAAGAUAUGCAAAAUACACACGGAUCUGAACAUUUCUGAUCCAUUGACAAAACCACUCCCGCAGGCUAAGCAUGAUGCGCAUGUAAGAGCUAUGAGUAUUAGGUACCUUCUAGAUUGACUCUAGUGCAAGUGGCAGACUGUUGGAGGUAUGCCCUAGAGGCAAUCAUAGAGAUGAUGAUAUUCCAUUUGUAUCCAUGAUUUGUAUGUUGUGUUCGUUGAAUAUCCAUUGAAGGCUACUUGAAUUGAUUUGCAAUUAUGUGAAUUGUAUGUGAAACUCUUUACUUGUAUGGUUAUUCUAAAGUUGUCCCUAGUCGGAGUUCAUGUGAGGACACACAUGAAUAUUAGACUAGCACAUGUAUUAGUUGAUGACUAUGUUUCACAAGUCAUGGACAUGGAGAUGUUGAACUAAUAAUGUGGACACAUGUGGAGACAUGUGCUAGGACUAACCCAACACGAGAAGUAGUUCUCUCUUUAAACAACAUAUACGCUUUGUCCUUAGACCUGAGAUUGUCGCAUGUAUUCUAGAUGUGGAUCGACCUACUUAGGGGCUAUCAAACGCUACGCCGUAACAGGGUAGUUAUAAAGGUAGCUUUCGGGUUUGUCAAGAAGCAUGCUAUGAGACAUGGUCAAUCAAGAUGGGAUUUGCCCCUCUCUGAUUGAGAGUGAUAUCUCUGGACCCCUCGAGUGAUCGGAUCCGAAAAUGCAUGGCCAUGCUACGUACGGUUAAGAGUUAACCUACAAAAGGAUUCCAAAUCACAGGAUUGAGAAAGAGCGGUCGGCUUGAAGCUAGACCAAAUAUCGUGAGGCAAAGGGAAUAGCAUGUAUAUUAUGUUGUGAUGGUUCAUCUGAUAUGAUCUUCAUGUGCGUAUAGGAGUUGGCACGUCUUGCUAGAGGGCGCUACCGACUAUUGGGCCGAGUAGGAGUACUCGGGCCAUGUCUAUACGUAUCCGAACCCAUAGGGUCACACACUUAAGGGGCUGGAAGCCCAAUUCGGAUCUGAUUCGAGUUGGAUUAGGUUUAGAAGUACUAAUGGGCCUCGGAUCCAGAGGCCCGUCAGGAACCUCUAUAAAUAGAGGGGUGGGGGCGCCCUAGGGUUUACACCUUUUUGGCGAAACACACCUGCCGCGCCUCCCUCGCCCUCGCCUGUUGCAACUCACGGAUCUAGCAGUCCGGCUUGCGACGCUUCCUCCCUGCACGUGUGGAUACCUUGGAGGUGUUGCGCCUGCAGCACUUGGACGAGCCGCCGACGAGCCACGACGAGCCAACGACGAGCCGCGGCACCGGGGGCGAUCUUGCUGAACGUGGACGAGCUGCUGAGGAGCUGCUGGACGUUGACGUGAUCGACUAUGUACGACUACGUUGAUCAACUACGUACGACUACGUGAUCGUCUUCACUGCAUCAACGCAUAUCUACAUGUUCCGCACCAGUAGUGCGUCGAGUGGUAAUCCCGUGAUCCUUAUACUGCAGUUAUUCCUGGUUUUACGCGGUAGAAAUUUUAAUUUGCGCUAGCGUAGCCUACCUCGUAUCCCAACACCUAUAACUCGCGAGUGAUAGGAAAUCACUCGACUUUUACCGAGUCCUAUUAAGUAUUGCAACUACUCGGACUUAUCAGACUAGUGUUCAGAUCAAGGGAAUUAAGUUAUGCAUCUAUGGUAUCAAACAACUCCUAUAACGUAAAUGCACAUACAUACGAAAGAAGGCAUGUGCAAUUUUAGAAAGUUGGGGUUAUGCUCCAGGGCUUGCCUUCGAGCAGAGCGGAGGCAAACUUGUCUUCUGCGGGUUUUGCUUCAGCUUCUACGGUCGGCAGCUCAGCUACUACUCCGUCUUCUGGCACCGGAUGCAGCUCGUAUGUGCCGUCGGCGAGAUUUAGUUCUACACGGAAAUGCAAAUGCAGGGGUUAAACAUUUAGUCGGUUAUUUCAACAACACUUGCACACUUUAGAUCAGAAACUUGUAGCAAAGCUAUAGGAAAGGUGUGGAAGUCCAAGCUUCAGUUGAUGGAGAAUAGAUGAAAGGGUCGGGUUGGGAGAAACUUAUGAUCUGACUCUCAGAACUCAGGAAUAACUGUACCGGGUCCUCAGACUUAACACAGAGAAGUCCCCAAAAUUUUACACAGAUACCCUCGGGUCAAAUAAAAAGAUACAGCCGAGCCCUCGGGCAAAGCGGACAAGGGCCGGCGAAAUAGACAGGGUUGGGCGAAACGGAAAAAGGGGUCGGGCGAACCGGAAAGGGGUCAGCAGCUUACCUUUAGGCCUACUGGUGAAGUCUUGGGGUCGGGAAGGAACAGACUUAGGCGGAAGGACUCGAGGCGCUAAGGCUUGGGCGGCGGCGGGGUUCGGCAGUGCUCUAGCGACGGCAGUGCUUCUUGUGGACAACAAGCAAGCUCUACCACCGUGCGGAGGAACAGGUGGCUGGUGGGUUGGGAAAAGCGGGUUUGAGCGGAGAGGGGAAGUUCCUUAAGAGCUUAAGCGGUAGCGCUCAAGUGCGAGCAGAGUAAGGUGCGGCGAGGCAGCAAUGGUGAAGGAAACUCCGGUAGAGGCUCUGGUACUCCCUUUUAUAGUUGCGCGAAAGAGAGAGAGAGAGAGAGAGAGAGAGAGAGAGAGAGAGAGUCCGAGUAGCGCGAAGUUCAGGUCGAAAAGGAUGGAGUGCUCUGCCGUGGCGGCGAUUGGGUGGCGCCUCCAUUGGCCGACAAAGCGGAGCUUCGGGGACAGGGUCUUUGGUCAUUGGGCACUGGAGACAAAGCCGGCGCAGGCGCGGUUUUGUCGGGAUGAAGGGUUGGCAAGGGCGAGCACGGUAUGGUCGCGUCAAGUGGCGGAUUGGGUGCGGCGACUCGACUAGCGUGUGACAGGAAGGAAGGAAAGGCACUGCAAGCGAGGUUGCAGCAGGCGAGGUGACAGGGCGAGCAGCGACGCUAGCAAAUGCAGAUCAGCGGCUUUGCCAGGGCACGUUACUAGCGAGGCGGAAAAAGGAGCUGUCUCUACCGGAGCCGUGGUUGGUGAGGACGGUAUCGUCAUGGAGCGCGCGCGUGGGCAGCGCGACUGUAGGGGAGACGAAAAAGUCGGAAGGCAUCGGGGCGCGCGGCUGGGGAUCCGGGCGAGAUGAUGGGUGCGGGAGGUGAGGCGGUCUGGCGCGGCAGCGGGCAAUUCUCUAUAGCAGCGGCGACAGGGCGCCUUGGCGCGGCCGGCGAGGGUGCGAACGAGAUGAGGCAAGCCGGAAAGGGCUGCAGGGGCUUCCGCCCGCGAUUGGGAACGAGGCGCGCUAAUCUAUCUUGUCGUGGCCAGCGACUGGGCGAGGCGGCGCUCGUCGGGGAGGUUGAGCCACGUGGCGGAGAGGCUCUGAAGUGGGGCGCACGCAGGCUCUGGCGCGUCUGACUCAAGAGAUCUGUGGGAUCUGGUUUUGGGUCCACCAUUCAGUCUCUAGCUCUCCCACAGCUCCAAGUUUUGGAGGAACACUGGUUUCAGGACUUAGAGAAUAGCUGCCGUUUGCUGGGUGGGUGCGAUUUUGCUGGGUUUUCAGGAGUCGUGCUGAUGGAGACUGCAGAUUUGGGAUUUGCCUAGAGAUUAACUCGGCUGAUUAAACCAAAGUCGUUACAGCAGGUCUGAUCAGCAUGACUGACCAGAGAGCAGAGUCAGCGCACACGAUCGACUACAAGAGAUGGCCGAUGCUCGGGUGUCAGAUGAAAAUCCCCUGGGAUGGGAGCCAGACUGGGAGCGCGCCAGACCGCCAGCCAAAUCGGUGAACCCCAGGUGGUGCCCUGACAGAUUGACCAAAAUCCCAAAAACGAAGAAUCCAACGCCUGCGCCAAUGCGAACAAUAGGAAGAAGAGCAGAAGCAGAUGGUGGAUAAGAAGGAUGACAGGUCUCGAGUCUGGCGCCCCAAAAGAAACAACAAUGAGGAAGAUGGCAACCAGGAAUCGGCAGCUGACGUUAGCAUGGUGUUCAUCUUGCCGAUGGAGUUCAUGGCUCCCGCCGAUUGGAAUGACACGACGAAGAUGGAGGAACAAAUGGCGGAAUUGGCUUUGGAGCCAAUGACAACUACUUUUGAGAAACCAGAAGAUGAAAAAUGACAACACCUUAAGGCACUGUUCCUCAAAGGGCACGUCAACGGUCAGCCCGUCACCAGGCUACUAGUAGAUGGAGGCGCUGCAGUCAACAUCAUGCCGUACGCCAUGUUCCGAAAGCUGGGUAUAAGCGAUGAGGAUCUAACCAAGACGGACAUGAUGCUCAAGGACUUCGAAGGCAACGUAUCCCCCACCCACGGAGCACUUUGCGUCGACCUCACCAUCGGCAGUAAGACCCUUCCCACUACCUUCUUUAUUAUUAAUGGCAAAGGGUCCUACAAUAUGUUGCUCGGUCACGAUUGGAUACAUGCAAAUUGCUGUGUCCCAUCUACAAUGCAUCAAUGCGUCGUGCAGUGGGUCGGCGACAACAUCGAGAUAGUCAUCGCCGAUUCCGCCUACAGUGUUGCUGCGGCCGAUAUGCAACAGUGGAGCUGCGAACACGUCAAGUGCAUAUCCGGAAGAACUUGGGACACCGAUUUCCUGAAAGUGUCCGAUUUUGGCCUACAGCCGAUUUGAGCAGUCGGCUCUGAAGAUUCAGAUUAGAUGGAUCAAGUCGUCCGAGAAGAUGGGAAGCUGGGGCACGGGUUUACUAACGGAGAAAGGAGAUGAUAGAUCUAGGUGAUGGCACCAAACCGAGGCCGACGUCCAUUAGUGCUAACUUGGAUCCAGAAUACAAGUGUAAAUUGACAAAUUUAUUGAAAGAAUUUAAAGAUUGUUUUGCUUGGGAAUAUCAUGAGAUGCCUGGUUUAGACCGGUCCACUGUUGAAGACCCGUUGCCUAUAAAGCUGGGAUAUCGGCCAUAUCAGCAGCCCGCGCGAUGAUGCAAUCUUAAAAUUCUACUUGACAUAAAGGCCGAAAUUACAAGACUAUGUGAGGCAAAAUUUAUUCGGCAAUGCCGUUACGCUGAGAGGAUCUCUAACAUUAUACCCGUAUACAAGAAAAACAGAAAACUGCGCGUAUGCAUUGAUUUCAGGAACCUUAAUCAGGCCACGCCGAUGGAUGGAUAUCCGAUGCCGACAGUAGAUGUGUUGAUAGAUGCCGCCGCAGGAUGUAAAGUCAUCAGUUUCAUGUACGGAAAUGCCGGGUACAAUCAAAUAUUAAUGGCCGAAGAAGACAUCUCAAAAAUGGCCUUCAGGUGUCCGGGCCACCUCGGUUUAUUCGAGUGGGUAGUAAUGACCUUUGGAUUAAAGAAUGAUGGCGCUACAUAUCAACGGGCUUUGAAUUACAUCUUCCACAAGCUCAUCGGCGUCCUGGUGGAAAUCUACAUCGACGUCAUCGUGGUCAAAUCAAAAGGGCAUCAAAAACAUCUAGCCGAUCUGCGAGAAGUAUUGGAAUGCACGAGGAAACAUGGGUUGAAAAUGAACCCGAACAAGUGUGCAUUUGGCGUAUCGGCCGGGUAGUUCCUAGGAUUCAUGGUCCACGAGCGCGGGAUAGAAGUCAACCGGAAGAUCAUAGCGGCCAUCAACAAGGUUGUAGCCCCACAGAACAAAACUGAGUUGCAAUCUCUAAUUGGCAAAGUUAACUUUAUCAAAAGAUUCAUAUCCAACUUGUCUUGGCGUAUUCAAGCCUUCACGCCGUUAUUGAAGUUAAAGCCCAACCAGGAAUUUGUGUGGAGAGAGGAACAACGGAAAGCAUUGGAAGACAUCAAGCAAUACCUGAUCUCGCCACCUGUAUUAGUCCCACCACAAGCUGACAAACCAUUCAGACUAUACUUAUCGGCCGACGAAUGGGCUAUCAGAUCAGCGCUGGUACAGGAGUUCGAAGGGAAGGAACGGGUGAUAUAUUAUGUUAGCAGAAGACUUCUGGACGCCGAGACAAGAUACUCACCGGCAGAGCGGCUGUGCCUAUGUCUUUAUUUCUCAUGUACCAAGCUUAGGCACUACCUUUUGUCGGCAGAAUGCAUAGUCGUAUGCAAAGACGACGUGGUAAAGUACAUGCUAUCAUUGCCAAUUUUGAAAGGACGAAUCGAAAAAUGGAUCCUGGCACUGUCAGAGUUUGACCUAAGGUAUGAAUCGGUCAAAGCUGUCAAGGGUCAAGUCAUGGCUGAUUUCAUGGCCCAACACUGCGGACCAGAAAUCAUUGUCGUGGAGCUGGCUCCAUGGACUCUAUACUUUGAUGGUUUGUCAUGUGGCGCCGGAUCAGGAAUCGGCAUCGUCCUCAUAUCGCCUCGGGGGGCAAGCUAUGAUUUCUCUCUGCCGAUAGAAGCUUUCGUGACCAAUAAUCAGGUGGAAUACUGAGCUGUCCUAAAAGGCAUUCAAUUAUUGAGAGAGAUCAAAGGUGAUGCUAUGGAGAUUUUUGGGGAUUCCAUGCUCAUCAUAGACCAGCUAAUAGGAGAUCAGAAUGUAAAGAUGACGUCCUGUGGAUUUACUACAAAGAUUGCCUCCAACUUUUAAAUAAGUUUAAGACUGCAGUUAUUGAGCAUAUUCCUAGAGAUUAUAACGAAGAGGCCAAUAGGCUCGCACAACACGCGUCCGGGUAUCGGCCAAUUCAGGGCGCCCUGACUCUGGAACUCGCAGCCGACGAUUGGCGAAAGGAGAUCGCUGAUUACUUAAGGGACCCGUCCAAGAAAGUGGAUCGGCGAAUACGUUUUCAAGCCACAAAGUACGUGCUACUCGAUGAUAAUUUGUUUUACCGAACGAUUGAUGGAGUUUUGCUCAAAUUCCUAGGGACGGAAGAGGCACAGAUCCUGAUGGGAGAAAUCCACGAAGGGGUGUGCGGAGCCCACCAAUCGACCCAUAAAAUGAAGUGGAUGAUUAGGAAUAACGGAUAUUAUUGGCCGACGAUACUCAAAGACUGCUUCAAAUAUUAUAAAGGUUGUCAAGACUGUCAGAAGUUUGGCAACGUGCAACGUGCACCAGCAUCGACUAUGAAUCCGAUAAUCAAGCCAUGGCUGUUCAUGGGUUGGGGAAUAGACCUCAUCGGACAAAUUUAUCCUCCUUCAAGUAAGGGGCACAAGUUCAUAUUGGUAGCCACUGACUACUUUACCAAAUUGGUGGGGCAAUCCUACUAAAGGCUGUGACAUCGGCCGCUAUGGUCGAUUUUGUAAGAGACCACAUUGUUUAUCAUUUUGGGAUUCCUCAAACCAUCACAACCGACCAAGGGACGAUGUUCACUUCGGAAGAGUUCGAGGAAUUCACUGCUGAUAUGGGGAUCAAGUUGCUAAAUUCUUCCCCAUAUUAUGCUCAAGCUAACGGCCAAGCUGAAUCGUCCAAUAAAGGGAUAAUUAAGUUAAUCAAAAGGAAGAUCGAAGAACAACCUAAGAAGUGGCACUUGUAAUUGACCGAGGCUUUAUGGGCUUACAGGAUGGCCUACCACGGGGCUACUAAGAUAUCCCCUUAUCAAUUGGUGUAUGGUUACGAAGCAGUGUUGCCUUGGGAAUUAAGAACAGGGUCAAGACGUACAUCGCUUCAAGAUCAGUUGACGGCCGACAACUAUUCCUCACUCAUGAAAGGAGAACUCAAUGAUUUGGCAGGUAAAAGAUUGAGGGCUUUGAUCAGCAUCGAGGAGAAUAAAAAGAGAGUGGCCAGGUGGUACGACAAGAAGGUCAAAGUCAAGCAAUUCUCCCAAGGAGAUUUGGUAUGGAAGUUGGUGCUGCCGAUAGGGUCUAAAGAUCCCAAAUUUGGUAAAUGGUCGCCCACUUGGGAAGGGCUGUAUAAAAUCGGCCGAUGCGCUCCAAGAAACGCGUAUAUACUGGAGACAAUCGAAGGAGAAGAAUUCACAAGAGCCUUGAAUGGGAGGUACCUAAAAAGAUACUAUCCCAGUAUAUGGGUCGAUGCAUAAGUAGUUACAGAGUAUAUCAAGAUGAUGCGGCUAGCUCCUAGUAGAUCUUGUAGCCGGUGCAAGAACAACAUCGCCUCAAGAACAAUACAUUCGUUCAAGUUGUCCGAUUUAUUAUUCGGUGCGAACGAUAGGGUACAUGGCCAACACGGUACAAGUCACCCUUAGAACAAAAAGUACCAACACGCCUACUGACCAUGCUUUUUCUUAAUUUUCCUCUCUACCCGAUCUAGUUCUAUCAAGAGAUGGAUGCUUCUCUCCUCCACAUCCUUCAUCGCGGCUUCAGCCUCAACUUGACGGGGAAGAGGAUGGCUCCGGUCAAGCAGUGGUUGAGAUAUUCCCGCUGCAGCGUCUUCAAGGGCGAUUGGGCGAGGGAGCGGAUGACUCCUUUCUAUUGGCGGCCGCCUAGAGCAGUUGGCGUCGAUGUGAUCCCAGAUCCGCUUGACUUCUGCAUGAACAUGAUCCCUGAGUUCUUCAUGGUGAGCUCUAAUCAAAUCCUUGUCCUCCUGCGACAACGGUUCAUCGGAGUGCAUGAUCUCGAUUUCCUUGUCCUUUCUAUUAGGGAUUGUUUAAAUGGUAUUCUGUGAGUUUCUAAGUUUAUCAGAUCGAUUGGGUCUGGACUUCCCAUAGGGCCUAAGCAAAUGAGACCGGGAGCUUCGGAAAGGCGAAUGGUGAUUUGGUGCCUAACCGCCUAAAAAGGUAAUAAGGGAAGAACUAAGAAUGGAUCUAAAAGCCAAUGCCUGGGCGGUAAAGGGUAAAAAGAAAAGUUCCGGGUAAAUACCUCCGGGAUGAAGGUCAUCGUCGCUGACGGGGCUGCUAGUAGAGCUGCCACCGCCGAAGCCGCUGGUGGGACCUAGGUCGCCGAUGGAGCUGCUGCCGCCGCCGUUGGAGCUGCCUCCGGAGUUUCUGUUGCUGGAGGGGUUGCCGAUGGUGUCGCCAUUGUUAAGAUGAGGCGAAAUGUGGAUGAACUAGGGGGUCGCCGGAGGGUUUGCUUGGAAGUCAAGAGGGUGCCAGAAGAAGAUGGAAACUAGUGCGCCAAAGAAAGGAAGUUACUGGCUUGUGAAGAAGAAGUGCGGGACGUGCUAGUAUUUAAGGACGGUUCGAGAAGGGGUAAAGUCAGGAUUUUUACCGCGCCGUCUACACAAAUUUUGGGGGAGUGGUUGUCCUAGGCGCCCAUUUCGAAACGAUUGCAAUCAUCAGGUAGGAGACCGCGAAAUGGAAGGAUAUUUUUAAUGCGUUUGUUUCGGAGGAGAAGUUGAAAAGGAAUUUCAAAGUAAAAGCUAUGUUUUACUCCGAAACGGGGGGGCAUGUGUUGACGCUAGAUUUCGACACAUAUGGAAUCGGCGUCGAGAAAGGAGAAGAUUGGCUCAUGCGGCAGAUUGGAAGAUCACGAUUGGGAAUCGGCCGAUUGGUGCUACAGUUGGGGAUCAGCCGAUUGGCGCUACAGUGUUUUGGCAGAUGGAGUUGAUGGAGAUCGGUCGAUUGAAAGGCUGGAGCGAUUGGGCCAAUAUGGGCUUAAAAUGGGUUAGAGAAAGAAGAUGGAGGAAGAUUGGCCCAUGGGAAUACAAUAACCAACUCCGAUACGAGUUGUACUUGUAAAUAUUUGUUUUCAUUUAAAUUAAGAGAUAGAUCCUAGUUGGUUAAGAAAUUGGUUAUAACAGGCCAUAAAUAGCCGUCUUUAGGGAUUUGUAAAAAACACAUCAAUCAAUACAACAAUCUACUAUUUCUUCGUACUUUACUUUCAAGUCGGCAACUUUGCCAAUACUUUUUCUUCUUUCACGAGUUCGUACGGGUUGGCGAGGUUGCAUCGACAUGAUCUCUGGCCGAUUCUGUAAGUUUCACUUAUCGAGUAAUAUCUAAGCUUUAACUUUGGGUGCAUCGCUGUCGUUUCGUUUAGAUUUAUUCACCAGUUAUCGAUAUUUACUAGAAUUAUAGGUUUCAUCUGUUGUUCUAGUUUUAUCACCAGUUAUCCAGCUUGAGAUCUGAAUUGUCGGCUUUAUUAUUCAUUAUUCGUCAUUUUCAUAUAGCCGAUUAGAUCUAUUUCAAGUGUUGCUCCUGUAGCGUUAUCUAGUUUACUCUAGUAGUUUUCUUUAUAAUCGCUACGUGGUUGUCGGCUGUAUCAUAGCCGAUUAUCUUUUUAUAGCAAAUUGGUCGAUUCGCUGAUACGCUUUCUCGAGAUCGGAACCUUAGCCGAUCGGAACCCCUAGAAUUUGGCACGUUUUCUUCCUUGCCAAUCAACAGAUCAAAUUGGCUGGCACGCUGCGCGAACCACACCAGGGCGAUCACCUGAACAGGAGCUAAGCAGAUUCGCCCGAGUCGUGUGUCCGACGUUGAGAGUCAAUCGGCUGACUUUUAGCAUCAACAAUAAGGAGGUCGUUAAUAUUUCCCCCCAACAGGGGGGUAGUAGGGUGGCGGCUUUAGUCCCGGUUGUAAAGACCAACCGGGACUAAAGCCCCUUUUAGUCCCAAUUGUAACGGCUAUAAAAAUUGCACCGACGCCCCCCUUGUCCCGGUUGGAAAUUCCAACCCAGACAAAAGACCCCCUUUUGUCCCAGUUGGUAAUUCCAACCGGAAUAAAAGGGGGGUCUUUUGUCCCGGUUGGAAAAAUCACCAACCGAGACAAAGGGGGGAUACUUUGUCCCGGUUGGAAUUUCCAACAGGGACAAAAUCUCCUCCCCUAUAAAUCCAACCAGCCUAAAACUCUUCUUCCUCCCCCAACCAGAGCCACUCCACCAGAGACCGAGAGCUUCAUCCUCCUCUCCAUGGCGAGCAAGCAACCUUAGGGGAGGUGCUGCCCGAAUUUUUUUCCUCAUUUUCAUGGGGAUUUCACUCAUCCAAAGUGUUGUGAAGGUUAGCUACUUCAUCCUUCCUUCAUUUAUUGUUAUUAUGCUUUGUUUUAUGCUUUCUAGAGGGAGAAAAAUAAGUUUUUUAGAAUGAAGGAGAAUGGAGAGGAUUUUUAUUUAUACAUAUUUUUGAGCUAGAAUUUGAUGGAUAGCUUGUUAUAUAUGAUUCAUAUUAGUUAAAAGAACUUGAUCAAUAUUAGGUAUGUGAGGAAACAUAAAGUAAAUGUAUUUUUAAUAUUUAGUCAUUGCAAUAAAAUUAAGGUAAAUAAAUUUUAGGUGUAAGAAAUAGAAUUUGGUCAUUGCUACAAUUUUUCAUGUCACUGUAAUUUAACAAUAAUUGCAUUUAUUUGACCAAUAAUUUAUUUAUCUCAGGUUUAUUGCAAUAAUUAAAUAUUAUAAACACACUUACUCUAUUUUUCACGUAAUAUGAUGCAGACAGACUGGCAAUGGAUGUACCACCACCGUUUCUCCAAUCCCAGAGAAUAGUGUUUGCACAUGGCAUGGAUGUGCUUACACUAUUCUCUACAUAUAACUCAAUCUUCUACAAAGUCUAUGGAGAGUUACCUCCGCUCCUCUAGUACCAGAAAAUAACUGUAGAACAGAAGAGCUUUGAAUCCACAAACUCGGGUUGAAUACCAUAAAAUAAUCUUGAAAUAGUAUUCCAAACGCCUUUCGGAGCUUAAUUCUCAUAAUAGAAGUCCAAUAUCCUGUUCAGGAAGAGAUUUGUUCACUAACCUUGAUCCAUAGCUUUUAGUUGGUUUUGCCUCGCUAAAAUAAGCCAUGCUCAGUGUGUUGGGAUAUGAGGUAGGCUACACUAGCGCAAAUCAAAAUUUCUACCGCGUAAACUAGGAAGAACUGCCGUAUAAGGAUCACGGGAUUACCACUCGACGCACUACUGGUGCGGAAGAUGUAGAUUUGCGUCGAUGCAGUGAAGACGAUCAACGUAGUCGUACGUAGUCGAUCAACGCAGUCGUACGUAGUCGAUCACGUCAACGUCCAGCAGCUCCUCAGCAGCUCGUCCACGUGCAGCAAGAUCGCCCUCGUGCCGCGGCUCAUUGUCGGCUCAUCGUGGCUCGGCGGCGGCUUGUCCGACUGCUGCAGGCGCAACACCUCCAAGGUAUCCACACGUGCAGGGAGGAAGCGUCGCAAGCCGGACUGCUAGAUCCGUGUGUUGCAACAAGCGAGGGCGUGGGAGGCGCGGCAGAUGAGUUUCGCCAAAAGGUGUUAAACCCUAGGGCGCCCCCACCCUCUAUUUAUAGAGGUUCCUGAUGGGCCUCUGGGUCCGAGGCCCAUUAGUACUUCUAAACCUAAUCCAACUCGGAUCAGAUCCGAAUUGGGCUUCCAGCCCCUUAAGUGUGUGACCCUAUGGGUUCGGAUACGUAUAGACAUGGCCCGAGUACUCCUACUCGGCCCAAUAGUCGGUAGCGGCCUCUAGCAAGACGUGCCAACUCCUAUACGCACACGAAGAUCAUAUCAGACGAACCAUCACAACAUAAUAUACAUGCUAUUCCCUUUGCCUCACGAUAUUUGGUCUAGCUUCAAGCCGACCGCUCUUUCUCGAUCCUGUGAUUCGGAAUCCCUUUGUAGGUAACCAGGAAGAACUGUCGUAUAAGGAUCAUGGGAUUACCACUCGACGUACUACUGGUGCGGAAGAUGUAGAUAUGCGUCGAUGCAGUGAAGACGAUCACNNNNNNNNNNNNNNNNNNNNNNNNNNNNNNNNNNNNNNNNNNNNNNNNNNNNNNNNNNNNNNNNNNNNNNNNNNNNNNNNNNNNNNNNNNNNNNNNNNNNNNNNNNNNNNNNNNNNNNNNNNNNNNNNNNNNNNNNNNNNNNNNNNNNNNNNNNNNNNNNNNNNNNNNNNNNNNNNNNNNNNNNNNNNNNNNNNNNNNNNNNNNNNNNNNNNNNNNNNNNNNNNNNNNNNNNNNNNNNNNNNNNNNNNNNNNNNNNNNNNNNNNNNNNNNNNNNNNNNNNNNNNNNNNNNNNNNNNNNNNNNNNNNNNNNNNNNNNNNNNNNNNNNNNNNNNNNNNNNNNNNNNNNNNNNNNNNNNNNNNNNNNNNNNNNNNNNNNNNNNNNNNNNNNNNNNNNNNNNNNNNNNNNNNNNNNNNNNNNNNNNNNNNNNNNNNNNNNNNNNNNNNNNNNNNNNNNNNNNNNNNNNNNNNNNNNNNNNNNNNNNNNNNAGUCGGUAGCGGCCUCUAGCAAGAACGUGCCAACUCCUAUACGCACACGAAGAUCAUAUCAGACGACCAUCACAACAUAUAUACAUGCUAUUCCCUUUGCCUCACGAUAUUUGGUCUAGCUUCAAGCCGACCGCUCUUUCUCGAUCCUGUGAUUCGGAAUCCCUUUGUAGGUUAACUCUUAACUGUACGUAGCAUGGCCAUGCAUUUUCGGAUCCGAUCACUCGAGGGGCCCAGAGAUAUCACUCUCAAUCAGAGAGGGGCAAAUCCCAUCUUGAUUGACCAUGUCUCAUAGCAUGCUUCUUCACAAACCCGAAAGCUACCUUUAUAACUACCCUGUUACAGCGUAGCGUUUGAUAGCCCCUAAGUAGGUCGAUCCACAUCUAGAAUACAUGCGACAAUCUCAGGUCUAAGGACAAAGCGUAUAUGUUGUUUAAAGAGAGAACUACUUCUCGUGUUUGGUCAGUCCUAGCACAUGUCUCCACAUGUGUCCACAUUAUUAGUUCAACAUCUCCAUGUCCAUGACUUGUGAAACAUAGUCAUCAACUAAUACAUGUGCUAGUCUAAUAUUCAUGUGUGUCCUCACAUGAACUCCGACUAGGGACAAUUUUAGAAUAACCAUACAAGUAAAGAGUUUCACAUACAAUUCACAUAAUUGCAAAUCAAUUCAAGUAGCCUUCAAUGGAUAUUCAAUGAACACAACAUACAAAUCAUGGAUACAAAUGGAAUAUCAUCAUCUCUAUGAUUGCCUCUAGGGCAUACCUCCAACAGUCUCCCACUUGCACUAGAGUCAAUCUAGAAGGUACCUAAUACCCAUAGCUCUUACAAGCGCAUCAUGCUUAGCCUGCGGGAGUGGUUUUGUCAACGGAUCAGAAAUGUUCAGAUCCGUGUGUAUUUUGCAUAUCUUGAUCUCACCCCGGUUAACGAAGUCUCGAAUGAGAUGAAAUCGCCGCAUUACGUGUUUGUUCUUCUGGUGGUUCCUUGGCUCCUUUGCUUGCGCAAUUGCCCCAUUGUUAUCACAGUAGAGAUUCAAUGGGCUGGACGCAUUCGGGAACACACCAAGCUCAAUGAGGAAAUUCCUUAUCCAAACACCUUCCUUCGCGGCUUCCGAAGCCGCGAUGUACUCAGCUUCUGUCGUAGAAUCGGCCACCGUCUCCUGCUUGGAACUCUUCCAACUAACAGCACCACCAUUUAGCGUGAACACAAAUCCUGAUUGUGACUUUGAAUCAUCUCUGUCAGUUUGGAAACUAGCAUUGGUGUAACCUGUUACAACGAGCUCCUCCUCACCUCCAUAGACGAGGAACAUAUCUUUAGUCCUUCUCAAGUACUUAAGAAUGUUUUUCACUGCUGUCCACUGACUCUCACCUGGAUCAGAUUGGUGUCUGCUUGUCAUACUUAGCGCAUAUGAAACAUCUGGGCGAGUACUUAUCAUUGCAUACAUGAUAGAUCCAAUAGCCGAGGCAUAUGGCACUCUACUCAUGCGAUCCCGCUCAUCAGCAGUCGAAGGACACUGAGUCUUGCUGAGAUGUAUGCCAUGUGACAUAGCCAAGAACCCUUUCUUUGCCUUUUCCAUGCUGAACCGCUUCAACACUUUGUCAAUGUAAGUAUCUUGGCUUAAACCUAUAAGUCUUCUCGAUCUAUCUCUAUAGAUCUUAAUGCCCAGAAUAUAUGCCGCUUCCACUAAGUCCUUCAUCGAAAAACUAUUUUUCAGUGAAGUCUUUACGGACUCAAGCAUAGGAAUGUUAUUUCCAAUCAGUAAUAUGUCAUCCACAUAUAAGAUUAGAAAUACUAUAGAGCUCCCACUAACCUUCUUGUAAACACAAGACUCUUCUUCGUUCUUGGUUAAGUCAAACCCUUUGACCACUUCAUCAAAACGAAUGUUCCAACUCCUAGAUGCUUGCUUCAAUCCAUAAAUGGAUCUCUGAAGCUUGCAUACCUUUCCAGCAUUUUUCGGAUCGACAAAACCCUCGGGCUGUAUCAUAUACACGUCCUCAGCUAGGUUUCCAUUCAGUAAAGCUGUCUUGACAUCCAUCUGCCAUAUCUCAUAAUCAAAAUAUGCAGCUAUAGCUAGAAUAAUCCGAAUGGACUUAAGCAUCACUACGGGCCAGAAGGUCUCCUCAUAGUCAACUCCUUGAAGUUGUCGAAAACCUUUUGCGACAAGUCGUGCUUUAUAGAUGUGAACAUUUCCAUCCAUGUCCUUUUUCUUCUUAUAGAUCCUCUUGCACUCUAUGGCUUUAACACCAUCAGGCGGGUCAACCAAGUUCCAAACAUGAUUGUCUCCCAUGGACUCUAUUUCGGAUUGCAUGGCACUCUGCCAUUUUUUCGGAGUCUAGGUCCAUCAUUGCUUCUGCAUUUUUCAGAUAGCAUGCUUCUUGACAAACCCGAAAGCUACCUUUAUAACUACCCUAUUACGGCGUAGCGUUUGAUAGCCCCAAAGUAGGUCGAUCCACAUCUUGAAUACAUGCGACAAUCUCAGGUCUAAGGACAAAGCGUAUAUGUUGUUUAAAGAGAGAACUACUUCUCGUGUUUGGUCAGUCCUAGCACAUGUCUCCACAUGUGUCCACAUUAUUAGUUCAACAUCUCCAUGUCCAUGACUUGUGAAACAUAGUCAUCAACUAAUACAUGUGCUAGUCUAAUAUUCAUGUGUGUCCUCACAUGAACUCCGACUAGGGACAACUUUAGAAUAACCAUACAAGUAAAGAGUUUCACAUACAAUUCACAUAAUUGCAAAUCAAUUCAAGUAGCCUUUAAUGGAUAUUCAAUGAACACAAUAUACAAAUCAUGGAUACAAAUGGAAUAUCAUCAUCUCUAUGAUUGCCUCUGGGGCAUACCUCCAACACAGUGAACAUAUCUUUUGCCUGGACAGGCUAUUGUGUGCGGCUAUUGUGUGCUACCAUACUUCUAUUAUGAGAAUAUAGCACUUGCUCCAAAAGAUGUUUGGACAAUGAUUUCUAGAUUCAUUUAUGAUAUUCAGCCCAAGUAUAUGGAUUCGAAGAUCUUCUAUUGUACCAUUAUUUUCUGGUACUGGAUAUGUGGAGGUGACUCUCGAUAGACUUCUUAGAAGAUUGAGUUAUGUGCAGAGAUGUCUUGGAGGCCGAACAUUCUACUAUAUUGUACCAUUCUUUUAGGAUAAUUGACUACAUGAACUAAAGUACGGAGCGUCUGUAAUCUUUAGUGUAUAUGUAUCUUUAUUGUCUUGUUAUGAGUGUAAUCUUUAUAUAUAUCUUUAGUGAAUGUUAUGAAUAUUGAUUGGUGUAAUUUUCAUGUGAAUUGUUUUUAUCGUUGAUUGGUGUAAAUUAUGAAUAUUGAUCAAUUUCUUUAUCUAAUACGAAGACCAAUGUCCAUUUCUCAUGUAAUAAUUGAUUCAUCUAAUGUUGUUUGCAAGGACUAAAUAUUAUAAUCACAUUAGCUCUAUUUCCCCCCUACCUAAUAUUGAGCAAGUUAUUUAUCUAAUACAAAGAUCUAUGUCCAUUUCUUACGUAAUACGAUGCAGAUGGACGGGCAAUGGAUGUAUAACAUAGAAAGAUGGACCAAGAAAUUUGUUGAUGGCUUGCAUUAUUUUUUUGAAGUGGCCAAAGCCAACAAGCUAGAGAAUAGAUUCAUAUAUUAUCCAUGCUUCCACUGCAGUAACAAGAAGGACUACUCUUCCUGGGGACUGUUCACGACCACUUAUUUAGAUAUGGUUUCAUGCCUAACUACUUGGUUUGGACCAAGCAUGAUAAAAAGGGGUUAUAAUGGAAGAUGAUGAAGAAGAGGAGGAUGAUAACAAUAUUCUGGAGUGGGCUGUAGGCCAAACUUUUACAGAUACUACAAUGGGCGAGGCUGAUGAAGAUGAGUUUGCAGAAGAUGACCCUACUGAUGAUCUUGGUUAGGUGCUAUGGGAUGUACAGAGAGAUUGCAAAACUAAGAAGGAAUCAAAAAAGUUGCAACGUAUGAUACAUGAUCACAAAAAAAUUGUUGUACCCAGAUUGCAAGCAAGGGCAUAAAAAAAACUGGGUACCAUACUAGAACUGCUAUAAUGGAAGGUAAAAAAUGAUGUGUCCGAUAAGGCAUUUGAGGGGAUAUUGAAAAUUGUAAAGAAUAUUUUUCUUGAGAAUAAUGAAUUGUCGUCCACAACAUAUGAAGCUAAAUAGAUUGUUUUCCCUCUAGGAUUGGAGGUUCAAAAGAUACAUGCAUGCCCUGAUGAUUGUAUCCUCUAUUGUAGUGAUAACUAUGAGAAAUUGGAUGCUUGUCAUGUGUGCGGAUCGCUGCGGUAUAAGAUCAGGCGAAAUGAUCCUGAUGAUUUCGAGGGGAAGCCUCCCAAGAAGAGAGUUGCUGCGAAGGUGAUGGGGUAUUUCCCUAUAAUACCACAUUUGAAGCAUUGAUUCAGAAACAAGGUGAAUGCUAAGUUGAUGCGAUAGCACAAAGAAGAACGUAAGCAAGAUGAGAUGCUGAGGCACCCCAUGGAUGGGUCCCACUGGAGAUCAAUUAAUAGAGCAUUCCCGAGCUUUGAAAGUGAUGCAAGGAACAUAAGGUUUUUUUUAAGUACUAAUGGAUUCAAUCCAUUCCGUGAGUUGAGUAGUGGUCAUAGUACUUGGCCUGUGACCCUAUGUAUGUUCAACCUUUAUCCUUGGCUGUGCAAGAAGUGGAAGUUCUUUAUGAUGCCGAUGCUUAUUAAAGGCCUAAAACAACUCGGCAACAAUAUUGACGUGUACCUAAGACCGUUGGUUGAUGAACUUUAACUGCUCUGGAAGGAAGAAAGUGUACGUGCGUGGGAUGAGGAUAAACAAGAGAGGAUUUACCUACGAGCAUUGUUGUUCGUAACCAUCAAUGAUUGUCCUGCGCUGAGUUAUCUUUCAGGAUAGACAAACAGCGGAUAUCGAGCCUGCACCCACAGUUUAGACGACACAGACAACAUGUAUUUGAAAUUCUAUAGGAAGGUUGUGUAUAUGGGCCAUCGUCGAUUUCUUCCUGCUAACCACCCGUUAAGAAAGAAAGGGAUGCAUUUCAAAGGGGUGCCAGACCAUCGUAAAAAACCUGCACACCGUAAUGGAAAGCGUGUAUUUGAGAUGAUAAAGGAUGUAAGGGUAGUCUUUGGAAAGGGUCUUGGUAGCGAAUCUGUUAUGAACGACGAUAACGGACGUGCACCCAUGUGGAAGAAAAAGUCUAUAUUUUGGAAGCUACCUUAGUGGGAAAUCCUAGAGGUUCGCAACACAAUAGACGUAAUGCACCUAACAAAGAAUCUUUGAGUGAACAUGCUAGGCUUUAUGGGUUGUUAUGGUAACUCAAAAGUUACAUUGGAAACAUGAUAGGACCUAAAACAUAUGAAGUAACGAGAUGACCUACAUCCGGAAAAAAGAGAUAAUAGACAACACUACUUACGUCUUGUCAGUUACACUCUUAGCAAGGAAGAGAAGGAUAACAUGUUUGAAUGCAUGAAUAGUAUCAAGGUUCCAUUUGGGUAAUCCUCGAAUAUAAAGGGAAUAAUAAAUAUGAAAGAAAAGAAGUUCACAAAUCUCAAGGCCCAUGAUUGCCACAUGUUGAUGACCCAGUUGCUUCUGGAUGCACUGAGGGGUAUUCUACUAGAGAAUCUACGAUUAGUGCUUGUAAAGCUAUGUGCGUUUCUCAAUGCAAUUUCGCAGAAGACAAUCAAUCCAACCAAGCUAGUAAAGCUACAGAACGAUGUGGUACAAUGUCUUGUCAGCUUUGAGUUGGUAUUUCCACCAUCCUUCUUCAAUAUUAUGACGCACCUCAUGGUUCACCUAGUCAAAGAGAUUACUAUUCUCGGUCCAAUAUUCCUGCACAAUAUGUGGUCUUUCAAGAGGUUCAUGUGAGUCCUAAAAACUAUGUUCUUAAUCGUGCCCAUCCAGAAGGAAGCAUCCCCAAGGGAUAUGGAAUAAAGGAGGUUAUUGAGUUUUGUGUUGAUUUUAUUGACUCAAUUAAUUCGAUUGGGGUUCCAAUAUUAGGCCACGAGGGGAGACUGCAGGGAACAGGCACCCUUGAAAGGAAAUCAAGUUUGAGAAAUGAUACUAAUUUGUUCCAUAAAGUACGCUUCACUAUUCUACAACAAUCAUCCUUUGUGGCUUCGUAUAUCGAGGAACACAAGCAGAUUCUAUUUUUCCAAUACCCGACGAAAUCCGAUGCCUGGAUAGUGGUGUCCGCAUAGAUGCCAUAGACAACAAUAGGAGCAAGGACUCGUAUUAUGGUUUCAUAGAGGAGAUCUGGAAACUUGAAUACAGACCGUUGAACAUCCCUUUGUUUCAUUGCCAAUGGGUGAAGCUAACUAGAGGUGGUGUAACGAAAGAUCAGUAUGGAAUGACAAUAGUGGACAUGACCAAGACUAGAUAUAAUGAUGAACCAUUCAUCCUUGCCAGUGAUGCGCACUAGGUUUUCUAUGUGAAGGAUAUGUCUAGCAAGCUUAAGAAAAAUUCAGAAGAUAAAGAAAAACCAUGGGAGCCAAAGCGCCACAUAGUUCUUCCAGGUAAAAGAAAAAAUCAUGGGAGUCGAGGACAAAACAAAAUAGUUAGAUGAUUAUGAUUAGUUUGAUGGCAUGCCUCCAAUCGCUGUCAAAGUUGACCCAAGCAUUAUGCUAGCCAAAGAAGAGGCUCCGUACUUACGCUAUGACCAUGACCAAGGAACUUUUGUCAAGAAGUUUUUUAAUGUUACAUUGUAAUGCACUAAAUAUGAUUCAUUUUUAUUAAAUGCUCUAUGGCCAUCAGAACCUUUGAAUUAUAUUGUAAUGCUCUAUGGAGAAAAUUUAUUCGAUCAAUAUAAACAAUGUUAACUUAACCACAUACACAAUUGCAUUUUUUCCACAUUGAAAUUAUUUUGAAUAGUUUGUUGAUGAUAGUAAUGCAUUAAAAUAAUUAUUUUAGAAACUUAAACAACUAGUAUAGAAUUAAUGAUAGAUUCAACCUUAUUUUAAAUAUACUUGCUAAUUUAAUAUAUUUUUGCAUGUUCAAAAUAUAUAAAGUUUUUAUUUUUUUCUUUAACAAAACCAGUGGAAAACAACUAAAACAUACAUAAAUUAUAAUUGGAAAACAAGCGGGGAAUGAAAAUUUCCACUAAAGGGCCUUUAGUCCCAGUUGGAAAGUCAAUCCGGGACUAAAGGCCCCCCUUUAGUCCCGGUUGCAAUUUGCAACCAGGACUAAAGGGUGCAUUUUCAGCUCCCACGCGUAAAGCACCUGUUGGAUUUAUAAACCCGGCAGUCCACUAGGGGGUUACCCAAGUGGUUGAUUUGUAGGUGGAGGCGAUUGCGAAACCAAGAACUUGAAGGUGAUCGUGAGAACACGAGGGACACGAGGGUUUUAGACAGGUUCGAGCCUCCCGAGCGUAAUACCCUAUGUCCUGUAUGCUUGGUGGCUUGUAUUGCUUGAGAAUCUCGAUGCCCCUGGCCGCCUUAUAUAGGCUGAUGACCUAGGUUUACAACUCAGUUUGAAUCUAAUCUACUCAGUACUUAAUUAAAAGGUGAUCUGAGUUAGACUACAAUACGUAUCACACAAUAUCCGGGUUGGUUUGAACUGCCCGAUCUCCUUGGCGUGUACUCCAAGUAUCUUCAUAUCCAUAGCCCACACGCCCUGGUCAGGCGAGCUCAUUUGUCAGGUCCAGCCAGUAUCCUGGUCGGUAGGGACCCAUGAGGUAUCCAUAUCCCUCAAGCCCUCAAGUGAUGUGUAGGCGAAUAGGAACUUGAGGACAUCGUAGCGAAGCUUGGAAUGUGGUUAGUGUCAUAAUGACGGAGAGGCUGCACAGUGCUCAAAAAGAAGAAAAUUUGAGCGAACGCAGAGCCAUACGCGUAGAGCGAAGUCGAGUGCCAAGUUGAUGGAUGGCAGGCAUCCAGUAAGUUGAAGCGAAGGACAUGGAGGGCGUCGCAAGAUGCACUCUAUAUGGAGUAGCCCCCGAGCAUUGAAGUGAUUAGUGUAAUCAGUCUAAUGGUUAAAAAGGAAGAAAAAAUUGAUCCCAGUACUCGAGCACAAGAAUAGGCAAAGCCACAGAGGCACACCAACCUGAAAUAGGCACCCAGCCCUUGAGCGUGAGCGCGAGGACUGGCAGAGCCACGGAGGCACGCCAACCUGAAAUAUGCACCCAGCCCCCUAGCAUGAGCGCGAGGACUAACGAAGCCAUGGAGGCAGCCGACUUGAAAUAGGCGCCUAGCCCCUAAGCCUGGGAGCCGGACGAAUCGCGGAAGCACAUCGAGUCGCGUCCCACCCCGAGCCAGAGAGGUUGGCCGGGAGAGAGGAGGCACGCUGAGUUGUUUGCGAAGCCCAACAUCCAAGCUUGGGAGCCGAAUGAGCUGCAGAAGAACGCUAAGUCACCUCCCGCCCCAAGCCAAAGAAGUCGGCUGGGCAACAGGAGGCACGCCGAUUAGUUUUUGAGCUGUAAAAGGACAGUACAAACAUUAUGUAGUGUAGUGUAGAUUAUUUAAUAAUUGAACAACUCAGAAGUUUAAUUCGCUUUAGAAGUAAAUUCUUGCACGUCCUGCUCUUGUAGGUCAUGUAAUUUCCCUAGGUAGUUAGCCUGUUACGUUUAAGCACCUAGACCUGCUAACCACUGCUCACGGAGAGGAUGGCUUAUCUCAGGCUAUAGCGCUAGGGCUGACCUGAUGCUUGCAUAUAGGAGACGUGCAAGAUGAGUUAAGGUUUCACGGAUUAAGGUGUGUGCUACCUGAGUACUUUAGCAACCAUUAAGAGAAGAUGUACAAGACAUGAAGGAGAUCGCAAAAUAGUAGAAACUGUACGAAAAAAGUGAGAGUCUGCAUUGGACACUCGUAGGUCGCAGUCCUGACUACCCGUGUAGUGGAUGGACCAAGCUGUAUGAGCAAUCGGGGUGGUCGGCAGAAGUCACAGAGACAUAGGAGAGCCAAGACGGGCGGCGAAAGUCAUGGAGACAUGGAGAAGCCAAAACGUAUGUAGGUAUAUGGAAGCCGCAAAAUAUUUAAUUGUAAAUAAGACUUAGCUUGAUUCAUGGCAGAGCUGAAAAGUCAGUGUCAUGCCCGAGUGGGCAACCGUCGGUGAAUAGUUGUUGAUGAAUCCGUUGACGGGUCCGGGUGGUCAAAGUUGUCAUAGGUGUGUCAGCGUCAAUCAUUGAUGCUGCUCUACUAUGGAAGGCAUCCAAGCUGAAGUCGUCGUAGACCCGCAGGCCGAGCCAUGCAAGGAGUAGUCCCAAUUUGCAUGUCAUUGCUAGUGCCAUGCAUCCCGAUCACUCUUGUAGUCUUGUUUAUCCCCGGCGAUAAACAAUCGCUUGGGCUUUUUGUUCCAUGCGGCAUUGUUUUUAGUUAGCCUGAUCCAUGCAUCUGUCAGACUUGAUAGCUCAUCCGUAUCACCAUUAGCCACCCCUCAAAUCUCCCAGUAGAUAACGAGACGGCAAGAGCUGCUAGUGCUAGCCCUCACAAGCAUCCAGGCUAGCACGUAGUAGCAUAUUCUUCCCAGCCAGCCCGGACACGCAAUGCAAUGCAUCGCGUCGACCCUCCUCUCCUUGUACGAGGAACCACCUGUGACGCACGCCAUGGUAUGCAUGAUUACUCGCAUUCGUAUACGUUGUACCAAUCGCCGAUUGCGUCGCCAGUGCAUUCACCACCACCGCAACAUGCCCGGCGACAGCCAAUCUGAUCUGACUUGGCGACAGCAACGCAGUGGCGUUUGCUCGGUGCAAGGCCAACCUCCCUCCAUCCCCCGAGCUCGAGAACGAAACGGGACAUGCCCCGCGAUUAGGUCGGAGGACGUGGGUGGGUAGGUUGUAGCAAGGAUGUUGGGAAUCAUCUCGGAGAGGGAGAGAUCACCGACCUACUGGGCAAGCGGCGUGAUGAUCCUCGGUUGAAGACCUUGGUCUGUCGAAGUAGAUCCGACGGAUGCUGAGUUGGCAGUGGGCGUCGAGUUGGUGGAGGAGGUGAUGGAGUCAGAUUCCAUCAGCAUGCUCCCGAAGCGGAACUAGAUCGGGUUGGCGAGGAAGUCCUUCAUGCCCUCGGGAAGAUGACACCGGGACGGGAUGCCAUCGAGCUCACUGGGGAGGAUCUCACAAUCACCCCAUAGAGCAUGUUGUCAGUGCGAACCCUAGCCCUCUCCAAGCACUCAUUGAGGAGAGUGCAAAAGCCUAUGUAGCGCACUCCGUCUCUAGAAAACGUACACCACUCCUUGGUCGUCAUCUGAAACAUGCAGUUAAGGGUUGUUAGAAAGUCGUAUAAGUCAGAGUAAACAAGGUAAUAACUAUAACAAUUCAAGGAGUUGUACACAGGUAGUUUAGGCUUCUUGAACUAAUGUCCAUUACUAGAGAUCAUCCUACGGUCAAGUAUGGCUCUGAUACUAGCUGAAACGGAUCCGAAUUCCUAUUUCUGAGAAUUCAAGCCUACGCACAUCGGUGAUAGUCCCAAGAAGGCUAUCACAUGCGAAUCCCUAUCUCAGAUAGUACAAAUCCAUACCAACACAGAAAUAGAAGGAGAAAUAGAGUACAAACAUCAUAGAUAACAUGAGUACGAGUACAUAUCAAUAGCACAUGUCGGUACAAGUCCCUCAGGACUAAAUCAGGAAAGGUAAAACAUCUACGCAGUGGAAACAAAAGCUAUGGUGAUCUCCAUCUUCGCUGGCGACUCGAGUGAAGAAUGGUCCCUAGUCCUCCCAACCGUCAUUGUCGAAGUUGUAGUGGGGCUACGAACCUAAAAAGCUAGCAUCUACCCGAGAAGCGGGUAGGCCAUGUCAACUCCCAAAAGUAGCAAAGCUAAAGAAACGGGGGAAUUAUACUAUAUGCAUGAAUAAGACCUAUAUAUGGCUGUAGAGGUUUAUGCAGCAGCAACAACAACAAUCAAGGUAGCAGCAAAGCAACAUCACCUCCGAGGUCAACACCUCAAAUAAGGAAGUUGGUACAAAUCAUCAGAUCCUUCACCCAAGGGUCUAGCACCCAAACACACUAGGCGAUGUAAGAGCUCCAUUCCCUCACAUCUCAAUGGCAAACGCCGGCCUAUCUCAAAAAGGAGAAAAGUAGAAGGAUGAGAAAAGUCUAGUUAGAAGUAGUGGUAGUCAACAGCACUGUCCAUAACCAGUGGACACAGACUAUAGCUAUAGCUUUAUACACUCUGCAAAGAUUUUAUAACUGUACCCGCACGGAUGGAGCCUGAAUGGUAGCGAUCCGUCCAAACCCCACCUAUUAGCCGGAGCCCUAGUAAGUGGAUAGCUCUCUCCUGUUUUAUCAAGUCUAGAACCAUCCUCAGCGGCAAGGCACGCUAUCACCAGUGAGGACCUCGAAGCUGUGGAACGUACCCACACCGGGGUGCAGUCUGGUUAGAGCAGGACAAUGCCUCAAACUCCUAAAAUGAUCCUCCAAUCUGCCUAUAGGCAGAGCACUAUCCACUACUAGUCUCGAACCGAACCCCGCCCAUAACGUAAGCGAGCGGUAAGUACAAAAAGUAGCUACUGUGAUUGGUGGUAAACUGACUCGGUCCUUAAGCUGCUGAGAGCAAGCACUCUACCAACAAGUACAUGCCAAAGCACCUGCAACGUACAAGUACGCCACCUGCUCCUUAGUAACAAACAAGGUACCUGCCACAGGUACGGGGUAUAGAAAAAGUCCAAAAAGCUCUCUCCUGGCUAGGCACUUCUCUGUACCAACCAUGGCUCACACCCACCAAGAACACAUCAAGGAGUCACACUCCCCCAAAACACAUGCAAGAGUGUUCAAGGAAUCCCAUCACCAAAUCCAUGGAAAAUGCACAUCCAUAACUCAAAAGCAUGUAUAUGGAUAAAUGAGCGGUGGACUAGCUAGGGGUCCGUAGCUAGUCCACAAAAGUAGGUGAACAAGGAAAAUAGGAUAAACAAUUAUCAAGGCAUGGCUAGAAACAUUGGCUAUGAAAUCCAUCAUCAUCAAGCAAUAUAAGUAAAAAGCUAGCAACUAAGCAUGCAUAGGAGCUAUAUGAUUGGAAGUAACAUGACACCUUGUUCGUAGUCGAACGGGUCCUACUCAGUGUAGUCGGGGUCUUGAAGGUCUUCCUGGUCGUAGCUUGGGUCUGAACAGAGCGAGAUACGACGAAGCAUAAAUUAAACAACAAUAAAUCUAGGCAAAAACUCUAAGAAAGCUAAAUUAGAAGAUCCAAAUAACACCAAACUAGCUACAAAUAGCACAGGUUCGAUUUUAUGAAUUUAAUGCAACUAGUUUCAUAUUUUUUGAGUUAAAAUGAAUUAGUUAUGACUUUUUAAAGUUUAAAGGAUCGAUUCGAUUAUUUAAUAAUUUCAGAAAACAUUUAUUUAAAGGUGACACAUGUCAGCUCGGGAUUGGUUCAUGUGGCAUCCCUAGGGGGCGCCAUGUGUCCUGCUAACAUCACAUUGACCUUAGCGUUGACUGGUCAACAUGGGCCCCAUGGGUGGGCCCAGCUUGGUGCGCCUGGCCUGGCCACAUCAGCCAUGUGGCACCUGUCGGGAUACGAGGUAGGCUACACUAGCGCAAAUCAAAAUUUCUACCACGUAUAACCAGGAAGAACUGCCGUAUAAGGAUCACGGGAUUACCACUCGACGCACUACUGGUGCGGAAGAUGUAGAUAUGCGUCGAUGCAGUGAAGACGAUCACGUAGUCGUACGUAGUCGAUCAACGUAGUCGUACGUAGUCGAUCACGUCACGUCCAGCAACUCCUCCACGUGCAGCAAGAUCGCCUCCGGUGCCGCGGCUCGUCGUCGGCUCGUCGUGGCUCGUCGAUGGCUCGUCCAAGUGCUGCAGGCGCAACACCUUCAAGGUAUCCACACGUGCAGGGAGGAAGCGUCGCAAGCCGGACUGCUAGAUCUGCGAGUUGCAACAGGCGAGGGCGUGGGAGGCGCGGCAGGUGUGUUUCGCCAAAAGGUGUAAACCCUAAGGCGCCCCCACCCCUCUAUUUAUAGAGGUUCCUGACGAGCCUCUGGAUCCGAGGCCCAUUCGAACUUCUAAACCUAAUCCAACUCGGAUCAGAUCCGAAUUGGGCUUCCAGCCCCUUAAGUGUGUGACCCUAUGGGUUCGGAUACGUAUAGACAUGGCCCGAGUACUCCUACUCGGCCCAAUAGUCGGUAGCGACCUCUAGCAAGACGUGCCAACUCCUAUACGCACACGAAGAUCAUAUCAGACGAACCAUCACAACAUAAUAUACAUGCUAUUCCCUUUGCCUCAUGAUAUUUGGUCUAGCUUCAAGCCGACCGCUCUUUCUCGAUCCCGUGAUUCGGAAUCCCUUUGCAGGUUAACUCUUAACCGUACGUAGCAUGGCCAUGCAUUUUCGGAUCCGAUCACUCGAGGGGCCCAGAGAUAUCACUCUCAAUUAGAGAGGGGCAAAUCCCAUCUUGAUUGACCAUGUCUCAUAGCAUGCUUCUUGACAAACCCGAAAGCUACCUUUAUAACUACCCUGUUACGGCGUAGCGUUUGAUAGCCCCUAAGUAGGUCGAUCCACAUCUAGAAUACAUGCGACAAUCUCAGAUCUAAGGACAAAGCGUAUAUGUUGUUUAAAGAGAGAACUACUUCUCGUGUUGGGUCAGUCCUAGCACAUGUCUCCACAUGUGUCCACAUUAUUAGUUCAACAUCUCCAUGUCCAUGACUUGUGAAACAUAGUCAUCAACUAAUACAUGUGCUAGUCUAAUAUUCAUGUGUGUCCUCACAUGAACUCCGACUAGGGACAACUUUAGAAUAACCAUACAAGUAAAGAGUUUCACAUACAAUUCACAUAAUUGCAAAUCAAUUCAAGUAGCCUUCAAUGGAUAUUCAAUGAACACAACAUACAAAUCAUGGAUACAAAUGGAAUAUCAUCAUCUCUAUGAUUGCCUCUAGGGCAUACCUCCAACAGUCUCCCACUUGCACUAGAGUCAAUCUAGAAGGUACCUAAUACCCAUAGCUCUUACAUGCGCAUCAUGCUUAGCCUGCGGGAGUGGUUUUGUCAACGGAUCAGAAAUGUUCAGAUCCGUGUGUAUUUUGCAUAUCUUGAUCUCACCCCGGUUAACGAAGUCUCGAAUGAGAUGAAAUCGCCGCAUUACGUGUUUGUUCUUCUGGUGGUUCCUUGGCUCCUUUGCUUGCGCAAUUGCCCCAUUGUUAUCACAGUAGAGAUUCAAUGGGCUGGACGCAUUCGGGAACACACCAAGCUCAAUGAGGAAAUUCCUUAUCCAAACACCUUCCUUCGCGGCUUCCGAAGCCACGAUGUACUCGGCUUCUGUCGUAGAAUCGGCCACCGUCUCCUGCUUGGAACUCUUCCAACUAACAGCACCACCAUUUAGCGUGAACACAAAACCUGAUUGUGACUUUGAAUCAUCUCUGUCGGUUUGGAAACUAGCAUCGGUGUAACCUGUUACAACGAGCUCCUCCUCACCUCCAUAGACGAGGAACAUAUCUUUAGUCCUUCUCAAGUACUUAAGAUUGUUUUUCACCGCUGUCCAGUGACUCUCACCUGGAUCAGAUUGGUGUCUGCUUGUCAUACUUAGCGCAUAUGAAACAUCUGGGCGAGUACUUAUCAUUGCAUACAUGAUAGAUCCAAUAGCCGAGGCAUAUGGCACUCUACUCAUGCGAUCCCGCUCAUCAGCACUCGAAGGACACUGAGUCUUGCUGAGAUGUAUGCCAUGUGACAUAGGCAAGAACCCUUUCUUUGCCUCUUCCAUGCUGAACCGCUUCAACACUUUGUCAAUGUAAGUAUCUUGGCUUAAACCUAUAAGCCUUCUCGAUCUAUCUCUAUAGAUCUUAAUGCCCAGAAUAUAUGCCGCUUCCCCUAAGUCCUUCAUCAAAAAACUAUUUUUCAGUGAAGUCUUUACGGACUCAAGCAUAGGAAUGUUAUUUCCAAUGAGUAAUAUGUCAUCCACAUAUAAGAUUAGAAAUACUACAGAGCUCCCACUAACCUUCUUGUAAACACAAGACUCUUCUUCGUUCUUGGUGAAGUCAAACCCUUUGACCACCUCAUCAAAACGAAUGUUCCAACUCCUAGAUGCUUGCUUCAAUCCAUAAAUGGAUCUCUGAAGCUUGCAUACCUUUCCAGCAUUUUUCGGAUCGACAAAACCCUCGGGCUGUAUCAUAUACACGUCCUCAGUUAGGUUUCCAUUCAGGAAAGCUGUCUUGACAUCCAUCUGCCAUAUCUCAUAAUCAAAAUAUGCAGCUAUAGCUAGAAUAAUCCGAAUGGACUUAAGCAUCACUAUGGGCGAGAAGGUCUCGUCGUAGUCAACCCCUUGAACUUGUCGAAAACCUUUUGCGACAAGUCGUGCUUUAUAGAUGUGAACAUUUCCAUCCAUGUCCUUUUUCUUCUUAUAGAUCCACUUGCACUCUAUGGCUUUAACACCAUCAGGCGGGUCAACCAAGUUCCAAACUUGAUUGUCUCCCAUGGACUCUAUUUCGGAUUGCAUGGCAUUCUGCCAUUUUUCGGAGUCUGGGUCCAUCAUUGCUUCUGCAUAUGUCGCAGGCUCAUCAUUGUCCAACAAUAAUAUUUCCCGCAUUUCGCGGAGCCUUGCCGACCUUCAUGGUUGUGGCGGUGCUUCUCUUGCCAUGGGUAUCUCAACUUGUUCUGCUACGUUAGCAUCACUCAUUGAUUCUUGCCCGAUCGGCUCAUCUUGAACUUCUUCAAGAUGCACUGUCUUUCCACUCUUUUCUCCUUUGAGAAACUCUUUCUCUAGGAAAACCCCGUUUCGAGCGACAAACACUUUGCCUUCUAAUCGGUUGUAGAAAUAAUAUCCCAAAGUUUCCUUUGGAUAUCCCACGAAAAUGCACUUAUCCGACUUGGGUGUGAUCUUGUCCGACUGAAGUCGCUUGACAAACACAUCACAUCCCCAAAUCUUUGGAAAAAGACAAACUAGGAACCUUUCCAGUCCAUAUCUCAUAUGGUGUCUUAACUACGGAUUUAGAUGGUACCCUAUUAAGUGUGAAAGCUGCUGUUUCUAGAGCGUAUCCCCAAAAUGACAACGGUAGGUCCGACUGGCUCAUCAUUGAUCGAACCAUGUCUAACAAAGUUCGAUUACGUCGCUCGAACACACCGUUUCUCUGAGGUGUUCCAGGCGGCGUAAGUUGUGGAACAAUUCCGCAACUCUUUAGAUGAUUGCUAAACUCGUGGCUCAAAUACUCGCCUCCAUGAUCAGAUCGUAAGGCCUUAAUUUUCUUGCCACGCUGAUUUUCAACUUCAUUCUGAAAUUCCUUGAACUUUUCAAAGGUUUCAGACUUGUGCCUCAUCAAGUAGACAUAGCCAUAUCUACUAAAAUCAUCAGUGAAAGUUAUGAAGUAUUGGAAUCCUCCACUAGCCGUCGUGCUCAUUGGUCCGCAUACAUCACUAUGUACGAGUUCCAACAAGUCUACUGCUCUCUCAGGAAAUCCUGUGAAAGGCGUCUUGGUCAUCUUGCCUAGCAAGCAAGCCUCACAUGUCUCGUAUGAUUCAAAAUCAAACGAAGUUAGAAGUCCAUCAGAAUGGAGCUUCUUCAUGCGCUUUUCACUUAUAUGACCCAAACGACAAUGCCACAAGUAGGUAGGACUCAAAUCAUUAGGCCGAGGCCUUUUAGCACUUACAUUACAGAUAGGUGAACCAUCAAGAUUUAAAACAAAUAAUCCAUUCACAAUGGGUGCAAAAGCCAUAAACAUAUUAUUCUUAGAGAUCACACAACCAUUGUUUUCACUCGCAAAUGAAUAACCAUCCUUCAUCAAGCAUGAAGGAGAUAAAAUGUUUCGAUUUAAACUAGGAACAAAAUAACAAUUAUUCAACUCCAUAAUAAAUCCUGACGGGAGGUGGAGUUGCAUCGUCCCGACGGUCAAAGCAGCAACUCUUGCAUUAUUGCCCACGCGGAAAUCAACUUCUCCUCUUUCCACGCUUCUACUUCUUAUCAUUUACUGCAUCGAAUUGCAAAUAUGAGCAACCGAUCCGGUAUCAAAUACCCAAGAAUUAAUAAUUGUAUCAGCGAGAAAUAUGUUGUCUAUAACAUUAACAACAAGCGUACCUGGGGUAGAAGUACUCUUACUUCCGCCAUUCUUCAACGAAGCUAGGUACUGCUUGCAGUUUCUCUUCCAGUGACCAAGUUCAUGACAGUAAAAGCACUCUUUGUCUGGAGCAGGUCCAGGUCCAGCUUUAACCUUGGGCGGUGGGUUUGGCUUGGACGUUCCAGCCUUGCCCUUCUUCUUCCAAGAAUUGCCCUUCUUCUUAAAGCUGGGCUUGUUCUGUAUAGCCAUCACAUGGCUGGUACUAGCGCUUUUCUUGAUGUCUACUUCUGCUGUCUUGAGCAUACCACACAGUUCAUUCAAACCCUUCUCCGUCCAAUGCAUAUGGUAGUUCGAGAUGAAGUUCCCAUAGCUAGGCGGAAGAGAUGAAAGAAUGAAGUCAGUGGCCAACUCUUUGCCCAUUGGGAAGCCCAGCUUCUCCAAUCGCUGAGUGUAACCAACCAUCUUGAUUACAUGUGGUCCUACUGCUGCGCCUUCUGCUAACUUGCACUCCAGAAAGGCUUUGGACACAUUGAACCUUUCGGUCCUAGCCUGUGUCUGGAACAUCUCCUUGAGCGCCACGAUCAUAUCGUGUGCCUCAUGAUUUGUUUCGAACUGCAUCUGCAGCUCGGGUUCCAUGCAAGCAAGCAUAAGGCAGCUUACCUCAAGAUUAGCAUCAAAUGCCUUCUUGUAAGCAGCCUUAACGGCAGCAGAUGCAUCAUCAGUAGGUACUGAUGGUAGUGGGGUGUCUAGAACAUCUUCCUUUUUCUCAGCCCUGAGAACAAUUCUCAGGUUACGGAUCCAAUCCGAGUAGUUUGUUCCAUUCAACUUGUCCUUCUCAAGGACCGAACGCAAAGCAAACGAUGCGGUGGUGUUGCUAGGUGCCAUUUAAUCUACAACAAAAGUAAUGCAAAAUACACUAAGACAAAUGUAUCCAUGAUAGAGCAAAUUACAUUAAACUAUUUUAACAUAAUCUACUCCCACUAAAAUCAAUAUCCCUCUAUUGAAACUUAGUGAUUCAGGAUCCACAACUAACAAGUCCACUAGUGAGCUUUAGCAUCACCGCUAGCAAACGAGGUAGAUCGGUAAGCAACUUUUGCUAAUCAUAUCACAUAUGACUCCUGUUGUUGGGUGACAUCUCUAUGUCUCGGCACCCAACCUUUAUGCCCCAAGGUCCUUAACCGUUAAGAUAACUUUGUUAAGCAAACCAACCCUUAUGCGUGUAAGUGUCCGACACAAAUCCGUCUAGUCAAGGAAAACUAGUGGCACCCUAAUUUCAUAGACCCACCACUAAUUGUACAAGACAUGGGACGGUGCAAGUUUUAGUUGGGAGGGCAUACUAACUUAAACUUUGUGAGGGAUCGUUCUACUUCUAACAUCACAGCAUGCAGAAAGUAAAACAUAAACAGAAUAGCAUUCACACAGUUGUGACACAGUAUGGCCCGUUUUCAUAUGGUGAUCUCCAUCUCCAUAGAACCUGUUCACCAUGGUGAUCUCCAUCUCCAUGUUCCAUGUGCGCCAUCCUCCUGGUGAUGAGUCCUCCAAGAACUAAAGCAUGCUAUUACACCUAAUAGCUAGUAAAGAAUCUAGUAAUGAAGAUUACAUAGUUGCUUGGAUCAUCAGAGAUUGGUACGCAGACCAUUAAAUACAAUAAAGUGACAACACAUAUGGCUCCUGCCGUGUUGCCGUACGCGCGACACGCAGGUCACGAAUGAGUUACACACAUGCAUCACAUACACAAGGGGGCCAUACUGAUCACAAGAUACAUACAUACAUCCUGCAAAACAGAGUUAGGCGUCCUAACGUUCCAAACUUCGGAGGCCCGAAACUCCAUCUUCCAAGCCGAAUUUGGGAAAUCUAAUUUCGCCGAAAAUGGCGAAGCGGUUGAAUUUCAUGUGUAACUUUUUCUGUAGAUCAAUUUUCAUAUAAAAAUCGCCCCGAUCCGAGAUCGUACCGAAAAGUUACGGCUGAUUUACCGAAGCAUACGCAUACGGCAAAAUCCCGACCCCGGCAGUAGAUCCCAUCUACUAUUGCACAUCUAAUGCGCCUGGCGUAUGACCCUGGAUCUCGAUUCGACCAAUCAUAUUGAUCUUCGCUCACUGCAACUGGAUUUACGUGUAUCACUUAACUCCAAUGGCGGAAACCGACCGGUAGGAGUAUGUCGUUACACUACCAUUGCAGCAAGGGCACGAAACCAGGACAUAGAUCAAACAGAAAACUCGCAUAUCUCCAUAUGCACACAUCCCGAAUCCAAAACUAAGCAGCUACGGCUCUGAUACCACUGUUGGGAUACGAGGUAGGCUACACUAGCGCAAAUCAAAAUUUCUACCGCGUAUAACCAGGAAGAACUACCGUAUAAGGAUCACGGGAUUACCACUCGACGCACUACUGGUGCGGAAGAUGUAGAUAUGCGUCGAUGCAGUGAAGAUGAUCACGUAGUCGUACGUAGUCGAUCAACGUAGUCGUACGUAGUCGAUCACGUCACGUCCAGCAGCUCCUCCACGUGCAGCAAGAUCGCCUCCGGUGCCGCGGCUCGUCGUGGCUCGUCGGCGGCUCGUCGAUGGCUCGUCCAAGUGCUGCAGGCGCAAUACCUCCAAGGUAUCCACACGUGCAGGGAGGAAGCGUCGCAAGCCGGACUGCUAGAUCCGCGAGUUGCAACAGGCGAGGGCGUGGGAGGCGCGGCAGGUGUGUUUCGCCAAAAGGUGUAAACCCUAGGGCGCCCCCACCCCUCUAUUUAUAGAGGUUCCUGAUGGGCCUCUGGAUCCGAGGCCCAUUAGUACUUCUAAACCUAAUCCAACUCGGAUCAAAUCCGAAUUGGGCUUCCAGCCCCUUAAGUGUGUGACCCUAUGGGUUCGGAUACGUAUAGACAUGGCCCGAGUACUCCUACUCGGCCCAAUAGUCGGUAGCGGCCUCUAGCAAGACGUGCCAACUCCUAUACGCACACGAAGAUCAUAUCAGACGAACCAUCACAACAUAAUAUACAUGCUAUUCCCUUUGCCUCACGAUAUUUGGUCUAGCUUCAAGCCGACCGCUCUUUCUCGAUCCCGUGAUUCGGAAUCCCUUUGUAGGUUAACUCUUAACCGUACGUAGCAUGGCCAUGCAUUUUCGGAUCCGAUCACUCGAGGGGCCCAGAUAUAUCACUCUCAAUCAGAGAGGGGCAAAUCCCAUCUUGAUUGACCAUGUCUCAUAGCAUGCUUCUUGACAAACCCGAAAGCUACCUUUAUAACUACCCUGUUACGGCGUAGCGUUUGAUAGCUCCUAAGUAGGUCGAUCCACAUCUAGAAUGCAUGCGACAAUCUCAGGUCUAAGGACAAAGCGUAUAUGUUGUUUAAAGAGAGAACUACUUCUCGUGUUGGGUCAGUCCUAGCACAUGUCUACACAUGUGUCCACAUUAUUAGUUCAACAUCUCCAUGUCCAUGACUUGUGAAACAUAGUCAUCAACUAAUACAUGUGCUAGUCUAAUAUUCAUGUGUGUCCUCACAUGAACUCUGACUAGGGACAACUUUAGAAUAACCAUACAAGUAAAGAGUUUCACAUACAAUUCACAUAAUUGCAAAUCAAUUCAAGUAGCCUUCAAUGGAUAUUCAAUGAACACAACAUACAAAUCAUGGAUACAAAUGGAAUAUCAUCAUCUCUAUGAUUGCCUCUAGGGCAUACCUCCAACAUCCCAGCGCAAAAGCGAGGCGCGGGCGGGGGUCACGGGCACGUGGGUGAGCGUGGAACUGCACUCCAGCUCGACGCGGUGCGGCGCGUGUGGCGUGCGUGAGCGGGUGUGGUGGUACGGUGAGGUGGAGAAGUAGAAUAGUGCACGGCUGAUGUGUGGGCCUAGGGCAUCGGCAAAGGAAGAAGGGAGUAGCACGGGCAUGAGCUAGGCCGACUGCGGCCUACUGGGCUUGGAAGCAGCGCGAGCGAGCAGGCGGGUGAGCGCGGUGUAGCGAGCUGGGCCAGCAAACGCGGGCACGCGCGCGAGUGAGGGCGGCACGAGCGAGCUCGAGCGGUUAGCAGGCCGAUGAGCGGGCCAGGUUAGCGGGCUGAGUUAGUUUUGGUUAGAUUUAGGUUUUGUUUUUAUUUGGUUUAGAUUUUAGGUUUAAUUUACUCAAGUAUGAACUCCAAAUAAAAUUCAAGAAGAUCCAAAUCAUGCCACACAUAUUUUUGAAAUGGAAUUUAGGGUAAGAGAGGAAAUAUCUAGCUUUUCAAAUGAGCACACAAUUCAAACAAGAAGUUUUAAAUUUUUGCAAAAAUUCACUCAUUCAAAUAUUGUAAGUUUUUGGAAUAUUACAGUCUCCCCCCUAAGAGAAUCUCGUCCUCAAGAUUUAAGGUUUGACCUCCUCCUCAAAUAGAUGUGGAAACUCCUUCUUCAAAUUUGCCUCUUUCUCCCAAGUUGCCUCCCUCUCGGUAUGGUUGCUCCAAAGCACUUUGCAGUACGGGACGGACGUCCUCCUCAUAGCUUUUUCUGUGCGAGCCAAGAUCUUGACUGAGUUUCUUCAUACUCCAAGGAGUCUUGCAAGUCUAGUGCCUCAGUGUGAACCUGCUCCUUGGGAACCCUUGGACACUUCCUCAGCUGUGAGACAUGAAACACCGAAUGCACUCCAGCCUUGCUCUCCGGUAAGGCAACCUUAUAGGCAAGGUCUCCAAUCCUCUUAAUCACCUGGUAGGGACCCACAAACCUCGGUGCAAGCUUCCCCUUAAUCAGAAGUCUCUUGGUUCCUCGGAGUGGUGAGACCUUGAGGUAGAUGUGAUCUCCAACUUCAAAAGAUAAGUCUCUCCUUCUCUUAUCUGUGUAACUCUUCUGGCAACUAUAAGGAAUCUUUAGGUUCUCUCGGACCUUGCUCAUGUUCUCUUUAGCCUCCUUGAUAGUUGCUGGCCCAAAGUGAGUCCUCUCUCCAAUCUCGAACCACAUCAGAGGUGUCAUACACUUCUUUCCGUAGAGAGCCUCAAAUGGUGACAUCUGAAGACUGACUUGGUAACCAUGGUUGUAGGAAAACUCUGCAAAAGACAAACUGCUCUCCCAAUCAUCUCCAUAGGUAAGCACAUAAGCCCUCAGCAUGUCCUCCAGGAUUUGGUUUACUCUCUCAAUCUGCCCAUCUGUCUGUGGGGGAAUGCUGUGUUGUACUCCAACGUAGUCCCCAUAGCCUUGUGAAAGCUCUUCCAGAACUUAGCAACAAAUUGUGGACCUCUGUCAGAAACGAUACUCUUAGGUGCUCCAUGUAGCCUCAAAAUGUUGUCCACAUACAUCUCUGCAAGAACUCAGUUCUUAAGGUGUUCUUCACUGGUAUGAAGUGAGCUACCUUGGUGAGCCUGUCCAUAAUCACCCAAAUCGAGUCGUUUCCCUUCUAAGUCUUGGGCAAACCCAUAAUGAAGUCCAUGGAGAUGUCUUCCCACUUCCAAACUGGUAUCUCGACUGGUUUAUGCAACCCUGCCGAUCUCUGGUGCUCAGCCUUUACUCGCUUGCAAGUGUCAUAACAGGCGACGUGGUUGGCUAUGUUGACUUUCAUAUCUUUCCACCAAAACCUCUCCUUCAAAUCUUGGUACAUCUUGGUGCAUCCUGGGUGAAUGGAGUACUUUGAGUCAUGAGCUUCCUUCAGAAUAGACUCGUGAAUAGCUUGAUCUUUGGGUACACAGAUCCUGUCCCUCAGCAGAUAGUGCCUUUGUCAUCCAUCCGGUAAUCAGUUGCCUUACCUCUUUUCAUCUGCUUCCGAAGAGGCUCAAUUUUUGAACAUUGCACUUGUGCCUACCUGAUCUGAUCUUCCAAGUUGUAUGCCACUUAUAGUUCACAAAGUUGUCCCUGCUCAACGAUCUCCAGCUUGAGUUUCUCCAACUCCUCACACAGAUCAGGUUGCUCUUCCCUCACCAUCAGGUUGUUGCUAUAGGCUUUCCUACUUAGAGUGUCAGCCACAACGUUGGCCUUUCCGGGGUGGUAGUGGAUCUCCAACUCAUAAUCCUUGAUUAGCUCCAGCCAUCUCCUUUGUCUCAUGUUUAGCUCAGACUGAGUGAAGAAGUACUUCAAGCUCUUGUGGUCGGUUUAGAAUGCACACUUGUUGCUGAUUAAGUAAUGCCUCCAAAUCUUGAGAGCUUGCACAACAACUGCCAGUUUCAGAUCAUGUGUCAGGUAGUUCUCUUCAUGCUUCUUUAGCUGUCUAGACGCAUAGGCCACGACCUUUCCUUCCUACAUUAGCACACAGCCCAAACCCUGCUUGGAAGCAUCACAAUACACCACAAAGUCCUUGAUAUCUGCUAGAGUCAGCACUAGAGUGGUUGUAAGUUUCGACUUAAGCUCCUGGAAACUCUUCUCACAAGCUUCAAACCACUCAAACUUCAUGUUGUUCUUUAGCAGCUCGGUCAUGGGCUUGGCAAUCUUGGAAAAGUUCUCAAUAAACCUCUAGUAGUAUCCUGCCAAACCACAGAAGCUCCUGAUUCCUAUCACGUUGAGAGGCUACUCCCACUCUGUAACUGCUUCAAUCUUAGCUGGAUUAAUAUCUACUACCUUUCCUGACAACAUGUGACCUAUGAAGGCAACUUCCUCCAUCCAGAACUAACACUUGCUGAACUUGACAUAAAGCUGGUGUUGCCAUAACCUCUCUAGCACGAUCCGAAGGUGCUCCUCGUGCUCUUCUACUAUCUCGGAGUAGAUUAGAAUAUCAUCAAUGAACAUUGCCACAAACUUGUCCAACACCUCCAUAAAGAUCUUGUUCAUCAUGUUCAUGAAGUAAGCAGGUGCGUUGGUCAAGCUGAAAGAAACCACUGUGAACUCGUACAACCCGUACCGAGUAGUGAACGCGAUCAUGGAUAUGUCACUCUCUCGAAUGUUCAUCUGGUGGUAUCCCGACCUCAAGUCAAUCUUGGAGAAGUACUUUGCUUUCCUGAGCUAGUCAAGCAGAUCGUCAAUUCGUGACAAAGUAUACUUGUUAUUAAUGGUCAUGGAGUUGAGCGUUCGAUAACCUAGAUAGAUCCUCAUGGACCCAUCCUUCUUCCUCACAAAUAGAACAGGCGAACCCCAUGAUGAAGCACUUGGUCAAAUGAACCCUUGCUCUAGCAACUUCUUCAACUGCUUCAUCCAACUCAUCGGCCGACAUCUUUUGGAUUUAUAAGCCCGGUAGUCCACCAUGGAGUUACCCAAGUGGUUGAUUUGUAGGUGACGGCGAUUGCAAAACCAAGAACUCGAAGGUGAUCGCAAGAAAAAGAAGGGGACACAAGGGUUUUAGAUAGGUUUAGGCCUUCGGAGAGUAAUACCCUACGUCCUGUAUGCUGGAUUCUAUUGCUCGAGAGUUAUUUGAUGAUAGGGAUACCCUCGUGGGCUGCCCUUGGCUGCCUUAUACAGGCUGACGACCAAGAGUUACAAAUAAAUUUGAAUCUAAUCUACUCAGUAGUUACAUGGAAAGAAAUCUGAGUCGGAUUGUAAUACAUGUUCCAUGAUAUCCGGGUAGGUUUGGACAGUCUUGUUACCUUCACAUGUACUCCAAGUAACUUCAUGUCCUCGGCCCACACGCUCUGGUCAGGCAGGCCUACUUGUUAGGUCUGGCCAGUAUCCUGGUCGGUGGGGACCCAUAGAGUACCCAUAUCCCUCAAGCCCCCGAGCAAUGUGUAGGGGAACAGGAACUUGAUGUCAUCAUAGUGAAGCUUGGAAAGAGGUCGGCUGAAGCUGCUAUGCCGUCAUGGUGACGGAGAGGCUGCGCAGUGCUCAAAAAAGAAGAAGAUCCAAGCGAGCACAGAGCAAACGUGCAGAGUGAAGAUGAGUGCCGAGUUGAUGGAACAUAGCAUCCAGCAGGUCGAAGCAAUUGUCACGGAGGGCGUCGCAAGACGCACUCUAUAGGAGUAGCCCCCGAGCAUUGAAGUGAUUAGAAUAAUUAGUCCAAUAGUCAAGGAUGAAAAAAGUUAUGUGUUGAAUUAGAUCCCAGUGCUCGAGUACAAGGAUAGGCAUAGCCACAGAGGCCUGCUAAAAAAGAGAUAUGCGCCAAAAUCUUCUGAAGAUAAGGACUCGUGCAAUGAUAGGUAAGCGACAAAAAUUCCUACUCAUGGGAGGACUCCACUGUCGGAGCAACUUCACAGGAGUACUGCCCGUCACUAUUUGAAGAUGAAGCCGAGCAUCACAUGAACACUUUAGAGUUGUAUCAGUAUGGAACCUCCUUGUCAUGCAACCUCACGAGUCUACUGUAGCACCUUGGAUGUUAGCUUGUGGCACAGCUAUAAAUAGACCAACGUUUAGCUUUGAGAGUCAUGGCUCGAGUAAUACCGCUCGUAGGCUUGAAGCUUGUAGUGUUUGAUAAGAGUAGCACCCGCCCAGAAGCAUGAUGCUAGAAGAAUUCUCAUGAGGGAGAUCAAGGUGCUCCUUCCCUUCACAGUCUCUACGAUAGAGUCGGGGGGUAACGAUGCUAGACGAAUCCUCGUGAGGAAGCUGUAUCGUGAACGCCCCCAACUUUGUCCAGAACACCGCUAGGGAAGUAUGUCGCACAACUUUCUUAUAUUGUGCCUUUUUCUUUUUCUACAUUCUAGCUUCUUAUCCUAGGAUGUCGGCUACCCCAGAGCUGUUCAUAGUUACUUGUAAUAUGUAAUGCCGAGAAUUUGAUAUUAGCUGAGUAAAAAUAUGCCCUUGCAUCUGUUUAUGGGGAUUUAUAAGGCCACAGAGGUGUGCUUUCCUCAAACUGGGCAACUAGUUCCUGAGAUUGAAGACUGGCUGUGCCACGGAGGCAAGUCGAGUAGAAUUAGGUGCCCAGCUCCCGAGGACGAGGACUGGCAGAGCCGCUGAGGCAUACCGAGUGGAAUUUAGGCGCCCAGCCUCCGAGAAUCAGGACUGGCAGAGCCGUUGAGGUGCGUCGAGUAGAAUUAGGCACCCAGCCCUCGAGUAUGAGGACUGGCAGAGCCACAGAGGCAUGCCAACCAGAAUUUGGCACCCAGCCCCCGAGGGCAAGGACUGGCAGAGCUACUAAGGCCCGCCGAGUAGAAUUAGGCGCACAGCCCCCAAGGAUGAGGACUGGCAGAGCUGCUGAGGCACCCUGACCAGAAUUCAGCGCCUAGCCCCGAGGAUGAGGACUGGCAGAGCCGCUGAGGCGCACUGACCAGAAUUUGGCAUCAGCCCCUGAGGGCGAGGACUGGCAGAGCCGCUGAGGCACGCUGAGUAGAAUUAGACACCUAGCCCCUGAGGACGAGGACCGGUAGAGUUGUUGAGGCGCACCAUUAAAAGUGCAACAGAGAUCCUGCAGAUUCAGUCCCAUGCACAUGGCGCUAACAGAAAAUCCCAUAGAUUACGCCCCACAUACACCACGAUAACAAAAGGCCCGCGAUUUCCAUCCAUGAGUUACGCCGUCAUCCUCCUCAGAAGCACGAUGUCACACCCGAUUUUAAGGACAAAAUCAAGUGCAUUAAAUACAUGUGCGCUAGGAUCAAGUUACACACAUGUACGACAUAAGCGAAUAUCAAAGAUAGUGCCAUAACGAAAUAAAGAGUGUUAACCAUUAUUACAUGACCGAAAGUCACAAAUAAACCACAAAGUCUAUUUAUUACACAACGGAACUCCAAAGAUAGCAACGACUCCAUAGGCAGCUGACUGAAGAACUGUACGCCUAGAACUCCUCAAAGUCGUGCAGGUACUCCUCCAAAUUAGCUUGGUCUGAACAGCGGUUUUGCAAGGGUGAGUACACUUAUGAGUGGUACUUAACAAGUCAUGGGGAACAGUGUAGUGUAAGGCAAAUCAAGGUAUGGCUAAGGUUUAAACAACAUCAGCUUUUAAUUUAGUUGGUCAAAUUUUAUUAGCAAUUAAUUAGAUGUAAGUUUAUACCACCCGAAAUUAAACAAGGACAUGAAUAAAGUAAUAACAUAACCAUAAAUGAAAUGAUAACAAUUUAAAUCCAUCUUUCAAUAGCAUUAUCAUGUGAGGGUCCAGGCCGCUCUUAACCGUGAACACGGCUGACCGAUCAGUUUUACACUCUGCAGAGGUUGUACAUCUUUACUCACAAGUCGCGUAAAAGUUCAAAAGAACUUUGGACCCAACCAUGAGGUGUUUGUAAGGCACAUACCACACUUCCGAGGUAUGAUUGUAUAGAGACGCUACGAGGUCUUUACAAAUAUUCAUUAGUCAGUGGUAAUCCGCUAAGUUUCGGUGUCUGGCGUGCACAACCCUUCAUAGGCCGCUAAUGCAACGACUCAGUUCCCCCUCUUGCCUUAUCACAAGUAAGAUUACCCCAGACUAAUGUUUCUAAUUAUUCAGCCAAGACUAGAGCCAUUUAGUCUUGUGGUAGCAUUGUUUUCCAAGGUGGUUCUCAAGGUUCCGAUUAAACAUUUGUGAUCUUGACUUAAUGAAAGGUAUAUCAUAAAUAAUACCAAAUUAAUGAUGUUUCAGAUUAAACCACCAUAACCAUGUUUGAGCACUAAGCACGAGCUACCCGACAUAAAUUUAACCUGGUUGGUCAAGGCAAGGUAGCUAAAGUCUAGGAAAUUCUUAAUUGGGACCCAUCAAGUUUAAAUUAUACUGUGCAUGGCAUUGUUGUAUAGAACAUGAAAGUCAAUGUGAAUAGGACUAAAAAGGAGUGAUCAAGGACACAACUUGCCUUCUUAACCUUGCUCUUGCUAUUCGUACUCCUCGAAAGCUUGCUCUUCGAAUCCUUCGAAUUGCUGACCGUCUACACGCGUCACACGAGCACAUACAAGCAAACAAAUACAACAUAUAAGAAAACAGUACAUCAAUCAUAAUUAAACAGAGAAAACAAGUUUGAAAAGCUAUUCUACGCAUUAAAAUCAAUACACAUAUAUAAAGAAUGCCAAAAACGAAGCUAUAAUGCAAAAACUACGCUUAAAAUAAGAUGCAGGGGCAUAACUGUGAGAAACCAAACUUCCAGGGACCUAAUUUAAAAUACUUUAAAACAGCAGGAGGGCAGCUGCGUAAAAACCAAAAACUGCAGGGCUAUAAUGUGAAGGCGCUGCUGCUGAUUCGGCUGACUCAAUGCGAACCGUUGGAUGGAUGUCCGGCGGCUGGUAGCUACUGCGCUGACGUCAGCGAUGGCAAGCGGCGGCGGAAAAAUGGCAGUUCGCCGGAAUCGCCUGGGAAUGCGCGACAAGGCGCAGAAUUGGGCAAGGAUUAGCCCAGGAGAGCAGGGGCUUGAGGCGGACUCGUUCCGGCAGUUGGUGAUGGCCGAAACGCGGCGAGGUGGCGCACACAACGCGACGGUGCAUGGCGGCGCUCCGACGAGGUCUCGCGGGCGAAAGGAACGAGGUACCGCGCGGGAGCAGCUUGGCCGGGUCCUCACCAGGAUGCGAAGCUUCGAGCGGCGCUGUUGGACAUGGAGAGAUGAUGGCGGCGCAGAUCGUCAAUGCACGAGCGGUGGCGCAAGUGCGAGCUUGGAGGAAGCGGGCGGUCUGUAGAUGCAAAAAAACAAGGGUUUGGUGGGGCUCAGAGGCGAUGGUUUUGCAGCGUCUAAGGGCAUGUACAUUGGGUGACUGUGAGCUGUCUACGAGCCGGCGUUUUUGCAAAAGUGUCCUCAUUUGAGCCAAGCAACGGGCACGCCGUCGUCUCGCGGGCUCGUGCUCCAACACUCGGCGACGACCUGCAGGCGCCGUUGUACGAUCCAUCGGCGCACCUCCGGAUCGAGAGCGAAAUCAGCCCGCGCUGCUCCAACCGAUUCCAACCACUUCCCUCCCUGCGUGCGGGACGCCGACGGGAGGCAAGGCCGGAUAGCUUGGCCGCCGCCGCGCCACGCCUCCUCCCUCCGCGCGGGACGCCGAUGGGAGGCGAGGCUGGAUAGCUGGGCUGCCGCCGCGCCACGCCUCCUCCAUCUCCGCGGCGUCACCGGAGGCGAGCCCCCCCUCCCCUGAGAGAGCAGAUCGAAAUCCCCCGUCACGAGCUCCCCUUCAGCAUCCAGAUCCGUGACUCCCUUCUCUCCGUCUCCACAUCGACACGAGCUCACGCUGCUGCCGAAGAGUAGCGCCUUCGUGUACGCGUCGUCGCCGCGGCUCCACAUCAUCUGGGGCUGCUUUGAUUGGGGACUGACGAUGACGCGCCGCCGACGGGCAAACAGAGGGGAAGAGGUGAGCCAUGACUCUUCUUGCCGAGAUUCAUCAGCUGAGCUGUUGUUUCUUUUCUUCCCUUUUGUUCACUUCACUAGUUCACUUCAGUAGAUCAAUCAAAGCACUGUCUCUGAACAUGAGGUGCUCAUGGCUCCGUCGCGAAAGGAAGGGAUGAACAGUGAAGAAGCUAGUUAACUCAAUUAUACUUGUACCUAUUCAGAUUUUUUAGACGACUACAAUAUGACUGUUGCUAUCUUCUAUUGUAUGUUCAUACUAGAUUACACUCAACAUGACUAGUCUGCAGUUUGAUAGUGAAAUUUGAUCGGUGAGGUAUUGGUGUCAAAAUCAUUAGUACUCUUUAGGAUUGGACCAUCGAUUGACGGUGUGAGCAGAACUGCAGAAGACAUUUGAUUGGCACUCAAGAUUACCUUCAGUUUGCUUUAGUUCUCUAAAGAUUCGAUCGUUUGGAAACCUGUCAUUUGUUAUUGGCAGACAUGCAUGUCUCGUUGAGCCAUCUCAUUCUCUAAUGCUCGUUUGGAAGGAAAGUUUGAGAAUGAGUUAGAGUGUGGGCUGAAUUGAGAUUCUGAUAACACUGUAAAUAUUUUGUUGGUCUUUGCAGUCUGGGAGAGCUAGCUUGCAGCUUCCAGUGGAUAUGAUCGAUAAGAUCCUAUCUCCCAUCACUGAUCCUGCCUCCCUAGCAUGCCUUGCUUCACCCUGCAAGUUUGGCGUAAUAUCAUAAAGGGGAGAAGCUUUCUUAAUUGCCUCAGGAAGCAUGCAUUGCAUUCAACGAAUAAGCAACAAAAUGGCAUGCAUAGAUCAUAUUUAUACCUAAUCAUCUUGAUUUGAAUGAAUUAAAUAACUUGCAGAUAAGUUAAAAGACAAAUCAUUGUAUAAAAUCACUGUCUAUACGUGACUUACCGACGGCAGCUGUCUAAAAUGUUGAAGGUGCUCUAAAUGCGGCCUUGGCGUGCGGCCCCAGAGGCCAAGGUGGAUACAAACGGUUCGUUUCGCGAGUGUGACUCGGACCUGAGUCCGACGCGGAGAAGUCUCGUCAACCAGCUCGCGGAGAAGGAGCGAGGCGUGCGAGUUGGGCGUAAGCAGGCGGAAAGAAGGAGCUGAUGGCAGGGCCCCAGCGGCCAGAGGAAAGGAAUAGCGGUGCGUGAGGGAAAAGGGCAGCUGGGCCGCUGCUUGUUGGGCCGGCACAGGGAUAAACGGAACUGGGCCAGAGGGAGUAGCAGGUGCUGCGCUGGGCUAAAAAAGAAAGGGGCUUUGGGCCGGCGCAGCAAGGAAACAAAACUGGGCCGGAAAGCAAAGGAAACGACAGUCCAAAACAAAAAGGAAACUGCGCCCGCAGCUUGCUCCUGACUCAGAACUGAAAAUAGCAAAACAGGAACAACGCCCAGCAGACAGCAACUCUGAAACCUGACUGAACUUCCAGGAAACUGACAGAACUCCCAAAGACAGAACUGAAGCUCGACAGGAACAAGCAAACUGCAACCGAACUGAAGACAAGAAAACCACAUCAAAGAACUACAGAACUCUGAGCCGAAGAACUGAACCUGGACAAUGGCUUGACUGAAAACAGAAACACCACCAGAACUGAACUAACUGACAGAAAAAAAAAGAAACAGCCACCUAAAGCAAACCACAAGCUCGAAACCAAGCAAACAAGAUGAACACUAUGCAGCGGCAUGAAUGCACAAACAAAAUCCUAUGUUUCAUUAUUAAAUUAGAAAAAUGCUUAAAUGCCUAGUAAAUGCAAAAAUGACCUUAUAUGCCUUAAACAUGCAAAUUGUUUCUAGCAAAUUUUAAUAAAAUGCAAAGUUGUAAAUUUUGGGUGUUAUACGCGAGGGGUUACGGAGCCGUUUUCAUCCUUAUCUUCAACAUUCUUAGUGCCUCCACCUUGAGCUCACUGAGCACUUUGCCGCCGCACUCGCUAACCCUAGGCGUGCCGCCGCAAUCAACAUUCCGCUAGCGCGCAUCGCCGCUGCUGCCCGAGUUGCCGUACCACCACCACCUGAGCCGCCGCACCGUCGUAUGCACAGCAAGACCCUAGUCCUUUCUAGAUCUAAAUCUCAAGGCAUCGAGCUUGAAGAAAUGGCGUAAUCCAAUGCCCCGGAGCAAUCUUCAAUCUGGAUGAAGUUCGUGAUGACACAAGAGCACAUCCAAUCCCUCGUCGACCGAGGCCUCCUCGGAUCACAAGCGCUGCUGGAGUGGAAGCCCAUCGCCAGCCAAGAGUUCCUAUCGGAGGACACGGUGGAGAUGUUGGUGUUUGCGCUGUUCUUCAAGCGCGGAUUUAGGUUCCCAACAGGAGACUUCUUCCACGGCCUCCUCCACUACUACAAGAUUGAACUGGUACACUUGAAUCCAAACUCAAUCUUGGAUAUCUUUGUCUUAAUCCAUCUGUGUGAAGCAUACUUGGGCAUCCCUCCACACUUUCAUCUGUGGCGCUACUUGUACCAAUUGAAACCCGUGAUUACUAAGGGGAAAAAAGAAUGGGUUAUUGGGGGUUGUGGAUUCUCGCUACGGCCCAAGAAGGUGUAGGAGUAUUUUGAUCUGCAGUUGAGAGAGUCCAACCAGGGGUGGCACAGCGAGUGGUUCCUCAUCGCAAAUUAGCAUCCUGAGCUACUGCCGCGCAAAGGGUAUGGGCUAGUGUCUAUGCCCGAGUGGUCAAACCAGCCCACCUCGAAAGAGCAGGUCCAAGUAGAUGAGCUGCUAGCGAAGAUCGUCGACUUGAAGGCACGCGGACUGACAUCCACGGCCAUCAAUAUCAACUUCUGUCAAAGGGCGAUGCAACCGAUCAAGUACCAAGUGCAUGCAUCCGUCGUACGAGUACUCGGGGCUAGAUGAUUCGACCCGAGAGAUUCGUGGCAAGGUCCCCAACAAAGAGGUCAUCGGCAGGGUGUGUGAGUUCUUCAAGGUGUGUGCGUCGAAUCCAACACCGCAAAGGGAUGAGGCUGGCUCCAAAGAUGAAAACGCCACCAUGGUCGACCCCGAGGUCGAGAAGAAGGCUGAGGUAGAUGCUAGAGUCAAGCCUCAACAGGAUGAGCUACCCAGGGAUGAUCCGCCACCGGAAAGAUCCAGCAGUGGUGCUGACAUUGGCAUGAAAGGCACUCAUAGGGGCUGACCUCUCGGAGAAAUAGGAACUCGCGCUCACCAGUUUCCUCCGAGAGAACUCGGACAUAUUUGCGUGGAAGUCAUCCGAUAUGCCUAGUAUCCCUAGGGAGCUGGCUGAGCACUCCUUGGACUUGAGCAAGACUGCACAGCUGGUCAAGUAGAAACUUCGUUGCUUCACCCAAGAUCGCAAGGAGGCCUUUAGGGUAGAAUUAAAUAAGCUCCUAGUUGCCGGAUUCAUUCGUGAAUAUAAGCAUUCUGACUAGUUAACCAACCUAGUUCUUCUAAGAAAGAAAACUGGUAAAUGGAGAAUGUGCAUUGAUUACAUUGACCUGAACAAGCAUUGCCCUAAGGACCCCCUCCCUCUUCCGUGCAUGGACCAAGUCAUAGACUCUACAGCAGGGAGCAUCCUGCUCUGCUUCCUCAACUGCUACUCAGGCUAUCACCAGAUUGCCCUUGAUCCAGCCAACCAAGACAAGACGACAUUCAUAAUGCCCUUUGGCAUCUAGUGCUACAAUAUAAUGACCUUUCGGUUGAAAAAUGCCAGCGCCACCUACCAAAAGGCAAUCCAGGGUUGCCUCGCAACACAGCUGCAGGAAUGCUGAGGCUUACGUCCCAUCUGGAAAGCUCCUGGAGUUCAUGGUCAGCCAGCGAGGCAUCAAGGCCAACCCCGUGAAGGUGGAUGCAAUCCGAAACAUAGCAAAACCAUCUAACAAGAAGGACAUUAGGAAACUUACUAGCAUGAUGGCAGCCCUUAGCUGCUUCAUCAGCAAACUUGGAGAAAAAGGUCUGCCCUUCUUCAAGAUCCUUAAAAAGGCAGACAAAUUUGUGUGGGAUGAUGAGGCCAGCAAGGCACACAAAGAGCUCAAAGCUUUCCUCAACACUCCUCCCAUCAUGACGGCCCCGGCCCACCAAGAAAUGUUGUACCUCUACAUCUCCACAAUGACGCAUGUUGUCAGGACCGUGCUAGUUGUAGAGCGCCAAGAGCUCGACCAUGCUUACAUGGUGCAACGGCUAGUGUAUUCUGUCAGCGAAGUCCUUAGCGACACCAAGACACGCUACACCCAGGUUCAAAAACUGUUCUACACAGUGCUGAUGUCAUCAAGAAAGUUGCGCCAUUACUUCCAGGCACACAAGAUUUGCGUAGUAUCUUCAUUCCUUAUUGGUGAAAUCCUACAUAACAGGGACGUCAAUAGUCAAGUUGUUAAGUGGUCUGUGGAGCUCAGCGAAUUCGACCUUGAUUUCUGCCCACGUCACAUGAUCAAGUCACAAAUCCUGGCUGACUUCGUGGCUGAGUGGACAAAGAUCCAGAAGCCACCCUCUCUGGAGAGGCCAGAACACUGAACCAUGUACUUUGACGGCACCCUGAACCUCGAAGGAGUCGGCGUGGGGGUCCUCUUCAUAUCCCCUAAAGACGAGCAGCUCAAGUAUAUGCUCCAGAUCUACUACAACACCACCAACAAUGGCGCCGAGUACGAAGCUCUGAUCCACAGCCUCCACAUCACCGUGUCCCUCGAAAUCAAGCAUAUACUCGCUUAUGGCGACUCCAAGGUUGUCAUCGAGCAAGUCAACAAGUAUUGGGACUGCACCAAGGAAUCCAUGGAUGCUUACUACAUGGAAAUCUACAAGCUCGAGGCCCACUUCAAUGGCCUUGAGUUCCAUCAUGUCCCCAAGGACCAUAACAUCGCCGACCGAUGUCCUGUCCAAGCUCGGCUCCAAGCGUGCGUAGGUUCCGGUUGGCGUAUUCGUACAAGAUCUCUGGAAAAUCUUCCAUCAAAAUUCUGGAUCCGGACCAAGCAACGACGCUGGCGCUCAGGGCCUGGCUGACCCAAAACCCACUGACGUCAUGAUGAUCGAGGUAGAAGAAGAUUGGUCGCCCCAUUCAUAGCCUUGAUCACUGACCAGAUGUGCCAGAGGAUAAGAUAGAGCAUGAAAAAUUAGCUCGGCGCAGUGCAAACUAUGUCGUCAUUGGCUAGGAGCUCUACAGGAAAGCCGCAUCCAUGAGAAUCCUGAUAAAGUGUAUCCUAUGCAAUGAAGGCAUCGAACUCCUGAAUGAAAUCCAUUUGGGAACAUGUGGCAACCAUGCUGCCUUGGGCACUUUGGUCGGCAAAGCCUUCCGCUUUGGUUUCUACUGGCCAAUGAUGCAAAGGGUGUCAAUUCUUCUCCAAGCAGCAGCACUUUUAAGCUUAGACCCUACACACCAUCCCACCAUCCUAGCCUUUCGCAUGCUGAGGGCUAGACAUGGUCGGACCAUUCAAAACUGCUUCGGGCGGCUACACACACAUCUUCGUGGUAGUGGACAAAUUUACCAAGUGGAUUAAGGUCAAGGCUGUUACCAGCACUGAGUCGGCUAAAGCCGCCUAGUUUGUGGAGGAAAUUAUGCACCUCUUUGGAGUGCCAAAUAGGAUCAUAACCGACCUUAGCAUGCAAUUCACAAGCUCCAAGUUGUGGGAUUUUUGCCAAGACAACCUCAUCGACGUGUACUACUCCUCAGUAACGCACCCACGCUGCAAUGGUUAGGUUGAACGUGCAAACGGGAUGGUCCUCCAAUCCCUCAAAUCACGCAUUUUCGACGACACGUCCAAGUACGCCAUGAAGUGGCUACGUGAGCAAUGUUAUCUGGGGUCUACGAACGCAGAAAAGUUGGGCUACCGGCUACACCCCUUUCUUCAUGGUAUACGGCUUAGAGGCCGUCCUAUCAUCAGACGUGGCCUUUGUCACCCCACGCAUCCAGUACUACAAGAAAGGCGAUGCAGAAAAAAGUUAGCGGGUCGACAUCGACAGCCUUUAAGAGUAUCGUGUGGCAGCCCUCAUCCAACAUGCCUGCCAUAAGCAGCAGAUACAGUGCUACCAUGAUCGAAAUGUCAGGGAAUGCUCCUUCAACAUUGGUGACUUAGUGCUUCACCGGGUCCAGUCCACCAAGAACAUGCACAAAUUGGCUACCCCCUGGGAGGGCCCCUUCAUCAUCAAAGAAGUCAUCCAGCCAGGCAUCUACCAACUACAAUUGGCAGACGGCUUCGACACCCCCAAUCCAUGGAAUAUCGAGCAUCUACGAUGUUUCUACCCCUAUAAAUAUAAAGCUAUGUACCCUAUUUCCCUUCUAUAUUAAAUAAAUAAAACCUCGGUGGUUCUUUCUACGUACCUACUAUCUUAUUGUUCUCCUUCCCAAGCUAUCCCUAACGCUCGGGGGUUGUCCGACCUGUUCAAUAGCCCGCUUGCUCACAAGCUCGGGGGCUUUCCCCAGGCGCUAACCUCUGGGUCAUGAAUUUUUCUCCUCCCCCUCUCAAGGAUAUACAACUAACUCAUGUGGUCGGCGUCCUAGCUCGUGAAACCUAGACAACCUCGUAUUCACCCCUCCUACAAGCUCGAGAUCCGGUCUCAGCAGGACGCUGGCCAGGCAAGGUUAGGUGCUUAGCGGCUACGGGCCUUAGCUACAUGCUGUCCUGUCGUAUACACCAAGGGAGGGAUGGAGUUUCUCUUCAUUACAUAUAAUUAAGAACAUUGCAUUCAACGUUUCAUCAAACAGCUUGAUACAUCUUAAAUGUUUUUCCUACAGGUCCAAGUCAUUUACAAUGGUCUCAGCCACAUCAUGGUACUGCUCAACCACCUCAGGAAUCAAGUCUUCUUCGAAGUCGGCCGCGACUCCUAUCACAACACGUUCCAAGGGAAGUUUCAGGAAUUAUGAUGCCAACAAAGCAAAGGUGUUCUUGAUGCAUUCCAAUGCAGUAUCCUUCAGCAGCGCCUUGAGCUGACCUGGUGCAGCCUUGAGACGGUCCAGUAGCAGCAUUGGUGCAGAUGGGUCGGCGUCUGCUUGGACCAUGUCCAUCACAUAGCCGGCUGCCUUCCACAGCUGCUCCAUCUCUAACUCCAACCCUGCAAUUACACACUGGUCAUUCUGGAGAUUACUUACAGCAGCCUCUAAGUAGCACUCGGUUUCCUUGCGUGCAUUGGUUUCGUGGGCCAACUUCUAUGAUACUGCAUACUCACGCUUGAUCGCCAUGUCAUGCUCCUGCUCAAGACGUGUGUUGGAUUGUUCGCACUCCUUGAGGUGCCGUUUCAGCCUCUCCUCCCUCAUCAUGGCAUCUAUUUGUCCGACCAAGUCUACAUGAGCAUCAAGAUAUCCAUGAGAAAUAUGAUUUAACAAGUCGGCGCAGCAUACCUCUCAAGUGCGAAGUGAAAACUUCCUUCUCAAAAGCAAAGUCAAUCCUAUCCUUCAACAAGUGAUUGGCCUACUUCACGACAUCCUCCUUGGCCUUCUUAAGGUCGACCUCGAGUCACUCCACCUUAAGGCAGUAGUGGUCAGCUUGGUAGGCCGUAUCCGCCCACUUCUGCGCUUGUUCGGCCAGACCCUGCACAUAUCUUCACAUUUAGAAUUCGGGAACUAAAAGGGAUUUCUGCAACAGGUCUUCUAGGUUGGUCAGCAAACUUACACUCAAAAACUCGAUGAUCCUUGAGGACGACUGCUGCAGCUCGGCAAGAGCCUUGUGGUCCACCUCAACGCCUUCACCAACGCCUUGUGGCCCGGAGGGUCUUCUAGGCCGAGGCAAAUCUUCUUGAGUCGGGGGUCGGGCUGCAGCGCGUUGGCUCCUUACUAAUCUUUUGGGCCUUGGUUACCAUGGCGGUGGCCUUAGCUGAUAACUCCAGUGCUUCUGCGAGCUGAACUGCCUCGGUGUCGCAUCUGUAUGACGUCUCCACAUCACCGUAGAUGGAGAGGACUCCGUUUGGGGCCGGCAUCUUGAGGAAAAGGUAGGUGUGGUGCAGGAUUGCCAUAAAUCUUGCUAGCAUGGGCCGACCAAGGAUGGCAUGGUAGGAAGUCUUGAAAUUUGCCACCUCAAAUGUGAGAUGCUCCGUGCGGUAGUUGGCCUGUGUGCCAAAAGUAACCGGCAAAACAACUCGACUAGUGGGGUAAGAUCCUUUGAUAGGGACGAUGUCGUAGAAGGGUUCUUCACAAGGCUGGAGCCGCUCAAAGUCGAAGUCCAUGCACUUCAAAGUCUUAGUGAAGAUGAUGUUUAGGCCACUGCCACCAUCAAUUAGCACCAUCAGGAAAACCACUAGUGGGUAGGACCCGGGAUGUGGGAUGUGGCCCUAGUGAUCUUGCCUGGAGAAAGUUAUGGACUGUUUUGACCAGCGCAGAUACUAGACUAGCUAUACAGAGACAAAGUGCACCUCUCACUAGCAUAACUUCUGCUAGCGCUUGCAGCAAAAGGUGUUACGGCCACCCAUGAUGAUCUUGACUUGGUGCUCUGGUCGCUGGAAGUCUUUGUUCUAGUCGACACCGAGCUGUGGGGCGUCUUGAUGUGGUUGGUCGCCGUGCUCCUCUCUAUUCUAGUUGUCACGGUCGUCGUGUCUGCUGUUAUUGUGGUCUUCAUGGUCGUCGCGGUUGUCGCGAUGGUGGCUGUUGCGGUCGUCGUGGUGACGGUCAUCAUGGUCGUUGUGGCGAUGGUCGUCGUCACGGCUACGGUAGUCAUGUUUGUUGUGAUCCCGGUGGUAGUGGUUGCGGCGGGGUCGCUUGUAUUCCACUGGGGUGCCGAGCUCUUUCUUCAGGACUGUGCAAUCCCUAAAAGUAUGACGUGUGUCCUUAUGGAAGGGGCUUGGAGCACUGAGGGUUCUAUCAAAUUCUUCCCGGAUGAAAGUGGUCGGCCUGGCCGGAUCUCCUUCAGCAACAUAGACCUCUGGGGCCCUUUUUCGAAGUCGGAACUCCGAGCGUGCAUGUGGUUUGUCAUGGAUUGGCUGAUCAUAGUUGUCGACAGUGCAAUGCUUGAUGUUCUGGAACUAAACUUUUGCCACCUCCUCUAUGUCUGCUUGUCUAUUGACAACUUCCAUCAUCUGCCUGACCGUCUUGGGAGCAGCCUCGUACAACUUGUAGAACAUGGGGUGGUUCAUCAAGCCAGAGCGAAAAUACCAGAUGAUAUCACGGAAUUUGAUGCUAGCUAGUGUGUUGCGGUUCUCGAAGAAGCAGUUGGCAUAUUCUCGAAUAGUUUCACAUAUCCUUUGACAGACUUGGCCUAGUUUCUCCCUAUUACCAGGUCGGCUAUACGUGGCCUUGCAAUUCUAGGUGAAAGCUCUAGCAAGCUAACCCCAACUAUCGAUGCUAUUCGGAGGGGGAUUCUCCAGCCACAGGAGUGGAGCAGGACCCAUCACCACCGAGAAGUAGGCGACCAUUUGGUUGUAGGUGCCAUUCGCAGCUCUCACUGUGAUACCGUAUGUCUUGAGCUAGAUGGCAGUGUCGGAGCAACCAUCAUACUUUUCAUUAAUGGUCGGCUUGAAUGUGGCUGGCCAAUCAACAGCCCUAAGGUGUGGGGUGAAAGCAGCGAAGCCAUCGAUCAUCAUGUCAUCAUCGUAAUCAUCAUCGAUGUAGUGUUGGAUGGGUGGGGCCCUGUGGCGUCCGCUAUAAUUGUGCCUGGGCAGGUAGUAGGCAUCUUCGGGAGCGCCGUACAUGUGGUCGUAGUCGCACCUUGUCCGGUUGUAGGAGUCUUCAAGGGCGUAGUAUACACGAUCGUAGUUGGUGUGGCAGCGCAUCUCAUCUUCUUGGCGACAACGGUCCUCACGCUCCUCAUUGCGAUUUAGCCCAGGAGCGCCAUAGUCACGGUUGUGCUCGGCACGGCGAUGGAGCUUGGCCCCUUCACGCUCAUGGUGGUAGUUGUUGAGGUUGGCAUGGAUGUCACGAUGCUGGUGGAGGUCGCGCAGCUCAUCACGGAGAUCACAUUGCCGUUCUGGUCGACCUCGGUUGUCAUCAUUGCCUCACCUGCCAUGGAGGCGGUUGUCGUUGUUGUCGUACUGGCAUGCGUUGUUGACGUUGUUGUGGACAGGUGGAUUGACAUGAUUGUUGGCCGGUGGGUUGGCAUUGUUGUUGACAGGUGGGUUGGUGUGUAGGAUGCUGUUCUGCUCCACCUCCUCUUCACGGAUUGGCUCCAUCUGACACCGAAAAUGCAUUUGGUAGGGUUAAGUUUCCAGCGGAAAGCUCGCAGGCUUGAGAAGAUUUCCUCCAAAUCAAUGAUUAGGUCUUCCUUAUUUCUUGUUUUGAUGACUACAUCGUCCACGUAAGCUUCUAUAUUGUGAUGCAAUUGUUUUCAAAGCACAUCUGUAUGGCGCGUUGGUAAGUUGCGCCUGCGUUUUUUUAACCCAAAUGACAUUGUUUUGUAGCAAAAAGCCCCAAAUGGAGUGAUGAAGGCUGUUUUGGUUUGAUCUUCUUCUUUGAGACUUAUCUGGUGGUAGCCUGAGUAACAGUCAAGAAAGCAUAGCAAGUCGCAUCUGGCAGUAGAGUCGACUACUUGGUCGAUCCUGGGUAGUCCGAAAGGGUCCUUUGGACAACGUUUGUUGAGAUCCAUGUAAUCGACACACAUUCUCCAUUCAUUGUUUUCUUGCGAACUAGUACAGGGUUGGCUAGCCAAUCAGGGUGAAAGACUUCUUUGAUGAACCCUGCUGCGAGUAGUUUGGCUAACUCUUUUUUUAUUGCUUCUCGUCUGUCUUGGGUGAACCUUCGGAGGCGUUGUUGUUUUGGGGUAGCCUUGGGAUCAACAUUUAGAGAAUGCUCAAUCAGUUCGUUGGGCACACCAGGCAUGUCGGCUGGUUUUCAGGUGAAGAUGUCAUGGUUAGCCCGAAGAAAACUGAUGAGCAUGGUUUUCUAUUUGGGAUCCAGUCCUAUCCCAAUUAGUGCUGCCUUAGUAGGAUCACCGGUCUUGAGAUCGACUGCUUUGAAGUCUGUCUCAUUUGUUGCCUUCAAUUUUGCUAUCCCUGAAUUGUUUUCUGGGAUUUCAAGUUCUGUUGGAUGAAGCUUCUUUGAGGCUGAAAAAACUUGUUGCAUGGGACUGGGCCCUUAUGAAGUUGCUGCAAUUUCCACGGCUUCGGUGUCGCAUUCAUAAGAUCUCCUUAGGUCUCCUCGUAGUGUUAAUUCUGCCUUGGGUCCUAGCAUUUUGAGUACCAGGUAAACGUAGUGUGGAAUAGCCAUGAAUUUAGCCAGAGCUGGUCUCUCGAGUAUGGUGUGGUAAGAGGUUUCAAAGUCGGCGACUUCGAGUCUGAUGUACUCGGUUCGGUAAUGCUCCUUAGUGCCGAAAGUAACUGGUAGGAUGACUUGUCCUAGUGGUAUAGCUGCGUUGCCUGGUACGAUUCUGUAAAAGGGAGAAUCUGUUGGAGUGAGCAUGUCCGUGACGUCGAGACACAUUUUUCUUAAUGUCUUGGCAAAAAUGAUGUUGAGUCCACUUCCGCCAUCGAUAAGUACUUUUGUUAGUUUUGAGCCUGCCACGACAGGAUCGAGUACUAGGGGAAAUCGGCCUGGCUCUGAAAAGUUUGUCCAUUGGUCCUUUCUGCUGAAGGUUAUGGGUACCUCGAACCAUUUUAGCGGUGUUGGAUCUAUCGGUUCGAUGGCCAUGAUUUUCCUGAGUACCAACUUGCUGGACCGCUUCGAAGCGAUACUCGGGAUUCCGCAAAAGAUGAUGUUGACUAUUUUGGAGGCGGUCUGGAAGUCUCCUGCUCCUUCUUCAUUCUUAUGGACUUUGUUUUUUCCUUUAUCUUUUUUCUGGAUGUACUCCUUGGGAGGUGGUGGUGCGGGUAAUUCUUGCAUUGCUCGGCGCAUGCUGUAGCAGUCUAUGGCAGAAUGUUUGCUGUUUGGGUGCCAUGGGCACUAUUUUUUUGAGCAAUUCGGUGAAGCUAGGUCCUUCAUCAUGUUUGCGGGAUCAUUUCUUCCCUGAGUUGGUCAUGGAAGUAAUGGUGUUGUCAGGUUUCCGUUUGCGAUUUUGGUUACUCAAAAAUUUGUUCCGAGUAUCGCUUUGUUGUUUCCUGUCCUGUUCGUGGCUGCUAUUGUCGCACCCACGGUUGCGAUGGGAGCCGAAUCGUUCUUGCUCUUUAUCUUCUUCAUCUGCCUAUUGUUGUACCAUUAUUUUAAGGUCUUUGACAGUGCAUGGUCGUCGUCUACCAAAGUCCUGAUACGUUCGACGAUCAUAGAGGCCAUUUUGGAAACACUUGAUGACGUCUGUUUCUGAAAUGUCGACUAUUGUGGCCUUCUUUUCAAAGAAUCGCUGUAGGUAGUCGCGUAGUGUUUCGCCUUCUUUUUGUUUUACUCAGCUUGGAUCGAUCUUGUUGCCUGGUCUAUUCAUGGAGCCUGCGUAGUUGUUGGUGAAUGCUUUUGUCAGAUCCUCCCAAGAGUCAAUUGUUUUGGGCUUGAGUGGCUCAAGCCAUGUUAGGGGUACGGGUUCCAUGCAUAUAGGAAAAUGGAUGACUUUGGUGUCAUUGUUGCCUCCGGCUGCUUGGACCGCCAACAAGUAGCAUCAGAGCCAUUGAAUUGGGUCUUGCUUGCCAUCAUACUUGGUGAUUCCUGUUGGCUUGAAUUUUUCACGUAGUCUUAUCCUCAUUACCUGAGCUAUGAAGGUUGGGAAGUGGUUGUAGUUGUCGACUUCUCAUUCUCGGCGACUAUUGAUUAUUUCGUGUAGAUUGCUGAAAUUUGACACUUCGUAAUUGUUCCUAAUGUGGCGAGGGCUUUUUGCUGAAUUGGUCUAGCUAGCCUCUCCGAGGUCUUUAUGUCGUGCUGGAGCUUCGUGUUUACUCGGUCCUUGGCUAAGCUGCCUUGGUUGGUUGAUUACCUCAUUGUUUCUUUGUGUUUUGUGAAGGCCAUUGUCGACUGCAGUGCCCCUGCUGCCCACUUGAUGAGCCGUGUUGUGAGGGAUAGAUGGGAUUGGUGAUUCUUUAUCGAGUAAUUUGUAUGCUUGCUGUGUGAGUUGCACAAUUAGCCCAUUGCCUCGCUACACGAGUUGGGCCGUUACUUCAGUGUCUCUAUUUUGAGGUAUCAGAGUUGAUAUGAGAUUGAUUGAGGCAAUCGCUGCAAGUGGAGUGGUGUGUUCUUGAGCUUGUACUGCAUCAAAUGUUCUUUCAAGGUUUGUGAUGGGAAUGUUUGUAGCUAGUAAUUGUCGGCGCUCUGCCCGAUUAAUGUUUCGUAUCCUUCUUUGGUUUCUUUGAUCAGGAGUUUCGUCUUGUGGAGCGUUAGCCGAAGACUCAUCUUCUGAAAUGUUGUCGAGCUGCGCUAGUACCCACAUUGUUAUUUUGAGUGAUGACAAAGACUUCUCUGUCCGGGUAGUAGCUUCCAGAGCUUGAUCUUGUGAUUUCUGUGGAGCUCUCCUCGCGGCUUGAUGUAAGCAAGGUGUCUUCUUGGUAUGGAAGGUUGUCUAUGUGAGCGACAAGACGUGACUCGUAGUCGCGGGUAAGGAAAGAUGGCUUCAUUCCUAGCCAGUGAACGAAUCUACCUUGUGGUAUUGAGGUUAUUACCAAACCUUGGGCUGGCCCUGAUAACGGGAUUUCUUGGAUAUAGUCCGAGUCAAAGUCGUGGUCCUCGUCUUCCCCGAGUUCGAGUUGAGUUCGGUGAAGAGAUCUUGGUAGACUUCGGCUGUAUUACGGAGUCCAUAUGGGAAUCACUUUUGAGUUGAAGUCGACUUGUGAAGUGACUCGGGCUCCAGCUUGUGUCGACUAGUCCAAUCCGAGGCUGAGUCGGGAGUGUAGUCGAACUCGGGGUUGUUGACUUUGAGAAUUUGGCUUUUCUUGAUGAACUCCCUUGUUUUCGGCUGAGGAAAACUUUUGUCGUGGGGUUUCUUCUCCUGGAUGCUGACGAUCUAACGCUGAAACGAUCCAGUGCCAUCGGCGAUGCACAGCCAGGAUCCAAAAACGAAGGUUGCGCCUGCCUCGAAGGUGAAGACAGGCUUGAUAACGAUCGGUGCCAUUGAACUCGCGCAGGGAAACUCGGCGACUACCCCUACCUGGCGUGCCAGCUAUCAGUAUUUUAGACCAGUAACCCACCUAGGGGGUACCCUAGGAGGUCUUUUGUGCAGUGGGUGUUGGAGGUAUGCCCUAGAGGCAAUCAUAGAGAUGAUGAUAUUCCAUUUGUAUCCAUGAUUUAUAUUGUGUUCCUUGAAUAUCCAUUAAAGGCUACUUGAAUUGAUUAGCAAUUAUCUGAAUUGUAUGUGAAACUCUUUACUUGUAUGGUUAUUCUAAAGUUGUCCCUAGUCGGAGUUCAUGUGAGGAUACACAUGAAUAUUAGACUAGCACUUAUAUUAGUUGAUGACUAUGUUUCACGAGUCAUGGACAUGGAGAUGUUGAACUAAUAAUGUGGGCACAUGUGGAGACAUGUGCUAGGACUGACCCAACACGAGAAGUAGUUCUCUCUUUACACAACAUAUACGCUUUGUCCUUAGACUUGAGAUUGUCGCACGUACUCAAGAUGUGGAUCGACUUACUUAGGGGCUAUCCAAUGCUACACCGUAACAGGGUAGUUAUAAAGGUACCUUUCAGGUUUGUCAAGAAGCAUGCUAUGAGACAUGGUCAAUCAAGAUGGGAUUUGCCCCUCUCUGAUUGAGAGUGAUAUCUCUGGGCCCCUCGAGUGAUCGGAUCUGAAAAUGCAUGGCCAUGCUACGUACGGUUAAGAGUUAACCUACAAAGGGAUUCCGAAUCAUAGGAUCGAGAAAGAGCAGUCGGCUUGAAGCUAGACCAAAUAUCGUAAGGCAAAGGGAAUAACAUGUAUAUAAUGUUGUGAUGGUUCGUCUGAUAUGAUCUUCGUGUGCGUAUAGGAGUUGGCACGUCUUGCUAGAGGCCGCUACUGACUAUUGGGCCGAGUAGGAGUACUCGAGCCAUGUUUAUACGUAUCCGAACCCAUAGGGUCACGCACUUAAGGGGCUGGAAGCCCAAUUCAGAUAUGAUCCGAGUUGGAUUAGGUUUAGAAGUACUAAUGUGCCUCGAACCCAGAGGCCCGUUAGGAACCUCUAUAAAUAGAGGGGUAGGGGCGCCCUAGGGUUUACACCUUUUUGGCGAAACACAUCUGCUGCGCCUCCCAUGCCCUCGCCUGUUGCAACUCACGGACCUAGCAGUCCGGCUUGCGACGCUUCCUCCCUGCACGUGUGGAUACCUUGGAGGUGUUGCGCCUGCAGCACUUGGACGAGCCGCCGAUGAGCCACAAUGAGCCGCCGACGAGCCACGACGAGCAGCCGACGAGCCACGAUGAGCCGACGACGAGCCGUGGCACGAGGGCGAUCUUGCUGCACAUGGACGAGCUGCUGGACGUCGACAUGAUCGACUACAUACGACUACACUGAUCAACUUCGCUGCAUCGACACGAAUCUACAUCUUCCGCUUCAGUGCGUCGAGUGGUAAUCCCGUGAUCCUUAUAUGGCAGUUUUUCUUGUUUACGCGGUAGAAAUUUUUUAUUUGCGCUAGUGUAGCCUACCUCAUAUCCCAACAGUGGUAUUAGAGCCGUAGCUGUUUAAGUUUUAGAUUCGGGAUAUGUGCAUAUGGAGAUAUGUGAGUUUUCAGUUUGAUCUAUGUCCUGGUUUCGUGUUCUUGCUGCAAUGGUUGUGUAACGACGUACUCCUACCGGUCGGGUUUCCGCCAUCGGAGUUAAGUGAUACACGUAAUGCUAGUUGUAGCAAGUGAAGAUCAAUGUGAAUGGUCGAAUCGAGAUCCAGGUUCAUACCCCAAGCACAUGAGAUGUGCAAUAGUAAAUUGAAUCUACUACCAGGUCGGGAUUUUGCCGUAUGCGAGUGCUUCGGUAAAUAAGCCGUAACUUUUUGGUACGAUCUCGGAUUGGGGCGAAUUUUAUAUGAAAAUUGAUCUACAGAAAAAGUUACACAUGAAAUUCAACCACUUCACCAUUUUCGACAAAAUUAGAGUUCCCAAAUUCAGCUUGGAAGAUGGAGUUUUGGGCCUCCGAAGUUUGGAAUGUUAGAACGCCUAACUCUGUUUUGCAGGAUGUAUGUAUCUUGUGAUCAGUAUGGCCCUUUGUGUAUGUGAUGCAUGUGUGUAACUCAUUCGUGACCUGCAUGUCACGUGUAUGGCAACACGGCUGGAGCCAUAUGUGUUGUCACUUUAAUGUAUUUAAUGUAAUCUUCAUUACUAGCUUCUUUACUAGCUAUUAGGCGUAAUAGGAUGUUCUAGUUCUUGGAGGACUCAUCACCAGGAGGAUGGCGCACAUGGAACAUGGAGAUGGAGAUCACCAUGGUGAACAGGUUCUGUGGAGAUGGAGAUCACCACAAGAAAACGGGUCAUACUGUGUCACAACUGUGUGAAUGUUAUUCUAUUUAUGUUUUAGUUUCUGCAUCCUGUGAUGUUAGAAGUAGAACAAUCCCUCACAAAGUUUAAGUUAGUAUGCCCUCCCAACUAAAACUUGCACCGUCCCGUGUCUUGUACAAUUAGUGGUGGGUCUAUUAUAUUAGGGUGCCACUAGUUUUCCUUGACUAGACGGGUUUGAGUCGGACACUUACACGCAUAAGGGUUGGUUUGCUUAACAAGGUUAUCUUAACAGUUAAGGACCUUGGGUCAUAAAGGUUGGGCGCCGAGACAUGGAGAUGUCACCCAACAACAGGAGUCAUAUGUGAUAUGAUUAGCAAGAAGUUGCUUACCGAUCUACCUUGUUUGCUAGCGGUGAUGCUAAACCUCACUAGUAGACUUGUUAGUUGUGGAUCCUGAAUCACUAAGUAUCAAUAGAGGUAUAUUGAUUUUAGUGGGAGUAGAUUCUGUUAAAAUAGUUUAAUGUGAUUUGCUCUAUCAUGGAUACAUUUGUCUUAGUGUAUUUUUGCAUUACUUUUGUUGUAGAUUAAAUGGCACCUAGCAGCACUACAACGUUUGCUUUGCGUUCGGUCCUUGAGAAGGACAAGUUGAAUGGAACAAACUACUCGGAUUGGAUCUGUAACCUGAGAAUUGUUCUCAGGACUGAGAAAAAGGAAGAUGUUCUAGACAACCCACUACCAGAAGAACCUGCUGAUGAUGCACUUGCUGCUAAGAAUGGUUACAAGAAAGCAUGUGAUGCUAACUUCAAAGUAAGCUGCCUUAUGCUUGCUUGCAUGGAACCCGAGCUGCAGAUGCAGUUCGAAACAAACCAUGAGGCGCACAAUAUGAUUGUGGUGCUUAGAGACAUGUUCCAAACACAGGCCAGGACUGAAAGGUUCAAUGUGUCUAAGGCCUUUGUGGAGAGCAAGCUAGCAGAAGGCGCAGCAGUAGGACCACACGUAAUCAAGAUGGUUGGUUACACUCAACGGUUGGAGAAGCUGGGCUUCCCACUAGGCCAAGAGUUGACCACUGAUUUCAUUCUUUCGUCUCUUCCGCCUAGCUAUGGGAACUUCAUCUCGAGCUACCAUAUGCAUGGGACAGAGAAGGGUCUGAAUGAACUGUGUGAUAUGCUCAAGACAGCAGAGGUAGACAUUAAGAAAAGCGCUAGUAGCAGCCAUAUGAUGGCUAUACAAAAUAAGCCUAGCUUUAAGAAAAAAGGGCAAUUCUUAGAAGAAGAAGGGCAAGGCUGGAACGUCCAAGCCAAACCCAGCGCCCAAGGUUAAAGCUGGACCUGGACCUGCUCCAGACAAAGAGUGCUUUUACUGUCAUGAACUUGGUCACUGGAAGAGAAAUUGCAAAUAGUACCUAGCUUCAUUGAAAAUGGCGGAAGUAAGAGUACUUCCACCUCAGGUAUGCUUGUUAUUAAUGUUAUAGACAACAUAUUUCUCGCUGAUACAAUUAUUAAUUCUUGGGUAUUUGAUACCAGAUCGGUUGCUCAUAUUUGCAAUUCGAUGCAGGGAAUGAUAAGAAGUAGAAGCGUGGAAAGAGGAGAAGUUGAUUUCCGCGGAUUGGUUGCUCAUAUUUGCAAUUCGAUGCAGGGAAUGAUAAGAAGUAGAAGCGUGGAAAGAGGAGAAGUUGAUUUCUGCGUGGGCAAUAAUGCAAGAGUUGCUGCGUUGACUGUCGGGACGAUGCAACUCCACCUCCCGUCAGCAUUUAUUAUGGAGUUGAAUAAUUGUUAUUUCAUUCCUAGUUUAAGUUGAAACAUUUUGUCUCCUUGAUGCUUGAUGAAGGAUGGUUAUUCAUUUGCGAGUGAAAAUAAUAGUUGUGUGAUCUCUAAGAAUGAUAUAUUUAUGGCUUUUGCACCCAUUGUGAAUGGAUUGUUUGUUUUAAAUCUUGAUGGUUCACCUGUCUGUAACGUAAGUGCUAAAAGGCCUCGGCCUAAUGAUUUGAGUCCUACCUACUUGUGGCAUUGUCGUUUGGGUCAUAUAAGUGAAAAACACAUGAAGAAGCUCCAUUUUGAUGGACUUCUAACUUUGUUUGAUUUUGAAUCAUACGAGACAUGUGAGGCUUGCUUGCUAGGCAAGAAGACCAAGACGCCUUUCACAGGAUUUCCUGAGAGAGCAAUAGACUUGUUGGAACUCGUACAUAGUGAUGUAUGCGGACCAAUGAGCAUGACGGCUAGAGGAGGAUUACAAUACUUCAUAACUUUCACUGAUGAUUUUAGUAGAUAUGGCUAUGUCUACUUGAUGAGGCACAAGUCUGAAUCCUUUGAAAAGUUCAAGGAAUUUCAGAAUGAAGUUGAAAAUCAGCGUGGCAAGAAAAUUAAGGCCUUACGAUCUGAUCGUGGAGGCGAGUAUUUGAGGCACGAGUAUAGCAAUCAUCUAAAGAGUUGCGGAAUUGUUCCACAACUUACGCCGCCUUGAACACCUCAGAGAAACGGUGUAUCCGAGCGACGUAAUCGAACUUUGUUAGACAUGGUUCGAUCAAUGAUGAGCCAGUCAGACCUACCAUUAUCAUUUUGGGGAUACGCUCUAGAAACAGCAGCUUUCACACUUAAUAGGGUACCAUCUAAAUCCGUAGUUAAGACACCAUAUGAGAUGUGGACUGAAAAAGUUCCCAGUUUGUCUUUUCUUUAGAUUUGGGAAUGUGAAGUGUUUGUCAAGCGACUUCAGUCGGACAAGAUCACACCCAAGUUGGAUAAGUGCAUUUUCGUGGGAUAUCCAAAGGAAACUUUGGGAUAUUACUUCUACAACCGGUUAGAGGGCAAAGUGUUUGUCGCUUAGAACGGGGUUUUACUAGAGAAAGAGUUUCUCAAAGGAGAAAAGAGUGGAAAGACAGUGCAUCUUGAAGAAGUUCAAGAUGAGAUCAGGCAAGAAUCAUUGAGUGAUGCUAACAUAGCAGAACAAGUUGAGAUACCCAUGGCACCGCUAAAACCACGAAGGUCGGCAAGGCUCCGCAAAAUGCGGGAAAUAUUAUUGUUGGACAAUGAUGAGCCUGCGACAUAUGCAAAAGCAAUGAUGAACCCAGACUCUAAAAAAUGGCAGAGUGCCAUGAAAUCCGAAAUAGAGUCCAUGGGAGACAAUCAAGUUUGGAACUUGGUUGACCCACCUGAUGGUGUUAAAGCCAUAGAGUGCAAGUGGAUCUAUAAGAAGAAAAAAGACAUGGAUGGAAAUGUUCACAUCUAUAAAGCAUGACUUGUCGCAAAAGGUUUUCGACAAGUUCAAGGAGUUGGCUACGACGAGACCUUCUCGCCCGUAGUGAUUCUUAAGUCCAUUCAGAUUAUUCUAGCUAUAGCUGCAUAUUUCGAUUACGAGAUAUGGCAGAUGGAUGUCAAGACAGCUUUCCUGAAUGGAAACCUAGCUAAGGACGUGUAUAUGAUACAGCCCGAGGGUUUUGUCGAUCCAAAAAAUGCUGGAAAGGUAUGCAAGCUUCAGAUAUCCAUUUAUGGAUUGAAGCAAGCAUCUAGGAGUUGGAACAUUCGUUUUGAUGAAGUGGUCAAAGGGUUUGACUUCACCAAGAACAAAGAAGAGUCUUGUGUUUACAAGAAGGUUAGUGGGAGCUCUGUAGUAUUUCUAAUCUUAUAUGUGGAUGACAUAUUGCUGAUUGGAAAUAACAAUCCUAUGCUUGAGCCCGUAAAGACUUCACUGAAAAAUAGUUUUUCGACGAAGGACUUAGGGGAAGCGGCAUAUAUUCUGGGCAUUAAGAUCUAUAGAGAUAGAUCGAGAAGGCUUAUAGGAUUAAGCCAAGAUACUUACAUUGACAAAGUGUUGAAGCGAUUCAGCAUGGAAGAGGUGAAGAAAGGGUUCUUGCCUAUGUCACAUGGUAUACAUCUCAGCAAGACUCAGUGUCCUUCGACUGCUGAUGAGCGGGAGCGCAUGAGUAGAGUGCCAUAUACCUCGUCUAUUGGAUCUAUCAUGUAUGCAAUGAUAAGUACUCGCCCAGAUGUUUCAUAUGCGCUAAGUAUGACAAGCAGACACCAGUCUGAUCCAGGUGAGACUCACUGGACAGCGGUGAAAAACAUUCUUAAGUACUUGAGAAGGACUAACAAUAUGUUCCUCGUCUAUGGAGGUGAGAAGGAGCUCGUUGUAACAGGUUACACCGAUGCUAGUUUCCAAACCGACAGAGAUGAUUCAAAGUCACAAUCAGGAUUUGUGUUCACGCUAAAUGGUGGUGCUGUUAGUUGGAAGAGUUCCAAGCAGGAGACGGUGGCCGAUUCUACGAUAGAAGCCGAGUACAUCAUGGCUUCGGAAGCCGCGAAGGAGGGUGUUUGGAUAAGGAAUUUCCUCAUUGAGAUUGGUGUGUUCCCGAAUGCGUCCAGCCCAUUGAAUCUCUACUGUGAUAACAAUGGGGCAAUUGUGCAAGCAAAGGAACCAAGGAACCACCAGAAGAACAAACAAGUAAUGUGGCGAUUUCAUCUCAUACGAGACUUCGUUAACCGGGGUGUGAUCAAGAUAUGCAAAAUACACACUGAUCUGAACAUUUCUGAUCCGUUGAUAAAACCACUCCCGCAGGCUAAGCAUGAUGCGCAUGUAAGAGCUAUAGGUAUUAGAUACCUUCUAGAUUGACUCUAGUGCAAGUGGGAGACUGUUGGAGGUAUGCCCUAGAGGCAAUCAUAGAGACAAUCCAUUCACAAUGGGUUUAAAAGCCAUAAACAUAUCAUUCUUAGAGAUCACACAACCAUUAUUUUCACUCGCAAAUGAAUAACCAUCCUUCAUCAAGCAUGAAGGAGACAAAAUGUUUCAACUUAAACUAGGAACGAAAUAACAAUUAUUCAACUCCAUAAUAAAUCCUGACGGGAGGUGGAGUUGCAUCGUCCCGACGGUCAACGCAGCAACUCUUGCAUUAUUGCCCAUGCGGAAAUCAACUUCUCCUCUUUCCACGCUUCUACUUCUUAUCAUUCCCUGCAUCGAAUUGCAAAUAUGAGCAACCGAUCCAGUAUCAAAUACCCAAGAAUUAAUAAUUGUAUCAGCGAGAAAUAUGUUGUCUAUAACAUUAAUAACAAGCGUACCUGAGGUUGAAGUACUCUUACUUCCGCCAUUCUUCAACGAAGCUAGGUACUGCUUGCAAUUUCUCUUCCAGUGACCAAGUUCAUGAUAGUAAAAGCACUCUUUGUCUGGAGCAGGUCCAGGUCCAGCUUUAACCUUGGGUGCUGGGUUUUGUCUUGGAUGUUCCAGCCUUGCCCUUCUUCUUCCAAGAAUUGCCCUUCUUCUUAAAGCUAGGCUUGUUCUGUAUAGCCAUCACAUGGCUAGAACUAGCGUUUUUCUUAAUGUCAGCCUCUGCUGAUUUGAGCAUGCCACACAACUCAUUCAGACCCUUCUCCGUUCCAUGCAUAUGGUAGUUCGAGAUGAAGUUCCCAUAGCUAGGCGAAAGAGACAAAAUAAUGGAAUCAGUGGCCAACUCUUGGCCCAGUGGGAAGCCCAGCUUCUCCAACCAUUAAGUGUAACCAACCAUCAGUAAGCAAGCAUAAGGCAGCUUACUUCGAGGUUAGCAUCACAUGCCUUUUUGUAAGCAUUUUUAGCAGCAGCAGGUGCAUCAUCAGCAGGUUCUUCUAGUAGUGGGUUGUCUGGAACAUCUUCCUUUUUCUCAGACCUGAGAACAAUUCUCAGGUUAUGGAUCCAAUCCGAGUAGUUUGUUCCAUUCAACUUGUCCUUCUCAAGGACCGAACGCAAAGCAAAUGGUGUAGUGCUGCUAGGUGCCAUUUAAUAUACAACAAAAGUAAUGCAAAAUACACUAAGACAAACGUAUCCAUGAUCGAGCAAAUGACAUUAAACUAUUUAACAGAAUCUACUCCCACUAAAAUCAAUGUCCCUCUAUUGAUACUUAGUGAUUCAGGAUCCACAACUAAUAAGUCUACUAGUGAGCUUUAGCAUCACCGCUAGCAAACAAGGUAGAUCGGUAAGCAACUCUUUGCUAAUCAUAUCACAUAUGACUCCUAUUGUUGGGUGACAUGUCCAUGUCUCGGCGCCCAACCUUUAUGCCCCAAGGUCCUUAACUGUUAAGAUAACCUUGUUAAGCAAACCCACCCUUAUGCGUGUAAGUGUCCGACACAAACCCGUCUAGUCAAGGAAAACUAGUGGCACCCUAAUUUCAUAUACCCACCACUAAUUGUACAAGAUAUGGGACGGUGCAAGUUUAAGUUGGGAGGGCAUACUAACUUAAACUCCACCACUAAUCAUUCUACUUCUAACAUCACACCAUGCAGAAAGUAAAACAUAAAUAGAAUAGCAUUCACAUAGUUGUGACACAGUAUGGCCCGUUUUCUUAUGGUGAUCUUCAUCUCCACAGAACCUGUUCACCAUGGUGAUCUCCAUCUCCAUGUUCCAUGUGCGCCAUCCUCCUGGUGAUGAGUCCUCCAAGAACUAUAACAUGCUCUUACGCCUAAUAGCUAGUAAAGAAGCUAGUAAUGAAGAUUACAUAGUUUGCUUGGAUCAUCACAGAUUGGUACGCAGACCAUUAAAUACAUUAAAGUGACAACACAUAUGGCUCCAGCCAUGUUGCCGUACGCGCGACACGCAGGUCACGAAUGAGUUACACACAUGCAUCACAUACACAAGGGGGCCAUACUGAUCACAAGAUCCAUACAUCCUGCAAAACAGAGUUAGGCAUUCUAACAUUCCAAACUUCAGAGGACCAAAAGCUGAAUUUGGGAAAUCUAAUUUUGUCAAAAAAGGCAAAGUGGUCGAAUUUCAUGUGUAACUUUUUCUGUAGAUCAAUUUUCAUAUAAAAUUCGCCCCGAUCCGAGAUUGUACCGAAAAGUUACGGCUGAUUUACCGAAGCACACGCAUACAGCAAAAUCCCGACCCGGUAGUAGAUCCAAUCUACUAUUGCACAUCUCAUGUGCUUGGCGUAUGAACCUGGAUCUCGAUCCGACCAGUCACAUUGAUCUUCGCUCGCUGUAACUGGCAUUACGUGUAUCACUUAACUCCGAUGGAGGAAACCCGACCGGUAGGAGUAUGUCAUUACACAACCAUUGCAGCAAGAACACAAAAUCAGGACAUAGAUCAAACUGAAAACUCGCAUAUCUCCAUAUGCACACAUCCCGAAUCCAAAACUAAACAACUACGGCUCUGAUACUACUGUUGGGAUACAAGGUAGGCUACGCUAGCGCAAAUCAAAAUUUUUCUACCACAUAAACCAGGAAAACUGCCGUAUAAGGAUCACGGGAUUACCGCUUGACGCAUUGGUGUGGAAGAUGUAGAAUCGCGUCGGGGUAGCGAAGUUGAUCAGCGUAGUCGAACGUAGUUGAUCACGUCGAUGUCGAGCAGCUCCUCAGCAGCUCGUCCACGUGCAGCUAGAUCGUCUUCGUGCCGCGGCUCAUCGGCGGCUCGUCGACGGCUCGUCCAAGUGCUGCAGGAGCAACACCUCCAAGGUAUCCACACGUGCAGGGAGGAAGCAUCGCAAGCCGGACUACUAGGUCCGCGAGUUGCAAUAGGCGAGAGCGUGGGAGGCACGGUAGAUGUGUUUCGCCAAAAAGGUGUAAACCCUAGGGUGCCCCCACCCCUCUAUUUAUAGAGGUUCCUGACGGGCCUCUGGGUCUGAGGCCCAUUAGUACUUCUAAACCUAAUCCAACUCAGAUCACAUCCGAAUUGGGCUUCCAGCCCCUUAAGUGUGUGACCCUAUGGGUUCGGAUACGUAUAGACAUGGCCCGAGUACUCCUACUCGGCCCAAUAGUUGGUAGCGGCCUCUAGCAAGAUGUGCCAACUCCUAUACGCAUGCGAAGAUCAUAUCAGAUGAACCGUCACAACAUUAUGUACAUGCUAUACCCUUUGCCUCACGAUAUUUGAUCUAGCUUCAAGCCGAUCGCUCUUUCUCCAUCCUGUGAUUCGGAAUCCCUUUGUAGGUUAACUCUUAACCGUACGCAGCAUGGCCAUGCAUUUUCAUAUCCGAUCACUCAAGGGGCCCAGAGAUAUCACUCUCAAUGAGAGAGGGGCAAAUCCCAUCUUGAUUCACCAUGUCUCACAGCAUGCUUCCACAUGUGCCCACAUUAUUAGUUUAACAUCUCCAUGUCCAUGACUUGUGAAACAUAGUCAUCAACUAAUACAUGUGCUAGUCUAAUAUUCAUGUGUGUCCUCACAUGAACUCCGACUAGGGACAACUUUAGAAUAACCAUACAAGUAAAGAGUUUCACAUACAAUUCACAUAAUUGCAAGUCAAUUCAAGUAGCCUUUAAUGGAUAUUCAAGCAACACAAUAUAAAUCAUGGAUACAAAUGGAAUAUUAUCAUUUCUAUGAUUGCCUCUAGGGCAUACCUCCAAUAGGCAUGGAGUCCAUACUACCCCUCAUGUGGCCCUCGUAGAACACGCCGUCAGUGCCAACCCCGGCCCUCUCCAAGCACUCGUUGAGGAGAGUGCAAAAGCCUCCAUAGCGCACUCUGUCUCUAGAAAAUGAAUGCCACUCCUUAGUCAUCAUCUGAAACACAUAGUUAAGGGUUGUCAGAAAGUCAUAUAAGUCAGAGUAAACAAGGUAAUAAUAGUAACAAUUCAAGGAGUUGUAUAGUAAUCAAGGGGUAUAUACUUGUUGACGCCGGAUUUCGUCAUCAGUAGAAUCGGCGCCAAAGAAGAAAGAAAUCGAAGGAGUGCAGAUGGGAAUCGGUCAAAAGGUGCUACAGUGCGGAAUCGGUCAAGUGGCUUUUACUUCGCUUCAGAGUGAAUACGCCAGGUUCCCAAUCGGCAAUCCUUUGCUGAUGGGAAAUCAGCCGAUCAGGAAGGUAGACUAAAGUGGGCCUGUAUGGGCUUGGAAAGGUGGAGAGAUAAGGUGGGGUUCAGCCCACGAAAUGUGGGGUAGUUAGUUUAGCACAGAUUGUGCUCGUAGAUAUUUGUUUCCUGUUUGAAUUAGAGAUAGAGUUCUAGUCGGUUAAGAAGAUUAUUUACGGGGGCUAUAAAUAGCUACCUUUGUAAAUCUGUAAAAACAACAAUCAAUCAAUACAACAAGUUACUUUAUUCUUCAUACUUACUUUCGAGCAGGCGACUUCGCCAUCACUUUUUCUUCUCACGAGUUCGUGCGGGUUGGCAGGGCUGCAUCAUUUUGAUCUCCGGCCGAUUCUGUAAGUUCCGUUUAUCGAGUAAUAUCUAAGCUUUAACUUCCGGCGCAUCGCUGUCGUUCCGUUUAGAUUUAUUCAUCAGUUAUCGAUAUCAACUAGAUUCAUAGGUUUUUACCUAUUUUCCUAGUUUUUAUCACCAGUUAUCCUACUAGGAAUCGGUAGCAUCGGCUUUCGUUACUUUCUGUUGCUAGAUCUAUCUAUUGCCGAUUAGAUCUUUUCCUAGUAUUGUCACUACGUACCUUGUACCGAUUACUUUAAUAUUUUUCUAUCUACAAGGCUACAAGGAUCGUGCUGUCUUACGGCCGAUUUCUUCAUUACAGUAAAUCGGCCGAUCUGCCGAUAAGCUUUCUCGAUCGGAAAUUCAGCCGAUCGCGGUUACUGAAUUUGACACGUAUUCUUCCUUGCCAAUCAACAGGUCAGAUUGGCUGGCACGCCGCGCGAACCGCACCAGGGCUUUCACCCGAACAGGAGCUAAGCAGAUUCUCCUGGGUCGUGUGUCGGCCGCUGGGAUUUGGUUGACCGAUUUCUAGCGCCAACACACAUUUUGGCACGCCCAGUGGGACCAUUACAACCGCUGUCAUGUCGAAAACUGCUGAAGUCACCGAGGAUAACGUCAUCGAAGUGACGGAAGCAGAUCUAAAGGACGACCAAAAAGAAGAUCUAAAUCAAUAUUUGGAGCAAGUCCGGAAAACUUGUUUGAAAUCCUUCAGUCGUUCCAGGAGCGGGGAAACUGUUAAAAAGUCUCCUUUCCCUACUCCCCGCCAGAUCACGAUUUCAGAAGAUUCGGACAAAAUGUCCGAUAUGAUUCAGCAAUCUCUUCAUCACGCCUUCAUCAACCAAUCCCCGGUACUUUCAAACAUGGUGCACAAUGCUGUUGUCAACUCCUUCGCCGGAGGUAUACCACAAGGGUACAGGGGGCCUACGUAUUUUCAGCCGAUUCCACCGAAUCAGGCUUAUCAGGCUUCACAGCCGAUCCAAUCCUCUGUCGGAGGGUCUGGUGCCUCCACGUCAUCAACUCUGUUGGGAUACGGCCCCAUCCAGCCGUCCACUGCACCACUCCCUCCAGUCAUCCCUUUACCCUGGGGGGCACCCUUAAAUACGACCGGUUUGAAUCAAUCGGUCAGCCAAGGAAAUCCUCCGUUCCAGACACUCUCCCAAACGGCCACUCGGCCGAUCAUACCACCAUACCAGCCUAUCGCUCCGGAGGUCAACAAGACGUCAGAGCUCAUGCUAUAUGAUGAAACGAGUGGCGCCUACAAACAGCCGUCCUUCACUACACCGCCGGCUUACACUCAGAUACCAUCUUUUCAUCAACCUCCCUUUAUUCAACCUCCGAUUCAUCAACAUGUGCCGAUUCCACCGCCAAUUAUUCCCCAACAACAACCAGAUUGGGCGGCGCAAAUCGCGGAGGUAAUGCAAGAGCAAUUCGGCCUGAAGCCGAAGGUGCAAACUUAUACAUACAGAACACCAUACCCAUCUACGUAUGACUUGUUGCCGUUUCCCCAUCGGUACAAAGUUCCUGAUUUUACCAAAUUUUCGGGGAUGGAUGAUACUUCUACCGUGGAACAUGUGAAUAGAUUCAUCAUCCAAUGCGGAGAGGCAGCUACUCAAGAUGCCUUACGGGUACGGUUGUUCUCGUCAUCUUUGUCUGGAUCGGCCUUCCAAUGGUUCACCACUUUGCCACCGAACUCGAUUAUCACAUGGGCCGAUCUAGAGAGGCAGUUCCACAAAUACUUCUAUGCUGGAGUCCACGAAAUGAAGCUGUCUGAUUUGACUAGCCUCCGGCAACGAAGUGAUGAGCCGAUACCCUCAUACAUACAGAGGUUUCGGGAAAUCAGAAACAAAUGCUACUCCCUGGCUCUAACCGAUGCACAGUUGGCCGAUAUAGCCUUUCAAGGCCUGCUGCCACACAUUAAAGAGAAAUAUGCUUCACAAGAAUUCGAGAGCCUGAGCCAGAUUGUCCACCGAUUGUCCGGGCAAGAGGUACGUCCAUUUGAUCCAAGAAGGAAUUUCCAGAAGAAGGUAGCAUUCCUAGAAGAGGUAGAGGAUGAAGAAGACGCCGAAAUCGGACUCGCAGAGUGGAUUAAGGGAAAGAAGCCGAUAUCAUGCCCGUUCGGCAAAAAGGAGCCGGAGGCGUUCGGUUUCGAUACUACUAAAGCUGACAAAAUAUUCGACCUUCUACUCCAGGAAGGACAGAUUAAACUCUCGCCUUACCAUACGAUACCCUCUGCCGAACAAUUGAAGAAGAUGAAGUAUUGCAAGUGGCAUAACGCCACAUCACAUGAUACCAACGAGUGUAAAAUCUUCAGGCAGCAAAUACAGUCGGCCAUUGAGCAAGGCAGACUCAAGUUUGAAGUACCGGCAAAACCAGCUAAACCUAUGAAGAUUGAUCAACAUCCUUUUCCUACCAACAUGGUGGAUACGGGUAAAAAUCCCCUCCAAACAAAAGUGCUGACGUCCGAAUCGGCAAAAAGGAGCGGCUCUGUCGACCCCAGAAAUCAAGUCACGCCCGAAGACGUCAAAGGGAAACGGCGAAUCGAGGACGACGAUGGUGAGUCUGAUAGACCACGUAUUACUUCCCAGUUCCUGCUCCAAAAGUACCAACGCCAACAUGAACGAUCGAGGUCCCGAGAGGAAGCAAUGCGUCGGCACGAAGAACACUGGAGAUGCCCAUUCUUCAUCCAUUGUUGGGAAAAUAACCUCAGACUUCCAUCAGCCGAUACUUGCCCAGAAUGCAACGGUCCCUAUCGAAGCAAUCGGCCGUUCACAAGGUCUCGCUCCAGAGACGGAAGACCAGAACCGAUCAGCAGGAAUCGGCGCAACCCAGAUGAUCAGCGCCCUUCCAUGCGUGAUCGGCUGGGGGGCAGAAGUGACCGAUAUGAUCGGUCAGAAGAUAGAAGCCAUAAUAGGCAGGGGGGCAGGACCGAUCGACAUGAUCAAUCAAGUAGCAAAGCCAGCGUUCACAGUCGGCUCCAAGAUAUGGCCGAUGCUCGGGUAACAGACGAGAACCCGUUAGGACGCGAGCCAGAAUGGGAACACGCCAGGAAAGAAGGGAGGCCAAUAAACCCCAGAUGGUGUCCUGAUGGUUUGACCAAAUCACAAAAACGAAGAGUCCAGCGCCUCCGCCAGUGGGAACAGCAAGAAGAAGAAAGCGCGAUGGACAAAAAGCAAGAGAGGCCUCGGGUAUGGCGCCCCAAAAGAAACGAUAAGGGCAACGAUGAGUCGGCGGGCGACGAAUCGGCAGCUGAAAUCGGUAUGGUUUUCAUAUUGCCGAUGGAAUUUAUGACCCCUGCCGAUCAACAGGGUGUAUCGGCGAUAGAAGAACAAACAGCACGGUUGACUUUAGAACCGAUGAUGGCCACGUUCGAAAAGCCCGAAGACAACGAACGACAACAUAUGAAGGCAUUGUUCCUUAAAGGGCAUGUUGACGGACGUCCCCUCACUAAGUUGAUGGUCGACGGAGGAGCCGCCGUCAAUAUCAUGCCAUAUACCGUACUUCGGAAACUAGGAAAGAGCGACGACGACUUGACCAGGACGGACAUGAUGCUCAAGGACUUCGAAGGCAAGGUGUCAAACGCUCGCGGUGCCCUCUGCGUCGACCUCACCAUCGGAAGUAAGACCCUUCCUACCACGUUUUUCGUCAUUAAUGGCAAAGGGUCCUAUAAUAUGCUUCUUGGACGAGACUGGAUACACGCAAACUGCUGCAUACCGUCAACUAUGCAUCAAUGCCUGGUACAAUGGGUCGGCGACAACAUCGAGGUGGUCAAAGCCGACUCCGCGUACAGCAUCGCAGCAGCCGACGCACAGCAAUGGAGCUGCGAGACCGUCAGGUGCAUAUCAGGUAGGGUGUGGGAAACCGAUUUCCUGAAGGUCACCGAUUUUGGCCUACAGCCGAUCCAAGCAGUCGGCUCCGAAGAAGCGCAAUAAAUGGAUCAGUUCGCCCGAGAAGACGGGAAGCUUGGACACGGAUUCACGUCGGCCGAUUCAUUAGAGAUGGUAGACUUAGGCGACGGGACCAAACCAAGGCCGACCUUUAUUAGUGCGAAUUUGGAUCCAGAGUACAAGUGUAAAUUGACAAAUUUAUUAAGAGAAUUCAAGGAUUGUUUUGCGUGGGAGUAUCACGAGAUGCCCGGAUUAGAUCGAUCUAUUGUUGAACAUCGGCUACCCAUAAAACCAGGGUAUCGGCCGUACCAACAACCCGCACGGCGAUGCAAUCCUAAAAUAUUACCAGACAUAAAAGCCGAAAUAACUCGGCUAAUUGAAGCAAAAUUUAUUCGGCAAUGUCGUUACGCCGAGUGGAUUUCUAAUAUCGUACCAGUAUAUAAGAAAAACGGGAAGCUGCGCGUGUGCGUCGAUUUCAGAAAUCUUAAUCAGGCCACACCAAUGGACGGUUACCCCAUGCCUACGGCCGAUGUACUGAUCGACGCUGCCGCGGGGCACAAAAUUAUUAGUUUCAUGGAUGGGAACGCCGGAUACAAUCAAAUACUUAUGGCCGAAGAGGACAUACCCAAAACGGCUUUCAGAUGUCCAGGUCAUCUUGGUCUAUUCGAGUGGGUGGUGAUGACUUUCGGUUUGAAGAAUGCUGGUGCUACAUAUCAGAGGGCCAUGAACUAUAUUUUCCACAGACUCAUCGGCCUCCUGGUGGAGAUCUACAUUGACGACGUUGUGGUCAAGUCCAGAAGCCACGAGGAACACCUAGCCGAUUUGCAAAGGGUCCUAGAGUGUACCAAAAAACAUGGUCUUAAGAUGAAUCCCAACAAAUGCGCUUUCGGCGUCUCCGCCGGACAGUUCUUAGGAUUCAUGGUGCACGAGCGAGGCAUUGAAAUCAAUCAGAAGACUAUAGCAGCUAUCAACAAAGUCAUCGCCCCGCAGAACAAAACUGAGCUACAGUCUUUAAUCGGCAAGGUAAACUUCAUCAGAAGAUUUAUAUCUAAUCUAUCUGGGCGAAUCCAGGCGUUCACACCACUUCUGAAGUUGAAGCCAGACCAGGAAUUUAUUUGGGGAGAAGAACAGCGCAAGGCGUUGGAGGACAUCAAGCGAUACUUGGUCUCACCCCCGGUCCUGGUUCCCCCUCAAACGGGUAAGCCGUUUAAACUAUAUUUAUCAGCCGAUGAAAAAGCUAUUGGGUCGGCUCUAGUCCAAGAGUUUGAAGGCAAAGAACGGGUGAUUUAUUACGUUAGUAGAAGACUCCUGGAUGCUGAAACAAGAUAUCCUCCAGUAGAACGUUUGUGUUUGUGUCUUUACUUUUCGUGCACCAAACUCAGACAUUAUCUACUGUCGGCAGAAUGUAUAGUCGUAUGCAAAGAUGAUGUCGUAAAAUACAUGCUGUCAUUGCCGAUAUUGAAAGGACGAAUCGGUAAAUGGAUUUUAGCUUUAUCAGAAUUUGAUCUGCGUUACGAAUCGGCAAAAGCCGUCAAAGGCCAAGUCAUGGCCGAUCUCGUCGCACAGCACUGUGGGCCGGAGAUCGCCUUCUUGGAACUAGCGCCUUGGCAGUUAUUUUUUGAUGGGUCCUCAUGCGGAGUCGGAUCGGGAAUCGGCAUCGUCCUCAUAUCGCCUCGGGGGGCAAGAUAUGAUUUUUCUCUGCCUAUAGAAAACGCCGCCACAAACAAUCAAGCGGAAUACAGAGCUGUAUUAAAAGGCUUACGAUUAUUGAGGGAAGUCAAGGCCGAUUCUGUUGAGGUCUUCGGAGAUUCGAUGCUGAUUGUGGAUCAACUAACCGGAAGAGCUGAGUGCAAAGAUGACAUAUUGCGAAUCCAUCACGAAGAUUGCUUACAGCUUUUGAGAGAAUUCAGAUCGGCAGUAAUCGAACACGUCCCAAGAGACCACAACGAAGAAGCAAACAAACUCGCUCAACACGCAUCUGGGUAUCGGCCGAUUCCGGGCGCCAUGGCCUUAGAACUUGCAGCUGACGAUUGGCGUAAGGAAAUUGCCGAUUACCUAAAAGAUCCGUCCAAAAAGGUUGAGCGACGGGUGCGUUUUCAUGCUACCAAGUACGUAUUUCUCGAAGAUGAUCUGUUCUACCGAACGAUCGAUGGUGUUCUUCUUAAAUGCCUUGGGACAGAAGAAGCCAAGACUCUGAUGGGAGAAAUCCAUGAAGGGGUAUGCGGAGCUCACCAAUCGGCACACAAGAUGAAGUGGAUGAUCAGAAACAACGGGUACUAUUGGCCUACGAUCCUCGAAGAUUGUUUCAAAUAUUAUAAGGGUUGUCAGGAAUGCCAGAAGUUUGGAAAUGUCCAGCGUGCACCCGCAUCGGCCAUGAAUCCCAUCAUUAAACCAUGGCCGUUCAGAGGGUGGGGAAUAGACCUCAUCGGCCAAAUUUAUCCACCAUCGAGCAAGGGGCACAAGUUUAUUCUGGUUGCCACUGAUUAUUUCACCAAAUGGGUAGAAGCAAUCCCACUAAGGACCGUGACGUCGGCUAUCAUGGCCGAUUUCGUAAGGGAUCACAUCGUCUACCGAUUCGGUAUUCCUCAAACUAUAACGACCGAUCAAGGAACAAUGUUCACAUCGGGAGAGUUUGAAGAAUUUACGACCGAUAUGGGCAUCAAGUUGUUAAAUUCUUCUCCAUAUUACGCGCAAGCCAAUGGUCAAGCAGAAUCUUCCAACAAAGGAAUAAUCAAGUUGAUCAAAAGGAAGAUUGAAGAAUGCCCGAAGAAGUGGCACCUAUGUUUGACCGAGGCCCUGUGGGCAUACAGAAUGGCGUGUCACGGGGCGACCAAGCUAUCCCCCUAUCAGUUGGUAUACGGUCACGAUGCGGUGCUUCCAUGGGAGUCAAGGGCAGGAUCAAGGCGCAUUUCACUUCAGGACCAGUUGUCGGCCGAUGACUACUCGGCUCUGAUGAAGGAAGAACUGGACGACUUGGCCGCCCAACGACUGAGAGCUCUAAUAAGCAUCGAAGAGAAUAAAAAGAGAGUGGCCAGAUGGUACGAUAAAAAGGUCAAAGUCAAACAAUUUUCCCCUGGAGAUUUGGUAUGGAAGUUGGUACUACCGAUUGGGUCAAAGGAUCCUAAAUUCGGCAAAUGGUCUCCUACCUGGGAAGGGCCGUAUAGAAUCGGCAGAUGCGCUCCAGGGAAUGCAUAUAUUUUGGAAACAACAGAGGGGGAAGAAUUCACUAGGGCUCUGAAUGGGAGAUAUUUAAAAAGAUAUUACCCGAGUAUAUGGGUCGGGGCCUAAAGGAAUAAACACAGUCAAAUAUGACCGACACAACUCGGUUUUAAGAUUCAUACGAAAUCGACCAGAACGGCCGAUUACAUUCACAAUGGCCGAUUACAUUCAUUCGGGCCGAUUACAUUCGUUCGGUACGAGCGACCGAUUACAUGGCCGACAAAACACUAAGUCGCCCUUAGAAUAAAAAUACAACAACUAAUUAUUUUUUGUUCUUACGAUCCCUCUCAGCCCGACCCAACUGUAUCAUGAGUCGAAUGUACUCUUCUUCUACGGCCUUCAUUGAACUCUCUGCUUCGAUUUGACGGGGAAGAUCUACGAGAAGGCGCGAGGCCUCCGCCGCCACCAGAACGACGGGCCGAGGAAGCAUGCGGACCCUAUCGGUGGAAGGCCGCAGGUUCCGAGGGAACGGACAAACCCUAUCGGCAGGAAGCCGCGGGUUACCAUUCCUUUCCAGGAAAUCCAGGACCGGGCAGGUCGUCGAGGUGAUAACAUCGCCAGGAACGGUACAGCGAUGACCCUUCGUGGCUCGAAGCAUGUGGUGGUGCUCGUUCACCACGGCCUCCAGGACUACUCGAGCUUCCGCGGUGAUAUGAUCUUGAAGCUCCGCCUGAUGAGCUAAAAUUAGGACUUUGUCAUCCGGAGUCAGAGGAUCCUCAGAAUGCAGGCACUCGAUAGCGCGCACAAGCUCUGGACUAAGACGUUGGGGCUGAAACAUGAGAGGGAAUAAGGUAGCGCAUUCGCUUCCUAAGAUCUGAAAGGAGAAGGCGAAGCGUCACCUGGUUGACGGAAGAAGACGACGAUGAAGCCAUAACGAAGUAGUUGCGCCGAUGAAAGAAAAAGGAGAGAUGAAAUAGAAGCCAAAAUCAGUGUUAUCGGAGGGGAAGCGCCGGGGUCGAUAUUUAUGGGGGAACACAGUAAAAUCUGAUGAGGCCACGUCCCAUCGGUAAUAAGGAAGGCAGUAAAUAGAAGGCAUCACGAAAGGUCAGUCAAAGACGGCAGUAAAUGUUCGUACAAAUCGGUCGAUGUUUUACAGAUUACCCAAAAGGGUAUCGAUAGCCGUGAUGGCCCGACGCCGGAUCUGAUCGGCGGAAUCAAGAACCCGUUGGUCUUCUUCUGCCGAUCCAGGUACUUCCGAUGCGGUGCGGUGGAGUCUCAGUGCCUCCUGAGCAAGACGCUGCCUCUCCCAUGUCAAAUCGGCAAUAGCCGAAGGAAGUUCUUGAAGUCUGCGCUCUUCGGAGCUAAUGGCUUUGGUCACUCGUUCCAUCUCUUUGGCAAGGUCCGCUCUCCGUCGUUUGAGGCGAUCUAUUUCACUAAUGAUCGCCGGUCGUGAAUCUUCCAAGACAUGGAUCCGCCGAUUCGCUUCUUGGGCCUGGUGCUUGAAAACAUUUUCAUCUUCACGGAUCUUGGCCAGUUUCGCGCGAUCGGCCAUAUGACGAAGGGCUCUAAAAACGGGAAUCCUCAUGGACUCAAUAAAAGCCGCCGGUGCCAACGCCUCUUCCGCUUCCUCUGGUACGCGUCCGCUGACGUCACUAAAAAGUUGCCGAAUCGGCGAAGCAUCUUCUACCAAUCGGCCGAUAUCCCCUUGAAGGAGGGAUCGGAUAUUGAUAAGCUUAGCCCGGACGUCGUCAGGGACGGAGCUUAAGGCGACUUGGCGAGAAGAAGUCUCCUCAUCAUCAGAGAGAGCGACCGCGAAAGAGAAGAGACUGUUGUUGGGAGAGUCCUGUUCCUGAAAAGAAUAAAGAAAAAAGGGUAAAUCGGCAGGGGGGCAGAGUAAAUCGGCUGGUAAGGCUGGUUCAAAAACUUACCAUCUUAAAACGGAUUUCCUCGUGCUGCGCUUGUAAAGCCGUUGUGCCCUGUUCAGUGACCUGAGUCAUGGGUUCAUCCGAUGAAGAAGAUUCUACGACAAUCGGCACGGUGCUUGGGCCGGCUCCCUGGGAAGGAAUCGGUUGUCGAAGAACGCUUGGUGUGCCGAUAGUCUGCGUCAAGGGAUCAGUUAAAUAUGUUAUGCAAAUACCCGAAGGGAGUCCAUAAGACAAGUACCGUACCUCAAUGGAUGAAGGCAAGGGCGUGUUGGCCUCCGGUCGAAUUGUUGCUGACUGUGGUAUUUCCAUAGAAGAGCCCUAAGAAGCACGAAAAGUUAUUAAGAGUUAAUGCCGAGUUGACAAAUCGGAAGUAAUAAAGCUUGAACUCACUUGUAGAGCUUCCAGCAAUAGUGAGGCAGCAGCUGCCCCGGCUUGUGUAAUGGCUGGAGUAUCAGUACUCUGCAUGGUCGGAGGUGGUGCAGUCAAGAUUUCUGCCGAUGCGAGUACAGGAGGGUCCACCGAUUCCGUACGAGCCCGAACUCGGCGACUGGUUUUCUUGACGACUUUCUUCUGAACUCUCUUCGAUCGGCCAGCAAUCACAUCGACUGAUGGAGCGUCAUAGCCGAUGAGAGGGUAAGUGGUGUACGGAUAACUUUCUAUUAGCCGGCCACUACGGCUGUGCGUAGGAGGGGCUUGAUUCCCAGCCUGAAGGAAAAAUGAAAUCAUUGGGUGCUCAAUUAUGGUGAAAAGAAUGCAAUCGGUAAUCGGAAAAUACCUCGGCGUUAGGAUCAAUAUUGGAUGGAUCCAGAAGGUUGCAGUAUGCCGAUGCUGAAUGGCAGAAUAAGAACUGCUUCCAUUCAGCCCACCAAAGCUUGAAAGGCUGGGUUGCAAAUGGAUAUAAUAGCCAUUCAUUCAAGUUGAUCGUACUGGAAUCCGGAACUCGGUCUCGCAACCGACAAUAGUCCACGCCAGUUUUAAGCGCUUCUCUAAACUUGAUCUGGCCAGCGAAGUACACCCGUAUCGGCAGUUGACCCAUGCCGAAUUGCCGAGCAGCAGUAGAUGGGUUGUAGAACUCAUAUGUGGGGGCGUUUUUCCCCGAGAAGAAGUUGGCCGGUAAAAGUCCUGGUUUGAUCAACUCUUCAUAGAGACCCUCGUCAAAUCGGCCAGAAGUUGAGUCAAAGCAGGAGGGGAGCUCAAACACUGGGAUGUCUCGCUGGUAUGGAAACCAGAUGGUAGCAUCCUCAUUGAAUCCAUUGUAGAAGCACCGAAAGUACUCGGCUACUUUUGUGGCAGAAUAUGCACAACCUGGAAAAGCUGACGCUGCUUCGCCAUAAGACAUACAUCGGCGACGCUCGGUAGGGUCUUCCGCCGAUUCAAUGUUGGGAAAUGACAUACGGUCCACUGGCUGCCGAGUGAUCUUGCUCAUAUAGAGGUUCAACCAUAGAUUAACAAACCACCAAGGCCCACCUGGGUUGCCGAUUGGUUCUCCCUUGGAAAGUUUUGUGCCGAUUUGGUGGAGCAUGUGGUACACGGCACCCAGAAGAUGUUUCCCGAGAGGAAUGCGGCUUCCUUUGGACAAUGCCUCGGCUAAAGAUUGGGUGUUGGUUGUUGGGCCGGCGGCUCUUCCACAGAAGAAAUGUUUUUCGAGCCACAUUAUCAGGAAAGCGGUGUACUCCCUGUUCUCAACAGUACCGGUCUUCUUGUUAUCACUAAUAAAGCCCUUCCAACCGCCGAUUCCUCUUGUGUCCAGCCGAUGCGACGGAACGGUCAGGAGUUGGAAAGGCGUGUCAGGGGAGGACACAUCUAAGCCAGUCAAAAGGACUACAUCGGCCAGAGUGGGGGUCAUAGGACCAUGACCAAAUAAAAAUGCAUUAAGAGCAUCAGACCAGAAAUAGGAAGCUGCCAUCACUAGCGGCUCAUUUUUCUCCAUUUGCGACAGAGAAAGGUUGAUGCAUUGGCCGAUUUUAAGCUCAUCCCACGAAACGCUCCUUGAUGCGGCCACCCGUUGGUACCAUUCCCUCCAACCAGGGGUCUCGUUCGGCCAGGAUCUAAAAGUACUUGCCCAUUGGUUUAAGUUCAUAUCGGAUCGUUUGAAAGGUAUCCGGUCAGUUUCCGAAUCUAUAAGAAUCGCCGGAUCUGGGUUUCCCAUGGGACCAAGACAAACAAGGCCGGGACUAUCCGUGAGGUGAAUGGUAAUUCUAUCUCUAACUGCCUAAAAAGGAAAAGAGGGCAUGGGAAUGUAAGGAGCAGAUCUAAAAUAUUGCCGAUAAGGAGAGGGUUCGGUAUUUACCUCUGGGAUAAAAUUCUGAGUAAUCGGCGUAGCCGCCGACGUUGGCGCAGAUGAUGGGGCUGUGAGGGGAACCGCCAUUGGGAUUUCUGAUGAAGCCCUUGCAUCUGUUGAAGAAGUGAUGGCCGUCGCUACCUCCACUGGAGGAAUUGUCCCUGGAGCAUCGCGUGCUGGAGAGUUGCCGGGGGGGGUCGCCAUUGAAGGAAAAAGGGGAAGAAGUGAUUGGAUGCUGAAGCUGGAAGACUUCGAUGGCAAGAUUGAAGAAAGAAGGGAGUGCGCGCGCUGGAAAAGGGGUGUGAGCUUGAAGAUGAGUUGCGGUGAAAUAAUAUUUAUAGGGUGCCUGAAAGAAGGGUAAAGAUGGAAUUUUCACUGCGCCGGCGCGUCAAGUUUUUCGGGGUAGUGGCUGUCGUGGGCGCCCGUUUCAAAAAAUUGCAAUGAUCAGCCGGAAGACCGCGAAACGGAAGGAUAUUUCACUGCGGCCGUUUCGGAGGAGAGGUUGUAAAGAAUUUCGAAGUAAAGGAUUAUGUUUUACUCCGAAACUGGGGGGCAUGUGUUGACGCCGGAUUUCGUCAUCAGUAGAAUCGGCGCCAAAGAAGAAAGAAAUCGAAGGAGUGCAGAUGGGAAUCGGUCAAAAGGUGCUACAGUGCGGAAUCGGUCAAGUGGCUUUUACUUCGCUUCAGAGUGAAUACGCCAGGUUCCCAAUCGGCAAUCCUUUGCUGAUGGGAAAUCAGCCGAUCAGGAAGGUAGACUAAAGUGGGCCUGUAUGGGCUUGGAAAGGUGGAGAGAUAAGGUGGGGUUCAGCCCACGAAAUGUGGGGUAGUUAGUUUAGCACAGAUUGUGCUCGUAGAUAUUUGUUUCCUGUUUGAAUUAGAGAUAGAGUUCUAGUCGGUUAAGAAGAUUAUUUACGGGGGCUAUAAAUAGCUACCUUUGUAAAUCUGUAAAAACAACAAUCAAUCAAUACAACAAGUUACUUUAUUCUUCAUACUUACUUUCGAGCAGGCGACUUCGCCAUCACUUUUUCUUCUCACGAGUUCGUGCGGGUUGGCAGGGCUGCAUCAUUUUGAUCUCCGGCCGAUUCUGUAAGUUCCGUUUAUCGAGUAAUAUCUAAGCUUUAACUUCCGGCGCAUCGCUGUCGUUCCGUUUAGAUUUAUUCAUCAGUUAUCGAUAUCAACUAGAUUCAUAGGUUUUUACCUAUUUUCCUAGUUUUUAUCACCAGUUAUCCUACUAGGAAUCGGUAGCAUCGGCUUUCGUUACUUUCUGUUGCUAGAUCUAUCUAUUGCCGAUUAGAUCUUUUCCUAGUAUUGUCACUACGUACCUUGUACCGAUUACUUUAAUAUUUUUCUAUCUACAAGGCUACAAGGAUCGUGCUGUCUUACGGCCGAUUUCUUCAUUACAGUAAAUCGGCCGAUCUGCCGAUAAGCUUUCUCGAUCGGAAAUUCAGCCGAUCGCGGUUACUGAAUUUGACACGUAUUCUUCCUUGCCAAUCAACAGGUCAGAUUGGCUGGCACGCCGCGCGAACCGCACCAGGGCUUUCACCCGAACAGGAGCUAAGCAGAUUCUCCCGGGUCGUGUGUCGGCCGCUGGGAUUUGGUUGACCGAUUUCUAGCGCCAACAAUACUCAAUCAAGGGUAGUUUGGGCUUCCUGAACUAACAUGCUAGGGAUCGUCCUAUGGUCAAGUAUGGCUCUGAUACCAGCUGAAACGGACCCAAAUUCCCAUUUCUGAGAAUUCAAGCCAACGCACAUUGGUGAUAGUCCUAGGAAGGCUAUCAUGUGCAAAUCCCUAUCUCAGAUAGUACAAAUCCAUACCAACAUAGAAACAGAGAGAGAAACAAAGUACAAAGAUCAUAGAUAACAUGAGUACGAGUACAUCUCAGCGGCACAUGCCAGUACAAGUCCAUCAGGACUGAAUCAGGAAAGGUAAAAUAUCUACGUAGUGGAAACAAAAGCUAUGGUGAUCUCCAUCUUCACAGGUGACUCGAGCGAAGAACGGUCCCUAGUCCUCCCAACCGUCAUUGUCGAAGUCAUAGUUGGGCUCUAACCCUGAAAAGCCAGCAUCUACCCAAGAAGCGGGUAGGCCAUGACAACUCCUAAAAGCAACAAAGCCAAGGAAAUGGAGGAAUUAUACUAUAUGCAUGAAUAAGACCUAUAUAUGGUUGUAGAGGUUUAUGCAGCAGCAACAACAACAAUCAAGGUAGCAGCAAAGCAACAUCAUCUCCGAGGUCAACACUCAAACAAGAAAGUCGGCACAAAUCACCAAAUCUUUCACCCAAGGGUCUGGCACCCAAACACACUAGGUAAUGUGAGAGCUCCCUUCCCUCACAUCUCAACAGCAAACACUAGCCUAUCUCAAAAAGGGGAAAGGUAGAAGCACGAGAAAAGUCUAGUCAGAAGUAGCAAUAGACAACAGCACUGUCCAUAACCAAUGGACACGGACUAUAGCUAUAGCUUUAUACACUCUAUAGAGGUUGUACAACUGUACCCGCAUAGAUAAAGCCUGAGCGGUAGCGAUCUGUCUAAACCCCACCUAUCAGCUGGAGCCCUAGUAAGUGGAUAGCUCUCUCUUGUUUCCUCGAGUCUGGAACCAUCCUCAGCUGUAGGGCACGCUGUCACCAGUGAGGACCUCAAAGCUGUGAAACCUACCCACACAGGGGUGCAGUCUGGUCCAAGCAGGACAAUGCCUAAAAACUCCUAAAAUGAUCCUCCAAUCCGCCUACAGGUGGAGCACUAUCCAUUACUAGUCUCGGACCGAACCCCGCCCAUAACGUAAGCGAGCGGUAAGUACGAAAAGUAGCUGCUGUGAUUGGUGGUAAACUGACUCGGUCCUUAAGCAGCUGAGAGCAAGCACUCUACCAACAAGUAUGUGCCAAAGGACCUGCAACAUACAAGUAUGCCACCUGCUCCUCAGUAAUAAACAAGGUACCUGCCACAGGUACGGGGUAUAGAGAGAGUCCAGAAAGCUCUCUCCCGACUAGGCACUUCUCUAUACCAACCAUGGCUCGCUCCCACCAAGAACACAUCAAGGAGUCACACUCACCCAAAACACAUGUGAGAGUGUUCAAGGAAUCUGUUGACGCCGGAUUUUGACAUGUGUUAACGUCGGCGUCAAAGGAGAGGAAGGUGGUCGAUGCGGCAAGCAAGAAGCUACAAUUGGAGAAUCGACCGAUAGAGCUACAGCGUUCCGGCCGAUUGGCUGAGGGAGUCAAUGAGGACUGGCCGAUUGGGAGCCAGAACGGCUUGGCCAAUGUGGGCCUAAAAUGGGCUAGGGUGGUGAUUAGCCGAAGAUGAAGAUUGGCCCGUGGAAAAAUAAUAACCAACUCUGAUGCGGGUUGUGUUCGUGUGUAUAUAUUUGUGAUUAGAGAUAGAUCCGAGUCAGUUAGGAAAUCAGUUGUAAUAGGGUAUAAAUAGGUGCCUUGUAAGGUUUGUAAAAAAUACAACUAUAAUCAAUAUAGAUCUACUCUUUCCAUGUACUUUACUUCCAAGUCGGCGACUUUGCCAAACCCUUUUCCUUUUCAUGAGUUCGUGCGAGUUGGCAGGGCUGCAUCAACACGACCUUCGGCCAAUUUGUAAGUUCCAUGUAUCAAAUAGUAUCUAAGCUUUAACUUCAGGCGCAUCGACGUUCUUUUGUUUAGAUUUAUUCACCAGUUACCGAUAUUAACUAGAAUUAUAGGUUUUACCUGUUGUUUUAGUUUUUCUCACCAGUUAUCCAGCUUGAGACAUAAACUAUCGGCUUUUUAUCAAUAUCUUUGUUUAUCACUAUAUAGCCGAUUAGAUUUGUUCCAAGUGUUGCUUUUGUAGCACUGUUUAGGUUGCUCUAGUGGUUUCUUUUGCAAUCGCUACGUGGUCAUCGGCUAUUUUAUAUCCGGUUAUCUCUAUAGUAAAUCGGUUGAUUCGCUGAUACACACUUUGAAAUAGAUCGGAACAUCAGCCAAUCGAAACCCUAGAAUUUAACGCCUUUCUUUCCUUGUCAAUUAGCAUGUCAGAUUGACUGGCACGCCGCGCGAACCGCACCUGGGAGACAACCCGAAUAGGAGCUAAGCAGAUUCUCCUGGGACGUGUGUGCGAUGCAGAAGCCGGAAUCUCCGUCCGAUUUUUAGUGUCAACACACUUUUGGCAUGCCUAGUGGGACACAAACAAUAUCUAACAUGUCGAAGGCUGCUGAAAUCUCGGAAGACAAUGUCAUGGAGAUCACUGAGGCAGAUCUGAAAGACGACCAGAGGGAUGAGCUGGCAAAGGCUAUGGAAGACUACAAAAAGGCAUGCUUGCAAUCCUACAGUCGCACCAGAAGCGGGGAACCCAUUAGAAAGACCGCUCUUCCGAAUCCUCACCACAUCACCAUCGCUAAAGACUCAGGGAAGAUGUUUGAGAUGAUCCAGCAGUCUGUCCAUCAGGCCAUGAUCGAUAAGUCCAAGGUGAUGACCCACACAGUGUACAACGCCGCUAUCAGCUCCAUGGCCAAUGGCGUCGCUCAAGGAUAUCAGGGGCCAGCUUACGCCCCUCCCAUCACCACACCGGUCAGAGGCUUCUUGGCGGAGCCUAACGUGUCUCAAUCGGCUCCUCAACCGAUGCAGAUGCAGAGUGGGGGGUACAACACCAUGAUACCCCUAGGUUAUCACGGUGCAACACCCUAUCAAUCACAAGCGCCGUUUACCCUGCACCGGUCUCCCCCGUGCAGCCACUGUUUGUAACAUCAACGCAGUGGGGAAUGGCGGGAAUACCUGCCGAUCUAGAUCCGUCUACCAGUUACGGAAAAUCUCUAGUGUAGGCGUCGUUUCCAUCGGCCUCUCGACCAACAGCUCCACAGUACCAGCAGGCUACCCCGGAGGUCGGCAGGGGGGUAGGCGCUCCAGAUCCCCUCAGAACUGCGGCGCCGAUAGUAUUGUACGACAAGGUGGCAGAUGCACUACGUCAUGUUGAUCCCACAUGACAGCAGCCAUCGUCUCCUCAGCCGACAGUCCAGCUGCAAGACCUACAGCACGCUCCGGUCUAUCACCCAAUCACGGUGCCGCAACAGCAGCAUCAACAGUAGGUGGACUGGAUCGCAAGAAAAACUGAUAUAAUACAUGAUCAGUUUGGAUUAAAGCCAAGAGUGCAGACUUAUAUGUACAGGACACCGUAUCCACCCGCCUACGAUCUGUUGCCGUUCCCUCAUCGAUACAAAGUGCCAGACUUCACCAAAUUUUCAGGCUAAGAUGAGACAUCCACGGUGGAGCACGUUAACGAAUUCAUCAUCCAGUGUGGAGAAGCUGCUGCACAAGACACUCUAAGGGUAUGGUUGUUCUCGUCAUCCCUGUCCGGGUCAGCCUUUCAAUGGUUUACGACGCUGCCGCCCAACUCCAUCAUGACUUGGGCCGAUUUGGAGAAACAAUUCCACAAGUGCUUCUUUGUAGGGGUCCAUGAGAUGAAGCUGUCAGAUCUAAUUAGCCUCAAGCAGAGAAGCGAUGAGUCGGUGGCCAGCUACAUAUAGAGAUUCAGGGAGGUUAGGAACAAGUGCUACAGCCUGGUCUUGACCGAUGCCCAGUUGGCCGACACCACUUUCCAGGGACUCCUACCGCAUAUCAAAGAGAAGUACGCGUCCCAGGAGUUUGAGAGUUUGAGCCAAAUUGUUCACCGACUAUCUGACCAAGAGGUGUGCCCCUUUGAACAAUGAAGAAAUUUCUAGAAAAAGGUGGCAUACGUGGAAGGGUCCGAGUCAGAAGAAGAGGCAGAAAUCGGCCUAGCAGAGUGGGUUAAAGGGAAAAAACCAAUCUCAUGCCCAUUUGGUAAAAAGGAGCUGGAAAUAUUCGACUUCGAUACAUCUAAGGCCUAUAAGAUCUUUGACUUGUUGCUACAAGAAGGACAAAUCAAGCUUUCACCCUACCAUACGAUUCCGUCGGCUGAACAACUCAAGAAGAUGAAGUACUGCAAGUGGCACAAUGCUACGUCUCACGACACCAAUGAGUGCAUAGUCUUUCGUCAGCAGAUACAGUCGACCAUCAAGCAAAGAAACUUAAGUUCGAAGUCCCCACAAAGCUAACAAAGCUGAUGAAGAUCGACCAGCACCCCUUCCCUGCCAACAUGGUCGACGUUGGAAGGAACGCGCUCCAGACCAAGGUGCUGACGUUAGAAUCGGCUAGACGGAGUGGCGCGGUGGACUCCAGAAAUCAAACCUCGGCCGAAGAUGUUAAGGGAAAAGGCCGGGUGGAGACGGAAGGCAAAAGCUCGGAGAGGUCCCGUCAGCCUAUCACAUCUUGAGAUUUGCUCAACAAGUACCAGAGACAACGGGAGGACACGAGGCGCCGCGAAGAGAUGAUGUGCCGACACGAAGAUCAUUGGAGGUGUCCAUUCUUCAUCCAUUGCUGGGAAAACAAUCUCAGAUUGCCUUCAGCUGACAACUGCCCUGAAUGUAACGGUCAAUAUCACAGCAGCUGCCCAUUCAAGUGAUCACGCUCCGGGGAUCGAGGACGAGAGCUGAUCAGCAGAAACAGGCUCGAGCAAGAAGAAUGGCCCAUUUCAGUGCGUGAUCGACUGGGGGGCAGAAUAGACUAGCGUAAUCGGCUAGGGGGCAGAGUAGACAAGCGUAAUCGGAUGGGGGGCAGAGCCAAUGCGCAUGAUCGGUUAGGGGAAAUGGCCGACGCAAGGGUUUCUGAUGAGAAUCCGUUGGGCCGAGACCCGAAAUGGGAGCGUGCCAAGCCGCCGAGUAAACCAGUGAACUCUAGAUGUUGCCCAGAUGGUUUGACCAACUCCCAGAAGAGGAGGGUCCAACGUUUGCACCAAUGGGAACAGCAAGAAGAAGAACAAGGCAAGCGGUAGACAGAAGAGGAGUCAAAUCUCAAGUUUGGCACCCCAGAACAAAAGCUGAUGAAGAAAACGAUGAUCAGGAUUCGGCUCCUUACAUCAACAUGGUGUUCAUCUUGCCGAUGGAGUUCAUGGAUCCCAUCGACCACGACAAUGCAACAGAAAUAUAGGGGCAGAUGGCACAAUUGGCUUUGGAGCCAAUGACCGCUACUUUUGAAAAACCUGAGGAUGAAAAAUGCCAGCAUUUCAAGGCUCUAUUCCUAAAAGGCAAGUCAACGGGCGACCAGUCACUAAGCUGUUGGUGGACGGAGGCACUGCCGUGAACAUCAUGCUGUAUGCUAUGUUCCGCAAGCUGGGCAAAGGGGAAAAAGAUUUAAUCAAUAUGGACAUGAUGCUCAAGGAUUUCGAAGGCAACAUAUCUCCGGCCCGGGGGGCACUCUGCGUCGACCUCACCAUCGGCAGUAAGACCCCACCCACCACUUUCUUUGUUAUUAAUGGUAAAGGGUCUUAUAAUAUGUUGGUCGGGCAAGAUUGGAUCCAUGCAAACUGCUGCAUCCCAUCUACGAUGCACGAAUGCCUCGUCCAAUGGAUUGGUGACACCAUUGAAGUAGUCACUGCCAACUCCACUUACAGCGUUGCUGUAGCCGACGCGCAACAAUGGAGUUACGAGCACAUCAGAUGCAUAUCUGGCAGGACUUGGGACACUGAUUUCUUGAAAGUGUCUGAUUUCGAUCUACAUCCGAUCCAAGCAGUUGGCUCGGAAGAAUCAGAUUAAAUGGAUCAGUUCGUCCGAGAAGAUGGAAAGCUUGGGCACGGGUUUAUGUCGAUCGAUUCAUUAGAGAUGGUGGACCUUGGAGAUGGUAGCAAGCCAAGGCCGACAUAUAUCAGUGCUAGGUUAGACCCCAAGUACAAGCGCAAGUUAAUAGAUUUGUUAAGAGAAUUUAACAAUUGCUUCACUUGGGAGUAUCAUGAAAUGCCUGGUCUAGACCGGUCCAUUGUUGAACACCAGUUGCCUAUAAAACCAAGGUAUCGGCCAUAUCAGCAGCCCGAACGAUGUUGUAAUCCUAAAAUUCUAUCUGAUAUAAAGGCCGAAAUCACAAGAUUGAUUGAAGCGGGGUUUAUUCGGCAGUGUCGAUAUGCCGAGUGGAUUUCUAAUCUUGUUCCUGUAUACAAGAAAAAUGGAAAGCUGUGUGUAUGCAUUGACUUUAGAAAUCUUAACCAGGCUACACCGAUGGACGGGUACUCGAUGCCGACGGUAGAUGUUUUGAUAGACGUGGCCGCGGGGCAUAAAGUCAUUAGCUUUAUGGAUGGUAACGCUGGGUAUAACCAAAUACUAAUGGCUGAAGAAGAUAUCUCAAAAACGGCCUUCAGGUGCUAUGGUCACCUCGGCUUGUUCAAGUAGGUAGUUAUGACUUUUGGAUUGAAGAAUGCUGGGGCUACGUAUCAAUGGGCCAUGAAUUAUAUAUUCCAUAAGCUUGAUGGUGUCCUAGUGGAGAUUUACAUUGAUGUUGUCGUCAUCAAGUCAAAGGGGCAUCGACAGCAUCUGGCUGAUUUGCGCGAGGUAUUGGAGUGCACAAGGAAGCAUGGGUUGAAAAUGAAUCCAAACAAGUGCGCUUUUGGCGUUUUGGCUGGUCAAUUCCUGGGCUUCAUGGUUCAUGAGUGCGGCAUUGAGAUCAACCAGAAGAUUAUAGCCACCAUCAAUAAAGUUGUGGCCCCACAAGACAAAACGGAGCUACGGUCCUUAAUCGACAAGGUCAACUUCAUCCGGAGAUUCAUAUCGAACUUGUCUGAGCGCAUUCAAGCUUUCACCCCAUUGUUGAAAUUAAAACCUGACCAAGAGUUUGUCUGGGGUGAGGAAUAGUAGAAAGCAUUAGAUGACAUCAAACAGUAUCUGGUUGCCCCACCGGUGUUGGUUCCUCUGCGGGCUGAUAAGCCUUUCAGACUAUAUCUAUCGGCCGAUGAGCGAGCUAUCAUCUCGGCGUUGGUCCAGGAGUUCAAGGGAAAAGAAAGGGUAAUUAAUUACGUCAGCAGAAGACUUUUGGACACUGAGACUAGAUACCCUCUGGUGGAAUGGUUGUGCCUUUGCCUAUAUUUUUCUUGUACCAAACUCAGGCACUACCUGUUAUCGGCAGAGUGCGUAGUUGUGUGCAACGAUGAUGUUGUCAAGUAUACGAUAUCUUUGCCGAUCUUGAAAGGGAGAAUUGGAAAGUAGAUUCUGGCCCUCUCGGAAUUCGAUCUAAGGUACGAAUUGGCCAAGGCUAUCAAGGGUCAGGUAAUGGCCGACUUCGUAGCCCAGCACUGUGGACCAGAGAUUACUGUAGUCGAACCAGCUCCAUGGAUGCUGUACUUCGAUGGAUCUUCGUGUAGGGCCGGAUCAGGAAUUGGCAUCAUCCUCAUAUCGACUCGGGGGGCAAGUUAUGAUUUCUCUUUGCUGAUUGAGGCGUCCACCACUAAUAAUCAAGCGGAGUAUCGGGCUGUCUUAAAAGGUAUCCAGCUAUUGAGGGAGGUCAAGGCCGACGCAGUAGAAAUAUUUGGGGAUUCCAUGCUUAUCGUAGAUCAGUUGACUGGAAAGUGUGAGUGCAAGGAUGAUAUUCUAAGGAUUUAUCAUGAAGAGUGCCUCCAGUUACUGAAAGAGUUCAAGACAGUAAUUAUUGAACAUAUACCUAGAAAUUACAACGAAGAAGCCAACAGACUUGCUCAACAGGCUUCCGGUUACAGGCCGAUUCAAGGUGCUAUGGCUCUGGAGCUUGCGGCCGAUGACUGGAGGAGAGAAAUUGCCGACUAUCUGAAAGAUCCAUCCAAGAAAGUUGAUCGGCGAAUACGCUUUCAGGCUACAAAAUAUGUACUGCUUAUAGAUGAUUUGUUUUACCAAACAAUUGAUGGGGUAUUACUCAAAUGCCUUGGAGUAGAGGAAGCUAAAACUUUGAUGGGAGAAAUUCAUGAGGGUGUAUGUGGGGCCCAUCAAUCGGCUUAUAAGAUGAAGUGGAUGAUUAGAAAUGAUGGGUACUAAUGGCCGACGAUACUCGAGGAUUGUUUUAAAUAUUAUAAAGGGUGUCAAGAUUGUCAGAGAUUUAGCAAUGUACAACGAGCAUCGGCUUCGGCUAUGAACCCAAUAAUAAAGGCAUGGCCAUUUAGAUGCUAGGGAAUCAACCUCAUCGUUCAGAUCUAUCCACCGUCAAGUAAAGGACAUAAGUUCAUAUUGGUGGCCACUGACUAUUUCACUAAAUGGGUUGAGGCAGUUCCCUUAAAAGUCAUGACGUCGGCCAACAUGAUUAAAUUUGUGAAAGAACAUAUAAUUUAUCGGUUUGGUAUUCCUUAGACUAUUACGACACUAUUACAGCUGAUCAAGGGUCGAUGUUUACCUCUGGAGAAUAUGGGAAUUAAGUUGUUAAAUUCUUCUCCGUAUUAUGCUCAGGCCAAUGGUCAGGCCGAAUCGUCUAACAAGGGGGUCAUUAAAUUGAUUAAGAGAAAGAUCGAAGAACAACCAAGGAGGUGGCGCAUACGAUGCUGAAUGAGUCCUUGUGGGCCUACAGGAUGGCUUGUCACGAUGCCACCAAGGUGCCCCCUUACCAGUUAGUAUAUGGGCACGAAGCAGUACUGCCUUGGGAGUUGAAGACUGGGUCUAGACGCACAUCACUUCAAGACCAGUUGACCGCCGAUGACUAUUCCGUUCUCAUAAAGGGGGAGUUGGAGGAUUUGGCAAGCCAGUGGUUGAGGGCCUUGAUUAGUAUUGAGGAAAAUAAGAAAAGAGUCGCCAGAUGGUAUGACAAGAAGGUUAAGGUCAAACAGUUUUCCCAAGGAGACUUAGUCUGGAAGUUGAUCUUUCCUAUAGGAUCUAAAGAUCCAAAAUAUGGAAAAUGGUCGCCUACUUGGGAAGGGCCGUACAAAAUUGGUCGAUGCGCACCAGGUAAUGCAUACAUAUUUGAGACCCUUGAGGGAGAAGAAUUUACGAGGGCCCUUAAUGGAAGGUAUUUGAAGAAGUACUACCCUAGCAUAUGGGUAGAAGCUUAGCCAGUAAUGUAGCAUAUCAGGUUCUUACGGCCAAUACCUAUUGACCCGCGUUCAUAUAGCUGAUACAGAGGGUAUCGCCUUAACGAUAAAAAAGUAAGAAAGCGUUCAUGCAAAUAGGCCGGUUAAUGUUCUGUACAUUAACUGGAUACAUGGCUGACAUGGUACAAGUCACCCUUAGAAUAAAAAGUACCAAUACACUCAUAAGUCACAGAUAUUCAAAGGUGUUUCAGUUGGGCUUUGCUCGUGUUGAUCUCUUUCUGAAUCCUGCCCAGUUCAAUCAGAAGGUGGGUGUUUUUCUCCUCUACUUCCGUCAUUGCAUCCUCGAGGGCGAUUUGAUGAGUUAGUUGGUGACUCCUUUCAAUCGGCGGCUGGGUUGGGCUCCCGGAAGUGUUGGCUUCAAUGUUGUCUACGAUCUUCUUGAUAUGCGUGGGGAGGUGGUCCUUGAGUUCUUCGCGAUGAGCCUGGAUCAGAUCUCUGUUCGCCUGGGUCAGCAGUUCAUCGGAGUGCAUAAUUUCAAUUGCUUGUUCGAGUUUGGGGCUGAGCCAGUUUGGCUGAAGGGAUAAUAGGAAAAUCAAUCAACAAAGCAAAUCAGUCAAGGAAUGAAGGAGUUAAUGUUGCACCUGAUUGACUGAGGAGGAAGAAGCCAUCCGGAUCCAUGAUUGGAGAUCUGGAAGCGUCUAUAGGGGGGAGUAUAUGGGUGUUAUGUGAGUGCCUCUAGGGAGGAUGUGAAGGUCUCGUAUUUCUAAGACGAGGAGGCGACGAGCAACGGUUAGUAAAGGAAGGUAUUCAAAGAAAAUGACUGUUGAGUCAAAAAGCUGUGGAGAAAGCCAUUCGGACUCAUAUUCACAUAGAAACGUUGAAAGUGUUAAUGCUUUACAAGACAUUCAAAGGGUGUUCAAGUUUAGUACAGUUAUCUGAGGAGGGCAUUUAUGGCCUUAAUCGCUUGUAGGCAGAUCUGAUCUGCCGAAUCUAGUACUCGCUGGUCGUCAUUGGCUGAUCCGAGGAUUUCUGGCAUGUUACGGUUUAGCCACGUGAGCAAGGGUUUGCCUUUCCUAUUUUAAAUCGGCAAUGACGGCUGGGAGGUCUUGGAGCUUCUUCUCCUCAAUAGCGAUGGCCUUCACGACUUGCUCCAUCUCUUUCGCGAGUUCCGCUCUACGCCGUUUAAGUCGAUCUAUGGCACUGACAAUGCUUGGAUGGAAAUUUUCAAGAGCGCCGAUCCGGUGGUGUACCUCUUGAGCUCGGUGCUUAUAAGAUUCCUCUUCCUCGUGUGCCUUUUCCAGCUUGGCACGAUCAGCCAUAUUUCGCAAAGCUCUGAAAACCGGGAUUUGCAUCGACUCAAUAUAUGCCGCAGGCGCAAGAGCUUCUUCCACAUCUUCUGGAACUCAGCCUUUGAUUUCAUUGAAUAUUUGUCGAAUCGGAGAAGCAUCAUCUACCAAUCGGCCGAUGUCGUCCUGGAGAAGGGCUCGUAUGUUCUGGAGCUUGGCACAGACCUCUUCUGGUAUUGAGCCCAAAGCUAUCUAGCGUGAAGCAACUUCCUCGUCAUCGGAGACUGCGACUGCGAAGGAGAAAAGGCUAUUGUUGGGCGUGUCUUGUUCCUGUGAGAAAUAAAGGGAAAGAGUGCUUUAACCGACAGGAGUAAAAAAUUGGCCGGUAGAGGUAGAGGUUCCUUACUUCUUUGAAACAGAUUUCCUCUCCUUGGGUUGGCAAGAUUGCUUCUCCCACUCAGGAAUCGGUGUCGGCAGUUCACCAGAACAGGAGGAUUCAACAAUGAUUGGCGCGGUACUUGGUCCUGCCUCCUUGAGAAUGGGAAGAGAAGUUCUUAUGAGUAUGAAAGGAUAAUUGGAUCUGGGAAUGGGUUUUAGUUAUCUCUGUUGGAGGUAUGCCCUAGAGGCAAUCAUAGAGAUGAUGAUAUUCCAUUUGUAUCCAUGAUUUAUAUUGUGUUCCUUGAAUAUCCAUUAAAGGCUACUUGAAUUGAUUUGCAAUUAUGUGAAUUGUGUGUGAAACUCUUUACUUGUAUGGUUAUUCUAAAGUUGUCCCUAGUCGGAGUUCAUGUGAGGACACACAUGAAUAUUAGACUAGCACAUGUAUUAGUUGAUGACUAUGUUUCACAAGUCAUGGACAUGGAGAUGUUGAACAAAUAAUGUGGGCACAUGUGGAGACAUGUGCUAGGACUAACCCAACACGAGAAGUAGUUCUCUCUUUACACAAUAUAUACUCUUUGUCCUUAGACCUGAGAUUGUCGCAUGUACUCAAGAUGUGGAUCGACUUACAUAGGGACUAUCAAACGCUACGCCGUAAUAGGGUAGUUAUAAAGGUAGCUUUCGGGUUUGUCAAGAAGCAUGCUAUGAGACAUGGUCAAUCAAGAUGGGAUUUGCCCCUCUCUGAUUGAGAGUGAUAUCUCUGGGCCCCUCGAGUGAUCGGAUCCGAAAAUGCAUGGCCAUGCUACGUACGGUUAAGAGUUAACCUACAAAGGGAUUCCGAAUCACAGGAUCGAGAAAGAGCGGUCGGCUUGAAGCUAGACCAAAUAUCGUGAGGCAAAGGGAAUAGCAUGUAUAUAAUGUUGUUAUGGUUUGUCUGAUAUGAUCUUCGUGUGCGUAUAGGAGUUGGCACGUCUUGCUAGAGGCCGCUACCGACUAUUGGGCUGAGUAGGAGUACUCGGGCCAUGUCUAUACGUGUCCGAACCCAUAGGGUCACACACUUAAGGGGCUGGAAGCCCAAUUUGGAUCUGAUCCGAGUUGGAUUAGUACUAAUGGGCCUCGGACCCAGAGGCCCAUUAGGAACCUCUAUAAAUAGAGGGGUGGGGGCGCCCUAGGGUUUACACCUUUUUGGCGAAACACAUCUGCCGCACCUCCCACACCCUCGCCUGUUGCAACUCGCGGAUCUAGCAAUCCGGCUUGUGAUGCUUCCUCGCUGCACGUGUGGAUACCUUGGAGGUGUUGCACCUGCAGCACUUGGACGAGCCGCCGACGAGCCACGACGAGCCGCCGACGAGCCGACGACGAGCCACGGCACGAGGGAGAUCUUGCUACACGUGGACGAGCUGCUGAGGAGCUGCUGGACGUCGAUGUGAUCGACUACGUACGACUAUGCUGAUCCACUUCGCUGCAUCGACGCGAAUCUGCAUCUUCCGCACCAGUAGUGCGUCGAGUGGUAAUCCCGUGAUCCUUAUACGGUAGUUUUCCUGGUUUACGCGGUAGAAAAUUUUGUUUUGCGCUAGUGUAGCCUACCUCGUAUCCCAACAGUGGUAUCAGAGCCGUAGCUGCUUUGUUUUGGAUUCGGGAUGUGUGCAUAUGGAGAUAUGCGAGUUUUCAGUUUGAUCUAUGUCCUAGUUUCGUGGUCUUGCUGCAAUGGUAGUGUAACGACAUACUCCUAACGGUCGGUUUCCGCCAUCGGAGUUAAGUGAUGCACGUAAUUCCAGUUGCAGUGAGCGAAGAUCAAUAUGAGUGGUCGAAUCGAAAUCCAGAUUCAUACGCCAGGCGCAUGAGAUGUGCAAUAGUAGAUGAGAUCUACUAUCGGGGUUGGGAUUUUUGCCGUGUGCGUAUGCUUCGAUAAAUCAGCCGUAACUUUUCGGUACGAUCUCGGAUUGGAGCGAAUUUUAUAUGAAAAUUGAUCUAUAGAAAAAGUUACACAUGAAAUUCAACGCUUUGCUGUUUUCGGCAAAAUUAGAUUUCCCAAAUUUGGCUUGGAAGAUGGAGUUUCGGGCAUCCGAAGUUUGGAACGUUAGGAUGCUUAACUCUGUUUUGCAUGAUGUAUGUAUGUAUCUUGUGAUCAGUAUGGCCCCUUUGUGUAUGUGAUGCAUGUGUGUAACUCAUUCGUGACCUGCGUGUCGCGCGUACGGCAACACGGCAGGAGCCAUAUGUGUUGUUGCAUGAUGUAUGUAUGUAUCUUGUGAUCAGUAUGGCCCCUUUGUGUAUGUGAUGCAUGUGUGUAACUCAUUUGUGACCUGGGUGUCGCGCGUACGGCAACACGGCAGGAGCCAUAUGUGUUGUUGCAUGAUGUAUGUAUGUAUCUUGUGAUCAGUAUGGCCCCUUUGUGUAUGUGAUGCAUGUGUGUAACUCAUUCGUGACCUGCGUGUCGCGCGUACAGCAACACGGCAGGAGCCAUAUGUGUUGUUACCUUAAUGUAUUUAAUGGUCUGCGUACCAAUCUGUGAUGAUCCAAGCAACUAUGUAAUCUUCAUUACUAGCUUCCUUACUAGCUAUUAGGCGUAAUAGCCUGUUCUAGUUCUUGGAGGACUCAUCACGAGGAGGAUGGCGCACAUGGAACAUGGAGAUGGAGAUCACCAUGGUGAACAGGUUCUAUGGAGAUGGAGAUCACCAUAUGAAAAAAGGCCAUACAGUGUCACAACUGUGUGAAUGCUAUUUUGUUUAUGUUUUACUUUCUGCAUGCUGUGAUGUUAGAAGUAGAAUGAUCCCUCACAAAGUUUAAGUUAGUAGGCCCUCCCAACUAAAACUUGCACCAUCCCAUGUCUUGUACAAUUAGUGGUGGGUCUAUGAAAUUAGGGUGCCACUAGUUUUCCUUGACUAGACGGGUUUGUGUCGGACACUUACACGCAUAAGGGUUGGUUUGCUUAACAAGGUUAACUUAACGGUUAAGGACCUUGGGGCAUAAAGGUUGGGCGCCGAGACAUGGAGAUGUCACCCAACAAUAGGAGUCAUAUGUGAUAUGAUUAGCAAAAGUUGCUUACCGAUCUACCUUGUUUGCUAGCGGUGAUGCUAAAGCUCACUAGUAGACUUGUUAGUUGUGGAUUCUGAAUCACUAAGUAUCAAUAGAGGGAUAUUGAUUUUAGUGGGAGUAGAUUCUGUUAAAAUAGUUUAAUGUGAUUUGCUCUAUCAUGGAUAUGUUUGUCUUAGUGUAUUUUGCAUGACUUUUGUUGUAGAUUAAAUGGCACCAAGCAACACCACACCGUUUGCUUUGCGUUCGGUCCUUGAGAAGGACAAGUUGAAUGGAACAAACUACUCGGAUUGGAUCUGUAACCUGAGAAUUGUUCUCAGAGCCGAUAAAAAGGAAGAUGUUCUAGACACCCCACUACCACCAGUACCUGCUGAUGAUGCAUCUGCUGCCGUUAAGUGAUGUGGACUAGGGUCCCGAUCUUCCGAAAGGUUCAGUUAAUCGACAAUUUGGGUGGAGUCGCUACGUAAAUCGAUCCGGCUUCCGAGCAACGCGUUCCGAACCCCGCAAUCGCAGCACAACGUCUCCUCAGGUUAUCGACCGGCGAUGCACGGUCGACCUCGCCAAGAAGGCUAAUCCUUGCCUGCGAAUUGAAGAACACAAGCAAGAACAAGGAAGAAUGCAAACCAAAUUUGCGGAUGAAUGAUUAAGCUCACGAGUUGGGGUUUUACAAACCGAUGACGGCGAAACUGUUCUUGACAGAUUAAUCUAAGCAAAACCCAAAACCUAACAAAGGUGACGGCUACUGUUAUAUAGGGUUUAGGGUCGUGGUCGACCCCCUGGACGCGCCCCUAAUGGCCCAAUGUCGAUACACGGCCCAAAGGUCAAAAUAAGGCGACGCAGCGCCAGGACAGAUUCUGGACGCCAUCUUGUUUCGACGAUUCCUGUUGACUCAGGAUGAAUUUAGGCAUGGAACCAGUGCCAUUGGAAAAUAGAUCUUCUAAACUUUCCAACCAUAUAUAGAACGUCCAAAACGGAGUCCGUAUGCGGUCUGGGCAUCCAAAUCACUGUGGGCUGCUCCGGGACACCGAGGUGGACUCGAACUCGACUUGGCUUGGGCCUCCAACUCGAGUUGUAUGUCCUUGCUGGUCCUCCACGCCUCCAAGCCUCUCUCUAUGCAUCUCCUGGUACUCUCCUUUGUUCCUAAUCAAAAUAUAAUCAUUGAAUAGCAAUCUAUUCUUAAAAUCAUAAAAUGAAUUGGUUAGGAACGAUCUCACCUCUAAAUGCAAUUGUCGUGCGCGAGCUCUAGUGAUUGGACCUUGAAUGUCCAGCGGAGUAUCAUGUGCAUCCGGAGAGGUGAUGUCCUCAUCAUCCUCCCCCGCUUGAAAUGGAGUCGUCCUCGACUCAAGCUCAUCGUCUGCUCCCAAGUAAGGCCUCAAAUCUGAAAUGUUAAAGGUAGGACUAACCCCGAACUCGGGAGGCAACUCAAGUUUGUAUGCAUUAUCAUUAAUCUUCUCAAUUAUCUUGAAAGGACCAUCAGCUCUAGGCAUCAACUUAGACUUUCGCAAAUCUGGAAAUCUAUCCUUUCGUAGGUGCAACCAAACUAGAUCACCCGGUUCAAGUUUAACUUCCUUUCUACCUUUACUACCAGCAAUUUGAUACUUUUCGUUCAUUUUUUCAAUGUUGUGCUUAGUUGUUUCAUGCAUUUGCAAAAUAAAAUCAGCGCGUUCGUUGGCAUCCGUAUGAAUCCUCUCACUAGUAGGCAAAGGCAAAAUAUCAAUAGGAGCACGGGGGUUGAAUCCAUACACUACCUAAAAAGGACUUACUUUUGUGGUGGAAUGUGUUGCCCAAUUGUAUGCAAACUCCACAUGAGGCAAACAUUCUUCCCACAUCUUCAAAUUUUUCUUCAAAACAGCCCUCAACAUGGUGCCUAAAGUGCGGUUCACCACCUCUGUUUGCCCAUCAGUUUGUGGAUGACAAGUGGUAGAAAAUAAUAAUUUUGUACCCAACUUGUUCCACAAAGUACGCCAAAAGUGACUCAAAAAUUUUGCAUCGCGAUCUGAAACAAUAGUAGAAGGCAUACCAUGCAAACGUACAAUCUCUUUGAAAAAGAGGUCAGCAAUAUGAACAGCAUCAUCACUUUUAUGACAUGGUAUAAAAUGUGCCAUCUUUGAAAAACGAUCCACAACAACAAAAAUGCUAUCCCUCCCCCUCUUAGUCCUAGGCAAUCCCAACACAAAGUCCAUAGAAAUAUCCGCCCAAGGAAUAGAAGGAACAGGUAGUGGCAUGUAUAAACCAUGUGGAUUCAAACGAGACUUAGCUUUUUGACAUGUUGUGCAGCGAGCAACGAACCUCUCAACGUCUCUCCUCAUUUGUGGCCAAAAGAAAUGUGAGGCCAAAGCGUCCACCGUCUUCUUGGCACCAAAAUGCCCCAUCAAUCCUCCUCCAUGUGCUUCCUGCAUCAACAAAAGACGAACGGAACCAACUGGAAUGCAUAGGCAGUUUGCUCUAAACACAAAGCCAUCAUUGAUCACAAACUUAUUCCAUGUACGUCCCUCUUUACAAUUGAGCAACACAUCCUUAAAGUCAGGGUCAAGCGCAUAUUGUUCCUUAAUUGAUUCAAGUCCAAAAAGACGACAAUCAAGUUGGGACAGCAAAGUAUAUCUUCUAGAUAAAGCAUCGGCAAUCACAUUGUCCUUCCCUUUCUUAUGUUUGAUGAUAUAAGGAAAAGAUUCAAUAAAUUCAACCCAUUUAGCAUGUCUACGGUUCAGAUUGUUUUGAGAACGAAGAUACUUAAGCGAUUCAUGAUCAGAAUGAAUAACAAAUUCCUUAGGCCACAAAUAAUGACGCCACGUUUGUAAGGAACGUACAAGAGCAUACAAUUCCUUAUCAUACGUAGAGUAAUUCAGAACAGGACCAUGCAAUUUCUCGCUAAAGUAUGCAACAGGUUUACCAUCUUGCAUCAAAACACCACCAAUGCCAACUCCACUAGCAUCACAUUCAAGCUCAAAGGUCUUACCAAAGUUUGGAAGUUGCAGCAAUGGCGCACGCGUAAGCUUGGCCUUCAAAGUGGCAAAGGACUCGUCCUGUGCUUUUCCCCAACGAAACACCACACCUUUCUUCGUCAACUCGUGUAAUGGCGCAGCAAUGGUGCUGAAAUCUUUGACGAAGCGGCGAUAGAAACCUGCAAGACCAAGAAAACUCCUCACCUGUGUGAUGCUUUGGGGCAGCGGCCAACUCUGAAUGGCUUCAAUUUUCGUUCCAUCCACCUCAAUUCCCUGUGGAGUAACAACAUAUCCAAGGAACGAAACUCUAUCGGUGCAAAAGAUGCACUUCUCAAGGUUAGCAAACAAACGUGCAUCUCUCAAAGCCUCAAAAACAGCACGCAAAUGCUCCCUAUGUUCAUCCAAAGACUUGCUGUAAAUUAAUAUAUCAUCAAAGUAAACCACCACAAAUCGACCAAUAAAAGCCCUCAAAACCUCAUUCAUCAAACGCAUGAAAGUACUUGGUGCAUUAGUUAAACCAAAAGGCAUGACUAACCACUCAUACAACCCGAAUUUGGUCUUAAAAGCUGUUUUCCAUUCAUCUCCAAGUUUCAUUCUUAUUUGGUGGUAACCACUACGCAAGUCAAUCUUUGUGAAAAUUAUAGAACCACACAACUCAUCAAGCAUGUCGUCUAACCUAGGAAUAGGAUGUCGAUAUCGAAUGGUAAUAUUAUUGAUGGCUCUACAAUCAACACACAUAUGCCAAGUACCGUUUUUCUUUGGAACCAAAAGCACAGGAACAGCACAAGGACUAAGGCUUUCAUGUACAUACCCGUGGUCCAAAAGGUCUUGGACUUGUCGCUGUAUUUCCUUAGUCUCCUUGGGAUUGGUUCUGUAAGCAGCACGGUUUGGCAAAGUGGCUCCCGGGAUCAAAUCGAUUUGAUGCUCUAUUCCUCUCAAAGGUGGCAGCCCCGGGGGUAUCUCAGCUGGAAAAAUGUCCUCAUACUCCUGCAAAAUGUUAGUGAUAGCAGGAGGCAAAGAGCUAGCAAUAUCAUCAAGAGAGAACAAAGCUCGUUUGCAUAUCAACGCAUAGCAAACAUCAUCAUCAAAAAUUUCAGCAAGAUCACAUCUUGUUGCAAGCAUAACUCCCCCCUUUAAUUUAAUCCCCUUUUCAGGUGGAGAAACAGAACUAGCAACUUGCUGAUGUUUAGAAUUAUCAUUGUUCAAAGUAGCAGCACGUUCCUUAUCAGCUUGCACAAUUUCAACAGGGGUCAAAGGUACCAAAGUAAUUUUUUGUCCUUUAUACAUUAAGGUGUAUUUAUUACUUCUACCAUGGUGUGUAGCAUCAUUAUAAUGUUCCCAAGGAUGACCCAACAGAAGUGAACAAGCUUGCAUAGGUACCACAUCACAAUCAACAAAAUCAGCAUAAGCACCAAUGGAAAAAGAAACUCUGCAAGUUUGUGUUACCUUAGCUUUGCCAGAGUCAUUUAACCACUGAAUAUGGUAUGGAUGUGGAUGCGGUCGUGUGGACAAGCCAAGCUUCUUGACCAAAUCUGAACUCACCAAGUUGUUGCAGCUCUUUCCAUCAAUAAUCACACGUGCACGACGGUUAUUGAUGACGAAGAAAGUCUGGAACAAGUUGUGGCGCUGUAGACUCUCCGGCUGCUGAAUUUGCGUGCUGAGCACACGCUGAACAAUAAUGUUCAUGUAGGCUGAAGUAUCCGCACCAUGAAGGACAUGUCCCUCGGUGUCCUCGACAGCGAUCUCUUCAUCAACAUCAUCUUCAAUGUCAGAGGUGCUGAUGUAACCUCCAUCUUCUGUAGCAAUGUAUGCCCGCUGACUUGGGCAUUCCUUCUGCACGUGGCCAAAUCCCUUGCAGCGGUGACACUGAAGGGCAGUCGUGCGUCCUGUCGAAGCAACGGACGAUGCACUUUGUGCAGGAACCUGCAAAGAAUUUUUACCUGAACCCGAAGGUCGUACAGGCGUUGGUUUUGGCGUUGUAGAAACUCCAGAGUCUGCUGGUCGUGUGCUCGCUGGUGGGGGUGCGCGAAAAGAGGAGGACUUGGUCAGCCCCAAAGAUGGUGUCGUACGCUGGUAUGAGUUACCAACCUUGCUCUUGCCCUGCAACUCACGCCCCUGCAAUUCCUUUUCUGCAAACAUAGCCAACUGAAACAACUGGUUGACAGAGUUAAAAUCCUUAUAAUCAACUAUGUCCUGAAUUUCGCGCCGCAAACCGGAAUAAAAACGGCAAAUAGCAUCCUCAUUGUCCUCAACUAUGCCACAACGCAUCAAACCCUUCUGAAGCUCACCAAAAUAUUCCUACACAGAUUUAUCUCCCUGAUCUAAGCGCAUCAAAUUCUUACGCAGUUCUCUAUGGUAAGAAGGUGGAACAAAUCUAUCAUGCAUAGCAACCUUAAGUUGUUCUCAAGUAGUAGGUGCAACACCCGCAGCAACUAAUCCAGUCCACCAAAUGAUAGCAAAAUCUUUAAACUCACUAGUGGCUUGUCGAACUCUAUGUUGCUCAGGCACAAGGUGGGCACUAAAUUUUUGUUCAACCGUCAUCUCCCAAUCAAGAUAUCCCUCAGCAUCAUAAUGUCCAGAGAACGAAGGUAUAGUAAAUUUAAUCUUAGCAUAAGGGUCAUCGGGAGCACGAUUAGCACCUGCGUUCACGCGAACACGUCGUCGUAUACGUACCUCUCGUGUAGCUACUUUGUCUAUGUUACCAUGGCCAUCAUACACCACAUCUUCAUCGGCUGGUGGUGGUGGUGGUGGUGGUGGUGGACGGGCUUCCAACGCAGCAACCCUGUCAGCUAUUGUGGUUAUCCGUCCAUUCACCUCCCCAAAAAUGUCAGCAAGCCUGAGUCCAUUGAUGGAGUCGGUGACGGCCUUGGCGACCACCUCUGUUAUCCUGGUCUGUGUGGCAUCCAUAAAAGCUUGCAACUGUCCUUGGCUGACACACUCGUUGAAGUCCUUGGGAGUGCCUCCAUCGUUAUCUGCAGCCAUUGUAGAUAGAAAACAGGAACAAACGGUGAAGGUUAACCCUAAUAAUCUCCUACGCAGGUGUGGUGGUGUCUCUCAAAUCAAACAACACAGCAAAAGGAAACACCUUACCAAGCUCUUACAAGGUUCUUACCAGCAAGGCAAAGGAUACCUGGAAGGCGUAGACCGCGAUUGCAAGGCUCAAGAACCUGUGCUAUGCAGAAGUAAUAUGUGGAGCUAUAGGAAGGCCAAAGAUAUGUGAGUGGAACACAAUUCACUAGAAGAUAGCAAUGCUGAAUAAAUGUCCAAAGCUACUUGUCCCUAGUUGUUGGCCUACCCGUGUCCUUAGAACAGUAGUGUCAACAAAUAAGGAACAAGGAUGGAUAUGAAGAACAACAAUGAUACAAGAUCAGCAAGUAUCCCGCACAAUAUCAGCAAACAAGUGGUUCCUCUCCACGUGCCUCCUGCUGUUUCGUCUUUUAGCACUAGUAGAAAUCAAAUUGUUUUUCUUUUUUUCUUUUAUUUUUUUGAUAUUUUUUUUCUCAGCCAGGAGCACAAAAAUAGGAACACCACAAAGUAUCAGCUCAAUCCGAUGUAAGGUGUGAUCGGUAGAAAAUCACGAGCGUUUCACAAAACCGAUACUGGAACUUGGGAACUCGAAUCGAUCCCCUUCUGAGUUUUUUUUGAAUUUUUUAAUUUCGGUUUGACUGGCAAAGCCAGUGAAUCCUAUGUGCAAAAAUUCGAUAGCUUUCUGGGAAAAAAAAUGCCUCAAUUGGAGUUCCGAGCGAAAAGUUAUGCCCGUUUUAAGGAGGACCCUCCGAUGUAGGGUUUUGUGGCAGUCGAGAUGGAAUCGGGUGGGGAGAAAAAGUUAGGAUGAUGGCAGCGGAGUAUGGAUCACACAACCGAACUAAAACACGAUCUAAACCAGCAACAAUGACACGAACUAGGACACAAACUCAACACUACGGACUCUGAAAGGGAAUUAUGCAAAAGGCUAGACACGGUCUUGGACGGGGAAAAUUUUUUUGGCUUUUCUGUGGACUCUAGGAUGAAUGCGAAAAUAAAUCUAACUAGGGUAAGGGUGAACCUGACGGUAUACCUGAAGCUCUGAUUACCACUUGAUGUGGACUAGGGUCCCGAUCUUCCGAAAGGUUCAGUUAAUCGACGAUUUGGGCGGAGUCGCUAUGCAAAUCGAUCCGGCUUCCGAACAACACGUUCCGAACCCCGCAAUCGCAGCACAACGUCUCCUCAGGUUAUCGACCGGCGAUGCACGGUCGACCUCGCCAAGAAGGCUAAUCCUUGCCUGCGAAUCGAAGAACACAAGCAAGAACAAGAAUGCAAACCAAGUUUGCGGAUGAAUGAUUAAGCUCACGAGUUGGGGUUUUACAAACCGAUGACGGCGAAACUGUUCUUGACAGAUUAAUCUAAGCAAAACCCAAAACCUAACAAAGGUGACGGCUACUGUUAUAUAGGGUUUAGGGUCGUGGUCGACCCCCUGGACGCGCCCCUAAUGGCCCAAUGUCGAUACACGGCCCAAAGGCCAAAAUAAGGCGACGCAGCGCCAGGACAGAUUCUGGACGCUAUCUUGUUUCGACGAUUCCUGUUGACUCAGGAUGUUUUUAGGCAUGGAACCAGUGCCAUUGGAAAAUAGAUCUUCUAAACUUUCCAACCAUAUAUAGAACGUCCAAAACGGAGUCCGUAUGCGGUCUGGGCAUCCAAAUCACUGUGGGCUGCUCCUGGACACCGAGGUGGACUCGAAGUCGACUUGGCUUGGGCCUCCAACUCGAGUUGUAUGUCCUUGCUGGUCCUCCACGCCUCCAAGCCUCUCUCCAUGCAUCUCCUGGUCCUCUCCUUUGUUCCUAAUCAAAAUAUAAUCAUUGAAUAGCAAUCUAUUCUUAAAAUCAUAAAAUGAAUUGGUUAGGAACGAUCUCACCUCUAAAUGCAAUUGUCGUGCGCGAGCUCUAGUGAUUGGACCUUGAAUGUCCAGCGGAGUAUCAUAAGCAUCCGGAGAGGUGAUGUCCUCAUCAUUAAGGCUGCUUACAAGAAGGCAUUUGAUGCUAAUCUUGAGGUAAGCUGCCUUAUGCUUGCUUGCAUGGAACCUGAGCUGCAGAUGCAGUUCGAAACAAAUCAUGAGGCACACGAUAUAAUCGUGGCGCUCAAGGACAUGUUCCAGAGACAGGCUAGGAUUGAAAGGUUCAAUGUGUCCAAAGCCUUUCUGGAGUGCAAGCUAGCAGAAGGCGCAGCAGUAUGACCACAUGUAAUCAAGAUGGUUGGUUACACUCAGCGAUUGGAGAAGCUGGGCUUCCCAAUGGGCAAAGAGUUGGCCACUAACUUCAUUCUUUCAUCUCUUCCGCCUAGCUAUGGGAACUUCAUCUCGAACUACCAUAUGCAUGGGACAGAGAAGGGUCUGAAUGAACUGUGUGGUAUGCUCAAGACAGCAGAGGUAGACAUUAAGAAAAGCGCUAGUACCAGCCAUGUGAUGGCUGUACAGAACAAGCCUACCUUCAAGAAGAAGGGCAAUUCUUGGAAGAAGAAAGGUAAGGCUGGAGUGUCCAAGCCAAACCCAGCGCCCAAGGCUAAAGCUGGACCUGCUCCAGAUAAAGAGUGCUUUUAUUGUCACGAACCUGGUCACUGGAAGAGAAACUGCAAGCAGUACCUAGCUUCGUUGAAGAAUGGCGGAAGUAAGAGUACUUCUACCUCAGGUACACUUGUUGUUAAUGUUAUAGACAACAUAUUUCUCACUGAUACAAUUAUUAAUUCUUGGGUAUUUGAUACCGGAUCGGUUGCUCAUAUUUGCAAUUCGAUGCAGGGAAUGAUAAGAAGUAGAAGCGUGGAAAGAGGAGAAGUUGAUUUCCGCGUGGGCAAUAAUGUAAGAGUUGCUGCGUUGAACGUCGGGACGAUGCAACUCCACCUCCCGUCAGGAUUUAUUAUGGAGUUGAAUAAUUGUUAUUUCGUUCCUACUUUAAGUUGAAACAUUUUGUCUCCUUCAUGCUUGAUGAAGCAUGGUUAUUCAUUUGCGAGUGAAAACAAUGGUUGUGUGAUCUCUAAGAAUGAUAUGUUUAUGGCUUUUGCACCCAUUGUGAAUGGAUUAUUUGUUUUAAAUCUUGAUGGUUCACCUGUCUGUAAUGUAAGUGCUAAAAGGCCUCGGCCUAAUGAUUUGAGUCCUACCUACUUAUGGCAUUGUUGUUUGGGUCAUAUAAGUGAAAAGCACAUGAAGAAGCUCCAUUCUGAUGGACUUCUAACUUCGUUUGAUUUUGAAUCAUACGAGACAUGUGAGGCUUGCUUGCUAGGCAAGAUGACCAAGACACCUUUCACAGGAUUUCCUGAGAGAGCAGUAGACUUGUUGGAACUCGUACAUAGUGAUGUAUGCGGACCAAUGAGCACGACGGCUAGAGGAGGAUUCCAAUACUUCAUAACUUUCAUUGAUGAUUUUAGUAGAUAUGGCUAUGUCUACUUGAUGGGGCACAAGUCCGAAACCUUUGAAAAGUUCAAGGAAUUUCAGAAUGAAGUUGAAAAUUAGCGUGGCGAGAAAAUUAAGGCCUUACGAUCUGAUCGUGGAGGCGAGUAUUUGAGCCACGAGUUUAGCAAUCAUCUAAAGAGUUGUGGAAUUGUUCCACAACUUACGCCGCCUAUAACACCUCAGAGAAACGGUGUAUCCGAGCGACGUAAUCGAACUUUGUUAGACAUUGUUCGAUCAAUGAUGAGCCAGUCGGACCUACCGUUGUCGUUUUGGGGAUACGCUCUAGAAACAGCAGCUUUCAUACUUAAUAGGGUACCAUCUAAAUCCGUAGUUAAGACACCAUAUGAGAUGUGGACUGGAAAGGUUCCCAGUUUGUCUUUUCUAAAGAUUUGGGGAUGUGAAGUGUUUGUCAAGCGACUUCAGUCGGAGAAGAUCACACCCAAGUUGGAUAAGUGCAUUUUCGUGGGAUAUCCAAAGGAAACUUUGGGAUAUUAUUUCUACAACCGGUCAGAGGGAAAAGUGUUUGUUGCUCGAAACGGGGUUUUCCUAGAGAAAGAGUUUCUCAAAGGAGAAAAGAGUGGAAAGAUAGUGCAUCUUGAAGAAGUUCAAGAUGAGCCGAUCGGGUAAGAAUCAAUGAGUGAUGCUAACGUAGCAGAACAAGCUGAGAUACCCAUGGCAAGAGAAGCACCGCCACAACCACGAAGGUCGGGCAAGGCUCCGCGAAAUGCGGGAAAUAUUAUUAUUGGACAAUGAUGAGCCUGCGACAUAUGCAGAAGCAAUGAUGGACCCAAACUCCAAAAAAUGGCAGAGUGCCAUGCAAUCCGAAAUAGAGUCCAUGGGAGACAAUCAAGUUUGGAACUUGGUUGACCCGCCUGAUGGUGUUAAAGCCAUAGAGUGCAAAUGGAUCUAUAAGAAGAAAAAGGACAUGGAUGGAAAUGUUCACAUCUAUAAAGCACGACUUGUCGCAAAAGGUUUUCGACAAGUUCAAGGAGUUGACUACGGCGAGACUUUCUCGCCCGUAGUGAUGCUUAAGUCCAUUCGGAUUAUUCUAGCUAUAGAUGCAUAUUUCAAUUAUGAGAUAUGGCAGAUGGAUGUCAAGACAGCUUUCCUGAAUGGAAACCUAGCUGAGGACGUGUAUAUGAUACAGCCUGAGGGUUUUGUCGAUCCGAAAAAUGCUGGAAAGGUAUGCAAGCUUCAAAGAUCUAUUUAUGGAUUGAACCAAGCAUCUAGGAGUUGGAACAUUCGUUUUGAUGAAGUGGUCAAAGGGUUUGACUUCACCAAGAACGAAGAAGAGUCUUGUGUUUACAAGAAGGUUAGUGGGAGCUCUGUAGUAUUUCUAAUCUUAUAUGUGGAUGACAUAUUGCUGAUUGGAAAUAACAUUCCUAUGCUUGAGUCUGUAAAGACUUCACUAAAAAAUAGUUUUUCGAUGAAGGACUUAGGGGAAGCGGCAUAUAUUCUGGGCAUUAAGAUCUAUAGAGAUAGAUCGAGAAGGCUUAUAGGAUUAAGCCAAGAUACUUACAUUGACAAAGUGUUGAAGCGGUUCAGCAUGGAAGAGGCAAAGAAAGGGUUCUUGCCUAUGUCACAUGGCAUACAUCUCAGCAAGACUCAGUGUCCUUCGACUGUUGAUGAGCGGGAUUUCAUGAGUAGAGUGCCAUAUGCCUCAGCUAUUGGAUCUAUCAUGUAUGCAAUGAUAAGUACUCGCCCAGAUGUUUCAUAUGUGCUAAGUAUGACAAGCAGACACCAGUCUGAUCCAGGUGAGAGUCACUCGACAGCGGUGAAAAACAUUCUUAAGUACUUGAGAAAGACUAAAGAUAUGUUCCUCAUCUAUGGAGGUGAGGAGGAGCUCGUUGUAACAGGUUACACCGAUGCCAGUUUCCAAACGACAGAGAUGAUUCAAAGUCACAAUCAGGAUUUGUGUUCACGCUAAAUGGUGGUGCUGUUAGUUGGAAGAGUUCCAAGCAGGAGACGGUGGCCGAUUCUACGAUAGAAGCCAAGUACAUCGUGGCUUCGGAAGCCGCGAAGGAGGGUGUUUGGAUAAGGAAUUUCCUCAUUGAGCUUGGUGUGUUCCCGAAUGCGUCCAGCCCAUUGAAUCUCUACUGUGAUAACAAUGGGGCAAUUGCGCAAGCAAAGGAGCCAAGGAACCAUCAGAAGAACAAACACAUAAUGCGGUGAUUUCAUCUUAUUUGAGACUUCGUUAACCGGGGUGAGAUCAAGAUAUGCAAAAUACACACGGAUCUGAACAUUUCUGAUCCGUUGACAAAACCACUCCCGCAGGCUAAGCAUGAUGCGCAUAUAAGAGCUAUGGGUAUUAGGUACCUUCUAGAUUGACUCUAGUGCAAGUGGGAGACUGUUGGAGGUAUGCCCUAGAGGCAAUCAUAGAGAUGAUGAUAUUCCAUUUGUAUCCAUGAUUUAUAUUGUGUUCCUUGAAUAUCCAUUAAAGGCUACUUGAAUUGAUUUGCAAAUAUGUGAAUUGUGUGUGAAACUCUUUACUUGUAUGGUUAUUCUAAAGUUGUCCCUAGCUUUCGGGUUUGUCAAGAAGCAUGCUAUGAGACAUGGUCAAUCAAGAUAGGAUUUGCCCCUCUCUGAUUGAGAGUGAUAUCUCUGGGCCCCUCGAGUGAUCGGAUCCGAAAAUGCAUUACCAUGCUAUGUACGGUUAAGAGUUAACCUACAAAGGGAUUCCGAAUCACAGGAUCGAGAAAGAGCGGUCGGCUUGAAGCUAGACAAAAUAUCGUGAGGCAAAGGGAAUAGCAUGUACAUAAUGUUGUGAUGGUUUGUCUGAUAUGAUCUUUGUGUGCGUAUAGGAGUUGCACAUCUUGCUAGAGGCCGCUACCGACUAUUGGGCCGAGUAGGAGUACUCGGGCCAUGUCUAUACGUAUCCGAACCCAUAGGGUCACACACUUAAGGGGCUGGAAGCCCAAUUUGGAUGUGAUCCGAGUUGGAUUAGGUUUAGAAGUACUAAUGGGCCUCGGACCUAGAGGCCCGUUAGGAACCUCUAUAAAUAGAGGGGUGGGGGCGCCCUAGGGUUUACACCUUUUUGGCGAAACACAUCUGCCGCGCCUCCCACGCCCUCACCUGUUGCAACUCGCAGAUCUAGCAAUCCGGCUUGUGACGCUUCCUCCCUGCACGUGUGGAUACCUUGGAGGUGUUGCGCCUGCAGCACUUGGACGAGCCGCCGACGAGCCACGACGAGCCGACGACGAGCCGCCGACGAGCCGCGGCACGAGGGAGAUCUUGCUGCACAUGGACGAGCUGCUGGAUGUCGACGUGAUCGACUACGUACGACUACGCUGAUCCACUUCGCUGCAUCGACGCGAAUCUACAUCUUCCCCACCAGUAGUGCGUCGAGUGGUAAUCCCAUGAUCCUUAUACGGCAGUUUUCCUAGUUUACGCAGUAGAAAAUUUUGUUUUGCGCUAGUGUAGCCUACCUCGUAUCCCAACAAUCUCACCUCUAAAAACCACACAACCAAUUUUUGCUUGAAGGGUACAAUCAAUGUGUUCGAGAUAUCUUGCGCCAGAGAUCAAUCAGUUUUAGUGAAAGAUUGGGGAAAUCAAGUGAAAAGCAUACUCUUCACCUCAAUUGGGAGGUUUGCUGGUGCAGUCUCUUCUUGAGGAUCGGCUGGUUGAUGAGUGGUUUGCUCCGGAAGAAGGUGCGCAACCUAAUAAGAAGAGGUGGAAUUAAUGUUGACAACAUACUUAGAAGAGUUAGAGCAUGUGAGAUUACCGAUGCAGCUUCCACCAGCAGAGAUGCAGCUGCUGAUCUAGCUUCUGAAACCACUUGGGGGUUAAUCUCCUGAAUUGUCGGCACGACUUCUGAUGGGGCUAGUAUGGCUGAGGGCUCGACCGAUGGCGUCGCCGAUUGAUCAACCGUCAGAGUUACUGUUGAUUCGGUACGGGCUCGUACUCGGCGGCUUGUCUUCUUUGAAGUAGACAUCUUUAGCUUAUGCUUCAAUCGACCGGUAGCUAUGUCCUCCAUUGAUGGUGCGUGAUAGCCAAUGAGUGGGUAAAGUAUGUACGGAUGACGGUUUUCUAUCGGCCUACCACUUCGGCUGCGUGUUAGAGGUGUCUGGCUAUCAGACUGCGCAAAGAGGGGGAGUCCGUAAUGAGAACCUUGUGGCAUAACGAGGUGAAAAUGAGAAACUGGUCAAAAAGGUUUUGUUACCUCUGCAUUUGGGUCGACAUGAGUAGGGUCCAACUGAUUGCAAUAUACUGCAGGAGCUGUGCAAAAAAGAUGUUGCUUCCAUUCGGCCCACCAUAAUUUGAAUUGUUGAGUGGAGAAGGGUGCUACCAGCCAAUUGUUCAAGUCAAUAGUGCUGGAGUCUGGUAUCAAGUUGCAUAAUCAGUUAUAUUCAAACCCUCUUGAAAGUGACUCUCGAAACUUCACCCGGCUGAUGAAAUAAAUUCCAAUAGGCAUCUAUCCUAGGCCAAAUUGCCGGGCUACCACCGACAGGUUGUAGAAUUCAUACGUCGGGGAGUCCUUUCCAGAGAAGAAGUUUGCUGGCAAAAUCCUGGGCUUGAUAAAGAUCUCCAUAAUCCUGUCUUCAAAAGAAUUGGUGUCCAACUCAAAGCAAUCAGGAUUCUCGAAAAGUGAAUCCUCUCUCUGGUGCAGGUACCACCUCGUGGUCUCUUCACUGAAGCCGAUAUAAAAGCAUCUAAAAUAUUCGGCUGUCCUUGAGGGAGUGAGUUUUCCUCCUAGAAAAGAUGAUACGGCUUCUCUGAAGGAGGUACAGCGGCGCCUUGCUGUUGGGUUGGUCUCUGACUCGAUGUUGGGGAAGGUCUUGGUCUCGAUCCGUUCUCUGGAGAUUUUGCUCAUAUAUAAAUUAAGCCAAAGGUUGAUAAACCACCAGGGACCGCCAGAGUUCCCAAUGGGCUCUCCAGACGAUAGCUUUACGGCAAUCUGGUGCAUCAUGAAGUAAACCGACCCCAACAGAUGUUUUCCCAAAGGAAUAGUAGCACCUCUUGCCAGCGCUUCGGCCAAGGUUUGUGUGUUGGAGGUGGGGCCGACCGAUCUGCCACAGAAUAAGUGUUUUUCUAGCCACAUCAUCAAGAAGGCCGUAUACUGUCUGUCAGUAAUGGGUCCGAUCUUCAUGUUCUUUUCGAUGAAACCUUUCCACCCGUCGAUGCCCUUUGUUUCCAAACGGUGAGUGGGCUUGAUUAGAAGGUCAAAGGGCAUAUCGGCGGAGGAGACGUCAUGACCAGUCAACAUCAAGACAUCGGUCAGAGUAGGAGUCAUCGGCCCAUGGCCAAAAAGAAACGCAUUGAGGGCGUUGGACCAGAAGUAAGACGCUGCAAUGAGUAGGGAGUCGUUCCUCUCCAUAUGAGACAGAGACAAAUUUAUACAGUGGUCAAUUUUCCCCUCAUCCCAAAAGACUCUCUUCGAGUUUGACAUCCUUAAGAACCAUUCUCUCCAACCGGGGGUUUCGUUCAGCCAAGACCUGAAUGUGACUGUCUAGUUAUUCAGAUCCAUCGUUGAUUGCUUGAAAGGGAUUCUGUGAGUUUCCAGAUUAAUCAGCUCGGUUGGAUCAGGGUUCCCCAUGGGGCCGAGUCCGAUGAGGCCAGGAGCGUCAGAUAGGGGGAUGGUGAUUCUUUGCCUAAGCUCCUAAGAAGAUAUGAGAAAAAACUUAGAACAGAUCUAAGAUUCGUAGAACGGUGAAAAGUAAAAAAGGGAGAGUUUCGGGGAAUUUACCUCCGGGAUGAAAACCAUAGUGGCUGAAGGAAUCGCCAUUGGAGUUUGAGGGGCUAGCGCAAUUGAUCAAAGGAUGAGAUGGGCUCAUCGGAGGGCACUAGAAUGCACCUGGAAGCGGAAUGGGUGCCGGAGUGCGUCGGAAGAUGGUUCACCGGGAGAGAAAACUUUUUAGCUCGGGGAAGAAGAAGCAGCGGAAGAGGUGAGUAUUUAAAACAUGGUUUGAGAGAAGGGUAAAGAUGGGAUUUUUACCGCAUCAUCCGCGCAAAUUUUGAAGAGAGUGGUUGCCCGCGGGCGCUUUAUUCAAGAAAAUGCAAUCAUUAAAGAGAAGACUCUGGAGCGAAAUGGGUUUUGCCGCGUUGACUGUUGCACUUUCUCCAGAGGGAAGAGUUGGAGUUGAGAAAAUUUCGGAGCAAAAGGUAUGUUUCACUCCGAAAUUGGGGGGCAUGUGUUGACGUCGGAUUUUGACACGUGUUAACGUCGGCGUUAAAGGAGAGGAAGGUGGCCGAUGCGGCAAGCAAGAAGCUACAGUUGGAGAAUCGGCCGAUAGAGCUACAGUGUUCCGGCCGAUUGGCUGAAGGAGUCAAUGAAGACUGGCCGAUUGAGAGCCAGAACGGCUUGGCCAAUGUGGGCCUAAAAUGGGCCAGGGUGGUGAUUAGCCAAAGAUGAAGAUUGGCCCAUGGGAAAAUAAUAACCAACUCCGAUGUGGGUUGUGUUCGUGUGUAUAUAUUUGUUAUUACGGAUAGAUCCUAGUCGGUUAGAAAAUCAGUUGUAACAAGGUAUAAAUAGGUGCCUCAUAAGGUUUGUAAAAAAUACAACUAUAAUCAAUACAGAUCUACUCUUUCCACGUACUUUACUUUCAAGUCGUUGACUUCGCCGAACCCUUUUCCUUUUCACGAGUUCGUGCGAGUUGGCAGGACUGCAUCAACACGACCUCCGGCCAAUUUGUAAGUUCCACGUAUCGAAUAGUAUCUAAGCUUUAACUUCGAGCGCAUUGCUGUUGUUUUGUUUAGAUUUAUUCACCAGUUAUCGAUAUUAACUAGAAUUAUAGGUUUUACAUGUUGUUUUAGUUUUUAUCACCAGUUAUCCAGCUUGAGACACAAACUGUUAGCUUUUUAUCAAUAUUCUUUGUUUAUCACUAUAUAGCUGAUUAGAUUUGUUCCAAGUAUUGCUUUUGUAGCAUUGUUUAGGUUGCUCUAGUGGUUUGUUUUGCAAUCGCUACAUGGUCAUCGGCUAUUUUAUAGCCGGUUGUUUCUAAAGUAAAUCGGCCGAUUCGCUGAUACACACUUUGAAAUAGAUCGAAACCCUGGAAUUUAACACCUUUCUUUCCUUGUCAAUCAACAGGUCAGAUUGACUAGCACGCCGCGUGAACCGUACCAGGGCAACAACCUGAACAGGAGAUAAGCAGUUUCUCCUGGGACAUGUGUGCGACGCAGAAGCCGGAGUCUCCAUCCGAUUUUUAGCGUCAACAAAAUCCCAUCACCAAAUCCAUGGCAAAUGCCCAUCCAUAACUCAAAAGCAUGUAUAUGGAUAAAUGAGCGGUGGACUAGCUAGGGGUCGGUAGCUAGUCCACAAAAGUAGGUGAACAGGGAAAACAUGAUAAACAAUUAUCAAGGUAGGACUAGAAACAUUGGCUAUGCAAGGAAAACUGCACAAUUGAACAGCCUUUACACUACAUGUAGUGUUUGAUAGCAAAUCUGAUGGAAAAAUGAUAAAUGUGCAGUGCUGGUUAUAUUUGAAGCAACUGCAAAUCUGAAAUCGAAUGUUAAUGUACAGUUGAUGUUAAUGUUAAUGGUUAAGGGUGAAGUAUAUGACAUUGGUUUAAAACGAACCAGAUUUAUGGCUUUCUUUGAUUUACAGAUGAGGGAACUGCCACCGCACAUUAACACCAAGGAUCAUCCCAUGCAUAUUAAUGGAUGCUAGUACAAGCCAUAAAAGUUCAGAGUACAAGCAAUCAACAAAGAGUUGUUUUCUGAUCAACUAAUGUCAAUUCUACUACCAUCUAGCACCACCAUGAACCAAAUCGUAUCAGUGCAAAGUUUGAUCACAACCUUGGCAUAUUGUGCAGCAAACUAACAAUAUAUAUUCAGAAAGCUAUUUCUGUUGAUUGCUUUAUCUAUCAGCCAUCAAUUUUGACUGAUCUGGAAUGACAUUAGCAUAUGGCUGAAACUUGUGUCAUGGUUAUGCCAUAAUAUAACUUCAAAGUAGACUAUGUUCGGUAAAGCGUGCUACUGCCCAAACAUGAAAGGCUGAAACUAUUUAUAGAACCAAACAAAACCUAACAUUAGUUGAUUUUUUUGGACAUAGAGAUUAACUUCCACGAAAGCAUAGUGAAAAUGAUCUACAAAAGGACAUUGUAUCUAAUUUUCUUCCACCCAAAUGCAUAUGACUAGAAGUAAUUAAGAUUAGAAUCAAAUUAGGGCACAGGGAACUAACCUCGUUGGGGGAUUAAGAAAUCCUAACCUCAUCCCCAUGAUUGAACCCUACGGAACGAAGGCCGUUGUUGGUUGCAUUUGGAGCUGGAGCCCCUUGGUCGGCGGUGGCAGCAUGAGGACCAGGAGACCCUUGGCUGCCGGCAGCGUGAACAUCAUAAGCACCACAGUCACCGGCGGCAUGAAGAGGAGUCUCGCGACCGGCGUCGUGAGGAGCAAGAGUGUCAUGGCCGGUGGCGUCAGGUACAGGAGUGUCGCAGCCGUGCGGCGCGACGUGGAGCAGGAGUCCAACGGUUUGCAGUCUCCAUCGGGAGGAACAGAUGGAAACGGUGCCCCCUCCCCACGUAUGAGUCUGGCAAUUUUAAGGGAAGGAUUGCCGGCCUUUUAGUAUAUCUACUCUGGAAAAUAUGGAGGGGAAAUUAGGUGGGGUGGUGAGAAUCAUGGGAAAAAAAUUGGGGAGAAGAGGUGGGAGAGGUUUAGGGCCCCUUUGGUAGCGUGCGCGCGGGCGGUAGGGGCCAAGCGGCGGAUGGUGAGCUGAGCGGGGCACGGGGCCGGGUGCGCCGGCGUGCGCGCGUGGCGCGGCAUCGGCUAGCGGGUAGGGGUCGGUGCAGCGCGGGCAUGGGGCUGGGGGCGCGGCAGGGAGGUGGCGGUGUGCGGUGCAGCAAUGGCGCGAGGCGGGGUGCACGCGUGGCGAGCGGCGGGGCAUAGGGCGCACGGUGCGGCCAGGGGCGAGCGGGGCGUGGGGCCAGCCUGGUGGGAGCGCAGCAGGGUGCGAGGUGGGGCUGGGGGCAUGACAGGGGCGUGAGGUAGUGCCGUGGUGGUGCCCCUGUCCCAGCAGGUAGAUGGAAACGGCGCCCCCUCUCAAUCUACUCAGAUGGAGAAGGCAAUGGAAGCAGAUCUCGGGGAGACGGGGAGGUUAAUGUGGAGGUGGGAAGUUGAGCGACAUGAUUUAAUCGCUAAUCUUGGGACGCGCUGGCCAUUAGGUGGGGAAUAACUGCAAUCAUCUUGGCGGCAUGUGAAUUUUUAGCUAAAUUCAUUGUGGCAGGUGAAUUUUUUCAUUGUGGCAGGUGGCAAAUUGAAUGUACGAAGUUAAUGAUUUUAUUUGUAUGCAUGAGAAUAUUUUUUUUAAAUAUAGUUUGACAUACAUCUAAAAAAAUUACUAAUUAAUAAGUUAUUGAUAUUCAUGACUACCCAUAUCUUAUAACAAUGAUUUUAUUUUGAAGCAUUGGAAAUCUUUAAUAUUAUCAUAUUCAUACUCAACGAAAGAAGAGGACCAGAAUGAUAUAUUGAUAGAGCAAGUGGCGUGCUAUGGUUGGACUUGGUAUAAUAAUGGCUUUCAGAGUGGCACUCAUUCGGAAGUAACGACAAAAAGAUACGCUAAUAGACCAAGUGAUGUGUUACGGUUUAGGCUCGAUGUUAAUAAUGAUCCGAAGAAGAUGACAGGAAAGAUAUAUGAUGGACGGUGCAACUUGGAUGAUCGUCUUUGAUACAAGUGACGUGGAUGUACCUGUCCGGUAAAAAAGGGAGCGAGCGGCGUGAGGGGUGGGGUCUCGAUGCCAUCGCCAUAGGCCACCGCUUCGACGAGUGAGCAAGCAUCUGCUAUCGACAAGCUGCUCCGUCAGUCGUGCACGGGCAUCCGCUUCGUCGCGCCACUCUUGUUGUUCUUGCCAACUGAACCGCCAUCGUCCUCGUUGCUGAUGCGGUGAGCUCGCGAGGUCACCCCCUCCCUGCCACCUGGAUCGUCUUGGAAGCGGAGCUCGCAUGAGGCGGCGGAGCCUGAGACGCAGCCACACGAUAUGGUAGACGCGAAGCAGGCUGGAGCUUGGCUGCCGCCGCGAUGAUCCGUUCCUCGACCUCCGACGCAUAUAGGAGUCGGGUGUCGGAGCAGGGAGAUGGGAGGUCGAUUUCAACAAAUACGGAGGAGGAACGUUCGACACUGUGGAAAGGCCUGCUGUAAUACGCCCAAUACGGCUUGGUAUUGGAAGGGUUUUUCAAAUUCCAAUUUCAUAAACAUCCAAACUAAGAUAUUGAGUGUACCCAAUACCAAUUCCAUUUCCCAAGCUUCAAUAUCUACAUCCAAAUGGGAUGUUAUACUUUUAUAUCACCUAUAAGAUUUCUAAUGAUUGCAGGAUGAAGCCAUAUAUUGGAAUCGUUAUUGCAAACUGCAGAAAAUUCAACAUUAGGUGUUUCUCGGAAUUAAAAGAAUAGCAAGUUUAAAAGGGUAGAAAGAUAAAAACAUAGAGCUCCAAAUAUGGAGUCGAUCCGUUACAUCCAUGUUCGAAACCAUGACGCUAGUGAUGCCUAUUAUGAAAGGCUAUAAGAAAUAUAUAUAUAGAUAGAUAUGUUUCUCGCUAGCUACAGAAUAAGAGCAACUCCAAGAGGCUGCUAAUCUUACCCCCAAUACCUUUUUUAGGAAAAAAGAGAGGAAAAAUGAACUCCAACAAUCCACCUAAACCUUCCCCAAUUUUUUAGCGACGCUAAAAAACAGCCUGCCACCGCGUAUAUUUUAGCGUUGGCGUUCCUCCCCCAAUCCUGAUUCCCGCACGCCCGCACGUCCCUUCCGAUGGGCCCAAUACGAUGACGUGGCCUGUGUUUGAAAUAUUGGGGGCUAUUUAUUAGCGAUCUGCUGUGGACUAAUAUGUUUUUGGGGGAAAUUUUUUUUAGGAGAACCCCCAAUACAUAGUUUUGGGGAAGAAUUUUUUAGGAUACUCUUGGAGUUGCUCUAACCAAUUCUAUGAUCAGACCAUCCAACCCAGCGGACCCACCCAUGCUUCGGAGCUUCAGUUCCCGCACGGCUCGCCUUCCCGCUCGGCUACACAUCCACGGCUCGCCUGUCUGCUCGGCUUUGAGGUGGGAGCGAGCCGAGCGCCGCCCGAAAUUGCGCGCCCAAUUCCAUGUUCUCAGACCUCGCGACCUUUUUUCAUCGCCACCAGAUCCCCCGCUUCCGUCUUCCAUCGCUGCUUCCGUGGCCGGAUUCCAUCGCGCUCAGGUCUAUUCGCGACACUAUCGUAACGCAAUCUAUCGGAGGCGGCGGCGGCGGAGGCGUCCUCGGUGGUGCACGUCCGCCUCCCAUCCUAUCCGCCUCCCAUCCACCACGCGGCUGCUACCCCUGGAUCACGGCGUGCGAGGAUUUUAUGCCGAACUGCUAUACAUCACGCAGCUCAUCCACGGCCUGUGUGCGGACAGGAAGACAUACGAUAUAUAGGGACGGUGGCGCGCCCGUGGCCGCGGGCACCCUCAGCGUGGCUGCAAGUCGCCCAGGCACGGUGAGCUGCUAGCUGCCUUGGGUUUGCUCCUCCAUUGAUGGCUUGUACUCACACGAUUCUUGCAUGUUAUGUAUGAUUUUUUUUUUCAGAUUAACCAAGGGUGAAUGAUAAUGCACGCUCUGUGCUUGCAUAAAUACCCCAGCAAAGCUGAGGACCAGCACGGGCAGAGCAUAGUUCAUUCGUUUCUCUGUGCAGGUUUGCAGCGGGAGCAAGAAAAGAGUUGAAACCUGAACUACAGAUGAGGUUGAAUGCUGCGUCAUGCAGGUCUUUGCUUGUACGCUCAAGAAUCCCAUUUUUGACAGCCCUCGAUGAAAUUCUUUUUUCUGUCAAAUCUUUUUUCUGAUAUAGUCAAGGAGCAAGACUUAUCUACUGGUGCCAGUUAGCUAGUGAUGGAUUUGCUUUGAGUACAAAGUUAUUCCUACAGAUUUCAAAGUAUUAAGAAAGCUCUGUAAAUUUCUCAUUAUUUACUGUUGAUGUACAUGUACUGUCAUUUGUAGUCUACUCAAUUUGGCAAGGAAAGAUAUAUCAUAUAUUAUUUGGCUUUGAACUGUGUAUAAGAGACUAAAUUGUAAAAGUAAUCUUUUCCUGUAAUAUGGACUCUGAUUCUGAACGAAAGAACUUAAAGAAAGUGGUAAAUUGAUUACAAUAGUGUCUGGUAACUACCAUUCACUACCGGAUACAGUAACUUUGCCGAGUGCCCCAGGCACUCGGCGAAGGGCCAAAUACACUCGGCAAACGGUUUGCCGAGUGUAACACUCGGCGAACCUUACUCGGCAAAGUUUUUCUCGGCAAACAGUGUGUUUGCCGAGUGUCGACCAUCGGGCACUCGGCAAAACCUUUGCCGAGUGCCGCAAUACACUCGGCAAAAUAUGACACUCGGUACAAAGAUGUUGACGGGCUGUCACGGCGACGGAAGCUUUGCCGAGUGUCUGACGGCCGACACUCGGCGAAGUCUAAAUCUUUGCCGAGUGUUUCUUUCAUUACACUCGGCGAAGUUUUCAGGGUUUGCCGAGUGUUUUCUUAAUUACACUCGGCGUAGUUUCCAUCAUUGCCGAGUGUAUUUAAGAAAACACUCGGCAAAGAUGCCCGUCCCGCCAUUUUUUUAUGCCCUCUUUGCCGAGUGUUUUCUUAAAAACACUCGGCAAAGAGGCCCGGCCCGCCAUUUUUUAUGCCCCUUUUGCCGAGUGUCUACCCUAUGGCACUCGGCAAAAAAGCAAUUCCGCCAAAAUUUUUGGCCCCUUUGCCGAGUGUUAACACUCGGCAAAGUGUCCUACUUCCUGCUACAAAAUAGAAAUGUUAGGUAUAAAGGACCCCUCUCAAAAAACAACCACAAAUACACAGGCAUAUUAAUGGCAGCACAAGCAUAUAAAUUGCACCACAGGAUUCACAAGCACACAAAUAGCAUUAAUAAGUUCUCGUCUAAAUAAGUAAUUCACAAGUUUUGCAUCACAAACACAGAAAUGACAAUUCACUGAGGAGGAUGAGGAGGACGUGCAGGUGGCCACUGCCCCCAGGAAGAUUCUGCAUUGGACGCCGCCGAUUGAUUCUGCACAAAUGUAGGUAAAGAGAUUUCAUAGUCUAAACAAGUAAUUCUAGUGGAAGUAAGUCUAGAUUGAUUGUAAGGUUGAGAUUGACUCACAGGAGUAGCUGCAGGAGGUGGUGGAGGUGGCGGGAAGAGGUUCGGUGGCAUAGGUGGUGGAGUUUGACCUAAACUGUGGAACACACUCUGCAUGUAUUGGAACAUCUGCUCCGUCCUCUGCCUUUCAAGCUGCCGAUCCGCCUCGAUCCUCGCCUCUAGUUCCUCUCGGCGCUUCCGUUCUACCUCCACCUGGGCCUACAAUAUUUCAUCCCAACCACUUAUUGUCAAGCAAAAGGUAAGUACAAAAUGAAUGAAAAAUUAAAGAAACAGAACUAACCUGCAGAGCCUGCAUUUGUAGCUGUGCAGCGGUAGGCCGUGGCCGUAUCGCGGGGCUCGAGUCCGUGCUCCUUGCUCGGAUCUGGGAGAGAGUGGGAGUACUGGCAGUGUCGAUCACGCUAUCUCCAAUCCAAUACCUGCCAUGCUUCUUCCCUCCUCCUACCCUCAUCACUAUUUCAGCAUCGAUAUCCUGAGAGCUUGGAUCGAACUCUGGCCCGUGAACCUCCCUCGCCAUGGAUGUGUACUCGGUGACGCGGCUGUGGAUGCUGGGAUGGCUGUACGCCUCGGGCGGGUCCUCCGGGUUGAAGUCGAUGUCUGCCGUGGCCUUGCCCUUUUUGGACAUAACCCAUGCCUUGAACCGGGAGCACUCCUGACCAUCAUGUGAUGAACUCUGCAGAAAAAAUGUAAAAUGAUUACAAAAUAUGCAGUAUUAUGUAUGAGAAAACAAAAAUGAAUUCACGUACCCAUUUUUCCUUGUACUCAUCAAGGCUCAGGCUGCCUUGAUGGUGUGAUGCAUAUGGCAUCUGCAGACGCCGCUCCCGGCAGGCAUUGUGGUUCUCCAACCACCCAGGCUGCAACCACACGUCCACCAUUUUUUCCCAGCACCGGGUAAAGGAUCGGCACCACCACGGAGGCACCUAUAUGAAGUGUAUGACAUAUAAAUAACGGAAUUAAGCGUAAUUAAUCUCUCAAAUAGUAAAUAUAGUCUUUAUGGUCGUACCGCCAUGAAUUCUUCCUUGGUCAGGUUCAUUGUCCUAGCCUCUUCUUUUUUGAUCCUCAUCCUUUUGUAUUCAGCAUAAAAGUCGAUGAUGGCCUGAACGCGCGCCUCGUAGUGCAUGUCCUUAACAAGCUUCUUAGCGGCUUGUUCAAUCACGGAGGCCGCCCUAGCCUCGAAGCCCUCCUGACAUCUAUAAAAGUCCUGCGUAUAGACGGCAAGCAUACAAUUAUUAUAUCAAGAAUGUAUUAAGCAAUGUAGUGCUGCGAAGACUUACCCACAGCUCGGCCUUCACCCGCUCCGCCUUAUUCGCAAACUGCCUGUGGUCACGAUCACCGACGUCAGCGGCAGCGACGUAGUGGUCCCACGUGUAGGCCGGCUCCUCCUGUCCGGCGAAGACCACUAGACCGGGGAAGUGUAGCCUACACAAAAGACCGACGAUGUCGUUGACCUUGCGGUUGUGGGCACCCCCACUGAGCUUAGUCCAACUCCUGCACAAGUGAUUAAUAUGUGAGUUUGAACAUAUCAAAAGUACAGAGAAUAUGUGAAGAAACUUACUUUGCCCCAGCGGGUUGAAUCAGGGGGCGUAAAUGAUCAGGGAUGGGUCGCCUCGGGAGGGACGAGGGACCUCGCAACCAAAUCUUGGACUGCUCCUCCCCUCCCUCCUCCCCUGCCUCCUCCCCCUCCUCCCUCUGCUGCUCCUGCUCCUCCUGUACCUCCGCCUCGUCACUAGAGGCGUGCGCGGAGGGUACCUCCUCCUCCGACGACGACGACGACGACGAAGGCACAGGCGACGGGGCCCUCACCCCUUUACCCUUUCCUCGACCCCUGCCCCGACCCCUGCCUCUAGCCAAGACCUGUGCCCCCACCGCUUCCUCCACGGGUGCGUCACCCCUGCCUCCACCCCUCCCUCGACGCCUUCCUCGACCUCUCGAUGCGUCUGACCGUGUACCUGACCCGGAAGCUGCAGCUUUUAAUUUUUCGUAAAGCGCAGCAAUCUUCCUCGUACCGCCCACCAUUGUUCAAUCACCUGCAUUUGCCAAGAGUAAACCAAUCAGCACAUAUAUAAAUAAAACAUAAUUUCAAAAAUAACAUGGUAUGACAAAUAAUAAAUAAAUUGCCACGAUCCAUACAUGUCUUAGAAAUAAUCGUCCUGAUCGGGAUUAGCUGGAUCAUAAGUCUCAUCGUCACUGUCACGCGUGUCAAACAAAUCAUUCCCGUGCUCCGAAGUUUCAGCGUCAUCAUCAAUGUCCUGUCCUAACUGUAACCGCUGAAGUAAUUCUAACUCCUUCAUAUUAUGAACCUCCUCUCCAGCGUCAUCGUCAACAACCCUUUCAUUGUCUACUUCCAUUGCGAAAGCGUCGGUUAAAUCAAUCUCAAAAAUCCCUUCGAGCCCAUCUUCUUGGAAAAAAUCUCCGUCAUAUGUGUUGGGGUUAAUGUUGUAAUCUUCAUUAUUUGGUACAGGUAGUUUACCGUGUGGCGAUACCUUGUACACAACAUCCCAACCCUUCAGACGAUCGUCAGUUUGGCACGGGUAUGACAAAUAAUAAACUUGCGUGGCCUGUUGAGCCACAAUAUAGACAUCGUCUCCUUGCAAGACGGAUGAUUGCCGAAUUUCGACUAACCCAAGAUUAGGUGCCCGUCUCACGACUGAUGGAUCAAACCAAUGGCAUUUGAAUAUGACUGGAUUAAGAACUUUGCAACCAUGAAAAGUUAGUUCGUAUAUUUCUUCAAUUCUUCCGUAGUACUUGACACCAUCAGAGCCUAGCGUGAAUACUCCGGUAUUUGUCGUUCUUCGAUUGGGCCGACUCUGCUCAUGGCUUGUUGUGUGAAAACGAUAACCAUUUACGUCAUAACCGGUAAAAGAUCUGACCCUGUAGGCACAGCCAUCGGCAACCUGUCUAACCUCAACAUUUAUAGACGAAUCGGUUUGAGCCUGCAAGUUGAAGUAGGGUGGUUCGUUAUAUUAUUCGCAUGUACGGCAAACUUGGAACGUGGUAAUCAUGAACGAGCGAAAUUGGAUUGUACCUUAUGUUUGAACCAAGAAAUAAAAUCGGGCAUUCCAUUACCCGCACCCUUUUGAAGAAGGGUCUCGGCUUCGGGCGGGGUAGGUUCCCUUGAAUUACGCCAGAAUUUAUGAUGAAAUUCCCUGUACCAACGAGAAACAUGAGAGUUGAUCCCAGAAUAGUGAUUAAUUGAGAACAAACUAGUUUGUUGACAACUUACAGUAUGUACGGCUCCACCUCGGCAAGGUUGGUCAAUACAUACAGCAUGAUAGUGCGCCACUCUUUAUGUUUCAAUUUCUUCCGUGUCGCACCACUUGCACUUCCAAGUUGUCCUCGAAAAAGGCUAAGGCUCGAUUCAACUUCUGAGUCAUUAUAACGAGCGGGUGGAUUGUGCACGCUAGGAAGGUUGUCAGCAUAGUAUUUGGUUGUGAAGUUUGACACCUCCUCCAGAAUGUAUGCCUCUGCAAUGGAUGCUUCAAUUUUGCAUUUAUUUUUACAUUUAGUUCGAAGAACCUUUUGACAUCUCUCAAUUGAAUAGCACCAACGACCCUGCACAGGCCCCCCCAUUCGUGCUUCAUACGGGAGGUGCAAAAUCAUGUGCUGCAUCGGAUUGAAGAAGCCAGGCGGAAAGAUCUUCUCCAACUUACAGAGCAACACAGGCGCCAUUCUUUCCAUUUCUGCAACCACGGUCCGAGAUAAUUCCUUAGCACACAGCUGACGGAAGAAAUUGCUCAACUCCGCUAGCACUUGCCAGACAUUAUCAGGUACAUAGCCUCGAACCAUCACCGGGAGUAGACGCUCAAGCCAUACGUGGUAAUCAUGACUUUUGAGCCCGUUGAUUCGCAAAGUAGCUAGGUUCACUCCCCUCUUCAAAUUCGCUGCAUACCUCUUCUUUGCCGAGUGUCGAGGAGUUGUUUGCCGAGUGCCUGAUUUUUGGCACUCGGCAAACCUCUUCUUUGCCGAGUGUUUUAUUUUCGCCGAGUGUCUCAUUGUGAACACUCGGCAAAGACGGUGUUUGCCGAGUGCCCGAAAAAAUGCACUCGGCACACUUUUUGCACUCGGCGAAUUUACUGUUUCCGGUAGUGAUUGUCAUAAACUGAUGACGCUACACUUGUAAAGACCUCUGGUAAAUUCAUGACACUAUUUUUGUAAAUACCUUUUUGGUAAGUUGAUGACGAUAUUCCAGUAGGUACUUUGUGGUAAAUUGAUGAUGCUAUUCUGGUAAGUACCAUUCGACUUACACAGUAAAUGGUUUCCUGGAAUAGCUUGACAAAAAGUUGUGGUACCUCCUGAUCCUGAUAUAAAGUAAAUUUUCAGACAUUUCUCAUGCAGUAAGUCCUAUUAUGCAUCAUUGUUAUACAUGCUUCAUUUUUUCGAUUUUCACCUGGAUUAACUAGUUGUUGCUGCCUCGCAUUCCCAGAAACAGCGACCCUGGUACCUGGAUUUGUUCUUGAACCUGUAGAUGUGCUAGAUGAAUUCACUUCUGGUGGUUACUGUUAUACUAAAAAAUAAAAUUAUUGAUGAUGAGUAAGAGAAUACCUAAUGGGUCAGGUAAUGUGAUGAAGUUGUGGUAAAAAUGACAUUUUUCUGAUGGCAUUCGUAUAAAUAGAGUUACCACCUUGUUGGUGCACACUUUUUAAAUUAAAUACAGAAUUAUCGUAAAUCACUUAGAUCAAGUAAAUUAUUUAUAAAGCUCCUGUACAUCACAUAAUUAUAUCGUUCUUUUUAAUUCUGAAUUUCUGAUCAAAUCCAGGCCACCAUGUUUGUGAUAAUGUAGCAGCAUCUCACCUGGAUGUUGAAUUUACCCAAUAAAGGGAUCCAUGUCUAUUAAUCUACCAUUGUUGCAAUUGUCUUGAUAUAGUUCAGUCCUGAUUAUCUUAAACUAAUAACGCAGGAAAAUGUGCCUCACUAUGUCGGAGCGGCUCUGAACCUUUACCACCCACUGAACAGAAUCUAGAAGCUCACUGCUGGACAUGAGUCAGCUAGAUCUUGAUCUUUGCUGAUGGUUGUAGUCAAAGUAAAUACUGACAGUAUCUUAGUUGCCAUCAUUUGUGUUUGUUUUACUCCCAGGGAUAAAAGGAUGAGUACCCUGUGCAACAAAACAGUGUGUACCCAACACUUUUUCUGAAAGCAACGUUUUUUUGUUUUCAGACACACCAAUUCAAUUAUGGUGACUUUUGUAUCGCUGUCAUUAUUUGUGCCUUGGCACUUGUGGUAAAUCACCUGCCACAGUUUUGUCACUAGACUUUUUAAUUAUGGUAAAUACCCAUUGCCCUUAUGCCUUGUGUGGUAAAUCACUUCAUAACUAUCGUCAAUAGACAGUUGAAUUAUGUCAAAUUCUACCAUUUUGCAUCGCUAAAUCAUCUCUUCAAACCUCAUUUUGCUCACUUGUGGUAAAUCACCUGCCACAUUAUUGUUACUAGACAUUUAUUAUAGUAAAUCACUAUUAUUGUAAAUUGAUUCCUCAAUGCUAUAGCUUGUGUAAAUUGUACCUCUCGUUGUAGUAAGUAUGCAUGAAACACCAUGUGCUAUUGCUUGCAUUCUCGUAAAUAAUCCUCUAUCUAUUUUUAAUUGUGUCCAAAAUAUACUUGAAAACAACACAACUAGCACAUGCCGUUUAGUUUCUUGUAAGUGAAUUACCUUGUUUACUACUACUCGCUGAGCAACACAGACUAGUUUUGUAAUAGCCGGAAAUCACUGAAAGCGUGCAAGCGCUGGGCCUCCAUCUCCGGUAAAUAUGCUGCUGAAAUCGGAAGGACUGAUCCGAUGCUCGGCUAGUUAAUUGCCAUAAUAACACUCGGCUCCGCUUGGUCACCUCGCUCGCUUGUGGGCUCAUGUCCAGACCCGAUCUAUCAUAAUUAGUUUAUGAUAAUCUCGUUAUUGUAGUAACAGGUUCCUCGCAAUAUGAGAAUGUCUUGUCGCAUAUAUUGUACAUCUAUAAGUUAUAGAAAAAAUUCCAACUUUCAAACUUUGGAUCCAAAUAAUAAAAUAAAGAAAAGCUACUGACGUGUGCCUGCUGCAGCAGACGUGCUCCGCCCACCUGCCCGUGGCGGCGUGCUAAUGACACUAAUGACGCUAAUCAUUGUUAUGUUUGGCUCGUAAUGACACUGCGUUCGGCUCGUAACUGCCAGCUUGCCUUGUCGGGCCACCGGCGGGGACCUCGCCGCUCGGCUUGCGACAACCAGGAGCGGACGAGUCGGGAGGAAAAAAGGGAACAGUGGCAGAUCGGACCAGUGCUGGCUGUCGGAUGGGGUGGCCACAGAAUAACCUAUUCUAUGACCAGCUACAGAAUUUACUCUUCCUAGGCAAAGCUACUCACGUCGUUUCAUAUAGCAACAUGAGUUUUUCUAGUAGUGAUCCCAGAACUCAAUUCAGUCACAAGAAGGCAAAAUUAACAAGAAGGAAAUUGUACAGCUACCAAGAACUACGAAAAGAAGCUACAAGUAACUUGUACCAAAAUUUUCACUUAGUAAGCAUAUGGUCUACUCCCAAUCACUUCCUGCAACAUAAGACCAUGGAUCAGUAAGUGUUUUUGUUAAACAAACUUUCCUCUGAUUGUUAAAUAAACAAUGAUAUAUACUUGUAGGUGAUAGUAAAACUUACCAUAUAGAUGAGGCACAGGGAUGCUUAUAUAGUGUUGGUAAUGGUUGGCAGGCUGGGAUGCUGAUCUGGUUGUUGUUCAACUUGGACAAAGUAUAAAGGGUACAUAGAACAAGAACAUAUCAGAAAAUAUCAGAGAACCAAAAAGGAAAAAACAGAGCAACAAAAAGAAGAAAUAUGUCAUAUGCCUAUAAAUUGAACUAUGAUUUUAAUUAUACCAAAGAACUGAGCCUGAUGAUUGAGUGAACCAUGUAGUGCCACCACGCCGGGAAUUACAGGGCACAAUACGAAAUAAAAUCACCCAUGACCUCAUACCAUUCCAGUGAAUUUUUGUUGGCAAUGACUACAUGGUUCAAGUAGUCAUUAGGCUAGUAACAAGCAUAUUUUUCUGAAACUCUAUGAAUCCAAUCAACAGCUAAGUAUGUAUCCUAUCACCAACUACAAAUCACAAAAACUGUAUAUAAGAUCAUUGCUUCUAGUUGAAUCCACUGGCCUCUCAUUAGUUCUAUGGUAACCAUGACAGAAAACAAAAAUUUAGAAACCAAAGUAUGUUCAGGCAUCAAAUAGACCACUAUUAUUUUGGGCAAUCACAACUAGCAUGCUAGGAUCCUUGUGAGCAUCUUUCAUGAGACCCCCUUCAAAUCCCUCAUGAAUUUGACUUGGAUUUGAAGUUUUUCCAAAAAUUCAUGUUCUUGGUAGGGUCUCUGUUUUCUCCAAAAUCCAUGAUGAAUAUUUGAGCAUUUUGAGAUCCACCGCCAACCCUCCAUUCAUUCCCCACCGUCGCGCGUGCUACCUUUUCCUCUGAAAUCAGCUGCCCCGCCGCCAACCCCUUCUUCCAUUCCUCCAAAUUGCCGCCGCGCGGGCUCCCCUCCCCUCCGAAAUCAGCUGCCGUGCGGGCUCCCUCCCCUCCAAAAUCAGCUGCCCUGUCCCUCCCUGACCUACAAAUCUCCCGCAGCCCCCAAAUCCUGCGCCUCCCUCCCCUCGCACGCAUCAUCACCCCUCCCCACCCGCAGACCCUCGCACCGCCCCGGCAUUGACGAGUACCUGCGCCAUCCCAGCAUCAAUGAGCUCCUGUGCCGCCCCGGCUCCGUCCGCAACCAAGGGGCCCGCCACUUGGAGUCCGACCCCGGCACCGCUUCUAUGCCGACCCAGAGCUAGAUGCCGGUGCCUCCCUGAUUCGACCUCGAGCAGGAUGCCUCCACCGCCUCCCCAACCCAACUGCCAAUCCACACCAUCACCACUUACCCUACCCGACCCACCCAAGCGCCACCACCUGGAGACGAACCCACACACCACAACCUUCUCCUUCUGUCGCCCGGCACAUCUACCACCACUUUCAGAUUUACUCCUGCCCACGUUUGUGUGCUUUGAUUUGGUCAGGUAGUCAUAGAUUUUGAGCCUUUCGGUGAUGUUGAUGCUUAGUAAAUCUGUUAAGUAAGAGAAUCUACACAUGAUAUGAAAUAUUGCUAAGUUAUGAAAAGAAGUGAAGGUACCAAUUUUCUUGCUGGUUGCUUUAUUUAUCUGUAAUCUAUGUCACUUAGUGCUGCCUGCAGAUCAUAUCAGUCUUACUGUUUAUUCUUUUUUUCUUCAUUUAGGCCAGCCUGUGAGAUAUGAGGUGUAGGGCACGACCACACUCACCUUCAUUGCAAAGAAGUACCCUCCUCCAUGCUACUGCCGAGCGUUUCUACAUCUCAUCUUAGAGGUAUGUUACAACCUGAAAUAUCUAGAGAAAAUUGAUAUCUUCACUGCUAUGCUCAUAUGGAAGUCAGAAGUGUGCUCGUUUGCAGUGGUUGUUACUAAGGAUAGCUAUAUAUUUGCAUCAAGUGUUAUCUACUACAAAUUAAAAAUUUAUAAAAUGAGUAUUCUAAUUAAUCUUUCAUAAUUUCUAUCUUGGCCAAUGUCUUAUUGAUGCAAUGAAUCUACAUGAAAUUUCAGUAAAUGAGUAACUUGUGGGAUUGAUGAGGUAAUUAAAACUGAAUAUUCUAAUUAACUUUCAGAAUCUCUAUACUUAAUGUUCUUGGCCAAUCUCUGAGGUAUGAAACGAAAUGCGUGUGACCUUUUCUUUUAUGGAAUCUGUCACAUCGUGUGCCACUAAUACGCUUUUCUGUAAGGUGUGCUGUUUAAAAAAUGCACGUGCUGAGUAAAUGAGUAACCUGUUGGUCCUUAACCAUCCCUUUUCAGAUAAAAACUGCUGAUGUAGAAUUUUCUUCCUUGCAUUAUUUUAAUCAAUAGUUAUGCAAAUGUUGUGAGAAUAGGAGUGGCGGCGGCAAGAAAAAUGGAGGGCAGCAGGAGCAAGAAUAGGAGUAAGUUAUGCAAAUGUUUUGCCACUGAGAUUGAAAAAGAAGAGGUACUGAAAAUUACAAAUGUCGGGUUAUCAAGGGUCCAAUGAAGGCAGGGGCGCACACCCUAGGCAGAUGCGCGGAUGGUAAGUUCAUGCAUCCAUGUAGCAGGUAGAACAGUAGGGAUUGACCAUUGGAUUCAGUUCAAUGCUGAAAACAGAACUGUGCUCGUUCAAAGCUGAAAAGUUUAUUUUUAAUUAAAACAGGUCAAACUUAGGUGCUACAAAUUAUCACACUUAAACAUAAAACACAUCCUCCACUCCUUCCACGGUAGAAUUCACAGGUGCAAUGUAUCCAUCAUCAAUGUAGUCGUCGGUAUCAUCUUCUUCUUCUUCAUCUACUAAGCCAAUAGUUCUUGGUUCAUGUAUGGAUGCAACAAGUGCUUUUUGAAUAACAUAAGCGGCACCAGUGACACCUUUAAUGCCUGACCUAGUCUAAUUUGUCAACUCUUCAUGUCUGCCCGAAUCAAUCAUAUCUCCCACUCCGACGUCAAGUGAGUCAACAUCAAUUUCUUCCUCAUUAUCUGUACUUACUUAUUCGGUGCCUUAUCGCAAUUUGUUAAUAUCCAGUGCCUAAUCCGCUGCAUAUCUAGCCUAGAAAUUGAGUCAAUUCAAAAUCCUUUCUUAAUAUAAUCAAUGUUGCUGAAUAUACUUAAACCAGUCAGUGGUUCAUUUACUACCGCUUUCAUGACGCUCUGGACGAUUAACCUUGGUGUCAACGUCAUCCAAAAAGCGAGAGCAAAAAGUCACACACUCCUCUAGUAUAUAUCCCUCUACUAUUGAACCUUCAGGAUAGCCUUUGUUCCGCACAUAGCCUUUCAGUGUAUGUAGAAACCUCUCUAUUGGAUACAUCCAUCUAUAGCAUACAGGUCCUCCUAGUUUAACCUCUUUAGCAAGAUGAACCGGCAAAUGCAUCAUGAUAUCAAAAAAAAGCUGGUGGGAAGAUCAUCUCAAGAUGACAAAGAGUCUCUCUAAUCGAAAUGCUCAAUUUUUCUAACUCUUUGGUGCUCAACUCCUUUGAACAUAUUCCACUGAAGAACCUACUAAGCUCAAUCAAUGGUUUAACAACCUCUUCUGGAAGUAUGUUACAAACCAUAAUGGGUAAUAGUUUCUCAAAUAUAAUAGGCAGUCAUGAGUCUUGAGUCCAGAAAGGUUACACCUUGCCACAUCCACACAUCUCUUGAUAUUAGAUGCGUAACCAUCAGCAUCUUGAUACCUUGCAGAAAUUUGCAUAAAUAUACCUUGUCAUCUUGAUCCAAACUGUACAAUGCUGGAGGCAAAGUGUAUUUGUCAUUCUUCACCAAAGGAUGUUGAUCCUUCCUCAUGCCCAAAUGUUCCAUGUCAAGACGAGCCUUCUCGCUAUCCUUGGGUUUACCUGCCAUGUUAAGCAAAGUUCCCAAAAUGCUCUCACAGAUAUUUUUUUCAAUGUGCAUCACAUCCAAAUUAUGCCUUACAAGCAACUUUUCCCAGUAAGGCAGUUCAAAAAAACUACUCUUCUUCCUCCAAUUGUGCCAUCUAUUAUCCAUUUCACGCUGCUUCCUCUUUCUUGUCGUGUUCCCAAAUGUCACUUGCUCAAAGCUUUCAUACUGUUGCAGCACCCCUUCCCCAUGCAGUGGCACUGGAGGCUCCCUAGUUUCCACCUAGUUGUUAAAGCUAAUCUUGUUGCGGUGCCACCUGUGAUCCAUUUGCAAAAAGUAGUUAGUGAUGACCCAUGUAGCAAUGCUUGGAACCAAAUUUCAACCAUAAAUAGUUAGUAUCCUUGUGGCAGUAUGGACAUGCAAACUUGCCUUUUGUACUCCAACUGGAUAGCAUGCCGUAUGCUGGGUCAUUAAUUGUCCAAAGUAGAAUAACACGUAGAGUGAAAUUCUUCUUUACCUUUGCAUCCCAUGUCUCAACACCGUUGAGCCAAAGAUCUUUUAGCUCAUUGAUGAGGGGCUGCAAAUACACAUCAAUGUUAUUUCUAGACGAUUUUGACCCCGGUAUCAACAUUGACAUCAUCAAGAAUGGUUGUUUCAAACACAACCAAGGAGGCAAAUUGUAAGGGAUUAAGAUCACAGGCCAUGUAGUGUAUGUCAUGUUCAACAUCCCAAAUGGAUUGAAACCAUCAGAUGCAGGACCCAUCCUUACAUUACGAGGAUCCAAAGCAAAUUCCUUAUAAUUUUCAUCCACUUGCUUCCAUGCCAUAGAGUUAGCAGGGUGCCACAUUUUUCCAUCUUUGACAAGUCCCUCCUUAUGCCAACACAUAUAUUCAGAUGUGGUCGCUCUCAUGUAUAGCCUUUGCAGAUGAGGGGUCACUAGAAAAUACCUUAGGAUUUUUUGUGGAACAAGCUUCUUUGGUGCAGCAUCACCACUCGCUGCCUCCUUCUCACUUGAACCAGCAGCUUUCCAUCUAGACUCUCCACAUGUUAGACAUUUAUCCAAGUCAGCAUAUUGCUUUCUAAAUAAAAUACAAUCAUUGAUACAUGCAUGUAUCUUUUUGUAGUCCAGGCCAAGAUCAUGAACUACCCUUUACACUUUAUCCAAAGUAUCUAGAACACAACGACUGUCGAGCAUGCUCCCCAGGCCCACGAGUAGACCUUGGGCAGCCCAUAAGGGACGUACUCGGGCAUGAUCAAAACAAGGGGAUAGGCUUAUCCCGAUCGGACUAGUUAAGUAUGUAUAUGGAAACUACACGGACCAUACCAAGUAGAACUCUGUAAAUGUACUCGACUAGGACUCAGACUUGUAACCCUGCCCUCCCGUGUAUAUAAGGGCGGGCAGGGACCCCCUCAAAGAACAACUCUAAGGUAUCUGAGAUCAAUACAAACAAACAUACAGGACGUAGGGUAUUACGCGAUCUAGCGGCCCGAACCUGUCUAAAUCGCGUUCCUUGCGUCACCAUCGACUCCUUGAUUCUCGACGGCCCUUACCGCACAAAAGACCACCUAGGGUACCCCCUAGGUGGGUUGCUGGUCUAAAACACCAAUAGCUGGUGCGCCAGGUAGGGGAGCUCAUCGAGUUUCUCAGCAUGAGCUCGAUGGCGGUUGUUGUUUUUAAGCCUGUCUUCACCAUCGAAGCAGGCGCAACCUUUGUUUUUGGAUCCUGGCUCUGCAUCACCGACGAUGCUGGUUCGUUUCGGCGCCAAGUCAUCAACACCCAGGAGAAGAAAUCGGAGGAUUCGGUCAGGAAAAGCCAAAACUUCAAAAUCAACAAUCCCGAGUUCGACCACGCGUCGGACCCGACCUCAGUUCGGACUAGUCGGUCCCAGUCACUUCCCAAGUCGACUUCGACUACAAAACGGUUUCCACACGGACUCCGCAAUGCAACCAAAGUCUACCAAAGUUUCCUCACUCGAACUCUACUUGAACACAGGAAAGAUGAAGACGACGACUCCGACUCGAUCUACCCCCAGAUAUCGGACUAACAGGACUAGUUAAGGGACUGGUAAUAACUUUGACAUCGCAAGGCAGAUUCAUUCACUAGCCAGGUAUGAGACCAUCCCUCGCCUGCGACUACGAGUCGCGCCUUGUCGCUCACAUAGACAACCUCCCAUUCCAAGAAGGCGUCCCACUCACUUCAAGCCGCGAGGAAAGUUCAACUAAAAUUGCAACAUCAAGCUCUGGCAGCUACUACCCAGACAGAGAAGUAUUUGUUAUUACUCAAAAUAACAACCCGGGUACUAGCCAAAAUAGAACCCCCAGGCGAUUAGCACAACUUGACAAUGUUUCAGAAGACGAGUCAACAACUAACGCCCCACAAGAUGAAACUUUCGAUCAAAGGAACCAAAGAAGGAUGCGCAAUACUACUUCGGCUGAGCGACGACAAACACUAGCUACAAACAUUCCCAUCACGAACCUUGAAAGAACAUUUGACGCAGUACAGGCUCAAGAACAUACCACUCUACUCGCAGCAAUUGCCUCUAUCAACCUCAUAUCAACACUCAUACCUCGAGACAAAGACAACGAAGUCAUAGCUCAACUCGCGCAAUGCGGUAACGGACUAAUCGCGCAACUCGCAGAGCAAGCUUACAAGCUACUCGAUAAAGAAUCGCCGAUCCCGUCUGUUCCCCGCAUCGUAGCUCAUCAAGAAUGCAGUAGAGGUGUUGUAGCUAACAACAACCCCAAUGAAGUACAAAGGAACGGCAACGAAGUUGUAAACCAACCAAGGUAACACAACCAAGGUCCGAGUAAACACAACGCCCCAAUACGCCAGAAGGAUGUUGGAGAAGUCAGCUGCACUAACUCUAUAAAAAGUCCUCGCCCUACUCGGAAACAUCAUGAAGUAUCAAAUUUCAGUGAUCUACGAGAAAUUAUCAACAGUCAGCGUGAGUGAGAAGUCGACAACUACAACCACUUUCCUGCUUUCACAAAUUGGGUAAUAAGGACACGACUACCCAAGAAGUUCAAACCAACAGGAAUAACCAAGUAUGACGGCAAGCAAGACCCAAUUCAAUGGCUACGAUGCUACUCGCUGGCAGUCCAAGCAGCUGGGGCCAAUAACGACACCAAAGUUAUCCACUUUCCCAUAUGCAUGGAACCAGCACUGCUGACAUGACCUUCAGGGAGCAUAAGUGAGAAUAGCUGAAGUACAGCCUCUAGUGCACUGUUACUAAGACCAAACAUGCACUUAAUCUGAAAUAGCCUGACAAUGAGACCUUAAUAGCCUCCUUGCAACCCAGAUAUAGUUCCUUCUACGCCUUUGUUAAUAAUUUAAAGAAUUUCUUAUUGCUUUCAUUUGGCUCUUCAGUUCCACUACCUAUGAUGUCUCCAUGUAUUGCACCACUGAUUAGUGACGAAACCAAAUCCUUCAUAGAAGGACCAUCACCUGAUUCACCAUCAUUGCAAACUCCUUCAAUGAUGCUCUCAUAUGAAUCAUUUUCUUCUCCUUCCCCUUGGAUGAAACUUUCAGAAAAUCCUCUAAAAACCAAAUGACUUCUAACUUUGUUAACUGUUCUGUAUGACAUGGAACGGCAUCUUGAACAUGGACAUGGUGCCGUAUCUCCGUUAGAUGUGCCUGCAAAUCUAGUCUCUAUAAAUUGCUUGAAUCCUUUUUGCCACUCAUCUUAUACAUAAAGCAGUCGCAUCCAACUCCUAUCAUCAUUAUGCGACAUUCUUCCAACUCUUUACAAAUCAAAGUCACACACACUGAUUAAUCUCCUGCAUAUAUACAACAAAAGAAAGCACACAAUUAAACUGUGAUUGUACUAGGGUUAUGAAAUUGUAGUGGGAACUAGACCAUAGUGUUUGUUCAAUUGUCCUGUAGUAAAAUUCUUUUGAAAGGGCAUUUGUUUUCCUUCUAAGUUGAGGCACGUUGUAAUACGAAGUUGUAGCUCCAUUUUUUUGGUAUAUUUCACUCCAUGAGCAUAUUUAGUUUUUCAUUUGAAAAGCAGAAGAAAAAAUGCAUGUGCUCAUUCACUUGCCCUUCCAUUGUCUGCGGCUAUACUUCUGCUCCUUUGUGUUUGUUUCUCAAAGGACAGUGACAAAUUUAACCUGCAUUCAACUUAUUCUCACUUAACUUGCCAUCCUUGUUCCUGUUUUUCUAAGCUGGUACUACCUGUGUCUAGAUUGUUUUGUAAGGGUAUCUGUGGACAAAUCUGCACAUACUUGGCUUCUCUGUAAUAGUCCUCGAAUGUUUGUAGCAUGAUAUUUGUCUGAACGAAAAUCAAUAGUUUUCUUCCAGGAUUUUUCUUGCUUUGGAGUUUGCAAGUUGCUGGCUACAUUCUCAGUCUCCUUUAGUGAUAGAUAGUGUGCUUAUCUGGUCUUUUUCUUUGCUAGGAAUAUCUGUAUUGUUUACAAAGUAUAACUGUUUGGUUAUCUAUCUUCCUCCUAGAGCCCAGGCUGACAUGUUAAAAUGGGCCAUUUGCAUGUUCGUACAUAUGCCUGAUGCUCUAGGAUUCUCACCACUUACAUGUUUGUUUUUGGAACUAAUGAGCUCAUAAUUUAAGUGUGCAGAGAAUGGGUGUCAUCCUUCAGGAUUUCAGCUUUGGAGCUAACUGAACUUAACUCGAGCGCUUUGGCUAGCACAGUUAAACUUUCAGAAGAGCGUUGUUAUCAAAAAAAAAAAAAACUUGAAGGAAACACCGAAUCCCAAAUUACCUUAGCAAGCGCCGGAUAGCAGGACCGAUGAAGACAGGUAGCAGCCGAAGCAGAGAGCAGCUCGCCGUGUCAACAAUGUGCGAAUGGCUCUUUUGAUUCCAAACUCACGUCACCAUGACGCGUUAGUUGCAAGUCAGCAAGUGAUUAGUAUUAUACGUCGAGUGAUAAUUCGAGGCACGGUGACAGUUAAUUUUGAAUGACAGCGUAGCUUUAGGUUUAUGGUCAGCAUCUUGCUUUUGCAUUUGAAUUGAAUUCACCAUGAACUAUCCAUAAAGUGCUUUGCAUGAUAUUUUUUAAAUAAUAAUUGAUAUUUUUUCAAAUUUUGUGCCCGUGGCAAAGCACGGGCUAUUACCUAGUAGUAUUAAACACUAUUCUUGAAGACCAUGGUGAAAGAUUGGGGCCUUAUAUGCUGGGGUUUAAUUUUGAGCCAAAACAUCAAUGGUGUUUACUUUACAUCUCCAGAUGUCAAAACAGGUGCAGAUUAGUUCCUGAGGAUGGUUUCAUGGGUACCUUUGGGUCACUCUGUGGCCAUGUCACACUGUCCUCCACUUGGCAGCAGACCUGUAUAUCAGUGGCAUAUUUGCUAUAAUCUCUACCUAAUAUUAAUAUUAAAGUACAAAACAAAACCUUCAUUCUGCCACCUUAGUUUCGGCCGUCAUCCUUUGAAAAGUGGUCUAGCAUCAUACAACAUGAGUUGAGAACAAACUGAUGGCAACUUUUAGACGAUAAGGAUCCGUAGCAACGCACGGUCACUUCUACUAGUUUUACUCACUCCCCACAUGGAUAUCAAAGAAUGGGAAACAUAGCAUGCAAUUAAUUGAUUUUGCUCUAGUAGACCAAGUGACUAAAUUAUAACUCAUCAAAGAUUACCAUGCCACCAGAUCAUCACAACUAAAUAAAUUAUAACCACAAUGAAAAAAAUCGACAGCUGCUCCCAAGUCUAAAGGACGAUUAUUGUCGGCUGAUGAGAAAUCAGAAAAAAAUUCGUGCAGGAGCCAUGCAUCAAUUUAACUUGCCAAUUAGCAAUGUUGCCAGAUGAUUAUUAUAGAGGAAUAUACAUGCUGGAAGAGCAAUUUGAUUAGAGGGGCCUGGACAUACGAAUGUAGACUCGCAGUUGAGUUAAUUUGCAUUCUAAUCUAAAUUCACCUGCACGUCGACCGGCCAUCCUUUUCCCGUCAUGCUGCUGCCGCCUCACAGGUGACCACACGGUAUGGAGGACCUGCUGCCACCCUCACCAACGAGUAACACCGGCCGAGCAGCCAGCACACUUGCGCCUAGGAUCGGAGUCAGUGACCUCCAAUUGUGCGAUCUGGAGGUGGUGCUGGGCACACCGAGCCGCCGCUCCCCAGCCCUUUUGUCGCGAGCUCACAAGGAAUUUCAAGAGCGACCUUCUGGAGAGAAUAGAUGAAACACGCACAUGGAGAGAGGCCUCCUGGAGAUACACACGUACAUGUUUUUGCUCAUGCACGACGUUCAUGUGGUUCUUUGAUGACGUCCUGUCUAGGAUUUGCCCAACUCAAUUUUUGGUCUCCACAUAUGCAAUGCCCACCAAAAAAUUUGUGGCAAAACCUUGAACCAUUGCAACAUAAACUACCAUGUACCAACAAAAAUAACUAGUGGCAAUAGCAUUUUCUUUCAUGCAACCACACUUAGUUUUGUUGCUAUAUAUAUAGCAAACAUACCACAACGCACAUGCGGAUUAAGACAACACACCAAAUUUGUGGCAAUACUGUUUACGACUUGCAACCAUUUUGAAUUUAAUGUCAAUAAGCCUUGCAUAUAACAGCGAAAAAAAGUUUAUAACAACGCAAAACAAUUGUGGCAAAUUUUUCAGCGACUCGCAACCAUUUUUCAACUGGUGGUGACAACAUUAAUCUUUUGCAAUGGAAUGAUAAAAUGGUGGCAAUAACACCUAUCUAUUGCAACAUAUUUUCUAUUGUUGCCAUGGACUCUGUUGCAAUAGACCAAAAAUCUAGUAGUGGGAUGCAAGGUAUAUAAUGGAGCAGAUUAUUGCCGGUGGUAGUGGCUCAAACAUUCCAAUAACGUACACCAAGGAUGAGGGUAGCCAAGCGGACAUCUUCCUCAACAUGUCCAGUGAUGGCAAUGAUGAGCCCGAGCACCGCGUUGAUGACAAUGCGGAACAAAACCUUGCCAUGAUGGAAGGUUCCGGCGAGUGUUGACGCCGGAUUGUGACACGUAUGAAAUUGGCGUCAAGGAAAGAGAGGGCUGGCCGACGCUGCAGAUUAAAAAGUCACGAUUGGGAAUCGGCCGAUUGGUUCUACGGUUGGCGAUCGGCCGAUUGGCGCUACAGUAUUUUGGCGGACGAUGUUGGUGGAGAUCGGUCGACUGGAAGGCUAGAGCGAUUGGGCCAAUAUGGGCUUGUUGACGCUAGAUUUUGACACGUAUGAAAUCGGCGUCAGGAAAGGAAGAAAUCAAGAGAUAUGGCAAGACGCAGAAGUCACGGUUGGGAAUCGGCCGAUUGGUGCUACAGUUGAGGAUCGGCCGAUUGCCCUUCAAGGGUGGAACUCCGCCUCGCCCGAUCCCCGAGGCCUGGGGUCGGAUGUGCCCGACCCUCCAAGGAUGGAACUCUACCUCGCCCGACCCCGGGUCCUGGAGUCGGAGGUGCCCGACCCUUCGGGGGUAGAAUUCCGCCUCACCCGACCUUAGGUCCGAGGGUCCGAGUAAUCGGCUGUCCUUUGUUGAUGGAGUUGGUAGAAAUCGGCCGAUUAGAAGGCUCGAGCAAUUGGGCCGGUAUGGGCUUAAAAUGAUUAUGAAGAGAAAGAGGGAGUCAGCCCAUGAAAGCAUGAUGAUCAACUCCAGUACGAAUCGUACUUGUAAAUAUUCGUUUUCGUUUAAAAUUAGAGAUAGAGUUCGUUUAAAGUUAGAGAUAGAGUUCUAGUCGGUUAAGGAAUCGUUUGUAACAGGCUAUAAAUAGCCACCUUCAUAGAUCUGUAAUCAUCAUCAAAUCAAUACAACAAACUACUAUUUCCUCGCACUUACCUUCAAGUAGGCGACUUCGCCAAUACUUUUCUUCUUUUCACGAGUUCGUACGGGUUGGCAGGGCUGCAUCAGCUUGAUCUCCGGCCGAUUCUGUAAGUUCCGCUUAUCGAAUAGUGUCUAAGCUUUAACUUCGGGCGCAUCACUGUCGUUUCGUUUAGAUUUAUUCACCAGUUAUCGAUAUUCACUAGAAUUCUAGGUUUUACGUGUUGUUCUAGUUUUAUCACCAGUUAUCCAGUUAGGAAUUGGAACUUUCGGCUUUCUUGUGCUUCGUUAUUCAAUCUAUUUGUUUUAUGCAUAGCUGAUUUAGAUCUAUUCCUAGUGUUGUUACUGUAGUGUUGUUUAGAUUACUCCAGCAGUAUUCUUUAUUAACGCUGCCCGGUAAUCGGCUGCAUUAUAGCCGAUUUCUUUAUUACAGCAAAUCGGCCGAUUCGCUGAUAAGCUAUCUCGAGAUCGGAACCUUAGCCGAUCGCUACCUCUGGGAUCGGACACGUUUCUUUCCUUGCCAAUCAACAGGUCAGAUUGGCUCGCACGCUGCGCGAACCGCACAAGGGCAAUCACCCAAACAGGAGUUAAGCAGAUUCUCCCGGGUCGUGUGUCCGACGCUGGGGAUUCGAUCAGCCGAUUUCUAGCGCCAACACACUUUUGGCACGCCCGGUAGGACCAAUACAACCGCCACUAUGUUGAAAGCUGCCGAAGUCUCGGAAGACAACGUCAUCGAAGUGACGGAAGCAGAUCUCAGGGAUGACUAGAAGGAAGAAUUGGAAAAGCAGAUGGUGUACUACCGAAAGAUGUGUUUGCAAUCCUUCAGUCGUACCAGGAGCAGAGAAACUGUCAAAAAGACUCCGUUUCCGACUCCUCGCCAGAUCACAAUCGCCGAGGACUCGGGCAAGAUGUCCGAGAUGGUUCAACAAUCUGUCUAUCAAGCCUUCAUUGAUCAAUCCCUGGUGAUUUCUAAUACGGUAUACAAUGCCGUCAUCAGCUCCUUGGCCAACGGCGUAUCCCAAGGAUACCAAGGGCCGGCAUAUGCUCCACCUAUUAUGGCCCCGACCAGGAGUUAUUCAACAAUACCCUACUCGACUCCUCAGCCGAUCCAAGCCCCAAUUGGAGGUCCCGGCACCUCUUCAUCAUUAAUCCCUCUGGGGCCUAACGGCGCGCCAUAUCUCUGGCCGCAACCCAUUUAGUUAUCCUCCGUGCAGUUUCCUCCUUUGAAUUCAAUGCCUUGGGGGUACCAUCGGUAAUGGCCGUCCAGGAUCAAUCGGCCAGCCAUGGAGGUUCUCCAAUCCAGACACCUUUCCAAUCGGCCGUUAGGCCGACGAUGCCACAAUAUCAGCCAGUCACGCCGGAGAUGAGCAGGGGGGCAGAAGCAACGGAAAUACUUCGGGGCGCUACGUCGAUCAUACUAUAUGAUAAAGCGGCCGAUUCAUUUAGACAGCCGACCCCGACUACGCAGCGGGCUAUGACACAUCAGGCGCAAUACGCUUUCGCCCAUCACCCGGUCAUCCCGCCACCAAUCUACCAACAAGUGCCAGUUCCCUAGCCGAUAGUCCAUCAACAACAACCAGACUGGACGGCACGCAUAGUGGAGGUAAUUCAAGAGAAAUUCGGUUUAAAACCGAAGAUGCAAACCUACACAUACAAGACGCCGUACCCGCCUACCUAUGACUUGCUGCCGUUUCCCCAUCGGUACAAAGUUCCUGAUUUCACCAAGUUUUCGGGACUUGAUGAUACCUCAACUGUAGAGCACGUGAACAAAUUCAUCAACCAAUGCGGAGAGGCAGCGGCGCAAGAUGCUCUACGGGUGCGCCUCUUUUCGUCAUCCCUAUCCGGGUCAGCCUUUCAAUGGUUCACCACACUGCCACCCAACUCAAUAAUUACAUGGCUGACCUGGAGAGGCAGUUUCACAAAUACUUCUACGCGGGAGUACAUGAGAUGAAGCUUUCAGAUUUAACCAGCCUUAGACAGAGAAGUGAUGAACCGGUACCCUCGUACGUGCAGAGGUUCAGGGAAAUCAGGAACAAAUGCUACACCCUAGCCCUGACUGACGCACAAUUGGCCGAUAUAGCCUUCCAGGGUCUCCUGCCUCAUAUCAAAGAGAAAUAUGCUUCGCAGGAGUUUGAGAGCUUGAGCCAAAUUGUUCAUCGACUGUCUCGUCAGGAAGUACACCCCUUUGAUCCGCGCAGGAACUUCCAAAAGAAGGUAGCGUACUUAGAAGAGGUUGAAUCCGAAGAAGAAACAGAGAUCGGCCUGGCGGAGUGGGUUAAAGGAAAAAAGACGAUAUUGUGUCCGUUCGGGAAAAAGGAGCCGGAAGCAUUCGGUUUCGACACAUCAAAGGCCGAUAAAAUUUUCAAUCUUCUCCUCCAGGAAGGACAGAUCAAGCUCUCGCCAUACCAUACCAUUCCGUCGGCCGAACAGCUGAAGAAGAUGAAGUAUUGCAAGUGGCAUAAUGCUACUUCCCAUGAUACAAAUGAAUGCAAAAUCUUCCGACAGCAGAUACAAUGAGCCAUCGAACAAGGCAGGCUCAAAUUUGAAGUCCCAACAAAGUCGGCCAAGCUGAUGAAGAUUGACCAGCAUCCCUUCCCCACCAACAUGGUUGACACGGGGAAGAAUUCGCUCCAGACUAAGGUGCUGACAUCUGAAUCGGCUAAGAAAAGCGGCGCCGUGGACCCCAGAAAUCAAGCGGCGCCCGCAGACAUCAAGGGGAAACGGCGGAUGGAGGACGAAGACGACAGAUCGGGAGAACCACGCAGGCCCAUCACCUCCCAAUUUUUGCUCAACAAAUAUCAACGGCAACAAGAAUGCUCAAAAUCCCGGGAAGAGGCAAUGCGACGACACGAAGACCACUGGUGAUGCCCAUUCUUCAUCCACUGCUAGGAGAGCAACCUUAGGUUGCCAUCGGCCGAUAAUUGCCCUGAGUGCAACGGCCCGUAUCGUAACAAUCGGCUAUUCAGGAGGUCUCGCUCCAGAGAUGGAAGACCAGAGCCGAUCAACAGGAACUGGUGCGAACAAGAAGACCGGCGCCCUCCAGUGCGUGAUCGGCUGGGGGGCAGAAGUGACCGAUAUGACCGGUCGGAAGACAGGCGCGAGCGAAACAAUAGGCCGGGGGGCAGAUUUGACCGGCGCAGUCAACCAGAAAACAAAGUCAGCGUUCAUGAUCGGCUGGAAGAGAGGGCCGACACUCGGGUAUCAGAUGAGAAUCCCUUAGGGCGCGAACCAGAAUGGGAACGCGCUAGACCAUUGACUAAGCUUGUGAACCCCAGGUGGUGCCCUGACGGAUUGACUAAGUCUCAAAAACGAAGAAUCCAACGCCUCCGCCAAUGGGAACAACAGGAAGAAGAGCAACAGAUUGUGAUAGACGAGAGAACCAGCAGGCCUCGGGUUUGGCGCCCCAAAAGAAAUAACAGAGAAGACGACGACAACCAGGAAUCAGCAGCCGACGUCAGCAUGGUUUUCAUUCUGCUGAUGGAAUUCAUGACUUCUACCGACCGACAGAACAUAUCGGCAAUAGAAGAGCAGAUGGCACAAUUGGCUUUAGAGCCAAUGGCAGCCACGUUCGAGAAACCCGAGGACAACAAACGACAACACCUAAAGGCAUUGUUCCUCAAGGGGCAUGUCAACGGCCGACCCAUCACCAGAUUACUAGUAGACGGAGGAGCUAUUGUUAACAUCAUGCCAUACGCCAUGUUCUGGAAGCUAGGAAAGAGUGAUGAUGACCUAACUAGGACAGACAUGAUGCUCAAGGACUUCAAAGGCAACAUGUCUCCCGCCCACGGCGCACUCUGCGUCGACCUCACCAUCGGCAGUAAGACCCUUCCCACUACUUUCUUUAUUAUUAAUGGAAAAGGAUCCUACAACAUGCUACUUGCCCGAGACUUUAUACAUGCAAAUUGCUGCAUCCCGUCUACGAUGCACCAAUGCCUCGUAUAGUGGGUCGAUGACAACAUCAAAGUGGUCACCGCCGAUUCUGCAUACAGCGUCGCGGCAGCCGAUACGCAACAAUGGAGCUGCGAGAACGUCAAGUGCAUAUCCGAGAGGAUAUGGGACACUGAUUUCCUAAAGGUGUCCAAUUUUGGUCUACAGCCGAUCCGAGCAGUCGGCUCCGAAGAUUCAGAUUAAAUGGAUCAGUUCGCCCGGGAGGAUGGAAAGCUAGGACAUGGGUUCACGUCGGCCGAUUCAUUAGAGAUGAUAGAUUUAGGCGAUGGCACCAAGCCAAGGUCGACGUAUAUUAGUGCGAAUCUGGAUCCGGAAUACAAAUGUAAAUCGAAAAAUUUAUUAAGAGAGUUUUAAGGAUUGUUUUGCUUGGGAAUACCAUGAGAUGCCCGGAUUAGACCGAUCUAUUGUCGAACAUCGGUUACCCAUAAAGCCGGGAUAUCGGCCAUAUCAGCAACCUGCACGGCAGUGUAAUCCUAAAAUCCUACCCGAUAUAAAGGCCGAAAUAACAAGGCUAAUCGAAGCAAAAUUUAUUCGACAAUGCCGUUAUGCCGAAUGGAUCUCAACAUUGUACCCGUAUACAAGAAGAACGGAAAGCUCCACAUAUGCAUCGAUUUCAGGAAUCUCAAUCAGGCCACGCCGAUGGACAGAUACCCGAUGCCGACGGCCGAUGUGCUAAUAGAUGCCGCCGCGGGACACAAAGUUAUUAGUUUCAUGGAUGGAAAUGCUGGAUAUAAUCAGAUACUAAUGGCCGAAGAAGACAUAUCCAAAACGGCCUUCAGAUGCCCGGGUCACCUUGGUUUAUUCGAGUGGGUGGUAAUGACUUUCGGUUUGAAGAACGCCGGUGCUACGUAUCAGCGAGCCAUGAAUUACAUAUUUCACAAACUUAUCGGCAUCCUGGUGGAAAUUUACAUCGACGAUGUCGUAGUCAAAUCAAAGGGACACCAGGAACAUCUAACUGAUUUGCAGCAGGUACUGGAAUGCACGAGGAAACAUGGGCUGAAGAUGAACCCGAACAAGUGUGCUUUUGGUGUAUCCGCCGGACAAUUCUUGGGAUUCAUGGUUCACGAACGUGGAAUAGAAAUCAACCGGAAGACCAUAGCGGCCAUCAAUAAAGUUGUGGCCCCGCAGAAUAAGACUGAGUUGCAGUCCCUAAUUGGCAAGGUCAAUUUUAUCAGAAGAUUCAUAUCUAAUCUGUCCGGGUGUAUCCAAGCCUUCACACCAUUGUUGAAGUUGAAACCCGACCAAGAGUUCGUAUGGGGAGAAGAGCAACGCAAGGCACUAGAAGAUAUCAAGCAGUACUUAUUCUCGCCACUAGUAUUGGUCCCACCUCAAACUGGUAAGCCGUUUAAACUGUAUUUAUCAACCGAUGAACGAGCUAUCGGGUCGGCUCUGGUUUCAGGAAUUUUAGGGAAAGGAACGGGUAAUAUAUUAUGUUAGCAGAAGACUUCUGAAGCCGAGACAAGGUAUCCCCCGGUAGAGCGGCUAUGCCUAUGCCUUUACUUCUCAUGCACCAAACUCAGGCACUAUUUGUUAUCGGCAGAGUGUGUAGUAGUAUGCAAAGACGACGUGGUAAAAUACAUACUUUCGCUGCCAAUCUUGAAAGGACGAAUCGGAAAAUGGAUCUUGGCUUUAUCGGAGUUCGAUCUACGGUAUGAAUCGGCAAAGGCCGUCAAAGGACAGAUUAUGGCCAAUUUUGUUGCCCAGCACUGCGAACCAGAGACCACCGUCGUGGAACCAGUGCCAUGGACCUUAUAUUUUGAUGGUUUGUCAUGUGGGGCCAGAUCAGGAAUCAGCAUCGUUCUCAUAUCGCCUCGGGGGGCAAGCUAUGAUUUCUCUCUGCCGAUAGAAGCAUCCGCCACUAAUAACCAAGCAGAAUAUCGAGCCGUGUUAAAGGGAUUACAAUUGUUGAGGGAAAUCAAGGCCGACGCCGUUGAGAUUUUCGGGGAUUCCAUGUUUAUCGUGGACCAAUUGACAGGAAGAUCCGAAUGCAAGGAUGACGUAUUAAGGAUUUUUUACGAGGAUUGCCUUCAACUUCUGAAAGAAUUCAAGUCCGCGUUUAUUGAGCACAUCCCUAGGAAUCAUAACGAGGAUGCCAAUAGGCUUGCCCAACACGCGUCCGGAUAUCGGCCGAUUCAGGGCGCUAUGGCUCUAGAGCUUGCGGCCGACGACUGGCGAAGGGAGAUCGCCGAUUAUCUGAAAGAUCCGUCUAAGAAAGUGGAUCGGCGAAUACGAUUUCAGGCCACAAGAUAUGUGUUACUAGAAGACGACUUGUUCUACCGGACGAUUGAUGGCGUUCUACUCAAAUGCCUAGGAACAGAGGAGGCGAAGACUCUGAUGGGGAAAAUCCACGAAGGAGUGUGUGGAGCCCACCAAUCGGCACAUAAGAUGAAAUGGAUGAUUAGGAAUAAUGGGUAUUACUGGCCCACAAUCCUCGAAGACUGUUUCAAAUAUUAUAAAGGAUGCCAGGAUUGUCAGAGAUACGAGAAUCUGCAACGUGCUCCCGCAUCGGCCAUGAAUCCUAUUAUCAAACCAUGGCCGUUCAGAGGUUGGGGAAUAGACCUCAUCGGACAAGUUUAUCCUCCGUCAAGCAAAGGACAUAAAUUUAUUCUAGAAGCCACAGAUUAUUUCACUAAAUGGGUGGAAGCGAUUCCGUUGAAGGCCAUAACAUCGGCCGCCAUGGUCGAUUUCGUAAGGGACCGUAUCGUCUAUCGUUUCGGCAUCCCCCAGACUAUCACAACCGGUCAAGGAACGAUGUUUACAUAGGGAGAAUUCGAAGAGUUCACGACCGAUAUGGGAAUCAAACUGCUAAACUCCUCUCCGUACUAUGCCCAAGCUAAUGGUUAGGUCGAAUCUUCCAAUAAAGGGAUAAUUAAGUUAAUCAAGAGAAAGAUAGAAGAACAGCCCAAAAAAUGGCAUCUAUGUCUGACCGAAGCCCUAUGGGCAUACAGGAUGGCCUGCCACGGGGCUACCAAGAUGUCUCCUUAUCAGUUGGUGUACGGUCACGAGGCAGUACUGCCGUGGGAAUUGAGGACAGGAUCGAGACGCACGUCGCUCCAAGAUCAGCUGAUGACCGACAAUUACUCCUCACUCAUGAAAAGGGAGCUUGAUGACUUGGUAGGCCAACGAUUGAGAGCUUUGAUCAGUAUCAAAGAAAACAAGAAGAAAGUGGCCAGAUGGUACAACAAGAAGGUCAAAGUCAAGCAGUUCUCUCCGGGGGACCUGGUAUGGAAGUUAGUGCUGCCGAUUGGGUCAAAGGAUCCUAAAUUCGGUAAGUGGUCUCCCACGUGGGAAGGGCCGUAUAGAAUCGGCCGAUGUGCCCCGGGAAAUGCUUACAUUUUGGAAACGAUCGAAGGGGAAGAGUUUACUAGGGCUUUGAACGGAAGAUACUUGAAGAGGUAUUACCCUAGUAUAUGGGUCGGAGCAUAAGGAUCGGCCGCAGAAUAUGAUAAACAAAUACACAGCCGAUAUAAAAGAAAAUCACCUAAAGAGAAAAUAUAAUCGUCCAAAUCGGCCGAUUUAUCAUUCGGUACGGACGAUGGGUUACACGGCCGACGCAGUACAAGUCGCCCUUAGAACAAAAAUAAUCAACCAUGCUUUUUCUUAAGUUCUCUCUCAACCCGGCCUAGUUCUAUCAGAAGAGGGAUGUGUCGUUCUUCUAUGUCUUUCAUCGCGGCCUCCGCUUCAACUUGACGAGGAAGAGGAUGACUCCGGUCCAUUGCCGGGCACGACGUCCCUGCCGCGGCAUCUCCAAGGGCAACCUGACGAGGAAGCGGGUGGCUCCUGUCAACUUGAGGGCGCCUGUAGUCGUUACUGUCGAUGAAGUCCCAGAUCCGUUGGACGUCGGCGGGGAUGUGAUCCUUAAGUUCUUCACGGUGAGCCCUAAUUAGGUCCUUGUCUUCUUGCGAUAAUGGUUCGUCAGAAUACACGAGUCCAAUGGCUCGUUCAAGUUCAGGACUAAGGCGCCGUGGCUGGAAAAUGAGAACAACACACAACUGCCUAAGAUGGUGUUUGGAGAAUCAAACCAUGGCGGAGGCAGAUCUCUUACCUGGUCGACAGAGGAAAAAGAAGAAGACGAAGAAGACAUGACCACAGAACGCGCCGACGGAAACAAGUCAGGGAAAGAGAGAACCAAAUCAAACAGGUGCUUUCAAGAGCGAAACCAAGGUUUGUAUUUAUAAGUCGAGAAGGUGUGGAUGUUUGGUAAGACGCAUCUCAUCAGAGGUAAAAAGGCAAUAAAUGAGAGAGCGCCGCAAAGGACGGUCAAAAGAGGCAUUAAUGUUCGUACAAAAUGACCAGUACUUUUACAGAUCGCCCAGAAGGGCGUUGAUGGACGCAAUCGCUCGACGACGAAUCUGAUCGGCCGAAUCCAGAACCCGUUGGUCAUCCUCUGCCGACCCUGGGACUUCUGACAUGUGGCGGUGGAGUCUAAGGGCUUUAUGGGCCAGGUGCUGCCUCUCCCGCUUUAAAUCGGCGAUGACGGAGGGGAGCUCCUGAAGCCUCUUCUCUUCGGUGGCUAUUUCCUUGGUCACUUGCUCCAUCUCCUUGGCGAGUUCUGCUCUUCAGUGUUUGAGGCGGUCUAUCGUGCUGACGAGUCCAGGGCGGGAGUCCUCAAGAAAAUAAAUCCGGUGAUGUACCUCCUGAGCCUAACGCUUGUACGAAUCUUCUUCAUCACGAGUCUUGAUCACUUUGGCGCGAUCGUCCAUGUGACGCAGAGCCCUGAAGACCGGAAUCCGCAUUGCCUCGAUGUAAGCGGCUGGCGCCAAGGCUUCUUCCGCUUCCUCUGGGACUCGCCCGCUGACGUCACCAAAGAGCUGCCGAAUCGGCGAAGCAUCCUCCACCAAUCGGCCGAUGUCCUCUUGAAGAAGGGAUCAUAUGUUUUCGAGUUUGGCGCGGACAUCAUCAGGGACAGAGCUCAAAGUAACCUGACAGGAAGCUACUUCCUCAUCAUCAGAAAGUGCGACCGCAAACGAGAAAAGGCUAUUAUCAGGGGUGUCUUGUUCCUGUAAAAUGGUAGAUGAAAAGAGAAUAGGUCAGCCGAUUGUGGUGGCAGAAUCGGCCAAUAAAGGUUAGGAGAUCUCUUAAUUCUUUAAAACGGAUUUCUUCCAUCUGCAUUUGCGAGACCGUCGCCCUCGACUCUGGGACUGGUACCAUCAGUUCGUCGGAAGAGGAAGUCUCAACGACAAUCGGUGCUCUGCUCGGGCCGGCUUCUUGGGGGUGGCCAGUGGUCGAUCAGGCAACGUGCUUAGUGUACCGGUAACCUGGGUCAAAGUUAGUAAGAGCAUCAUCCAAAUACUAGAAGAUCGGGUUGAAGGAUCGUAUACCUCAACAGGAGGGAGCGCUGGCAUUUCAUUAGCCGCUUGGGUCGCCGCUGAUUGCUGAGGAUUCACAAGGGUAGUCUGUGCAGCCUAAUAUAAGAGGGGUCAGUAUGGAAAUAGCAAUCGGGAAAAUCGGACAGUGAGUUUACCUGUAUAGCCUCCACCAAUAAUGAUGCGGCGGCUGCUCCGGCUUCUGUGGCGACUUGAACGUCUACCUCUUCAGCAGUCGGAAGGGUCGGCACGGCCAAAGUUUCUGCCGAUGCGAUCAUAGGUGGAUCGGCCGAUUCUGUACGAGCACGCACUCGGCGACUGGUUUUCUUGAUGACUUUCUUCUGCGCCUGUUUUACUCGGCCAGGGAUGUCGUCUACAGAAAGGGCAUGAUAGCCGAUGAGGGGGAAUGUUGUGUAUGGAUAGCGGUCCUCUAUCGGCCAACCACUCCGGCUGCGUUUUGGAGGAGCGCGGCUUUCAGACUGAAUCAACAGCAAGAGUCAGUAUACAUAUAUAAAAAAUGAGAGGAAAUGAAAAUCGGCUAGGGAAAAGGAAGAAUACCUCAGCGUUCAGAUCAAUGUUGGCUAGAUCCAGGAGAUUGCAGUAUACCGACGCAGAAGUGCAGAACAGGUACUGUUUCCAUUCGGCCCACCAUAGCUUGAACUGCUGAACGGCGAAAGGAGCUACUAUCCAACCAUUCAGAGCUAUGGUACUGGAGUCUGGAAUCCGAUCACGCAGCCAGCUAUAGUAAAGACCCUUGGUGAGUUUAUCUCUGAACUUUGCUCGGCCGGCGAAAUAUGCAUAAAUCGGCAAUUGACCCAGGCCGAAUUGCCGUGCUGUGAUAGAGGGGUUGUAGAAUUCAUAAGUAGGGGCAUCUUUCCCCGAAAAGAAGUUUGCCGGUAAGAUCCUCGGUUUGAUUAAUUCAUCCAUGAGAUCUUCAUCGAAUCGGCCAGUGGUUGAGUUGAAACAAGAAGGGAGUUCGAAGAUUGGGUCCUCUCUUUGAUAAGGGAACCAGCUGGUUGCAUCUUCGCUGAAGCCAUCAUAAAAGCACCUGAAGUAUUUGGUCACCUUUGUAGCCGAAUAUGAACAACCAGAAAAGGCUGAUGCCGCCUCACCGAAGGACGUACAACGGCGUCGGACAGUGGGAUUCUCUGCCGAUUCGAUGUUGGGGAAGGUCAUGUGCUCCACUCGUUGCUGGGAGAUCUUGCUCAUGUACAGAUUAAGCCACAAGUUGAUGAACCACCAGGGUCCACCAGGGUUUUCAAUCGGCUUCCCUUGGGAUAAUUUGAUGCCGAUUUGGUGCAGCAUAUGAUAGGCUGCUCCCAAUAAGUGUUUUCCAAGGGGAAUAGAGGCCCCUAUCGAUAAUGCCUCAACUAGAGCCUGUGUGUUGGUGGAUGGACCGGCUGCUCUCCCACAGAAAAAAUGUUUCUCAAGCCACAUCAUCAGGAAAGCCGUGUGCUCUCUGUUCUCGACUGUUCCAGCCCUUUUGUUACAUAUGAUGAAUCCCUUCCAUCCGUCGAUUCCCUUUGUAUCGAGCCGAUGAGAUGUCUUGGCCAAAAGGCGAAAAGGGGUAUCUGGAGAGGAGAUGUCAAGGCCAGUCAACAUGACCACAUCGGCCAAAGUGGGAGUCAUAGGUCCGUGUCCGAAGAGGAAUGCGUUGAGGGCAUCGGACCAGAAAUAGGAAGCUGCUAUCACUAAGGGCUCAUUUCUUUCCAUUUGGGAUAAAGAUAGAUCAAUACACUGGCCGAUUUUGUGUUCGUCCCAUUGGACUCUCUUGGAGGUAGCUAUCCGUUGGUACCAUUCUCUCCAGCCGAGGGUUUCAUUCGGCCAUGACCUGAAGGUACCUGACCAGUGGUCUAGGUCCAUGGUUGAUUGCUUAAAAGGGAUCCUAUAAGUUUCCAGAUUGAUUAGGUCAGUUGGAUCCGGGUUUCCCAUGGGACCAAGAUAGAUAAGGCCGGGAGUUUCUGUGAGGCGAAUGGUAAUUUGAUGCCUAACUGCCUAAAAAAGGAAAAAAGGGGGUACGGAAGUAAGAACAGAUCUAAAGUAAAUGCAUUAUUGUUAAGGAAAGUUUCGGUAAUGACCUCCGGGAUGAAGCUCAUCGUAGUUGGCAGAAUCGCCGGCAGAGCCGCAGAUGCUGAAACCAUUGAUGGGACUUCGGUUGAAGCCCCAACUCCCGCUGAUGGAGCUCCUUCUCCUGUCGAUGAAGCCGUCGCCGUUGCCACUGGAACUUCUGCCGGUGAAGCUAUCUCCGGGGCUUCGGGUGUUGAUGAGGUGCCUGAAGGUGCCGCCAUUGGAAAAAGUAGGGAGAAAUGUAGAUGGAAGGAGAUGCCGGGGGAAAGCUGGAGGCUAAGGAAGGCACCGGAGGAAGAAGAAGGCCAGUGCGCUAAAGAAGGAAGAUGUGAGCUCGUAAGGAGGAGUACGGGACGUGCUGAUAUUUAAAGGUGGUCUGAGAAGGGGUAAAAGUGGAAUUUUAACCACCCAGCGUUUCGAAUUUUUCGGGAGGAGUGGUUGUCGUGGGCGCCCGUUUCGAAAAGAUUGCAAUCAUCAGGUUGGAGACCACGAAACGGAAGGAUAUUUUCUAUGCGUUUGUUUUGGAAGGGAAGUUGAAAAGAAUUUCGAAGUAAAGACUAUGUUUUGCUCCGAAACUAGGGGGCAUGUGUUGACGCCAAAUUUUGACACGUAUGAAAUCGGCGUCAGGAAAGGAAGAAAUCAAGAGAUAUGGCAAGACGCAGAAGUCACAGUUGGGAAUCGGCCGAUUGCUGCUACAGUUGAGGAUUGGCCGAUUGCCCUUCAAGCGUGGAACUCCUCCUCACCCGAUCCUCGAGGCCUGGGGUCGGAUGUGCCCGACCCUGCGAGGAUGGAACUCUACCUCGCCCGACCCCGGGUCCUAGAGUCGGAGGCGCCCGACCCUUCGGGGGUAGAAUUCCGCCUCGCCCAACCUUAGGUCCCAGGGUCGGAGUAAUCGUCUGUCCUUUGUUGAUGGAGUUGGUAGAAAUCGGCCGAUUAGAAGGCUGGAGCAAUUGGGCUAGUAUGGGCUUAAAGUGGAUUAUGAAGAUAAAGAGGGAGACAGCCCAUGAAAGCAUGAUGAUCAACUCCAGUACGAAUUGUACUUGUAAAUAUUUGUUUUCAUUUAAAAUUAGAGAUAGAGUUCGUUUAAAGUUAGAGAUAGAGUUCUAGUCGGUUAAGGAAUCGUUUGUAACAGGCUAUAAAUAGCCACCUUCAUAGAUCUGUAAUCAUCAUCAAAUCAAUAGAACAAGCUACGAUUUCCUCGCACUUACCUUCAAGCAGGCGACUUCACCAAUACUUUUCUUCUUUUCACGAGUUCGUACGGGUUGGCAGGGCUGCAUCAGCUUGAUCUCCGGCCGAUUCUGUAAGUUCCGCUUAUCGAAUAGUGUCUAAGCUUUAACUUCGGGCGCAUCGCUGUCGUUUCAUUUAGAUUUAUUCACCAGUUAUCGAUAUUCACUAGAAUUCUAGGUUUUACCUGUUGUUCUAGUAUUAUCACCAGUUAUCCAGCUAGGAAUUGGAACUUUCGACUUUCUUGUGCUUCGUUAUUCAAUCUAUUUGUUUUAUGCAUAGCCGAUUUAGAUCUAUUCCUAGUGUUGUUAUUGUAGUGUUGUUUAGAUUACUCCAGCAGUAUUCUUUAUUAACGCUGCCCGGUAAUCGGCUGCAUUAUAGCCGAUUUCUUUGUUACAGCAAAUCGGCCGAUUCGCUGAUAAGCUAUCUCGAGAUCGGAACCUUAGCCGAUCGCUACCUUUGGGAUCUGACACGUUUCUUUCCUUGCCAAUCAACAGGUCAGAUUGGCUGGCACGCCGCGCGAACUGCACAAGGGCAAUCACCCGAACAGGAGUUAAGCAGAUUCUCCCGGGUCGUGUGUCCGACGCUGGGGAUUCGAUCAGCUGAUUUCUAGCGCCAACAGAUACAUUAUUCCACAAACAUCAACUUCAAUAGUAAUUACAUCGUAAAACAUCAUAAUUUAUAAUGCAAGAUAUUUAAAAUUGUUGGUUUAGACCUUAUCUACAUUAUGAUAACUAAUCAAAACACAUUUAUUAUCAUAUUGCAAUUGCAUGGAAUAAAGAGAAAAAGGUAACAAUUUCCUUAAUGAAUUUACUGGAAAAAAAUGAACAAAAAUAGAAAAAAACAACCGGGGUGCUCGGGGAGGAGGCGGCGUCGGCGGCAGAGAGGAGGUGGUUCGGCGACGCAUCGGGAGGACGGAGGCGGUGGGGAGGAUGCAGUGUCAGCGGCAAGGACGAGGUGGCCCGGCGGCGCGUCGGGAGGACGGAGGUGGUGGGGAGGAGGCGGCAUCACUAAUCUCAGUGUUUGCACAACACUAAUGGUUUUGAUUCUUGACUUCGUGAAGUCCUACAAUCUGAAAUCAGUGUUUGCACAUCACUAAUCUCAAUGAGUGUGCCCGUUUGCGUUCGGAUCUCACUAGCUCUUUAGAAUGUUCCUUUUCAUCUCGGAUUUCUCGAUUGAAAUCACAUUAUUCAUGCGAAUUCCAAGUCUAUGGAGAGCCUGUGUGUUGGUGGAUGGACCGGCUGCUCUCCCACAGAAAAAAUGUUUCUCAAUAUUCUCACUAUUCAUGCCAUGUGUAUCCAUUGCCGGUCUAUCUUGAUCGUAUUACAUGAAAAAUGAGCAUAGGGCUUCGUAUUAGAUAAAGAACUUGAUCCAUGUGUUUAUAAUAUUUAGUCCUUGCAAUAAACAUGAGAUAAAUAAAUUAUUGGUCAAGAAUCCUGAAAUCAACAGUUUUUGCCUAACAUUGCAUACCGUUAGCACACUAGAAAUGCUGCAAUAAACUAUACAUUUUCCUCAAUCUAAUAAAUCAACAAGUACUCCAUUUGUAACAUAAAACUCAUUCUAAAAACCGCUCCAUUCUCCGCAUUCUAAAAUACUCUCCUUAUUCUAAAAAAUCAACAAAUACUCAAUUUGUAACAUAAAACUCAUUCUAAAAUGGAAAGAAUCCAUUUUACUCCUCUCAUUUUACACCCCUCACCUAUUUAUUUUGUCCACUUAACCCCCUAAGCAAAAUUUAGGCUCACUUUACUCCCCCCAAACUACUUCAUUUGGUCCAAUCUACCCCCUAAUUAGAUUUCUCUUUUUUGUUUCUUCAUGUACAAACUCUCCUUGUUCUAGCUAAUGUACUCUCCAUUCUAGCUACAAAACAUAAAAUAUAGAAUACUAAGUAUGAGAGGAGGGAUUUGCUAACCUUUUCCUCCCCUAGUUCGAGUGAAGAAGAAGCCUGAGCUCACGGUCAAAUGGCUAAGCUCGGGCUUGGGAAGGAAGAAGCAGCUCAAUUUAUAGGAUUACCUCUAGCGCCAGGUGAUGGGUCGAGCUGGUACUAAAUGGUUUCAUGUUAGUACCGGUUGAAGAUAUCAGCCGGUACUAAAUGGUACAUCUAGCCGUUGGCCACGCGGUCCACGUGCUGCCAUUUAGUACUGGUUGAGACUCCAAACUGGUAUUGUAGGGGUUCUGGUGGCACUGUACAUGAUGACCGAUACUAAUGCGUUGGACGAAUGAUCAGUUUUUCAGCAGUGGAAUGUGCAAACACCAGCUAGCAGUACUGAAGUUGGAUGGAAGGUUGGCUUUGUCCGAACAAAUCAGUCCUUUCUGAGGCGAGGGCCCUAGCACGCAUCAUUUUGCAGUCGCUCUGAUAGAGUGCUAGGUUUUGGCGUUCAGCCGAAGUAGCUUUGGUGGGGUUCAUAUUGCUCCGUCGGUACAAGAACUAGCACCCAGACAACCCAGAAUUGUGGAGUGCCCAGACAUCCAAGAUCCAACCCAGACAGAUGUUGGAGGUAUGCCCUAGAGGCAAUCAUAGAGAUGAUGAUAUUCCAUUUGUAUCCAUGAUUUGUAUGUUGUGUUCAUUGAAUAUCCAUUAAAGGCUACUUGAAUUGAUUUGCAAUUAUGUGAAUUGUAUGUGAAACUCUUUACUUGUAUGGUUAUUCUAAAGUUGUCCCUAGUCGGAGUUCAUGUGAGGACACACAUGAAUAUUAGACUAGCACAUGUAUUAGUUGAUGACUAUGUUUCACAAGUCAUGGACAUGGAGAUGUUGAACUAAUAAUGUGGACACAUGUGGAGACAUGUGUUAGGACUGACCCAACACGAGAAGUAGUUCUCUCUUUAAACAACAUAUACGCUUUGUCCUUAGACCUGAGAUUGUCGCAUGUAUUCUAGAUUUGGAUCGACCUACUUAGGGGCUAUCAAACGCUACGCCGUAACAGGGUAGUUAUAAAGGUAGCUUUCGGGUUUGUCAAGAAGCAUUCUAUGAGACAUGGUCAAUCAAGAUGGGAUUUGCCCCUCUCUGAUUGAGAGUGAUAUCUCUGGGCCCCUCGAGUGAUCGGAUUCGAAAAUGCAUGGCCAUGCUACGUACGGUUAAGAGUUAACCUACAAAGGGAUUCCGAAUCACAGGAUCGAGAAAGAGCGGUCGGCUUGAAGCUAGACCAAAUAUCGUGAGGCAAAGGGAAUAGCAUGUAUAUUAUGUUGUGAUGGUUCGUCUGAUAUGAUCUUCGUGUGCGUAUAGGAGUUGGCACGUCUUGCUAGAGGCCGCUACCGACUAUUGGGCCGAGUAGGAGUACUCGGGCCAUGUCUAUACGUAACCGAACCCAUAGGGUCACACACUUAAGGGGCUGGAAGCCCAAUUCGGAUCUGAUCCGAGUUGGAUUAGGUUUAGGAGUACUAAUGGGCCUCCGAUCCAGAGGCCCAUCAGGAACCUCUAUAAAUAGAGGGGUGGGGGCGCCCUAGGGUUUACACCUUUUGGCGAAACACACCUGCCGCGCCUCCCACGCCCUCGCCUGUUGCAACUCGCGGAUCUAGCAGUCCGGCUUGCGACGCUUCCUCCCUGCAUGUGUGGAUACCUUGGAGGUGUUGCGCCUGCAGCACUUGGACGAGCCAUCGACGAGCCGCCGACGAGCCACGACGAGCCGACGACGAGCCGCGAUACCGGAGGCGAUCUUGCUGUGCACGUGGACGAGCUGCUGAGGAGCUGCUGGAAGUGAUCGACUACGUACGACUACGUUGAUCGACUACGUACGACUACGUGAUCGUCUUCACUGCAUCGACGCAUAUCUACAUCUUCCGCACCAGUAGUGCGUCGAGUGGUAAUCCCGUGAUCCUUAUACGGCAGUUCUUCCUGGUUAUACGCGGUAGAAAUUUUGAUUUGCGCUAGUGUGGCCUACCUCGUAUCCCAACAGUGGUAUCAGAGCCGUAGCUGCUUAGUUUUGGAUUCGGGAUGUGUGCAUAUGGAGAUAUGCGAGUUCUCUGUUUGAUCUAUGUCCUGAUUUCGUGCCCUUGCUGCAAUGGUAGUGUAACGACAUACUCCUACCGGUCAGUUUCCGCCAUCGGAGUUAAGUGAUACACAUAAACCCAGUUGCAGUGAGGGAAGAUCAAUAUGAUUGGUCGAAUCGAGAUCCAGGGUCAUACGCCAGGCGCAUUAGAUGUGCAAUGGUAGAUAGGAUCUACUGCCGGGGUCGGGAUUUUGCCAUAUGCGUAUGCUUCGGUAAAUCAGCCGUAACUUUUCGGUACGAUCUCGGAUCGAGGCGAUUUCUAUACGAAAAUUGAUCUACAGAAAAAGUUACACAUGAAAUUCAACAGCUUCGCAGUUUUCGGCGAAAUUAGAUUUCCCAAAUUCGGCUUGGAAGAUGGAGUUUCGGGCCUUCGAAGUUUGGAACGUUAGGACGCCUAACUCUGUUUUGCAGGAUGUAUGUAUGUAUCUUGUGAUCAGUAUGGCCCCCUUGUGUAUGUGAUGCAUGUGUGUAACUCAUUCGUGACCUGCGUGUCGCGCGUACGGCAACACGGCAGGAGCCAUAUGUGUUGUCACUUUAUUGUAUUUAAUGGUCUGCGUACCAAUCUGUGAUGAUCCAAGCAACUAUGUAAUCUUCAUUACUAGAUUCUUUACUAGCUAUUAGGCGUAAUAGCAUGCUCUAGUUCUUGGAGGACUCAUCACCAGGAGGAUGGCGCACAUGGAACAUGGAGAUGGAGAUCACCAUGGUGAACAGGUUCUAUGGAGAUGGAGAUCACCAUAUGAAAACGGGCCAUACUGUGUCACAAGCUGUGUGAAUGCUAUUCUAUUUAUGUUUUACUUUCUGCAUGCUGUGAUGUUAGAAGUAGAACGAUCCCUCGCAAAUUUUAAGUUAGUAUGCCCUCCCAACUAAAACUUGCACCGUCCCAUGUCUUGUACAAUUAGUGGUGGGUCUAUGAAAUUAGGGUGCCACUAGUUUUCCUUGACUAGACGGGUUUGUGUCGGACACUUACACGCAUAAGGGUUGGUUUGCUUAACAAGGAUAUCUUAACGGUUAAGGACCUUGGGGCAUAAAGGUUGGGCGCCGAGACAUAGAGAUGUCACCCAACAACAGGAGUCAUAUGUGAUAUGAUUAGCAAAAGUUGCUUACCGAUCUACCUCGUUUGCUAGCGGUGAUGCUAAAGCUCACUAGUAGACUUGUUAGUUGUGGAUCCUGAAUCACUAAGUUUCAAUAGAGGGAUAUUGAUUUUAGUGGGAGUAAAUUCUGUUAAAAUAGUUUAAUGUAAUUUGCUCUAUCAUGGAUACGUUUGUCUUAGUGUAUUUUGCAUUAUUUUGUUGUAGAUUAAAUGGCACCUAGCAACACCACCGCAUCGUUUGCUUUGCGUUCGGUCCUUGAGAAGGACAAGUUGAAUGGAACAAACUACUCAGAUUGGAUCCGUAACCUGAGAAUUGUUCUCAGGGCUGAGAAAAAGGAAGAUGUUCUAGACACCCCACUACCACCAGUACCUGCUGAUGAUGCAUCUGCUGCCGUUAAGGCUGCUUACAAGAAGGCAUUUGAUGCUAAUCUUGAGGUAAGCUGCCUUAUGCUUGCUUGCAUGGAGCCCGAGCUGCAGAUGCAGUUCGAGACAAAUCAUGAGGCACACGAUAUGAUCGUGGCGCUCAAGGACAUGUUUCAGACACAGGCUAGGACCGAAAGGUUCAAUGUGUCCAAAGCCUUUCUGGAAUGCAAGUUAGCAGAAGGCGUAGGACCACAUGUAAUCAAGAUGGUUGGUUACACUCAGCGAUUGGAGAAGCUGGGCUUCCCAAUGGGCAAAGAGUUGGCCACUGACUUCAUUCUUUCAUCUCUUCCGCCUAGCUAUGGGAACUUCAUCUCGAACUACCAUAUGCAUGGGACGGAGAAGGGUCUGAAUGAGCUGUGUGGUGUGCUCAAGACAGCAGAGGUAGACAUUAAGAAAAGCGCUAGUACCAGCCAUGUGAUGGCUGUACAGAACAAGCCUACCUUCAAGAAGAAGGGCAAUUCUUGGAAGAAGAAGGGUAAGGCUGGAGUGUCCAAGCCAAACCCAGCGCCCAAGGCUAAAGCUGGACCUGCUCCAGAUAAAGAGUGCUUUUACUGUCAUGAACUUGGUCACUGGAAGAGAAACUGCAAGCAGUACCUAGCUUCGUUGAAGAACGGCGGAAGUAAGAGUACUUCUACCUCAGGUACGCUUGUUGUUAAUGUUAUAGACAACAUAUUUCUCGCUGAUACAGUUAUUAAUUCUUGGGUAUUUGAUACCGGAUCGGUUGCUCAUAUUUGCAAUUCGAUGCAGGGAAUGAUAAGAAGUAGAAGCGUGGAAAGAGGAGAAGUUGAUUUCCGCGUGGGCAAUAAUGCAAGAGUUGCUGCGUUGACCGUCGGGACGAUGCAACUCCACCUCCCGUCAGGAUUUAUUAUGGAGUUGAAUAAUUGUUAUUUUGUUCCUAGUUUAAGUCGAAACAUUUUGUCUCCUUCAUGUUUGAUGAAGGAUGGUUAUUCAUUUGCGAGUGAAAACAAUGGUUGUGUGAUCUCUAAGAAUAAUAUGUUUAUGGCUUUUGCACCCAUUGUGAAUGGAUUAUUUGUUUUAAAUCUUGACGGUUCACCUGUCUGUAAUGUAAGUGCUAAAAGGCCUCGGCCUAAUGAUUUGAGUCCUACCUACUUGUGGCAUUGUCGUUUGGGUCAUAUAAGUGAAAAGCGCAUGAAGAAGCUCCAUUCUGAUGGACUUCUAACUUCGUUUGAUUUUGAAUCAUACGAGACAUGCGAGGCUUGCUUGCUAGGCAAGAUGACCAAGACGCCUUUCACAGGAUUUCCUGAGAGAGCAGUAGACUUGUUGGAACUCGUACAUAGUGAUGUAUGCGGACCAAUGAGCACGACGGCUAGAGGAGGAUUCCAAUACUUCAUAACUUUCACUGAUGAUUUUAGUAGAUAUGGCUAUGUCUACUUGAUGAGGCAAAGUCUGAAACCUUUGAAAAGUUCAAGGAAUUUCAGAAUGAAGUUGAAAAUCAGCGUGGCAAGAAAAUUAAGGCCUUACGAUCUGAUCGUGGAGGCGAGUAUUUGAGCCACGAGUUUAGCAAUCAUCUAAAGAGUUGCGGAAUUGUUCCACAACUUACGCCGCCUGGAACACCUCAGAGAAACGGUGUGUUCGAGCUACGUAAUCGAACAUUGUUAGACAUGGUUCGAUCAAUGAUGAGCCAGUCGGACCUACCGUUGUCAUUUUGGGGAUACGCUCUAGAAACAGCAGCUUUCACACUAAAUAGGGUACCAUCUAAAUCCGUUGUUAAGACACCAUAUGAGAUAUGGACUGGAAAGGUUCCUAGUUUGUCUUUUCUAAAGAUUUGGGGAUGUGAAGUGUUUGUCAAGCGACUUCAGUCGGACAAGAUCACACCCAAGUCGGAUAAGUGCAUUUUCGUGGGAUACCCAAAGGAAACUUUGGGAUAUUAUUUCUACAACCGAUCAGAAGGCAAAGUGUUUGUCGCUCGGAACGGGGUUUUCCUAGAGAAAGAGUUUCUCAAAGGAGAAAAGAGUGGAAAGACAGUGCAUCUUGAAGAAGUUCAAGAUGAGCCAAUCGGGCAAGAAUCAAUGAGUGAUGCUAACGUAGCAGAACAAGUUGAGAUACCCAUGGCAAGAGAAGCACCGCCACAACCACGAAGGUCGGCAAGGCUCCGCGAAAUGCGGGAAAUAUUAUUGUUGGACAAUGAUGAGCCUGCGACAUAUGCAGAAGCAAUGAUGGACCCAGACUCCGAAAAAUGGCAGAGUGCCAUGCAAUCCGAAAUAGAGUCCAUGGGAGACAAUCAAGUUUGGAACUUGGUUGACCCGCCUGAUGGUGUUAAAGCCAUAGAGUGCAAGUGGAUCUAUAAGAAGAAAAAGGACAUGGAUGGAAAUGUUCACAUCUAUAAAGCACGACUUGUCGCAAAAGGUUUUUGACAAGUUCAAGGAGUUGACUACGACGAGACCUUCUCCCCCGUAGUGAUGCUUAAGUCCAUUCGGAUUAUUCUAGCUAUAGCUGCAUAUUUCGAUUAUGAGAUAUGGCAGAUGGAUGUCAAGACAGCUUUCCUGAAUGGAAACCUAGCUGAGGACGUGUAUAUGAUACAACCCGAGGGUUUUGUCGAUCCGAAAAAUGCUGGAAAGGUAUGCAAGCUUCAGAGGUCCAUUUAUGGAUUGAAGCAAGCAUCUAGGAGUUGGAACAUUCGUUUUGAUGAAGUGGUCAAAGGGUUUGACUUCACCAAGAACGAAGAAGAGUCUUGUGUUUACAAGAAGGUUAGUGGGAGCUCUGUAGUAUUUCUAAUCUUAUAUGUGGAUGACAUAUUACUGAUUGGAAAUAACAUUCCUAUGCUUGAGUCCGUAAAGACUUCACUGAAAAAUAGUUUUUCGAUGAAGGACUUAGGGGAAGCGGCAUAUAUUCUGGGCAUUAAGAUCUAUAGAGAUAGAUCAAGAAGGCUUAUAGGUUUGAGCCAAGAUACUUAUAUUGACAAAGUGUUGAAGCGGUUCAGCAUGGAAGAGGCAAAGAAAGGGUUCUUGCCUAUGUCACAUGGCAUACAUCUCAGCAAGACUCAGUGUCCUUCGACUGCUGAUGAGCGGGAUCGCAUGAGUAGAGUGCCAUAUGCCUCGGCUAUUGGAUCUAUCAUGUAUGCAAUGAUAAGUACUCGCCCAGAUGUUUCAUAUGCGCUAAGUAUGACAAGCAGACACCAAUCUGAUCCAGGUGAGAGUCACUGGACAGCGGUGAAAAAUAUUCUUAAGUACUUGAGAAGGACUAAAGAUAUGUUCCUCGUCUAUGGAGGUCAGGAGGAGCUCGUUGUAACAGGUUACACCGAUGCUAGUUUCCAGACCGACAGAGAUGAUUCAAAGUCACAAUCAGGAUUUGUGUUCACGCUAAAUGGUGGUGCUGUUAGUUGGAAGAGUUCCAAGCAGGAGACGGUGGCCGAUUCUACGACAGAAGCCGAGUACAUCGCGGCUUCGGAAGCCGCGAAGGAAGGUGUUUGGAUAAGGAAUUUCCUCAUUGAGCUUGGUGUGUUCCCGAAUGCGUCCAGCCCAUUGAAUCUCUACUAUGAUAACAAUGGGGCAAUUGCGCAAGCAAAGGAGCCAAGGAACCACCAGAAGAACAAACACGUAAUGCGGCGAUUUCAUCUCAUUCGAGACUUCGUUAACCGGGGUGAGAUCAAGAUAUCCAAAAUACACACGGAUCUGAACAUUUCUGAUUCGUUGACAAAACCACUCCCGCAGGCUAAGCAUGAUGCGCAUGUAAGAGCUAUGGGUAUUAGGUACCUUCUAGAUUGACUCUAGUGCAAGUGGGAGACUGUUGGAGGUAUGCCCUAGAGGCAAUCAUAGAGAUGAUGAUAUUCCAUUUGUAUCCAUGAUUUGUAUGUUGUAUUCAUUGAAUAUCCAUUAAAGGCUACUUGAAUUGAUUUGCAAUUAUGUGAAUUGUAUGUGAAACUCUUUACUUGUAUGGUUAUUCUAAAGUUGUCCCUAGUCGGAGUUCAUGUGAGGACACACAUGAAUAUUAGACUAGCACAUGUAUUAGUUGAUGACUAUGUUUCACAAGUCAUGGACAUGGAGAUGUUGAACUAAUAAUGUGGACACAUGUGGAGACAUGUGUUAGGACUGACCCAACACGAGAAGUAGUUCUCUCUUUAAACAACAUAUACGCUUUGCCCUUAGACCUGAGAUUGUCGCAUGUAUUCUAGAUGUGGAUCGACCUACUUAUGGGCUAUCAAACGCUACGCCGUAAUAGGGUAGUUAUAAAGGUAGCUUUCGGGUUUGUCAAGAAGCAUGCUAUGAGACAUGGUCAAUCAAGAUGGGAUUUGCCCCUCUCUGAUUGAGAGUGAUAUCUCUGGGCCCCUCGAGUGAUCGGAUUCGAAAAUGCAUGGCCAUGCUACGUACGGUUAAGAGUUAACCUACAAAGGGAUUCCGAAUCACAGGAUCGAGAAAGAGCGGUCGGCUUGAAGCUAGACCAAAUAUCGUGAGGCAAAGGGAAUAGCAUGUAUAUUAUGUUGUGAUGGUUCGUCUGAUAUGAUCUUCGUGUGCGUAUAGGAGUUGGCACGUCUUGCUAGAGGUCGCUACCGACUAUUGGGCCGAGUAGGAGUACUCGGGCCAUGUCUAUACGUAACCGAACCCAUAGGGUCACGCACUUAAGGGGCUGGAAGCCCAAUUCGGAUCUGAUCCGAGUUGGAUUAGGUUUAGGAGUACUAAUGGGCCUCCGAUCCAGAGGCCCAUCAGGAACCUCUAUAAAUAGAGGGGUGGGGGCGCCCUAGGGUUUACACCUUUUGGCGAAACACACCUGCCGCGCCUCCCACGCCCUCGCCUGUUGCAACUUGCGGAUCUAGCAGUCCGGCUUGCGACGCUUCCUCCCUGCACGUGUGGAUACCUUGGAGGUGUUGCGCCUGCAGCACUUGGACGAGCCAUCGACGAGCCGCCGACGAGCCACGACGAGCCAACAACGAGCCGCGGUACCGGAGGCGAUCUUGCUGUGCACGUGGACGAGCUGCUGAGGAGCUGCUGGAAGUGAUCGACUACGUACGACUACGUUGAUCGACUACGUACGACUACGUGAUCGUCUUCACUGCAUCGACGCAUAUCUACAUCUUCCGCACCAGUAGUGCGUCGAGUGGUAAUCCCGUGAUCCUUAUACGGCAGUUCUUCCUGGUUAUACGCGGUAGAAAUUUUGAUUUGCGCUAGUGUAGCCUACCUCGUAUCCCAACAACAGAAACAUAAGCUAGGAUUGGAAGGUAAAUCAACCUCAAUGCCCCACGCAUAGCAUGAGCAUCAUCGGCCUGGCACUUCUCAGCCUACUACGUACAACUCUAGCCUAUGUGCAUGUGGAUAGACCCAGGUUAAGAGAUAGACCUUGGUGGGCUAGCUUAUCAUUUUUGUUCCUUUUUUUUAAAAAAAGAGGGAGGAUUUUAAAUGACUAUAUUUUUUUUAAAAAAAGAUGAACUGACAUAAUUAUAUCUUUUGUGUGGAUGGUGGUUUGAAAAUGGGCCACAGUAGGCCCAAACUCGAGUCAAGGGCAUAUAACUGUCAAUACACGUAUUUUCGCAGUUAACUAUACUAAUGUACGCACCAAGUGUGUGUAUAUAUGUAUGUACAUAUAUAUAUAUGUGUGUAUAUAUAGAGUAUAUAUACUCUGUGGCUGGCUAUACAAUAAAUUAUUUUGUGUCCACCUAAUCCAACCGCACGUACCCAGCGCGAUCUCCAUUGAAACCACGCGGCACAUCCAGGAUUCUAGUUUCCAUCAGGCGCGGGCGGGUCCCCUGAACCGGCUGCAUGAGCCGAGCUAGCCGGGAGUUACUAACGAGCUGGUCGCUAGAGCUGAUAGCCUGGAGCGCCGGAUUUCAUUGACCGACAUGCACCCGUGAUCCGUAAUCAACGCCGGACGACAGUUCCUGCCAUACACAGCCGCAGUUGACGAGACUGACUCCACGACACAAGAUGUAAUUGGGUACUUGGUUGUACGAUAAUUCUAAAGUUUAUGUAUUUACGAGAAUACAAGAUGUAAUUGGGUACUUGCAUCCUUAAUGAAGCCAAAGUCAUUCCUUCCGUCCAGGCUGGAUGCAAGUAAUAUAUGGGUUACCAUAAUACAACAUCUGUACGUGGUGCAGGCUCCUCUGAAUGCAAACGUAUGUGAUACAAGAAAACAAGGUUAGGAGCCCAUCGUAUACAAGAAUACAAGGAAUAGAAACAAGUAACCACAAUUAGGAUAUGAGUUACAACGGCUUGGCGGCAAGUAAUUCCAAGGACCUGGUUACUAUAACUUCGGACCAAUUUACAAUGGAAGUUAGGAAGACGAGUUACCAACUUAGCACAAUUUGACAGUAAUCACGUCUGAGGACCUGGUACUAUAAUGCCGGGACCAAAUUACUACGAAGCUUAUUUAGGUAAAUACACUGAGAAAUGUGCUUGCAUGAUCCAUCUAUCUUGCCGACUAUACUUGUGAAGAAUUAGGAAAUGUGCAUAAGGAAUGCAUACCAAAUAAAGAUCAUGUAAUUACCAUAGUGACGUUAUGGAGUUAUCACAAUAGCAUUUACCAAUUACCAUAAUGGCGUAAUCCACUUACUGUUAUAAAAUGGUGCUUAAUUUAUUGAAUCAAAUGCCCCUGGAUCUACCACAUGGUAGUACAUAAUAUAAGCUAUAUUGACGUGGCACAUAUGAGCGAUAACAUUGGUUCGACUACUGUACAACAAUUUACAAAACAUUGCAGGCAUACCGUGUUCAUCUCGGUAAACAUGUUCUUCGCUGAGCAGCAACGGACGUCAACGAGGAGCUCCGAUUCUACGAGAAAAAGUGGCAACGGACAUCGUGGAAGACCGUGUCCCCUUUCUCGUAGAAUCGAAGCUCUUCCAUGACGAAGUACGGUGCCGCCCAGCGGAGAACAUGCUCGCCGAGAUGAUCACAGUCUCCAAGUUCAACAAGUUCUGCAGUGCUAAGGUAUGAAUUUUCUACUACUGGAGGUAGUGGUGAUGGUGGGGGCGAUCGUCGUUCCUCUCGUGGCAAGGGGAAAACAAUAGUUGGCCCUCAUGAUAAGUUGAAGAAAAUGAGCACAUGGGAGAAAGUAAUGCUUCAUUUUUUGCAGAGAUGUCAUGAAAAUGCUGUUCCAACGGGUUAGGAACCUCCUUUUGGUGGUCGUUAUGCUCCGCCGUCAGUCCCGGGUGUUUCACGUCUACUUAGUACUACCGUUGCAGGAAGCACAAAUAAACCAUAGGAUGAGGCUGGGUCAGCGGAACCUUCAUCUUCGCCACCCAAGGAUGCUUAAAGUCUUCCUAGAUAAUACUCAGUAGAUGGCUUGUUGUAGUGUAACAUGUUGUUUGGAUCUAUAAUUUAAAUGUGUGUAUUUCUAUCUAUAUCUAAACUUUGAGCAUGAUUUGCACUAUGAAGUUUGACAUGCUUUCAAUCGUGAAUAGCAUGUCGAUAAGUUGUAAAGCAUAUCAAAUAAUUGUAAUCCAUUUUCAUGCGUAAUCCAUUUUCGUGUGUAAUAUGAUGCAGAUAGACCGGCAAUGGAUGUAUAAUGCGUACAAAUGGAGCAAGGUGUUUAUUGAUGGCUUGCAUUAUUUUCUCAAAGUGACUAAAGCGAACAAGCUAGAGAAUGAGUUCGUAUGUUGUCCAUGCUUCCAAUGCAGUAAAAGAAGGACUAUUCAAAGGAUUCCUGGGGGACUAUUAACAACCACUUGUUUAGAUACAGUUUCAUGCCUAACUAUUUGGUUUGGACCAAGCAUGGCGAAAGAGGGGUUGUAAUGGAAGACAACGAAGAGGAGGAGGAGGAGGAUGACAACAUUCUGGACUGGGCUGCAGGCCAAGCUUUUGCAGAUACUACAAUGGCCGAAGCUAAUGAAGAUGAGUUUGCAGAAGAUGAUCCUACUGAUGACCUUGGUCAGGUGUUACGAGAUACACACAGAGAUUGCGAAACUGAGAAGGAAGCAGCAAAGUUGCAGCGCAUGAUAGAUGAUCACAAAAAAUUGUUGUACCCAGAUUGCCAGCAGGGCCAUAAAAAAUGGGGUACCACACUAGAAUUUAUCCAAUGUAAGGCCAAAAAUGGUGUGUCCGAUAAGGCAUUUCAGGGGAUGUUGAAAAUUGUCAAGAAGAUUCUUCCUGAGAAUAAUGAAUUGUCAUCCACAACAUAUGAAGCUAAAAAGAUUAUUUGCCCUCUAGGAUUGGAGGUUCAGAAGAUACAUGCAUGCCCUAAUUACUAUAUCCUCUAUCAUUUUGCUAAAUACGAGAAAAUGGAUGCUUGUCCCAUUUGUGAAGCGCUGCGGUAUAAGAUCAGGCGAGAUGAUCCUGGUGAUGUCGAGGGGCAGCCUCCCAAGAAGAGAGUUCCCGAGAAGGUGAUGUGGUAUUUCCCUAUAAUACCAUGCUUGAAGCGCUUGUUCAAGAACAAGGCAAAUGCUAAGUUGAUGCGAUGCCACACGCUUUCGUUCAUCACCCGGUCAUCCCGCCGCCGACCCACCAACAUAUGCCAGCUCCCCAGCCAGUAAUUCAUCAGCAGCAGGUCGACUGGACGGCAAGGAUAGCAGAGGUGAUUCAAGAUCAAUUUAGGUUGAAGCCGAAGGUACAAACCUACACAUACAGAAAUCCAUACCUGCCUACCUACGAUCUACUGCCGUUUCCCCAUUGGUACAAAGUUCCUAACCUCACCAAAAUCUCGGGGCUAGAUGACACCUCAACUGUGGAGCACAUAAACAGAUUCAUCAUCCAAUGUGGGGAGGAGGCUACACAGGAUGCUCUGCCGGUGCGUUUGUUCUCUUCGUCCCUGUCCGGGUCGGCUUUCCAGUGGUUCACUACGCUACCGCCCAAUUCCAUAGUUACUUGGGCCGACCUGGAGAAGCAGUUCCAUAAAUACUUCUACGCGGGAGUGCAUAAGAUGAAGCUCUCAGAUCUGACCAGCCUCAGGCAAAGAAGCGACGAGCCCGUGACCAAUUACGUGCAAAGGUUUAGGGAAGUCAGAAACAAAUGCUACACCCUGAUCUUGACUGAUGCGCAGCUGGCCGACAUCACCUUCCAAGGCCUCCUGCCACAUAUCAAGGAAAAAUAUGCAUCUCAGGAGUUCGAGAGUCUGAGUCAGAUCGUUCACCGAUUGGCCGGACAGGAAGUACGCCCUUUUGAUCAGCGGAGAAAUUUUUAGAAGAAGGUGGCGUACUUAGAGGGAUCUGAAUCUGAGGAGGAAACAGAAAUCGGCCUAGCGGAGUAGGUUAAAGGAAAGAAGCCGAUAUCGUGUCCUUUUGGGAAAAAGGAACCAAAGGCGUUCGGUUUCGACACGUCAAAGGCCGACAAAAUUUUUGACCUACUUCUCCAAGAAGGGCAGAUCAAACUCUCACCCUAUCAUACGAUCCCGUCGGCUGAGCAGCUAAAAAAGAUGAAGUAUUGCAAGUGGCACAAUGCCACGUCCCAUGACACAAACGAAUGCAAGAUCUUCCAUCAACAAAGCCAAUGAAAAUUGAUCAGCAUCCUUUUCCCACCAACAUGGUCGACACGGGAAGAAACGCACCUCAAACCAAGGUGCUGACAUCGGAAUCGGCUAAAAAGAGUGGCGCUGUGGACCCCAGGAAUCAGGCUUCUAUGGAAGAUGUCAAGGGGAAGCGACAGGAUCCAGAAUAUAAGUGUAAAUUGACAAAUUUAUUGAAAGAAUUUAAAGAUUGUUUUGCUUGGGAAUAUCAUGAGAUGCCUUGUUUAGACCAGUCCAUUGUUGAACACCGGUUGCCCAUAAAGCCAGGAUAUCGGCCAUAUCAGCAGCCCGCACGACGAUACAAUCCUAAAAUUCUACCUGACAUGAAGGCCGAGAUUACAAGGCUGAUUGAGGUGAAAUUUAUUCGGCAGUGCCGUUAUGCCGAAUGGAUCUCUACUAUUGUACCCGUAUACUAUUGUACCCGUAUGCAAGAAAAACGGAAAACUGUGCAUGUGCAUUAAUUUCAGAAACCUUAAUCAAGCUACGCCGAUGGAUGGGUAUCCAAUGCCGACAGCUGAUGUGUUGAUAGAUGCUGCCGCAGGACAUAAUGCCGGGUACAAUCAAAUAUUAAUGGCUGAAGAAGAUAUUUUGACAACGGCCUUCAGAUGUCCGGGCCACCUUGGUUUAUUCGAGUGGGUAGUAAUGACUUUUGGAUUAAAGAACGCCGGCGCUACAUAUCAACGGGCUAUGAAUUACAUCUUCCACAAACUCAUCGGCAUCCUGGUGGAAAUCUACAUCGAUGAUGUUGUGGUCAAGUCAAAAGGACAUCAAGAACAUCUGGCCGAUUUGCGAGAGGUAUUGGACUGCACAAGAUAGCAUGGUUUGAAAAUGAACCCGAACAAGUGUGCAUUUGGCGUGUCGGCCAGGCAAUUUCUGGGAUUCAUGGUUCAUGAGCGCGGGAUAGAAGUCAACCGGAAAAUCAUAGCGGCUAUCAACAAGGUCGUGGCCCCACAGAAUAAAACUGAGUUGCAAUCCUUAAUCGGCAAAGUUAACUUUAUCAGAAGAUUCAUAUCCAAUUUAUCCAGACGUAUUCAAGCCUUCACGCCAUUAUUGAAGUUAAAGCCCGACCAAGAGUUCGUGUGGGGAGAAGAACAGCGAAAAGCACUAGAAGACAUCAAGCAAUAUCUGAUCUCGCCAAUUGGCAAAGUUAACUUUAUCAGAAGAUUCAUAUCCAAUUUAUCCAAACGUAUUCAAGCCUUCACGCUAUUAUUGAAGUUAAAGCCCGACCAAGGAAGGAGUAAUAUACUAUGUCAGCAGAAGACUUCUAGAUGCGGAGACAAGAUACUCCCCAGUGGAACAGCUUUGCCUGUGUCUUUAUUUCUCAUGCACCAAGCUUAGGCACUACUUGUUAUCGGCAGAGUGCAUAGUUGUAUGCAAGGAUGACGUGGUAAAGUACAUGCUGUCGUUGCCGAUUUUGAAAGGGUGAAUUGGGAAGUGGAUUCUAGCGCUGUCGGAGUUUGACCUAAGAUAUGAAUUGGCCAAAGCUGUGAAGGGUCAGGUCAUGGCCAAUUUCGUGGCUCAGCACUGCGGAUCGGAAAUCGUCGUAGUUGAGCUGGUUCCAUGGACUUUAUACUUUGACGGUUCAUCAUGUGGGGCCGGAUCUGGAAUCGGCAUCGUUCUCAUAUCGCCUUGGGGGGCAAGUUAUGAUUUCUCUCUGCCGAUAGAAGCAUCAGCGACUAAUAAUCAGGCGGAAUACCGAGCCAUCUUAAAAGGCAUACAAUUAUUGAGGGAGAUCAAAGUCGAUGUUGUGGAAAUUUUUGGGGAUUCCAUGGUCAUCGUAGACCAAUUAACGGGAAGGUCCGAAUGCAAAGAUGAUGUUUUAAGAAUUUACUAUGAGGAUUGCCUCCAACUUCUAAAAGAAUUGAAUUCCUCGGCUAUUGAGCAUAUUCCCAGAAACUAUAAUGAAGAGGCUAAUAGGCUUGCCCAACACGCAUCCGGGUAUCGGCCGAUUCAAGGCGCCAUGACUCUAGAACUCGCGGCCGACUAUUGGCGAAGAGAGAUUGCCGACUACUUGAAAGAUCCAUCCAAGAAAGUGGAUCGGCGAGUGUGUUUCCAAGCCACAAAGUAUGUACUACUAGGAGAUGAUUUGUUCUACCGAAUGAUUGAUGGGGUUCUGCUCAAAUGCCUGGGGAUGGAAGAAGCAAAGAUCCUGAUGGGAGAAAUCCAUGAGGGCGUGUGUGGAGCUCACCAAUCGGCUCAUAAAAUGAAGUGGAUGAUUAGGAAUAACGGAUAUUAUUGGCCGACUAUCCUUGAAGACUGCUUCAAAUAUUAUAAAGGGUGUCAGGAUUGUCAGAAAUUUGGAAAUGUACAACGUGCGCUCGCAUCGGCCAUGAAUCCGAUAAUCAAGCCAUGGCCGUUCAGGGGUUGGGGAAUGGACCUCAUCGGACAGAUUUAUCCUCCAUCAAGCAAGGGACACAAGUUCAUAUUAGUAGCCACUGACUAUUUUACCAAAUGGGUGGAGGCGAUCCCACUAAAGGCCGUGACAUCGGUCGCUAUUGUGGAUUUCAUAAGAGACCACAUUGUCUAUCAUUUCGGUAUCCCUCAAACCAUCACGACCGACCAAGGGACGAUGUUCACUUCGGGAGAGUUCGAGGAAUUCACUGCCGAUAUGGGAAUUAAAUUGCUAAAUUCUUCUCCAUAUUAUGCUCAAGCUAACGGCCAGGCUUAAUCAUCCAAUAAGAGGAUAAUUAAGCUGAUCAAAAGGAAGAUUGAGGAACAACCUAAAAAGUGGCAUUUAUGUUUGACCGAGGCUUUAUGGGCUUAUAGGAUGGCCUGCCACGGGGCCACUAAGAUAUGUCCCUAUUAAUUGGUGUAUGGUCACAAGGCAGUGUUGCCUUGGGAAUUAAGGACGAGGUCAAGACGCACAUCGCUUCAAGAUUAGUUGAUGGCCGAUGACUACUCCUCACUCAUGAAAGGAGAACUCGAUGAUUUGGCAGCUCAACGAUUAAGGGCCCUGAUCAGCAUUGAGGAGAAUAAAAAAAGAGUGGCCAGGUGGUACGACAAGAAAGUCAAAAUCAAGCAAUUCUCCCAAGGAGAUUUGGUAUGGAAGUUGGUGCUGCCGAUAGGGUCUAAAGAUUCCAAAUUCGGUAAAUGGUCGCCCACUUGGGAAGGGCAGUAUAAAAUCGGCCGAUGCACUCCAGGAUAUGCGUAUAUACUGGAGACGAUCGAAGGAGAAGAAUUCACAAGAGCCUUGAACGGGAGGUACCUGAAAAGAUACUAUCCCAGUAUAUGGGUCGAUGCAUAAGUAUUUACGGAGUAUACCAAGAUGAUGCGGCCAGCUCCUAGUAGACCUUGUAGCCGGUGCAAGAACAACAUCGCCUCAAGAACAAGAAAUUCGUUCAAGUUGGCCGAUUUAUUAUUCGGUGCCAAUGAUAGGGUACAUGGCCGACACGGUACAAGUCGCCCUUAGAACAAAAAGUACCAACACGCCUACUGACCAUGCUUUUUCUUAAUUUCCCUCUCUACCCGAUCUAGUUCUAUCAAGAGACGGACACUUCUCUCCUCCACAUCCUUUAUCGCGGCUUCAACCUCAAGUUGACGGGGAAGAGGAUGGCUCCGGUCAAGCGGUAGUGGAGACAUUCCCGCUGUAGCGUCUUCAAGGGUGACUGGGCGAGGGAGCGGAUGACUCCUUUCUAUUGGCGGCCGCCUAGAGUAGUUGGCGUCGAUGUGAUCCCAGAUCCGCUUGACUUUUGCAGGAACGUAGUCCCUGAGUUCUUCACAGUGAGCUCUGAUCAAGUCUUUGUCCUCCUCCGACAACGGUUCAUCGGAGUGCAUGAUAUCGAUUGCCCGUUCCAGUUUGGGACUAAGGCGUCUCGGCUAAAAAAAUUGAUAAAUGGCCGCUCGACGUCAGAUUAAUCAUAAUGUCGAACCAUGGACCAGAGGGCAAAGUAAGAUCUCGUACCUAGUUGAUGGAGGAGGAGGAAAAGGAAGAAGAUGAAGAAGACAUCUUGGUGAUAGUCCGAUGGUAUGAACUACUAGAGGAGAAAAGGACGAGCGAGGCGAGUGCGCUUGGAAACAAUACGGGGUCUCGUACAUAUGAAGAGAAAAGGGGUGAGAGUUUGGUAAGACCCUCCCAUCGGAGUAAAAGGGGUGAUAAAUGAAAUGCCGCCAUGAAGGAUGGGUCAAAGUUGGAUUCAUACGCCAAACGGACAAAAGGCUUUGAUGUUUUUACAGAGCGGCCAAUUUUUUUACAAUUCAUCCAAGGAGGGCAUUAAUGGUCGCAAUCGCUCGUUGCCUAACUUUAUCGGCCAAAUCUAAGAUUCGCUGGUCAUCAUCGGCCGAUCCUGGGACUUCUGGCAUAUGACGGUGAAGUCUGAUUGCUUCAUGGGCUAGGUUUUGUCUCUCUUGCUUCAGUUCGGCGAUAACAGAGGGGAGGUCUUGGAGUCUCUUCUCUUCAAUGGCGAUAUCCCUAGUCACUUGCUCCAUCUCCUUGGUGAGCUCCGCCCUUCGGCGCUUGAGGCGAUCUAUGGCACCAACGAUACCCGGGCGGGAAUUUUCAAGGAAGAUGAUUCGGUGAUGCACAUCUUGUGCUCAGUGCUUGUAAGAGUCUUCCUCCUCACGAGCCUUAGCCAGCUUGGCGCGAUCGGCCAUGUGGUGCAGAGCCCUGAACACUGGGAUUCGCAUUGAUUCGAUGUAUGCGGCUGACGCCAGGGCUUCUUGCGCCUCCUCUGGGACUUGGCCACUAAUAUCACUAAAGAGUUGCCGAAUCGGCGAAGCGUCCUCCACCAAUCGGCCGAUGUCUUCUUGGUGGAGGGUCCGUAUGCUCUCGAGUUUGGCACGGACAUCAUCAGGGACUGAGCUCAGGGUGACCUGACAUGAGGCAACCUCCUCAUCAUUAGAUAGUGCGACUGCGAAGGAGAAGAGGCUGUUAUUUGGGGUAUCUUAUUCCUGCAGGAAAGUAAAAUGAUAAGCAUCGAUUAGACGACGGUAAUAGGAAAAUCGGCCGAUUUGGGUGACAAGUUUCUUAUUUCUUUGAAGUAGAUCUCUUCUGUUUGCGUCAACGGGAGUGCUGCCCUAGGUUUAGAAGCUGGUGCGACUGGCUCAUCGGAAGAGGAGGACUCGACGAUUAUUGGCGUCCUGCUUGGACCGGCCUCCUGGAAGGGUACAAGGAGCAAGUUCUUAUGAGUAUUGUUGGGGGGAAAUAUUAACGACCUCCUAAUGCCACUUAAAGCAAUAGUCAUGAAGACCCAGGCCCAUCUAAGGUAGCGAAAUUGCUGUCAGCCCAACAUGAAAGGGAGAGGCCAUGUUCCGCCUCGCCCGACCCGGAGUCCCGGGGUCGGACGCUCCCGAACCCUUGAAGACUAAACUCCGCCUCGCCCGACCCAGGGGACCGGGGUUGGGAACGCCCGACCCCCACCACAGAAACUCCGCCUCGCACGACCCUGGGCGCGGGGGUCGGACUCGCUCGGGUCCACAAGAUGAAUAUUCGCCUCGGGCGCGGACUGGAGGAUCAGGAUGACGAUCUCGUGGGUCCUCCUAUCGACCUCGCCAUUAAUGCGCCGUGGCCCUGCCAAGCCAAAAGGGAGCGGCGUCCCCAACGUAACCGGUCUCGAAUACCGGUGCGCGGCCGUGCGGCGCGAGCUGCAGUGGCCAUGGCUCCUUCUGAUUUGCCACAGAGUACUCAUGAGCUGCGCCGAACGACACAGGAGGGCGCAUCACUUGCCCUCGCGCCCCGUGCGCUCAACGGCAGUUUCAGGGAUGCGACGUCCGGGUCUUACGGUAAUCGGCGGGGUAACAGAAUCGGGCCUCCUCCCCAGCGGGCAUGAAUGCCGAGGCUGAGGGUCAUCAUCACGCUCGACGGCGACGGCGACCAGGGAGAUUAUCGACAAGAUCUGGAAGGAAUCCCCCUCCCUCUCCGGAUGCACUGACAGGGAUCGGAGGCUGGAGCAAGAGCAGGGGCCUUGGGACCCUCCCCUUGUAUUAUUUUUUUCUACUUGGCUUAUCCUUUCUACCUCUUCUCCUGACGCCCAGUUCGACUGUAACCCCGAGCUCCCUCUUGUGCUAUAAAAGGGGGACUCGGACUCUCUCUCAGGGGAACAAUACACUCUCACACUCCCUUAGAGCACAAGCACGCUCAAGAGACCUGCGAUAAGUUCCCUCUCUCGUCCAUCUGUAACCCCUACUACAGAGCCCCGUGUGGGCAACACGAGCCGCCUCGAUACUGGACGUAGGGCCUCCUUUGCCCAAACCAGUCUAACCCCGUGUCUCCCACGCCACCAUCCGAAGCCUUACGCGCAUAAAAGAAAUUUACUAGUCUAGAGUCUUGAUCCGCAAAUCUUGACAACGAUAGUUGGCGCGCCAGGUAGGGGACCUUUGCGCGUACAUCUCCGGCUUCAGAUGGCCAGCCACAACACCAGCUUCACUCCGGGCUCCCUGAUCCGCUUCGGGAGUCUGGACUUCCUCACCACCGGGGAGGGGAUCGAGCUGAUCCCUCUCCUCGUCUUGCCCGCUCGUCCUGCCAUCCCCGGCCCCACAGCUGGGACAACGGCGAGCGGCCAGGCGUGCGCUGGAGGGCCCUUCCCAAGUGGUCGGCUCUUUGGGCUGCGCAAUGCUGCGGUGACUUACGGUCACCUCCUGACGCGGUCCAUGACCGUGUCGCCCGCGAGCAACAAACUCGCGGGCGUGGCGAGGACAAUCUCCGACACCGGCUCCGACAGCGGGAGCCACCACCCCUCACGUGAGUGCUUCAUGGCCGACGUGCACUCCGAGGGGUCCAACAACGACGGCGCCAAAGGGAGACAGAGGACUCCCCCUCCGCGCGCCGUGGUGACGACCGGGGCCGUUGGCAAGGCUCCGAAGCACCCUCGGCAACCGGGGACGCGCACGGCGUCCUACCAAGAAGUCGAAUGCCCGAUACUAAUGUGUUGGAUGAAUGAUCAGUUUUUCAGCAGUGGAAUGUGCAAACACCAGCUAGCAGUACUGAAGUUGGAUGGAAGGUUGGCUUUGUCUGAACAAAUCAGUCCUUUCCGAGGCGAGGGCCCUGGCACGCGUCAUUUUGCAGUUGCUCUGAUAGAGUGCCAGGUUUUGGCGUUCAGCCGAAGUAGCUUUGGUGGGGUUCAUAUUGCUCCGUCGGUACAAGAACUAGCGCCCAGACAACCCAGAAUUGUGGAGUGCCUAGACAUCCAAGAUCCAACCCAGACAGAAACAUAAGCUAGGAUUGGAAGGUAAAUCAACCUCAAUGCCCCACGCAUAGCAUGAGCAUCAUCGGCCUGGCACUUCUCAGCCUACUACGUACAACUCUAGCCUAUGUGCAUGUGGAUAGACCCAGGUUAAGAGAUAGACCUUGGUGGGCUAACUUAUCAUUUUUGUUCCUUUUUUUUUAAAAAAAGAGGGAGGAUUUUAAAUGACUAUAUUUUUUAAAAAAAAAGAUGAACUGAAAUAAUUAUAUCUUUUGUGUGGAUGGUGGUUUGAAAAUGGGCCACAGUAGGCCCAAACUCGAGUCAAGGGCAUAUAACUGUCAAUACACGUAUUUUCGCAGUUAACUAUACUAAUGUACGCACCAAGUGUGUGUAUAUAUGUAUGUAUAUAUAUAUAUCUGUGUGUGUAUAUAUAGAGUAUAUAUACUCUGUGGCUGGCUAUACAAUAAAUUAUUUUGUGUCCACCUAAUCCAACCGCACGUACCCAGCGCGAUCUCCAUUGAAACCACGCGGCACAUCCAGGAUUCUAGUUUCCAUCAGGCGCGGGCGGGUCCCCUGAACCGGCUGCAUGAGCCGAGCUAGCCGGGAGUUACUAACGAGCUGGUCGCUAGAGCUGAUAGCCUGGAGCGCCGGAUUUCAUUGACCGACAUGCACCCGUGAUCCGUAAUCAACGCCGGACGACAGUUCCUGCCAUACACAGCCGCAGUUGACGAGACUGACUCCACGACACAAGAUGUAAUUGGGUACUUGGUUGUACGAUAAUUCUAAAGUUUAUGUAUUUACGAGAAUACAAGAUGUAAUUGGGUACUUGCAUCCUUAAUGAAGCCAAAGUCAUUCCUUCCGUCCAGGCUGGAUGCAAGUAAUAUAUGGGUUACCAUAAUACAACAUCUGUACGUGGUGCAGGCUCCUCUGAAUGCAAACGUAUGUGAUACAAGAAAACAAGGUUAGGAGCCCAUCGUAUACAAGAAUACAAGGAAUAGAAACAAGUAACCACAAUUAGGAUAUGAGUUACAACGGCUUGGCGGCAAGUAAUUCCAAGGACCUGGUUACUAUAACUUCGGACCAAUUUACAAUGGAAGUUAGGAAGACGAGUUACCAACUUAGCACAAUUUGACAGUAAUCACGUCUGAGGACCUGGUACUAUAAUGCCGGGACCAAAUUACUACGAAGCUUAUUUAGGUAAAUACACUGAGAAAUGUGCUUGCAUGAUCCAUCUAUCUUGCCGACUAUACUUGUGAAGAAUUAGGAAAUGUGCAUAAGGAAUGCAUACCAAAUAAAGAUCAUGUAAUUACCAUAGUGACGUUAUGGAGUUAUCACAAUAGCAUUUACCAAUUACCAUAAUGGCGUAAUCCACUUACUGUUAUAAAAUGGUGCUUAAUUUAUUGAAUCAAAUGCCCCUGGAUCUACCACAUGGUAGUACAUAAUAUAAGCUAUAUUGACGUGGCACAUAUGAGCGAUAACAUUGGUUCGACUACUGUACAACAAUUUACAAAACAUUGCAGGCAUACCGUGUUCAUCUCGGUAAACAUGUUCUUCGCUGAGCAGCAACGGACGUCAACGAGGAGCUCCGAUUCUACGAGAAAAAGUGGCAACGGACAUCGUGGAAGACCGUGUCCCCUUUCUCGUAGAAUCGAAGCUCUUCCAUGACGAAGUACGGUGCCGCCCAGCGGAGAACAUGCUCGCCGAGAUGAUCACAGUCUCCAAGUUCAACAAGUUCUGCAGUGCUAAGGUAUGAAUUUUCUACUACUGGAGGUAGUGGUGAUGGUGGGGGCGAUCGUCGUUCCUCUCGUGGCAAGGGGAAAACAAUAGUUGGCCCUCAUGAUAAGCUGAAGAAAAUGAGCACAUGGGAGAAAGUAAUGCUUCGUUUUUUGCAGAGAUGUCAUGAAAAUGCUGUUCCAGCGGGUUAGAAACCUCCUUUUGGUGGUCGUUAUGCUCCACCGUCAGUCCCGGGUGUUUCACGUCUACUUAGUACUACCGUUGCAGGAAGCACAAAUAAACCAUAGGAUGAGGCUGGGUCAGCGGAACCUUCAUCUUCGCCGCCCAAGGAUGCUUAAAGUCCUCCUAGAUAAUACUCAGUAGAUGGCUUAUCGUAGUGUAACAUGUUGUUUGGAUCUAUAAUUUAAAUGUGUGUAUUUCUAUCUAUAUCUAAACUUUGAGCAUUAUUUGCACUAUGAAGUUUGACAUGCUUUCAAUCGUGAAUAGCAUGUAGAUAAGUUGUAAAGCAUAUCAAAAAAUUGUAAUCCAUUUUCAUGCGUAAUCCAUUUUCGUGUGUAAUAUGAUGCAGAUAGACCGGCAAUGGAUGUAUAAUGCGUACAAAUGGAGCAAGGUGUUUAUUGAUGGCUUGCAUUAUUUUCUCAAAGUGACUAAAGUGAACAAGCUAGAGAAUGAGUUCGUAUGUUGUCCAUGCUUCCAAUGCAGUAAAAGAAGGACUAUUCAAAGGAUUCCUGGGGGACUAUUAACAACCACUUGUUUAGAUACAGUUUCAUGCCUAACUAUUUGGUUUGGACCAAGCAUGGCGAAAGAGGGGUUGUAAUGGAAGACAACGAAGAGGAGGAGGAGGAUGACAACAUUCUGGACUGGGUUGCAGGCCAAGCUUUUGCAGAUACUACAAUGGCCGAAGCUAAUGAAGAUGAGUUUGCAGAAGAUGAUCCUACUGAUAACCUUGGUCAGGUGUUACGAGAUACACACAGAGAUUGCGAAACUGAGAAGGAAGCAGCAAAGUUGCAGCGCAUGAUAGAAGAUUCUUCCUGAGAAUAAUGAAUUGUCAUCCACAACAUAUGAAGCUAAAAAGAUUAUUUGCCCUCUAGGAUUGGAGGUUCAGAAGAUACAUGCAUGCCCUAAUGACUAUAUCCUCUAUCAUUUUGCUAAAUACGAGAAAAUGGAUGCUUGUCCCAUUUGUGAAGCGCUGCGGUAUAAGAUCAGGCGAGAUGAUCCUGGUGAUAUCGAGGGGCAGCCUCCCAAGAAGAGAGUUCCCGUGAAGGUGAUGUGGUAUUUCCCUAUAAUACCACGCUUGAAGCGCUUGGUCAAGAACAAGGCAAAUGCUAAGUUGAUGCUAAGUUGAUGCGAUGCCACACGCUUUCGUUCAUCACCCGGUCAUCCCGCCGCCGACCCACCAACAUAUGCCAGCUCCCCAGCCAGUAAUUCAUCAGCAGCAGGUCGACUGGACGGCAAGGAUAGCAGAGGUGAUUCAAGAUCAAUUUAGGUUGAAGCCGAAGGUACAAACCUACACAUACAGAAAUCCAUACCUGCCUACCUACGAUCUACUGCCGUUUCCCCAUUGGUACAAAGUUCCUGACCUCACCAAGUUCUCGGGGCUAGAUGACACCUCAACUGUGGAGCACAUAAAUAGAUUCAUCAUCCAAUGUGGGGAGGAGGCUACACAGGAUGCUCUGCCGAUGCGUUUGUUCUCUUCGUCCCUGUCCGGGUCGGCUUUCCAGUGGUUCACUACGCUACCGCCCAAUUCCAUAGUUACUUGGGCCGACCUGGAGAAGCAGUUCCAUAAAUACUUCUACGCGGGAGUGCAUAAGAUGAAGCUCUCAGAUCUGACCAGCCUCAGGCAAAGAAGCGACGAGCCCGUGACCAAUUACGUGCAAAGGUUUAGGGAAGUCAGAAACAAAUGCUACACCCUGAUCUUGACUGAUGCGCAGCUGGCCGACAUCACCUUCCAAGGCCUCCUGCCACAUAUCAAGGAAAAAUAUGCAUCUCAGGAGUUCGAGAGUCUGAGUCAGAUCGUUCACCGAUUGGCCGGACAGGAAGUACGCCCUUUUGAUCAGCGGAGAAAUUUUCAGAAGAAGGUGGCGUACUUAGAGGGAUCUGAAUCUGAGGAGGAAACAGAAAUCGGCCUAGCGGAGUAGGUUAAAGGAAAGAAGCCGAUAUCGUGUCCUUUUGGGAAAAAGGAACCGAAGGCGUUCGGUUUCGACACAUCAAAGGCCGACAAAAUUUUUGACCUACUUCUCCAAGAAGGGCAGAUCAAACUCUCACCCUAUCAUACGAUCCCGUCGGCUGAGCAGCUAAAAAAGAUGAAGUAUUGCAAGUGGCACAAUGCCACGUCCCAUGACACAAACGAAUGCAAGAUCUUCCAUCAACAAAGCCAAUGAAAAUUGAUCAGCAUCCUUUUCCCACCAACAUGGUCGACACGGGAAGAAACGCACCUCAAACCAAGGUGCUGACAUCGGAAUCGGCUGAAAGGAGUGGCGCUGUGGACCCCAGGAAUCAGGCUUCUAUGGAAGAUGUCAAGGGGAAGCGACAGGAUCCAGAAUAUAAGUGUAAAUUGACAAAUUUAUUGAAAGAAUUUAAAGAUUGUUUUGCUUGGGAAUAUCAUGAGAUGCCUUGUUUAGACCAGUCCAUUGUUGAACACUGGUUGCCCAUAAAGCCAGGAUAUCGACCAUAUCAGCAGCCCGCACGACGAUACAAUCCUAAAAUUCUACCUGACAUGAAGGCCGAGAUUACAAGGCUGAUUGAGGUGAAAUUUAUUCGGCAGUGCCGUUAUGCCGAAUGGAUCUCUACUAUUGUACCCGUAUGCAAGAAAAACGGAAAACUGUGCAUGUGCAUUAAUUUCAGAAACCUUAAUCAAGCUACGCCGAUGGAUGGGUAUCCAAUGCCGACAGCUGAUGUGUUGAUAGAUGCUGCCGCAGGACAUAAAGUCAUCAGUUUUAUGGACGGUAAUGCCGGGUACAAUCAAAUAUUAAUGGCUGAAGAAGAUAUUUUGAAAACGGCCUUCAGAUGUCCGGGCCACCUUGGUUUAUUCGAGUGGGUAGUAAUGACUUUUGGAUUAAAGAACGCCGGCGCUACAUAUCAACGGGCUAUGAAUUACAUCUUCCACAAACUCAUCGGCAUCCUGGUGGAAAUCUACAUCGACGAUGUUGUGGUCAAGUCAAAAGGACAUCAAGAACAUCUGGCCGAUUUGCGAGAGGUAUUGGACUGCACAAGAUAGCAUGGUUUGAAAAUGAACCCGAACAAGUGUGCAUUUGGCGUGUCGGCCAGGCAAUUUCUGGGAUUCAUGGUUCAUGAGCGCGGGAUAGAAGUCAACCGGAAAAUCAUAGCGGCUAUCAACAAGGUCGUGGCCCCACAGAAUAAAACUGAGUUGCAAUCCUUAAUCGGCAAAGUUAACUUUAUCAGAAGAUUCAUAUCCAAUUUAUCCAGACGUAUUAUUGGAUCGACGCUGGUACAGGAGUUCGAAGGAAAGGAAGGAGUAAUAUACUAUGUCAGCAGAAGACUUCUAGAUGCGGAGACAAGAUACUCCCCAGUGGAACAGCUUUGCCUGUGUCUUUAUUUCUCAUGCACCAAGCUUAGGCACUACUUGUUAUCGGCAGAGUGCAUAGUUGUAUGCAAGGAUGACGUGGUAAAGUACAUGCUGUCGUUGCCGAUUUUGAAAGGGUGAAUUGGGAAGUGGAUUCUAGCGCUGUCGGAGUUUGACCUAAGAUAUGAAUUGGCCAAAGCUGUGAAGGGUCAGGUCAUGGCCAAUUUCGUGGCUCAGCACUGCGGAUCGGAAAUCGUCGUAGUUGAGCUGGUUCCAUGGACUUUAUACUUUGACGGUUCGUCAUGUGGGGCCGGAUCUGGAAUCGACAUCGUUCUCAUAUCGCCUUGGGGGGCAUGUUAUGAUUUCUCUCUGCCAAUAGAAGCAUCAGCGACUAAUAAUCAGGCGGAAUACCGAGCCGUCUUAAAAGGCAUACAAUUAUUGAGGGAGAUCAAAGUCGACGUUGUGGAAAUUUUUGGGGAUUCCAUGGUCAUCGUAGACCAACUAACGGGAAGGUCCGAAUGCAAAGAUGAUGUUUUAAGAAUUUACUAUGAGGAUUGCCUCCAACUUCUAAAAGAAUUCAAUUCCGCGGCUAUUGAGCAUAUUCCCAGAAACUAUAAUGAAGAGGCUAAUAGGCUUGCCCAACACGCAUCCGGGUAUCGGCCGAUUCAAGGCGCCAUGACUCUAGAACUCGCGGCCGACUAUUGGCGAAGAGAGAUUGCCGACUACUUGAAAGAUCCAUCCAAGAAAGUGGAUCGGCGAGUGUGUUUCCAAGCCACAAAGUAAAGAUCCUGAUGGGAGAAAUCCAUGAGGGCGUGUGUGGAGCUCACCAAUCGGCUCAUAAAAUGAAGUGGAUGAUUAGGAAUAACGGAUAUUAUUGGCCGACUAUCCUUGAAGACUGCUUCAAAUAUUAUAAAGGGUGUCAGGAUUGUCAGAAAUUUGGAAAUGUACAACGUGCGCUCGCAUCGGCCAUGAAUCCGAUAAUCAAGCCAUGGCCGUUUAGGGGUUGGGGAAUGGACCUCAUCGGAUAGAUUUAUCCUCCAUCAAGCAAGGGACACAAGUUCAUAUUAGUAGCCACUGACUAUUUUACCAAAUGGGUGGAGGCGAUCCCACUAAAGGCCGUGACAUCGGUCGCUAUUGUGGAUUUCAUAAGAGACCACAUUGUCUAUCAUUUCGGUAUCCCUCAAACCAUCACGACCGACCAAGGGACGAUGUUCACUUCGGGAGAGUUCGAGGAAUUCACUGCCGAUAUGGGAAUUAAAUUGCUAAAUUCUUCUCCAUAUUAUGCUCAAGCUAACGGCCAGGCUUAAUCAUCCAAUAAGAGGAUAAUUAAGCUGAUCAAAAGGAAGAUUGAGGAACAACCUAAAAAGUGGCAUUUAUGUUUGACCGAGGCUUUAUGGGCUUAUAGGAUGGCCUGCCACGGGGCCACUAAGAUAUGUCCCUAUUAAUUGGUGUAUGGUCACAAGGCAGUGUUGCCUUGGGAAUUAAGGACGAGGUCAAGACGCACAUCGCUUCAAGAUUAGUUGAUGGCCGAUGACUACUCCUCACUCAUGAAAGGAGAACUCGAUGAUUUGGCAGCUCAACGAUUAAGGGCCCUGAUCAGCAUUGAGGAGAAUAAAAAAAGAGUGGCCAGGUGGUACGACAAGAAAGUCAAAAUCAAGCAAUUCUCCCAAGGAGAUUUGGUAUGGAAGUUGGUGCUGCCGAUAGGGUCUAAAGAUUCCAAAUUCGGUAAAUGGUCGCCCACUUGGGAAGGGCAGUAUAAAAUCGGCCGAUGCACUCCAGGAUAUGCGUAUAUACUGGAGACGAUCGAAGGAGAAGAAUUCACAAGAGCCUUGAACGGGAGGUACCUGAAAAGAUACUAUCCCAGUAUAUGGGUCGAUGCAUAAGUAUUUACGGAGUAUACCAAGAUGAUGCGGCCAGCUCCUAGUAGACCUUGUAGCCGGUGCAAGAACAACAUCGCCUCAAGAACAAGAAAUUCGUUCAAGUUGGCCGAUUUAUUAUUCGGUGCCAAUGAUAGGGUACAUGGCCGACACGGUACAAGUCGCCCUUAGAACAAAAAGUACCAACACGCCUACUGACCAUGCUUUUUCUUAAUUUCCCUCUCUACCCGAUCUAGUUCUAUCAAGAGACGGACACUUCUCUCCUCCACAUCCUUUAUCGCGGCUUCAACCUCAAGUUGACGGGGAAGAGGAUGGCUCCGGUCAAGCGGUAGUGGAGACAUUCCCGCUGUAGCGUCUUCAAGGGUGACUGGGCGAGGGAGCGGAUGACUCCUUUCUAUUGGCGGCCGCCUAGAGUAGUUGGCGUCGAUGUGAUCCCAGAUCCGCUUGACUUUUGCAGGAACGUAGUCCCUGAGUUCUUCACAGUGAGCUCUGAUCAAGUCUUUGUCCUCCUCCGACAACGGUUCAUCGGAGUGCAUGAUAUCGAUUGCCCGUUCCAGUUUGGGACUAAGGCGUCUCGGCUAAAAAAAUUGAUAAAUGGCCGCUCGACGUCAGAUUAAUCAUAAUGUCGAACCAUGGACCAGAGGGCAAAGUAAGAUCUCGUACCUAGUUGAUGGAGGAGGAGGAAAAGGAAGAAGAUGAAGAAGACAUCUUGGUGAUAGUCCGAUGGUAUGAACUACUAGAGGAGAAAAGGACGAGCGAGGCGAGUGCGCUUGGAAACAAUACGGGGUCUCGUACAUAUGAAGAGAAAAGGGGUGAGAGUUUGGUAAGACCCUCCCAUCGGAGUAAAAGGGGUGAUAAAUGAAAUGCCGCCAUGAAGGAUGGGUCAAAGUUGGAUUCAUACGCCAAACGGACAAAAGGCUUUGAUGUUUUUACAGAGCGGCCAAUUUUUUUACAAUUCGUCCAAGGAGGGCCUUAAUGGUCGCAAUCGCUCGUUGCCUAACUUGAUCGGCCAAAUCUAAGAUUCGCUGGUCAUCAUCGGCCAAUCCUGGGACUUCUGGCAUAUGACGGUGAAGUCUGAUUGCUUCAUGGGCUAGGUUUUGUCUCUCUUGCUUCAGUUCGGCGAUAACAGAGGGGAGGUCUUGGAGUCUCUUCUCUUCAAUGGCGAUAUCCCUAGUCACUUGCUCCAUCUCCUUGGUGAGCUCCGCCCUUCGACGCUUGAGGCGAUCUAUGGCACCAACGAUACCCGGGCGGGAAUUUUCAAGGAAGAUGAUUCGGUGAUGCACAUCUUGUGCUCAGUGCUUGUAAGAGUCUUCCUCCUCACGAGCCUUAGCCAGCUUGGCGCGAUCGGCCAUGUAGUGCAGAGCCCUGAACACUGGGAUUCGCAUUGAUUCGAUGUAUGCGGCUGACGCUAGGGCUUCUUGCGCCUCCUCUGGGACUUGGCCGCUAAUAUCACUAAAGAGUUGCCGAAUCGGCGAAGCGUCCUCCACCAAUCGGCCGAUGUCUUCUUGGAGGAGGGUCCGUAUGCUCUUGAGUUUGGCACGGACAUCAUCAGGGACUGAGCUCAGGGUGACCUGACAUGAGGCAACCUCCUCAUCAUUAGAUAGUGCGACUGCGAAGGAGAAGAGGCUGUUAUUUGGGGUAUCUUAUUCCUACAGGAAAGUAAAAUGAUAAGCAUCGAUUAGACGACGGUAAUAGGAAAAUCGGCCGAUUUGGGUGACAAGUUUCUUAUUUCUUUGAAGUAGAUCUCUUCUGUUUGCGUCAACGGGAGUGCUGCCCUAGGUUUAGAAGCUGGUGCGACUGGCUCAUCGGAAGAGGAGGACUCGACGAUUAUUGGCGUCCUGCUUGGACCGGCCUCCUGGAAGGGUACAAGGAGCAAGUUCUUAUGAGUAUUGUUGGGGGGAAAUAUUAACGACCUCCUAAUGCCACUUAAAGCAAUAGUCAUGAAGACCCAGGCCCAUCUAAGGUAGCGAAAUUGCUGUCAGCCCAACAUGAAAGGGAGAGGCCAUGUUCCGCCUCGCCCGACCCGGAGUCCCGGGGUCGGACGCUCCCGACCCCUUGAAGACUAAACUCCGCCUCGCCCGACCCAGGGGACCGGGGUUGGGAACGCCCGACCCCCACCACAGAAACUCCGCCUCGCCCGACCCUGGGCGCGGGGGUCGGACUCGCUCGGGUCCACAAGACGAAUAUUCGCCUCGGGCGCAGACUGGAGGAUCAGGAUGACGAUCUCGUGGGUCCUCCUAUCGACCUCGCCAUAAAUGCGCCAUGGCCCUGCCAAGCCAAAAGGGAGCGGCGUCCCCAACGUAACCGGUCUCGAAUACCGGUGCGCGGCCGUGCGGCGCGAGCUGCAGUGGCCAUGGCUCCUUCUGAUUCGCCACAGAGUACUCAUGAGCCGCGCCGAAUGACACAGGAGGGCGCAUCACUUGACCUUGCGCCCCGUGCGCUCAAUGGCAGUUUCAGGGAUGCGACGUCCGGGUCUUACGGUAAUCGGCGGGGUAACAGAAUCGGGCCUCCUCCCCAGCGGGCACGAAUGCCGAGGCUGAGGGUCAUCAUCACGCUCGACGGCGAUGGCGACCAGGGAGAUUAUCGACAAGAUCUGGAAGGAAUCGCCCUCCCUCGCCGGAUGCGCUGACAGGGAUCGAAGGCUGGAGCAAGAGCAGCGGCCUUGGGACCCUCCCCUUGUAUUAUUUUUUUCUACUUGGCUUAUCCUUUCUACCUCUUCUCCUGACGCCCAGUUCGACUGUAACCCCGAGCUCCCUCUUGUGCUAUAAAAGGGGGACUCGGACUCUCUCUCAGGGGAACAAUACACUCUCACACUCCCUUAGAGCACAAGCACGCUCAAGAGACCUGGGAUCAGUUCCCUCUCUCGUCCAUCUGUAACCCCUACUACAGAGCCCCGCGUGGGCAACACGAGCCGCCUCGAUACUGGACGUAGGGCCUCCUUUGCCCAAACCAGUCUAACCCCGUGUCUCCCACGCCACCAUCCGAAGCCUUACGCGCAUAAAAGAAAUUUACUAGUCUAGAGUCUUGAUCCGCAAAUCUUGACAACGAUAGUUGGCGCGCUAGGUAGGGGACCUUUGCGCGUACAUCUCCGGCUUCAGAUGGCCAGCCACAACACCAGCUUCGCUCCGGGCUCCCUGAUCCGCUUCGGGAGUCUGGACUUCCUCACCACCGGGGAGGGGAUCGAGCUGAUCCCUCUCCUCGUCUUGCCCGCUCGUCCUGCCAUCCCCGACCCCACCGCCGGGACAACGGCGAGCGGCCAGGCGCGCGCCGGAGGGCCCUUCCCAAGUGGUCGGCUCUUCGGGCUGCGCAAUGCCGCGGUGACUUACGGUCACCUCCUGACGCGGUCCAUGACCGUGUCGCCCGCGAGCAACAAACUCGCGGGCGUGGCGAGGACAAUCUCCGACACCGGCUCCGACAGCGGGAGCCACCACCCCUCGCGUGAGUGCUUCAUGGCCGACGUGCACUCCGAGGGGUCCAACAACGACGGCGCCAAAGGGAGACAGAGGACUCCCCCUCCGCACGCCGUGGUGACGAUCGGGGCCCUUGGCAAGGCUCCGAAGCACCCUCGGCAACCGGGGACGCGCACGGCGUCCUGCUAAGAAGUCGAAUGCCCCUGCCACAAAGGCGGAGCGCGACAGCGGGCGCGCGAUGUCUAGCAGCGCAUCUGCGCAGACGAAGAGCGCCCUCAGCUCUUCGCUCGCGCCAACCAGAACAUCGCUGCCGCGGUGGCCCUACUCCGGCAACUCCCCGAGCCGGUGACGCUCGAGGAGCGAUGGGUGCGCCAAGAGAUGCGCGACUUGCUCGAAUGCGCCGCCGUCCAGCAGGUGGAAAGUUCCACGUCCAAGCGACGCGGACAAAACGCCAGCAGGGCGGCGCCCGACGCGCCUCCGGAGAGACGGGGGGAGUCUGUCCACCAACCUCCUCCUAGGGCAAACCAGGCCGCGUCCGCCCGGCGGACACCACCACCCGCGGGAGGCGGGGCUCGAUCCGUUCAUCGACGCGUCGGCCCCGUCCGCGAUGCCCGCGACACCCUGGAUGCGCGGAGGCGCUCCCGCGCGGAUAGGGAGGACGGGGUAGAUCGUGGCUACCACGUCCACUGUGGCGGGCGCUACGACAGCGAGGAAGACUGCAGCCCGAGCCCCGACCCGGGGGGGGGCCGGGCCUUCUCCGCGCGCAUCCUGAACGCGCCUUUUCCACCGCGCUUCAGGCAACCGACGAACGUAGCCAAAUACUCGGGGGAGACGAACCCUGGGGUUUGGCUCAGCGACUACUGGCUCGCAUGUCAAGCCGGCGGGGCGGACGAUGAUCUGUUCAUCAUCCGCAACCUACCACUCUUCCUGGCCGACUCGGCACGAGCCUGGCUGGAACAUAUCCCUUCGGGACAGAUUCGCUGCUGGAACGACCUGAAGGAGAUAUUUAUAGGAAACUUCCAGGGCACGUACACAUGCCCCGGCAACUCCUGGGAUGUCCGGAGCUGUCGCCAGGGAUCGGACGAGUCCCUCCGGGACUACAUCCGGCGCUUCUCCAGGAAGCGCACUGAGCUCUCCAACGUCACGGACGCCAACGUCAUAGGGGCCUUCUUAGCGGGAACCUCCUGCUGACCCCUCAUCCACGAGCUAGGGCGCCGAGGCCUGCGAACUACGGAGGAGCUCCUCAAUAUUGCCACCAGCUACGCCUCGGGCAAAGAGGCCGUUGGAGUGAUCUGCGACUGCUCCAAAGGCAAGGCAAAGUGGGAGGAGGAUGCUGACGAGGGCACCUCCAACCGCCACCAGAAGAAGAAAGGCAACCAGCGGCGCGAGGCCCCCCUCGUAGCUGCUGUCGAGAGCAAGCAAGGACAGCCGCCCCCGGAGGGCACUCCUGGCUUGUUUGACAAGUUGCUCGAGGGACCAUGCCUGAACCAUGAGUUCCCCGUGAAACACGCCUACAAGGACUGCAAUCUCAUGAAGAGGUACUUCGUAGGCAACCCAGUGAAGGGCGACCGGAAGCGGAAGCCCGAUGAGGAGAAGAAGGGCAACGAAGAGAAGGAAGACGGCUUCCCCAAGGUGGACGGCUGCUUCAUGAUCUUCAGCGGCCCGGCGGCGUACGACUCCAAGCGCAGUCAGAAGCUGGAGUGCCGAGCGAUCUACGCGGCCGAGCCGGCGAUGCCGGCCUUCCUCGACUGGUCGGGAUCAGCCAUCACCUUCGAUCGGUCCGACCACCCGGGAUGCGUCCGGCAUCCAGGACGCUACCCCCUUGUCGUCAACCCCAUCGUCGGCACGACGCGCCUCACCAAGGUGCUCAUGGAUGGAGGCAGCGGCCUCAACAUCCUCUACGCCGAGACCCUCGACGCUAUGGGGAUUGACCGCUCCCGCCUCCGUCCCAGCAAGGCGCCGUUCCACAGCGUCGUGCCAGGAAAACAGGCAAUGCCUCUCGGGCAGAUCGACUUGCCCGUCACUUUCGAGACCCCCUCCAAUUACAGGAAGGAGGUUGUUGGGAUACGAGGUAGGCUACACUAGCGCAAAUCAAAAAUUUCUACCGCGUAUAACCAGGAAGAACUGCCGUAUAAGGAUCACGGGAUUACCACUCGACGCACUACUGGUGCGGAAGAUGUAGAUAUGCGUCGGUGCAGUGAAGACGAUCACGUAGUCGUACGUAGUCGAUCACGUCCAGCAGCUCCUCAGCAGCUCGUCCACGUGCAGCAAGAUCGCCUCCGGUGCCGCGGCUCGUCGUCGGCUCGUCGUGGCUCGUCGGCGGCUCGUCGAUGGCUCGUCCAAGUGCUGCAGGCGCAACACCUCCAAGGUAUCCACACGUGCAAGCCGGAUUGCUAGAUCCGCAAGUUGCAACAGGCGAGGGCGUGGGAGGCGCGGCAAGUGUGUUUCGCCAAAAAGGUGUAAACCCUAGGGUGCCCCCACCCCUCUAUUUAUAGAGGUUCCUGAUGGGCCUCUGGAUCGGAGGCCCAUUAGUACUCCUAAACCUAAUCCAACUCGGAUCAGAUCUGAAUUGGGCUUCCAGCCCCUUAAGUGUGUGACCCUAUGGGUUCGGAUACGUAUAGACAUGGCCCGAGUACUCCUACUCAGCCCAAUAGUCGGUAGCGGCCUCUAGCAAGACGUGCCAACUCCUAUACGCAUACGAAGAUCAUAUCAGACGAACCAUCACAACAUGAUAUACAUGCUAUUCCCUUUGCCUCACGAUAUUUGGUCUAGCUUCAAGCCGACCGCUCUUUCUCGAUCCUGUGAUUCGGAAUCCCUUUGUAGGUUAACUCUUAACCGUACGUAGCAUGGCCAUGCAUUUUCGGAUCCGAUCACUCGAGGGGCCCAGAGAUAUCACUCUCAAUCAGAGAGGGGCAAAUCCCAUCUUGAUUGACCAUGUCUCAUAGCAUGCUUCUUGACAAACCCGAAAGCUAUAUUUAUAACUACCCUGUUACGGCGUAGCGUUUGAUAGCCCCUAAGUAGGUCGAUCCACAUCUAGAAUACAUGCGACAAUCUCAGGUCUAAGGACAAAGCGUAUAUGUUGUUUAAAGAGAGAACUACUUCUCGUGUUGGGUCAGUCCUAACACAUGUCUCCACAUGUGUCCACAUUAUUAGUUCAACAUCUCCAUGUCCAUGACUUGUGAAACAUAGUCAUCAACUAAUACAUGUGCUAGUCUAAUAUUCAUGUGUGUCCUCACAUGAACUCCGACUAGGGACAACUUUAGAAUAACCAUACAAGUAAAGAGUUUCACAUACAAUUCACAUAAUUGCAAAUCAAUUCAAGUAGCCUUUAAUGGAUAUUCAAUGAACACAAUAUACAAAUCAUGGAUACAAAUGGAAUAUCAUCAUCUCUAUGAUUGCCUCUAGGGCAUACCUCCAACAGUCUCCCACUUGCACUAGAGUCAAUCUAGAAGGUACCUAAUACCCAUAGCUCUUACAUGCGCAUCAUGCUUAGCUUGCGGGAGUGGUUUUGUCAACAGAUUAGAAAUGUUCAGAUCCGUGUGUAUUUUGCAUAUCUUGAUCUCACCCCGGUUAACGAAGUCUCCAAUGAGAUGAAAUCGCCGCAUAACAUGUUUGUUCUUCUGGUGGUUCCUUGGCUCCUUUGCUUGCGCAAUUGCCCCAUUGUUAUCACAGUAGAGAUUCAAUGGGCUGGACGCAUUCGGGAACACACCAAGCUCAAUGAGGAAAUUCCUUAUCCAAACACCUUCCUUCGCGGCUUCCGAAGCCGCGAUGUAAUCGGCUUCUGUCGUAGAAUCGGCCACCGUCUCCUGCUUGGAACUCUUCCAACUAACAGCACCACCAUUUAGCAUGAACACAAAUCCUGAUUGUGACUUUGAAUCAUCUCUGUCGGUUUGGAAACUAGCAUCGGUGUAACCUGUUACAACGAGCUCCUCCUGACCUCCAUAGACGAGGAACAUAUCUUUAGUCCUUCUCAAGUACUUAAGAAUGUUUUUCACCGCUGUCCAGUGACUCUCACCUAGAUCAGAUUGGUGUCUGCUUGUCAUACUUAGCGCAUAUGAAACAUCUGGGCGAGUACUUAUCAUUGCAUACAUGAUAGAUCCAAUAGCCGAGGCAUAUGGCACUCUACUCAUGCGAUCCCGCUCAUCAGCAGUCGAAGGACACUGAGUCUUGCUGAGAUGUAUGCCAUGUGACAUAGGCAAGAACCCUUUCUUUGCCUCUUCCAUGCUGAACCGCUUCAACACUUUGUCAAUAUAAGUAUCUUGGCUCAAACCUAUAAGCCUUCUCGAUCUAUCUCUAUAGAUCUUAAUGCCCAGAAUAUAUGCUGCUUCCCCUAAGUCCUUCAUCGAAAAACUAUUUUUCAGUGAAGUCUUUACGGACUCAAGCAUAGGAAUGUUAUUUCCAAUCAGUAAUAUGUCAUCCACAUAUAAGAUUAGAAAUACUACAGAGCUCCCACUAACCUUCUUGUAAACACAAGACUCUUCUUCGUUCUUGGUGAAGUCAAACCCUUUGACCACUUCAUCAAAACGAAUGUUCCAACUCCUAGAUGCUUGCUUCAAUCCAUAAAUGGAUCUCUGAAGCUUGCAUACCUUUCCAGCAUUUUUCGGAUCGACAAAACCCUCGGGCUGUAUCAUAUACACGUCCUCAGCUAAGUUUCCAUUCAGGAAAGCUGUCUUGACAUCCAUCUGCCAUAUCUCAUAAUCGAAAUAUGCAGCUAUAGCUAGAAUAAUCCGAAUGGACUUAAGCAUCACUACGGGCGAGAAGGUCUCGUCGUAGUCAACACCUUGAACUUGUCGAAAACCUUUUGCGACAAGUCGUGCUUUAUAGAUGUGAACAUUUCCAUCCAUGUCCUUUUUCUUCUUAUAGAUCCACUUGCACUCUAUGGCUUUAACACCAUCAGGCGGGUCAACCAAGUUCCAAACUUGAUUGUCUCCCAUGGACUCUAUUUCGGAUUGCAUGGCACUCUGCCAUUUUUCGGAGUCUGGGUCCAUCAUUGCUUCUGCAUAUGUCACAGGCUCAUCAUUGUCCAGCAAUAAUAUUUCCCGCAUUUCGCGGAGCCUUGCCGACCUUCGUGGUUGUGGCGGUGCUUCUCUUGCCAUGGGUAUCUCAACUUGUUCUGCUACAUUAGCAUCACUCAUUGAUUCUUGCCCGAUUGGCUCAUCUUGAACUUCUUCAAGAUGCACUGUCUUUCCACUCUUUUCUCCUUUGAGAAACUCUUUCUCUAGGACAACCCCAUUCCGAGCGACAAACACUUUGCCUUCUGAUCGGUUGUAGAAAUAAUAUCCCAAAGUUUCCUUUGGAUAUCCCACGAAAAUGCACUUAUCCGACUUGGGUGUGAUCUUGUCCGACUGAAGUCGCUUGACAAACACUUCACAUCCCCAAAUCUUUAGAAAAGACAGACUAGGAACCUUUCCAGUCCAUAUCUCAUAUGGUGUCUUAACUAUGGAUUUAGAUGGUACCCUAUUUAGUGUGAAAGCUGCUGUUUCUAGAGCGUAUCCCCAAAAUGACAACGGUAGGUCCGACUGGCUCAUCAUUGAUCGAACCAUGUCUAACAAAGUUCGAUUACGUCGCUCGGACACACCGUUUCUCUGAGGUGUUCCAGGCAGCGUAAGUUGUGGAACAAUUCCGCAACUCUUUAGAUGAUUGCUAAACUCGUGGCUCAAAUACUCGCCUCCACGAUCAGAUCGUAAGGCCUUAAUUUUCUUGCCACGCUGAUUUUCAACUUCAUUCUGAAAUUCCUUGAACUUUUCAAAGGUUUCAGACUUGUGCCUCAUCAAGUAGACAUAGCCAUAUCUACUAAAAUCAUCAGUGAAAGUUAUGAAGUAUUGGAAUCCUCCUCUAGCCGUCGUGCUCAUUGGUCCGCAUACAUCACUAUGUACGAGUUCCAACAAGUCUACUGCUUUCUCAGGAAAUCUUGUGAAAGGCAUCUUGGUCAUCUUGCCUAGCAAGCAAGCCUCACAUGUCUCGUAUGAUUCAAAAUUAAACGAAGUUAGAAGUCCAUCAGAAUGGAGCUUCUUCAUGCGCUUUUCACUUAUAUGACCCAAACGACAAUGCCACAAGUAGGUAGGACUCAAAUCAUUAGGCCGAGGCCUUUUAGCACUUACAUUACAGACAGGUGAACCAUCAAGAUUUAAAACAAAUAAUCCAUUCACAAUGGGUGCAAAAGCCAUAAACAUAUUAUUCUUAGAGAUCACACAACCAUUGUUUUCACUUGCAAAUGAAUAACCAUCCUCCAUCAAGCAUGAAGGAGAUAAAAUGUUUCGACUUAAACUAGGAACAAAAUAACAAUUAUUCAACUCCAUAAUAAAUCCUGACGGGAGGUGGAGUUGCAUCGUCCCGAUGGUCAAAGCAGCAACUCUUGCAUUAUUGCCCACGCGGAAAUCAACUUCUCCUCUUUCCACGCUUCUACUUCUUAUCAUUCCCUGCAUCGAAUUGCAAAUAUGAGCAACCGAUCCGGUAUCAAAUACCCAAGAAUUAAUAAUUGUAUCAGCGAGAAAUAUGUUGUCUAUAACAUUAACAACAAGCGUACCUGAGGUAGAAGUACUCUUACUUCCGCCAUUCUUCAAGGAAGCUAGGUACUGCUUGCAGUUUCUCUUCCAGUGACCAAGUUCAUGAUAGUAAAAGCACUCUUUGUCUGGAGCAGGUCCAGGUCCAGCUUUAACCUUGGGCGGUGGGUUUGGCUUGGACGUUCCAGCCUUGCCCUUCUUCUUCCAAGAAUUGCCCUUCUUCUUAAAGUUGGGCUUGUUCUGUAUCGCCAUCACAUGGCUGGUACUAGCGCUUUUCUUGAUGUCAGCUUCUGCUGUUUUAAGCAUGCCACACAGCUCAUUCAGACCCUUCUCCGUCCCAUGCAUAUGGUAGUUCGAGAUGAAGUUCCCAUAGCUAGGCGGAAGAGAUGAAAGAAUGAAAUCAGUGGCCAACUCUUGGCCCAGUGGGAAGCCUAGCUUCUCCAACCGUUGAGUGUAACCAACCAUCUUGAUUACGUGUGGUCCUACUGCUGCGCCUUCUGCUAGCUUGCUCUCAACAAAGGCCUUAGACACAUUGAACCUUUCAGUCCUGGCCUGUGUUUGGAACAUGUCUCUAAGCGCCACGAUCAUAUCGUGCGCCUCAUGGUUUGUUUCGAACUGCAUCUGCAGCUCGGGUUCCAUGCAAGCAAGCAUAAGGCAGCUUACUUCGAGGUUAGCAUCACAUGCUUUCUUGUAAGCAUUCUUAGCAGCAGCGGGUGCAUCAUCACCAGAUUCUUCUGGUAGUGGGUUGUCUAGAACAUCUUCCUUUUUCUCAGCCCUGAGAACAAUUCUCAGGUUACGGAUCCAAUCCGAGUAGUUUGUUCCAUUCAACUUGUCCUUCUCAAGGACCGAACGCAAAGCAAACGAUGUGGUGGUGUUGCUAGGUGCCAUUUAAUCUACAACAAAAGUAAUGCAAAAUACACUAAGACAAACGUAUCCAGGAUAGAGCAAAUUACAUUAAACUAUUUUAACAGAAUCUACUCCCACUAAAAUCAAUAUCCCUCUAUUAAAACUUAGUGAUUCAGGAUCCACAACUAACAAGUCUACUAGUGAGCUUUAGCAUCACCGCUAGCAAACGAGGUAGAUCGGUAAGCAACUUUUGCUAAUCAUAUCACAUAUGACUCCUGUUGUUGGGUGACAUCUCCAUGUCUCGGCGCCCAACCUUUAUGCCCCAAGGUCCUUAACCGUUAAGAUAACCUUGUUAAGCAAACCAACCCUUAUGCGUGUAAGUGUCCGACACAAACCCGUCUAGUCAAGGAAAACUAGUGGCACCCUAAUUUCAUAGACCCACCACUAAUUGUACAAGACAUGGGACGGUGCAAGUUUUAGUUGGGAGGGCAUACUAACUUAAACUUGGUGAGGGAUUGUUCUACUUCUAACAUCACAGUCAUGCAGAAAGUAAAACAUAAACAGAAUGGCAUUCACACAGUUGUGACACAGUAUGGCCCGUUUUAAUAUGGUGAUCUCCAUCUCCAUAGAACCUGUUCACCAUGGUGAUCUCCAUCUCCAUGUUCCAUGUGCGCCAUCCUCCUGGUGAUGAGUCCUCCAAGAACUAGAGCAUGCUAUUACGCCUAAUACCUAGUAAAGAAUCUAGUAAUGAAGAUUACAUAGUUGCUUGGAUCAUCACAGAUUGGUACGCAGACCAUCAAAUACAAUAAAGUGACAACACAUAUGGCUCCUGCCGUGUUGCCGUACGCGUGACACGCAGGUCACGAAUGAGUUACACACAUGCAUCACAUACACAAGGGGGCCAUACUGAUCACAAGAUACAUACAUACAUCCUGCAAAAGAGAGUUAGGCGUCCUAACGUUCCAAACUUCGGAGGCCCGAAACUCCAUCUUCCAAGCCGAAUUUGGGAAAUCUAAUUUUGCCGAAAACGGCAAAGCGGUUGAAAUUCACGUGUAACUUUUUCUGUAGAUCAAUUUUCGUAUAAAAAUCGCCCCGAUCCGAGAUCGUACCGAAAAGUUACGGCUGAUUUACCGAAGCAUACGCAUACGGCAAAAUCCCGACCCCGGCAGUAGAUCCCAUCUACUAUUGCACAUGUAAUGCGCCUGGCGUAUUACCCUGGAUUUCGAUUUGACCAAUCAUAUUGAUCUUCCCUCACUGCAACUGGAUUUACGUGUAUCACUUAACUCCGAUGGCGGAAACCGACCGGUAGGAGUAUGUCAUUACACUACCAUUGCAGCAAGGGCACGAAACCAGGACAUAGAUCAAACAGAAAACUCGCAUAUCUCCAUAUGCACACAUCCCGAAUCCAAAACUAAGCAGCUACGGCUCUGAUACCACUGUUGGGAUACGAGGUAGGCUACACUAGCGCAAAUCAAAAAUUUCUACCGCGUAUAACCAGGAAGAACUGCCGUAUAAGGAUCACGGGAUUACCACUCGACGCACUACUGGUGCGGAAGAUGUAGAUAUGCGUCGGUGCAGUGAAGACGAUCACGUAGUCGUACGUAGUCGAUCACGUCCAGCAGCUCCUCAGCAGCUCGUCCACGUGCAGCAAGAUCGCCUCCGGUGCCGCGGCUCGUCGUCGGCUUGUCGUGGCUCGUCGGCGGCUCGUCGAUGGCUCGUCCAAGUGCUGCAGGCGCAACACCUCCAAGGUAUCCACACGUGCAGGGAGGAAGCGUCGCAAGCCGGAUUGCUAGAUCCGCAAGUUGCAACAGGCGAGGGCGUGGGAGGCGCGGCAAGUGUGUUUCGCCAAAAAGGUGUAAACCCUAGGGUGCCCCCACCCCUCUAUUUAUAGAGGUUCCUGAUGGGCCUCUGGAUCCGAGGCCCAUUAGUACUCCUAAACCUAAUCCAACUCGGAUCAAAUCCGAAUUGGGCUUCCAGCCCCUUAAGUGUGUGACCCUAUGGGUUCGGAUACGUAUAGACAUGGCCCGAGUACUCCUACUCGGCCCAAUAGUCGGUAGCGGCCUCUAGCAAGACGUGCCAACUCCUAUACGCAUACGAAGAUCAUAUCAGACGAACCAUCACAACAUGAUAUACAUGCUAUUCCCUUUGCCUCACGAUAUUUGGUCUAGCUUCAAGCCGACCGCUCUUUCUCGAUCCUGUGAUUCGGAAUCCCUUUGUAGGUUAACUCUUAACCGUACGUAGCAUGGCCAUGCAUUUUCGGAUCCGAUCACUCGAGGGGCCCAGAGAUAUCACUCUCAAUCAGAGAGGGGCAAAUCCCAUCUUGAUUGACCAUGUCUCAUAGCAUGCUUCUUGACAAACCCGAAAGCUACCUUUAUAACUACCCUGUUACGGCGUAGCGUUUGAUAGCCCCUAAGUAGGUCGAUCCACAUCUAGAAUACAUGCGACAAUCUCAGGUCUAAGGACAAAGCGUAUAUGUUGUUUAAAGAGAGAACUACUUCUCGUGUUGGGUCAGUCCUAACACAUGUCUCCACAUGUGUCCACAUUAUUAGUUCAACAUCUCCAUAUCCAUGACUUGUGAAACAUAGUCAUCAACUAAUACAUUAGCUAGUCUAAUAUUCAUGUGUGUCCUCACAUGAACUCCGACUAGGGACAACUUUAGAAUAACCAUACAAGUAAAGAGUUUCACAUACAAUUCACAUAAUUGCAAAUCAAUUCAAGUAGCCUUUAAUGGAUAUUCAAUGAACACAAUAUACAAAUCAUGGAUACAAAUGGAAUAUCAUCAUCUCUAUGAUUGCCUCUAGGGCAUACCUCCAACAGAGGUCCUCACCUUUGAGGUGGUGGGGUUCCGCGGAACCUAUCACGCCAUCUUGGGGCGACCAUGCUAUGCGAAGUUCAUGGCCAUCCCCAACUACACCUACCUCAUGCUCAAGCUGCCGGAGCCCAACGGGGUCACCACCGUCAGCACGUCUUUCCAAAAGGCGUACAAGUGCGACGUGGAAUGCUGCGAGUACGCUGCAGCCAUCACCUUCACGGGGGAUCUGGUGGUCCAGCUCGCGGAGGGCGCCGAGGACCAGCCUGACUCCAAGCAGUCGGCCACCUCCUUCGAGGCCACCGAAGGCGUCAAGGAGGUCCUCCUCGACCCCAGCAGAUCCGACGGCAAGACCGUACGGAUCGGCGCUACCCUAUCUCCCAAAUAGGAAAGCGCGCUCGUCGAUUUCCUCCGCGCGAACAGCGACGUCUUCGCGUGGAAACCCUCGGACAUGCCCGGCAUUCCGAGAGAAGUCGCCGAGCACUCCUUGAACAUCAAGGCCAGCUCCAAGCCAGUGAAGCAAGGACUACGCCGCUUCGACGAGGAGAGGCGCAAGGCCAUCGGCGAGGAGCUCUAGAAGCUUAUGACAGCCGGAUUCAUCAAGGAAGUGUACCGCCCCAAGUGGCUAGCUAACCCUGUUCUUGUACGAAAAAAGAAUGGGAAAUGGAGGAUGUGUGUUGAUUAUACCGGUCUCAACAAGGCGUGCCCAAAGGAUCCGUUUCCUUUGCCACGCAUAGAUCAGUUAGUCGACUCAACCGCCAGGUGCGAAACCCUUAGCUUCCUUGACGCGUAUUCCAGCUACCAUCAAAUCGCGAUGAAAGAAUCCGACCAGCUCGCUACCUCUUUUAUCACCCCCUUCGGCCCCUGCUGCUACAUUAAGAUGCCGUUCGGCCUCAAAAACGCGGGGGCUACGUUCCAGCGAUGCAUGCUGAAGUGCUUCGGGGACCUCAUCGAGCGGACUGUUGAGGCUUACGUCAACGAUAUCAUAGUCAAAUCCAAGAGGGGUGACCAGCUCAUCCCUGACCUCGAACUAGCCUUCGAAAGGCUAAGGGAUAAGCGUAUUAAGCUAAUUCCUGAAAAAUGCGUUUUUGGAGUUCCAAGGGGCAUGCUGCUAGGCUUCAUCAUCUCCGUGCGCGGCAUCGAAGCCAAUCCAAAGAACAUAGCGGCCAUCAGCGACAUGGGGCCAAUCUGAAACAUAAAGGGAGUCCAGCGCGUCACGGGAUGCUUAGCGGCCCUGAGCCGCUUCAUCUCGCGCCUUGGCGAACGGGGGCCUUCCUCUCUAUCGACUCCUGAAGAAGACCGACCGCUUCGAAUGGACCGACGAGUCCCAGGAGGCACUUGACCGACUCAAGGACCUCCUAACGAAGGCCCCGAUCCUGGUCCCGUCGAUCGACGGUGAGCCCCUCCUGCUCUACAUCACGGCGACCACCCAGGUGGUUAGCGCGGCCCUAGUGGUGGAACGAGAAGAGGAGGGACACGCUCUCAAGGUGCAACGCCCGGUGUAUUUCGUCAGCGAAGUCUUGUCCGAGUCCAAGUCGCACUACCCGCAGAUUCAGAAGCUCAUCUACGCCGUCCUCAUCACGAAGAGGAAGCUGCGCCACUACUUCACCUCCCACCCGGUAACGGUUGUUUUGUCGUUCCCACUAGGCGAAGUCAUCCGGAACUAGGAUGCCACGGGACGGAUCGCGAAGUGGGCGCUUGAGCUCAUGGACCAGGGCGUCACCUAUGCCCCCCGUACCGCCAUCAAGUCCCAGGUACUUGCCGAUUUCAUAGCAGAGUGGACGGAGGUCCAAACACCAUCGGCCCCGGAGAAGCAGGAGUACUGGACAAUGUACUUCGAUGGAUCGUUGUUGAGGGCCCAUGCCAGAGUGGACCUCGUCUUUGUCUCUCCUCUAGGCGUGCGCACCAGGUACAUGAUCCGCCUCCACUUUCCUGCGUCCAAGUACGAGGCCCUCCUCAACGGGCUUCGCAUCACCAUCGAGCUGGGCAUCCGCCAGCUAGACAUCCGGGGCGACUCCCAACUAGUCGUCGAACAAGUCAUGAAGGAGUGGAGCUGCCACGACCCCAAGAUGGCAGCCUACUGCAACGAGGUUCACAAGCUUGAAGACAAGUUCGACGGGCUGGAGCCAACCACAUCGCAAGGCGCUUCAACGAAGCCGCCGCCGAGCUGGCGAAGGCAGCAUCCGGCCGAAUGCUCGUCCCCGACGACGUCUUCGUUAGCGACCAGUUCAAGCCUUCAAUCCGUUACCCAGAACCAGCGAGGGUCAGCGAAGCGCCACCAGCCCCGGGAUCAGGCCCUGACCUAGGGGAGGUCGGCAGCGCGCCACCCGUCCCAGGCCCUGACGCCAGCCCCGACGGGGUCGGCACCGCUUCACCCGCCUUGGCCCCGGAAGCCGACCCCUCCGGCCCUAUGGUCAUGGAAAUCGCGGCAGACCCCGCGGCGGGUCCCGACCCCCCAGCCAACUGGAGAGCCCCAUACCUCGAUUACCUCAUCCGCGACACGCUCCCGGUGAACAAAAUGGAGGCCCGUAGGAUCGCGCGUCGCGCCAAAUCCUUCGCCAUUAUCGAUCAAGAGCUCUACAAGAGAAGCCACACCGGCAUCCUCUAGCACUGCAUCCCGAUCGAACAGGGGAAGGCGUUGAUCCAGGACAUCCACGUCGGAGCCUGCGGCCACCACGCUACGCCAAGAACCCUCGUUGGUAACGCCUUCCGGCAAGGUUUCUACUGGCCGACGGCGGUCGCCGACGCCACCAAAUUAGUCCGCACCUGUGAGGGCUACUAGUUCUUUGCACGCCAAACCCAUCUGCCCGCGCAGGCGCUCCAGACCAUCCCCAUCGCGUGGCCGUUCGCAGUCUGGGGGCUGGAUCUCGUCGGGCCCUUCAAGAAAGCGCCUGGGGGAUUCACCCACCUGCUUGUCGCCGUCGACAAGUUCUCUAAGUGGAUCGAAGCAAGACCGGUCACGCAAAUCAAAUCCGAGCUGGCGGUGCAGUUCUUCACUGACAUCAUCCAUCGCUUCGGAAUCCCCAACUCCAUCAUCACCGAUAAUGGCACGUAGUUCACUGGGAAGAAAUUUCUCCAGUUCUGCGACGACCACCACAUCCGGGUAGACUGGUCGGCUGUAGCACACCCCUGCACGAACGGGCAGGUCGAGCGAGCCAACAGCAUGAUACUCCAGGAUCUCAAGCCACAGAUCUUUGACCGCCUCAAAAAGUUUGGCGGACGGUGGGUCGCCGAGCUUCCCGCAGUCCUUUGGAGCCUGACGACAACGCCCAGUCAGGCGACUAGCUUCACCCCGUUCUUCAUGGUCUACGGGUCCGAGGCCAUCCUACCCACCGACCUGGAAUACGGAUCGCCGAGGGUCAAGGCGUAUGACGAACAAGGGAACCAGGCAUCACUCGAAGACGCACAGGAUCAGCUCGAUGAGGCGCGCGACGUGGCCAUGCUGCACUCGGCCAAAUACCAGCAGGCCCUACAACGUUACCACAGCCACAAGGUGCAAGGCCGAGCCUUCAACGUUGGUGACUUGGUGCUCCGCCUCGUCCAGGAUAACAGGGGUCGGCACAAGCUGACUCCCCCGUGGGAAGGUCCUUUCAUCGUCGCGCAAGUACUACGGCUAGGCACCUACUAGCUAGCAACCCCCGACGGGCAGAUCUUCGGCAAUGCUUGGAACAUAGAACAGCUAAGGCGUUUCUACCCCUAGUUUUCAUUUCCAAGUUCUGUACGUAAACUUUUAUGUAAAUUGGAAGAUUUCUUUUUACAGAAAAAGGAAUUUCAAGCCGGUUCUGUUCAAGCUUUUCCGUCGAGCUCAGGGAUAUCCGUCCCUGGCUUCGCUCCGGGGUCGCAUAUCCCUCGGGGGGUUAUCAAGGGCUCCGGCUCAAGCCACUUGGCACCAUCUAAAAAAUGUUUUUUCCUUCUGAGCCGACCCUCCCUCUGAACUUUCGGACAUGAAAAGGGGAGAGCGCACGAACGGUGUUCAGGCAAGACUAAUCAGACUGCGAAAAACCUAUGCCCUAGCGGCUACGGUACCUUCGCCCAUCAAUGCUUACUGACACACCCGACAACGCGCUUUAAACUUUCCAAAUCCAGAAAUGAGAAGGGGGAUCGGAAACUUGUUUACGACAAGUUAUGAAAAAGGCCCCUAUGGCCGUUACAAAACAAGCUUAAAACUAACGUAUUUACAACUUGGGCGCCAGCCCGAUACAGUUAGUUCGCCAGGGGAUCCUCGAGAGGGACAACCUCAUCCUCCAAGAGCUUCGCCAGGGCCUCCGCCGGGUUGUACACCGACGCGUCGAUCUCAUCCAGCUCGGCCUCGGAGUAGCCGGCGGUGUAUCCUCUGCUCAUCCCGGUGAAGUUGAUGCCAGAGUAAUGGGAGCCGAAGACCCCGAUGGCUCACCGCACGCCGGUGUGAAGCGCAUCCACGGUGAUCUCGCGGGCCCGACGGUACAUCCCGAGGACAUGAGCCGUCAGCGAGCUCGACCCCUCCCCCUGGACCACGCCGAGUCCGUCGCUGACGACGCGGACCGCAUCCCACAGGGCGCCGUGCUCACCACGCUCCGCGUCGAGUAGCUCCCUCAGCUUGGCAAUUUCGUCUGCAAGAACCACCCGGAAAGACCCACCAAGUUAGAAAUCACCAUAGAGACACAGAAAUGAAAAGGAGUCUCACCGUCGGACCGGGCCUUCAGCUCACGCUCCCGGUUGGCCCCCUGAGACACAGCGUUCUGGAGCCUCUGCACUGGUGCCCAGAGCUGACCGACCUCCACGCCAAGCUCGACCGCCAUCUUCUCAGCCUCGCUCUUCCGGGCCGCCUCGGAAUCCCGCUCGUGCCAGGCCUUUUGCCGCUCGCGCCGGAUGCGCUCGACGGUCUUCUGAAGGGCAUCAAGAUCCCCCCUCAGCCGUCCGAGCUCCUCGGCAUCAAGGCAGACCUUCUCGGCAGCAGCAGCCUAAAGUUCCUCGCGGUCGAGGCAGGCCUUAUCAACAACGGCUUGGAGUUUGGCCUCCGACCGCCGCACGUCCUGCUGCGCCACUUCCUCGCACCUUAGCAGGUCGUUGAUGACCCCCUAGGUGGUAGCAACCUGCAUGGUUAGCUCCCUGGUCCGCUCCCUUUCCAAGUUGAAGUGCUCCUAGAGCCCCCGCUCCAGCUAGAGGAAAUCAGAUUUCCCCCGACUGCAUUCUUGGAGAGCCUACAAAGCAGUACACCAUCAGGGUUAAGGCAACGGGAAAAGAGACAAUCACCAACAGGAGAGGUAACAUACCUGGCUACCAGGGAGCACGACGUUGUCCAACUCCCCCAGCACCGAGGAUAGAGCCGCACGGGUGUUGGCGAGGCUACCCUGCACCGCCUGCCACUUGCGCCACUCCGCGGCGUCAUCCAGGGUGAAGAGGUGCCUCGGCGGGUCCUCACGGGACGUCCAACGCAGGUCAGACCCUCUUCAUGCCUUGGGAACGGUAGCGGCCAAGGCCAAGGCGGGAGCCGAUCCCGACGCCACCGUCGAAGCAGGCUCCAUCAUCCCAGAAGCCGCCGACCUCGCCGACGGUCCCAGUGCCUGUGCACCUGUCGCCGUCGGGGCCGCCGCGGGCCCACUUGACAGUGCCAACGCCACCAACACAAGUGGCGGAACAAGUAUCCCCACGGCCACCUUGCCCUCCGCCGCAACCGCCGAGGAAGGCUCCUCCGCCCCUGCCGGAGCCCCUCGAGCGGGCACCUCCACCUCCGCCGCCGGUGCCAACUCCGCCGGGACCUCCGGGGCGGAGGUCCCCGCCUCCAUCACCACCGCCACCUCCGCCACGGCCGCGGAGGCAGGCCCUCCCUCCUCUAUCGCCGCUGCCAUCCCCUUAACGGCUGCAGGGACAUCCGUCCCUGUUCCCGUCGCCGCCGUUCCCUCCACCUUGUCGGCGUCGAGGUCGAUCACCUCCCCGACCUGAGGGCCCUGAAGAAGUGGAAGGCGGAGCGGGGUCCACACCCUCUCCCGCGCCCGAUGGUGCCACCACUCCACUGGUCGCCAUCACAAGGACCGCUCCCGUGGCGGGACCCGCGACCUCACCGGGGACCCCGCCGCUCGCCGCGGGCGGGGUCGCGGUCUGCUCCGCAGAGGCGGACAACACCCGUAGCGCCUUUUUAGGCGCCAGCUGCAGAACAAGACCACGGGGGGUGGCCCUACGAAACAACAAACAAAUGUUAGCGGAAACAAAUGCAAGGUGGGGAAAGGAGCGAGGUUCGCGAGGAAAUCCAACUCACGUUCCUCCGGAGCAAGGACGGCGCGCGCGCUUCGCCUCCGAGCCGGACGCCGACCCCGAGGCAUCCGGCAGCGGCCGCUUGUCGCCGCUCCUCUGCUCUUGGGCCGCAGGCGCGACAACAGGGGCGGGCUCCGUAGACCUCCGGGGAGCGCUCCACGCUGACUCCUGGGGGGCGCCCCGCGCCGACUCAUGGGGGGGCCCCGCACCGACCCCUGGGGGACGCUCUGCGCCGACUCCUGGGGGGCGCCCCGCGCCGAUCCCUAGGGCAUGGCCCCGGAGCCGUGCGAAACUAAGCCCCGGGCGGACGGUCCGCCCGCUUCAUCCCUCACGGCCAUCUGUGGGCGCGCCUCCCGAAUAACGAGCGUGCCCGACCGAGGGGAUAAGGCAAGCUCUUCCUCCUCCUCAUCAUCCUCCUCAUCUUCCUCCUCAUCGUCAUCAUCGUCGUCGUCAUCAUCGUCACUGCCGCCGUUGGAACUCCUUGGCGGCCUUCUUUUUCUUUUUCGCCGUCUCCUUGUCCUUGCGGCGCUUCUGCUCUUCAGCAAGGAGACGGUUUUGCAGCCGCCGAUCGGCGUCCUCCGGCACCGGCGGGUGUGAGUCCACAACCCGGGUCAGCAUGCCCUACAAACACAAAAUGGCCCCGCGUUAGAGCGACGAACACAAAAAAAGGAGGUCGGCGCACAAAUUCCUUACCAAGUCGACGAAGCCCUCGUUCGAGCGCAUCGGCGGGUGCCCGGGCACCGUGUAGUCGGCGUCCUUGUCCUCCAACGCCUCCCGAAUCCGCUGUCAGAUCUUGGAGGUGGCGAGCGCACCCGUCGCCAGGAUGGUACCUUCAGUCAACGCGCCCGGAGUCAUGUCGGCGAGCGAACGAGCCCGGAGCAUUAGCGGCGCCACCCGCCAGGCAUGGUACGCCCCGAUGACCCCGGCUCCGGUAAGCUCUCUCCUCUUCAAUUGCUCGAUGGCUUGCAGCAGGUCGAGGCGCUUCUUCUCCUUCUCGACUGGUCCAUACGCCCACACCUCCGGCGCCAUGUCGAUGGUGCGGCUGGUGAACUCUGGCAGGGGGGAGUUCGAGUAGUUCUUCACAUAGAACCACUAGUUGUGCCACCCCUUGUGGGACGCCGUGGUCUUCAUCGCCAUGUACUCCUUGGAGCGAGUAUGGCGGAGGUGGAUCCCGGCGCACCCGAUCGGCACCGGCGGCGACCGCUGCUGGUUCCCCCUCCUCUCCGUCUUCUGGUACAGGCUGACCCUAAAAAAGUAUUUCCACAGCGAGAAGUUGGGCUCAAUGCCCAGGAACCCCUCACACAGUGCGACGAACGCCGUGAUAUGCUGGAUCCCGUUGGGGUUGAGGUGCUGCAGCUCGAGCCUGUAGUAAUGGAGGAGCCCGCGGAAGAAGCGGCUCGGCGGAGUCGCGAACCCCCGCUCAUGGAAGUGGGCGAAGGAGACGACGUAGCCGUCGGGAGGCAUCGGCACCUGCUCCGACCCUGGGAGCUCCCACUCGCCCACCUCCGUCCUCUCACAGAGGAGGCCUUUCCUCACCAGGCCUUCGGCGCGUGAGGAGUUAAAGUGGGAAAUCCCCUAGGAUCCCAUCACCGAAGGAGGAAGGAACUCGACGGGGAUGGGGAGAAAGGGCGUAGCGCUGAGCGGAGGAAGACGAAGCGGGCGCGGAUGAGCUGAGGGCGAGCUAGGAAGGCGAAAAGACUUGAAAGCAGAAGCCGGGGGGAACCUGCGAGGUGGAGCCUUUGUUUUAUAGGGAAGGCGCGAAGGGAGCGGAACUGACGCCCUUGUCGCCAUAAAUACGGCGCCAAGUAUGCCCCCAUCACGCCCACUUUCCUUUCGGAAACCGCGCGCACGAUCGGCCGCAGAGACAUCCUCUCCUCCUCGAUUCGUGGGUCGAUGCCCUCCAUAACUCCGUCUCCCGGAAGACACGCACACGACGUCCCCCACAUUCGGCCCAAGACACAACAUCUGCCCUGAUUCAGCCCAAGGCCCACCGAAAGGUAAUAAGGGAUACGGGGCUGGAAAGGCCCCUACGGCCCAUUACGAUCUAGAGGUUCGAAGGCUGGCCCACUACGGGUUCGACAGCCGCCUCAGGAUGCCCACGAGCGAGGGGUGAAAAGGGACGGGUCCGCUAGCGACCGUGACCCGGGCGUGCGAUGGCCCCGAGCAUCUCAAAGUCACAUUCGAGUCCAAACCGGCAUCAAAGUUUAUGGUUUUUCCACGAGGAAAGGCAACGAGCCCCCGGAUCCGACUGAACGGACUCGGGAACUAUAUCAGCUGCCGGCUAGAGCCUGGGGUACGCCACCAGCCUGGCCCUAGCCGGACCCCCCCUGAACGGGGACCGGGACCCCACUCGAACCGACUCGUUCGCAGCUCAACGAGCACCACGGUUCAUCCAACGAGGAUAGUGUUGCACGGCUCAUCCCCUCCGUCCCAGCGAACGGAUGCUUGAGGGGUAACGAUCAAAAGCCGAUCUAGCCUCCCGAUCAGUCUCCUGCAACGCGCGGAGGCUCAGGGGCUAGCGUCGCAACCAAUGACCACGCGUGUGGUCGCGAUUUGAGGACGCGAGGCGGGAGCGCCCCAGAGAGCAAUGAGGAGUCCCCCGUGCCAAGUCAUCCACAGGACAUCUCUCCUGAUCAAACUCCCUGGCCAAGCUGGACCAACAACACUCCCUAUCCCUGAUCAACCGCAGCUUGCAGGGCGAGCAGAGAUCCCCGAUGAGUGACCAAAAAAGCCUCUGGAGGAGCAUCUUUGCUCCACCACAGGCUCGGAGGCUACUGUUGGGGGGAAAUAUUAACGACCUCCCAAUGCCGCUUAAAGCAACAGUCAUGAAGGCCCAGGCCCAUCUAAGGUAGCAAAAUUGCCGUCAGCCCAACAUGAAAGGGAGAGGCCACAUUCCACCUCGCCCGACCCGGAGUCCCGGGGUCGGACGCUCUCGACCCCUUGAAGACUAAACUCCGCCUCGCCCGACCCAGGGGACCGAGGUCUGGAGCGCCCGACCCCCACCACAGAAACUCCGCCUCGCCCGACCCAGGGCGCGGGGGUCGGACUCGCUCGGGUCCACAAGAUGAAUAUUCACCUCGGGCGCGGACUGGAGGAUCAGGAUGACGAUCUCAUGGGUCCCCAUAUCGACCUCGCCAUAAAUGCGCCACGGCCCUAUCAAGCCAAAAGGGAGCGGCAUCCCCAACGUAACCGAUCCGGAAUAUCGGUGCGCGGCCGUGCGGUGCGAGCUGCAGUGGCCAAGGCUCCUUCUGAUUCGCCACAGAGUACUCAUGAGCUGCGCCGAAUGACACAGGAGGACGCAUCGCUUGCUCUCGUGCCCCGUGCGCUCAACGGCAGUUUCAGGGAUGCGACGUCCGGGUCUUAUGGUAAUCGGCGGGGUAACAGAAUUGGGCCUCCUCCCCGGUGGGCACGGAUGCCGAGGCUGAGGGUCAUCAUCACGCUCGACGGUGACGGCGACCAAGGAGAUCAUCAACAAGAUCUGGAAGGAAUCGCCCCCCCUCGCCGGAUGCGCUGACAGGGACCGGAGGCCGGAGCAAGAGCGGCGGCCUUGGGACCCUCCCCUUGUAUUAUUUUUUUCUAAUUGGCUUAUCCUUUCUACCUCUUCUCCUGAUGCCCGGUUCGACUGUAACCCUGAGCUCCCUCUUGUGCUAUAAAAGGGGGACUCGGACUCUCUCUCAGGGGAACAGUACACUCUCACACUCCCUUAGAGCACAAGCACACUCAAGAGACCUGGGAUCAAUUCCCUCUGUCGCCCAUCUGUAACCCCUACUACAGAGCCCCACGUGGGCAACACGAGCUGCCUCGAUACUGGACGUAGGGCCUCCUUUGCCUGAACCAGUCUAACCCCGUGUCUCCCACGCCACCAUCCGAAGCCUUACGCGCAUAAAAGAAAUUUACUAGUCUAGAGUCUUGAUCCGCAAAUCUUGACAAUGACAAGUAUGAUACAAAUGUUUGGAUCUGCUGACUUGUUGUGAUUACCGUACCUCCGUGGUUUCCCUGGCCGAUGGCUGUUGAGAAGGCACAAUUGACGUACCAGGGGUAGCCUGCAUCAGAAUCGGUCAAGUUUUUGGUUAAGUAUUAAAGAAUUGAAUGAAGGGAUUCUUUACCUCAGUGGGAGGAGCUACUGGUGCUCCAAUUUCUGUUUGGGGCGUUGCCGAUUGCUGCGGAGGCACUGGAGCGUCUUGUGCGGCCUGAUAUAAAAGAGAAGUUAGUAUCGGGAGAAUACUCAGGAGGAUGUGAAUAUGAGGUUACCUAAAUGGCUUCCAGUAGCAGUGAUGCAGCGGCCGCUCCAGCUUCCGUAGCAGCUUGAGGAUCAACUUCCUCGAUGACCGGGAGAAUCGACGCAACCAAAGAUUCCGCCGAUGCUGCCGCAGACUGAUCGGCCGAUUCCGUGCGGGCACGCACUCGGUGGCUUGUCUUCUUUACAGCUUUCUUCGGCGUCUGUUUCAAUCGGCCGGCGGUGAUGUCGUCAAUGGUCGGGGUGUGAUGGCCGAUGAGUGGGAAUUCCGUGUACGGGUAGCGGUUUUCUAUCGGCCUGCCACUCCGGCUGCGUUUUGGGGGAAGUUGACUCCCGGACUAUAAAAGAAAGCAAGAGUUAGCAACAAAUUUGUGGCAUAAGAACAAAAAUGACAUCAGAAUUGGCUGAAGGAAAACAGUACCUCCGCACUCCGGUCAAUGUUCUCAGGAUCCAGAUCAUUGCAGUAUGUUGCAGGAGAUGCACAAAAUAGAUGCUAUUUUCAUUCUGCCUACCAUAAUUUGAAUGGUUGGACAGCAAAGGAGCUACUAUCCAGUCGUUCAAAUCGAUGGUGCUAGAAUCAGGCACUCGAUCGCACAGCCAACUGUAGUCAAGGCCCUUGGUGAGCCCGUCUCGGAAUUGCACGUGACUGGCGAAAUAGACUCGAAUCGGCAGCUGACCUAGGCCAAACUGCCAUGCAGCAACUGAUGGGUUAUAAAAUUCAUAAGUAGGGGCAUCCUUCCCCGAGAAAAAGUUCACCGGUAAGAUCCCCGAUUUAAUCAAGACGUCCAUAAGGUCAUUCUCAAAGGUGUUGGUCGUCGAAUCAUAACAGAAAGGGAGUUCAAACAGUGGCUCUGCCCUCUGAUACGGGUACCAGCUGGUGGUUUCUUCACUGAAGCCAUUGUAAAAACAUCUGAAAUAUUCGGCUACUUUGGUGGCAGUGAGCUGGCAACCGGGGAAGACUGAUGCUGCCUCGCCGAAAGAAGUGCAUCGGCACCGUACAGUGGGAUUUUCUUCCGAUUCAAUGUUGGGGAAGGUCAUGUGCUCCACCCGAUGCUGAGAGAUCUUGCUCAUAUACAGGUUGAGCCAGAGACUGAUGAACCACCAGGGGCCACCCGGGUUUCCAAUCGGCUCUCCCUUGGAUAGUUUGAUGCCGAUUUGAUGCAGCACGUGAUAGGCCGAUCCUAGCAGAUGUUUUCCGAGGGGGAUAGAGGCUCCUCUCGAUAAUGCUUCAGCCAAAGCCUGUGUGUUGGAAGACGGACCAACUGCCCUACCACAGAAAAGAUGUUUCUCCAACCACAUUAUCAGAAAGGCCGCAUACUCUCUCUCUGAAAUGGCCCCGGUCUUCAUGUUGUUCUUGAUGUACUCCUUCCACCCGCCGAUUGCUUUUGUCUCUAGCCGAUAGGUCGGCUUGACCAGAUAAUGGAAGGGGGUGUUGAGAGAAGAAAUAUCAAGGCCAAUCAAGGCCGGUCAACAUUACCACAUUGGCCAGAGUGGGGGUCAUAGGCCCAUGGCCGAAGAGGAAAGCAUUGAGGGCGUCGGACCAGAAGUAGGAGGCUGCCAUCACCAUGGGCUCAUUCCUCUCCAUCUGAGACAGAGAAAGAUUCAUACACUGGUCGAUUUUUCGUUCAUCCCAUUGAACCCUCUUGGAGUCGGCUAUCCUUUGGUACCAUUCUUUCCAACCCGAGGUUUCAUUCGGCCAAGAUCUAAAGGUUCCUGACCACUAAUCCAAUUCCAUUGGGGAUUCUUUAAAUGGUCUUCUGUGAGUUUCUAAGUUUGUCAGAUUGGUUGGAUCUGGACUCCCCAUAGGGCCUAAGCAAGUGAGACUGGGAGCUUUGGAAAGGCGAAUGGUGAUUUGGUGCCUAAUUGCCUAAAAAGGUAAUAAGGGAAGAACUAAGAAUGGAUCUAAAAGCUAAUGCCUGGGCGGUAAAAAAUAAAAAGAAAAGUUCCUAAUAAAUACCUCCGGGAUGAAGGUCAUUGUCGCUGACGGGGCUGCUGGUGGAGCUACCGCUGCCGAGGUCACCGGUGGGACCUCUGUCGCCGAUGGAGUUGUUGCUGCCGCCGUUGGAGCUGCUGCCGGAGUUUCUGUUGCUGGAGGGGUUGCCGAUGGUGUCCACUGGGUAGAUGAAGCGGAAUGCGGGUGAACUGGGGGGUCGCCGGAGGAUUUGCUUGGAAGCUAAGAGGACGCCGGAAGAAGAUGGAAACUAGUGCACCAAAGAAAGGAAGUUACUGGCUUGUGAAGAGGAAGUGCGGGAUGUGCCAGUAUUUAAGGAUGGUCCGAGAAGGGGUAAAGGCGGGAUUUUUACCGCGCCGUCUACACGAAUUUUGGAGGAGUGGUUGUUUUAGGCACCCGUUUCGAAAUGAUUGCAAUCAUCAGGUAGGAGACCGCGAAAUGGAAUGAUAUUUUUAAUGCGUUUGUUUCGGAGGAGAAGUUGAAAAGGAAUUUCGAAGUAAAAGCUAUGUUUUACUCUGAAACUGGGGGGCAUGUGUUGAUGCCAGAUUUCGACACGUAUGGAAUCGGCGUCGAGAAAGGAGAAGACUGGCUGAUGCGGCAAAUUGGAAGGUCACGAUUGGGAAUCGGCCGAUUGGUGCUACAGUUGGGGAUCGGCCAAGUGGCGCUACAGGGUUUUGGCAGACGGAGUUGGUGGGGAUCGGCCGAUUGAAAGGUUGGAGCUAUUGGGCCAAUAUGGGCUUAAAGUGGAUUAGAGAAAGAAGAUGGAGGAAGAUUGGCCCGCGGGAAUACAAUAACCAACUCUAAUACGAGUUGUACUUGUAGAUAUUUGUUUUCGUUUAAAAUUAGAGAUAAAUCCUAGUCGGUUAGGAAAUUGGUUGUAACAGGCUAUAAAUAGCCAUCUUUAGAGAUUUGUAAACAACACAUCAAUCAAUACAACAAAUCUACUUUUUCAUCGUACUUUACUUUCAAGUCGGCGAUUUCGCCAAUACUUUUCUUCUUUCCCGAGUUCGUACGGGUUGGCAGGGCUGCAUUGACACGAUCUCCGACCGAUUCUGUAAGUUCCGUUUAUCGAGUAAUAUCUAAGCUUUAACUUUGGGUGCAUCGUUGUCGUUUCAUUUAGAUUUAUUCACCAGCUAUCGAUAUUAACUAGAAUUAUAGGUUUUAUCUGUUGUUCUAGUUUUAACCCGUUAUCCAGCUUGAGAUUCGAAUUGUCAUCUUUAUUGUUCUUAUUUUCAUUCACUAUUGCCAUAUAGCUGAUCAGAUCUAUUUCGAGUGUUGUUUCUGUAGCUUUCUCUAGUUUACUCUAAGUAGUUUUCUUUGCAAACGCUGCGUGGUUGUCGGCUGUAUUAUAGCUGAUUAUCUUUUUACAGCAAAUCGGCCGAUCCGCUGAUACGCUCCUCGAGAUCGGAACUUUAGCCGAUCAAAACCCCUGGAAUUUGACACGUUUUCUUCCUUGCCAAAUCAACAUGUCAGAUUGGCUGGCACGCCGCACAAACUGCACCAGGGCGAUCACCCAAACAGGAGUUAAGCAGAUUCUCCCGGGUCGUGUGUCCGACACUGAGGGUCAAUCGGCUGACUUUUAGCGCCAACAAAAAGGAAUAAUAAACAUGAAACAAAAGAAGUUCACAAAUCUCAAGGCCCAUGACCGCCACAUGUUGAUGACCCAGUUGCUUCCGGUUGCACUGAGGGGUGUUCUAUCAGAGAAUGUCUGAUUGCCACUUGGAAAGAUAUGCGCGUUUUUCAACGCAAUUUUGCAGAAGGCAACCCGAUGCGCAGACGCCAAGAUUACCCAAUGUGAGUUGUGCUUCUACAGGGUUCCUCGAUGCGCAGACGCCAAGAUUACCCGUGGACGAGCAACGGUUCGUUGUCGAUGCCAUCACGCAAUGCACCUCAUGUGAGCUACAUACACCGCGGCAACCUCACUAUUAAGUUAUACUUAUACAUAAUAUUUAUGCAAUCUUCUCAAUUGAUCCACGCCUCGAGAUCAGAGUUUAAUAACUUGUUUACUUCUGCUAUAUGUACAGGUGGCGUAUAGGAGUGCCUUACCAAUCCUGGCAGGGUAGACAAGCCAUGGCAUAGAGAUUCCACCUGGCUAUGCCAGCAUUAGCCUAGAGCAGAUCGCUGAUAGCCAAUAUAAAGACUUAGAGCUUGACCUCCCGGGAGGCGUCGGGGAAAGAACACUAGGAGAUGCACUUCACGGGAUCAUUCUAUGGCGCAAACGCUACAUCAUCAUCCCCGGCAUGGAAGCACCUCCUCAGAGCUCAAGACCACUCCCUGCAGAUCCAUAGCAGCGACCAUCUCCUCAAAGCUCAAGACCAUCAUCUCCAGCACAACCUACUCCAGAACCGUGGUGGUGGGAGCGACGACGACAAUAACAACUGUGGCGGAUCCACUUCGGAUUUGCUUAGUUAAACAUGAUUUAGCUGCAUGACACGCGACGCUCAUGCCUAACUGAGUAAACACGAAGUGCCGUCGGAUUUCAUCCGAUUUAACCACUUGAACAGGACCAAAUAGCAAACUCACACGAAGGUGAGCGGUUCCAGAGAAUACAGCAAGUCCACUGAGUUAAGCAAUUUAACCAUUUAGUUUGGUUCUAAAACAUCAUCAGAGUUUACAAGGUUUGAAAGAAAACCAUAGAAGAUAAAACAACAAGCGGAAGCUACUUCGUCGGGUCGGACAUCCCUAGUGAGGCCAACUGGAACGUCAAUGAUCCCUCUCCUCACCGUCCGACGAGGGAUCCCACUCAACCGUCCAACCCGGAGGGAGUUGGGGCGGCCAAGUGCCAGCAGAAGGAGGCUCGGAGGCAGCAACUUCACCUGAAAAGAAGAGCCACAACAAGGCUGAGGUACUAAGCUCAACAAGACUUAACCGACAGGGAGCGCUCUAAACUACCUCUUCUAGACAUGCAAGGCUUUUUGGCUGAGGGGUUUGUUUGCCAAAAGCGCUAGAUGUAUCCCUACUUUCAAGUUUUAGCUCUGGUUCUAAGUUCAUUAUCCGAUCUAAGUUUGCAACCUAUUCUAAGCAAACAUAGAACCAAUCAAAAGGUAUAUACAUCAUCAACAAAAUCAUGUCAGCAUCAGAUUCCUUAUUUACUCAGGGUGACAUAGCGAUCAAGCAGUCUCAAACUGUGAGAGGCAGACGAAUUGAUUCGAGUUUCUUAACCAUGCAUGGCGAACCUAAUCUCACGACAUUCACGCACCACAAGGGCCGCUUCCUGUUUCGGCCGUCCCCAUCAAUUUCCAGGCGCGUGUCAGGUCCAAACUUCCCUUGGCAUGCAAUGCUCCACAGUCCAGGCCUCUACCGUACUGUGACCGCACUUGCACCCACAUGAUGCACCAUGGGAACCUCGUUCCAGGGACAGCAGGGGUAUAAGCCACGCCCUAGUUCAAUCAGGUACUAGGCUUCCCCAUCCCAUACUAGGUAUGAGAUUAGUACUUUCAAACACUUGAUCACGAACACCACCACUGUCGGGCCUUAGCAAGCUUCAUAGACAAACGGGGCGAUCAACCGACCACCAAAGAGUUACCUCAAACCCUGCCCCGUCCAUCAUCCUUAUAGUUGUGACAGAAGGGUAAACAUCCAACUCCUACAACUCGCGAGUGACAGGGAAUCACUCGGCUUUUACCGUCUCCUAAUUAAGCAAAGCAUCUACUCGGUCCAACAGCUAGUGUUCAGAUCAAGGGAGCUAGGUUAUGCAUCUAUGGUUCCAAACAACUCCUAUACGUAAAUGCACAAGCAUGUUAAAGAAGGCAUGCGCAAGUCUGGUAAAACAUAGGGGAUUUAUGCAUCCGAGGCUUUCCAUCGAGCAAGGAGGAAGGGAACUGCGUGUCUUCUUGGGCAGCUUCGGCUUCGGGAAGCAGGAGCUCAGCUACACCGUCGUCUUCUGGUGCCGGGUGCAGCUCGUAGUAGCCGUCGGCGAGAUGCAGCUCUACACGAAUGCAAUGCAUUGGUUAGCAUAGACGGUUAUUUCAACAGCAAUACUUGCAAGUUUGAGCCCAGAAACUUGCGACAAGUUACAGGAGGGUGGGGAGGUUCAAUGGAGUUGAUGGAGAUCAAGAGGUAAGGGUUGGAGGGAAGGAACUUAUGAUCUGACCCUUAAUCUAGAGGAAUAGAUGUGCUAGGGGUCCUCAGACUUAACGCUGAGAAGUCCCCAAGUUUUACACAUGCACCCUCGGUUCAAAGAAAAAGAUACAGCCGAGCCCUCGGGCGAGGCGGAGAAGGGUCAGCGGAACAAACAGGGUCGGGCAACAUGGAACCGGGGUCGGGCGGAUAAGAGGGGUCGGACGAGGCGAACAAGGCUCGGCAGCCUACCUUCGUCUUACAGAGAAGGCUGGGCAGAAGAACUAAGGGCUUGGGACAGCGGUGAGGAGGUCCGGCGGUGGUGGUGCCUCUUGUGGAUCACAAGCAACUCUUGGGCAGCACUGAAGCAGUGGCUGGCGGAUUUGGAAAAGGUGGUGUUUGAGCGGAGAGGAGAGUUCCUCAGACUUAGGUGGUGGCGCUGUGAGCUUCGAAUAGGAACCAAGAGAGAUGGCAGCGAAGGCAAAGGGGGAACUCCAGCGGGACUCCGGCUUCUCAUUUUAUAGCUGCACGGAAGAGGGAAGGAGGAGCGGCGCGAAGGCCGGGGAAGAAACGAUGGAGUGCUCUGCCCGGGCGGCGAUUGAGCGACGAGGGUGGUGGAGCAGGACUUCAGGGAUGACGCCGGCAGUCAUUGGGCACUGACGUCAGGGCGGUGCAGGCGUGGGUUUGCCGGUGGUUGAGAUUUGGCGGAGGUGGGCGUCGUCGUGCAGUGGAUCUGAUGGAAGUGACCAGGAAAACAGCGCUAGGAACGAGGGCGCACAGGUGAGAAGACAGGAGGUUGCGGUCGCGUGGGUGAGCGCGGAGCAACAGAUUGUCGGGGCGACUUUUGACAGGGCGGGAAAAGGAGCUAUCGCUGCCGCGGUCUGGGUGGGCGGAGGAGGAAUCGUCCCAUAGUGAGAACUGGGGCGGCGCGACUGUGGCGAGGUGACGGAAAAGACGGGCAGCAUCGGGCUCUGCAGCCGGGAUCUGGCGAUGUGAUGAUGGGCGCGGGCUGCGAGGUGCUGCAGAAAGGGUAGCAGAGGAGCUUCCGCCGCGAUUGGGGAAGGGGGCGCGAGAAUCCAUCCGGUCGUGGGCCGGAGACGAGGCGGAGUGGCGGGCAUCGGAGGAGCUAUGCCACGCGGCUGGGGAACUCUGAAACGGGCAUGCAACUCGAGUGCGCCUGUCGCGGGAGAUCUGGGGGAAAAGAUCUCAUGGGCCCACCGGUCAGUCUCGGUGGUCCACGGUUCGAACUGAAGGGCGAUGCUGUGAGAUGGCUUAGAAAGAUUCGACGGUGGGUUGGGGGUCGGCGGGGUCGGAACUGGGAAGACCACGGUGAGGGGUCAGAUCGCAGGGGUCGGAAGAUCUAGAGGUUGAACACUUAGGCUUGGAAAAACUAAGAUAGGUGAUCAGGGGCUCGGAUUAAGAUUAACACAAAGGAUUUUUGUCCGGGGCCGUUACAGCCUACCCCCCUUAAGAAGAAUCUCGUCCCGAGAUUCGGAUGUAGAAGCAACCGAUGGGGGUGUGUAGCCUUUACCUUCUUGGCUGGAGAGAAAAGUGGGGAAGUGCUUGUUCAAGUACUCUUCUGUUUCCCACGUUGCUUCAUCCUCCGUGUGGUUCCUCCAGAGGAUCUUGUACAUUUUUACCGUUUGGUGCCGGGUAUGCCUUUCUUUCUGGUCGAGGACCUUGGCUGGAUACUCUGCAUAGGUUAGGUCAGGCUCGAUUUGAAGCUGCUCUUGUUCUAAGAUCUUGGUUGGAACUUGGACACAUUUCUUCAGUUGAGACACAUGGAAAACGUCGUGUAUGGCCGAUAGCUAUUCUGGGAGUUGGAUCCAAUAGGCCACGGGUCCACAAAUUUCCACAACUUCAUACGGGCCAAUGUAACGGGGAGCCAAUUUCCCUUUUACUCCAAACCGUUUCACUCCUUUGGUUGGGGAAACUCGAAGAUACACAUGAUCACCAAUGUCAAACUGUAGGGGCCUUCUUUGCCUGUCAAAAUAACUCUUCUGUCGAGAUUGGGCAGCCUUGAGAUUUGCUUGAAUUACCUUCACUUGUUCUUCGGCUUCUACUACUAAUUCAGGGCCAUAAACUUGUCUCUCUCCCGCUUGGGACCAGUUCAAUGGUGUCCGGCAUCUCCGUCCGUACAAUGCUUCAAAUGGUGCCAUCUUCAAACUGGCUUGGUAGCUAUUGUUGUAGGAGAACUCCGCCAAUGGCAGGCACUUGUCCCAGUUUUUGUCAUAGUGGAUGACACAAGCUCUUAACAUGUCUUCAAGGAUUUGAUUGACUCUUUCGGUCUGACCAUCGGUUUGAGGAUGAUAGGUUGAGCUACGGAUGAGUUUGGUGCCCAUGGAUGCUUGUAGCUAUUCCCAAAAGCGGGCUACAAACUGAAUUCCUCGAUUAGAGAUGAUGGUCUUAGGCACACCGUGUAGGGAAACUAUGCGGUCGAGAUACAGCUCUGCAUACUGCUUGACUGUGUGGGUGGUGUAGACAAGAAGGAAGUGGGCGGUCUUGGUCAGACGGUCCACUAUAACCCAAAUGGAAUCAUGUCGCUGCGAUGAAAGAGGCAGUCCAACAAUGUAAUCCAUGCUGACAUCUUCCCAUUUCUAAGAGGUAAUAGGUAGGGGUUGUAAAGUACCUGCUACCUUUAGAUGAUUGGCCUUGACACGUUGGCAAGUGUCGCACUCUGAAACGUACCGGGCAAUUUCCUGUUUCAUUCCGCUCCACCAGAAAGUUUGUCGUAGAUCAUGGUACAUCUUAUUGCUGCCUGGGUGGAUUGAGAAUUUGGAGAGGUGAGCUUCAUUUAGGAUCUGCUUCCUCAAGUUGGGGUCGGCCGGUACAAUCAGUCGGUUUCCAUAAUAUACGCUUCUAGUUUCGUCCUGCCGAAACUGCUUAUAUCCUUCAUCUUUCAAGGAGAUCUUCCUGGUGAUCCACAUUACUUCCUCAUCCUUCACUUGUGCUGACCUUAUUUGGUCUUCUAAAAUAGAGUCAAGGGUGAUGUGGCCGAGGGUUCCAUGGGAAACAAUUUCCAAACUGAGUUUUCCCAUCUCAUGACACAAAGUUUCGGUGAAGGUCGUCGCCAACAAACAGUUGCAACAUGGCUUGCGGCUAAGAGCGUCGGCCACCACAUUGGCCUUGCCAGGGUGAUAGUGUACUUCCAAAUCAUAAUCCUUUAUCAACUCUAACCAUCUUCUUUGGCGCAUGUUGAGGUCGGCUUGGGUGAAGAUAUACUUGAGGCUCUUGUGGUCGGUGUAGAUGUUGCAGCGGGUGCCCAUCAGAUAAUGUCUCCAUAUCUUUAAGGCAUGGAUCACUGCGGCCAACUCAAGAUCAUGGGUCGGGUAGUUCAGCUCAUGAGGUCGUAGCGCUCGUGAGGCAUAGGCAAUGACUCGGUUGUCUUGCAUAAGAACACACCCAAAUCUAGUGCCAGAGGCGUCACAGUACACGUCAAACGACUUAGGGGAGUCGGGUUGGGCCAGAACUGGGGCUGUGGUCAGCAAUUGCUUCAGGGUCUUGAAGGCUUCUUCACACUUAUCGUUCCACACGAUCUGACCUCUUUCUUCAGCAACUCUGUCAUCGGCUUAGCUAUCUUGGAGAAAUCCGGUAUGAAACGCUGAUAGUAGCCUGCCAGUCCAAGAAAACUUCGGAUCUGGUGCACUGAGGCAGGAGGCUUCCAGUCUAUGACGAGCUGUACCUUGCUGGGGUCGACGGCUAUGCCAUUCUUAAAGAUAGUAUGUCCUAAGAACUUGACACUAUCCAACCAGAACUCACACUUGGAGAAUUUGGCAUAGAGCUGAUGGUCUCUCAGCCGUUGGAGAAUUAUGCGAAGAUGGUUGGCAUGUUCUUCUUCGCUCUUCGAGUACACCAAGAUAUCAUCAAUGAACACCACUACAAACUUGUCCAACUCGGGCAUGAAUACCGAGUUCAUGAGGUACAUGAAGUAUGCGGGUGCAUUGGUGAGUCCAAAAGACAUGACCAGGUACUCGUAGAGUCCAUAUCUUGUGGAGAAGGCAGUCUUAGGGAUGUCACAUGGUCGGAUCUUGAUUUGGUGAUAGCCUGAACGAAGAUCAAUCUUGGAGAACACUCUAGCUCCAGCUAACUGAUCAAACAAGACAUCAAUGCGGGGGAGUGGGUACUUGUUCUUGCUAGUCACCGCAUUGAGAGGUCGGUAGUCUACACACAUGCGUAGACUGCCAUCUUUCUUCUUCACAAACAGGGCCGGGCAACCCCAGGGUGAUGCACUGGGUUGGAUGAAACCUUUCUCCAACAGAUCAUGCAACUGGGUCUUCAACUCGGCCAGCUCAGCUGGUGGCAUCCGAUAGGGUCUUUUGGAGAUGGGGGCGGUGCCGGGGAUCAACUCUAUGGUAAACUCCACGUCUCUAUUAGCUGGCAUGCCAGGCAAGUCCUCUGGGAACACAUCAGGGUACUCAGAGACAACAGGGAGGCUCUCUAGUCGGGCUUGCGGUAGAGGGUACGCACAGGGAAGUGCGGACUUAGGAGGGUUCAAGAACAGGGUAGAACUGCCAUAAAAGGGCGAGUUGAUGUAGAGGGUUCGGGCGGCCGGGUCUAGAACCACUUGGUUUCGGGUCAUCCAAUCCAUUCCAAGAAUGAUAUCUAUUCCUUCCAGGUCAAGGAUGAUCAGAUUUUCCUUAAAAAGGUUUUGGCCUAGCUGAAUAGGCACAUUGACACUCAUCCUAUCAGAUGUGAUCAUUCCACCCGGGGUGGAUAUUCUAAAAGACCCUCUGGUUUGGCAUUCUUGUAACCCACACUUGUCACGGGUCUUUCUCCCGAUAAAACUAUGUGAAGCUCCCGAGUCAAACAAAACCAAAGCUGAAAAACUAUGAAUCAGAAAGGUACCCAUCAUUAUCGGCGCACCUUCAGGAAGUUCUGCUGCGUGGGUGAAGUUCAGACGACCUUGGCGAACUUGCACCUUGGGCCUCUUUCCUUUGUUGAACGUUGCACUGUUCUACCCUGGGCACGGGCUCUGAUUUCUGGGGUAGUCCUUGGCGAAAUGUCCCACAUCGCCGCAGGCAAAAUAGCGGUUACCCGUUGCAGGGCGUGGGGGUGGCGGCAGGGUUGGCCGGUGCGCCUGUGGUUGGAAACCAGGAAAACAGGGCGCUGCUGCUGGCGGGGGUCGAGCAAUCCACCUUCCCGACUGCUGGGGUUAGCUGGGCGCCUGGGGUGGAACCAUUCUGAAAUGCUGCGCAGGUGGGUUGGGCGUUGGCAGUGGGGCUUUCCUCUUCCUCUCGGCUGCCAAAGCCUUCAUGCAGUCCUCUUGGGAGAUGGCCAGGUUGACCAACUCAUUGUAUGUAUCCACCCUUAUCGGGUUUAACCUUUCUCUGAGCUCCAAGCUCAGCCCUCUGCGGAAUCUGUCCUUCUUCUUCUCGUCGGUGUCCGCGUGAUAUCCAGCAUAACGACACAGAUCGUUGAAGGCCUGCACAUAGUGUAAUACGUCUCGGUUUCCUUGGUGUAGAGCCAAGAAUUCAUUGAGCUUGCGCUCCAGGAGACCCUCCGGGAUGUGGUGCGCUCUGAAUGCAGUCUUAAACUCGUUCCAGCUGAUGACAUGGUCUGCUGGCAACAUGGCGUGGUAGUGAUCCCACCAUAGCUGGGCGGAACCACGUAACUGCUGGGCUGCAAACCGGGCCUUGUUGUGAUCGGGGUACUGGGCGGUGAGAAGCUCGAACUUGGAUUUGAUGGUGCGAACCCAGGCGUCUGCAUCGAGCAGGUCUUGGGUCUUCUGGAACAAUGGGGGCUGCGUCCCCAAGAAGUCUUCAUACCGAGCAACAUGAGGUUGCUGCUGAGCCCUUCCGCCAUGGGGCGGCUGCUGUUGUUGCCCUUUUACCAGAUGUCUCAGCAGCUCAGUCUGAGCCGCUAAGAUUGCCUCUAGUGGAGAUGGGGGUGGAGGUGGGGGAAGAUCCUGUCUUUGCUCGCUGCUGCCGGGCACAGAACCAGAUCUGGUGCGAUGCGCCAUCUGCAAGAGUUAACGUUCCAUUAAAUUCAUAAUCUCAGAAAUACUCCAACAGAUGGGAACACACAAGUUAAAUUCUCCAAUGCAACUCUUGCUGAUAAUGCAACACACGUCCUCAUAAGGGAGAUACACUCUUCCCAUUGUCAUCUUAGUUAGUAUUUAUCUUAGCCUUGUACUCGACUUCGGGCGAACCAUAACCAGACUCCUGGAAUUCUCUUAUUUCUGAACUUAAGCCAAGGGGUCGGGCUAGGCGAGCAUCCCGAGAAAGGGGUCGGCCAGUGAUCCACGCAAAAAGGGUCGGGCGAGGUGGAGAACUGCCUCGAAGGGUCGGGCGCAUCCGAUCUCAUGAACCGGGGUCGGCCAAACUGGAACGGACCCUCAGAAAACGGCGUGUGUGAUCACUGCACAACUCACAUGGUCUAACAUUCCAACAUUUUGUAAAGAGUCAAUGGUCAGACUCAGAAUUUGAUUUCACUGGGAUCUUUUUACAAGGGUGUUCUAAAACACAAGGAGUACUCGACUCAAGGCUAACCUAUUACAGGACUUUCCAAAAUUUUAGGCUGCCGAGGAGUACAACAAAAGAAUGGGUUCCCUGCAACUCUCCAUCUACAAGGGAACACUAUGAGUGGGAGAAGGGGCGUCGUCCUCUUCAAUGUCCAUAUUGGACGCUUCCUCAACCUCCUCAGGGUCUUCUUGAGCUUCCAGCUACAUCUGGAGGGCAUGCAUGUCAUCGAGCUUGGCGUGAUGCUCGUCCAGAUGAGCAUUGGCAACCGCCAGCUCCAUUUCCACUUCCAUAUUUUCCUCCGAUAGCUCGAUCAUGCCGUCCACCAAGUCGGCUACUUCUCCCUCGAGCUCAGAGAUUCUGUCCUGCAUGUCAUGGAUCUGAACACCUUGUUGGAUGAGCUGAUAUGUUUGGCCCACCAUGCCUCUUCUGGCGGCCUGGAGGUGCCCCUGGGCAUCCAUGGCGGUCCAAGCAAGGAUAGUCAUGGCUCAUCCUUGGAACUCAAUCAGCCGAUAGAGGGCUGACAUACACCGGAUGUUGGUGGAGAUGGUGACCAUUGAGUAGUUGGUUGCCAACACCUCGAUAUUGCUGAUGCGGUCGAGCCACUCCGGGUCCAACCGGUUCCUGGCAGGGAAUAGGCCAAUGGGGUCUAGGGUGACCUCCAGUGGGUGCAGCUGACAGAAUUGAGUAAGAAGCGCAAGAGCGGCUGACUCCCAGGUGUCUUCCGGGGCAAGACUGUAGGCUGAGAUCCCAAACGAGGGCCAGUCAGGCCGCACAGGAGGUGGAGGUACUACUGCUUGUACAUUGCAUGUUUGGACGCCUCGCUCCAGGUACAAUCGUCCUGCAUACAACGGUGGGGACUAGUACCCGAACCACUUCAAGGUAUUCCACAAGAUCGCGGGAAAGCCCUCGAAGUGUAGACACGUCGAAUGGAAGGUGCCAUCCGCUCCAUACAGGACAUGUCUGGGGACGGCCAUCUGGAACCAAGAACCAAAACCACGUGAGAUGAACUCUAAAGGUUAGGGGUCGGACAGAAAAAGCAUCCGGAUUUAACCGAAAACAAGCUGGAGGAACUAGAAAUCCUUAGAACCGAAGAAGAGCUUUUCCGAGCAAGGUUGCUUUUGAGGAGGGUGACUUUACAGAUUCUUAGCUUAUGUCGCAUGCACGGCCUACCUCGUUCUCAACCAAAACAACUGCCAAACUUGGUCUUACGCGGUUAGUGCCGGUGGCAAGGCAACCAGUACGUCUCUCCCUAUAAUAACUAGUCGGUUCUAGCAACGUCUCCUAAGCGAACGCGGUUAGUGUACCUGCAGAAAAACACAACCACACAAACCUUUCGUGCCAGCACCCACGAAAGCGUUCUCAAACAUUACCGUUCACUACAGGAACGGCACCCAUGCGUUCAAGGCUGCAUGGACAGCACUCAACCGUGGAAAUAGGUUCCCUUUGAAUGGAACCGUAUAACCCUUCGCAUACUCGCGAUGCGGAAUCAGCGCACGUAUAAUAGACGUGGCGAACAACCGUGCUGAUAGGCUCGUUGGAAUCAAACCAUACCAACCUUCGUAUGGAUUACAUACGGAACCUGCGCACGUAUGAUAAACGUGGGCGAAACAACCGCGAUGAUAGGGUCCUUUGAAUAGAACUCCCUAUCAACCCUCGCAUACUCGUGAUGCGGAACUCGGCACACAUAUGAUAAACGUGGCGAAGUGCUAGAAGGUUAGCAAGAUAACCAAAUAAAUAUUAGCCACCUAAAACAACCCCAAAAUCCCCUAGGGCCUCUCGCACAAAAGUCAUCCUUAACAAUCGUACGAGAUAUUUUUCAAAGAGUUUCUUGCAACUUUUAUCUUUUUAAAGCAGUGAUUAGGGCUUAUUGUUUUCUUUGUCUUGCUAAACCGGCUCUGGUACCAGCUGUGGCGGAUCCACUUCGGAUUUGCAUAGUUAAACAUGAUUUAGCCGCAUGACACGCGACGCUCAUGCCUAACCGAGUAAACACGAAGUGCCGUCAGAUUUCAUCCGAUUUAACCACUUGAACAGGACCGAAUAGCAAACUCACACGAAGGUGAGCGGUUCCAGAGAAUACAACAAGUCCACUGAGUUAAGCAAUUUAACCAUUUAGUUUGGUUCUAAAACAUCAUCAGAGUUUACAAGGUUUGAAAGAAAACCACAGAAGAUAAAACAACAAGCGGAAGCUACUUCGUCGGGUCGGACAUCCCUGGUGAGGCCAACUGGGACGUCAAUGAUCCCUCUCCUCACCGUCCGAGGAGGGAUCCCACUCAACCAUCCAACCCGGAGGGAGUUGGGGCGGCCAAGUGCCAGCAGAAGGAGGCUCGGAGGCAGCAACUUCACCUGAAAAGAAGAGCCACAACAAGACUGAGCUACUAAGCUCAACAAGACUUAACCGACAGGGAGCGCUCUAAACUACCUCUUCUAGACAUGCAAGGCUUUUUGGCUGAGGGGUUUGUUUGCCAAAAGCGCUAGAUGUAUCCCUACUUUCAAGUUUUAGCUCCGGUUCUAAGUUCAUUAUCCGAUCUAAGUUUGCAACCUAUUCUAAGUAAACAUAGAACCAACCAAAAGGUAUAUACAUCAUCAACAAAACCAUGUCAUCAUCAGAUUCCUUAUUUACUCAGGGUGACAUAGCGAUCAAGCAGUCUCAAACUGUGAGAGGCAUACGAAUCUGUUGAUGCCAGAUUUCGUCACUAGUAAUCGGCGCCAAGAAGAGAGGGAAUCGGAGAGGCACAGUUGGGAAUCGGUCGAAUGGUGCUACAGUGCGAGAUCGGCCGAUGACUUCUGUCUCGCUUCGGGUCGAAUGUGCCGGAGUCCCAAUCAGUUGCCUUUUGCCGAUAAGGAAUCGGCCGAUUAGGAGGAUGGGUUAAUUGGCCCUGUAUGGGCUUGGAAAGGAAUGAGAGGAUGAGGGGGAGGUUAGCCCAUGAAGCGUGGAAUAACCAACCUAGCACGAAUCGUGCUUGUAGAUAUUUGUUUUCUGUUUGAAUUAGGGAUAGAAUUCUAGUCGGUUAAGAAGUUAUCUGUACGGGGCUAUAAAUAGCAACCUUUGUAAAUCUGUAAUCAUCAACCAAUCAAUACAACAAGCUACUUUUUCCUCGUACUUACUUUCAAGCAGGCGACUUCGCCAUUACUUUCCUCUUUUUCACGAGUUCGUGCGGGUUGGCAGGGUGCAUCAUCUUGAUCUCCGGCCAAUUCUGUAAGUUUCGCUUAUCGAGUAAUAUCUAAGCUUUAACUUCGGGCGUAUCGCUGUUGUUUCGUUUAGAUUUAUUCACUAGUUAUCGAUAUUUACUAGAAUCAUAGGGUUUUUUACCUGUUGUUCUAGUUUUAUCACCAGUUAUCCAGCUAGGAAUCGGUAGUUUCGGCUUCAUUCACGUUUUGUUAUUAAAUUCAUCUAUUACCGAUUAGAUCUAUUCCUAGUGUUGUUAUCAUAGCUCUGUGUCAAUUACUCUAGUAACUUCCUGACUACAAGGCUACAGUGAUCGGCUGCCUCAUAGCCGAUUUCUUUAUUACAGCAAGUCGGCCGAUUCGCUAAUAAGCUCUCUCGAGAUCGGAAACUUAGCCGAUCGUGAUUUCUGAACCUGACACGUAUUCUUCCUUGCCAAUCAACAGGUCAGAUUGGCUGGCACGCCGCGCGAACCGUACCAGGGCAUUCACCCGAACAGGAGCUAAGCAGAUUCUCCCGGGUCGUGUGUCGGACGCUGGGAUUCGGUUGACCGAUUUCUAGCGCCAACACACUUUUGGCACGCCCGGUGGGACAAAUACAACCGCCAUCAUGUCGAAAGCUGCUGAAGUCUCCGAAGAUAACGUCAUCGAGGUGACGGAAGCAGAUCUGAAGGACGACCAGAAGGAAGAGCUGGAAAGUAUACGGCUCAGUUCCGGAAAGCUUGCCUGAAGUCCUUCAGUCGCUCCAGAAGCGGGGAGACUAUCAAGAAGACUCCAUUCCCUGCUCCCCGCCAGAUCACAAUUUCUGAGGAUUCGGACAAAAUGUCCGAUAUGAUUCAACAGUCUAUUCAUCACGCCUUCAUUGAUCAAUCCCCGGUACUUUCAAAUAUGGUGCACAACACCGUUGUCAACUCCUUCGCUGGCGGGAUACCUCAAGGAUACAGGGGACCGACAUAUUUUCAGCCGAUCCCACCAAACCAGAAUUAUUCGAAUUCGGUUUCACAGCCGAUCCAAUUUUCUAUCGGGGGUUCAGGUGCUUCCUCGUCAUCAGCUCCUAUGGGGUAUAACUCCAUUCAACUGUCUUCUGCACCGUUCCCUCCAGUUAGCCCAUCACCCUGGGGGGGGCACCUUCAGCCACGGCCGGACAGAAUCAAUCGGCCAGUCAAGGAAACCCUCCAUUUCAGGCAUCCUUCCAGGCGGCCACUCGGCCGACCGUACCGCCAUACCAGCCUGUCGCUCCAGAGAUCAACAAAACAGCGGAGCUCAUGCUGUAUGAGGAAACGAGUGGCUCCUUCAAACAGCCGAUGUUCAAUGCGCAACCGGCUUUCAAUCAGAUGCCAUCUGCUUUCACUCAACCUCAGAUUAUCCCGCCUCCGGUUUACCAACACGUGCCAAUACCUCAGCCAACGGUUCACCAGCAACAACCAGAUUGGUCUGCACGUAUUGCGGAGGUGAUGCAAGAACAAUUCGGCUUAAAGCCGAAAGUACAAACCUACACCUACAGAACACCAUACCCGCCUACAUAUGACCUAUUGCCGUUUCCCCAUCGGUAUAAAGUUCCUGACUUCACUAAGUUUUCGGGGAUGGAUGAUACUUCAACCGUAGAGCACGUAAACAGAUUCAUCAUCCAAUGCGGGGAGGCAGCUACGCAGGAUGCCCUACGGGUACGGUUGUUCUCUUCAUCUCUGUCUGGUUCGGCCUUUCAGUGGUUUACGACGUUGCCGCCAAACUCGAUUAUCACAUGGGCCGAUUUAGAAAGAUAGUUCCACAAAUACUUCUACGCCGGGGUGCAUGAGAUGAAGCUGUCCGAUUUGACCAGCCUCAGGCAAAGAAGUGAUGAGCCGAUAUCCUCGUAUGUACAGAGGUUUCGGGAAAUCAGGAACAAAUGCUAUUCCCUGGCUCUAAAUGACGCGCAGUUGGCCGAUAUAGCUUUUCAAGGCCUUCUGCCCCACAUCAAAGAAAAAUACGCCUCACAAGAGUUCGAGAGUUUGAGCCAGAUUGUCCACCGAUUGUCUGGACAGGAGGUACGUUCCUUCGAUCCUCGGAGGAAUUUCCAAAAGAAAGUGGCGUUCCUGGAAGAGUUAGAAGACGAGGAGGACGCUGAAGUCGGACUUGCGGAGUGGAUCAAGGGCAAGAAGCCGAUAUCAUGCCCAUUCGGCAAAAAGGAGCCAGAACUGUUCGACUUCGAUACGACUAAGGCCGAUAAAAUCUUCGACCUCCUCCUCCAAGAAGGACAGAUUAAACUCUCGCCAUAUCAUACCAUACCUUCUGCCGAACAGUUAAAAAAGAUGAAGUACUGCAAGUGGCACAAUGUCACAUCCCAUGAUACUAAUGAGUGCAAAAUCUUCAGGCAACAGAUACAGUCGGCCAUUGAGCAGGGCAGACUUAAAUUUGAAGUGCCGACAAAAUUGGCCAAGCCAAUGAAGAUCGACCAGCCACCCUUUCCCCACCAACAUGGUUGAUACGGGAAAGAAUCCACUCCAAACAAAAGUGCUGACAUCCGAAUCGGCUAAAAAGAGUGGCGCCGUCGAUCCCAGAAAUCAAGCUACACCUGAUGACGUCAAAGGGAAGCGGCGGAUGGAGGAUGACGAUGGCGAAUCGGAAGAACCACGCAUUACUUCCCAGUUCCUGCUCCAGAAGUAUCAACGUCAGCAUGAACGCUCAAGGUCCCGGGAAGAAGCAAUGCGAAGGCACGAAGACCACUGGAGGUGCCCUUUCUUCAUCCACUGUUGGGAAAACAACCUUAGGCUACCUUCAGCCGAUAAUUGCCCAGAAUGCAACGGUCCAUAUCGUGGCAAUCGGCCGUUCAACAGGUCUCGCUCCAGAGACGGAAGGCCAGAACCGAUCAGCAGGAAUUGGCGCAACCAAGAUGACCAGCGCCCUCCCGUGCGUGAUCGGCUGGGGGGCAGAAGUGACCGGUAUGAUCGGUCAGAAGAUAAACGCCAUGACAGGCAGGGGGGCAGGACUGAUCGGCAUGACCGGUCAGAGAACAAGGCCAACGUUCACAACCAGCUCGAAGAAAUGGCCGAUGCUCGGGUGACAGAUGAAAACCCGUUAGGACGCGAACCGGAGUGGGAACGCGCCAAAUCAGGGGGAAGACCAAUAAAUCCCAGGUGGUGUCCUGAUGGAUUGACCAAGUCUCAAAAACGGAGAAUCCAACGUCUCUGCCAAUGGGAACAGCUAGAAGAGGAACAACAGAGCACGACAGACAAGAAGGAAGGAAGGCCUCGGGUGUGGCGCCCCAAAAGAAAUGACGAAUCGGCGGGUGACGAAUCGGCAGCCGAGAUCGGCAUGGUUUUUAUACUGCUGAUGGAAUUCAUGACUCCCACCGAUCAGCAGGACGUAUCGGCGAUAGAAGAACAGACGGCACAAUUGGCUUUACAGCCAAUGAUGGCCACGUUCGAGAAGCCCGAAGACGACGAACGGCAACACAUGAAGGCGCUGUUCCUUAAAGGGCAUGUUGACGGCCGCCCCCUCACUAGACUGAUGGUAGACGGAGGAGCUGCAGUCAACAUCAUGCCAUACGCCGUACUCCGAAAGCUUGGGAAAAGCGACGAUGACUUGACCAAGACAGACAUGAUGCUCAAGGACUUCGAGGGCAACGUGUCAAACGCUCGCGGCGCUCUCUGCGUCGACCUCACCAUUGGCAGUAAGACCCUUCCUACCACCUUCUUUAUUAUUAAUGGCAAGAGGUCCUACAACAUGCUACUCGGCUGGGACUGGAUACACGCAAACUGCUGCAUCCCGUCAACAAUGCAUCAAGGCCUCGUGCAAUGGGUUGGCUAUAACAUCGAGGUGGUCAACGCCGAUUCCGCAUACAGCAUCGCGACAGCCGACACGCAGCAGUGGAGCUGCGAAACCGUCAGGUGCAUAUCCGGCAGAGUAUGGGAGACCAAUUUCCUAAAGGUCACCGAUUUUGGCCUACAGCCGAUCCGAGCAGUCGGCUCCGAAGACUCAGAAUAGAUGGAUAAGUUCGCACGAGAAGAUGGGAAGCUAGGGCACGGUUUCACGUCGGCCGAUUCAUUAGAAAUGAUAGAUCUAGGCGAUGGUACCAAACCAAGGCCGACUUAUAUUAAUGCAAAUUUAGACCCAGAAUACAAGUGUAAAUUGACAAAUUUGUUAAAAGAAUUUAAUGAUUGUUUUGCUUGGGAGUAUCAUGAGAUGCCCGGUUUAGACCGAUCUAUUGUUGAACAUCGGCUACCCAUAAAGCCAGGGUAUCGGCCGUACCAACAACCCGCGCGGCGCUGCAAUCCCAAGAUUCUACCAGACAUAAAAGCUGAAAUAACUCGGCUAAUCGAAGCAAAAUUUAUUCGGCAAUGCCGUUAUGCCGAGUGGAUCUCCAACAUUGUACCAGUGUACAAGAAGAAUGGAAAGCUACGCGUUUGCGUUGAUUUCAGGAAUCUUAAUCAGGCCACACCGAUGGACGGUUACCCCAUGCCGACGGCCGAUGUACUGAUCGACGCUGCCGCGGGGCACAAGAUUAUUAGCUUCAUGGACGGAAACGCUGGGUACAAUCAGAUACUCAUGGCCAAAGAGGACAUACCCAAAACAGCCUUUAGAUGUCCAGGCCACCUUGGCUUGUUCGAGUGGGUGGUAAUGACUUUUGGCUUGAAGAACGCUGGUGCUACGUAUCAGAGAGCCAUGAAUUACUUAUUUCACAAGCUCAUUGGCAUUCUGGUGGAGAUCUACAUCGAUGACGUCGUAGUCAAGUCCAAAGGACAUGAAGAGCAUCUGGCCGAUUUGCGAAAAGUGCUAGAGUGCACCAAGAAACACGGGCUCAAGAUGAAUCCCAAUAAAUGUGCUUUCGGCGUAUCCGCCGGACAGUUCUUAGGAUUCAUGGUGCACGAACGAGGGAUUGAAAUCAAUCGGAAGACCAUAGCGGCCAUCAACAAAGUCGUGGCCCCACAGAACAAAACUGAAUUGCAGUCUUUAAUCGGUAAGGUGAAUUUCAUCAGAAGAUUCAUAUCUAAUCUAUCUGGGCGGAUUCAGGCGUUCACGCCACUGUUGAAGUUAAAGCCUGACCAGGAAUUCAUAUGGGGGGGAGGAGCAGCGCAAAGCAUUAGAAGAUAUCAAGCAAUACUUGGUCUCACCACCGGUAUUGGUUCCUCCUCAAACUGGUAAGUCGUUCAAGCUAUACUUAUCAGCCGAUGAAAAAGCUAUUGGGUCGGCUCUAGUCCAGGAGUUCGAAAGCAAGGAACAGGUAAUUUACUAUGUCAGUAGAAGACUUCUGGACACUGAAACAAGAUAUCCUCCAGUGGAGCGGUUGUGCCUAUGUCUUUACUUUUCAUGCACUAAACUCAGGCACUAUUUACUGUCGGCAGAAUGCGUAGUCGUAUGCAAAGAGGACGUAGUGAAAUACAAGCUAUCACUGCCGAUCUUGAAAGGACGAAUCGGCAAAUGGAUCUUAGCAUUGUCAGAGUUUGACCUACGGUAUGAAUCGGCAAAAGCCGUCAAGGGUCAGGUCAUGGCCGAUUUCGUCGCCCAACACUGCAGACCAGAGAUUGCCCUCGUAGAGCCGGCACCUUGGACUUUAUAUUUUGAUGGGUCGUCAUGCGGGGUCGGAUCAGGAAUCGGCAUCAUUCUCAUAUCGCCUCGGGGGGCAAGCUAUGAUUUUUCUCUGCCGAUAGAAGCUACCGCUACUAACAAUCAAGCAGAAUACCGAGCUGUAUUGAAGGGCUUACAACUAUUAAGAGAGAUCAAGGCCGAGUCUGUUGAAGUCUACAGGGAUUCCAUGCUCAUAGUAGAUCAGCUGACCGGAAGAUCUGAAUGCAAGGACGACGUGUUAAGAAUUUAUUACGAAGAUUGUUUGCAGCUCUUAAAAGAAUUUAGAUCGGCAGUAAUCGAGCACAUCCCAAGAGAUCACAACGAGGGUGCCAACAAGCUCGCCCAGCACGCAUCUGGAUAUCGGCCAAUUCUAGGCGCUAUGGCUCUAGAACUUGCGGCCGAUGACUGGCGAAAAAAAUUGCCGACUACCUGAAAGAUCCGUCUAAAAAGGUGGAACGACGAGUAUGUUUUCAUGCUACUAAAUACGUACUGCUCGAAGACGACCUGUUCUAUCGAACGAUCGAUGGUGUUCUACUCAAAUGCCUUGGAACAGAGGAGGCUAAGACUCUGAUGGGAGAAAUCCAUGAAGGGGUAUGUGGAGCACACCAAUCGGCCCAUAAGAUGAAGUGGAUGAUCAGGAAUAAUGGGUACUACUGGCCAACUAUCCUCGAAGACUGUUUCAAAUAUUAUAAGGGGUGCCAGGAAUGUCAAAAGUUCGGGAAUGUCCAGCGUGCACCCGCAUCGGCUAUGAAUCCCAUUAUCAAGCCAUGGCCGUUCAGGGGAUGGGGAAUAGACCUUAUCGGCCAAAUUUACCCACCAUCAAGCAAAGGGCACAAGUUUAUUCUGGUGGCUACAGAUUACUUUACCAAAUGGGUAGAAGCAAUUCCAUUAAGAGCCGUGACAUCGACUAUCAUGGCCGACUUCGUAAGGGAUCACAUCGUCUACCGAUUCGGCAUCCCUCAGACUAUAACAACCGAUCAAGGAACAAUGUUCACAUCGGGGGAAUUUGAGGAAUUUACAACCAAUAUGGGAAUCAAAUUGUUAAAUUCUUCUCCAUAUUACGCCCAAGCCAAUGGUCAGGCAGAAUCCUCCAACAAAGGGAUAAUCAAGUUAAUCAAAAGGAAAAUCAAGGAAUAGCCAAAGAAGUGGCAUCUAUGUUUGACUGAGGCCCUAUGGGCGUACAGGAUGGCUUGUCAUGGGGCUACCAAGUUGUCUCCCUACCAGUUGGUGUACGGUCACGAUGCAGUACUACCAUGGGAGUCGAGGGCGGGAUCGAGGCGUAUUUCGCUCCAAGACCAGUUAACGGCCGAUGACUACUCAUCACUUAUGAAAAGGGAACUUGACGAUUUGGCUGGCCAACGAUUGAGAGCUCUGAUAAGCAUUGAAGAAAACAAAAGGAAAGUAGCCAGGUGGUACGAUAAGAAGGUCAAAGUCAAACAAUUCUCCCCUGGAGACUUGGUAUGGAAGUUAGUAUUGCCGAUUGGGUCGAAAGAUUCUAAAUUUGGAAAAUGGUCCCCUACAUGGGAAGGGCCGUAUAAAAUCGGCAGAUGCGCUCCAGGGAAUGCUUACAUUUUGGAGACAAUAGAAGGAGAAGAAUUUACUAGAGCUCUGAACGGAAGGUAAUUAAAAAGAUACUACCCCAGUAUAUGGGUCGGAGCGUAAAGAAUUAACCGUAGCACGAUCACACAUAGCCAAUACAAAACGGUUCAAAUACAUAGUCGUCCAAAUCGGCCGAUUAUAUUCAUUCGGUACGGGCGAUGGGUUACAUGGCUGACAAAACAUUAGUCGCCCUUAGAACAAAAAAUGCAAAUAACUAAUUAUUCUUCUUCUUACGCUCCCUCCCAUUCCGUUCCAACUCAUUCAUGAUGCGGAGGUAUUCUUCUUCUAUUUCCUUCAUUGAGGCCUCCGCUUCAACUUGACGAGGGAGAGGAUGACUCCGAUCCACGGGCGGGCGCGAAGUUCCUGCUGCCGCGUCUUCGAGAACGACUUGCGGAGGAAGUGGAUGGCUCCUGUCGGUGGGAGGUCACCGGCUACCGUUGCUCUCCACAAAGUCCAAGAUUGUACGGGCCGCCGUGGUGACAUCGUCUUGAAGUUCGUCACAACGAUGGCUCCUGACGGUCGGAGAUCGUCGGCUACUAUCACUCUCCACGAGAUCCAAGACCACAUGGGCCUCCGCAGUAACGUGGUCUCGAAGUAGGUCACGAUGAGCCAUGAUCAGCUCCUUAUCUUCGGACGUCAAUGGGUCCUCGGAGUGAAUGAGCUCAAUGGCGCGUAUGAGCUCCGGGCUAAGACGCUGAGGCUGAAACAAAAAAGGAAUAAGAAGGGACAUCUUCUUCCUAGGAUCUAAAAGGAAAAAGGGAAAUCAAGACAAAGAUUUCACCUGGUUGACGGAAGAAGAAGAAGCCGACGAAGACAUGACGAAAAGCCGCGCCGACGAGGGGAGUAAGGAAAUGAAAACCGAAAGCCAAACUGGUACGUUUGGAAGGAAGUGCCCAGGCCGGUAUUUAUAGGGAAAAGAUGCGUGGAAAUUUGGUAAGGCUACGUCCCAUCGGAAAUAAGAAAGGCAAUAAAUAGAAAGGGCGUCGCGAGGGACGGUCAAAGUAGAUAAUAAAUGUUCGUACAAAACAGUCAGUGUUUUACAGAUUACCCAGAAGGGUAUUGAUAGCCGUGAUUGCCCGACACCGGAUCUGAUCGGCAGAGUCUAGGACCCGUUGGUCGUCGUCCACCGAUCCGGGGACUUCUGAUGCGCUGCGGUGGAGCUUCAGGGCCUCGUGGGCCAGGUGCUGCCUCUCCCGCUUCAAAUCGGCAAUGACGGACAGGAGUUCUUGGAGCCUUUUCUCUUCGGCACUGAUUGCCUUGGUCACUUGCUCCAUCUCCUUGGCGAGCUCUGCCCUCCGACGCUUGAGGCGGUCUAUCUCACCGAUGAUCCCCGGAUGGGAGUCCUCCAGAAAAUGGAUACGCCGAUGCGCCUCUUGAGCUUGACGCUUGAACGCGUCUUCUUCUUCACGAGUCUUGGCCAGCUUGGCGCGAUCGGCCAUGUGACGAAGGGCUCUGAAGACCAGGAUCCUCAUAGACUCGAUGAAGGCCGUCGGCGCUAGGGCCUCCUCCGCCUCUUCUGGUACUCGUCCGCUGACGUCACUGAAGAGCUGCCGAAUCGGUGAAGCGUCUUCUACUAGUCGGCUGAUGUCCCCUUGAAGGAGGGAUCGGAUACUGGUAAGUUUGGCUCGGACGUCAUCAGGAACGGAGCUCAAGGCAACUUGGCAAGAAGCAACUUCUUCAUCGUCGGAGAGGGCGACCGCAAAAGAAAAGAGGCUGUUGUCGGGGGUGUCUUGUUCCUGGAGAUAAUAAGAAGGAAGAAUAAAUCGGCUGGGAGUAAAAACAAAUCGGCUGAGUAAAAGCCGGAACAUAACUUACCGCUUUGAAGCGAAUUUCUUCAUGUUGCACUUGGGAGGCCGUCACGCCUUGCUCAGGGGCCUGCGCCAUGGGUUCAUCAGAUGAAGAAGAUUCCACAACGAUCGGCGCGGUGCUUGGGCCAGCUCCCUGAGAAAAGACCGGUGGUUGAGGAGCGCUUGGUGUGCCGAUGGCCUGUGUCAGAGGAUUAAAUAAGUACAUUAUGCAAAUACCAAGGGAAAUCGGUAAAAUGGUACUAUACCUCAAUGGAUGGAAGCGGGGGUGUGUCGAUGGCCGGUUGGGUUGCUGCCGAUUGUUGUAUUUCCAUAGGAGUGCUCUGUGCAGUCUAAAGAUAAGAAGGGUUAAUAUCAGAACAACAAUCGGAAGGAAUAAAACUUAGGUUUACCUGAACGGCCUCCAAUAACAAUGACGCGGCGGCUGCCCCAGCUUGCGCGACGGCUUGGGUAUCGGCAUCUUGGAUGACCUGAGAAGGUGGUGCGGCCGGAGUCUCUGCCGAUACGAGCACAGGAGGAUCCGCCGAUUCUAUACGAGCUCGGACUCGGCGACUGGUCUUCUUGGUGGUCCUCUUCUGGACUUGUUUCGAUCGGCCAGCGAUCACGUCAACAGACGGAGCAUCAUAGCCAAGAAGAGGAUAAGUGGUGUAUGGAUGACUCUCUAUUAGCCGUCCGCUACGGCUGUGUGUUGGAGGAGUUCGAUUCUCGGCCUGAAGAAAUAGUAAAAUCAUUAGUGCUCAGUCACGUUAAGAAAUAGUAAAAUCGGCUAAGUAAAGUACCUCGGCAUUCGGGUCGAUGUUGGCUGGGUCCAGGAGGUUGCAGUAUGCCGAUGUCGACUUGCAGAAGAGAAAUUGCUUCCAAUCGGCCCACCAGAGUGUGAACGGCUGGACAGCAAAGGGAGCUACUAGCCAGUCGUUCAGGUCAAUGGUACUGGAGUUCGGAAUUCGGUCUCGUAACCGACUGUAAUCCAGACCAGUUGUGAGUUUAUCUCUAAACUUGAUUCGGCCAGCAAAAUACACUUGAAUCGGCAGCUGACCCAUGCCGAACUGACGUGUUGCAACGGAAUGGUUGUAGAAUUCAUACGUAGGGGCAUCCUUCGCCGAAAAUAAGUUGGCUGGCAGGAGUCCUGGCUUGAUUAACUCAUCAUAGAGUUCUUCAUCAAAUCGGCCAGUAGUCGAAUCAAAACAGGUUGGGAGUUCAAAGACCGGGUCAUCCCGCUGAUAAGGAAACCAAAUGGUUGCAUCUUCAUUAAAGCCGUUAUAGAAGCAUCGAAAGUACUCGGCUACCUUUGUAGCAGAAUACAUGCAACCUGGGAAAGCUGAUGCCGCUUCACCAAAGGACAUGCAUCGGCGACGUUCGGUAGGGUCUUCUGCCGAUUCGAUGUUGGGGAACAUCAUGCGGUCCACCUGCUGCUGAGUGAUCUUGCUCAUAUAAAGGUUCAGCCACAAGUUGAUGAACCACCAGGGUCCGCCUGGAUUGCCGAUCGGCUCUCCCUUGGAUAGUCUGAUGCCGAUUUGAUGGAGCAUGUGGUACGCGGCCCCUAGCAGAUGUUUCCCAAGAGGGACAUGGUUUCCUCUGGACAGCGCUUCAGCUAAAGCCUGGGUAUUGGUUGACGGGUCGGCGGCUCUUCCGCAAAAGAAAUGUUUUUCUAACCACAUCAUCAAGAAGGCCGUAUGCUCCCUAUUCUCAACAGACCCGGUUCUCUUAUUACUUCUGAUGAAUCCCUUCCACCCGCCGAUUCCCCUUGUGUCCAGCCGAUGUGACGUUGCGGCUAGAAGGUGGUAGGGUGUGUCCAGGGAAGAGAUGUCAAGGCCGGUCAACAGGACCACAUCGGCCAGUGUUGGGGUCAUAGGUCCGUGCCCAAAUAAGAAGGCAUUAAGUGCAUCAGACCAAAAGUAAGAAGCCGUCAUUACCAACGGCUCAUUUUUGAUGCAUUGGACGAUUUUGAGCUCUUCCCAUGAGACGCUCUUUGACGCGGCUACCCGUUGGUACCACUCCCUCCAACCUGGGGUUUCAUUCGGCCAGGAUCUAAAAGUACCCAGCCAUUGAUCUAAGUCCAUAUCGGACAGUUUGAAGGGUAUCCUGUGGGUUUCCAAAUUGAUAAGAUCUAUUGGAUCUGGGUUUCCCAUAGGUCUGAGGCAAACAAGGCUGGGAUUUCCCGUAAGGUGAAUGGUAAUGCGAUGCCUAACUGCCUAAAAAAGGAAAGGGGAGUGUAAAAAAGUAAGAAACAGAUCUAAGGUAAAUGUAUUGCCGAUAGAAGAAGGAUUCGGUAUUUACCUCUGGGAUGAAGUUCUGAGUGAUCGAUGUGGUCGCCGGUGCAGAUGCGGACGAUGGGGCCGCAAUGGGGAUCGCCAUUGGGAUCUCCGAUGAAGCUCCUUCUUCUGUGGAUGGAGCGACGGCCGUCGUCACCACCGCCGGAGGCGCUACUUCUGGAACGUCGCGCGCGGGAGAGCUGCCGGAAGGAGCCGCCAUUGGAGGAGAAGAGGAAAAAGUAACAGGAGGUGGUGCUAGAAAGCUUCGGCGGCAAGGGAAAGAUGCUGAAGGAAGAAGAAGGCGCGCGCGCUGGGAAAAGAGACGUGAGCUUGAAGAUGAAGUGCGGGGUGAAGCGCUAUUUAAAGGAUGCCUGAAGGGGGGUAAAAACGGAAUUUUCACCGCGCCGGCGUUUCGAGUUUUUCGGGAGUAGUGGCUGUCGUGGGCGCCCGUUUCGAAAAGAUUGCAAUCAUCAGCUGGAAGACCGCGAAACGGAAGGAUAUUUUCAUUGCAGCCGUUUCGGAGGGGAGGUUAUAAAGAAUUUCGAAGUAAAAGACUAUGUUUUACUCCGAAACUGGGGGGCAUGUGUUGACGCCAGAUUUCGUCACUAGUAAUCGGCGCCAAGAAGAGAGGUAAUCGGAGAGGCAUAGUUGGGAAUCGGUCGAAUGGUGCUACAGUGCGAGAUCGGCCGAUGACUUCUGUCUCGCUUCGGGUCGAAUGUGCCGGAGUCCCAAUCGGUUGCCUUUUGCCGAUAAGGAAUCGGCCGAUUAGGAGGAUGGGUUAAUUGGGCCUGUAUGGGCUUGGAAAGGAAUAGGAGGAUGAGGGGAGGUUAGCCCAUGAAGCGUGGAAUAACCAACCUAGCACGAAUCGUGCUUGUAGAUAUUCGUUUUCUGUUUGAAUUAGGGAUAGAAUUCUAGUCGGUUAAGAAGUUAUCUGUAUGGGGCUAUAAAUAGUUACCUUUGUAAAUCUGUAAUCAUCAACCAAUCAAUACAACAAGCUACUUUUUCCUCGUACUUACUUUCAAGCAGGCGACUUCGCCAUUACUUUCCUCUUUUUCACGAGUUCGUGCGGGUUGGCAGGGCUGCAUCAUCUUGAUCUCCGGCCGAUUCUGUAAGUUCCGCUUAUCGAGUAAUAUCUAAGCUUUAACUUCGGGCGUAUCGCUGUUGUUUCGUUUAGAUUUAUUCACUAGUUAUCGAUAUUUACUAGAAUCAUAGGGUUUUUUACCUGUUGUUCUAGUUUUAUCACCAGUUAUCCAGCUAGGAAUCGGUAGUUUCGGCUUCAUUCACGUUUUGUUAUUAAAUUCAUCUAUUACCGAUUAGAUCUAUUCCUAGUGUUGUUAUCAUAGCUCUGUGUCAAUUACUCUAGUAACUUCCUGACUACAAGGCUACAGUGAUCGGCUGCCUCAUAGCCGAUUUCUUUAUUACAGCAAGUCAGCCGAUUUGCUGAUAAGCUCUCUCGAGAUCGGAAACUUAGCCGAUCGUGAUUUCUGAACCUGACACGUAUUCUUCCUUGCCAAUCAACAGGUCAGAUUGGCUGGCACACCGCGCGAACCGCACCAGGGCAUUCACCCGAACAGGAGCUAAGUAGAUUCUCCCGGGUCGUGUGUCGGACGCUGGGAUUCGGUUGACCGAUUUCUAGCGCCAACAGAAUCGAUUCGAGUUUCUUAACCAUGCAUGGCGAACCUAAUCUCACGACAUCCACGCACCACAAGGGCCGCUUCCUGUGUCGGUCGUCCCCAUCAAUUCCCAGGCGCGUGUCAGGUCCAAACUUCCCUUGGCAUGCAAUGCUCCACAGUCCCGGCCUCUGUCGUACUGUGACCGCACUUGCACCCACAUGAUGCACCAUGGGAACCUCGUUCCAGGGACAGCAGGGGUAUAAGCCACGCCCUAGUUCAAUCAGGUACUAGGCUUCCCCAUCCCAUACUAGGUAUGAGAUUAGUACUUUCAAACACUUGAUCACGAACACCAUCACUGUCGGGCCUUAGCAAGCUUCAUAGACAGACGGGGCGAUCAACCGACCACCAAAGAGUUACCUCAAACCCUGCCCCGUCAAUCAUCCUUAUAGUUGUGACAGAAGGGUAAACAUCCAACUCCUACAACUCGCGAGUGACAGGGAAUCACUCGGCUUUUACCGUCUCCUAAUUAAGCAAAGCAUCUACUCGGUCCAACAGCUAGUGUUUAGAUCAAGGGAGCUAGGUUAUGCAUCUAUGGUUCCAAACAACUCCUAUACGUAAAUGCACAAGCAUGUUAAAGAAGGCAUGCGCAAGUCUGGUAAAACAUAGGGGAUUUAUGCAUCCGGGGCUUGCCUUCGAGCAAGGAGGAAGGGAACUGCGCGUCUUCUUGGGCAGCUUCGGCUUCGGGAAGCAGGAGCUCCGCUACACCGUCAUCUUCUGGCGCCGGGUGCAGCUCGUAGUAGCCGUCGGCAAGACGCAGCUCUACACGAAUGCAAUGCAUUGGUUAGCAUAGACAAUUAUUUCAAUAGCAACACUUGCAAGUUUGAGCCCAGAAACUUGCGACAAGUUACAGGAGGGUGGGAAGGUUCAAUGGAGUUGAUAGAGAUCAAGAGGUAAGGGUCGGAGGGAAGGAACUUAUGAUCUGACCCUUAAUCUAGAGGAAUAGAUGUGCUAGGGGUCCUCAGAGUUAACGCUGAGAAGUCCCCAAGUUUUACACAUGCACCCUCGGUUCAAAGAAAAAGAUACAGCCGAGCCCUCAGGCGAGGCGGAGAAGGGUCGGCGGAACAGAUAGGGUCGGGCGAGACGGAACUGGGGUCGGGUAGAUAAGAGGGGUCGGCCGAGGCGAACAAGGGUCGGCAGCCUACCUUCGUCUUACAGAGAAGGCUGGGCGGAAGAACUAAGGGCUUGGGACAGCGGCAAGGAGGUCCGGCGGCGGCGGUGCCUCUUGUGGAUCACAAGCAACUCUUGGGCAGCACUGAAGCAGUGGCUGGCGGAUUUGGAAAAGGUGGUGUUCGAGCGGAGAGGAGAGUUCCUCAAACUUAGGUGGUGGCGCUGUGAGCUUCGAACAGGGAGCAAGAGAGAUGGCAGCGAAGGCAAAGGGGGAACUCCGGCGGGACUCCGGCAUCUCAUUUUAUAGCUGCACGGAAGAGGGAAGGAGGAGCGGCACGAAGGCCGGGGAAGAAAUGAUGGAGUGCUCUGCCCGGGCGGCGAUUGAGCGAUGAGGGCGGUGGAGCAGGACUUCGGGGAUGACGCCUGCGGUCAUUGGGCACUACGUCAGGGCGAUGCAGGCGCGGCUUUGCCGGUAGUUGAGAUUUGGCGGAGGUGGGCGUCGUCUUGCGGUGGAUCUGAUGGAAGUGACCGGGAAAACGGCGCUAGGAAUGAGGGCGCACAGGUGAGAAGACAGGCGGCUGCAGUCGCGCGGGCGAGCGUGGAGGAACAGAUUGUCGGGGCGGCUUCUGAUAGGGCGGGAAAAGGAGCUGUCGCUGCCGCGGUCUGGGUGGGCGGAGGAGGAAUCGUCGCGUAGCGAGGACCGGGGCGGCGCGACUGUGGCGAGGUGACGGAAAAGAUGGGCGGCAUCGGGCUCUGCAGCCGGGAUCUGGUGAUGUGAUGAUGGGCGCGGGCGGCGAGGUGCUGCAGAAAGGGUAGCAGAGGAGCUUCCGCCGCGAUUGGGGAAGGGGGCGCAAGAAUCCAUCCGGUCGUGGGCCAGAGACGAGGCGGAGCGGUGGGCGUCGGAGGAGCUGCGCCACGCGGCUGGGGAACUCUGAAACGGGCAUGCAACUCGAGUGCACCUGUCACGGGAGAUCUGGGGGAAAAGAUCUCGUGGGCCCACCGGUCAGUCUUGGUGGUCCACGGUUCGAACUGAAGGGCGAUGCUGUGAGAUGGCUUAGAAAGAUCCGACGGUGGGUUGGGGGUCGGCGGGGUCGGAACUGGGAAGACCACGGCGAGGGGUCGGAUCGCAGGGGUCGGAAGAUCUGGAGGUUGAACACUUAGGCUUGGAAAAACUAAGACAGGUGAUCAGGGGCUCGGAUUAAGAUUAACGCAAAGGAUUUUUGUCCGGGGCCGUUACAACAACACCCCUCCCCAAUCAUCGUCACCGGGAUUAAAAGCAGCACCGAGGAAAGAGCCUGCAACACCACUUAAGAAGUCGCGACCACCACCUCCCAAGCCUAAACAGAGAAAGAUGAAGAACAGAAAUGAGCCUGAAGUGACUCAUGAGGAACACUGGGAGGCAAUGACUCAUGUGGAAUACUGGGCUGAAAUCCAAGCAGAGGCCAGUGAGUGGUUCAAGAAACAGGUCGAAGAAAAAGAAGCAAGGGAGAUGGAGCCACCGCCAGUAAAUCGAAGAGAAUUAAAGUUUUUUAUUCAGGAUGGAAGAAGGAGCCAAGAAGAGGAUACCACUACUAUCGAACUACGAACGGGCAUUAGUCAAGGCUGAUGAGAGGGCAAAAAGGAAAGGAAAGUCAUCUUCUAGUGGUGCUAUCCUCGACCUUGGGCAUCUACAAGAAAAAGAUGCUGAAAAGAUAGCAGCAAUGCCCUUGGAUCAACAAUCACAAGUAUUGAAAUUCAUGGAAGAAACAGGUAUGGAACUUCAUGAAUGUCUAGGGCAAGUUGAGCUGCCAGCUACACCGCCAGUUGAUCCAAGAUGGACCUUUGAGCUAGGCAAGUCUUUGGUAAGGCCUGAGUUGGUACAGAAGCUAUCAACAAAGAUGUACGAAUUCCAUCAAUGGUACAUGAAGGUGUCCGCCGACUCGAGGGAGAUGUUUGGCCUUAAGGUAAAACCGAUAGAUUUUUAUGGCGAAGGUGAGAAAGUUCUGUGGCUAGCAUUCAAGGAUAUAUACAAAGUGUACCAUCAUGAUGCCCUGGGCGUCUAUCUAAUCAGCGCCUGGGUUUUGUAAGUGUUCGUUUAUCUACAUGUAAAUUUUGGAUCAUAUCAUUAUUUUUUUGCGUGGGUCACCGUACUAACUUCGUCUUCCAUUUUAUGUGGGAUGCUAAUUCAGACGUGCCGACGAGAAGCGUACCUUCAUAUUGGCUUCAUGGAUCCAUCCGUAGUUAACCAAAAGCAGAUACCGGUAUCGCUGGAAAAAACCUUGGUGGAAGUAUACAAUUUCCUAGACAAACAAAAAUUCAAGGAUUUCAUACUACUUCCAUACAACUUCAAGUAAGUGUGUGUAUACCAUCUACUUUCAUUUUUUUUUCCUUACUUGAUUAACGUUAGUUAGCUUUAAUAUAUAUGAACAUUAACGUACGCAGCUUCCACUGGAUCCUUGUUAUAAUUGAGCGUGAAAGAAGCCACGUCACUGUCUUCGAUUCGUUGAGGAAAGAUCCGGUGGAGUACCGAGACACGCAAGACAUGCUAGGCUUGUAAUAAUUCAGGACCUUUAUGUCUAUGCAAAAGUUUGUUUCCUAAAUUUUAACCCAGUUACACUAUAUCAUUCAUUAUUUUAAUCCGCAACGCAUGGAGACAAUUCAUCAGGACACACAAACGUCCAUUCAGAGAAAAACUUACAUGGAACACAGACUUCCCGGUACGUAUGAAGUCUGCACAUUUUGUACAUUCUAUGACACGAAUAUUUCAUAACUUAUUUUUUCCCCACUGAAGUGCUUAAGUCAGGAACCCGGGAAUAAUCUAUGUGGCUACUACAUCUGUGAGCACAUGCACAGUUUUGUGGGAUCAAAGGGACUAAAGAUGACGCCACACAACUUUAAAGUACAUAAAAUAAAACUAUUAAUAGUUAAUUAUUUUCUAGCUCCUUAUAUUUAAUUGUUCAUGUAACAUUCACAUAUUUCUAAAUUAUAGAUGUUAAAUAUUCAAUAAGGACUCUUGAAGAAGGAAACAGUAGAGUCAAUAUGUGAAGGUCUCAUUGGAUUCCUGAUUGAUGAGGUGGUAAAUCCACAAGAAGAAUUUUAUUAUGAUGGACAAAAUUUAGACGCUCCGAGCAACACCUCGAUGGGAAGAUUGUAGAUAUAUAGUUUGAUUUGUAUAUAUAAUAUACUAAGACCGAUUUGUAUAGUAUGCUAAGAAUUGUAUAUAUAUACUAAGAAUUUUAUAUAUAGUAAUUGUAUAAUUACUAGUUUCAUUGGUUUAAAUACUAGUUUGAUUUCAUUAUAAAAAAAGUCUCAACUACCAAAGGUUAACAAAAGGGCCGGGGUACGUACGUGAUGCAUGAAAUUACAGGCGCCAUGCACGCCUGCAGGACUUUAGUCCCGGACCCAACCCGGACUAAAGGGGCACCCUUUAGUCCCAGUUGGUUUUACCAACCAGGAGUAAAGGUCCUGUCCCGCGCCUAGUAUGGCAGGCCCUUUAGUCCCGGUUGGUAGCUUUACUCUCGGUUGAAGGACCCGGGACUAAAGACCCCCCUUUUGUCAUGAUUGGUUUAUUCCGGAUGGAUUUCUGGGAGAUUUGCACCCUACCAAUCGGGACUAAUACUGAGUUCUCUAUUAGUGAUGGUGCCAAUCAGACCUUAAACUGCUAGUUUUUAUUUGAGUUGCCGCAAAGAAAAAGUUCAAAUUAGUGAUGAUGAUAUUGAUCAAAUCGAACAGCAUGUAUCGGAAGAGGGGAUUAACUCACCUAAUCCUAAUCUGACUUGAGCAUGUAUCGUUCCUUUGUACUUCGUUGUUGUUAGCUGCAGCACCUCUACUGCCUUCCUGAUGAACUGCGGUGCGAGGAACAGACGGGAUUGGUGAUUCUUUAUCGAGUAACUUGUAGGCUUGUUCCGCGAGUUGUGCGAUUAGUCUGUUGCCUCGCUGCACAAGUUGAGCUAUGACUUCGUUGUCUUUGUCUCGAGGUAUGAGCAUUGAUAUAAGGUUGAUAGAGGCAAUUGCUACGAGUGGAGUGUUGUGUUCUUGAGCCUGUACUGCGUCAAAUGCUCUUUCGAGGUUUGUAAUGGGAAUGUUUGUAGCCAGCAUUUGUCGUUGCUCAGCCCGAGCAGCAUUGCGCAUCCUUCUUUGGUUCCUUUGAUCGGAAGUUUCAUCUUGUGGGGCGUUAGCUGUUGACUCAUCUUCUGAGACAUUGUCGAGUUGUGCUAAUUGCCUGGGGGUUCUCUGUUGGCUAGUACCCGGGUUGUUAUUUUUAGUAAUAACAAAGACUUCUCUGUUGGGGUAGUAGCUUCCAGAGCUUGAUGCUGCAAUUUCUAUGGAACUUUCCUCGCGGCUUGAAGUGAAUGGGAUGCCUUCUUGGUAUGCGAGGUUGUCUAUGUGAGCGACAAGGCGUGACUCGUAGUUGCAGGCGAGGGAUGGUCUCAUUCCUGGCCAGUGAAUGAAUUUGCCUUGCGAUGUCAAAGUUAUUACCAGUCCCUGGGCUGGUCCUGUCAGUGGGAUCUCUAGGAGAUAGACCGAGUCGGAGUCGUCAUCUUCAUCGUUCCCAUGUUCAAGUAGAGUUCGAGUGAGGAAACUUUGGUAGACUUCGGUUGCAUUGCGGAGUCCGUGUGGAAACCGUUUUGGAGUCGAAGCUGAUUUGGGAAGUGACUGGGACCGACUAGUCUGAACUGAGGUCGGGUCCGAUGCGUAGUCCAACUCGGGAUUGUUGACUUUGAAAUUUUGGAUUUUCCUAACCGAAUCCUCCGAUUCUUCUCCUGGACGUUGACGAUCUUGCACCAAAAUGAUCUAGCGCCGUCGACGAUGCAGAGCUAGGAUCCAAAAACGAAGGUUGCGCCGCUUCGAUGGUGAAGACAGGCUUGAAAACAACGGGCGCCAUUGAGCUCACGUUGAGAAACUCGACGAGCUCCCCUACCUGGCGCGCCACCUAUCGGUGUUUUAGACCGGCAACCCACCUAGGCGGUACCCUAGGUGGUAUUUUCUGCGGUAAGGGCCGUCGAGAAUCAAGGAGUCGAUGGUGACGCAAGGAACACGAUUUAGACAGGUUUGGGCCGCUAGAUCGCGUAAUACCCUACGUCCUGUAUGUUUGUUUGUAUUGAUCGCGUAAUACCCUACGUCCUGUAUGUUUGUUUGUAUUGACAGGUUUGGGCCGCUAGACAGGUUUGGGCCUCCCUCCUCUCCCUCCGUCUCCCGGCACCGCCCCCUGCCCCCGUCGCCGCCUCCCACAACCCCUGCCGCCCCCGCCCCCGCCCCCACCAUCCUCCCUUCCUCUCCGCCUUCUUCUUCCCGACUCCGAGCAUAGCGCCACCGCCGGCGGUCCUUGCGCCUCCCCCGCCCUCCUCCUCCCACGGCUGGCCUCGUCCUCCACCUCUGGCCGCGCCUCCCCUCCCUCUCCCUCGCUCAGAUCUGCCGCCACUACCUCCCUCAGAUCCGCCGGGUGGCUGGGCUCCCGCCGGAUGGCGGCAUCCCUCCAGGCUGGCAGGGUUAGCCAGAUGGAGGAUGGGGAGCAUAGGGUGGGGGAAAGCGAAGAUGAGGCCGGAGGAUGCCAUGGAGGAGGUGGAGGCUGAGGUGGCGCCCAAGGCGGCGGCAGGGCCGAAGCUAGGGUCCUGGAGGUCUUCGUCUCCCUAUCCGUCCUCCGCGAGGCCAGGAGGAUCAUCCAGGAGUCUAAUGUGAGCUCACACAAUCCCUCUCCUUAUCCUUCGAUUCGAUUGCGUUCCAUUCGCUUUCUGAUAUGCUUGUUCGGGUUUCAUAGCUGUGGAAGCAGGGUAGGGACAACGCGGUGACUCCACUACCAUUGGCGGCCUCUCGCGAUGCUGCCUCUCACGGGCUCCCAAGUCUGGCUCUCACGGGCUCUUUGUUUUAAGUGAGAGUCUGAGAUAGUAGGACUAUGUACACUUGUAAUGCUAUUGUCUGAACCAUAGAAGUCAUAGAAGUUUGUUUUCUUGCAAAUCUGCUAGUACGGCUGUAAAUCUAAUCUUCCUGUCGGUGUUCGUUCCUCUGCAGGUUAAGUAAGUGGGAGAUGACGGGGAGGAGCAGAACGGCUUGCAGAUGACUGGCCUGAAUCUCAUGGAUAAGAGGAUGACCGUUCGGGGAGCUAGGAUUGCCUACAGCAUCUGGGACGUCGCAGGUAACCCAGAAAAAAACUGUAGUUUGAAGCUGUGAUUCUCUUUGCUGGUUCCUUUGGUUCAAAUGUCAAAUUACCCAACCUUUCCUGACUAUUUUUAUGUCUUGUGGAAUGGAUGCAGGAGACGUCCAGUCUGUCGAUCACAUCCCAAUCGCGUGCAAGGAUGCCGUUGCGAUCCUGUACAUGUUCGAUCUCACGAGCCGGUGCACGCUUAAUAAGUUCGUGUUCAGAUCAAUUCCAAAUAACUCAAAUUCAGAACAUUAGAGCAAAUUCUUAUUUGGUCCUCAAUUCUGGUUACCUGUUUAUUGGUGCAGUAUUAUAGAUUGGUACGAGAGGGCGAGGAAAGGAAAUGGAAUAAGGUUGGUGCAUUUUUCUUUGCUUACAGCUUCCUGUGCAUCUCAGGUUUCCUUUCUGUAGCAUCUGCUGUUAUAUCUGAACACGUCCUAGUGACUCAACAUAAGCAAAAAUCUGCUACAAAUUACUGCAAACAGUUAACUGCAGAUGGGCUGCCUCUGUACACUUGAAUUUCUACAGAUCACUGUCAGCAACAAUUUAAUAACUCUGAGAUUUGCUCGUAUGCUUUUAGAAGCUUACUGUUCUACAAGUUCCUCCUAUUUUUAGAGCUUACUGAACUCGUAUGCUUUGGAGUUGUACAGAGAGGAGAUGAGCAAGAAUCAACCUGAGUUGGAGGCCAAGCUUGAGCUUGUUCUUGGUCAAAAUCGACCAAGCUGAGUUGGUUCAUGCUAACUGUUUAUGAAAAUAUGAAUGUAUGCUGUUUUUGGUGGCUGUUGUUCAUACUAACUGUUUCUGGAAGCAAAGAAACAUGAAUGUAUGCUGUUUUUGAAUUAUUUUGGUUGUAUGCUCGAACAUGCUACCUGUUAUUUUGGUUGAUGGGUUGAUAUAAUUUGCUAUGUAUUAUGGGUUGAAAUGAUCAUUGUGAUAUAUGGGCUUAGAUUGAAUUUGUGGGCUGAAAUGAACAUUGUAAGAUUUGUGGGCUGAAAUGAUCAUUGUAAAAUCUGUGGGCUGAAAAAUAGCCCAAUUGAGUGGUCCAGUUCUAAAAUGGGCUAUGAAUGCCACGUCAGCAUCCACAUCACUAGCCAUGUCAGCGUCAAGUCAUCGGCCACGUCACCAUGAAUGCCACAUUAGCAUCCACGUCACCGUGAAUGCUUCGUCAGUGUCCACGUCAUCAUCCACGUCACUUGUCACAGCCACGUUGGCUGCCAUGUCGUCACAAAACAUUGGGCUUGGGCUGGGUUAAACGGGCCUGAGGGUGGUUUGUGACAGUUUAAAAAUGUCGUAGAUUGUGUUUAUCUCUGACAAAAAUGAGGGGAACGAAGAAAACGUCACCUGAGUUAAUCUGUGACGCUCAAUUCAUGACGUUAUAUAAAAUCGUCAUAGAUGCUGCUUUAUGACGAUUUUUCAGCAAUCUGUGAUAGAUUUGAUUCAUCACAGAUUAACAGGUUUCUUGUAGUGAUUAUACUAGUUACAAUGGCAUAUCAGAGGACGAGCAGGCCCGAAUGGCAGAAGAAUACAUAAUGCAAUUGAUUGUUGAAGAGGAAUACAUGAUGCAGUUGAUUGUUGAAGGUGGCACAAACGAUUAACCAAAUGAAGAGAUUGAUCAUAGCCAGACUAACAUCUACCUCAACAUGUCUGGUGAUGAUAACGAGGAGCAACCAAUUGCUAAGCAAGGCAAUAAGGAGCAACAAAUUGCCGAGGGAGGCAAUGAUGGGCAACAAGGCGAGGUAUAGCAAUUAUUAUACGUAAACAUUAUUUGAAUUCUCUAAUUAUAAGGAUUACUGGGAAUUAAUAGUGCUUGUUGUUUUCAACCAUCUGAAUCGAGCAGCAAGCCUCAACAGAAAUGAGGCAAGAAGAAAGUUAUAGGGCCGUAUCAUCAUCACAGAAAUUGUUCAAGAUGGUGAACUGAUUGCUCCUGCCAAUGCUAAGACAAAAUUAGUGAAUCAGAUUGGAUUUCUUGUCAGGUAUAACAUCCCAAUAAGCUUUUAUAAUUAAAAAAGCCCUAACAGCGUCGCUUCAACAAGCACGGUACCUGACCGAGAGAAGAAAAUGUUAUGGGAACAGGUAAAAGACAACUUCACAUUCAAAGGUGUAGACAAAGACAAAGUGAAAGAAUGGGGCUUCAAGAAGGGUGUAAUUUCUUUCCAAACGUACAAGAAAAACCUGAAUAAAGAGUACAUAAAGAAGGGGCUUACACCUGAUUUCAUGAAGCACCCGAAGUUAAGAGAUCACUAAGAUUCCUUUGUACAGUUCAAGCAGUUGAAAAAGAGCGCUACGACAACUCAGACAAACGCCAACAAUGCUCACAAGAAGAAAUACUUUCAUCGUCUUGGGAUAGAAGAUUACAAUUUGGGGAUCAUGAAAUGGCAGAGGAUGGAAGAUGACACAUAAUUGGUAGGGGAAUAGUACCACAGACUCUCAAAUGGCCGGAGCGAGCAAAGAAUGGGUAUUAUGCUCAUGGUGGCAUGCUCAAUCCUGAAGAUGGAUCAUUGUGUUCGGCCAUGAAUUAGGAGAAGCGGCUACAAGGCUUGUUGACUUAAUAAAGGCAAUGGUCGAUGGAUCUUUCGUGCCUGAUCAAGAUAAGGAUGAGCUAACUAUGGCACUUGGUAAUUCUGAACACUCUGGACGUUGCCGAGGCAAAGGAGUAAUUCCAUGGAAGUUUGCCUUUCAUGAGCACAUUGAUUCAUACAGAAGUCACCAAACAAGUAAGGCCGACCAGGAACAACAGCUGCGAGAGUUGCAAGAACAAGUAGCUUUGAUAGAGGCAAGAACGGAGGAAGCAAUCAACCGGCGUGUGGCGCUAGCUCUUAGCAAACAAGCUAGUGAACAAGCAGCUGUUGCAGCAUCUGGGGCACAUGUCGACGUAAGCCCCACUCAGCGUCAAGCAGUGUCGCUUCCACGGAAGCCCCAGCUGGAGGAUCUUCUGACAUACUUGAGGACAACCAACACCACCCCAUGGAUGACAUCACUGGGAGAUCUCCUUGUGAGCUUGUUACUCCUGUGAAAAACAAGUUGAUCGUGGUGGCUUAUGGUGUGGUCGAGCAACCGACGCAAGGCUAAACACUUCAUGGUGUGGAGAUUCCAGCUCAUAGUUACACCAAAGUUGGGGUGGACCAAGUGGUCAACGGUNNNNNNNNNNNNNNNNNNNNNNNNNNNNNNNNNNNNNNNNNNNNNNNNNNNNNNNNNNNNNNNNNNNNNNNNNNNNNNNNNNNNNNNNNNNNNNNNNNNNCCGGGCUGGAGGAAGAAGAAAGUCUCUAUCUCGGGAUAUAGUGGGGGAUGAGUUUUUAUCCCGGUUAAAAACUCCAACCGAGACAAAAGGAAACACCUUUUGUCCCGGUUGGAAGUUUAGUCCUGGUUGGAUCCUCCAACCGGGAUAAAAGGGUUCACCUUUUAUCCCGGUUGGAGGAUCCAACCAGGACUAAACUUCCAACCGGGACAAAAGGUGUUUCCUUUUGUCUCGGUUGGAGUUUUUAACCGGGAUAAAAACUCAUCCCCCACUAUAUCCCGAGAUAGAGACUUCUCUUCUUCCUCCAGCCCGAGCCAGUCCAGCACAUUGAUAGAGAGCUGAGCUUCACCUACUCUCCGGUGGUGCCAAAGCAAGGGAGGUGCUGCCCGAAGUUUUUUCCCUCAUUUUCGUGGGAAUUUGACUCAGCCAACACAAGUGUUGCGAAGGUUUGCUACUUCAUCCUCGUGUUAUGCUUUGAUUUAUGCUUUGGAGAUGGAAAGAUUAUUUGCUACAAUGUGAUGAUGAAGUAGAAAAAUGGAGAGGUAUUUUGAGCUAGAAUGUGAGGGAGAUUGAUGUGUCAUAUAUAGUAUGCAUUAUUUCAGUGGUUUAAAAAUGAUGCUACCUUGCCUAGACGGUUUAUCUUAUCAAAUUCAAUAUGGUUUUUUAAAUCCAUAUACUUGUUGAACUUGCAUACCGUGUUCAUUUCGGUGAGAAUGUUCUCCGCCGAGUAGCAACGUAUGUGAAGAAGGAGGUUCGAUUCUACGAGAAAGAGUGGAUACGGACAUCGUGACCGUGUCCCCUUUUCCGUAGCAUCUAACCUCUUUCAUGACGAAGUGCGGUGCCACCCAGCUGAGGACAUCCUCGCGAAAUGAACACGGUCUUCAAGUUCAACAACUUCUGUAGUGGUAAUGAAAGAAUUUUUGUACAUAGAUGACUUCUGCUACUUGUUGAACUUGCAUACCGUGUUCAUUUCUGCUAAGAUGUUCUCCGCCGAGUAGCAACGUAUGUCAAGAAGGAGGUUCGAUUCUACGAGAAAGAGUGGAUACGGACAUCGUGACCGUGUCCCCUUUUCCGUAGCAUCUAACCUCUUUCAUGACGAAGUGCGGUGCCGCCCAGCUGAGGACAUCCUCGCGAAAUGAACACGGUUUUCAAGUUCAACAACUUCUGUAGUGGUAAGGAAAGAAUUUUUGUACAUAGAUGACUUCUGCUACUUAUUGAACUUGCAUACCGUGUUCAUCUCGCCGAGGAUGUUCUCCGCCGAGCAGCAACGUAUGUCAAGAAGGAGGUUCGAUUCAACGAGAAAGAGUGGAUACGGACAUUGUGACCGUGUCCCCUUUUCCGUAGCAUCUAACCUCUUUCAUGACGAAGUGCGGUGCCGCCCAGUUGAGGACAUCCUCGCGAGAUGAUCACGGUCUUCAAGUUGAACAACUUAUGCAGUGUUAAGAUAUAAUUUUGGUACAUAGAUGGCUUCUGCUACUGGAGAAGUGGCGAUGGUUGGGGCGAUCGUGGUUCUUAUUAUGGCAAGGUUCCAAUCAUAGUUGGCCCUCAGCAUAAGCCGAAGAAAAAGAGCGCGCUGGAAAAAGCAAUGCUUCGUUAUUUGCAGCAACGUCAUGAAGAAGCUGUUGCCGCGGGUCAGGAACCUCCUUUUGGUGGUCGUUAUGCUCCACCCUCAGUCUCGGGUGUUUCACGUCCACUUAGUACUACCGUUUCAGGCGGCACAAAUAAACCUAAGGAUGAGGUUGGGUCAGCGGAACCUUCAUCUUCACCGUCCAAGGAUGCUUAAAGUCCUCCGUGAUAAUAACCAGUGGAUGGCUUGUUGUAUUGUAUCAUGUUGUUUGGGACUUUAAUUUAAAUAUGUGUAUUUGGAUCUUCAUGUUGUUGUAUUGUACCAUGUUGUUUGGAUCUUUAAUCGAUUUUCACGCGUAAUCCAUUGUCAAGUGUAAUCCAUUUUCAUGCGUAAUACAAUGCAGAUGGACCGGCAAUGGAUGUAUAAUGCAGACAGGCGGAGCAAGGCGUUUAUUGAUGGCUUGCAUUAUUUUCUCGAAGUGGCAAAAGCGAACAAGCCACAGAAUGGGUUCGUAUGUUGUCCAUGCUUCCAAUGCAAUAACAGGAAGGAGUAUUCAAAGGAUUCUUGGGGGACUAUUCAUAGCAACUUGUUUAAAUACGGUUUCAUGCCUAACUAUUUGGUUUGGACCAAGCACGGUGAACUAGGGGUUGUAAUGGAAGAUGGCGAGGAGGAGGAGGAAGAUGACACCAUUCCGGACUGGGUUGCAGGCCAAGCUUUUGCAGGUACUACAAUGGGCGAGGCUGAUGAAGAUGAGUUUGCAGAAAAUGACCCUACUGAUGACCUUGGUCAGGUGAUACGAGAUGCAUAUAGAGAUUGCGAAACUGAGAAGGAAGCAGCAAAGUUGCAGCGCAUGAUAGAUGAUCACCAAAAAUUGUUGUACCCAGGUUGCCAGCAGGGCCAUAAAAAACUAGGUACGACACUAGAAUUUGUGCAAUGGAAGGCAAAAAAUGGUGUGUCCGAUAAGGCAUUUCAGGGGAUGUUGAACAUUGUCAAGAAGAUUCUCCCCGAGAAUAAUGAAUUACCGUCCACAACAUAUGAAGCUAAACAGAUUAUUUGCCCUCUCGGAUUGGAUGUUCAGAAGAUACACGCAUGCCCUAAUGACUGUAUCCUCUAUCGUGGUGAUGAAUACGAGAAAUUGGAUGCUUGUCCCGUCUGCGAAGCCCUGCGGUAUAAGAUCAGGCGAGAUGAUCCUGGUGAUGUCGAGGGGCAUUCUCCCAAGAAGAGAGUUCCCGCGAAGGUGAUGUGGUAUUUCCCUAUAAUACCACGCUUGAAGCGCUUGUUCAGGAACAAGGCGAAUGCUAAGUUGAUGCGAUGGCACAAAGAAGACCGUAAGGAAGAUGAGAUGCAAAGACACCCCGCAGAUGGGGCACAGUGGAGAUCAAUUGAUAGAACAUUCCUAGACUUUGAAAGUGAAGCAAGGAACAUAAGGUUUGGUUUAAGCACUGAUGGAUUCAAUCCAUUCGGUGAGUUGAGUAGUGGUCAUAGUACUUGGCCUGUGACCCUUUGUAUGUUCAACCUUCCUCCUUGGCUGUGCAUGAAGUGGAAGUUCAUUAUGAUGCCGGCGCUUAUCCAAGGCCCAAAAUAACCCGGCAACGACAUUGACGUGUACCUAAGGCCGUUGGUUGAUGACCUUUUACAGCUCUGGAAGGAAGAAGGUGUACGUGUGUGGGAUUGAGGAUAGACAAGAGAUCUUUAAUCUACGAGCACUGUUGUUCGUAACCAUCAACGAUUGGCCUGCAUUGAGUAACCUUUCAGGACAGACAAAUAAGGGAUAUCGGGCAUGCACCCACUAUUUAGACGACACAGACAGCAUGUACUUGAAGCACUGUAAGAAGGUCGUCUAUAUGGGUCAUCGUCGAUUUCUCCCUGCUCACCACCAGCUGAGAAAGAGCGGGAUGCAUUUCAAAGGGACGCCAGACCAUCGUAAAAAACCUGCACACUGUAAUGGAAAGCGUGUGUUCGAGAUGAUGAAGGAUGUAUAUGUAGUCUUCGGAAAGGGACUUGGUAGCCAACCUGUUCCGAACGACGAUAACGGACAUGCACCCAUGUGGAAGAAAAAGUCAAUAUUUUGGGAGCUACCUUAUUGGGAAAUCCUAGAGGUUCGCAACGCAAUAGACGUGAUGCACCUGACGAAGAAUCUUUGCGUGAACGUGCUAGGCUUCAUGGGUGUUUAUGGAACCUCAAAAGAUACAUUGGAAGCACGACAGGACCUAAAAGCCAUGGGGCAACGAGAUGACCUACAUCCGGAAAAGAGAGAUAAUGGACAGCACUACUUACGUCCUGCCAGUUACACUCUCAGCAAGGAAGAGAAGGAUAGCAUGUUUGAAUGCUUGAAUAGUAUGAAGGUCCCGUCUGGGUACUCCUCGAAUAUAAAGGGAAUAAUAAAUAUGAAACAAAAGAAGUUUACAAAUCUCAAGGCUCAUGACUGCCACAUGUUGAUGACCCAGUUGCUUCCGGUUGCACUGAGGGGUGUUCUACCAGAAAAUGUCCGGUUGCCGCUCGUAAAGCUAUGCACGUUUCUCAAUGCGAUUUCGCAGAAGGCAAUCGAUCCAUCCAAGCUAUCAAAGCUACAGAACGAUGUGGUGCAAUGUCUUGUCAGUUUUGAGUUGUUAUUUCCACCAUCCUUCUUCAAUAUUAUGAUGCACUUACUAGUUCACCUAGUAAAAGAGAUUGGUAUUCUCGGACCUGUAUACCUGCACAAUAUGUGGCCUUUCGAGAGGUUCAUGGCAGUCCUAAAAAACUAUGUUCUUAAUCGUGCCCGUCCAGAAGGAAGCAUCGCCAAAGGAUAUGGAACAGAGGAGGUGAUCGAGUUUUGUGUUGAUUUUAUUGAUUCAAUUGACUCGAUUGGGGUUCCAACUUCACGCCACAAGGGGAGGCUCCGAGGAAUGGGCACCCUUGGAAGGAAAUCAAGUUUGAGCAAUGAUACUGAUUUGUUCGACAAGGCACACUACACUGUUCUACAACAGUCAUCCUUUGUGUCUCCGUAUAUCGAGCAGCACAGGCAGAUGGUAGCUUCCAAAAACCCGACCAAAUCCGAUGCUUGGCUUACCCGUCAUCACAUGGAAACUUUUCCCUCCUGGUUGCGCCAACAACUUAUGGGUAACUCUGAGAUUCACCCACAGCUUGCCUGGUUAGCCAAGGGACCUGCUACCACAAUCGUCAAAUUCCAAGCCUAUGAGAUAAAUGGUUACACAUUUUACACGAGAGCCCAGGACCAGAAAAGCACGAACCAGAAUAGUGGUGUCCGCAUAGAUGCCAUGGACAGAAAUAAUAGCAAGGAGUCGUAUUAUGGUUCCAUACAGGAGAUAUGGGAACUCGAAUACGGACCGCUGUACAUCCCUCUAUUUCUUUGCAAUUGGGUGAAGCUAACUGCCGUCACCAAAGAUCAGUACGGAAUGACAAUAGUAGAUCUGAGCAAGACUGGAUACAGUGAUGACCCAUUCGUACUUGCCAAUGAUGUGCAUCAGGUGUUCUAUGUGAAGGACAUGUGCAGCAAACCCAAGAGGAAUCCAGAAGAGACAUGGGAGCCAAAGUGCCACAUAGUUCUUCCAGGUAAAAGAAAAAUCGUGGGAGUCGAGGAUAAAACAGACCAAUCAGAUGAUUAUGAUCAGUUUGAUGGCAUGCCUCCAUUCGCCGUUGAAGUUGAUCCAAGCAUCCUGCUAUCCAAAGAAGAGGCUCCGUACUUACGCCGCGAUCAUGAUCAAGGAACUUUCGUGAAGAAGAAAUUUUAAAAUGUUGUAUUGUAAUGCGUUAAAUGUACAUGACCUUUGUGUAUUAAUUGAUACAAUUUGUAAUUUACCCUAUGUAUGAUUUCAUGUGUUAUUAAAUUUGUUAGGUGAAGAUUUUUUAGAUAAACAUGAACAUUGUUAACCACAUACUAACAUGGAUUUUUCUGCGCAUUCAAAUAAUUUAAUUGAAUAAUUUCUUGAUCACAGCAAUGCAGUAAAAUAAAUAUUUUACAAGCUAAAUGAGUUGGUAUAGAAUUAAUGAUUACUUCAUACUUAUUGUCAAUUUACUCAUUAAUUAAAUAUAUUUUUGCAUGUACAAAAUCUGUGAAGGUUUUGUUUUUCAUCAUGAAAUGCAGUGAAAAGGUAAAAUAAAAUCCAUUUCCAAAAAACAGGCGGGAGAUGAAAAAUAGGAAAAAAGACCUUUUGUCUCGGGUGCUAACAGUCUCAUAGAUAUAUGCUCGAAAACCGCUGCCUCGACUGGUGACCGCGCCAUCGCCACGACGGGUGACCGUGCUGUCGCCUCGGCCGACAUCUCUAUCACCACCACCACCUACUAUCUUACCAUCCCGAAGCUUCCUCUUAAACCGUUGGAGACAGGUAAAACCCCUCCCUCCAAACCCCGAACUCUAUUGGCAUAGUUUAGCUUUCCCUAAAGGUAAGCUUUGCCAUAUUUUUGUCAGAAAAGAUAGAGAUAAUCCGAAAAAAUUUGUACAGGCUUACUGGGCUGGUGCGCGAGAGGCAGGCCGCGGGCGUGUCAAGUCAAGUGCACCGCCUGGGCCAUCUUGCUCCAGGUAUGAUUACAGAAGAUGACCUCAAUUUCUGACUUUCUUCUGAUAAUCUAGAAAAGUAAAUAAGCUUAUAAUAAUGUACACUUACCACUUGUUGACAUUGCCAAAUAACUGUAUCUCUCAACAUAUUUUGCUGUUACAGUCUGUGUUAUGUGAGAUUGCAGAAAUACAAUCUGAAAAGUAGUCACUUGACACAAUACUGGUGCCUGUUGGCCAAAGCCCUCUUUGAAUUUUCAUCUACUCACUGUUCUUUAUUCUUCUAAUGAACACUUAUCUGGUGAAAAAUAUUUGUUCAUAGUUGCUGCUAUCCCUGAUUCUGUGUAUAUGCAUUAUUCUUUAUUUGGUGCUGAGUUCAAUUGAAUGGCAUUUAUUAUUUCAGAUCAACUUUCACCUGGUAGGUGGUUGUAACGCCUGUAAACUUUACUAACUCAAAUCACCUGCUAAAAAUUUGUUUAAAAGUAUUUCGACUGUUGAGCUCCCGAAAGUCUCGUCCUUCCCGGCGACCCCGCCGUCCCGGCACCUAAUGUUGUCAGUCAUCUUUUUCCAUCCCUGCAAAUUUCGCCGCAUGCCCGUCUCAUCCGUCGCGCGUGCCCGACCAAUUCCGAAAUUUUUGCCCACUCUCCCCCUCUCUUCUUUUUUUCCCUUCCCCUUUUUCUCUUUCAUUUUCUUCUUUUCUUCCUUCUCUUUCUUUUUUUCUUCCUUCUUCCUCCUCCGAUUUCUUCUCUCCUCCCUUCCCUUCCUGGCGCACCCUUCCUGGCACCAAACGUCUGGCGCUAGUGCCUGGCGCCGCUCGCCUAGCCACCUGCGCCUGCACCCAGCCCCGCGCACCGUCGACCGCGCCGAGCCUCUCGCCGGCCAUCGGUCGUCGCCCGCUACCGCACGCCACACCAGUCGUCACCCCUGUGCUCCUCGUCGAUCAAGCCAGCCCCCACCACGCCAUCCACGAGGAGUUCCGCUCCGGCAUGCCACCGGCCGGAAACUCCGGACGGCAUUAAGCUCGCCGGCCCUGCCACCCAUGUGCGCUGUCGCCCCUCCCGCCGCCUAUAAAAAGCGGGUCGAGCCCCUGCCGCCUCACCACCACCACUGGCGUCGUCCCCUGCCUACCGCCAGCACCGCCCCGGCUCCCUGCGCGCUGCCGCUCCGUGGCAAUCCACUGCUGCCGCCCCACGGCACGCCCAGCGCCCCCCCUCCUCCAACACCAUCCGCCCAAGGUGAGGCCUCAAAUGGAGUCCCCUCGGCCUCCUCUACCUCCUCCACCACUCGGCCACCGCCGGCGUGGCCCGGCCAACCGCCCUCUCCCCCUACCAGUUUUCCCCUCCUCUCCCAUCUCCCUAUCACGGUCCAAGGAAGAAGAAGGCCCCAAUUUCAAUCUAACCCCCUGGUUUCCCCUAUUCACAAACCGGCCCUCCCACCUCUCUCAAAGAAGUACCACGGAUACACCCUUCCAUCUUUCAGAAAUAAUUGCAAAUAGGUCCCUGGUUCACGCAGUUUAGUCCUAAACCUUGUUUUAAGCUCCUAACACUCCUUUAACUCAUCAUUUCAUGCACCAAACUUCGUCUAAUUGAUCCCAAAUUUGACCACGGCCUCCUCCCAUAUACUUCCGCCGAAGCAUAUCCAAAUUUUAAUUCUCUUUUAUUUAUUGUGUGCUCGAUUGUGUGUGCCGUAGAUCGCGGAGUACCCGAGGAGGAGCACGAGGAUGAGUUUGAACGCGAGCCCAAGCUCGAGGACCAGUACCGCGAGCAGGAAGUCCUGCAAGGCUUUGAGAACGGCAAGUCUAAUCUCACCCUUUGAUGCAUAUUUAUCCUAGUUUUUCAAACACAACCUAUUGGCCUAUUUUAUAAAUUGCAUAUUGUCUUUCUGCGGAAACAUGGUUGGAUAGCCACUCCUUUAUUGUUAUGAUUAUUCCUUGCUUGUCCUAUAAUUAUCUCUAAAUAUGACUAGCUCUGUUUGGACGAUAAUUACUGCUAGAAUGCUUAGGGCCUUGUUACUCAAUGCAAUCAUGACUACAAUGUAUUUUGUUAAAGACUAAAUGUGUGAGUGUUUUAAAAAGGGAAAUCGGCUUUUCGGAAGUAAAGGAAAGAAACGCUUAGAUGAGAUGGAUGGGUGUUUCAGGUGUGAAAUGCUAAUAAGUUGGGCUCGUACCUUGGUGGUUAAGCAAGGUUGGGAGAUAUCCAUCUUUUCAUGGUUAAGGACCGAGUUGAUGUGUCAUCUUGCCUAACCCAACCUUCGUGCAACCACUCGACCGUUGUAUGCGGCAACGGCUUACCAUAAAUCCCACUAGCUAAACUUUUAGUCUUCAGGAGAGCUGGUGAGCAGCGGGAGUCCAUGGAAAAGGAAUAUGAUCUUGGUUACUUAGGUCCCGGUUAAAGAUCUCGUUGGGAGGUCAUUAACCCCUUGGUUACUUCCAUGUUGAAUAGUCAAGCUUAGCUAAGGUGGGUAAUGGCUUUGUUAGGAUCCGCACCGGCACUAAGGUGAUCGUGCUGCGGUACCCUACUUGAAAAAAAAGUGUACAACCUCUGCAGAGUUAAAACCUAUUUGGGUAGCCGUGUUCACGGCAUUGGACGAGUUACGGCUUGGUCACAUAACUAGCACUUGGAGUUGGAUAAUUUUUAUGGCGUGUGUUGGAUUUUGGAAGUAUCCGACAGUUGUGCGGUGAGCUAUGGCGGAUGGGCAGUCCGAUAGCAAUUAAAUUUUGGAUCUUUUAUGUAGGAUCAACCCCACUUCAUGUUCCGGUUUCUAAAGGAAAUGUUUUGCAAAAAAGCUUUGAAAAUGAACCCUUGCACGUGUUCAAAAUCUAGCUUUACUGCAAAUAAACGUUAAACUCAUCCUUGUUAUAUCAUGUGCACACUCUUGCUUGUAUCCCCCUCCGUGGAUGGGGUUGGACUUGUUGAGUACUUUCGUACUCACCCUUGUUUUAUUGCUUCAGAGGAAGACCCGUACUACGUCGCCGAAGAUUUCGAGUAGGAGGUCGCUUCCGCACGCAAUGCUACCUGUGGUGUUGGCCUUUACAGGAUGCUUCCGCUGACGCUUAGUUCCGAUUGCAGUCCAAAGUCCGACUGGACUGCAACUUGGAUCUGUAUCGUUGUUGGUUUAGUUCUUCUUUGGGUGUGGCUUUCCCUCCCGCUCCUUUGUGAGUUGUACAGUUUUUGAACAAUCUGUUGAAUAAAUGUGUUAUCAGCCUCCUGAGAUUGUUGAAUAAAUGUGUUAUCAGCCUCCUGAGACUGAUAUUUGUAUCACAUUUAGUUUCUACUUACGUGGGGAUGCUUCAGGUGGUAUCAGAGCCGUCAUUGGCUGUAGGACGCAACCAUUAGGAUCGUAAAAGUCUUUUCGACUAAAAUAAAUGAUUUACAAAAUUUCUUGCUUCCCCUACUCAUUUGCAAAACUGAUUUACACCCCGAUUCUUUCCAGAUGGCCGAAGAAGGAUGGGUCAACAGCCACCGCUUGGAGGAGCAUGAUUUUCUCAGGUUGCUGUUCGCCUGCAUGGACCGCCUCGGGAUUUAUGAGCGCCCGGAGUACACCAGCAGGGAGUAUUAAGUGGUUAAUGACAUAGUUUUCCUAUUGUGCUAGAGUAAAUCAGCACGCGCCUUUGUUUGACUUACUAAUUUCAUUUUUAUGUCUUUGUUGUCCUAUCUUGAACUCCAAGGACCGUCGGGCUUGGACUUUGGUCAAUCAGUCAGAGUACUACAGAGACUCAGCCACUCAGGUACAAUUAGCAUGAAAAAGCAUUUGGAUCCGGUCACUCUGGUAAGGACUAAGGAAUCCUCAAUACAGCUAGUUUACUUCUCUGUGUUUGUUGAGUUGGUUUUUCAUCCUAACCAAUGAUCUGAUAAAAUAAAAUAGUUCAGCAGAUUGCGCAAGAUUGAGUCCCCACUCCCCAACAUGAUAUCCCAUCAUUUAUCUUUUUAUGGUUACCUUUCUGAAAUAGAGAUCAAGGUCACUCCAGAAUAAUCAUCUAAUUCUGAAAAGUCUGAAGGUAGGUGUCCAACAUAUUUCUACUACUCCAGAGUUUCAGUGAAACAGCAGAACUCUUGGGCAUGAUCUUUUUGUCUUUGUUGUUACCAUGGAAACCGAGUUCUACAUUGAUUGAAUCUUGCAAUGCUUGAUUCAUCUCUGCUGCACUCAGUCAGGUCUGAUACUUUGCUAGAUUUGUGUCCUUAGACUCUGAAGCAAAAUCUUGUUAUAGGCUUUCUGUAGGAAAAUUGAUUCCUGUUUUGCAGUGUGUACUUAGACUCUUAGACCGCUGUUAGUUGAAACUGACGAAUCAUACUGGCACCUAGGUGGUAUCUUAUCUCACAAGUAGUGUUUGACUUGGCUUGGUGCAGCGUUGUUCCUUGAGUCAGUGUCCAUGCAGAUGAUACAAGAGGUUGCACCAGCCACUCCGCUGUCCCAGUCAGGAAUUCCAAUGGAAUGCUUGGUCCUGGUCCUAGACUUUCUAAGGGUUAAAUGUUAACAACACCAUGUCCAAAUACUAACACUGCUUUUGUGCCUUUAUCCUUGCCAUGGAAACAGGGUUUGCUUGGGCUUGACUUUGCACAAUUAGCCAUGGUACAACAAAUAGUGUUAGGUAAUUAGCACCUAAAAAACAUUCAGGUUCAGUCUGAUUACUCUGUACGUACGUGACAUUGGUGGUCGUACCUGAUAGUGCAUAUUGUGCAAGCUCGAGUACUGUACACAAUUCAGCAAACCAGCAUAACUUGUUUGGCCAUCAAUUUAAUUUGUCUCUUUGGUCUUAACAUAAAAACAGAAUUCUCUGCGGCGGUUCAGUGUCACCGUGCACGGCACCAGGCACUAGUGCCACCAGAACAGCUUGCAACGUACACCGUUGUCCUCAAAUUUGUUCAGGGGUGUCACAUGUGUCCUUACACUUUUAAAUUUGCAGAUUAUGUUGCUCAAGUUCCAAACAUCAGUAAUUAGCAUAUGCUUGCCUUUACCAUGCCAUUAAGUUGCUACACUCGCUUUCCUUUAGUCACUUGGUCUAUUUUGCAAAUUUAUGCCUCUUUUGAUUGUGUUGUCAUCAGUCAUAAAAAAAGGGGAUAUUACUGAAAGUAGUUCCAUUAGGCUAUUGUCUUGUGAUUUUGGUAGUUGAGUGGUUAUGUAAUCACUGGGACAUAUGUUUGUCAAGUAUAUGUUUUGGAAGGGUUUCCUAGGUCUGAAGAUGAAAUACAAGUGAAGCAAGCAACCAUGGCAUGAAGAAUGGAGCAAAAUAAGCAAAGAUGUACAAUGGAGUGUUCGGUCGGUCACUGGACUGAAAAAUAGUACGUGGGAGUGAAAUAUACUAAAAAUUGUAAUUAUAUAUAGUAAUUAUAUAAAUACUAGUUUGAUGUGUACAAUUUUGCUGGUGUCUUAAUCAGAACCAAACCAUAGUGAGCUUGUCACAAUCUCUGUUAGUGUAUUCGUUCCUAAAGUUUGCUUGUGACCUCAUUGUACUCACUGCCGCCCAAGCCUGCAAUAGAACACGAUAGCAAAAGGUUGCAGCAAGCAAAGUGGCAUGCAUAAGCGGAUACUGACAUUUCAGAAUACAUAAGUACGCAUAUGGACAGUAAUUUUCAUCAGAUCUGGGAUUUAUGAGCAACUGACAUGUCACACAAGCAAUUGUACUAAGCAUGCCAUAAAGUGUAGGAAUCAGAAACCUAAAAUCUGAAAUAUCAGCAGCUAAUAAGGGUAGAUAUAUUGAUACCGCAUAUUAUGCCCACUGUUUAAUAGGUGCAAUCUUAGAAGAGAUACUAAAGCUAAAUGGGAGCAUACUGACAAAUGAAGCAAAUGAAACUUCCACCUUCAGGCCAAUAGGCCAUGGCAUACCAAGUGAAAAUUCUAUAUAGUGGGGGAGAAAACCAACAGAUAGUUGCAAGCAUUCUAAUUAUAGAUUUAACUGCACAGCACCAAGUACAAAAGAAUAUGCCUUUUUUAAAAAAACAAGAAACGUCACCUAAUGAGUGCUCUUUGCGAAAAAAACAAGAAAACAAAACUAAAUUCUUCAUGACAGAUAACAGAGAAAACAAUCACAUCUUCUAUCUUCUGGAAACAUCACACUUCUAUCACCAUGGAAAGAAACAAUAUCAUUUAAAUUAACGAUAGAUAUCACUCAGUUCUUCAUCUGAAACAAUUAUCAGCUGGUCCAGGGGCUGAAAGAUUUGAUUGGAUUGAUAUGAGAUGACCCUGGAAAGCAUAUAGUCACUACUUGUAACUUGAUUUAAUUCGCACCAGCAGCUAUACCUAUUGGCUAUUGCACAUAACAACACUGAGGGACAUGUGAGAUGGUAAGGUAAAAAAAACCUUUAUUCUAGAUGUACUACUGGGCUGUAUCCCCUUUUGCCUUGAUUUUUUAAUGUUAUAUCUGGGAUAAUUUGUAUUGCAAACAUGAACCUGUCAGCACGACUGCAUCACAAGGAAAAGGGGAUUAGCAUGCAUGCAAGAAUCUAUAGAAAAACAACAGAGAGACAAUAUGGUUACAAAACAACAAUUACCAUGCAGAUUGAUUAUCGGAGGAAAUAAGAUCCACCUCUCCAGUGGUGUUAGAUCUACACAAAGGAGCAUAAAUUAAAAUUGGAAAUAGGAUUAAUUGAACAAAAAUCACAGGCAAGAUCAAUUUCAUCAGAAGAAUUCCUGAUCUCAUGCAGUCUCAGCAGCAUGCCAUCAUGGAUGCCUUCCAGCAUAAUUGACCAGAUACGGCCGCGCAUGCCCCAGCAACAUUCGUGUGACACAAAUCAAUUUUUAUGCAUCCAAAUCAAUUUCACCAACAUCAAACACAGUUGCUCACCUGAUUGCCGAGAGUGUCGCUGUUGCCACAUAUGCUUGCGUGUGCACGGAUGAGGCACAAGAACCUGGGUACUCGCAGAAGCUGAUGACCACGAGUGAAGAACGAGUACAUGAGCGUGCUGUUAAUGGCAUGAAUCCCAGCGGAGAGAAGGCAUCUAGCAGUAGCACGUAUGCCUGAACUCCAUAGGAAACAAAUCCAAAAACAUCCGCAUGCACAUAAGCACAAAAGUUUUGAAUCUUUGAACUAGAUUUUGGAUGGGGGCACACAGAUUGCACCAACCUGGAGCUCCCUUCGUGAUGGAGGGCAUCUCCGGAGCCACUGAGCACUCACCGCCCACGAGUCAUGAGGAGGAAGCAGCCACAGCCGGGUCGUCGCACGCAGGGGAUUGGUGCCGCGCCGGAUCAUCGCCACUCCACCGGCGAAGAAACUAGGAGCGUCAACCACACAUCAUGGGGAUAGCAAGAUAACGCGGAUGAGAUUUUCUACGCAGAAAAAUCAAAAAUUUUGGGAGACCAUCCGCAUCACUGCAAUGCAUACCUGCCCUCACGCAUCUAGAAGGGGAGCGCACAGCCGCAUCGCCGCUCGCCUGGAGGACGGAGCCCCCGCCUUGAUUUGGUUGUCAGGUCAGCAAAUCCGGUUCGCCCUCACCCACGAUGAGGAUCCGGCCGCGAGGUGGCCCUGUUGUCCGCCGUAAGGGGAAGGAGACCGCAGCCGUCAUCACGUGGAGGGGGAUGGCGCCAACGACCGUCACCGACCGACCAGCCCCCGUAGCUUGUGGCACCGUCCAUUAGGCCCACCCUUGGAUCUGGGUGACAGGAAGGGGAUAAGGAAGCGGCCGCCGCAACACUACCGCCGGAGUGCCAGGGAGGGGCGGAGGCGCUGCUGCGAAGGGCCUAGCGGCGACGGCGGAGUGGAGCAGAGCACGAGAGGGACGGGGAGAGAUGCGGUCGCGGUCUCACAGAACUGUAAAUUCAGUUUGUAGGCCACGAUCUCCGGCUCUCCGCCGUAGAAAAAAAAUAGCAAAAAAACCAGUGCGGGCGGCGGACCGGAGGGGCUCGGGUUAGGUUCAACUCCAUGGAGCGACCCGGGUACGGAAUAGCUUAUUCUGUACCUAGGGUAUUAUUUAGUAUAUAUAUAUAUAUAGAUCUAUAUAUAUAGAUAUAUAUAUUACUGUCAUGAAAUAUAUAUACGACUUGCAUACAAUAUUAAUAUGACUCGAAUAAAAUAUUAAUAUGGAAAAGAAUAUUUUUUAAAAAAAUCUUAAGUACUAAAGGGGGAAACCGUGACAAGGGGGUAGAACUUCCCUUUGUCUCGAAAAUUUAGUCCCGGUUGUAUUUUCGGGAUUUAUGACCCUUUCCAACCGAAACUAAAGCCGCGUUUUCCACCAGUGCCCUGCCAUCUCCACGGACCAUCCAGAUGUCCACCAACCUCCCAUGGUCAGUAGCGUUCACGCCGCCUCGGCGGCUCGAACUGCCUCCACCACCCGCUACUUUGCCGCCCGAACCUCCUUCUAGAUCCACCGGGGAUAGGUACGCCCUUUCUUCAAAACCCCGAACCCUGAAAGCUUGUGGGAAGCUCCCCGGAGCUAGAGAAGAAACAGAGAGCUGAAAAAAACAGGUACGUAAUCUUUCCCCACCCGAGUCAUCUUUAGAAAUUUCGUUUUUUCUUUUGACGGAUAGAUCCGUGUUGGUUAAUUAAGUGCGCAUGCCGCACGUGGGCUCACAACACGACACAAGGCGCAUGCUCCUCCAUGUGAUGCGUCGUGUACGACUCGAACUAGAUCUCGUCUCCGAAAACAUCUCGGCAUGCUCGUGCAGACCGAGUAGAAAACACCCAAACCCUCUGCUAAAGAUUACGAUUAUUAGCCUUUGCGUACGGAACAUACAACCUCGAGGGAGAGAACCAGCUGAUCCAAUUCAAUCAAUCACGCCGACAAUGCAGGACAAGGCNNNNNNNNNNNNNNNNNNNNNNNNNNNNNNNNNNNNNNNNNNNNNNNNNNNNNNNNNNNNNNNNNNNNNNNNNNNNNNNNNNNNNNNNNNNNNNNNNNNNCGCGUCGGCGGCCGCUCGUCCGUCUUCAAGGCCGCCCGGUGGCUCAAGGGCUACUGGAAGCCCAGCGAUGGCGAGGGCACCGUGUCCAAGGUGGAAACCGCCAGCGUGCUCGUCUACUGGGUCGCGUCGUCGCAGCUGGGCGCCGAGAGGUCCGUCGUCCAGGCGUCGUCCACGCCGGCGCACCAGCAGAGCCCUCGCGAUCUGACAUUCUUCCGCGCUGGCGACGACGUCUUGGCAAGGUUCUGGGGCGUGGGCGACCGCUGCUUCUUCCGCGCUCCUUGCCGCCGCCGCGUACUCCCUGCCGGCGAUGUCGGUGCCAACCGGAAUCGGCUGCGGCGGCUGGGGGCGAAGCGGACGCCGCGACGAGAAAGCUGGAGCCACGCAGGGUUCGAGCGGCCGUUGUCCGUCGCCAGCACGCGCACGACGCUCGACGUGCUGUGGCAGGACGGGACGCGGCAGUGCCAGGCGCCGUCGGUGUCGCUCGUUCCCACGAUGCCACAGAACACCCACCACUUGUUCCCGGGCCAGCGCGUCGUUAGCAGGACAUCGUCGGACGACGGCGACGUCGCGCGUUCUGGUGUCGUCAGAAGCCUCAACUUCACGGACCAGACCGUGCGCGUGUCGUGGCAAAAGGCGGCGGCUGAACACGCCGAUGACGAGACACUGAGCAGCACGUACGAUCUCGGCAGGGAUUUCGACAGCAAUGUCUUCUAUGGAGAUGUUGUCGUCCGCAGGCGUCCAACAGACUCCUCAAUUGGGGGUCNNNNNNNNNNNNNNNNNNNNNNNNNNNNNNNNNNNNNNNNNNNNNNNNNNNNNNNNNNNNNNNNNNNNNNNNNNNNNNNNNNNNNNNNNNNNNNNNNNNNGUGCCGAAAGAAGGAGCCCACUAGAGCUCAUGAUCUUUCAUGGGUCGGACACAUAGUUGAUUUUUGUGAUGCACACCAUGUCCAAGUCAAGUGGGGUGACGGCAACAUGUCCAAGGUAUGCAACACGUCCAUAGAAUUACUAUAAUAUUAAUGGACCAUUUUAAAAAUGCUUAAAAGGAAGUGGUUUUCUAGAAACAGCUUUUAUUUUUGACGCCCAAGGAACUUUUUUUUCACCUAGAUACCAAAAUCCAAGUUAAUUUUGGUACCUCUUGAAGGCUCCUUACCAAUACAAAUCACCUCACAAUCACUGAUUGAAUCUUUUUUUUUGCAGCUAUAUAUGUAUACAUUAAUUACUUCAUAUAUUAGGACCAUUAUUCAAAAACGACCUUAUUAACUUCUACUUAUUUGAUGGUACCGAUUUCAGGUGUCUUUCCAUGAGAUAACUGUCGUCAAAGAGCAAAGUUUUGGUGAGUUCCUUCAGGAAAUAGGCGAGUGGGUGUCUGAAGAUGGAGGCAUGAGCAACGACGCUAUUGAUCACGAAGCACAAGUGACUGCCGCUGCCGUUGUAAGUAUCCCUCCGCACACAAAUUUCAAUUCCCCAAGAGAUCGGGUAAAUGGUUGGACGGUGCCGGGAGCGUCAACCUCGGAGCUUACGGCCAGAGGGAACAACAAUGUAUCCGCACCCGUGUCCGGUGGUGAUGGUGAUGCCAAGGAGACCUCCACUGCUGUGGCAGGCAUCAAUGGAGGAGGUGGUGGUGAGGGGAAGCAGGCAGAGGCAGAUGCCACCGGCGAUGACAAGUCAUUUAGCUUCCCACAAUUUGAUAUCGUGCAGAGCCCUUCAGAUCACCAUUACCUUGAUAACAUGGAGCAGGUUCGUAAUUUUCUUUUUUUUUCCUAAGGCCCUGUUUGGAUCUUUGGAAUUGAAUUCCAUUCUAAUAAUCAUUAUUUAGACAUAAAUUAAUUAAGCUAAUAUAAUUGUCUGUGGAAUAUAUUUGUAUAAUAUUGUUGGCGAUAUGGGAGAAAUAGUUAUGUGUUGCACUUCUGCUAUAGAGAAGCGAGUCCAAGAGCGUGCUAUAAGAAUUGAAUUCCAUUCUAAUAAUCAUAAUCUAUGGAAUCAAUUUCCAUCUCCCACCCCGUAAAUUUAAGAUAGGCUUAUAUCUAAACUUUGGAAAGUUGUGGAAUACCACAUUCAAGAUAAAUUAGCCUACUCCAUUAAGUAAAUUCCAAUUCCUUCAAAAUGAAGGAAGCUAAAUGGGUCCUAAGGGUUUUUUAGCUUUAUGAAUAUAUUAACAGUAAUACAUAUGAUGUAUAAACAGUAAUACAUUUUUUUUGGUAAAAAUUAAGAAAACGAUGGUUGCUGAAAACCCUAUAUAAUAUAAUACAAGUUACUGAUGGUUCAAAUUAAUUAAAUGAUUGCCCGUUUAGUUUUCAUACAUUGAAUCUGCCACAGUGAUGUGUCCUAUAUAUAUAGUGACUGCUAAUUAAGUUGAUGUGCUUUUGUAAACAGGGCACUGGUGGGGGGAAGAAGUGGAUGAAGAGGGUGCAAAAGGAAUGGAAUAUUCUUGAGAAUAACUUGCCAGGUACACAGUGAGUUAAUUUGCAUAUGGAGGGAAUAAAAAUUUUGAACUUUUGCAAUCAAACACAAACUCUUUCGACAUGUAUCUAAAGGUUUGUCCGUGCAUGCAGACACCAUCUUCAUGCGGGCGUACGAGGACCGCAUGGACCUCCUGCGAGCGGUGAUGGUCGGAGCUAGCGGGACGCCGUACCAUGACGGCCUCUUCUUUUUCGAUCUGCAGCUACCGCCGUCGUACCCUGCCGCGCCACCGCUGGUGUGCUACCGAUCGUUCGGCCUACGUGUGAACCCCAACCUCUACCCCUCCGGCACGGUGUGCCUGAGCCUGCUCAACACCUUCGGUGGCCACGGAGCCGAGCUGUGGUCCCCGGAGGCUUCGACCGUCCUCCAGGUCGUCGUCUCCAUCCAGGGCCUCGUGCUCAACGCCCAACCAUACUACAACGAGGCGGGCUACGCCGACCUGGUAGGAACGCCGCAGGGUCGCCGGAACGAGCUCCCGUACAGCGAGAACACCUACCUGCUCACCCUGCAGACCAUGCUCCACCUCCUGCGCCGGCCGCCGGCGGGCUUCGAGGAGUUCGUCAGGGACCACUUCCACCGGCGAGGGCAGCACGUGCUCCGAGCGUGCGAGGCAUACCUAGAUGGCUGCCUCGUGGGCACGCUCGAUGGCGAGGGGAGCGGGGCGCGGCGCCCGUGCUCGGCGGGGUUCAGGCUCGCCCUCGCCAACGUGGUGCCCCGGCUUGUUGAGGCGUUCACCGCGAUCGACGCUGAUGGAUGCAAGGAGUUCGAUCGGAUACGGGUGCCAACAGUAUGCACUUAAUUUGUCUCUGCUACUCGCUAGUCCAUUUGUAUCCUACUUACAUUUUAAGUUACAAAACGCGUGUUCACACAUUUGAACUUUGACAUCAAUAUUAUAUUUUUGUAUACUGUUGGGAAUGGUACAACAGUUUUGCUACAUACUCCCUUCGUCCCAUACUUCAUAAAUAAUAUUUAUUUUGACUUAACUUUUGCGAUAUGUCUAGAGAUAGAUGUACCUAGAAAAUCCAAAUAAAAAUAAAUAGUAAACUUUGGGAGGUAGGGGUAUAGUUUCCAGCUGCAAUUCGUGAUCAAAGGUAGUAGUGUGUUGAUGGUAGUAUUUCGUUAUCCAAACACGGCACUCUAUUGUGGCGAACGAACACUGCUGGAUGAUCUCUAUCAGUACUGCUUGUUUGGUACUAAAUGCCACACCAAUCGGUACUAAAUGCACCAUUUAGUACACCAACCAGUACUAACUGCAUGCCACGUCUCGUUGUUGUCGAUGGCAGUUUAGCACCGGUUGGUUUUACUAACCGAUACUAAAUAUUAUUCUUUUUUCCUUUUCAUUUUCCUUUUGUUUUAUCAUUUUCCUUUUGUUUUAUAAUUUCUAUUCAUAUCCGACGGAGCUUUUACUAAUGAUAUUACGUUAAUAUAUUAACCCAUUCAAAUCCAAGUCUCACAAAUAUCAGCCCAUUCAAAUCAUUAACACUCCGAGAAGAUUGUAUAUGCAAUAAAAUAUAUACAUCAACACUUAAGGUCUAAGAGAGAACAAGUUCAAAUUCAUAAGCAAAUAGUAGGGUACCGGUACAUCCAUGCAUGUUACAUAUUUCUUACUUCCUUAGAUGUGGAACAUAGUUAAGGUCUCCAAUCGUCCAGCCUAGACCUUCGUCAAAAUAAGCUAGAGCACGGAUGAGUGCACUCUCCUUCGCUUCGCAUGGAUGGUCACAUACACUACCAUAGAUCUCAAACAAUGGAGAGGUAAACUGAUGUGGCCUGUAUAAAGUGAGAUGAGCUUGGAGCUUGAAAUCUCUGGUGAGUAUCGGAUUUCCACCCAUGUAAGUCUAAUCCAACACAUCCAAGACUUGAGCUAGAAUCACGCGAAAGCUCGUUGCUACAUUGGUAAUACCAACUAAAAGAUGCUAAUAAUGUGAUGAAAGUAAAAUGAUAUAACAUAACUAAAGAUAAAAAAAUGUUCCAUACCAUGUCAUAUUGAUUUCUCCCUCCUCGAGCUGCUUUAUUCAAAAAUAUGAUAAGUCUGGCACAAAGUACCCAUGAUCCUUAAGCUGUUGUAGGUAGGCCUCCACGAUGGUCCUAUCAAAAGUUACCCUAUCUGGUGCUACUUGACCCCAUACAACAAUUGAAACUAUUAGGAUGGCCUGUCCUGGAGAUAUCGAGGUGAAUUAUGUUUCUCGAACAGGUACUUGAAAAAAGAUAUGUACUCUUUUAAAACGAGGUUCACCAACAACAUCAGUUUGCACUAAAGAUAUCGAGGUGAUUGUUUGGAGGGGGUCCCUACCUUGCCUUAUAUUGCUGGGGUAAGGUUACAGGUUGGUUGUUGUACAAAAGUACUAGUCGGAUUCGAUCAAAGAGUCUUACUCUAAUUGCCACGAGUAGUUUUCUAAUCCUCGACUAGUCCUUGUCUACCACAUAGACCACGCCGUCCUGCACCAUAGUUUCCAUAUCUGACACGUCUUGGUGUACAGUCCCAUAUGUAGGACUGUCCAAGCCUCCUGACAGUCUCAUAGAUAUAUGCUCGAAAACCGCCGCCUCGACUGGUGACCGCGCCAUCGCCACGACGGGUGACCGUGCUGUCGCCUCGGCCGACAUCUCUAUCACCACCACCACCUACUAUCUUACCAUCCCGAAGCUUCCUCUUAAACCGUUGGAGACAGGUAAAACCCCUCCCUCCAAACCCCGAACUCUAUUGGCAUAGUUUAGCUUUCCCUAAAGGUAAGCUUUGCCAUAUUUUUGUCAGAAAAGAUAGAGAUAAUCCGAAAAAAUUUGUACAGGCUUACUGGGCUGGUGCGCGAGAGGCAGGCCGCGGGCGUGUCAAGUCAAGUGCACCGCCUGGGCCAUCUUGCUCCAGGUAUGAUUACAGAAGAUGACCUCAAUUUCUGACUUUCUUCUAAUAAUCUAGAAAAGUAAAUAAGCUUAUAAUAAUGUACACUUACCACUUGUUGACAUUGCCGAAUAACUGUAUCUCUCAACAUAUUUUGCUGUUACAGUCUGUGUUAUGUGAGAUUGCAGAAAUACAAUCUGAAAAGUAGUCACUUGACACAAUACUGGUGCCUGUUGGCCAAAGCCCUCUUUGAAUUUUCAUCUACUCACUGUUCUUUAUUCUUCUAAUGAACACUUAUCUGGUGAAAAAUAUUUGUUCAUAGUUGCUGCUAUCCCUUAUUCUAUGUAUAUGCAUUAUUCUUUAUUUGGUGCUGAGUUCAAUUGAAUGGCAUUUAUUAUUUCAGAUCAACUUUCACCUGGUAGGUGGUUGUAACGCCUGUAAAUUUACUAACUCAAAUCACCCGCUAAAAAUUUGUUUAAAAGUAUUUCGACUGUUGAGCUCCCGAAAGUCUCGUCCUUCCCGGCGACCCCGCCGUCCUGGCACCUAACGUUGUCAGUCAUCUUUUUCCAUCCCUGCAAAUUUCGCCGCAUGCCCAUCUCAUGCGUCGCGCGUGCCCGACCAAUUCCGAAAUUUUUGCCCACUCUCCCCCUCUCUUCUUUUUUUCCCUUCCCCUGUUUCUCUUUCCUUUUCUUCUUUUCUUCCUUCUCUUUCUUUUUUUCUUCCUUCUUCCUCCUCCGAUUUCUUCUCUCCUCCCUUCCCUUCUUGGCGCACCCUUCCUGGCACCAAAUGUCUGGCGCUAGUGCCUGGCGCCGCUCGCCUGGCCACCUGCGCCUGCACCCAGCCCCGCGCGCCGUCGACCGCGUCGAGCCUCUCGCCGGCCAUCGGUCGUCGCCCGCUACCGCACGCCACACCGGUCGUCACCCCUGUGCUCCUCGUCGAUCAAGCCAGCCCCCACCACGCCAUCCACGAGGAGUUCCGCUCCGGCAUGCCACCGGUCGGAAACUCCGGACAGCAUUAAGCUCGCCGGCCCUGCCGCCCCUGUGUGCUGUCGCCCCUCCCGCCGCCUAUAAAAAGCGGGUCGAGCCCCUGCCGCCUCCCCACCACCACCGGCGUCGUCCCCUGCCUACCGCCAGCACCGCCCCGGCUCCCUGCGCGCUGCCGCUCCGUGGCAAUCCACCGCUGCCGCCCCACGGCACGCCCGGCGCCCCCCUCCUCCAACACCAUCCGCCCAAGGUGAGGCCUCAAAUGGAGUCCCCUCGGCCUCCUCUACCCCCUCCACCACUCGGCCACCGCCGGCGUGGCCCGGCCAACCGCCCUCUCCCCCUACCGGUUUUCCCCUCCUCUCCCAUCUCCCUAUCACGGUCCAAGGAAGAAGAAGGCCCCAAUUUCAAUCUAACCCCCUGGUUUCCCCUAUUCACAAAUCGGCCCUCCCACCUCUCUCAAAGAAGUAUCGUGGAUACGCCCUUCCAUCUUUCAGAAAUAAUUGCAAAUAGGUCCCUGGUUCAUGCAGUUUAGUCCUAAACCUUGUUUUAAGCCCCUAACACUCCUUUAACUCGUCAUUUCAUGCGCCAAACUUCAUCUAAUUGAUCCCAAAUUUGACCACGGCCUCCUCCCAUAUACUUCCGCCGAAGCAUAUCCAAAUUUUAAUUCUCUUUUAUUUAUUGUGUGCUCGAUUGUGUGUGCUGUAGAUCGCGGAGUACCCGAGGAGGAGCACGAGGAUGAGUUUGAACGCGAGCCCAAGCUCGAGGACCAGUACCGCGAGCAGGAAGUCCCGCAAGGCUUUGAGAACGGCAAGUCUAAUCUCACCCUUUGAUGCAUAUUUAUCCUAGUUUUUCAAACACAAUCUAUUGUCCUGUUUUAUAAAUUGCAUAUUGUCUUUCUGCAGAAACAUGGUUGGAUAGCUACUCCUUUAUUGUUAUGAUUAUUCCUUGCUUGUCCUAUAAUUAUCUCUAAAUAUGACUAGCUCUGUUUGGACGAUAAUUACUGCUAGAAUGCUUAGGGCCUUGUUACUCAAUGCAAUCAUGACUACAAUGCGUUUUGUUAAAGACUAAAUGUGUGAGUGUUUUAAAAAGGGAAACCGGGUUUUCGGAAGUAAAGGAAAGAAAUGCUUAGAUGAGAUGGAUGGGUGUUUCAGGUGUGAAAUGCCAAUAAGUUGGGCUUGUACCUUGGUGGUUGAGCAAGGUUGGGAGAUAUCCAUCUUUUCAUGGUUAAGGACCGAGUUGAUGUGUCAUCUUGCCUAACCCAACCUUCGUGCAACCACUCGACCGUUGUAUGAGGCAACGGCUUACCAUAAAUCCCACUAGCUAAACUUUUAGUCUUCAGGAGAGCUGGUGAGCAGCGGGAGUCCAUGGAAAAGGAGUAUGAUCUUGGUUACUUAGGUCCCGGUUAAAGAUCUCGUUGGGAGGUCAUUAACCCCUUGGUUACUUCCAUGUUGAAUGGUCAAGCUUAGCUAAGGUGGGUAAUAGCUUUGUUAGGAUCCGCACCGGCACUAAGGUGAUCGUGCUGCGGUACCCUACUUGAAAAAAAAAGUGUACAACCUCUGCAGAGUUAAAACCUAUUUGGGUAGCCGUGUUCACGGCAUUGGACGAGUUACGGUUUGGUCACAUAACUAGCACUUGGAGUUGGAGAAUUUUUAUGGCGUGUGUUGGAUUUUGGAAGUAUCCGACAGUUGUGCGGUGAGCUAUGGCGGAUGGGCAGUCCGAUAGCAAUUAAAUUUUGGAUCUUUUAUGUAGGAUCAACCCCACUUCAUGUUCCGGUUUCUAAAGGAAAUGUUUUGCAAAAAAGCUUUGAAAAUGAACCCUUGCACGUGUUCAAAAUCUAGCUUUACUGCAAAUAAACGUUGAACUCAUCCUUGUUAUAUCAUGUGCACACUCUUGCUUGUAUCCCCCUCCGUGGAUGGGAUUGGACUUGUUGAGUACUUUCGUACUCACCCUUGUUUUGUUGCUUCAGAGGAAGACCCGUACUACGUCGCCGAAGAUUUCGAGUAGGAGGUCGCUUCCGCACGCAAUGCUACCUGUGGUGUUGGCCUUUACAGGAUGCUUCCGCUGACGCUUAGUUCCGAUUGCAGUCCAAAGUCCGACUGGACUGCAACUUGGAUCUGUAUCGUUGUUGGUUUAGUUCUUCUUUGGGUGUGGCUUUCCCUCCCGCUCCUUUGUGAGUUGUACGGUUUUUGAACAAUCUGUUGAAUAAAUGUGUUAUCAGCCUCCUGAGACUGUUGAAUAAAUGUGUUAUCAGCCUCCUGAGACUGAUAUUUGUAUCACAUUUAGUUUCUACUUACGUGGGGACGCUUCAGGUGGUAUCAGAGCCAUCAUUGGCUGUAGGACGCAACCAUUAGGAUCGUAAAAGUCUUUUCGACCAAAAUAAAUGAUUUACAAAAUUUCUUGCUUCCCCUACUCAUUUGCAAAACUGAUUUACACCCCGAUUCUUUCCAGAUGGCCGAAGAAGGAUGGGUCAACAGCCACCGCCUGGAGGAGCAUGAUUUUCUCAGGUUGCUGUUCGCCUGCAUGGACCGCCUCGGGAUUUAUGAGCGCCCGGAGUACACCAGCAGGGAGUAUUAAGUGGUUAAUGACAUAGUUUUCCUAUUGUGCUAGAGUAAAUCAGCACGCGCCUUUGUUUGACUUACUAAUUUCAUUUUUAUGUCUUUGUUGUCCUAUCUUGAACUCCAAGGACCGUCGGGCUUGGACUUUGGUCAAUCAGUCAGAGUACUACAGAGACUCAGCCACUCAGGUACAAUUAGCAUGAAAAAGCAUUUGGAUCCGGUCACUCUGGUAAGGACUAAGGAAUCCUCAAUACAGCUAGUUUACUUCUCUGUGUUUGUUGAGUUGGUUUUUCAUCCUAACCAAUGAUCUGAUAAAAUAAAAUAGUUCAGCAGAUUGCGCAAGAUUGAGUCCCCACUCCCCAACAUGAUAUCCCAUCAUUUAUCUUUUUAUGGUUACCUUUCUGAAAUAGAGAUCAAGGUCACUCCAGAAUGAUCAUCUACUUCUGAAAAGUCUGAAGGUAGGUGUCCAACAUAUUUCUACUACUCCAGAGUUUCAGUGAAACAGCAGAACUCUUGGGCAUGAUCUUUUUGUCUUUGUUGUUACCAUGGAAACCGAGUUCUACAUUGAUUGAAUCUUGCAAUGCUUGAUUCAUCUCUGCUGCACUCAGUCAGGUCUGAUACUUUGCUAGAUUUGUGUCCUUAGACUCUGAAGCAAAAUCUUGUUAUAGGCUUUCUGUAGCAAAAUUGAUUCCUGUUUUGCAGUGUGUACUUAGACUCUUAGACCGCUGUUAGUUGAAACUGACAAAUCAUACUGGCACCUAGGUGGUAUCUUAUCUCACAAGUAGUGUUUGCCUUGGCUUGGUGCAGCGUUGUUCCUUGAGUCAGUGUCCAUGCAGAUGAUACAAGAGGUUGCACCAGCCACUCCGCUGUCCCAGUCAGGAAUUCCAAUGGAAUGCCUGGUCCUGGUCCUGGACUUUCUAAGGGUUAAAUGUUAACAACACCAUGUCCAAAUACUAACACUGCUUUUGUGCCUUUAUCCUUGCCAUGGAAACAGGGUUUGCUUGGGCUUGACUUUGCACAAUUAGCCAUGGUACAACAAAUAGUGUUAGGUAAUUAGCACCUAAAAAACAUUCAGGUUCAGUCUGAUUACUCUGUACGUACGUGACAUUGGUGGUCGUACCUGGUAGUGCAUAUUGUGCAAGCUCAAGUACUGUACACAAUUCAGCAAACCAGCAUAACUUGUUUGGCCAUCAAUUUAAUUUGUCUCUUUGGUCUUAACAUAAAAACAGAAUUCUCUGCGGCGGUUCAGUGUCACCGUGCACGGCACCAGGCACUAGUGCCACCAGAACAGCUUGCAACGUACACCGUUGUCCUCAAAUUUGUUCAGGGGUGUCACAUGUGUCCUUACCCUUUUAAAUUUGCAGAUUAUGUCGCUCAAGUUCCAAACAUCAGUAAUUAGCAUAUGCUUGCCUUUACCAUGCCAUUAAGUUGCUACACUCGCUUUCCUUUAGUCACUUGGUCUAUUUUGCAAAUUUAUGCCUCUUUUGAUUGUGUUGUCAUCAGUCAUAAAAAAGGGGAUAUUACUGAAAGUAGUUCCAUUAGGCUAUUGUCUUGUGAUUUUGGUAGUUGAGUGGUUAUGUAAUCACUGGGACAUAUGUUUGUCAAGUAUAUGUUUUGGAAGGGUUUCCUAGGUCUCAAGAUGAAAUACAAGUGAAGCAAGCAACCAUGGCAUGAAGAAUGGAGCAAAAUAAGCAAAGAUGUACAAUGGAGUGUUCGGUCGGUCACUGGACUGAAAAAUAGUACGUGGGAGUGAAAUAUACUAAAAAUUAAUUAUAUAUAGUAAUUAUAUAAAUACUAGUUUGAUGUGUAUAAUAUACUAAAAUUUAUAUAGGCCUUCGCUAUUUGGUACCCAGGGUACAGAAGUUAUUCUGUACCUGAGAACCACCUCCACGCCCGUCCGAGCGCUCCUUCGGUACCGGAUCUUUUUUUUCUUGGUCUACAAACUAUUUCGAGAAAAAACACGUAUUGGAAAAGGACGCACUAAAUGACAAGCCUUCUGAUUAUUUGGAAAUUCUAUAAAAUAGAAUUGUAAAAAUUACAAAAUUUGCUCCAUAGAACAUGCAUUGCUUUUUGUUUGCAGACACUACAUAACAGAAUUUAAAAAAAAUUGCAAAAUUUGCUCCAUAGAACAUUCAUUGGUUAAAAAAGUAUUUAAAAUUGUAUAAUUGUUGGUUCAAGAAUUCAGUUUGUAUGAUCAAACGGACCAAUAUUUAGAUUGAACCAUCGAAAUUGUCAUGUUUCCUUAAUCAAAAUGUUUGUUCAUCAUAUCAAAGGGUCUUUAAGGUCCAACUUAUCUUUUUUAUUAAUUGAAAUGUGAGCUAGUACAGUAAAUAUUCAACGACUGAGUGAUCUUAGUGAUCUUUACAUUCGUGAUAAAUCUAGCCAUACAAAUUGGCGACCAGGUGUCUCAAUUUCAUGAGACGGAAUUUCGCAAUAGACUGAGCAGUCAGGUGCCCCAAGAAUACUAAUUGGUUAAUGAAUCUUUGUUCUCUGUCCUCUCUGUGACCAAUGUCAUCUGCCUCAUAGUCACAUUGCUUGUAACCUACUUACACACAAACAGACUGAAAAACAACAUAUUGAAACAUGUGGGCAUCUAAACAAUAGUACAAUUUUGCUGGUGUCUUAAUCAGAAGCAAACCAUAGUAAGCUUGUCACAAUCUCUGUUAGUGUAUUCGUUCCUGAAGUUUGCUUGUGACCUCAUUGUACUCACUGCCGCCCAAGCCUGCAAUAGAACACGAUAGCAAAAGGUUGCAGCAAGCAAAGUGGCAUGCAUAAGCGGAUACUGACAUUUCAGAAUACAUAAGUACGCAUAUGGACAGUAAUUUUCAUCAGAUCUGGGAUUUAUGAGCAACUGAUGUCACACAAGCAAUUGUACUAAGCAUGCCAUAAAGUGUAGGAAUCAGAAACCUAAAAUCUGAAAUAUCAGCAGCUACAUAUAAAGAUAAGGGUAGAUAUAUUGAUACCGCAUAUUAUGCCCGCUGUUUAAUAGGUGCAAUCUUAGAAGAAAUACUAAAGCCAAAUGGGAGCAUACUGACAAAUGAAGCAAAUGAAACUUCCACCUUCAGGCCAAUAGGCCAUGGCAUACCAAGUGAAAAUUCUAUAUAGUGGGGGAGAAAACCAACAGAUAGUUGCAAGCAUUCUAAUUAUAGAUUUAACUGCACAGCACCAACUACAAAAGAAUAUGCCUUUUUUAAAAAAACAAGAAACGUCACCUAAUGAGUGCUCUUUGCGAAAAAAACAAGAAAACAAAACUAAAUUCUUCAUGACAGAUAACAGAGAAAACAAUCACAUCUUCUAUCUUCUGGAAACAUCACACUUCUAUCACCAUGGAAAGAAACAAUAUCAUUUAAAUUAACGAUAGAUAUCACUCAGUUCUUCAUCUGAAACAAUUAUUAGCUGGUCCAGGGGCUGAAAGAUUUGAUUGGAUCGAUAUGAGAUGACCCUGGAAAGCAUAUAGUCACUACUUGUAACUUGAUUUAAUUCGCACCAGCAGCUAUACCUAUUGGCUAUUGCACAUAAUCACACUGAGGGACAUGUGAGAUGGUAAGGUAAAAAAAACCUUUAUUCUAGAUGUACUGUUGGGCUGUAUCCCCUUUUGCCUUGAUUUUUCAAUGUUAUAUCUGGGAUAAUUUGUAUUGCAAACAUGAACCUGUCAGCACGACUGCAUCACAAGGAAAAGGGGAUUAGCAUGCAUGCAAGAAUCUAUAGAAAAACAACAGAGAGGCAAUAUGGUUACAAAACAACAAUUACCAUGCAGCUUGAUUAUCGGAGGAAAUAAGAUCCACCUCUCCAGUGGUGUUAGAUCUACACAAAGGAGCAUAAAUUAAAAUUGGAAAUAGGAUUAAUUGAACAAAAAUCACAGGCAAGAUCAAUUUCAUCAGAAGAAUUCCUGAUCUCAUGCAGUCUCAGCAGCAUGCCAUCAUGGAUGCCUUCCAGCAUAAUUGACCAGAUACGGCCGCGCAUGCCCCAACAACAUUCGUGUGACACAAAUCCAAAAUCCAAAAUUGACAGAAUCAGAAACAUUUUUAUGCAUCCAAAUCAAUUUCACCAACAUCAAACACAGUUGCUCACCUGAUUGCCGAGAGUGUCGCUGUUGCCACAUAUGCUUGCGUCUGCACGGAUGAGGCACAAGAACCUGGGUACUCGCAGAAGCUGAUGACCACGAGUGAAGAACAAGUACAUGAGCGUGCUGUUAAUGGCAUGAAUCCCAGCGGAGAGAAGGCAUCUAGCAGUAGCACGUAUGCCUGAACUCCAUAGGAAACAAAUCCAAAAAAAUCCGCAUGCACAUAAGCACAAAAGUUUUGAAUCUUUGAACUAGAUUUUGGAUGGGGGCACACAGAUUGCACCAACCUGGAGCUCCCUUCGUGAUGGAGGGCAUCUCCGGAGCCACUGAGCACUCGCCGCCCACGAGUCAUGAGGAGGAAGCUGCCGCGGCCGGGUCGUCGCACGCAGGUUAUUGGUGCCGCGCCGGAUCAUCGCCACUCCACCGGCGAAGAAACUAGGAGCGUCAACCACACAUCAUGGGGAUAGCAAGAUAACGCGGAUGAGAUUUUCUACGCAGAAAAAUCAAAAAUUUUGGGAGACCAUCCGCAUCACCGCAAUGCAUACCUGCCCUCACGGAUCUAGAAGGGGAGCGCACAGCCGCACCGCCGGUCGCCUGGAGGACGGAGCCCCCGCCUUGAUUUGGUUGUCAGGUCAGCAAAUCCGGUUCGCCCUCACCCACGACGAGGAUCCGGCCGCGAGGUGGCCCUGUUGUCCGCCGUAAGGGGAAGGAGACCGCAGCCGUCAUCACGUGGAGGGGGAUGGCGCCAACGACCGUCACCGACCGACCAGCCCCCGUAGCUUGUGGCACCGUCCAUUAGGCCCACCCUUGGAUCUGGGUGACAGGAAGGGGAUAAGGAAGCGGCCGCCGCAACACUACCGCCGGAGUGCCAGGGAGGGGCGGAGGCGCUGCUGCAGAGGGCCUAGCGGCGGCGGCGGAGUGGAGCAGAGCACGAGAGGGACGGGGAGAGAUGCGGUCGCGGUCUCACAGAACUGUAAAUUCAGUUUGUAGGCCACGAUCUUCGGCUCUCCGCCGUAGAAAAAAAAUAGCAAAAAAACCAGUGCGGGCGGCGGACCGGAGGGGCUCGGGUUAGGUUCAGCUCCAUGGAGCGACCCGGGUACGGAAUAGCUUAUUCUAUACCUAGGGUAUUAUUUAGUAUAUAUAUAUAUAGAUCUAUAUAUAUAGAUAUAUAUAUUACUGUCAUGAAAUAUAUAUACGACUUGCAUACAAUAUUAAUAUGACUCGAAUAAAAUAUUAAUAUGGAAAAGAAUAUUUUUUUUAAAAAUCUUAAGUACUAAAGGGGGAAACCGUGACCAAGGGGGUAGAACUUCCCUUUGUCUCAAAAAUUUAGUCCCGGUUGUAUUUUCGGGAUUUAUGACCCUUUCCAACCGAAACUAAAGCCGCGUUUUCCACCAGUGCCCUGCCAUCUCCACGGACCAUCCAGAUGUCCACCAACCUCCCAUGGCCAGUAGCGUUCACGCCGCCUCGGCGGCUCGAACUGCCUCCACCACCCGCUACUUUGCCGCCCGAACCUCCUUCUAGAUCCACCGGGGAUAGGUACGCCCUUUCUUCAAAACCCCGAACCCUGAAAGCUUGUGGGAAGCUCCCCGGAGCUAGAGAAGAAACAGAGAGCUGAAAAAAACAGGUACGUAAUCUUUCCCCACCCGAGUCAUCUUUAGAAAUUUCGUUUUUUCUUUUGACGGAUAGAUCCGUGUUGGUUAAUUAAGUGCGCAUGCCGCACGUGGGCUCACAACACGACACAAGGCGCAUGCUCCUCCAUGUGAUGCGUCGUGUACGACUCGAACUAGAUCUCGUCUCCGAAAACAUCUCGGCAUGCUCGUGCAGACCGAGUAGAAAACACCCAAACCCUCUGCUAAAGAUUACGAUUAUUAGCCUUUGCGUACGGAACAUACAACCUCGAGGGAGAGAACCAGCUGAUCCAAUUCAAUCAAUCACGCCGACAAUGCAGGACAAGGCUGGGCAGUUCAUCUGCUGGCUAGACUUGGUCAGGCUCAACUCGCCGGCGGCAGGCUCCAACCGGGACCGCGGGCUGGUUCUCAAGGGCAUGCCCGGGCCCAAGGUCGUCGUGCAGUGCCUCGAUGGCACCGAGGUGACGGUGAAUGCUCGCAACGUCCGUGUCGCGGACCGGAGCUACUUCUGCCCGGGCAUGGUCGUCGCGUCGGCGUCAGACCGUGGCGGCCAGCUCGGGGUCGUCACGGGCGCCGCCGUGGAAUUGGAUCUGGUCCGGCUAGACGGUGAGGACGCGGCGGCGACGUUGGUCGCGAGGGGCGUGUCCCCAGCGGAGCUGCGCCGCGUCAGUGAGUUCUGCCUAGGCGACUACGUCGUGUCAGGACCGUGGCUGGGCCGGGUCUUCGAGGUGUCCCUCGACGUCGACGUGCUCUUCGACGACGGCACCGUCUGCAGGGUCACAACAGCGGACGGCAAGCUGUGGCCCGUCGGCGAGGGCUCUUCAAAACGCUACACCAACGUCUUCUAUCCGGGGCAGCGCGUCGGCGGCCGCUCGUCCGUCUUCAAGGCCGCCCGGUGGCUCAAGGGCUACUGGAAGCCCAGCGAUGGCGAGGGCACCGUGUCCAAGGUGGAAACCGCCAGCGUGCUCGUCUACUGGGUCGCGUCGUCGCAGCUGGGCGCCGAGAGGUCCGUCGUCCAGGCGUCGUCCACGCCGGCGCACCAGCAGAGCCCUCGCGAUCUGACAUUCUUCCGCGCUGGCGACGACGUCUUGGCAAGGUUCUGGGGCGUGGGCGACCGCUGCUUCUUCCGCGCUCCUUGCCGCCGCCGCGUACUCCCUGCCGGCGAUGUCGGUGCCAACCGGAAUCGGCUGCGGCGGCUGGGGGCGAAGCGGACGCCGCGACGAGAAAGCUGGAGCCACGCAGGGUUCGAGCGGCCGUUGUCCGUCGCCAGCACGCGCACGACGCUCGACGUGCUGUGGCAGGACGGGACGCGGCAGUGCCAGGCGCCGUCGGUGUCGCUCGUUCCCACGAUGCCACAGAACACCCACCACUUGUUCCCGGGCCAGCGCGUCGUUAGCAGGACAUCGUCGGACGGCGACGGCGACGUCGCGCGUUCUGGUGUCGUCAGAAGCCUCAACUUCACGGACCAGACCGUGCGCGUGUCGUGGCAAAAGGCGGCGGCUGAACACGCCGAUGACGAGACACUGAGCAGCACGUACGAUCUCGGCAGGGAUUUCGACAGCAAUGUCUUCUAUGGAGAUGUUGUCGUCGACGGCGUCCAACAGACUCCUCAAUUGGGGUCGCCGGCGACAUUUGUGGAAGCACGGAAGAGCCAGUGCUGACACGGUGCCGAAAGAAGGAGCCCACUAGAGCUCAUGAUCUUUCAUGGGUCGGACACAUAGUUGAUUUUUGUGAUGCACACCAUGUCCAAGUCAAGUGGGGUGACGGCAACAUGUCCAAGGUAUGCAACACGUCCAUAGAAUUACUAUAAUAUUAAUGGACCAUUUUAAAAAUGCUUAAAAGGAAGUGGUUUUCUAGAAACAGCUUUUAUUUUUGACGCCCAAGAAACUUUUUUUUCACCUAGAUACCAAAAUCCAAGUUAAUUUUGGUACCUCUUGAAGGCUCCUUACCAAUACAAAUCACCUCACAAUCACUGAUUGAAUCUUUUUUUUUGCAGCUAUAUAUGUAUACAUUAAUUACUUCAUAUAUUAGGACCAUUAUUCAAAAACGACCUUAUUAACUUCUACUUAUUUGAUGGUACCAAUUUCAGGUGUCUUUCCAUGAGAUAACUGUCGUCAAAGAGCAAAGUUUUGGUGAGUUCCUUCAGGAAAUAGGCGAGUGGGUGUCUGAAGAUGGAGGCAUGAGCAACGACGCUAUUGAUCACGAAGCACAAGUGACUGCCGCUGCCGUUGUAAGUAUCCCUCCGCACACAAAUUUCAAUUCCCCAAGAGAUCGGGUAAAUGGUUGGACGGUGCCGGGAGCGUCAACCUCGGAGCUUACGGCCAGAGGGAACAACAAUGUAUCCGCACCCGUGUCCGGUGGUGAUGGUGAUGCCAUGGAGACCUCCACUGCUGUGGCAGGCAUCAAUGGAGAAGGUGGUGGUGAGGGGAAGCAGGCAGAGGCAGAUGCCACCCGCGAUGACAAGUCAUUUAGCUUCCCACAAUUUGAUAUCGUGCAGAGCCCUUCAGAUCACCAUUACCUUGAUAACAUGGAGCAUGUUCGUAAUUUUCUUUUUUUUCCUAAGGCCCUGUUUGGAUCUUUGGAAUUGAAUUCCAUUCUAAUAAUCAUUAUCUAGAUAUAAAUUAAUUAAGCUAAUAUAAUUGUCUGUGGAAUAUAUUUGUAUAAUAUUGUUGGCGAUAUGGGAGAAAUAGUUAUGUGUUGCACUUCUGCUAUAGAGAAGCGAGUCCAAGAGCGUGCUAUAAGAAUUGAAUUCCAUUCUAAUAAUCAUAAUCUAUGGAAUCAAUUUCCAUCUCCCACCCCGUAAAUUUAAGAUAGGCUUAUAUCUAAACUUUGGAAAGUUGUGGAAUACCACAUUCAAGAUAAAUUAGCCUACUCCAUUAAGUAAAUUCCAAUUCCUUCAAAAUGAAGGAAGCUAAAUGGGUCCUAAGGGUUUUUUAGCUUUAUGAAUAUAUUAACAGUAAUACAUAUGAUGUAUAAACAGUAAUACAUUUUUUUUGGUAAAAAUUAAGAAAACGAUGGUUGCUGAAAACCCUAUAUAAUAUAAUACAAGUUACUGAUGGUUCAAAUUAAUUAAAUGAUUGCCCGUUUAGUUUUCAUACAUUGAAUCUGCCACAGUGAUGUGUCCUAUAUAUAUAGUGACUGCUAAUUAAGUUGAUGUGCUUUUGUAAACAGGGCACUGGUGGGGGGAAGAAGUGGAUGAAGAGGGUGCAAAAGGAAUGGAAUAUUCUUGAGAAUAACUUGCCAGGUACACAGUGAGUUAAUUUGCAUAUGGAGGGAAUAAAAAUUUUGAACUUUUGCAAUCAAACACAAACUCUUUCGACAUGUAUCUAAAGGUUUGUCCGUGCAUGCAGACACCAUCUUCAUGCGGGCGUACGAGGACCGCAUGGACCUCCUGCGAGCGGUGAUGGUCGGAGCUAGCGGGACGCCGUACCAUGGCCGCAUGGACCUCCUGCGCCGGCCGCCGGCGGGCUUCGAGGAGUUCGUCAGGGACCACUUCCACCGGCGAGGGCAGCACGUGCUCCGAGCGUGCGAGGCAUACCUAGAUGGCUGCCUCGUGGGCACGCUCGAUGGCGAGGGGAGCGGGGCGCGGCGCCCGUGCUCGGCGGGGUUCAGGCUCGCCCUCGCCAACGUGGUGCCCCGGCUUGUUGAGGCGUUCACCGCGAUCGACGCUGAUGGAUGCAAGGAGUUCGAUCGGAUACGGGUGCCAACAGUAUGCACUUAAUUUGUCUCUGCUACUCGCUAGUCCAUUUGUAUCCUACUUACAUUUUAAGUUACAAAACGCGUGUUCACACAUUUGAACUUUGACAUCAAUAUUAUAUUUUUGUAUACUGUUGGGAAUGGUACAGCAGUUUUGCUACAUACUCCCUUCGUCCCAUACUUCAUAAAUAAUAUUUAUUUUGACUUAACAUUUGCGAUAUGUCUAGAGAUAGAUGUACCUAGAAAAUCCAAAUAAAAAUAAAUAGUAAACUUUGGGAGGUAGGGGUAUAGUUUGCAGCUGCAAUUCGUGAUCAAAGGUAGUAGUGUGUUGAUGGUAGUAUUUCGUUAUCCAAACACGGCACUCUAUUGUGACGAACGAACACUGCUGGAUGAUCUCUAUCAGUACUGCUUGUUUGGUACUAAAUGCCACACCAAUCGGUACUAAAUGCACCAUUUAGUACACCAACCAGUACUAACUGCAUGCCACGUCUCGUUGUUGUCAAUGGCAGUUUAGCACCGGUUGGUUUUACUAACCGGUACUAAAUGUUAUUCUUUUUUCCUUUUCGUUUUCCUUUUGUUUUAUCGUUUUCCUUUUGUUUUAUAAUUUCUAUUCAUAUCCGACGGAGCUUUUACUAAUAAUAUUACGUUAAUAUAUUAACCCAUUCAAAUCCAAGUCUCACAAAUAUCAGCCCAUUCAAAUCAUUAACACUCCGAGAAGAUUGUAUAUGCAAUAAAAUAUAUACAUCAACACUUAAGGUCUAAGAGAGAACAAGUUCAAAUUCAUAAGCAAAUAGUAGGGUACCGGUACAUCCAUGCAUGUUACAUAUUUCUUACUUCCUUAGAUAUGGAACAUAGUUAAGGUCUCCAAUCAUCCAGCCUAGACCUUCGUCAAAAUAAGCUAGAGCACGGAUGAGUGCACUCUCCUUCGCUUCGUAUGGAUGGUCACAUACACUACCAUAGAUCUCAAACAAUGGAGAGGUAAACUGAUGUGGCCUGUAUAAAGUGAGAUGAGCUUGGAGCUUGAAAUCUCUGGUGAGUAUCGGAUUUCCACCCAUGUAAGUCUAAUCCAACACAUCCAAGACUUGAGCUAGAAUCACGCGAAAGCUCGUUGCUGCAUUGGUAAUACCAACUAAAAGAUGCUAAUAAUGUGAUGAAAGUAAAAUGAUAUAACAUAACUAAAGAUAAAAAAAUGUUCCAUACCAUGUCAUAUUGAUUUCUCCCUCCUCGAGCUGCUUUAUUCAAAUAUAUGAUAAGUCUGGCACAAAGUACCCAUGAUCCUUAAGCUGUUGUAGGUAGGCCUCCACGAUGGUCCUAUCAAAAGUUACCCUAUCUGGUGCUACUUGACCCCAUACAACAAUUGAAACUAUUAGGAUGGCCUGUCCUGGAGAUAUCGAGGUGAAUUAUGUUUCUCGAACAGGUACUUGAAAAAAGAUAUGUACUCUUUUAAAACGAGGUUCACCAACAACAUCAGUUUGCACUAAAGAUAUCGAGGUGCUUGUUUGGAGGGGGUCCCUACCUUACCUUAUAUUGCUGGGGUAAGGUUACAGGUUGGUUGUUGUACAAAAGUACUAGUUGGAUUCGAUCAAAGAGUCUUACUCUAACUGCCACGUGUAGUUUUCUAAUCCUCAACUAGUCCUUGUCUACCACAUAGACCACGCCGUCCUGCACCAUAGUUUCCAUAUCUAACACGUCUUGGUGUACAGUCCCAUAUGUAGGACUGUCCAAGCCUCCUGACAGUCUCAUAGAUAUAUGCUCGAAAACCGCCACCUCGACUGGUGACCGCGCCAUCGCCACGACGGGUGACCGUGCUGUCGCCUCGGCCGACAUCUCUAUCACCACCACCACCUACUAUCUUACCAUCCCGAAGCUUCCUCUUAAACCAUUGGAGACAGGUAAAACCCCUCCCUCCAAACCCCGAACUCUAUUGGCAUAGUUUAGCUUUCCCUAAAGAUAAGCUUUGCCAUAUUUUUGUCAGAAAAGAUAGAGAUAAUCCGAAAAAAUUUGUACAGGCUUACUGGGCUGGUGCGCGAGAGGCAGGCCGCGGGCGUGUCAAGUCAAGUGCACCGCCUGGGCCAUCUUGCUCCAGGUAUGAUUACAGAAGAUGACCUCAAUUUCUGACUUUCUUCUGAUAAUCUAGAAAAGUAAAUAAGCUUAUAAUAAUGUACACUUACCACUUGUUGACAUUGCCAAAUAACUGUAUCUCUCAACAUAUUUUGCUGUUACAGUCUGUGUUAUGUGAGAUUGCAGAAAUACAAUCUGAAAAGUAGUCACUUGACACAAUACUGGUGCCUGUUGGCCAAAGCCCUCUUUGAAUUUUCAUCUACUCACUGUUCUUUAUUCUUCUAAUGAACACUUAUCUGGUGAAAAAUAUUUGUUCAUAGUUGCUGCUAUCCCUUAUUCUAUGUAUAUGCAUUAUUCUUUAUUUGGUGCUGAGUUCAAUUGAAUGGCAUUUAUUAUUUCAGAUCAACUUUCACCUGGUAGGUGGUUGUAACGCCUGUAAAUUUACUAACUCAAAUCACCCGCUAAAAAUUUGUUUAAAAAUAUUUCGACUGUUGAGCUCCCAAAAGUCUCGUCCUUCCCGGCGACCCCGCCGUCCUGGCACCUAACGUUGUCAGUCAUCUUUUUCCAUCCCUGCAAAUUUCGCCGCAUGCCCAUCUCAUCCGUCGCGCGUGCCCGACCAAUUCCGAAAUUUUUGCCCACUCUCCCCCUCUCUUCUUUUUUUCCCUUCCCCUUUUUCUCUUUCCUUUUCUUCUUUUCUUCCUUCUCUUUCUUUUUUUCUUCCUUCUUCCUCCUCCGAUUUCUUCUCUCCUCCCUUCCCUUCUUGGCGCACCCUUCCUGGCACCAAAUGUCUGGCGCUAGUGCCUGGCGCCGCUUGCCUGGCCACCUGCGCCUGCACCCAGCCCCGCGCGCCGUCGACCGCGUCGAGCCUCUCGCCGGCCAUCGGUCGUCGCCCGCUACCGCACGCCACACCGGUCGUCACCCCUGUGCUCCUCGUCGAUCAAGCCAGCCCCCACCACGCCAUCCACGAGGAGUUCCGCUCCGGCAUGCCACCGGCCGGAAACUCCGGACAGCAUUAAGCUCGCCGGCCCUGCCGCCCCUGUGUGCUGUCGCCCCUCCCGCCGCCUAUAAAAAGCGGGUCGAGCCCCUGCCGCCUCCCCACCACCACCGGCGUCGUCCCCUGCCUACCGCCAGCACCGCCCCGGCUCCCUGCGCACUGCCGCUCCGUGGCAAUCCACCGCUGCCGCCCCACGGCACGCCCGGCGCCCCCCUCCUCCAACACCAUCCGCCCAAGGUGAGGCCUCAAAUGGAGUCCCCUCGGCCUCCUCUACCUCCUCCACUACUCGGCCACCGCCGGCGUGGCCCGGCCAACCGCCCUCUCCCCCUACCGGUUUUCCCCUCCUCUCCCAUCUCCCUAUCACGGUCCAAGGAAGAAGAAGGCCCCAAUUUCAAUCUAACCCCCUGGUUUCCCCUAUUCACAAACCGGCCCUCCCACCUCUCUCAAAGAAGUAUCGCGGAUACGCCCUUCCAUCUUUCAGAAAUAAUUGCAAAUAGGUCCCUGGUUCAUGCAGUUUAGUCCUAAACCUUGUUUUAAGCCCCUAACACUCCUUUAACUCGUCAUUUCAUGCACCAAACUUCGUCUAAUUGAUCCCAAAUUUGACCACGGCCUCCUCCCAUAUACUUCCGCUGAAGCAUAUCCAAAUUUUAAUUCUCUUUUAUUUAUUGUGUGCUCGAUUGUGUGUGCCGUAGAUUGCGGAGUACCCGAGGAGGAGCACGAGGAUGAGUUUGAACGCGAGCCUAAGCUCGAGGACCAGUACCGCGAGCAGGAAGUCCCGCAAGGCUUUGAGAACGGCAAGUCUAAUCUCACCCUUUGAUGCAUAUUUAUCCUAGUUUUUCAAACACAAUCUCUUGGCCUGUUUUAUAAAUUGCAUAUUGUCUUUCUGCGGAAACAUGGUUGGAUAGCUACUCCUUUAUUGUUAUGAUUAUUCCUUGCUUGUCCUAUAAUUAUCUCUAAAUAUGACUAGCUCUGUUUGGACGAUAAUUACUGCUAGAAUGCUUAGGGCCUUGUUACUCAAUGCAAUCAUGACUACAAUGCGUUUUGUUAAAGACUAAAUGUGUGAGUGUUUUAAAAAGGGAAACCGGGUUUUCGGAAGUAAAGGAAAGAAAUGCUUAGAUGAGAUGGAUGGGUGUUUCAGGUGUGAAAUGCCAAUAAGUUGGGCUCGUACCUUGGUGGUUGAGCAAGGUUGGGAGAUAUCCAUCUUUUCAUGGUUAAGGACCGAGUUGAUGUGUCAUCUUGCCUAACCCAACCUUCGUGCAACCACUCGACCGUUGUAUGCGGCAACGGCUUACCAUAAAUCCCACUAGCUAAACUUUUAGUCUUCAGGAGAGCUGGUGAGCAGCGGGAGUCCAUGGAAAAGGAGUAUGAUCUUGGUUACUUAGGUCCCGGUUAAAGAUCUCGUUGGGAGGUCAUUAACCCCUUGGUUACUUCCAUGUUGAAUAGUCAAGCUUAGCUAAGGUGGGUAAUGGCUUUGUUAGGAUCCGCACCGGCACUAAGGUGAUCGUGCUGCGGUACCCUACUUGAAAAAAAAGUGUACAACCUCUGCAGAGUUAAAACCUAUUUGGGUAGCCGUGUUCACGGCAUUGGACGAGUUACGGCUUGGUCACAUAACUAGCACUUGGAGUUGGAUAAUUUUUAUGGCGUGUGUUGGAUUUUGGAAGUAUCCGACAGUUGUGCGGUGAGCUAUGGCGGAUGGGCAGUCCGAUAGCAAUUAAAUUUUGGAUCUUUUAUGUAGGAUCAACCCCACUUCAUGUUCCGGUUUCUAAAGGAAAUGUUUUGCAAAAAAGCUUUGAAAAUGAACCCUUGCACGUGUUCAAAAUCUAGCUUUACUGCAAAUAAACGUUAAACUCAUCCUUGUUAUAUCAUGUGCACACUCUUGCUUGUAUCCCCCUCCGUGGAUGGGGCCGGGUUCCCAAUCGGUUGCCUUUUGCCAAUAAAGAAUCGGCCGAUUAGGAGGUUGGGUUAAUUGGGCCUGUAUGGGCUUGGAAAGGAAUAGAAGGAUAAGGGGGAGAUCAGCCCAUGAAGCGUAUAAUAACCAACCUAGCACGAAUCGUGCUUGUAAAUAUUCGUUUUCUAUUUGAAUUAGGGAUAGAAUUCUAGUCAGUUAAGGAGUCGUCUGUACGGGGCUAUAAAUAGCUACCUUUGUAAAUCUGUAAUCAUCAACUACUCAAUACAACCAACUACUUUUUCCUCGUACUUACUUUCAAGCAGGCGACUUCGCCAAAUACUUUCUCUUUUCACGAGUUCGUACGGGUUGGCAGGGCUGCAUCAACUUGAUGUCCGGCCGAUCUUGUAAGUUCCGUUUACCGAGUAAAUUCUAAGCUUUAACUUCGGGUGUAUCGCUGUUGUUUCGUUUAGAUUUAUUCACUAGUUAUCGAUAUUUACUAGAAUCAUAGGGUUUACCUGUCUUUCUAGUUUUAUCACCAGUUAUCCAGCUAGGAAUCGGUGGUUUCGGCUUUCUUUACGUUCUGCUAUUAAAUUCAUCUAUUUUAUAUAUUGCCGAUUAGAUCUAUUCCUAGUAUUGUUAUCAUAGCAUUGUGUCGAUUACUCUAGUAGUUUUCUAUCUACAAGGCUACAGUGAUCGGCUGCCUUAUAGCCGAUUUCUUUAUUACGGCAAAUCGGCCGAUUCGCUGAUAAGCUCUCUCGAGAUCGGAAACUUAGCCGAUCGUGAUUUCUGGACCUAACACGUAUUCUUCCUUGCCAAUCAACAGGUCAGAUUGGCUGGCACGCCGCGCGAACCACACCAGGGCAAUCACCCGAACAGGAGUUAAGCAGAUUCUCCCGGGUCGUGUGUCAGACGCUGGGGAUUCGGUUGACCGAUUUCUAGCACCAACAGGUUUCUAAAGGAAAUGUUUUGCAAAAAAGCUUUGAAAAUGAACCCUUGCACGUGUUCAAAAUCUAGCUUUACUGCAAAUAAACGUUAAACUCAUCCUUGUUAUAUCAUGUGCACACUCUUGCUUGUAUCCCCCUCCGUGGAUGGGGUUGGACUUGUUGAGUACUUUCGUACUCACCCUUAUUUUGUUGCUUCAGAGGAAGACCCGUACUACGUCGCCGAAGAUUUCGAGUAGGAGGUCGCUUCCGCACGCAAUGCUACCUGUGGUGUUGGCCUUUACAGGAUGCUUCCGCUGACGCUUAGUUCCGAUUGCAGUCCAAAGUCCGACUGGACUGCAACUUGGAUCUGUAUCGUUGUUGGUUUAGUUCUUCUUUGGGUGUGGCUUUCCCUCCCGCUCCUUUGUGAGUUGUACGGUUUUUGAACAAUCUGUUGAAUAAAUAUGUUAUCAGCCUCCUGAGACUGAUAUUUGUAUCACAUUUAGUUUCUACUUACGUGGGGACGCUUCAGGUGGUAUCAGAGCUGUCGUUGGCUGUAGGACGCAACCAUUAGGAUCGUAAAAGUCUUUUCGACCAAAAUAAAUGAUUUACAAAAUUUCUUGCUUCCCCUACUCAUUUGCAAAACUGAUUUACACCCCGAUUCUUUCCAGAUGGCCGAAGAAGGAUGGGUCAACAGCCACCGCCUGGAGGAGCAUGAUUUUCUCAGGUUGCUGUUCGCCUGCAUGGACCGCCUCGGGAUUUAUGAGCGCCCGGAGUACACCACCAGGGAGUAUUAAGUGGUUAAUGACAUAGUUUUCCUAUUGUGCUAGAGUAAAUCAGCACACGCCUUUGUUUGACUUACUAAUUUCAUUUUUAUGUCUUUGUUGUCCUAUCUUGAACUCCAAGGACCGUCGGGCUUGGACUUUGGUCAAUCAGUCAGAGUACUACAGAGACUCAGCCACUCAGGUACAAUUAGCAUGAAAAAGCAUUUGGAUCCGGUCACUCUAGUAAGGACUAAGGAAUCCUCAAUACAGCUAGUUUACUUCUCUGUGUUUGUUGAGUUGGUUUUUCAUCCUAACCAAUGAUCUGAUAAAAUAAAAUAGUUCAGCAGAUUGCGCAAGAUUGAGUCCCCACUCCCCAACAUGAUAUCCCAUCAUUUAUCUUUUUAUGGUUACCUUUCUGAAAUAGAGAUCAAGGUCACUCCAGAAUAAUCAUCUACUUCUGAAAAGUCUGAAGGUAGGUGUCCAACAUAUUUCUACUACUCUAGAGUUUCAGUGAAACAGCAGAACUCUUGGGCAUGAUCUUUUUGUCUUUGUUGUUACCAUGGAAACCGAGUUCUACAUUGAUUGAAUCUUGCAAUGCUUGAUUCAUCUCUGCUGCACUCAGUCAGGUCUGAUACUUUGCUAGAUUUGUGUCCUUAGACUCUGAAGCAAAAUCUUGUUAUAGGCUUUCUGUAGCAAAAUUGAUUCCUGUUUUGCAGUGUGUACUUAGACUCUUAGAUCGCUGUUAGUUGAAACUGACGAAUCAUACUGGCACCUAGGUGGUAUCUUAUCUCACAAGUAGUGUUUGCCUUGGCUUGGUGCAGCGUUGUUCCUUGAGUCAGUGUCCAUGCAGAUGAUACAAGAGGUUGCACCAGCCACUCCGCUGUCCCAGUCAGGAAUUCCAAUGGAAUGCCUGGUCCUGGUCCUGGACUUUCUAAGGGUUAAAUGUUAACAACACCAUGUCCAAAUACUAACACUGCUUUUGUGCCUUUAUCCUUGCCAUGGAAACAGGGUUUGCUUGAGCUUGACUUUGCACAAUUAGCCAUGGUACAACAAAUAGUGUUAGGUAAUUAGCACCUAAAAAACAUUCAGGUUCAGUCUGAUUACUCUGUACGUACGUGACAUUGGUGGUCGUACCUGGUAGUGCAUAUUGUGCAAGCUCAAGUACUGUACACAAUUCAGCAAACCAGCAUAACUUGUUUGGCCAUCAAUUUAAUUUGUCUCUUUGGUCUUAACAUAAAAACAGAAUUCUCUGCGGCGGUUCAGUGUCACCGUGCACGGCACCAGGCACUAGUGCCACCAGAACAGCUUGCAACGUACACCGUUGUCCUCAAAUUUGUUCAGGGGUGUCACAUGUGUCCUUACCCUUUUAAAUUUGCAGAUUAUGUCGCUCAAGUUCCAAACAUCAGUAAUUAGCAUAUGCUUGCCUUUACCAUGCCAUUAAGUUGCUACACUCGCUUUCCUUUAGUCACUUGGUCUAUUUUGCAAAUUUAUGCCUCUUUUGAUUGUGUUGUCAUCAGUCAUAAAAAAGGGGAUAUUACUGAAAGUAGUUCCAUUAGGCUAUUGUCUUGUGAUUUUGGUAGUUGAGUGGUUAUGUAAUCACUGGGACAUAUGUUUGUCAAGUAUAUGUUUUGGAAGGGUUUCCUAGGUCUCAAGAUGAAAUACAAGUGAAGCAAGCAACCAUGGCAUGAAGAAUGGAGCAAAAUAAGCAAAGAUGUACAAUGGAGUGUUCGGUCGGUCACUGGACUGAAAAAUAGUACGUGGGAGUGAAAUAUACUAAAAAUUAAUUAUAUAUAGUAAUUAUAUAAAUACUAGUUUGAUGUGUAUAAUAUACUAAAAUUUAUAUAGGCCUCCGCUAUUUGGUACCCAGGGUACAGAAGUUAUUCUGUACCUGAGAACCACCUCCGCGCCCGUCCGAGCGCUCCUUCAGUACCGGAUCUUUUUUUUCUUGGUCUACAAACUAUUUCGAGAAAAAACACGUAUUGGAAAAGGACGCACUAAAUGACAAGCCUUCUGAUUAUUUGGAAAUUCUAUAAAAUAGAAUUGUAAAAAUUACAAAAUUUGCUCCAUAGAACAUGCAUUGCUUUUUGUUUGCAGACACUACAUAACAGAAUUUAAAAAAAAAAUUGCAAAAUUUGCUCCAUAGAAAAUUCAUUGGUUAAAAAAGUAUUUAAAAUUGUAUAAUUGUUGGUUCAAGAAUUCAGUUUGUAUGAUCAAACGGACCAAUAUUUAGAUUGAACCAUCGAAAUUGUCAUGUUUCCUUAAUCAAAAUGUUUGUUCAUCAUAUCAAAGGGUCUUUAAGGUCCAACUUAUCUUUUUUAUUAAUUGAAAUGUGAGCUAGUACAGUAAAUAUUCAACGACUGAGUGAUCUUUACAUUCGUGAUAAAUCUAGCCAUACAAAUUGGCGACCAGGUGUCUCAAUUUCAUGAGACGGAAUUUCGCAAUAGACUGAGCAGUCAGGUGCCCCAAGAAUACUAAUUGGUUAAUGAAUCUUUGUUCUCUGUCCUCUCUAUGACCAAUGUCAUCUGCCUCAUAGUCACAUUGCUUGUAACCUACUUGCACACAAACAGACUGAAAAACAACAUAUUGAAACAUGUGGGCAUCUAAACAAUAGUACAAUUUUGCUGGUGUCUUAAUCAGAAGCAAACCAUAGUGAGCUUGUCACAAUCUCUGUUAGUGUAUUCGUUCCUGAAGUUUGCUUGUGACCUCAUUGUACUCACUGCCGCCCAAGCCUGCAAUAGAACACGAUAGCAAAAGGUUGCAGCAAGCAAAGUGGCAUGCAUAAGCGAAUACUGACAUUUCAGAAUACAUAAGUACGCAUAUGGACAGUAAUUUUCAUCAGAUCUGGGAUUUAUGAGCAACUGACAUGUCACACAAGCAAUUGUACUAAGCAUGCCAUAAAGUGUAGGAAUCAGAAACCUAAAAUCUGAAAUAUCAGCAGCUACAUAUAAAGAUAAGGGUAGAUAUAUUGAUACCGCAUAUUAUGCCCACUGUUUAAUAGGUGCAAUCUUAGAAGAGAUACUAAAGCCAAAUGGGAGCAUACUGACAAAUGAAGCAAAUGAAACUUCCACCUUCAGGCCAAUAGGCCAUGGCAUACCAAGUGAAAAUUCUAUAUAGUGGGGGAGAAAACCAACAGAUAGUUGCAAGCAUUCUAAUUAUAGAUUUAACUGCACAGCACCAACUACAAAAGAAUAUGCCUUUUUUAAAAAAAAAAGAAACGUCACCUAAUGAGUGCUCUUUGCGAAAAAAAUAAGAAAACAAAACUAAAUUCUUCAUGACAGAUAACAGAGAAAACAAUCACAUCUUCUAUCUUCUGGAAACAUCACACUUCUAUCACCAUGGAAAGAAACAAUAUCAUUUAAAUUAACGAUAGAUAUCACUCAGUUCUUCAUCUGAAACAAUUAUCAGCUGGUCCAGGGGCUGAAAGAUUUGAUUGGAUCGAUAUGAGAUAACCCUGGAAAGCAUAUAGUCACUACUUGUAACUUGAUUUAAUUCGCACCAGCAGCUAUACCUAUUGGCUAUUGCACAUAAUCACACUGAGGGACAUGUGAGAUGGUAAGGUAAAAAAAACCUUUAUUCUAGAUGUACUGCUGGACUGUAUCCCCUUUUGCCUUGAUUUUUCAAUGUUAUAUCUGGGAUAAUUUGUAUUGCAAACAUGAACCUGUCAGCACGACUGCAUCACAAGGAAAAGGGGAUUAGCAUGCAUGCAAGAAUCUAUAGAAAAACAACAGAGAGGCAAUAUGGUUACAAAACAACAAUUACCAUGCAGAUUGAUUAUCGGAGGAAAUAAGAUCCACCUCUCCAGUGGUGUUAGAUCUACACAAAGGAGCAUAAAUUAAAAUUGGAAAUAGGAUUAAUUGAACAAAAAUCACAGGCAAGAUCAAUUUCAUCAGAAGAAUUCCUGAUCUCAUGCAGUCUCAGCAGCAUGCCAUCAUGGAUGCCUUCCAGCAUAAUUGACCAGAUACGGCCGCGCAUGCCCCAACAACAUUCGUGUGACACAAAUCCAAAAUCAAUUUCACCAACAUCAAACACAGUUGCUCACCUGAUUGCCGAGAGUGUCGCUGUUGCCACAUAUGCUUGCGUCUGCACGGAUGAGGCACAACAACCUGGGUACUCGCAGAAGCUGAUGACCACGAGUGAAGAACAAGUACAUGAGCGUGCUGUUAAUGGCAUGAAUCCCAGCGGAGAGAAGGCAUCUAGCAGUAGCACGUAUGCCUGAACUCCAUAGGAAACAAAUCCAAAAAAAUCCGCAUGCACAUAAGCACAAAAGUUUUGAAUCUUUGAACUAGAUUUUGGAUGGGGGCACACAGAUUGCACCAACCUGGAGCUCCCUUCGUGAUGGAGGGCAUCUCUGGAGCCACUGAGCACUCGCCGCCCACGAGUCAUGAGGAGGAAGCUGCCGCGGCCGGGUCGUCGCACGCAGGGGAUUGGUGCCGCGCCGGAUCAUCGCCACUCCACCGGCGAAGAAACUAGGAGCGUCAACCACACAUCAUGGGGAUAGCAAGAUAACGCGGAUGAGAUUUUCUACGCAGAAAAAUCAAAAAUUUUGGGAGACCAUCCGCAUCACCGCAAUGCAUACCUGCCCUCACGGAUCUAGAAGGGGAGCGCACAGCCGCACCGCCGCUCGCCUGGAGGACGGAGCCCCCGCCUUGAUUUGGUUGUCAGGUCAGCAAAUCCGGUUCGCCCUCACCCACGACGAGGAUCCGGCCGUGAGGUGGCCCUGUUGUCCGCCGUAAGGGGAAGGAGACCGCAGCCGUCAUCACGUGGAGGGGGAUGGCGCCAACGACCAUCACCGACCGACCAGCCCCCGUAGCUUGUGGCACCGUCCAUUAGGCCCACCCUUGGAUCUGGGUGACAGGAAGGGGAUAAGGAAGCAGCCGCCGCAACACUACCGUCGGAGUGCCAGGGAGGGGCGGAGGCGGUGCUGCGGAGGGCCUAGCGGCGGCGGCGGAGUGGAGCAGAGCACGAGAGGGACGGGGAGAGAUGCGGUCGCGGUCUCACAGAACUGUAAAUUCAGUUUGUAGGCCACGAUCUCCGGCUCUCCGCCGUAGAAAAAAAAUAGCAAAAAAACCAGUGCGGGCGGCGGACCGGAGGGGCUCGGGUUAGGUUCAGCUCCAUGGAGCGACCCAGGUACGGAAUAGCUUAUUCUGUACCUAGGGUAUUAUUUAGUAUAUAUAUAUAUAGAUCUAUAUAUAUAGAUCUAUAUAUAUAGAUAUAUAUAUAUUACUGUCAUGAAAUAUAUAUACGACUUGCAUACAAUAUUAAUAUGACUCGAAUAAAAUAUUAAUAUGGAAAAGAAUAUUUUUUUAAAAAAUCUUAAGUACUAAAGGGGGAAACCGUGACCAAGGGGGUAGAACUUCCCUUUGUCUCGAAAAUUUAGUCCCGGUUGUAUUUUCGGGAUUUAAGACCCUUUCCAACCGAAACUAAAGCCGCGUUUUCCACCAGUGCCCUGCCAUCUCCACGGACCAUCCAGAUGUCCACCAACCUCCCAUGGCCAGUAGCGUUCACGCCGCCUCGGCGGCUUGAACUGCCUCCACCACCCGCUACUUUGCCGCCCGAACCUCCUUCUAGAUCCACCGGGGAUAGGUACGCCCUUUCUUCAAAACCCCGAACCCUGAAAGCUUGUGGGAAGCUCCCCGGAGCUAGAGAAGAAACAGAGAGCUGAAAAAAACAGGUACGUAAUCUUUCCCCACCCGAGUCAUCUUUAGAAAUUUCGUUUUUUCUUUUGACGGAUAGAUCCGUGUUGGUUAAUUAAGUGCGCAUGCCGCACGUGGGCUCACAACACGACACAAGGCGCAUGCUCCUCCAUGUGAUGCGUCGUGUACGACUCGAACUAGAUCUCGUCUCCGAAAACAUCUCGGCAUGCUCGUGCAGACCGAGUAGAAAACACCCAAACCCUCUGCUAAAGAUUACGAUUAUUAGCCUUUGCGUACGGAACAUACAACCUCGAGGGAGAGAACCAGCUGAUCCAAUUCAAUCAAUCACGCCGACAAUGCAGGACAAGGCUGGGCAGUUCAUCUGCUGGCUAGACUUGGUCAGGCUCAACUCGCCGGCGGCAGGCUCCAACCGGGACCGCGGGCUGGUUCUCAAGGGCAUGCCCGGGCCCAAGGUCGUCGUGCAGUGCCUCGAUGGCACCGAGGUGACGGUGAAUGCUCGCAACGUCCGUGUCGCGGACCGGAGCUACUUCUGCCCGGGCAUGGUCGUCGCGUCGGCGUCAGACCGUGGCGGCCAGCUCGGGGUCGUCACGGGCGCCGCCGUGGAACUGGAUCUGGUCCGGCUAGACGGUGAGGACGCGGCGGCGGCGUUGGUCGCGAGGAGCGUGUCCCCAGCGGAGCUGCGCCGCGUCAGUGAGUUCUGCCUAGGCGACUACGUCGUGUUAGGACCGUGGCUGGGCCGGGUCUUCGAGGUGUCCCUAGACGUCGACGUGCUCUUGGACGACGGCACCGUCUGCAGGGUCACAACAGCGGACGCCAAGCUGUGCCCCGUCGGCGAGGGCUCUUCAAAACGCUACACCAACGUCUUCUAUCCGGGGCAGCGCGUCGGCGGCCGCUCGUCCGUCUUCAAGGCCGCCCGGUGGCUCAAGGGCUACUGGAAGCCCAGCGAUGGCGAGGGCACCGUGUCCAAGGUGGAAACCGCCAGCGUGCUCGUCUACUGGGUCGCGUCGUCGCAGCUGGGCGCCGAGAGGUCCGUCGUCCAGGCGUCGUCCACGCCGGCGCACCAGCAGAGCCCUCGCGAUCUGACAUUCUUCCGCGCUGGCGACGACGUCUUGGCAAGGUUCUGGGGCGUGGGCGACCGCUGCUUCUUCCGCGCUCCUUGCCGCCGCCGCGUACUCCCUGCCGGCGAUGUCGGUGCCAACCGGAAUCGGCUGCGGCGGCUGGGGGCGAAGCGGACGCCGCGACGAGAAAGCUGGAGCCACGCAGGGUUCGAGCGGCCGUUGUCCGUCGCCAGCACGCGCACGACGCUCGACGUGCUGUGGCAGGACGGGACGCGGCAGUGCCAGGCGCCGUCGGUGUCGCUCGUUCCCACGAUGCCACAGAACACCCACCACUUGUUCCCGGGCCAGCGCGUCGUUAGCAGGACAUCGUCGGACGACGGCGACGUCGCGCGUUCUGGUGUCGUCAGAAGCCUCAACUUCACGGACCAGACCGUGCGCGUGUCGUGGCAAAAGGCGGCGGCUGAACACGCCGAUGACGAGACACUGAGCAGCACGUACGAUCUCGGCAGGGAUUUCGACAGCAAUGUCUUCUAUGGAGAUGUUGUCGUCCGCAGGCGUCCAACAGACUCCUCAAUUGGGGUCGCCGGCGACAUUUGUGGAAGCACGGAAGAGCCAGUGCUGACACGGUGCCGAAAGAAGGAGCCCACUAGAGCUCAUGAUCUUUCAUGGGUCGGACACAUAGUUGAUUUUUGUGAUGCACACCAUGUCCAAGUCAAGUGGGGUGACGGCAACAUGUCCAAGGUAUGCAACACGUCCAUAGAAUUACUAUAAUAUUAAUGGACCGUUUUAAAAAUGCUUAAAAGGAAGUGGUUUUCUAGAAACAGCUUUUAUUUUUGACGCCCAAGGAACUUUUUUUUCACCUAGAUACCAAAAUCCAAGUUAAUUUUGGUACCUCUUGAAGGCUCCUUACCAAUACAAAUCACCUCACAAUCACUGAUUGAAUCUUUUUUUUUGCAGCUAUAUAUGUAUACAUUAAUUACUUCAUAUAUUAGGACCAUUAUUCAAAAACGACCUUAUUAACUUCUACUUAUUUGAUGGUACCGAUUUCAGGUGUCUUUCCAUGAGAUAACUGUCGUCAAAGAGCAAAGUUUUGGUGAGUUCCUUCAGGAAAUAGGCGAGUGGGUGUCUGAAGAUGGAGGCAUGAGCAACGACGCUAUUGAUCACGAAGCACAAGUGACUGCCGCUGCCGUUGUAAGUAUCCCUCCGCACACAAAUUUCAAUUCCCCAAGAGAUCGGGUAAAUGGUUGGACGGUGCCGGGAGCGUCAACCUCGGAGCUUACGGCCAGAGGGAACAACAAUGUAUCCGCACCCGUGUCCGGUGGUGAUGGUGAUGCCAAGGAGACCUCCACUGCUGUGGCAGGCAUCAAUGGAGGAGGUGGUGGUGAGGGGAAGCAGGCAGAGGCAGAUGCCACCGGCGAUGACAAGUCAUUUAGCUUCCCACAAUUUGAUAUCGUGCAGAGCCCUUCAGAUCACCAUUACCUUGAUAACAUGGAGCAGGUUCGUAAUUUUCUUUUUUUUCCUAAGGCCCUGUUUGGAUCUUUGGAAUUGAAUUCCAUUCUAAUAAUCAUUAUUUAGACAUAAAUUAAUUAAGCUAAUAUAAUUGUCUGUGGAAUAUAUUUGUAUAAUAUUGUUGGCGAUAUGGGAGAAAUAGUUAUGUGUUGCACUUCUGCUAUAGAGAAGUGAGUCCAAGAGCGUGCUAUAAGAAUUGAAUUCCAUUCUAAUAAUCAUAAUCUAUGGAAUCAAUUUCCAUCUCCCACCCCGUAAAUUUAAGAUAGGCUUAUAUCUAAACUUUGGAAAGUUGUGGAAUACCACAUUCAAGAUAAAUUAGCCUACUCCAUUAAGUAAAUUCCAAUUCCUUCAAAAUGAAGGAAGCUAAAUGGGUCCUAAGGGUUUUUUAGCUUUAUGAAUAUAUUAACAGUAAUACAUAUGAUGUAUAAACAGUAAUACAUUUUUUUUGGUAAAAAUUAAGAAAACGAUGGUUGCUGAAAACCCUAUAUAAUAUAAUACAAGUUACUGAUGGUUCAAAUUAAUUAAAUGAUUGCCCGUUUAGUUUUCAUACAUUGAAUCUGCCACAGUGAUGUGUCCUAUAUAUAUAGUGACUGCUAAUUAAGUUGAUGUGCUUUUGUAAACAGGGCACUGGUGGGGGGAAGAAGUGGAUGAAGAGGGUGCAAAAGGAAUGGAAUAUUCUUGAGAAUAACUUGCCAGGUACACAGUGAGUUAAUUUGCAUAUGGAGGGAAUAAAAAUUUUGAACUUUUGCAAUCAAACACAAACUCUUUCGACAUGUAUCUAAAGGUUUGUCCGUGCAUGCAGACACCAUCUUCAUGCGGGCGUACGAGGACCGCAUGGACCUCCUGCGAGCGGUGAUGGUCGGAGCUAGCGGGACGCCGUACCAUGACGGCCUCUUCUUUUUCGAUCUGCAGCUACCGCCGUCGUACCCUGCCGCGCCACCGCUGGUGUGCUACCGAUCGUUCGGCCUACGUGUGAACCCCAACCUCUACCCCUCCGGCACGGUGUGCCUGAGCCUGCUCAACACCUUCGGUGGCCACGGAGCCGAGCUGUGGUCCCCGGAGGCUUCGACCGUCCUCCAGGUCGUCGUCUCCAUCCAGGGCCUCGUGCUCAACGCCCAACCAUACUACAACGAGGCGGGCUACGCCGACCUGGUAGGAACGCCGCAGGGUCGCCGGAACGAGCUCCCGUACAGCGAGAACACCUACCUGCUCACCCUGCAGACCAUGCUCCACCUCCUGCGCCGGCCGCCGGCGGGCUUCGAGGAGUUCGUCAGGGACCACUUCCACCGGCGAGGGCAGCACGUGCUCCGAGCGUGCGAGGCAUACCUAGAUGGCUGCCUCGUGGGCACGCUCGAUGGCGAGGGGAGCGGGGCGCGGCGCCCGUGCUCGGCGGGGUUCAGGCUCGCCCUCGCCAACGUGGUGCCCCGGCUUGUUGAGGCGUUCACCGCGAUCGACGCUGAUGGAUGCAAGGAGUUCGAUCGGAUACGGGUGCCAACAGUAUGCACUUAAUUUGUCUCUGCUACUCGCUAGUCCAUUUGUAUCCUACUUACAUUUUAAGUUACAAAACGCGUGUUCACACAUUUGAACUUUGACAUCAAUAUUAUAUUUUUGUAUACUGUUGGGAAUGGUACAACAGUUUUGCUACAUACUUCCUUCGUCCCAUACUUCAUAAAUAAUAUUUAUGUUGACUUAACUUUUGCGAUAUGUCUAGAGAUAGAUGUACCUAGAAAAUCCAAAUAAAAAUAAAUAGUAAACUUUGGGAGGUAGGGGUAUAGUUUGCAGCUGCAAUUCGUGAUCAAAGGUAGUAGUGUGUUGAUGGUAGUAUUUCGUUAUCCAAACACGGUACUCUAUUGUGGCGAACGAACACUGCUGGAUGAUCUCUAUCAGUACUGCUUGUUUGGUACUAACUGCCACACCAAUCGGUACUAAAUGCACCAUUUAGUACACCAACCAGUACUAACUGCAUGCCACGUCUCGUUGUUGUCGAUGGCAGUUUAGCACCGGUUGGUUUUACUAACCGGUACUAAAUGUUAUUCUUUUUUCCUUUUCGUUUUCCUUUUGUUUUAUCGUUUUCCUUUUGUUUUAUAAUUUCUAUUCAUAUCCGACGGAGCUUUUACUAAUAAUAUUACGUUAAUAUAUUAACCCAUUCAAAUCCAAGUCUCACAAAUAUCAGCCCAUUCAAAUCAUUAACACUCCGAGAAGAUUGUAUAUGCAAUAAAAUAUAUACAUCAACACUUAAGGUCUAAGAGAGAACAAGUUCAAAUUCAUAAGCAAAUAGUAGGGUACCGGUACAUCCAUGCAUGUUACAUAUUUCUUACUUCGCUUCGCUUCCUUAGAUAUGGAACAUAGUUAAGGUCUCCAAUCGUCCAGCCUAGACCUUCGUCAAAAUAAGCUAGAGCACGGAUGAGUGCACUCUCCUUCGCUUUGCAUGGAUGGUCACAUACACUACCAUAGAUCUCAAACAAUGGAGAGGUAAACUGAUGUGGCCUGUAUAAAGUGAGAUGAGCUUGGAGCUUGAAAUCUCUGGUGAGUAUCGGAUUUCCACCCAUGUAAGUCUAAUCCAACACAUCCAAGACUUGAGCUAGAAUCACGCGAAAGCUCGUUGCUGCAUUGGCAAUACAAACUAAAAGAUGCUAAUAAUGUGAUGAAAGUAAAAUGAUAUAACAUAACUAAAGAUAAAAAAAUAUUCCAUACCAUGUCAUAUUAAUUUCUCCCUCCUCGAGCUGCUUUAUUCAAAAAUAUGAUAAGUCUGGCACAAAGUACCCAUGAUCCUUAAGUUGUUGUAGGUAGGCCUCCACGACGGUCCUAUCAAAAGUUACCCUAUUUGGUGCUACUUGACCCCAUACAACAAUUGAAACUAUUAGGAUGGCCUGUCCUGGAGAUAUCGAGGUGAAUUAUGUUUCUCGAACAGGUACUUGAAAAAAGAUAUGUACUCUUUUAAAACGAGGUUCACCAACAACAUCAGUUUGCACUAAAGGAGAAGUACCACCUAUACCUUCGACAACAUCUUUGAGCCAUCUAAUAGGGUCGAUAAGCUACAUUGUAUGUAAGUAAAUUUAGAAAUUAUUCACGUGUAGUAAAAAUAUCAAUUAUAUGAAGGAAAGAAUAUUACUAUGUUGGGAACUGCUCCUUUGGUUCGAUCGCUGGUAGGCAAGUCAAUGAUGCGAUUGGGAAAGUGAAUUCCAAGAGGACGAGAUAAUGGUGGCUCCUCGAAAAUGUAGUGUCCGCCCUUACCACCUCCACGCCCACGACGACCAUAGUGAAAAGAACUUCCGCUUGCCAUAGUUAGCCCAAACUAUCUAAAUAAAAUUGUAAUAAGAUACAUUAUUCCACAAACAUCAACUUCAAUAGUAAGUAUAUCGUAAAACAUCAUUUAUAAUGCAAGAUAUUUACAAUUGUUGGUUUAGACCUUAUCUACAUUAUGAUAACUAAUCAAAACACAUUUAUUAUCAUAUUGCAAUUGCAUGGAAUAAAGAGAAAAAGGUAACAAUUUCCUAAAUGAAUUUACAGGAAAAAAAUGAAAAAAAUAGAAAAAAACAACCGGGGUGCUCGGGGAGGAGGCUGCGUCGGCGGCAGAGAGGAGGUGGUUCGGCGACACAUCGGGAGGACGGAGGCGAUGGGGAGGAUGCAGCGUCAGCAGCAAGGAGGAGGUGGCCCGGCGGCGUGUCAGGAGGAUGGAGGUGGCGGGGAGGAGGCGGCAUCACUAAUCUCAGUGUUUGCACAACACUAAUGGUUUUGAUUCUUGACUCCGUGAAGUCCUACAAUCUGAAAUCAGUGUUUGCACAUCACUAAUCUCAAUGAGUGUGCCCGUUUGCGUUCGGAUCUCACUAGCUAUUUAGAAUGUUCCUUUUCACCUCGGAUUUCUCGAUUGAAAUCACAUUGUUCAUGCGAAUUCCAAGUCUAUGGAGAGCCACCUCCGCUCCUCCGGUAACAGAGAAUAGCGUAAGCACAUUCAUGCCAUGUGUAGACACUAUUCUCACUAUUCAUGCCAUGUGUAUCCAUUGCCGGUCUAUCUUCAUCGUAUUACGUGAAAAAUGAACAUAGGGCUUCGUAUUAGAUAAAGAACUUGAUCCAUGUGUUUAUAAUAUUUAGUCCUUGCAAUAAACAUGAGAUAAAUAAAUUAUUGGUCAAGAAUCCUGAAAUCAACACUUUUUGCCUAACAUUGCAUACCGUUAGCACACUAUAAAUGCUGCAAUAAACUAUACAUUUUCCUCAAUCUAAUAAAUCAACAAGUACUCCAUUUGUAACAUAAAACUCAUUCUAAAAACCACUCCAUUCUCCUCAUUCUAAAAUACUCUCCUUAUUCUAAAAAAAUCAAUAAAUACUUAAUUUGUAACAUAAAACUCAUUCUAAAAUGGAAAGAAUCCAUUUUACUCCUAUCAUUUUACACCCCUCACCUAUUUAUUUUGUCCACUUAACCCCCUAAGCAAAAUUUAGGCUCACUUUACUCCCCCCAAACUACUUCAUUUGGUCCAAUCUACCCCCUAAUUAGAUUUCUCUUUUUUGUUUCUUCAUGUACAAACUCUCCUUGUUCUAGCUAAUGUACUCUCCAUUCUAGCUACAAAACAUAAAAUAUAGAAUACUAAGUAUGAGAGGAGGGAUUUGCUAACCUUUUCCUCCCCUAGUUCGAGUGAAGAAGAAGCCCGAGCUCACGGUCAAAUGGCUAAGCUCGGGCUUGGGAAGGAAGAAGCAGCUCAAUUUAUAGGAUUACCUCUAGCGCCAGGUGAUGGGUCGAGCUGGUACUAAAUGGUUUCAUGUUAGUACCGGUUGAAGAUAUCAGCCGGUACUAAAUGGUACAUCUAGCCGUUGGCCACGCGGUCCACGUGCUGCCAUUUAGUACUGGUUGAGACUCCAAACUGGUAUUGUAGGGGUUCUGGUGGCACUGUACAUGAUGACCGAUACUAAUGCGUUGGACGAAUGAUCAGUUUUUCAGCAGUGGAAUGUGCAAACACCAGCUAGCAGUACUGAAGUUGGAUGGAAGGUUGGCUUUGUCCGAACAAAUCAGUCCUUUCUGAGGCGAGGGCCCUAGCACGCGUCAUUUUGCAGUCGCUCUGAUAGAGUGCCAGGUUUUGGCGUUCAGCCGAAGUAGCUUUGGUGGGGUUCAUAUUGCUCCGUCGGUACAAGAACUAGCGCCCAGACAACCCAGAAUUGUGGAGUGCCCAGACAUCCAAGAUCCAACCCAGACAGAAACAUAAGCUAGGAUUGGAAGGUAAAUCAACCUCAAUGCCCCACGCAUAGCAUGAGCAUCAUCGGCCUGGCACUUCUCAGCCUACUACGUACAACUCUAGCCUAUGUGCAUGUGGAUAGACCCAGGUUAAGAGAUAGACCUUGGUGGGCUAGCUUAUCAUUUUUGUUCCUUUUUUUUAAAAAAGAGGGAGGAUUUUAAAUGACUAUAUUUUUUUUAAAAAAAAGAUGAACUGAAAUAAUUAUAUCUUUUGUGUGGAUGGUGGUUUGAAAAUGGGCCACAGUAGGCCCAAACUCGAGUCAAGGGCAUAUAACUGUCAAUACACGUAUUUUCGCAGUUAACUAUACUAAUGUACGCACCAAGUGUGUGUAUAUAUGUAUGUACAUAUAUAUAUCUGUGUGUGUAUAUAUAGAGUAUAUAUACUCUGUGGCUGGCUAUACAAUAAAUUAUUUUGUGUCCACCUAUUUAAAAUAAGUUUGAAUCAAUCAUUAAUUCUAUACUAGUUGUUUUAGUUUCUAAAAUAAUUAUUCUAAUGCAUCACUAUCAUCAACAAACUAUUCAAUUAAAUAAUUUUAAUGUGCAAAAAAAAUCAAUUGAUAUAUGUGGUUAACAUUGUUUAUAUUCUUCACCUCAACUAAUUUAAACACACAAAUUUAUAUAUAUUUUCCACAAGUUUUGUUAAAGAAAAAAAUAAAAACUUUACAUAUUUUGAACAUGCAAAAAUAUAUUAAAUUAGCAAGUAUAUUUAAAAUAAGUUUGAAUUAGUCAUUAAUUCUAUACUAGUUGUUUAAGUUUCUAAAAUAAUUAUUUUAAUGCAUCUCUAUCAUCAGAAAACUGUUCAAAUAAAUAAUAUCAACGCGCAAAAAAAUCAAUUGAUGUAUGUGGUUAACAAUGUUUAUAUUGAUUGAAUAAAACUUCACCUCAAUUAAUUUAAACACACAUGAAAUUAUAGAUAUGUUAAAUUAAAAAUUGUAUCAAGUGGUACAAUUAAUAAAAAACAUGAAAUCAUAGAACAUUACAAUAUAAUUCACCAUAGAGCAUUACAAUAUAAUUCAAAAGUGCUUACAAUGUAAUGUUUAGUGCAUUACAUAAAGGUGAACCAUAUUUAGUGCAUGACAAUAUAAUGUUAAAAAGCUUCUUCUUAUUGAAGGUGAACCAUAUUUAGUGCAUUACAAUGUAAUUUUAAAAACUGCUUCUAGUUGAAGGAUCGGAAAGGCGACCAGAUGGGGGUGAAUGGGAGCCGAUUCAAAUUUUUCCCAAGAACUUUGGCUAAAAACUCACAAGCCUCUCUUCUAGCAAAAUCAAGUCCAACUAGCUAUGCACAAGCUAAUGGACCUAGGAAUGAUGUUGGGAACCCAAUUUGAGAAUAGCGGAAGCAAGAAAGACUCCAAACAAGCUCCGGAAGACAAAUUUAGAAAACCAACACCUCUGUGCGAAAAAAUCCGGAGGAAUCUUCGGAAAAUUCCGGACAUGCGGAAAUUUCUGGAGGUCCGAAGAUUUCCGGAAUUAUGUCCGGAGAUUUCCAAAAUUCUAAAACAGCCUGCAUGAAGAUGGCAGAAAAAAUCUGAAACUCGAUCAAACGACCCCAAAAAAUCAUGAAAUUUUAAGCAUAGCUUCCGAACAACAUAACAAACAUAUUACCAAAAGAUCUCCUCAAAAAGAUUAGCCAAGCACAGAGAAUUAAAAAUCUUGUGAAGAACAUCGCUUUUUUAACCCUAGAACUUGAAUCGUCCCAAUAUAUGAACUCGUGAGGAGUUAGAUGAAUUCCUUUGGUAGAAAGACUUCACUCAAAUCCUAGUUCAUUUCCAAAUGAUCGGUUUGACUCUAGACUCCCCAGAAAUCACGAAUCGAACGAAAACGUGAGAAGGGAAAAAUAGGAGAAAACAAGAACGCGAAGAACACAAGCGAGAGUUUCACAAAACCGUCAUCCUCCUACACUCAGAGGACACGAGGAGGUUAGGGCCUCCAUUCCCGCAACAAAAACUCAGUUCAAUACAUGAAUUUGCUGCUCAAAAUAUCCGAGGACCUCUAGGGAGAGACUAGAGAGAGAGAGGAAAAACCAAAUGAAAUCCUAGAGAGAGAGGUAGUGACAGAGAGGUGGAAGAGGUGCUAAAAACUUCAGCCCGCCAUCUCUAUCUAUAGGCGCAGACAAAAGACUAAACUACCCCUAUUGCUACUACUAAGAUAACUACCCACGCAGGGGCAUUUUGGUCCAAGUUUUUGUGCGCUCAUCGGACGGACACGCCACCUUCAUGACUUUGCUUCGCCUCAACGCAAGCUAUGCGCUAAUACCACAUGCCCUCCUUCUCGAAGCUCCGACCGCACCGGGCUUGCCCCUGGUUUGGAGGUCCAAACCGGGAAAGCUGCCAGCGCGGUGGUUUUGAGGCUCAAACCAUCCAAACCGUCCAUCUUCGCUUGGCCGCCACGCGACCUCCUCAAUGGCGACGCGUGUCUGAUCUCCGCGAAGCCUUUGACGCCUCCAAGUCAUUUGUUCCUGGCUCCCGGGCCGCCUACUUGACUUGCCUCCGUCCCGCUUGACUCGACCAAUGCCGUCUCCAUCACCGUCAUGCUGUCUUGUCAUUCCGUGCACCAUGUGGACCGCCCAUGACUCCACCCGGACUCCUCAGGUCCAUCGGUCCAAGCCUACUCGCGUUCAUCCUUCAAAGCCCUUGGUCCAUCAGCAUGAACCUUUUGCUUGACCUUCACCGCAUGCCGUCGGCCAUCACACCGCAUCCUACACCUGCACAUCACAAGCCAAGAACAACAUCAAACCAACACAAUGUUGUCAAUCACUCAUCAUCCAAGGGUGACCACCAUUGGUCCUCAAUCUCCCCCUUGAUGAGUGCAUUGACAACACACCACAAAUUCAUAGUAUUUGAAAAAGAAAAUAAGAAACUAAAAACAGAAAAUCUCAGUCCCCUAAGAUAAGGGCAAUGGCUCUACACGACUGAGAUAAAAUCAUGUGAUCCCUCAAGAGGCAGAAAACGGGCUCAACACCAAUCACAUGAAAAACCAAAUCUGGCUCCUCAAGAAGAGGUAAAACAGAUCAACACAACCGAAAAAAGAGCAAAAGAGCACGACAAAGCUCACAUAGACUCCCCCUGAACAAAUGCACUCCCGCUGAGCAAAUACAUGAAAUUUCUCCCCCAUGUUGAAAGAAAUGCAUGAAAAAUCUCCCAAAUUCUCCCAAGAGUCUUUAUGAAUUUCAAUUCUCCCCCUUAUUGACAAUGCAAUCAUCAAGUCAAACAUGAAAGCCUAAAAAAACAUGCCAUGAAAAUGCAGAAACUACCAAGCUUCUCAGAUAUACCACGGAAGACUCUCAAAGGCUACAAGAGAGAUAAGCUUGGUGGAUUACAAGGAGCAAUAUCAUUGCUAGCAAGAUGAAUUCAUGUUACAGCAAGGAGUUGAAGCAAAUGUCUAGUUUUAGCAUUGUUUUAAAAGAUCACCACAUGAGCAAAUACCUAGUCUAGAAAUACCCAAGCAAGAAGAACUAGGCCAUCAAAAGCUCAUACAAGGAAUAAACAUUCUUGACAAAAGAUCAGUGCAGACACCCACAACACAUCACAAGUCAUGUGAGGCUUGUUGAAACCAAGUGCCUACUUCUUUUUGGUAGACAUCUUGUAAAAACUAAAUGAGCCAGAAUAUCAACAAUUAAGCAUAAAGACUUGGUGAAUUUAUGAAUUUUUGUUUUCAACAUUUUCCUUUUCCAUUAUUCACAAGGCAAAAUACAUGGAGUGCCUUUGCGGCACAAAGAAGCCAUGCUUCCCUAAGGGGUGCAUCAUGGGCUAAACAUCUGCAAUGAUACCUAGAUCUUUGACCCAAUUGAAAAGAACAUGAAUUCCAGCCACAAGCUAAAUUUGGAACUAGCAUUCAAAUAGGGGUAAAUCAAAACUAAGCAUCUACUGAUGGGUGAUACACAAGUUAAUAAAGUAGAAUUUAGCAUUGAAUUUCAAAAAGUAGUUUUCAUCAUGUAUACAAGAUCAUCAAGAGCAUAACUGCACAUUGCAUCUAAGAUAAACAACCAAAGCACUAGCUCACAAGUAGCAUAAGGUAGUAGUCAGGGCAUAUAAGAGAAGCUCAUCUAGUGCAGUAUGAUACAAAUGCAAUAUGAUAUAGAUGCAAUGAAAGCCAAACUAGCAUACUACAAAGAUGCUAAAAAAAAGUGGUUGUACAGAUAUAAUACAAGAGAAACAACAAAAUCCAACUCAGAAAGAAAAGCAAACACCCAACUCCCCCCGCAAAUGAGCAAAUGUGGCUUGAUCCAGGGGUUUGGUGAAGAUAUCAGCGAGCUGGUUUUGGGUAACAACAUAGCCAAGGUCAAUAUCUCCUCUCUCAACAUGAUCUCUCAGAAAAUGAUAUCUCACAUUAGUGUGUUUGGUUUUGGAGUGGAGAACAGAGUUCUUGGCUACACUUAUGACACUCAUGCUGUCACAAAGAAGAGGAACAUGAGUAAAAUCCAAACCAAAGUCUCUCAAAGUGAAAAUCAUCGAAAGCAGCUGAGAACAACAACUAGCAGUAGCAACAUACUCAGCUUCGAUGGUAGACUGAGCAACACUAGGCUGUUUGCGCGAAGACCAAGAGACCAAAGAUGAACCGAGAAACUGGCAAGUGCUAGAGGUGGACUUUCGAUCCAAGCGACACCUAGCAAAGUCCGCAUUGGAGUAUCCGUGGAGAGUGAGUGUCGAGGAGGCAGAAUACCACAAACCGAAUUCAGGUGUGAAACGAAGAUACCUCAUGAUUCUCUUCACUGCCUGAUGGUGAGAUGUCCUUGGUGAAGCUUGAAAACAGGCGCACAGACACACUGCGAAAUGUAUGUCCGGCCUCAUCGCUGUCAAGUAGAGGAGGAAGCCGAUCAUGCUCCGGUACUCCUUCUGGUCCACCGGAUCGCCAUCUUCAUCCGCAUCUAGUGCCAUCGUCGUUCCCAUGGGUGUGGACAGUGGCUUAGCAUCAGCCAUGUCAAACUUUCUCACCACAUCGUUCGUGUACUUCCCUUGGUGCACGAAGGUUCCUUCCUUGCUUUGCUUGAUCUGUAGACCGAGGAAGAAGGUCAAUUCACCCAUCAUCAACAUCUCGAACUCCCUGCUCAUGUCAUCUACAAACUUGGCAACAAAAGCAUGAGAGGAACCACCAAAGAUAAUAUCAUUUACAUAAAUCUGAACAAUCAUUAAGUCUUUGCCUUGCUUGAGGAGAAAGAGAGUUUUAUCAACUGACCCCAUUUCAAACCCAUUCCAAAGCAAAAAGGAUUUCAACCUAGCAUACCAUGCUCGGGGUGCUUGUUUUAGGCCAUAGAGAGCUUUUUGGAGUUUGAACACACCAUCAGGAUAUUUAGGGCUCUCAAAACUAGGGGGUUGUCUCACAUACAUUUUCUCAUCUAUGAAACUAUUUAGGAAGGCACUUUUCACAUCUAUUUAGAAGAGCUUAAAACCUUUAGUCACAACAAAGGUUAGAACGAUUCUAAUCGCUUCCAAACAGGCAAUUGGGGCAAAGGUUUCCUCAUAAUCUAUCCCCUCUUUUUAACUAAAGCCUUGGGCAACCAACCUCGCUUUGUUUCUCACAACCAACCCAUUUUCACCCUAUUUGUUCUUAAAAACCCAUUUUGUUAUCGGGUGGCAAUUUGGAGGUGGUUCAAAUAAAACCCAAACCCUGUUUCUCUCAAAGUGUUCUAACUCCUCUUGCAUAGCAUUGACCCAGUUUGAAUUAGAUAAAGCAUGUCCAAUAUCUCGGGGUUCAAAAGAGGCAACAAAAGCAGAAUGUGCAAAGUGUGAAAUCUGCCUAGAACUAUGCCUAGUGGUGUUCUCAUGCAAGUUACCGAUCAUUUGUUGAUGUGGAUGGUUAUGCUGAAUGUGUCGUGGAGCUCCUCGCUCUGAAGUAGCCUCCCCCUCAACAGCAGCUUGUUCACUCUGAUCUUCUUCUUCAUCAUCUUGUAGUAGUACUUGGUGAUAGCUUGAAGUAGUGGAAGUAGGGGUUAGAGCCAUCAACUCUUGUAGUAGAAGUAGAAGGUACAGGAGGAGCAGCUGGAGCACAGUUCACUUCAUGAUCUUCUUCAUCACCACUAUCAGCAUGCUUGUCCUCUUCAAAAAUACUUUGUCCCAUUUCAUGUUCACCUGCAGCUUCAAAGACAAGGCAUAGUUUCAUCGAAAGUAAUCUCACAAGUUUCCACAAUCCAGUUAGUUUCAAGGUUAAGUACACGAUAAGCACGACUAUGAGAUGCAUAACCAAGAAAAAUACCAUCAGUGGACCGAGACUCAAAUUUCUCCAAAUUGCCUUGCUUCAGAAUAAAGUACUUGCAUCCAAACACUCUCAAAUGACUUACCUUAGGGGAAUGUCGAUGCAUCAAUUGAUAAGAGAUUUUCUUCAUAAAAGAUCACAAGAAGAUUCAAUUGGAAACAUAGCAAGCAGUGUUUAUGGCUUUGGCCCAAUAUUUCCUAGGAGUCCUAUGCUCAUCAAGCAUCGUCCUAGCCAUCUCACAAAGGGUUCGAUUCUUCCGUUCAACAACACCAUUCCGAGGAGGGACAUAAGGCGAUGAAAACUGGUGUUUAAGACCAAGAUCAUUGCAAAAGGCUUUAAAACAAACGUUCUUGAAUUCUGUGCCAUUGUCACUGUGGAUAGCUCUCAUGACAUCUUUAGGUUGCUCAUUUUUCAACCUCAAGAUCAAAUCUCAAACAAAAGGAAAUGCCUCCUCCUUAGACUCCAUGAAGAAAACCCAUGAAUACCUCAAAAAAUCAUCAACGACUACAAGCACAUACCACUUCCCACCAACUGAGCAAACACAAGCUGGACCAACAGUGUCCAUAUGCAAUAGCUCAGAUAGAUGCUCAGUCAUCACCUGAUUCACAGGUGGAUGAGAAGCAGCAACCAUUUUCCCAUGUCGAUAGGAAGCACAAAUGAGAUCCUUCACAAAUUUCAAUUUGGGCAAAUCAUGAAUAAGAUCCAAAGCACUCAGGCGGGAUAGCAAAUCAAAACUCAAAUGUCCCAAUCUCCUAUGCCACUUCCAAAGUUCAGAAGAAGAGCCAGCAACCAAACAUUGAGACAAACAAAAAGACUUAGAAAAACCACACGAAACACCUGACCCUCGAGGACGAUCAUACACACAAGACCUCCUCGAGAGUCUAAAAUCCUUGAGGUCCCUUGCUUAAAAUGGACCUCAAAACCAUCAUCAAGCAGUUGCAACACAGAGAGCAAAUUGAAACCAAGAGAAUCAACAAGAGCAACUUGCUUGAGCAUGAAAUUCUCACUCACCUUGAUUGCACCUCCAGACAAAACCUUACCUUUGCUAUUAUCCCCGAAAGUGAUGUACUCCUUGGUCAUCACCGGAGUGAGGCUGGAGAACCAUCUGUGAUCACCGGUCAUGUGUUGAGAGCAAUUGGAAUCAAUAAGCCACGUGUUCUCUAGGCCUCUGACCUGCUCAAACAAAGGGAGACCAAGGAUGAGCAAAUGACUCAACACUAGGGUUAGAAAAACAAGUAGAAUACCAGUGUUGACCAUUUUCUCAAGAGUGGGGUUAGCAAAAUCAACCAUCUCUCAUCUCACAGGAGGACUACGGCCAACACUAGGAGGGAAACGUGGUCCGUUGUAACUGCAAGACUCAAAGCCACGACCAUGCUUUCCUGGGCCAUAUUGAUCAUGGCGAGGAGCAUGCCUAGCAAAACCAUGCGACUAGCCCUGUUAAUUGGGUUGGGUUUAUUGGUUUUAAUGGUUUGGUUUAUAUAAUAAGUUCAUUUGAAUUGGUUUAUAAUGAGUUGACCUGCUAGAUGGUUUGGUUUGGUUUGGGUUUUACAAAUAAAUAGUUUGGAAGGUGUUUGGGGUGUGUGGUAUUAUUUUUGGAUCUAAAAGACUCUCAACCCGUGGGUUGAGACCCAUUAAAAACCCAAAAGCCUGGAGCCUCAUCUAUCAAGAGUCGGACCCUAAAAAUAAAACCUCGCGUUCACACCUUAAAAUUUUGGAUAAAUUGAUCGAAACUUGUUACAGAUGAAUUAGUUUAACAGUCCGCUACUGUAUGCAAAGUAGUACGGCUGGACUUACAUGUGGGGCCCGCGUCAAGAGUCGGACCCUAAAACUAAAACCUCAUGUUCACACCUUAAAAUUUUGGAUGAAUUGACCGAAACUUGUUGCAGAUGAAUUAGCUUGACAGUCCGCUACUUUGUGCAAAGUAGUAUGGCUAGACUUACAUGUGGGCCCCACGUUGAGAGUCACAUACAAACUCAAAAAAAAAGUUAACUAAUGGGUUUUUAUUAGGUACCUAAUGGGUUCUUAUUGGGUUGUAACCAUAUUUGGCAAGUAAUUUGUAUAACUUAUGCAAUGGUAAGUUUGGGGUGGUGUGGUGUGUGAUAGUGGAGAUUUGGUUUAGGGUGGGUUAUAUUUAUUUUCUUAUGAGAAUAGAUUGGUGUGGUUACAACAUGGGUUACAACCCAAUUAACAGGGCUACAUGCGACGGAUCAAAACGCACACUUUCCACAUGACGAGGUGGAGAAGCUGCUCUAGGCGCAUGUACACCAUGAGAAGGAUGGUACAUGUCCCUGUUGCCCCACUCACGCUCACAGCUCAAAACCUUCUUCUUGCGAAAGCAAAACUUCUCAAGGUGACCCCCUCUCUUGCAAUACUCACUAGAAGGUUGUUUUGGUUGUGCAUUUGCUUUGGGUUGAGGGUUAAAUCUUGGUUGUGGUUUGACUUUGAGUUUUGGAGAGGGAUACUUGGGAGCAAUUUCUUGAAGUGUGUCAAGCUUGUUCUUGAGGUGGUUUGGCUUUUCCAUCCAAAUAGCUUUCUUGGAUGCUUUGGGUGGUGUCUCAAUGAAAACUCCAUCUCUCACACACUCAGACACAUUUUGCUCACAAGCUAGAUUGGGUUGCUCUCUAUUUAGUGUGGGUGUCCCUCGAGGGGUAUAGUCAGCUGGUGGCUCACAUAGGUUGUAGCUUGGUUUCUUUCUCUCACCACUGUUUUGGCCCACCUUCUCACACAACCCAUCAAAGAACUUGUGCAACCCAUUAAAAUGACAACCCUUGAUAACAGACCCAUGCCCAAAACCAUCAGCCCUUUUGAACUCCUGAAUCAUCAUGCCUAGCUGAGGUUCCCUACUUAAUACCCAACUAAGAACAGUACACAAAUAAGAAUUUUCAUCCUUACCAUGUUGCAAAGCAUCUCUAAUUUUAGGACAUUCAGUGCAAAUAGAAACUUCAGAUUUCUCAAGAACCUUAAUCCUAGCACAAGCAUCAUCAAAUUUAGUUUGUAAGGCAGAGCAAGAUUUGCAAGCACCAAACAAAACAGGUUUAGUCUUAAUCUCAUCUAGAGCAUCCCUAGUCAAAUCAAGUUCAUCUACAAGCAAAGCAUGCUUAGAUUGCAAAGAAGCUAUACUAGCCAUGUGAACAGCACAUUCAUCACACUCAACAACAUCAGAAAUGGUGAGAGCAGACUUGAGCAUAUCAAUCUCAAUCAAGGCACUCUCUAACUUAGCCUUAAGCUCAACUCGCUCUCUAGUAGCCUUCUUAAGCAAUUUAUCAUGACUGAUAAGGCAAUCAUUCAGUUCUUCUCCUUCUAAAGCAAGCUGUUCAGGAGUAGGUAUUACCUCAAUUUCUUUGUUGGAGUCGAUGUUGCUGAGGGAGGCAAUCAACGGGCACGCUUUGGCCUUCUUGUGAUGCUCCUUCUACUCACGGUCGGUGUACUUCUUGUUCUUCCUAGUGUCGUCCUUGUUCUUAUGCUUGUUGUAGUUCUACCUGCUCUUGGAUUUGUUCUUGUCGGGGCAAUUGGCUGCGAAGUGUCCUGGCGUCCUAGAGUCAAAGCAGGUGUUGUUGUUCCUUCACUGGUUCUUGUGGUUGUCAUUGAAGCACAUGAAUCACCAUCUGAUCAAGGCGAGCUCAUCAUCAUCAAGAACCUCCAACUGCUCCUCGGACACUGAAACCAAAUAAGAUAGGGCAAAUGACAUCGAAGAAGAGCCACUCAAAGACUUAGGCUGUCCAGAGCCUGACAUGAGAACCAUACUAUUUUGAUCAGUAGGGCUCCUCUGUUUAGCUCGGAGCCUCUUGUCAACCUCUGUGGAUUUCAACUUAGCAAAGAGCUCAUCAGUGGAAAGCGUCUCAUAAUUUGGUGACUCAAUGAUAGCAUCAACCUUCAUACCCCACACUUCAUGAUCCAAGGCAUGCAGAAGCUUUAAACCUCUAUCAUGAUCAGUGUAGGGUAAGACGGUGAUAUUUGUUUUCAUCUUGUUCAUAGUAGCCAAGAAAUGCUGAAACAAAGCAUCAGCAGACUUGCCAGGCAAAUGAACAAAGUUCUCAUACUCACGCCUGUAGGUCUCAAAGAGCCUAGCCUUCACCCAACUGUUUCCCUCAUGGAAAUUCUGAAGUUGGGACCAAAUCUCAUGAGCAAGAGUGAGAUCCUCAACUCGAUCAAACUCAGCACGACAAAGGCUCGCAAAUAGAAUAUCAAACGCCUUGUUGUUGGUGUGAUACUUAUCCCUAUCAUCUUGAGAAACACGAGCAGCAGGAAUCACGUAGUUCACAUCCUGAGUGAUUUCCCAAAUCCCUGCUCCCCUACUGUUAAGAUGGGCUUUCCUGCAAGUUUUCCAAUAUCUAUAUAGUCAGUCCCAUCAAAGUGAGGUGUAGCCGUCAAGGAAGAAUGCUCAGAGGUUGCCAUCGUGGGUUUCAAAACCGAUUAGGGUAUUGAGAAACCUUAACCGGCUCUGAUACCAAUUGAAGGACCGGAAAGGCGACCAGAGGGGGGGUGAAUGGGAGCCGAUUCAAAUUUUCUUGAAGAACUUCGGCUAAAAACCCACAAGCCUCUCUUCUAGCAAAAUCAAGUCCACUUAGCUAUGCACAAGCUAAUGGAUCUAGGAAUGAUGCUAGAAACCUAAUUUGAGAAUAGCGGAAGCAAGAAAGAAUCUAAACAAGCUCCGGAAGAUAAACUUUGAAAACCAACAUCUUUGUGCGGAAAAAUCCGAAGGAACCUUCGGAAAAUUCUGAACAUGCGGAAAUUUCCGAAAAAACCUUCGGAAAUUUCUGGAGGUUCGGAGAUUUCCGGAAUUCCAAAACAGCCUGCAUGAAGAUGGAAGAAAAAACCAAAAUUUGAUCAAACGACGUCCAAAAAUCAUGAAAUUCUAACCAUAGAUUCCGUACAACAUAACAAACAUAUUCCCAAAAGAUCUCCUCAAAAAGAUUAUCCAAAUAAAGAGAAUUAAAAAUCUGGUGAAGAACACCGCUUUUUCAACCCUAGAACUUGAAUCGCCCCAAUCUAUGAACUCGUGAGGAGUUAGAUGAAUUUUCCUUUCAUAGAAAGACUUCACUCACAUCCUAGUUCAUUUCCAAAUGAUCGGUUUGAGUCAAGCCUCCCCAGAAAUCACGAAUCGAACAAAAACGUGAGAAGGGAAAAAUGGGAGAAAACAAGAACGCAAAGAACACAAGUGAGAGUUUCAUAAAACCGUCAUCCCCCAACACUCGGAGGACACGAGGAGGUUAGGGCCUCCAUUCCUACAACAAAAACUCAAUUCAAUACAUGAAUUCGAUGCUCAAAACAUCCGAGGACCUCUAGGGAGAGAGUAGAGAGAGAGGAAAAACCAAAUGAAAUCCUAGAGAGAGAGGUAGUGAUAGAGAGGUAGAAGAGGUGCUGAAAACUUCAGCCCCCCAUCUCUAUCUAUAGGUGCGGACAAAAGACUAAAUUACCCCUAUAGCUACUACUAAAUAACGACCCACGCACAGGCAUUUUGGUCCAAGUUUUUGUGCGCUCAUCGGACGAACACACCUCCUUCACGACUUCACUUCGCCUCAAUGCAGGCUAUGCGAUGAUACCACAUGCCCUCCUUCUCGAAGCUCCGGCCGCACCGGGCUCACCCCCUGUGGUGGAACCGCCCAACUUAAGCUGGUUUAAGUGCGCUUAAUCGCUGUCGGAACAGCAAUUAUCCGAAACGCACCUAAAACAGCAUAAGUCCGGUAGUCCGUUGAGUGUCCCUAGGACUCCUCGAAGGAUCCACGACGUGUCUCAUAGCCAUACAUCAGGAUAAUAUCCGCGAUGGGAUAACAUCAACAAAUAUUACAUUUUUAAAGACAUAACAAAGGUACGAUAUAUUACAACCAUAGUUUGAAACAACUUAAUCAUGCAGAUCAGCGUGGUUCUUAAGAAUUUAAAAAUAAACAUUUAAGUUUUAUUCUAGAGUAUCAUGAGACUCAUAAGAUACCCUAGGUCUUCGGGGCUUCCUCUUCGGUGGGUCCCUGCUAGCUUUCUGAAAACAACAACAAGGGAUCCCCUGAGUACGAAGUACUAAGCAAGUCUUACCCGACUAACCAAUAUAAUAGUUUUCUUUGGAAUGUAUGUCAGCCUUUGGGUGUGCUUGGUUGACACAAUUUUUGCCGAAAAGCUUACUACGAGUGAGGCCUUAGUUUUAUCUUUUAUUUUAGUUAAGUCAUUACCUAACCAUUCUAGAUGAUAAUAGAAGUAAAAGCAACCACAGCUGUUAAGUCAUACAUUACUUGACAACAGGAGAUUUUAUAUUGCAUGAGUUGAUACUACGAUGCUCAACAGUGAUCAAGUGCAUUCAUAACCGAGAAUUGCGGCGAUCCGGAUCUAAUUACAUCCUGCAGGAGAGUACCCCGAUCACCAGCAUUAUACGACUGUUCCGGUCGUAUCUCACAACCUCUCGAUUAGCAAAGUCAAUGAUUAGGAAUACAACUACCCGGACCCAGGGAUGCACCCCCACAUGGGACCCCACGUCUGGCCUGAUCUCCAUGUGAGUUUCAGGCUACACCCCUGCCAAUCUCCAGCACGUCAAAUGCGGGUACGAAGCAUUCCUGAUCAUAGAAUUUACUAAUCUACUGGGCUUUACUGGUCCCAUACCCAGUAAGUGAUCAGAUGUUAUCACUUGAUCAGCGGUUAAGACACGAAUCGGGCCUUAACCAGAUUAAUCUAGCAGUAUUCAUAUUCCAGACUAUCCUUCAUAAGCAACAUGUAUGACUUAAGAGUUUUCCUUAAGGUUGGUAAACCAAUCACGUAAGCAAGUAAGCAAUUCUAGACUUGGGUAGUUUCUAGGAUUUGAACAAGUGGCAAAGAUAUCCUUAAAUCAAGGCAUGAUCAUACACAAGAAUAGGUUUCAUCCAACUCCUAGACUUAGUGCAUACAAUAAACAAAUAACCUAUAACUAGUCACAUGAAAUGACGACUCUAAAAAUAGAUAGGUAUAAAUGCACCGGGGCUUGCCUGGGAUCAACAAGGUUAGUUCUUCGGAAAACUUGUUUACUGAAAGAGGCACUCCACACUUCGCGAAUGCUGUCCAUCUCCGGCUGAAUUCCAUGAAUUUCCCACUUCAGGAGUUGUGACGUCUACGAUCCAGUAUAUGCAAGAGUUAGAGAUGCAAAUUUUUGAAUACAAGACUAUACAACUUUCCUUCAUGAUAAAGUUGCAAGCCAACAAGGACUAUACAAUUUAUCAUGAUAAAGUUGCAAGCCAACACACAAAAGCCCUAAAGAUUAGCCCACCAUUUUUAUUUCUUUUACUAAACCUACCUUAGACCUCUUCUUUUAUUUUUUAAAAGCAUUAUACUAAUUUUCUAAUCUCAAAAACCUAAUUCCUAUGAAUUAAUAAUAAUUUGUGGAUAAUAAAGCAUUUUCAAGUUUUAUAUAUUUAAUAAAGUUUAAGCAUUUAUUUAAAUACCUUACACAAAAAGGCAUUAAAUAAAUACCUAAAUUUUUAUUAUUUUUCCUAGGGUUUAAGAAUUUUAAUGCAUAAAGGAAAAUAAAACAAUCCUAAUAAAAUUGGUUUCACUAAUUUUGGACACUUUUAGAAUUUCCUGGGAAUUAAAUGGUGAAAGCAGCAUUUAAUCUAUUUAUCUAACAAAGAAAACCUAAGGUUUAAUUAAAACCUCCGGCCCAAACUUUUCUCACCCAACUUGCUUCUACCCACUAUCACUUCCACCUAGGGCCCAUCUGGUUUCCUAUUCUCCUUCUUCUUUUCUUCCUUGACAAGUGGGGCCCACGGCCGAAACCUUCCCUUGGGCCGAAAAGUGGCCCGCCAACUUUUAACCCGUGACGCGUGGGCCUCUAUUCGGCAGCCUCCUCUUUGGGCCGGCUCCCCCUUUUCCUCUCUUUCUCAAUCCCGGCCGGCCCAUCUCUUCUUUUUCUUUUUCUAUCUCCGACAAUCGGCCUGCUUAAUCCGGCCCACGGCCUUUCUUUCCUCCGCCGGCCCCCUUCUUCUUUUCCACUUCACCUGGGCCGCACGGCCCACUUUCCUUUCAGGCCAAAAGUUAACCCACCGGCUCUCCCUUCUUCCUUUACCCGCACGGGCUAACUGGGCUGUCGCCUCCCCUUGGCCCAAGACGGCGCUGGCCCUCUUUUCUUUUUCUCCUACUCCCACCUGGGCCUCCUCCACCGGGACUUGGCCUCCCGGCCCAAGUUCACCGACGGCCUGCUUCCCUUCUCUUAUUACGUUGCGCAGCUAGCUGGGCCGGUACCCUUCCUUUGGCCCAAGACGGAUGGCCGGCUCUUAUCUCCCUUGCGCCCCCCCCCCUCUUUUCCUUGUGGCUGGCAUGUGGGCCUCCUUGGUCAGGGGCAUCUUCCUCCCCUGGCCAAGAACAGAGGCGCGCCGGACUGGUGGGGGCUCGCCGGCCGGCGGCUCGCCGGCGACGGGGUCGGGCCGGGGAGGGACCCCCAGGCCGCGACACACCCGUGGGCGGCGGCGGCGCUCCGGGAGGUGGCCGGAGAUGGCCCCUCCACGGCGGCGACGGCUCAGCCGGCCGUUGGCCAUGGCGGCGUAUGUUGGCGGCGCAAAACAGCUUCCACAACUCCCCCUACGGCUUCCACACUCUUGCAGGACGCCCCUAGGCCCGUUAAUUGAGAAGAAACAGCCCGGUUUAGCAACUUACCUCGCGGAUUGGGUGACGGCGGCCGGCGGACCGGUAUGGCGGCGACUCGGAGCUCAACAGCGAGAAGCUGGGCAACGGAGCAGCGUGGGGCGUUGAGGAGGAGCUUGCGGAACCUCGGGUGGGUGGAAUCGCAAGGAGAAGCGGCGGCGUGGGUGAAUCGGUCGGCGGCGACACUGAUUUGCUUGAACUCGGUUCUCACGGCAGAAGAGCAAAACGGCAGAGAUUAACUGGAUGAGGGCGAGGAGGUACCAAUACGAACUUUCACCGUGCAUGCGUGCCACCUCGACAACCUGAACGAGCGCGGACGUGGCCGUGUGCUGGCCGGUGCUUCGGAAUGCCGGCGGCGGCACGACUCUUCUGUCGCCUCUGUUAUGCUGUUCUGCUUUCUUUUCUCUUCUCAAUCUACAUGUUCAGGCCGCAAAAUUGGCAAAUCCGAACCCAAUCUCUCGAACAUUCCUUAAGCAAUCUUGUAGAUUAAUCCGAGCACUUCAAUUGAUAGAUGGGCCUCUACCCGAGAUGAGCACCCUAACAUCUAGAUUUUUGGAGCUCCAAGUUCGGCCAGGGCCUUCUGUAACUGAACCCUGUCGAUUCAGUUUCGACAGUCUUCAAAAUGUGGUCAUUUACCCUUCUUUAGCACCAAUUUCAGUAGCUCAAUUGUAUUCCAUAUAGGCCAACCACUCCCUAUUUGUGUUCUAAAACUAAUAAGGAUUCCAUUUUGCACCAGAAACCAUAUAGCCUUUGCACUGGAUUUUCCUGAAAAUUGCUCCAAACAUUGCUAGUUAACACUGUCUCAGACUUAGAAUUUACGCAGCUCGAGAGUUGGCCGAAAUAGCUAGAGUGCUGACUUUGAGUUCUGAUUUAAAUUUGAUUCUUUCGCUAUCUCUGAGCAACAACACUUUAUUAAACAUGUCCAAGGAUCAUACUUCACCGCUGUCUAGUUGCCUUUGCUCACUUACUUGAAAAAUUGGGCAGAAUUCGGUUUCAAACAUAGAUACUCGUCAUGUUUUCCAGACCUAGACUUAAUUCGGCAAGGAGCUCGAAAUCUGCUCAAUUGCUGACUUUUGGCUCCAAUUUGAAUUCAAACCUUCCACUUUCUCUGGACAACAACUAUUCAUUUACUUUCUCCAUAGUCCAUAUUACACUAAUGUCCAAAAACAUCUGCUCACUUUUAAGGAAAUUUCUCCAGAAAUUGGUCCUAAAGUCAGGUACUCAAUACCAUUUUCAGACUUAACCAAAAAUUCAGCAAAGCUGCCGAUUGUGACAAAGCGCCAACUUUAGGCCUCCAUUUGAAAUGGUUCCCUCUGCUAUUCCUGAUCAACACCACCCAAAUUUUGGAGUCCCAAGUUCAUACUUCAACAUGGUAUAGUUGUCCUGAUUUACUUAUUUGAGAAAUUCAUCAGAAUUCAAUUCCCAAAAUGGACUCUGGACUGUUUUUCUGAUUUCUUGUUUUCGGACGGUGAAUAGUAAACGUAGCUUUUCAUUUCCUUCUCCGAUUUCUUUUGAGCGUUUAGGAUCAAAUAUUACUCCAAAUUUUUGACCCUUAAGUUCUAAUCAUCUUUACACUCCCACUCUAUAUUUUCGCCGAAUUUUUCUGAAUUUCAAAUUCAAAAUUCAAAUUUCGGCCAAAUUUGACCCGAAUUUGAUUUUCGGUCAAUUCCUUUUUCUUUUCUUCUCGAAUCGCUUUCAAUUCUUCAAAGUCACUUUGAUGACUAAAAAUGGCGGGUGUUACAGCCUCCCCCCCUUAACAGAAUCUCGUCCCGAGAUUCCCGGGGUUAAAUCCUCGGUUUUGAGAAUGGAAAGGAAACUGUCUCAGACAUCAUAUUUUCUCUUGUCUGUAUAAGGAAAGGGAGGUGGUGGCUUUGGUUCAUCUGACACUAACAGUUUCAAAUAACUUAAAAUAUUUAGACUCUAGGUCUUCAGUCUGUUCCAAGUAGCUUUAUCUGGAGCACGAUUCUCUCAGGGCACCUUGUAAAAUCUGAUACUCUUAGUUCGAGUAUGGAGGGUCUUUCGAUCCAGAAUUUUUAUACGGACAAAUAUAUAUCGGAGAAAAUUUUUCCUUUGACUCCAACCCGGUGUAUUCCUUUCAUCGGAGAUACUCCGAAAUGUACAAAGUCCCAAAAUAAAAUUCCAAAGAUCCUCUUUUUGUAUCCGAAUAACCUCUCUGUCAGGACUAAGCUAUUUCAAGGUUCGUACAAUUCUUCUGAACUUUUUCCUCAACUUUAAUUGACUAGAUCUGGUUCUAAAGGUACUCUUUCUCUUGAUUCUGACCAAAUUAAAAGCAACCAUUCUUCCCAUUUUUUGCUAGAAGUAAACAUUCAUCCCACUUCUUCGAGAAGGUGAGAAUACAGGUUCGAAGCAUAUCUUUUUCUGUCUAACCAGACAUCCUUUGUUCUUAAUAAGGGUAGUUCCCAUUGUCCCAUACAUUUGUUCCCAGAAUUCAGAGAUGAAAUUGAGAACCUCAAUUUAAGACAAUUGUCUUGGGUAUUCCAUGCGACGAUACUACCAUAAAAUCCAUGGAAAUGUCUUCCUACUUCCAUUUAGGAAUGGUGAAGGUUGCAAUAUGUCGACCGAUUUCUGAUAUAUAGUUUUCACUUUUGACACGUAUCACAUUCAGAUACAUUCUUGGCUAUUUCCCUUUUCAUUCUUAUCCACCAAAAUCAUUGCUUCAUGUAUUAAUACAUCUUAAUACUCCCCGGGUGCAUAAAGAAUCUUGAUAACAAGCUUCAUCUAAGAUGAUUUUCUCAAGCCCAUCUUCUUGAGUAUUAUUAUUCAAUUUUUGAUAUAGAACACCUUCUUUUCAUCCUGGUAAAACAAGUAACAUUACUUUUAGCUUACUCAUUUCCGAAGUAUUCUCAUUCCUUUGUCCUUCUUCUGAGCUUGUUCUGCUUCUUUCUUUAAAAUAUCUUACAAGAUGAGGUUAUGCAGUGUACAUUAGUUUUGUUCGGAUGAUACAAUUUCUAGUUUAUAGUCUUGGAUUAGUUUCAGCCAUCUUAUGCCUCAUAUUCAGAUCUGACUUUGAUAGCGUUCGGCCAUUUUUAAGAAAACUUCUUACUUCCUGAACAGUUGUGGGCGAUUCAUGUCCUUAACUUUUUCAGGAUCCACUUCAAUUCCUUUCUUGGACCAAACAUGCCUAAUGAACGGAACCUUCUUUAACCAAAACUCACACUUACUAGACUUGGCAUAUAGUUGAUGCUCCGGAAUCUAUCCAAAACAAUGCGCAAAUGCUCCGCAUAUUCUCCUUAUUCUUAUUGUCAAAACCUUUGUUUCAAAGCUUGAUACAUCUUACUGUUCUCAGGAUUCCGUGCAAAUUCAACCUUUUAGAAACUUGUUAAUAUCCAUAUAAUGCUCACGUCCCUUCCUUCUAGUUAAGGAACUUUUUUUUGAAUAGACUUUUGACCCGAUCCUUGGCGUGAAAUUUGAGCCUUCUCAUCCAUAAUUUCCCCUUUACUGUGGAAAAUGAAGAACUCGGGUGAAACCAGUUCCUCCAUAGUUAUGUUAUAAUAUAGCUGUAGAAUUGCAAAGAUAGUGGUGCUUUAACCUUUCAGGUAUUCAUGGGUUUGUCGAACAGGGAGUAUUAUCUGAGUUCUGGAUAACCCAUGGCUGCCACGAUAAUUGUCAUUGGGGCCGAUAAGUAGAUCUAGCAGGUUCCUAGUAGACAACCUUUCAACUCCUGAGGAAUACUUUUAAAUGCUUCAAAAGAAAUGUCCUCUUAUUCCAAGGAUUCCUCCCUUCCAAGGGGUUUGUCUAAAGCUCUUAUCUUUCCUGGGGAUUACUAUGUUCAUGGCAGAGCUAUGAUCUGUAAAAGUACUUGGGAGCAAUUCCUUUUCUCAGACUUAGGGUUCAUAUGUUCGGAAGCAUAUUGUGCCAGAUGAUCAAUUGUACUUAGAUACUUCCGAACAAUCUUGUGUCCCUGCUAAACUUUUUUUUUUUAAAGUUGUUCUAGCUGCACUCUUAUAAUCCUUUUUAGCAGAAACUAGGUACAAAUAAUUGUCUUGAAAUCUUCCCAAGCUAUCUCCUUUCUGACGGAUCGCCUAACCAGAUAGUUGGUCCAUCAUGUGCCUGUGGGACCUUGGAGUUAAUGUCCUGCAAACUCAACCUUUUGAGUUUCCGUACAUCGAAGAAUCACACACGUAUCCACAUAUAAUGUUUGGAUUUACGUGUAAUUCUACAAAAAUUUGUCUUAUGUUCAUAUAGUGAUCAGGGCUGACAUGUGCAGGAAAAUGCCACUCUUAGUAGCUUUAACAAGCAUGAGUAGACUGCGUUAUCUUCCUCCAAACCUGCUCCAGAAAACUCCUGGCAUUCUUUUUAGAGUUGAACAUCAAGGAUAUGAAGUAUCUGGUUUGGAAGAUUCUUCUCGAUAAUAGUUAAUAAUGCUUAUUCCAUCGCAGAACACAAGAUCUGCUAGCUUUCUCCCUGUUAGUGUCUCUGCCAGCAAUACUCUAAAAUUGUACACAUCUCCUCAGAGCUUUUACAUUCUGACAUAAAACUCCCAUCGGUGCCUUAUAUGUUUGUGUCAAAAAUCUUCACAGCCAACAACCCGGUCUUACCUGGAUUAGUUUUCCUCCGUAAACUGAACCAUAGCUUCCUUUCCUAAUCAAAGACUCUGGGAAAUUCUCAGUAACCUGAACUCAAUCCUUGUAGAAAAAUUUUCAGAAGUUCUUACUAGAAAAAAAAAACCAACUGUGAUUACAUUAUGAAGGACUUUCUCCAUGGAAGUAUAAGGCAUCACGAUAAUAUGAAUAGUGCCACGAGACCAACAAUGGGGAUAUAUUUUAACCCAAAACUUUUAAUCUUGCUGUCUGCAAAGGAACAACAUCGCACGCGGGUAUAUGCAGCUCACAUACUCCGUCGCAAAGACCUUGAUUCCCUUUAGUGUAAUAACUGUAACCUUUUUGAAAUACUCGGCACUCUUCCCAGGAGAUGAUUGCGGGACGAAUUUAGCGGACUGAGAGCUUGUAGAUCACAUAGAGCAGCUGGGAUAGUAUCUAUCCAAUUGUUGUGUGAAAGGUUAAGAAUAGUGUCUUCCCAAAAGUUGGUGGUUUUGAUACUGCUUCAAUUCCCAAUAACCACGUUAAUUCCCUAUAUUUUGAAUAUCCCUGCUCAGCAGUCUAGCUUGCUUAGCUCUUGAAUUCAUAAGACUAGCAAUAACAUUAACCCGGGUAAGAAUUUAUGGUGGCUCUACAUCACGGAUUCUGACCCGGAUUAAAUGUAUCCACUUGGGUCCGACAUUCUGGGGUUACAAAAAUCCAACAGACCGAAACUCAUUGAACUUCCUCUGGUUCUUUAAUAUCAUUAUUCCCUGCAUCUCGCAAACCUUGGUAUAUGUUUCUCUUAAACAACCCCCUCAACAUUGUCCUUAGCUAACAGUUGAUUAGGUUCCAUAUGACUUUUUCUAAAUUCUCUUCCAUUUUCCACACCAAGACUAUCCAGAUUCUCACAAACAUGCAGAUCUACUUUUUAAGAUGCCAGUUCAUUUAUACCCAUUUCGUUAUCCACAAUAUCCUCCUUUCCUUUUACUACAACCGGGACGAACAGAUGUUGCCUUGGUUUCCAUGGUUUUUUUGAUAUAUCUCUGAGGCAUCCGGAUCAAUAGAUUCCUGGGCUUGUGUCAAUUGACCUCAUAUUUAUCCAAUUUCUUUCACCACUUUUCUCAUAUCUUUUCCCAUAUUACGAUCUCGUGCAAGAGCUGCCUUCUUGCUUAUAUCGAAAUCAUAUGGAGUAUCUUUUCCCCUCCUCCUUGAAUCUUCAUUCCUUUCUUCCUAAUAAUAUUACUGGAACGGGCAUGUUGAUGAAGAGUAGGUAUCGAAGUCUUUUAAUUUCAUGAAGUGAUCGCAGUAACGUCGUGCUCCAUUUGAGAAAAUCCUUUAAACCUUUAUACAAUGCUUCCAAUACUAUGGUCCUGAUUUCUGAUCCCAUAACUCUUGUCAGACUGGAUCCAAUUUAUUCCUUAUUCUUCUCACACCUGAUAGUUUAAGUUGUCCUAAUUGCUUAUCCAAAUAAGGUUUGGUGUCCAUCCGUCUGUCUUGAUCUUCUCUUCUGCAGUUCUCUGUUGCAUCGACCCCCUUACUACGUUUAGCUCCUAUUACACGGGACGGGUUUAGGUCUAACGGCACUCUCCAAACCCAAAAGUUUUGAAACAUGCAAUGCACACAUGAUGCAACGAUUCCUACGUACUUUCAGACUCAUAUACACACUCGUAGAAAAAUUGGUGGCAUCGUAAUCUCUCCCUAAAUAAUAGACUACCGAAUACUAGCGACACACAGCAAACAGUUAGCAUCUGCAAAAUAAACAACCAGUUAACACUACUGCCACCUGUGACUCACAUUUUCUUAAUUUAAAAUAGAGUCUCAAUUUUUAAAUAGUAAUAUCUGUUGAUUAUCCCAACCUACGGCUCUGAUACCAGCUGUGGCGGAACCGCCCAACUUAAGCUGGUUUAAGUGCACUUAAUCGCUGUCGGAACAGCAAUUAUCCGAAACGCACCUAAAACAGCAUAAGUCCGGUAGUCCGUCGAGUGUCCCUAGGACUCCUCGAAGGAUCCACGACGUGUCUCAUAGCCAUACAUCAGGAUAAUAUCCGCGAUGGGAUAACAUCAACAAAUAUUACAUUUUUAAAGACAUAACAAAGGUACGAUAUAUUACAACCAUAGUUUGAAACAACUUAAUCAUGCAGGUCAGCGUGGUUCUUAAGAAUUUAAAAAUAAACAUUUAAGUUUUAUUCUAGAGUAUCAUGAGACUCAUAAGAUACCCUAGGUCGUCGGGGCUUCCUCUUCGGUGGGUCCCUGCUGGCUUUCUGAAAACAACAACAAGGGAUCCCCUGAGUACGAAGUACUCAGCAAGUCUUACCCGACUAACCAAUAUAAUAGUUUUCUUUGGAAUGUAUGUCAGCCUUUGGGUGUGCUUGGUUGACACAAUUUUUGCCGAAAAGCUUACUACGAGUGAGGCCUUAGUUUUAUCUUUUAUUUUAGUUAAGUCAUUACCUAACCAUUCUAGAUGAUAACAGAAGUAAAAGCAACCACAGCUGUUAAGUCAUACAUUACUUGACAACAGGAGAUUUUAUAUUGCAUGAGUUGAUACUACGAUGCUCAACAGUGAUCAAGUGCAUUCAUAACCGAGAAUUGCGGCGAUCCGGAUCUAAUUACAUCCUGCAGGAGAGUACCCCGAUCACCAGCAUUAUACGACUGUUCCGGUCGUAUCUCACAACCUCUCGAUUAGCAAAGUCAAUGAUUAGGAAUACAACUACCCGGACCCAAGGAUGCACCCCCACAUGGGACCCCACGUCUGGCCUGAUCUCCAUGUGAGUUUCAGGCUACACCCCUGCCAAUCUCCAGCACGUCAAAUGCGGGUACGAAGCAUUCCUGAUCAUAGAAUUUACUAAUCUACUGGGCUUUACUGGUCCCAUACCCAGUAAGUGAUCAGAUGUUAUCACUUGAUCAGCGGUUAAGACACGAAUCGGGCCUUAACCAGAUUAAUCUAGCAGAUAGAACUACAUCUCUAGCUUCUGUCCGUAUUCAUAUUCCAGACUAUCCUUCAUAAGCAACAUGUAUGACUUAAGAGUUUUCCUUAAGGUUGGUAAACCAAUCACGUAAGCAAGUAAGCAAUUCUAGACUUGGGUAGUUUCUAGGAUUUGAACAAGUGGCAAAGAUGUCCUUAAAUCAAGGCAUGAUCAUACACAAGAAUAGGUUUCAUCCAACUCCUAGACUUAGUGCAUACAAUAAACAAAUAACCUAUAACUAGUCACAUGAAAUGACGACUCUAAAAAUAGAUAGGUAUAAAUGCACCGGGGCUUGCCUGGGAUCAACAAGGUUAGUUCUUCGGAAAACUUGUUUACUGAAAGAGGCACUCCACACUUCGCGAAUGCUGUCCAUCUCCGGCUGAAUUCCAUGAAUUUCCCACUUCAGGAGUUGUGACGUCUACGAUCCAGUAUAUGCAAGAGUUAGAGAUGCAAAUUUUUGAAUACAAGACUAUACAACUUUCCUUCAUGAUAAAGUUGCAAGCCAACAAGGACUAUACAAUUUAUCAUGAUAAAGUUGCAAGCCAACACACAAAAGCCCUAAAGAUUAGCCCACCAUUUUUAUUUCUUUUACUAAACCUACCUUAGACCUCUUCUUUUAAUUUUUAAAAGCAUUAUACUAAUUUUCUAAUCUCAAAAACCUAAUUCCUAUGAAUUAAUAAUAAUUUGUGGAUAAUAAAGCAUUUUCAAGUUUUAUAUAUUUAAUAAAGUUUAAGCAUUUAUUUAAAUACCUUACACAAAAAGGCAUUAAAUAAAUACCUAAAUUUUUAUUAUUUUUCCUAGGGUUUAAGAAUUUUAAUGCAUAAAGGAAAAUAAAACAAUCCUAAUAAAAUUGGUUUCACUAAUUUUGGACACUUUUAGAAUUUCCUGGGAAUUAAAUGGUGAAAGCAGCAUUUAAUCUAUUAAUCUAACAAAGAAAACCUAAGGUUUAAUUAAAACCUCCGGCCCAAACUUUUCUCACCCAACUUGCUUCUACCCACUAUCACUUCCACCUAGGGCCCAUCUGGUUUCCUAUUCUCCUUCUUCUUUUCUUCCUUGACAAGUGGGGCCCACGGCCGAAACCUUCCCUUGGGCCGAAAAGUGGCCCGCCAACUUUUAACCCGUGACGCGUGGGCCUCUAUUCGGCAGCCUCCUCUUUGGGCCGGCUCCCCCUUCUCCUCUCUUUCUCAGUCCCGGCCGGCCCAUCUCUUCUUUUUCUUUUUCUAUCUCCGACAAUCGGCCUGCUUAAUCCGGCCCACGGCCUUUCUUUCCUCCGCCGGCCCCCUUCUUCUUUUCCACUUCACCUGGGCUGCACGGCCCACUUUCCUUUCAGGCCAAAAGUUAACCCACCGGCUCUCCCUUCUUCCUUUACCCGCACGGGCUAACUGGGCUGUCGCCUCCCCUUGGCCCAAGACGGCGUUGGCCCUCUUUUCUUUUUCUCCUACUCCCACCUGGGCCUCCUCCACCGGGACUUGGCCUCCCGGCCCAAGUUCACCGACGGCCUGCUUCCCUUCUCUUAUUACGUUGCGCAGCUAGCUGGGCCGGUACCCUUCCUUUGGCCCAAGACGGAUGGCCGGCUCUUAUCUCCCUUGCGCCCCCCCCCUCUUUUCCUUGUGGCUGGCAUGUGGGCCUCCUUUGUCAGGGGCAUCUUCCUCCCCUGGCCAAGAACAGAGGCGCGCCGGACCGGUGGGGGCUCGCCGGCCGGCGGCUCGCCGGCGACGGGGUCGGGCCGGGAAGGGACCCCCAGGCCGCGACACACCCGUGGGCGGCGGCGGCGCUCCGGGAGGUGGCCGGAGAUGGCCCCUCCACGGCGGCGGCGGCUCGGCCGGCCGUUGGCCAUGGCGGCGUAUGUUGGCGGCGCAAACGGCUUCCACAACUCACCCUACGGCUUCCACACUCUUGCAGGACGCCCCUAGGCCCGUUAAUUGAGAAGAAACAGCCGGUUUAGCAGCUUACCUCGCGGAUUGGGUGACGGCGGCCAGCGGACCGGUAUGGCGGCGACUCGGAGCUCAACAGUGAGAAGCUGGGCAACGGAGCAGCGUGGGGCGUUGAGGAGGAGCUUGCGGAACCUCGGGUGGGUGGAAUCGCAAGGAGAAGCGGCGGCGUGGGUGAAUCGGUCGGCGGCGACACUGAUUUGCUUGAACUCGGUUCUCACGGCAGAAGAGCAAAACGGCAGAGGAUUAACUGGAUGAGGGCGAGGAGGUAGCAAUACGAACUUUCACCGUGCAUGCGUGCCACCUCGACAACCUGAACGAGCGCGGACGUGGCCGUGUGCUGGCCGGUGCUUCAGAAUGCCGGCGGCGGCACGACUCUUCUGUCGCCUCUGUUAUGCUGUUCUGCUUUCUUUUCUCUUCUCAAUCUACAUGUUCAGGCCGCAAAAUUGGCAAAUCCGAACCCAAUCUCUCGAACAUUCCUUAAGCAAUCUUGUAGAUUAAUCCGAGCACUUCAAUUGAUAGAUGGGCCUCUACCCGAGAUGAGCACCCUAACAUCUAGAUUUUUGGAGCUCCAAGUUCGGCCAGGGCCUUCUGUAACUGAACCCUGUCGAUUCAGUUUCGACAGUCUUCAAAAUGUGGUCAUUUACCCUUCUUUAGCACCAAUUUGAGUAGCUCAAUUGUAUUCCAUAUAGGCCAACCACUCCCUAUUUGUGUUCUACAACUAAUAAGGAUUCCAUUUUGCACCAGAAACCAUAUAGCCUUUGCACUGGAUUUUCCUGAAAAUUGCUCCAAACAUUGCUAGUUAACACUGUCUCAGACUUAGAAUUUACGCAGCUCGAGAGUUGGCCGAAAUAGCUAGAGUGCUGACUUUGAGUUCUGAUUUAAAUUUGAUUCUUUCGCUAUCUCUGAGCAACAACACUUUAUUAAACAUGUCCAAGGAUCAUAUUUCACCGCUGUCUAGUUGCCUUUGCUCACUUACUUGAAAAAUUGGGCAGAAUUCGGUUUCAAACAUAGAUACUCGUCAUGUUUUCCAGACCUAGACUUAAUUCGGCAAGGAGCUCGAAAUCUGCUCAAUUGCUGACUUUUGGCUCCAAUUUGAAUUCAAACCUUCCACUUUCUCUGGACAACAACUAUUCAUUUACUUUCUCCAUAGUCUAUAUUACACUAAUGUCCAAAAACAUCUGCUCACUUUUAAGGAAAUUUCUCCAGAAAUUGGUCCUAAAGUCAGGUACUCAAUACCAUUUUCAGACUUAACCAAAAAUUCAGCAAAGCUGCCGAUUGUGACAAAGUGCCAACUUUAGGCCUCCAUUUGAAAUGGUUCCCUCUGCUAUUCCUGAUCAACAACACCCAAAUUUUGGAGUCCCAAGUUCAUACUUCAACAUGGUAUAGUUGUCCUGAUUUACUUAUUUGAGAAAUUCAUCAGAAUUCAAUUCCCAAAAUGGACUCUGGACUGUUUUUCUGAUUUCUUGUUUUCGGACGGUGAAUAGUAAACGUAGCUUUUCAUUUCCUUCUCCGAUUUCUUUUGAGCGUUUAGGAUCAAAUAUUACUCCAAAUUUUUGACCCUUAAGUUCUAAUCAUCUUUACACUCCCACUCUAUAUUUUCGCCGAAUUUUUCUGAAUUUCAAAUUCAAAAUUCAAAUUUCAGCCAAAUUUGACCCGAAUUUGAUUUUCGGUCAAUUCCUUUUUCUUUUCUUCUUGAAUCGCUUUCAAUUCUUCAAAGUCACUUUGAUGACUAAAAAUGGCGGGUGUUACACCCCCGGUUUUGAGGCCCAAACUGGGAAACCUGCCAGCGCGGUGGUUUUGAGGCCCAAACCAUCCAAACUGUCCAUCUUCGCUUGGACACCACGCGACCUCCUCGAUGUCGACGCAUGUCCGAUCUCUGCGAAGCCUUUAAUGCUUCCAAGUCAUCUGCUCCCGACUCCUGGGCUGCCUACUUGACUUGCCUCCGUCCUGCUUGACUCAACCGAUGCUGUCUCCAUCACCGUCAUGUUGUCUUGAUGUUCCGUGCACCAUGUGGACCACCCAUGACUCCGCCUGGACUCCUCAGGUCCAUCAGUCCGAGCCUACUCACGUUCAUCCUUCACCACCCUUGGUCCAUCGGCAUGAACCUUUCGCUUGACCUUCACCACAUGCCAUUGGCCAUCACAUGGAAUCCUACACCUGCAAAUCACAAGCCAAGAAUAACAUCAAACCAACACAACAUUUUCAGUCACUCAUCAUCCAAGGAUGACCACCAUUGGUCCUCACUUGUCAAAAGUUCAUUGGUCAUGAUCGGGGCAUAAGUACGGAGCCUCUUCUUUGGCUCGCAUGAUACUUGGGUCAACUUUGACAGUGAAUGGAGGCAUGCCACCAAACUUAUCAUAAUCAUCUGACUGGUCUAUUUUGUCCUCGACUCCCACGAUUUUUCUUUUACCUAGAAGAACUAUGUGGCACUUUGGCUCCCAUGGCUCUUCUGAAUUUUUCUUGGGUUUGCUAGACAUAUCCUUCACAUAGAAAACCUGAUGCACAUCAUUGGCAAAAAUGAAUGAUUCAUCAUUGUAGGUUAGGUCCACUAUCAGGAUUUCGUACUGAUCUUUCGUUAUGCCACCUCCAGUUAGCUUCACCCAUUGGCAACAAAACAGAGGGAUGUUCAACGGUCCGUAUUCGAGUUCCCAGAUCUCCUCUAUGAAACCAUAAUAUGAGUCCUUGCUCCUGUUGUUGUCUAUGGCAUCUAUGCAGACACUAGUAUUCUGGUUGGUGCUUUUCUGGUCUUGAGCUCUUGUGUAAAAUGUAUAACCAUUUAUCUCGUAACCUUGGAAUUUCACAAUUGUGCUAGAAGGUCCCCUAGCUAACCAAGCGAGUUGUUCGGAGUUACCCUUAAGGUGUUGAAGCAACCAAGAGGAAAAAAUAUCCAUGUGAUGACGUAUAAUCUAGGCACCAGAUUUUGUCAAGUAUUGGGAAAAUAGAAUCUGCUUUUGUUCCUUGAUAUAUGGAGCCACAAAGGAUGAUUAUUGUAGAACAGUGAAGUGUGCUUUGUCGAAAAAAUCAGUACCAUUGCUCAAACUUGAUUUCCUUCCAAGGGUCCCCGUUCCCUGUAGACUCCCCUCGUGGUAUGAUGUUGGAACCCCAAUCAAAUUAAUUGAGUCAAUAAAAUCAACACAAAACUUAAUGACCUCCUCUGUUUGAUAUCCCUUGGCGAUGCUUCCUUCUAGAUGGGCACGAUUAUGAACAUAGUUUUUUAGGACUAACAUGAACCCCUCGAAAGGCCACAUAUUGUGCAGGAAUACUAGACCAAGAAUAGUAAUAUCUUUGACUAGGUGAACCAGGAGGUGUGUUGUAAUAUUGAAGAAGGAUGAUGGAAAUAUCAACUUAAAGCUGAUAAGACAUUGUACCACAUCAUUCUGUAGCUUUACUAGCUUGGUUGGAUCGAUUGCCUUCUGCGAAAUCGCAUUGAGAAACGCGCAUAGCUUUAUGAGCACCAAUUGUACAUUCUCUGGUAGAAUACCCCUCAGUGCAACCGGAAGCAACUAGGUCAUCAGCCUGUGGCAGUCAUGGGUCUUGAGAUUUAUGAACUUUUUUCUUUCAUAUUUAUUAUUCCUUUAUAUUCGAGGUGUACCCAUACCGAGCCUUGAUACUAUUCAUGCAUUCAAACAUGCUAUCCUUCUCAUCCUUGCUGAGAGUAUAACUGGUAGGACACAAGUAGUGCUAUCCAUUAUCUCUCUUUUUUGGAUGUAGGUCAUCUCGUUGCUUCAUACGUUUCAGAUCCUGUCGUGCCUCCAAUGUAUCUUUUGAGUUCCCAUAAACAUCUAUGAAGACUAGCACGUUCACCCAAAAAUUCUUCGUCAGGUGCAUCAUGUCUAUUGCGUUAUGAACCUCUAGGAUUUCUCAAUAAGAUAGCUCCCAAAAUAUAGACUUCUUCUUCCAUAUGGGUGCACGUCCGUUAUCAUUGUUCAGAACAGGUUCGCUACCAAGACCAUUUCCAAAAACUAUCCUUACAUCCUUUAUCAUCUCAAAGAUACACUUUCCAUUACAGUGUGCAGGUUUUUUAUGAUGGUCUGGCGCCCCUUUGAAAUGCAUCCUUUUCUUUCUUAACGGGUGGUUAGCAGGGAGAAAUUGAUGAUGACCCAUAUACAAGACCUUUCUACAGUGUUUCAAAUAUAUGUUAUUUGUGUCAUCUAAACAGUUAGUGCAGGCCCGAUAUCCCUUUCUUGUCUGUUGUGAAAGGUUGUAGUAUUUAGUUCUUGCAUUAAACAUGAGAUAAAUAAAUUAUUUGUCAAAGAAAAUACAAUUAUUGUUAAAUUAUAUUGACAUGAAAAAUUGUAGCAAUGACCAAAUUCUAUUUUCUUACACGUACAAUUUAUUUACCUUAAUUUUAUUGCAAUGACUAAAUAUUAAAAACACAUUUACUCUAUUUUUUUCUCAUACCUAAUAUUGAUCAAGUUCUGCUAACUGAUACGAAUCAGAUAUAACAAGCAAGCCAUCCAUCAAAUUCUAGCUCAAAAACAUGUAUAAAUAAAAAUCCUCUCCAUUCUCCCUCAUUCUAAAAAACUCAUUUUUCUCCCUCUCUAAAUCAUAAAACAAAGCAUAAUAACAAUAAAUGAAGGGAGGAUGAAGUAGCUAAUCUUCACAACACUUUGGAUGAGUGAAAUCCCCAUGGAAAUAAGGAAAAAAAUUUGGCCAGCACCUCCCCUAAUGUUGCUUGCUCGCCAUGGAGAGGAGGCAAAGUGUCUCUGGUGGAGUGGAGUGGCUCAGGCUGGGGGAGGAAGAAGAGCUCUUGGUCUGGUAAUUUUAUAGGGGAGGAGAUUUUGUCUUGGUAGGAAAUUCCAACCGGGACAAAAUACCACCCCUUUUCUCCCUAUUUGUGGUUUUGUCCUGGUUGGAAUUGCCAACCGGGACUAAACCUUUUGUUCUAAUUGGGAGGUCUUUUAUCCUGAUUGGAGUUUCCAACCCAGACAAAAGGGGGGGCGGCGUCGGUGCGAUAUUUCUGACUGUUACAACAAGGACUAAAGGGAGGGGCUUUAGUCCCCGUUGGUAUUUACAACCGGGACUAACCCCCCCCCCCCUCCCGCCUCCGGUGGCCUUCGAUGGCACAUUUUUGACCUGGGACCAAAGCCACUUUAGUGACGAGUCCAAUGUUAACCGGGACUAAAGGGGCUGGAUGUCAGGUCAGCUCUCCAGUAGUGUACUCAAGUUCAACCAAGCAACUGGGAUGCUUGCGUCACCCCACCGUCGCCCCUCCACCGACGACCGCCCCUGCUGUGCUGCCACCCAAGUGGGUCGUCGGAAGCCCGUGCAGCCCACGAUGAGGGUGGCGGCGGGGCACCUUCCCUCUUCCUCAGGUGGAUCUAAGCGGGCGCGGCCACCAAGCCGCCGAGGGGACUUGCUGGCAUGGGCGGUGUCCCACAACGACGGAGAUUGGGUGGCCACAGAUCCGACACCGUGCUGGCCAAAUCCAGUGGCUAGGCGACUGGUGCGCCCCUGUGGCGGUGGCGGUGGUGGUGAACCGCGGUGAUGAUGUCCGGGCGGCCAUGGAUCCAGCCUAGCGCUGGCCGGAUCCGGUGGCUGUGCAACCGGAGCGACCCAAGGCAGUUGCGGCGGCCACUGGCGGCGUUUCGAUGGUGCGUGAGGAGGGCGACGACCGGGGAGGGGGCAUAACGCACUGCGCGGCGCCAGCCCAGACAGACGCGAGUGGAGAGCUGGCUGCGGCAGGUGCAGCCCCGUGCAUCCCCGAGGUGGUGGAGUCAUUGGCAGUGGCCAGCUGCGUGUCCUCCUGUGUCUUCAACGGUGGCGGUGUGGUGUCACGGCUGAGGUCGUCUGCGCAAUGCGUGUUAGCGACACCAUGGAGGCACGGCAGGGACGCCUGGCAUAGGUGCAUACUUGUGGCACUGAGGUGGUGCUGCAGGCGUUGACGGGCCACCUUCUCCUCGAUUGAGGAGUUACAGAGGCAGUGACGGGAGAGGGAGGUGACUGGGCACUGGUGAACGAUCGCAUGACGACGCAUGGGCGUAAGGUGGCGAUGCCCCGAGGAGACGCUCGACGACGCUUGUGAGGACUAGGGUACAGCUGCGUGAUGCAUGAAGGCGUGGCGGCAAAUGAGCGGAGGUGGAGGUACGGUAGCGUGGUGCAUGGUGGAGUGGCGGCGACGCCACCCCGAAUGGGCUACCAUGAUCAUGGUGACAAAAGAAACGGAUCCGUGACAUGGGGUAUUGUGGCGGGCAUGGUGAGGCCCCGCAUGUGGUGUUUUUCUUCGAGGCGAUGAGAGCGAAGUGGAGCCCAACGGCAGAUGUGGCGAGGCCCCCGCAUGUUGUGUUAUCAUGGUGUCGACUGCGUGGCUACCUGCGAGAGGUCCGGAUUCGGUGGUAUCACUCUGUCAGUUGGAGUGUGGUGUUGCAGCGGCACUACAGCAGAGGGUACCACAUGACAGUGGCUUUCUCAGUGCGGUGCAGCGUGCUCUAUCGGUUCCUGUCGACGCAUGGCGACGCCUGGAGGUUUUGACAAAUAUAUGAGCGGUGGGUGCCAUGCUAAAAGCUUCGGUUGUGCUGCCGUGGCGAGUGGAGUAGUGAGGCCGCGUUGACGUCCUAUUCUUACCGGUCGGGAGUGGCGGUUGAGUCGAGUAGUUACCCGUGUUGAUGUCCUAAUCCAACCGGGCGAGUCUUUUUUGUUUUUCUUUUUUUCCUGCCUAUGGCCUCUCAGAGCUGUAGUCUUAUAUUUUUCUGCUAUAUUAAUGAAACACGCACUAUCUUGUGGGGUCGGUUGAAAAAGAAUAUACAGUUAAGCAUAAAAAGAUGAUUUCAGAAAAUGCAGAAUGCAUCAUUCAGAACAGCACAGCAAGUUCAGAAACGGUCAGUGGCAAAAAGAUUAGAACUAAUCAAAUGUAUCCUGCAUUCCCACUUCAGUUGAUCUGAAGUCGACUAGGAAUUAACCUGGCGAGUUGCACAUAAUAACUAACCGAUUCGCGGAAUUUUCAAUGCAGAAAACUCGAUUCAGAGGCAAGAAUAAAGGAAAUCGUGAGAUGAGUAUUUCUCUCGCGCUUGACUGGAUGCUUGGCUUGCUUGGGUGGCAGUGGGGGUUGCGUUGGUGAGUGGUCUCUCUCUUAAGUGAUCCGGUAAAAGUCCUUGUAAAACUAGUUAUAUAACAUAUUCAAUCCAUCCAUCCCGAGUUGCAGUUGACUUUAGUUGUAUUAAAUAUCUAUCUUUAAACAAAUUUAUACAAAAGAAUUGGCAUCCGUAACGCUAAAUUAUUUUUAAAAAAAUCACCAUGAAAUGUGUUUUAAUUAUUCAUUAAUCGGUAUUGUAGAUAUUAUUAUAUUUUUUAAUAGCACCAAAGAUGAACAAUUUAGAUGCAAAUUUGGAGAGCUACUUGAGAUUCCAUUUUGCAAUGGGUGUAUAAUUUAGACAAAUAUUAGUGGUUAAUUUGAUUUAUUUUUUAAAAUGGUAGAGAUGUCCAAUUUAAAUAUAGAUAGAGGUUACUUUAGACUAGUUUCACAAGAAGUAGCGGAUAAUUUGUAAGAAAAGAUAAAAGAUUAAAGAACUAUUAAUAUCAAUGAUUUAUAGGUUCAGAACCCGCCCGCGGUCGCCAUGAGCUCCGCCUGACCUGAACACGACAUGGUCGAGCUGGCAGAUGGUUCGCCCCGACGCAUCCUCCAUCACGUGGCACCUCGAUGUGGGGCUUGGAUCUCUAGCCUUGUGAUGUUGUGGUUGCAUCCGUGUCUCUGUCCAGUUCCUGCCCGACCUCAAGUCCUCAACAGGGGAGUAGUGUUGAUAGUAUUGAUGCACGAGUUGUUGGCUCUGCCGAUCAGGUGACUCCUAGUUGGACUCGGACUCUUACGCAUCUCGUUAUACAUAGAAGAAGGUGCCGUUGGCAAACGCCAAUCGAGGACGUCACGAUGGAUGCACACCAGCAACAGAAGAGUACACAGGCGUCGGCGAGGAAAAGAUCCAUUGUUACACCACCUUACAAUGGCCGGAGACAGCUCGCCUUCAGGAUCCGCCGGCGAGGCUUCACCUUCGAGGGCGGGCCGAGCUUGCUGAUCAUCGACCGCGACGGCAUCUGGUCCGUCGCCCACCGGCGCUACAUCCGGACGACGCGCCACCGCCGGUUCCACGGCCUGAAGGCGGAGCUCGACCCCGUCAGAGCAGGCCACGAGGCGUGGGUCCGCAGGUUCGGGCUGGACACGUGGCCGCAGUACGCCCAGGACGAGGACCUCCAGUCCCUGCGCCGGAAGCUGGCGGGCUUCUACUGGGGCGUCAUGCCGGGGGCCGAGAAGAGGAGGACGGUGAGGUUCUACCGUAGCCGGCGGCGGCGGCGGCGCGCCGCGUGCUUCGCCGCCGCGGUGGUGUGCCUGGCCGUGGCUGGUUUCGUGCUGCUGAGGCUGGUGAUGAUGGGAUUCUGCGGCGUGAGGGUGGGCCUGGUCCUGGGCUCGGGGUACCUUGUCGCGGCGUACCUGCUGGAUAGGGCGUGGCAUACGUAUGAAGUAUGAACCCUAGUCUACGAAAUAACGAAACUGUGUUCCAUUGAUAUUAUAUUGCACCUUUAAGUUUGUGAAAAUCUUGCCACAUUUCCCAUAGAUAGCUAUCACCGCCGACUUGUAAUUCGGCCCGGCGGUGAAACCAGAGUCUCGGAUCCGAAAUUUUUAUGUGAUACGGUUUUGAGACGCUAUCGUCUGGCGCGAGCCCCCUAUCCUGCCUCGCCCCCACCCCUCCCGGAAUCUCCUCCCCCUCUCCCUCCCUUCUCUUCCUCUCUCAACCUCCUCUACCCGGUCCCCCUACCCCUCCCCCUCUCUUUCGCUCUCAGCCUCCUCCGUCCGGUCUUCUCCUAUCUCCAUCACGGAUCUCUCAUGUCUCCUCCUCUCUCCCCGUCCCGGAUCUCCACGAAGGGGAUGAGGUACGGAGGCAGCCAAGGUGCAAGGCUGCUGCCCCUCAGUUGACGCUCAUUAUUGCCACCUUUUUAAUGCUAUUUAAGUGGUAUUUUAGACUAAAUCUUAUACUAACCCGCAACUUGGUACCUGAAAUAACCUCAUAUUCGCAUAUGUAUUGUGUUUUGAACCAUAUUGCAAAAUUAGAGGAAAUACGACAUAAAGUGGGGGUUUUUGUAAAAGUUGGAUUUGGAUCCAAACUUUGGAUAUUGAAAGACAAAAUCAAGAAUAUUGGACAGCAGACCCGCAGGAGCAGCUGAAUUUGCAUGGGUCAUAUCUUCCUCAUCCGAACUCUGGUUAGGGUGAAUUUGGUGAGAACAUUGCAUGGCUUGAAAAGAUCUGCAACUUUCGUAUGGAGCACUUGGACGUUUGAGGCUUGUAGGGGGCAGGUCGAUCGGCUCAAGAGGCCUAUGUUGAUCGGCCUGGCCCUUUUCUGAGUUGGUUCGACGUGCCCUUCGUCCCAUGGCACCUCUAGCCUAUAAAUAUCUCCAUUCUUCAUCGGCAUACAUAUCCAUCCACCAGAACUUGAUGAAACCUAGGGCAUUCACCAGAGGAAUCUCUUUUGAAUCUUAAGCCAAAGCCCUGGCAGCGCCUCCUUUCUCUCUCUAAAUCUCUAAUCCAAGACAUGCAUCUCCAAAUCCAACACCGCAGCAGAGCACCACAUGUUUGAUCGAUGUUGUGGCUUCGAUAGAGAAGGAAUAAUGUAGCUGUUGGUUCCAUCGCGUUGGAACCGAGCGAUCAGCCUGCGCUAUUGAGCUGGCAGUGGCACCGGCUGACUAGCAGCAGGGCAUGCCGGCCUUCGCUCCUCCCUCAUCGCCACAGGCCCACAGCUGCAUAUGUGUUUGCUUUGCUUUAGUACAGAUACCGUUCUAGAAGAAGGUGCUGAUCAGCUGAUGCAUAUGCAUUUGCUUCAGUCGACAUGCUAUUUCACGGCAGGUCAAUAAGCAAAAUCAGUCCUCUUUAGUUGGAAUGCGCAAAGAAUGGCGUCCCCUUUGGAAUGAGAAUUUUCUCAGUUAAGCAGUGACCUAAUUACGCAGUUGCUACAAUCUAGGCAUGCACGAUUAUUUUUCCUCAUGUAAAGAUCAAAAUGAUACCGUUUUCAAUUUGUCUCGUCCCAAGACAAUUGACUAUGACUAUUUUGAGGAAACAAUUUAAGAAUUUAAGAUAAUUUAUAUGAUUGUAAUUAUAUAGAAUCUUUAUUCGUGAAGAAGAUGUUACAGGGAGUACUAUCAUCAAACCAGACUCAACCUUUCUGCUAACUCAUGCAGCAUAUAUUUUAUAUUAGAAGUGUUACAAUUUCUCUAGCUUCAAAAUUUCAUGUUUCACAUCCUUUAGAAUCCAAUCAAGUGACACUGUCCAACACUCAAAAGGGCACCCUAGCGAUGCACUGGCUAACCCAACGGUCGAAAAUUUGGUGGGGACGGUCCCCAAACCAGUCUCCAUGAGGACCAGCCUUGGAUGGCCGACGCGUGGACAUCCCAGCAAUCCGGGGCCUGCUUGCCCCUGCUCGCCCGGCUCCCAACCGCGACACGAGGACAUGGCGCUCGCCAUCGUACGCGCUAGACCCGGACGUGCUCCCGGCCUUCGUAUCGGCUGUCUCGGACGCGCACCCCCACCGACAGGACAUCGCGCACGGCGUCCCACCAGCGCAGCACCGUGGCCCCGCUCGUCCCACAAAUCAACGCCGACGCGCUCGGCCGCGUGCGCGAUCAGGGCUCAUCUGUCAGUGCCACACUCGUUGACACCACGCACUCCGGCCUGGCGGCCUGUGAGGGACGCCCUACUCAUGCAAGUCAACAUCACGCCUGAAGCCGAGCCUACACGAGCGCCUGCCAAGAGCCAGCGAACUGCAUGUUAAUUCGAUCCGAUGGAUAGGUCUGCACAGAAACAACUCUGGGGACCAUCACGAUUGAAUUUUCUUCCCAGAUAUCCUACUUAAUGAUCUUUGAUGCUGACCCUGAACGUCUAGUUCGCUUUGGGCUACCUUCCUUCUACCCGCGCACUUCUUUCUCGGUACGCUCAAAUUUCUAAGCCCUCGGAUUUGAAACAAACGGUUGAGAUCAACUUCUCUUCCUCCUUUUAUCUUCUAACUUGGACAUUCUUAUCCACUCAUCAACGUUGCCCGCACUUUCUCCUCCUUCUCCCACUCAUAAGCUGGAGUCGAAGAUGAACGUCGCGCCCUCUUCAAACACGACGGUGGGCUUAAUGAUGACUGAAGCCAUUGAGUUCGCCAGCGGAUCUUUAGCGAGAUCCCCUACCUAGCACGCCAGUUGUCAGUGUUUAGACUUGGCAACCUACUGAGGGGGUACUCGAGGUAGUGUUUUGUGCAUGGGGCUCGCCGAAUACUAGGAACUCGAAGUUGAACUCAAACACACCACUACUAGAAAAAUGAGCAUUCAUCCCGAGGCUUAGUACCGGUUGCAUUUUGGCUCAGUACUAAUGUAAGCAUUAGUAGUGGGCCUAACAGCUAGUCCCCAAGGGUCCGCCCGUGAGGCCCUUUAGUACCGCUGCACAUUUGUACUGGUUGGUGCCCCCAACCGGUACAAAUGCGCCACCCACCCAUUAGUACCGGUUCGAGGCACCAACCGCUACUAAUGUGCCACCCCCCUUUAGUACCGGGUGGGAGCACCAACCGGUAUUAAAGUUCCUCCUAUAAAUCCCCUCCUUCUUCCUUCUGCCCGAGAUAUUUCCUCUAGCUCAAGCUUCACCCUAUCCAUGGCGAAAUAGGGGGAGGUGCUGCCGGAUUUGUGACCAUUUGUAUGGGGAUUCCACUCAUUCAAGUGUUCUAAAGAUUAGAAACUUCAUCAGCCCUUGAUACAUGGUUAGUAUAGUAAGUUUUAUACUUUAGAGCUAGUAGUUUAUGAUUUUUAGAAUAAGAUAUAAUGGAGAAAUUUUUCAUUCAUAUGAAUGUGUUAUUUAUAGCUCAUAUUUCUUUUUUUAAAUAUAUGCACCAUUUUGUAUAGGAAAUUGUAGGAAAUCAUGUUAACUUAGAAAAACUUCUUGAAGUAGCUAGAAUUUAUAUAAAAUCAUGUUAAUUCUUAGAAAUGUAUAAAAUAAGUGAAAAUUACAUCAUGUUAAUUUAGCAUUUAUGUUAUAAAAUUGUAGAAAAUAAUGUUUAUUUCUCGCUAAUUCAAGAAUUUUUCUAUAUUCUCUAGCUAAUUCACCAUUUUUACUACAAUUUCUAUUUAAUUCAUAUACUGCAGAAAUAGAAAAAGAAUUAACCACAGCUCAAGCUUCACCCUAUCCAUGACGCCAUAGGGGAGGUGCUGCCAGAUUUGUAACCAUUUCUUGGGGAUUUCACUAAUUCAAGUGUUCUAAUGGUUAGAAACUUCAUCCUCCCUUGAUACAUGGUUAGUAUACUAAGUUUUACGCUUUAGAGCUAGAGUAAUUUGUGAUUUUUAGAAUAAGGUACAAUGGUGAAAAUUUUCAUUUACAUGAAUGUGUUAUUUAGAGCUCAUAUUUAUUUUUUUUAAAUAUAUGCACCAUUUUCUAUAGGAAAAUGUAGGAAAUCAUGUUAACUUAGAAACAAAUUCUUGAAGUAGCUAGAAUUUAUAUAAAAUCAUGUUAAUUCUUAGAAAUGUAUAAAAAUAAGUGAAAAUUACAUAAUGUUAAUUUAACAUUACGUUACCAACUUGUAGAAAAUAAUGUUCAUUUCUCGCUAAUUCAAGAAUUUUCUAUAUUCUCUAGCUAUUUCAACAUUUUUACUAAAAUUUCUAGUUAAUUCAUCUACUGCAGAAAUAGGAAAAGAAUUAACCAUAGCUCAAGCUUCACCCUAUCUGUGGUGCCAUAGGGGAGGUGUUGCCAGAUUUGUGACCAUUUCUUGGUUAUUUCACACAUUCAAGUGUUCUAAUAGUUAGACACUUCAUCCUCCCUUGAUACAUGGUUAGUAUACUAAGUUUUAUGUUUUAGAGCUAGAGUAAUUUGUGAUUUUUAGAAUAAGGUACAAUGGCAAAAUUUUUCAUUUAUAUGACUAUUAUUUAGAGCUCAUAUUUGUUUUUUUAAAUAUAUGCACCAUUUUGUAUAGGAAGUUGUAGGAAAUCAUGUUAACUUAGAAAAAAAAUUCUUGAAAUAGCUAGAAUUUAUAUAAAAUCAUGUCAAUUCUUAGAAACGUAUAAAAAUAAGUGAAAAUUACAUCAUGUUAAUUUAGCAAUUAUGUUAUCAAAAUGUAGAAAAUAAUGUUCAUUUCUCGCUAAUUCAAGAAUUUUUCUAUAUUCUCUAGCUAUUUCAACAUUUUUACUAAAAUUUCUAGCUAAUUCAUAUACUGUAGAAAUAGGAAAAGAAUUAACAUGAUUUCAGUUUAAUGAUAUUUUUUUCAUAUUUUUUAUGUUUCAUUUAUAACUGUAUGGAUGAUCAGAAUAUCUUUGGUUCGGUAAUAUUUUGUAGAUGGAUGGACAAUGGAUGUACAACGCAGACAAACGUUCCAUGGAGUAUAUUAGUGGCUUGCGUGAUUUUAUCGAUCAGGCAAAAUCCAACAAGCUAUGGUUCGGUUUCAUUUGUUGUCCAUGCAGAAAUUGCAUAAAUAAGAAGGAUUACUCAUCCAAAAAGACUAUUCACGCCCACAUAUACAGUUCUUGAUUCAUCCCUAACUAUUUUGUUUAUAUCAAGCACAGGAAAAGAGGAGUUAUGAUGGAUGAUGAUGAUGAAGAAGAAGAUGAAAACAUUCCUGAAUGGAUUCAAGGAAGUGCCUUUGUAGAUGCUCAAAUGGGCGAGGCAGAAGAUCCUAUCGAUGAUCUAGGUCAGGUGUUGCGAGAUUCAAAGGAAGACUGCGAGAAUGUGAACGAGUCAAAAUAGUUCGAGCAUAUGUUAGAUGAUCAUAAGAAAUUGUUGUACCCAGAUUGCAUACAAGAGCACAAAAAGUUGGGUACCACACUGGAAAUGCUGCAAUAGAUGGAAAAAAUGGAGUUUCUGACAAGGGUUUUGAUGAGUUAAUGAAAAUCAUAAAGAACAUGCUUCCCGAGGGGAACAAAUUGCCAUCCUCAACGUACGAAGCAAAAAAGGUUGUUUGCCCUUUGGGUUUGGAGGUACAAAAUAUACAUGCAUGUCCUAAUGACUGUAUCCUCUAUCGCGGUGAGGAAUACAAGAAAUUGGAGGCUUGUCCUGUGUGCAAAGCGCUGCGUUAUAAGAUCAGGCGAGAUGACCCUAGUGAUGUUCAGGGGCAUGCCACCAUGAAGAAAGUUCCUGCAAAGGUAAUGUGGUAUAUCCCUAUAGUACCACGGUUGAAGCGUUUGUUCAGAAACAAGGCACAUGCAAAGUUGAUGCGGUUGCACAAAGAAGAACGUAAGCAAGAUGAAAUGAUCAGACACCCCGUUGAUGGCUCCUAGUGGAAAACAGUUGAUAGAGAAUUUCCCGAGUUUGAAAAGGAUGCAAGGAACAUACGGUUUGGUUUAAGUACAGAUGGAUUCAAUCCAUUCGGUGAGUUCAGUAGUGGUCAUAGCACUUGGCCUGUGACCUUAUGUAUGUUCAACCUUCCGCCUUGGAUGUGCAUGAAGCGGAAGUUCAUUAUGAUAUCGAUAAUUAUCCAAGGCCCAAAAUAAACUAGCAGCAAUAUUGAUGUUUACCUAAGACCGUUGGUUGAUGAACUUAUACUAUUAUGGAAGAAAGAAGGUGUACGUGUGUGGCAUGAGGACAAAAAUGAGACUUUUAAUCUACGAGCAUUGUUGUUCAUAACCAUCAACGAUUGGCCAGCGCUUGGUAACCUAUCCGGACAAUCAAACAAGGGAUUUCGAGCCUGCACACACUGGUUAGAUGAUACUUGCAGCAUGUAUUUGAAACACUAUAGGAAGGUCGUGUAUACGGGCCAUCAUUGAUUUCUUCCUGCUAAGCACCUGUUAAGAAAGAAAUGGAAGCAUUUUGAAGGAGAGGAAAAAAUGUACUAAGCCCGUUCACCGUAAUGGUAAACGUGUAUUUUCUAUGAUAAAGGAUGUGAGGAUAGUCUUUGGCAAGGGCUCUGGAAACCAACCUGUUCCGAACGACGAGGAUGGAAAUGCACCCAUGUGGAACAAGAAGUCUAUAUUUUGGGAGCUAGCUUAUUGAGAAGUCCUUUAGGUCCGUAAUGCAAUUGAUGUGAUGCACCUGAUGAAAAAUCUUUGUGUGAAUGUGCUUGGCUUCCUGGGUGCAUAUGGAAAGGCAAAGGAUACAAUUGAAGCACGUCGGGACCUGAAACGUAUAAAACAACGAGAUGGCCUACAUCCGGAAAAGACAGAUGAUGGGUAUUACUUGCAUCCUGCCAGUUACACUCUCAGCAAGGAAGAGAAGGAAAACAUGUUUGAGUGCUUGAAUAGUACCAAGGUCCCAUCGAACUACUCCUUAAAUAUAUAGGCAUUAAUAAAUUUUAAACAAAAGAAAUUCAUAAAUCUAAAGGCUCAUGACUGCCAUGCCCUGAUGACACAAUUGCUACCUAUUGCAUUGAGGGGUAUUCUACCAGAGAAUGUGAGAAUGACAAUUGUGAAGCUAUGUGCAUUUCUCAACAUGAUUUCUCAUAAGGCAAUCCAUCCAAAAAAUCUACUAAAGCUGCAGAAUGAUGUGGUGCAAUGCCUUAUCAGCUUUGAGAUUGUCUUUCAACCUUCCUUCUUUAAUAUCAUGACCCACCUUCUAGUACACCUUGUUGAAGAGAUUUUUGUUCUCAGUCCUCUAUUUCUUAAUAAUAUGUGCCCUUUCGAGAGGUUUAUGGAAAUUCUGAAGAAGCAUGUUCGUAACCGUGCUCGUCCGAAAGGAAGCAUCACAAAAGGAUAAGGAAUAGAGGAGGUCAUUGAGUUUUGUAUUGACUUUAUUGAUGACCUGAGUUCGAUUGGAGUCCCUAUAUCACGCCAUGAGGAGAGACUGAAGGGAAAGGGCACACUAGGGAGGAAAGUUUGGAUGGACAUUGAUAAGGAUACAUUUCAUAAAGCACACUUCACGGUCCUGCAACAAUUAUCCCUGGUCACUCCAUAUAUGGAGAGCACAGGGCUAUUGUACGGUCCUCAAACAAAUGGAAGACUGAGGCGUGGAUUACACGUCAUCACAUUCACACUUUCACCUCUUGGUUGCGACGACAACUGAUGGGUGAUGAUAAAAUUGAAGAACAACUAGCAUGGUUGGCUAGGGGUCCAUCUAUCUCAGUAUCGAUAUUCCAAGGAUACAGGAUAAAUAGGUACACAUUUUACACCAGAGGCCAAGAUCAAAAGAGCACAAACCAAAAUAGUGGUAUCUAUAUAUAUGCAAUAUACAACAAUGGAAAAAAAGCUAGAUACUAUGGUGUCAUUGAGGAGAUAUGAGAACUCGACUAUGGAUCUUUGAAAAUCCCUCUGUUUUGGUGCCAAUGGGUGAAACUUACUGGAGGAGGCAUAACGACAGACAACUAUGGGAUGACACUAGUAGACCUCAACAAGAUUGGAUAUAGAGAUAAACCAUACGUCCUAGCCAUUGACGUGACUCAAGUUUUCUACAUGAAGGACAUGUCAAGCAAACCAAUAAGGAAGGGUGCUAAUAAGUCAGAUGACCAGCCAAAGCGCCACAUAGUUUUUCCAGGGAAUUGAAAAAUUGUUGGAGUUGAGGAAAAGACUGACAUUUUAGAAGAUUAUGAUCGGUUCGAUGAUCUUCCUCCAUUUUCAGUCGAGGUUGAUCCAAGCAUCCCGUUAGCCAAAGAGGACACUCCAUACUUACGCCACGAUCACAACCAAGGGAUGUUCAUCAAAAGGAGGGUUAUUAACAUCCCAUUAGAUGAUGUUGGGUAAUGUAUUUGAACCAUUAUGUUGUGUUUUUGGUUAUCAACAAAGAAAUUAAUGUAAUACCCUUAAUUAUGAAUGGUUAGAUCUUGUUUAUACUUUAUACCACUAGGUGAUGGUAUUGUGCACCGUAAAAGAGAUCCUAGUUUAUAAACAAAAGUAAAAAAGAAUAAAUGUAAGAACCUUUGUUGCCCAAGCAGGGCUGGCUUUAGUUGUAGAGUUAAAUUGUCUGGUCAAUUCGUCACUCUGCAUUUGACAUUGCUUAAGCACAUAUCUCUGCAUUUGACCUCGCUUAAAGACUUGGCUCUGUGUUUGACCUUGCUCAAGCACAUCUCUCUGCAUUUGACCUAGCUUAAAGACUUUGCUUUGCAUUUGAUCUUGCAUUUCUUAUGGACAUAGAUGGCCUUUGAUAAGUUGCCCUCUUCAAUGGACACAAGUCUUCCUUUUAGAUAAUAUACCAUCGGACCAUGAAUCUGAAAUAGGAGGAAAACAAUGCCAGUGUGAUGCAAUAGAUGUUACAUAAUGUAAACUAUAUUACCUCCUCAUUCGUUCUAAACGAAUGGCAGAAAAUGCAUUCAUCUUCGAAUAAGUUGAUUGGAGUUAGCAAUCUCUUCAAUUCAGUAGUACCUCCAAUUCGAAUAAGUUGAUUGAACAAUACUAUUUGCAAAAAUCUCACCCUAUUAAACAUGAACUGAUUUUUGCAUGGUUAAAAUAUUAAAUAUUUCAAUUUUUUUAGCACCAUUAAAUAUUAAACAAAAAAUUUACGUACCUAAACAAGUACAUGAUUAAAUCAUGAUAAACAUGUUAAUAACACUACAGGCACUAUUCUUCUAAUUUUUGCAUGGUCAAAAUAUUUAUUUUUUUGAAUUUUAAAGUUACCAUAUGUAUUAUGACCAUUAUAACCUAUUACUAAGUUAAAAUCAAUAACUUUACCAUGUUUGAUAUUUGAUCGCAUCUGACAUUUUUAUAGUGUAUAACUAAUAAACAUGAAGCUACCAAAUUGUUUUUCCAAUUUUUAUGAAUGUUAUUUGAUUUACUACGCAAUAAAUUAAUACAAUAGCAAUUGUAAAAGAAAGAAAAAUAAAAAGAUGUUUGGGUGGGAAACUAAAACAGGAGUAUGCAACCCCUUUAGUACCAGGUGGUGGGAACCCGGUACUAAAGGCCUCCCCUUUAGUACCGGGUGUUCCCACGCCUUUAGUACCGGGUGUUCCCACCACCUGGUACAAAAGGGCCUUUAGUAUCGGCUCCCCUUUUUGCCCAGUACUAAAAGGGGAGGGGGUUUAAGGCUGGCGCCCCUUCUUCUCCCUCAACACUUAGGCGCAUUUUGCACGUCCUCCUCUCGCUCGAUCCGCCACCGUCGCCUCCUCGCUUCAUCUGCUGCUGCUGUGCCCCCUCAUCGCCAUUGUUGUCUCGCCGCGUGGGCCCCUCCUCACCUCAUCGUCGCCCGACUCUGCCACCUCGGGUCCCCGCGCCCCCCGUCGCCACCCUGUCGUUGCCACCUCCACGUCACUGUCGGUGUCUUAGACCGGCAACUCGCCUAGGGGGUACCCUAUGUGGUCUUUUGUGGAGUAAGGGCCGUCGAGAAUCAAGGAGUCGAUGGUGAUGCAAGGAACACGAUUUAGACAGGUUCGGGCCGCUAGAUCGUAUAAUACCCCACGUCCUGUAAGUUGGUUGUAUUGAUCUUAGAUGUACUGGAGUUGUCCUUGAGGGGGGUCCCUGCACACCCUUAUAUACACGGGAGGGCAGGGUUACAAGUCUGAAUCCUAGUUGAGUACAAUUACAGAGUUCUACUCGGUAUGGUCCGAGUAGUUUCCAUAUACAUACUUAACUAGUCCGAGUGGGAUAAGCCUAUCCCCUUGUCUUGAUCAUGUCCGAGUACAUCCCUUAAUGGGUCAUUCAGGGCCUACUCGUAGGCCUGGGGUGCAUGCCCGACAAGCCCCCGAGUACUUUGUAGUCGUGCGCCACAGUCUCAAGUACUGUGGGCACCAUUCGAGUACUUCGUAGAGGCUGUAGUGUCCAAAGUGCUCGAGUACUAUCGCAUGGCUGGAAGGUAAUCUUCUUGUUCCUUUGAGUUGCUUCUAUUCCAAGAAUUUUAUGGUAGUGCGAUGACAAUCGCACUCCAUAUGGAGUAGCCCCCGAGCCUUAGGUUGAGUCAAAGAGUCAGGCUUAGGGUCAAUCCUGCUUCUUGGCUAUUUUACUCUGGUAAUCUAAAAAAGAAAAUUCUGAUCAUCAGGUACAAUACCCGCAGCCCCCGAGCACUUAGGCGAUUUUUUGUCGAUGAAGUGGUCAAAACCUGUUGAUAGGAGUAGCCGUUGGGUGUUAUGGUAAUAAAUCUAUUUCAAACCUGACUGUUGCGUAACUGACGCUUAGAAUCCGGAGGUGAAGGAGAUAUAACAGAAAGGUCCCCCUCCUGGUUAGGGUUACGUUUCAUUUCAGCAGAUCUAUUUUGUCCCCUUUUUCCCCGCUUUUCUGUUCCUCCUUGCGCCACCGUGAUUCUUCAGUGCCACCGCCACCAUUGUUGUUGUUCUUUGAGAGAAAUCUGAGGUUGACUUCCUUGCUGCAGCAAAGAUCAUCUGAUGUGCACCAAGAAGAUGGGGAAGAAACCCGAAAAAUCUCAAGGCGACGCUCCGGCGGCGGCUAAGGUGAGAUCCAAGAUGAAGAAGGGAAAGGAGCUGGCAUUGCCGGCGCCAAAGGUUGGUCCAACGAAUCAGACUAUGCCGCCAUCACCUGGAAUUACUUGGCAGAAUUCGGUGAUGAAGGAGGCUGCCAUUCAGGCGCUUGUUGAUGCCAAACUUCUGCAGCCAAAGGAGGUACUCGACUGGAGGACUGCCUUUGCUAACGCGUGGCAGUUCAAGAAGCAUCCGAACGAGAAAGUCAUGCUCACUCACUUUGUGGAAAGGGGAUUGGUGGUGCCUACCUCCGACUUCUUCAGAGGUAUCCUUGAGUACUCCAAGCUUCAGCUGGUUCACUUGAACCCCAAUAGUGUUCUUCAUAUAUCUAUUUUUGUACACUUGUGUGAGGUCUAUCUGGGAGUUCCUCCUAGCCUUAAGCUAUUUAGGAAACUAUUUCGUUGCAAGCCUCAGCCUAGUGCUAUUAGGAUAGAGGUUUUUGGAGGGGCCAGGUUCCAACUUAGGAACUCGGGCACCUAUCUUGAUUAUAACUUGACAGAUUCCCAUGGUGAGUGGAAAAGGAAGUGGUUUUACAUUGGGAACCAUAGUCCUUGCUUGCCGGUAGUUACUGGUCACGCCCCCAAGCAUGCGGAGAACUGGGUGAGCGAGCCUGAAGAUACCCUAGAGCUCGACCACUUGCUGACCCAGAUUGCUGAGUUGAAGGCACUGGGUUUAACUGGAAUUAAUGUGGCAGCCAGCUUUCUUAAGAGGAGAGUUCAGCCUCUGCAGAAACGGGCUCACUCGGGUGUGGAGUACUCAGGAUUUGAUGACCCGUCACGUAUGUCUACUGAGGAUAUUUCCGAUGAUGAUGUGGAGGCACUGUUGGCCAAGUUCUUCAGAAAUUAUCAAGGAGUACCCGUUAUUCCUUCAACUCUUCGCCAAUUCGAUGCUUGGUAUGGAUCAUCAAAGGUAUGUUUUUUGUCUAACCUCUUUUUUUUGAGAUGUUGGAAUAUUAUUUGUGUAACGACUUAUUCUGCAGUCCUGAGUUCUCUCCGGAUACCUGGUGUAUUCAGAGGAAGAGUCUGCCGCUGAAGUGUCAGAAGAUGAGCCUUCUCCUCCUGCGAAGAAACGCCGAGUAGUUUGCAAGAGGUCUGCUGCUAAGUCUGCCUCGACUUCGACUCCUGAGAAGUCUCAGGGUGCCAAGGUAUGUAGUCAUGUAUUCACUGGUAACUGGUAGGGUCUAUCCUAUAGCCUUUUGAUCACUUUAUUUGUCUGAAAAGGUUGACGAUGCGACUCUUGGUGACGAUGAGGCUACAUCUGAUGAGGUAGCCGCGGCUACCAAGGACGUAGGUGUUGCGUCUGUUGAAAAGGUGCCAGGGGAGGUGCCGCCAGUGGAUGCUGGAGUAGCCCCCGAGCCAACAGGCCAGACUCCGUCGGCUACCGUGUUGCCGGUCCCUAACCAGGCAGUUCUAGGUUUGCCUGCUAGGGUUUCGGAUGUUGCGAAAGGGGUAUCGCCAGUAGUUGCUACUGGCUCUUUAUUAUCCAAUGUGAUCGCUAGUGGUGAGCCUUCUCCCCGACUAUUUUUGUUAGUUUGAGUUUAUUGUAGUCUUGACCCUAUUUUUGCAGGACUUAGCGAAAAAGCUGCACCUGCAGCUGCUCCUGUGGUGCCGAGUACUCGACCGUCUGUUGCUGAGAAAAAAUGUGUGCGAUUGCCGCCACGAUCAACUCAGUGAGUUUUUUAUUCUUGGUUUGUAUCUUCAAGUCUCCUGGAAGUCAUGUGAUGACUUUGUAUUUUAAUGUAGGGAUGCAGAGGAGACUGUCCCUGUAGAGGCAUGAGUAGAGUCUUGUCCCUCGACUACUCUUUCUACUCCUUUGGAUGAUCUGUCUGUUGAUGAUGUAUCCGGAGUUGAUGCUAGUCGUCUUGGUGCCACCAUGUCCAUGCUUCAGGAAGUGAUCCGCUCGGUGGAGGAUCCUUUAGUUGCUUCAGGUUCUGGUGGUGUACCCUUGUCGACGUCUACUAGCUGUGUCCUGGUUGUGGUUGAUAAGACCAAAGAGACACCUCUGCUGGGUAUGUACUCGGGGUAGUGAUAUUGUAGUCGUUGUUUUUGUUUGACUCAUGUUCGUCACUUUUAGGUACAGCCUUGGGUACGGUUCCAGCUCCUCAUGUUGUAAAGAGUGCUCAAGGUCCGGUACUCGGGCUUCCGUCAGAGUUAGAGUUUCAGAGAGCUAUGCAAAGCUUUCAGGUAUGUUAUUUCUCUUAUCUGUCUAUUUGUUGCUAAGAGACUUGACCCUUUGCUUUUUUUUGCAGGAUCUGUACGACAGGACUCAGAGGAAUGCUUGGGCCCUUCAUGAACGGAAUGAACAAUUGGAGCGGGAGUGUGCCCGGCUUACAGAAUCUUUGAGGGUUCAUGAAGACGCUGCGAAGUCAUUCGCCAUUGAGCGGUCAGAUCAUGAGGUUUUGCAAGAGAAACUGGAGAGCCACUAUAAGUCUUUGAAUAAAAAGUAUCAAGGUGAGUACUUUUCAUUCCUUGGGUAUAUCCAACUGUAGUCGGUUUUUUGAACUUGUUUGUUUUUGUAGAUCUCAAGAGGAAAGAGGAUGAUGCGAGUAGUCAGCUCCUUGACUGGAGGAAUGCGCAUGACCGGGUAGCCGAUGAGGCUAAUCUUCUUCGGGCUGCGCUGGCUGAAGCACAGGCUGCCUGCGAGCAUCAGCGGGAUAGGAAGAACCAAAAUGGAGUGAUGCUUGCUAUGGCCAUGGUGGCCUGUAGGGAUCAUGGCCAGACCAUAGGAAGACUUCAAGGCGAGCUUCAAGAGCUAACUGAUGCCGCUUAGGACUUGGUGAAUGCCAAUGCCCCUCUUGAAGAGGACGCAAGACCACAUUCACUAGUCGAGCGCUUGAAGGCUGCUCCGGGUAAGGUGGCUGGCCUCUGCAAGGCUGUAUGUAAACAAGUCCUUGUUGUGGUCAAGUCGUAUUACCCGGGAGCAGAUUUGACGGUGGCUGGUGACGGCGUUGCUCGCAACUACACGGAGGAGGCUUAUACGCAGUACCUCGAGUAGGCUAAACCAAUUGCAUCGAAGAUGUCUGAUUUUAUAUCUUUGGAGGAGCCUUAGGCCUUGUGUACUUUUGUAGGCUUCCAAGUACUUGGAACAAUAUUUUGUUUGAAAAAUGAACACUUGUCCAUCCUUUGUUAUUUGGAGCGGUUUCGAGUGCUGAGUUUGAGUAGUCACGCUGUUGUCGAGUACUCUGCUUGUUAUUCUUUGAUGGGGGGUGCACAGGUGUACUGUACUCUUUUGUCCUUUGUAGCGUGAAUGCUUUCAUGUGGGCAUAGUCAGAGGUCAUCCAGACUCGUCGAUCACGGGCGAAUAGUAACUCCUGGGUGGUUGGUGGUUGCAUCGCUUGGCUAUAAAUAGACCGCCAUGGAGGUCGACCCGAAUCAGGCUUUGAGUAGCGAUGGAUUGCCUUCGGUUGCUGUUGUUUGAGUGUAGAGAGCCUUCAAAGAGUACACCGGUGCUAGAAGAUUCCUCGUAGAUUGGAGCCACCUUCCCUCCAUAGACUCUAGCACUUGUAGGGAUAGCCACGAUACUAGAAGAAUCCUCGUAGGAGGGUGCAUCGCGUGCCUCAUCUUGCAGCUCGUGAUCUAGCCAGGUACGCGCUGGAACUCGCGAGUGAUGGGUGAUGAGUGCCACGGUCUUUAUCCCGCUCUCUUAGAGGUGGAGGUAUGGCCACAGUGUGGGAUGGUUCGACAAGGCUAGCAAAAGAGCAGCCUUGUUACCUUCUUUGCGCAACACGCGGGAUUCAUCAUUGCCGCUGUCGAGGUAGCAGUGAUGCAGAAGUUCCUGGUGCUGCCUUGGGUAGAGGACCUAGAUAUGGCUGCAUUUUGCGCAGCUUCCUUACGUGUGGGCCCUUCCCAUUGUAGUCGGCAGACCUUAGUGGCCUUGUGAUAUUGUAAAAGCCUAAGGCUUAAAUGCAGCCCGCCAAUAGGCAAUUGCUUGUAGUCCAUUUGUAUUGUAUUUCGAGUACCCUUACUCAUAUGUAACUUUUGAUUUGUCCUCGGACUUGAGUAAAAAAUUGUUCUGCCUUUAAGACUUUGUGCCAAAGCUGGGAUGCCUAUUUUUGUAGUCUUGUGUCGAGAGUAGUAUAUUUUGUAGUCGGUAGUCGAGCUGUUGGCUCAAGUAGUUGAAAUGAGUUUCUGCUUGAAGCAAUAACUCAAGUUCUUUUGUCUACUACGGGUAGUAGCGACAGAGAUAUUCUAUAUUCCAAGAGUUUGGUACUUGUUCUCCUGAAAGUUCUUGUAGUAUGUAAGAUCCGGGCCCUAUAACCUUGGAUACAAUGUAAGGACCUUCCCAUGGUGAAUUGAGUUUAUGCAAUCCAAUCGUGUCUUGGAUUCAUUUGAGGACCAUGUCGCCUAAGUUGAAAGAUCGUUCCUUGACAUUGCGGUCGUGGUAUCAUCUUAACCCGUCAAGGUAUCUGGUUGAUUGGACUAAUGUUGCGCAUCUUGUUUCUUCUAGGCUAUCCGAAUUCGUGCAUCUUGUUUCCUCUGCCAUUUCUUCGUCAUAUUGUUCUACUGAAGGAGAUUGCCACAUGAUGUCCGCAGGUAGUAUAGCUUCUGAGCCAUAUACUAGAAAAUAGGGAGAGAGCCCAGUAGUCUUGCAAGGUUGGGUUCGUAGUCCCCACAGAGCAUUAGGUAGUUCCUUAAGCCAUUUGCCUCCUUUUGUAUUGCCAACGUCGUGUAGUCUUUUCUUGAGAGCUUCGACUAUCAUUCCGUUAGCACGCUCGACUUGUCCAUUUGCUCGUAGGUGAGUGACUGAGACGUAGCGGACAUCAACUCCACUAUUCUCGCAGUACUCCCAUAAGUCAUGAUUGUUGAAGUUGGACCCUAGGUCUAUGAUGAUUCUGUUUGGAAAGUAGUAACGGUGUACGAUUUCAUCCAAGAAGUCGAGGACUCGGUCUGCCUUGGGGCAAGUGACUGGUUUGACCUCGAUCCACUUGGUGAAUUUGUCGAUGGCCACGAGUACUCGGUUGAAUCCUCCUAAUGUAGUUGGUAAUGGCCCUAUCAUGUCUAGCCCCCAGCAAGCAAAAGGCCAUGUUGGAGGUAUUGUGACUAGCUUGUAGGCAGGGACAUGUUGCUGUUUGGUGAAGAAUUGACAGCCUUUGCAUUUUCGAACUAACUGUUUCGUGUCGGCCAAAGCCAUCGGCCAGUAGAAACCUGCUCGAAAAGCCUUGCCUACUAUUGUUCGUGAGGAUGCAUGGUUGCCACAGAUCCCCUUGUGAAUUUCUUCUAGGAUUUCUUGGCCAUCUUCAUGGGUAACACACUUCAUGAGUACCCCUGAUGAUGCACUUUUUCUAUAGAGCUUGUCUCCGACUAGAACGUAGUUUUUUCCUCGUCGGAAGGUAAUUUGUGGUCCUUGAUGUAGUCGAUAAAGGGUGUCCUCUAGUCAAUUUUUAUCAUCAUGAUUUCUCGAGUGACUUCUGUAGUAUGGACUACCGGUGGUGUCACUUGUUCUGGUAUGGACGGCUUGUGGAGUUCGUGGACAAAAAUUCCUACUGGAACUUCUGCACGAGUUGAGCCCAUUUUUGAUAGUACGUCGGCGGCUACGUUGUUGUCGCGGACGAUAUGGUGAAAUUCCAAGCCUGAGAACUUGUUUUCUAGUCUGCAGGACUUUUUUGCAGUAAGCGUCCAUGUUAUCCUUGUUUCGAUCCCAUUCGUCAUUGACUGGGUUUAUAACUACUAGUGAGUCGUCGUAUACCAGUAGUCUUUUGAUGCUGAGGGAAUUUACAAGGCGAAGGCCGUGUAGCAGUGCUUCGUACUCGGCUUUGUUGUUUGAGACUUCCUAGAAGAUUUGCAGUACGUAUUUGAGUUGGUCUCCCUUUGGGGAGAUGAGGAGUACGCCUGCACCGGCCCCUUCGAGUUUGAGGGAUCCAUCGAAAUACAUUACCCAGUGCUCUAGCCUCGACUGGUGUUGGUACCUGAUUUUUAGUCCAUUCAGCCACGAAGUUGACCAAAGCCAGGAAUUUGAUAGCUGUCUUUGGUUUGAAGUCCAAGGUUAGAGCUCCGAGUUCAACUGCCCAUUUGGAGAUUCUACCCGUGGCAUCUCUAUUGUGGAGAAUUUCGCCGAGCGAGAAGUCAGUGAUGACUGUGAUGCUGUGUUCUUGGAAAUAAUGGCGCAGCUUUCGUGAAGUAAGUAGGAUUGAGUAUAGGAGUUUUUGUAUCGGCGAGUACCGAGUUUUGGAGUCCGAGAGUACUUCACUGACGAAGUACACAGGUCGUUGGACUUUGUAAACAUGUCCUAGCUCAAACCGUUCAACUACUAUUGCCGUGCUGAUGACAUGAGUAGUAGCUGCUAUGUAUAGGAGCAAGUCCUCGUUUGGAGAUGGAGCAGUGAGGAUUGGAGGCUUUGACAGAAAGUCUUUGAGUUGUGUUAAUGCCUUUUCUGCCUCUUCUGUCCAUUUAAACUUGUCCUAUCAUUUGAGAAGCUUGAAGAAGGGUAGUCCUCGUUCUCCAAGUCUCGAGAUAAACCGAUUGAGGGCUGCCAUGCAGCCUGUGAGUUUCUGCAUAUCCUUGAUGCUAGCUGGUGCGUGCAUGUUUGUGAUGGAAGAUAUUUUCUCUGGGUUGGCCUCAAUGCCGUGAUGGCUAAUGAUGAACCCGAGUAGUUUGCCAGAAGGUCCUCCGAAAAUGCAUUUGGUAGGAUUGAGUUUCCAUCGGAAAGCUCAUAAACUUGAGAAGGUUUCCUCCAAAUCGGCGAUAAGUUCCUCUUGGUUUCUUGUUUUGACGACUACGUCAUCCACGUAAGCUUCAACAUUAUGAUGUAAUUGUUUUUCGAAGCACAGCUGUAUAGCUCGUUGAUAAGUUGCCCCUGCGUUUUUAAGUCCAAAUGACAUUGUUUUGUAGAAAAAAGCCCCAAAUGGUGUGAUGAAGGCUGUUUUAGCUUGAUCUUCUUCUUUGAGGUUUAUCUAAUGAUAGCCUGAGUAACAGUCGAGAAAGCAUAGUAGAUCGCACCUAGCAGUAGAGAGGACUACUUGGUCGAUCCUUGGUAAUCCAAAAGGGUCUUUUGGACAGUGUUUGUUGAGAUCCGUGUAAUCGACGCACAUUCUUCAUUCAUUGUUUUUCUUGCGAACGAGUACAGGAUUGGCUAGCCAGUCAAGGUGAAAGACUUCUUUGAUGAACCCUGUCGCAAGUAGCUUGGCUAGUUCUUUUUUGAUUGCUUCUCAUCUGUCUUGGGCGAACCUGCGGAGUCGCUGUCAUUUUGCAGUAGCUUUGGGAUCAACAUUGAGAGAGUGCUCAAUCAGUUCCUUGGGCACACCGGGCAUGUCAGCUAGUUUCCAAGCAAAGAUAUCAUGGUUAGCCCGAAGGAAACUGAUGAGCGCAGUUUCCUAUUUAGGAUCUAGCCCUAUUCCGAUCAGAGCUGUCUUGGACGAGUCGCCUGUCUGGAGAUCUACUGGUUUGAAGUCUCUCUCGCUUGCCGGUUUCACCUCUGUGGACCCAAACUUGUUUUCUGGAAUCUUGAGUUCGGUUGGGUGAAGUUUCUUUGAUGCUGUGAAGACUUGUUGCAUAGGGCUAGGUGCUUGAGAAGUUGUAGCAAUCUCCACAGCUUCGGUGUCACACUCGUAAGAUCGUCGUAGAUCUCCUCAUAGCAUUAGUUCUCCCUGAGGCCUUGGCAUUUUGAGUACCAAGUAAACAUAAUGCAGUAUGGCCAUGAACAUGGCUAGUGCUGGCCUUCCGAGUAUGGCGUGGUAAGAUGUUGUGGCGGAACCGCCCAACUUAAGCUGGCUUAAGUGCGCCUAAUUGCUGUCGGAACAGCAAUUAUCCGAAACGCACCUAAAACAGCAUAAGUCCGGUAGUCUGUCGAGUGUCCCUAGGACUCCUCGAAGGAUCCACGACGUGUCUCAUAGCCAUACAUCAGGAUAAUAUCCGCGAUGGGAUAAUAUCAACAAAUAUUACAUUUUUAAAGACAUAACAAAGGUACGAUAUAUUACAACCAUAGAUUGAAGGAAACUAAACAGUGCAGGUUAGCGUGGUUCUUAAGAAUUUAAAACAAAACCAGUCUGGAAGAAAGAUAAACAUCUAAGUUUUAUUCUAGGGUAUCAUGAGACUCAUAAGAUCCCCUAGAUCUUCGGAGCUUCCUCUUCGGUGGGUCCCUGCUGGUUUUCUGAAAAUAACAACAAGGGAUCCCCUGAGUACGAAGUACUCAGCAAGUCUUACCCGACUAACCAAUAUAAUAGCUUUCUUUGGAAGUGUAUGCUUAGCUUUUUGGUGUACUUGGCUAAUGCAAUUUUUGCCGAAAAGCUUACUACAAGUGAUGCCUUAGUUUUAUCUUUUAUUUGGGUUAAGUCAUUACCUAACCAUUCUAGAUUAUGAGAAAAGAGUAAAUAUAGCAAUAAGGUAUUUAAGCCAUACAUCACUCAUUUAUCAGAAAGGUAUAUCAUUCAUGAAUUUACACUACGAUGCUCAAAAGUGAUCAAGUGCAUUCAUAACCGAGAAUUGCGGCGAUCCGGAUCCAUUUACAUCCUGCAGGAGAGUACCCUGAUCACCAGCUAUAUACGACUGUACAGGUCGUACGUAACAACUUUUCGAUCAGCAAAUCCAAUGAUUGGGAAUAAGACUACCCGGACCCAGGGACGCACCCCCACAUGGGACCCCACGUCUGGCCCGAUCACCAUGUGAGUUUCAGGCUACGCCCCUGCCAAUCUCCAGCACGUCAAGCGCGGGUACGAAGUAUUCCCGAUCGGAGAGUUUACUAACCUACUGGGCUUUACUGGUCCCAUACCCAGUAAGUGAUCAGAUGCUUAUCACUUGAUCAAAGGUUAAGACAACGAAUCGGGCCUUAAUCAAAUUAAUCUAGCAGACAGACUUACAUCUCUAGCUUCUGUCCGCUUUUCAAUUCCAAGUUAACCUUCCAUAUAUCACAUGUAUGACUCAAAGUUUUCCUUAAGGUUGGUAAACCAAGCAUUUAAGCAACUAAGCAUUUCUAGACUUGGGUUAUCUUCUAAGGUUUGAACAAGUAGCAAAGAUGUCCUUAAAGCAAGGUAUGAUCAUACACAAGAAUAGGUUUCAGGCAACUCCUAGACUUAGUGCAUACAUAUAUCAAAUAACCGAUAAUUGGACACAUGAAAUAAUAACUCCAAAAUAGAUAGGUAUAAAUGCACCGGGGCUUGCCUGGGAUCAACAAGGUUAGUUCUUUGGAAAACUUCUUUAUUAAAAGAGGCACUCCACAUUUCGCGAAUGAUGUCCAUCUCCAGCUGAAAUCCAUGAAUUCCACUUCAGGAGUUGUGACGUCUACGAUUCAGUAUAUGCAAGAGUUAGAGAUGCAAACUUUUGAAUACAAGACUAUACAACCUUCCUUCAUGAUAAAGUUGCAAGCCAACAAGGACUAUACAAUUUAUCAUGAUAAAGUUGCAAGCCAACACACAAAAACCCGAAAAGAUUAGCCCACAAAUUUUAUUUCCUUUACUAAACCUACCUUAGACCUUUUCUUUUAUUUUUAAAAGCAUUAUAAUAAUUUUCUAGUCUCAAAACUUAUUUCCUAUGAAUUAAUAAUGAUUUGUGGAUAAUAAAGCAUUUUUCAAGUUUUAUACAUUUAAUAAAGUUUAAGCAUUUAUUUAAAUACCUUAAAUAAAAAGGCAUUAAAUAAAUACCUAAAUUUUUAUUAUUUUUCCUAGGGUUUAAGAAUUUUAAUGCAUAAAGGAAAAUAAAACAAUCCUAAUAAAAUUGGUUUCACUAAUUUUGGGCACUUCUAGAAUUUCCUGUGAAUUAAAUGGUGAAAAUCGUAUUUAAUCUAUUUAUCUAAUAAAAGAAAACCUAAGGUUUAUUCAAAAACCCCCGGCCCAAACUUUUCUCACUCAGCUUGCUUCUACCCACCAUCCCUUCCACCUAGGGCCCAUCCGGCCUCCUAUUCUCCUUCCUCUUUUCUUCACUGACAAGUGGGGCCCACGGCCGAAACCUUCCCUUGGGCCGAAAGGUGGCCCGUUAACUUAACCUUCCACGCGUGGCCUUUUUGCGGCAGCCUUCUCUUUGGGCCGGCUCCCCCUUCUCUUCUCUUUCUCAACCCCGGCCGGCCCAUCUCUUCUUUUUCUUUUUCUUUCUUCGACAAUCGGCCUGCUCAAUCCGGCCCACGGCUUUCUUUUUCCUCUGUCGGCCCAUCUUCCCUUUCUUCUUUACACCGCGCGGGCUAGCUAGGCCGUCGCCUCCCCUUGGCCCAAGACGGCGCUGGCCUUCUCCUUCUCUCCCGCUCCACCUGGGCCUCUCCUACCGCGACUCGGCAUCCCGGCCCAAGUACACUGACCGGCCUGCUUCCUCCCCCUUUCUCCUCACACCUCCCUGGCGCAUGGCUUCUUCCUCCCUGCGCCAAAAUAGGGGCGCCAACCGCAGGGGGCGGGGCUCGCCGGCGGCGCCUCCCCGGCGGCGCGGCCGGGCUGGGGGCACCUCCAAGCCGAGGCUCCCCCCACAGGUGGCGGCGGCCCUCCUGGAGGUGGCCUGUGCCGGGCUCCCCACGAGCGGCGGCACCAAUUUCAGUAGCCCAAAUGUAUUCCAUAUAGGCCAACCACUACCCAUUCGUGCUCUACAACCAGCAAGGAUUCCAUUUUGCAUAAGAAACUGUAUAACCUUUGCACUGGAUUUUCCUGAAAUUCGCUCCAAACAUUGCUAGUUAACACUGUUUUCAGACUUAGAAUUUAUGUAGCUCAAGAGUUGGCCGAAAUAGUUAGAGUGCUGACUUUGAGCUUUGAUUUAAAUUUGAUUCUUUCGCUAUAACCUUAUUAAACAUGUCCAAGGAUCAUACUUCACCGCUGUCUAGUUGCCUUUGCUCACUUACUUGAAAAAUUUGGCAGAAUUCGGUUUCAAAAAUAGAUACUCAUCAUGUUUUCCAGACUUAGAGUUAUUUCAGCAAGGAGCUCGAAAUCUGCUCAUUUGCUGACUUUUGGCUCCAAUUUGAAGUCAAAUCUUCCACUUUCUCUGGACAACAACAAUUCAUUUACCUUCUCCAUAGUCUAUAUUUCACUAAUGUCCAAAAAAAUCUGCUCACUUUUAAGGAAAUUUCUCCAGAAAUUGGUUCUAAAGUCAUGUACUCAAUACCAUUUUCAGACUUAACCAAAUUCCAGCAAAGCCGCCUAUUGUGACAAAGUGCAAACUUUAGGCUUCCAUUUGAAAUAGUUCCCUCUGCUAUCCCUGAUCAACAACACCCAAAUUUAGGAGUCCAAAGUUCAUACUUCAACAUGGUAUAGUUGUCCUGAUUUACUUGUUUGAGAAAUUCAUCAGAAUUCAAUUUCCAAAAUGAACUCUGAGGCUGUUUUUCUGAUUUCUUGUUUUCGGACGGUGAACAGUAAAUGUAGUUUUUCAUUUCCUUCUCUGAUUUCUUUUGAGUGUUUAGGAUCAAAUAUUAUUCCAAAUUGUUGACCCUUAAGUUCAAAUCAUCUUUACACUGCUAUUCUAUAUUUUUGCCGAAUUUUUCUGAAUUUCAAAUUCAAAAUUCAAAUUUCGGCCAAAUUUGACCCGAAUUUGAUUUUCAGUCAAUUUCUUUUUCCUUUCUUCUCGAAUUGCUUUCAAUUCUUCAAAGUCACUUUGAUGACUAAAAAUGGCGGGUGUUACAGAUGUCUCAAAGUCGGCGACUUCAAAUCUGAUGUACUCGGUGCGGUAGUGUUCCUUAGUUCCAAAGGCAACUAGCAGGAUGACUUGUCCUAACGGUAUAGCUGCAUUUCCUCGUACGAUUCCGUAGAAAGGUGAAUCUAUUGGGGUGAGCAUUUCCGUGACAUCGAGGCACAUCUUCCUUAGUGUUUGGGUGAAAAUGACGUUGAGUCCACUUCUGCCGUCAAUGAGUACCUUUGUCAGCUUUGAUCCUGCCACAAUAGGGUCGAGUACUAGAGGGAAUCGGCCGAGCUCUGAGAAUUUUGUCCACUGGUCCUUCAUGCUGAAGGUUAUGGGUACUUCUGACCAUUUCAACGGUGUUGGAUCUGUUGGCUCGAUGGUCAUGAUUUCCCUGAGUACGAGUUUGCUGGCCCGCUUGGAUGCGGUGCCUGGGAUUCCGCCAAAAAUGACGUUGACUGUCUUGGAGGCGGUCUGGAAGUCGCCUUCUUCUUCUUCAUCGUUGUGGAUUUUGUUCUUUCCCUUAUCUUUUUUCUUGCUAUAUUCUUCAGGAGGUGGUGGUGCGGGUAAGUCUUGCAUUACUCGGUGCAUGCUGUAGCAGUCUACUGUCGAGUGUUUGCUAGUCGGGUGCCAUGGGCACUAUUUUUUGAGUAGUUCGGUGAAGGUUGGCCCUUCAUAGUUUUUGCAGGAUCCCUUUUUCCCGGAGUUAGUCGUGGAAGCAAUGGUGUUGUCGGGUUUCCUUUUGCGAUUUUGAUUACUCAAAAAGUUGUUUCGAGUAUCAUUGUGUCGAGUUCUAUCCUAGUCAUUAUUGUUGUUGUCGCGUCCACGGUUGUGAUGAGAACCAAACUGUUCUCGCUCUUUGUCUUCUUCAUCUGCCCACUGUUGCACCAUAACUUUGAGAUCUUUGACGUUGGCUGGUCUUCAUCGACUGAAGUCUUGGUAUGUUCGUCGAUCGUAGAGUCCAUUCUGGAAGCACUCAAUGACGUCUGUUUCGGAAAUGUCAACUAUAGUAGCCUUCUUUUCGAAGAAUCUUCGCAAGUAAUCGCGUAGUGUUUCGCCUUCUUUCUAUUUUAUUUGACUUAGGUCGAUCUUGUUACCCGGUCUAGCCAUGGAGCCGGCAUAGUUGUUGGUGAAAGCCUUUGUCAAGUCUGCCCAAGAAUCGAUUGAUCUAGACUUGAGGGAUUCAAGCCAAGUAAGCAGUGCUGGUUCCAUGCAUAUGGGAAAGUGGAUAACUUUGGUGUCGUUAUUGCCCCCAGCUGCUUGGACUACCAGCGAGUAGCAUCGUAGCCAUUGAAUUGGGUCUUGCUUGCCAUCAUACUUGGUGAUUCCUGUUGGUUUGAACUUCUUGGGUAAUCUUGUCCUCAUUACCCGAUUUGUGAAAGAAGGAAAGUGGUUGUAAUUGUUGACUUCUCGCUCUCACCAAGUGUUGAUUAUUUCUCGUAAAUCACUGAAGUUUGAUACUUUGUGAUUUUUCCGAGUAUGACGAGGACUUUUUACGGAGUUGGUGCAGCUGACUUCUCUAACGUCCUUCUGGCGUACUGGGGCAUUGUGUUUACUCGGGCCUUGGCUGUGUUGCCUUGGUUGGUUUACUACUUCGUUGUCGUUUCUUUGUACUUCAUUGAAGUUGUUGUUAGCUGCAGCACCUCUACUGCCUUCUUGGUGAGCUGCAAUGCGGGGAACGGACAGGAUUGGUGAUUCUUUAUUGAGUAGCUUGUAGGCUUGUUCCGCGAGUUGUGCGAUUAGUCCGUUGCCUCGCUGCGCGAGUUGAGCUAUGACUUUGUUGUCUCUGUCUCGAGGUAUGAGUGUUGAUGUAAGGUUGAUAGAGGCAAUUGCUGCGAGUGGAGUGUUGUGUUCUUGAGCCUAUACUGUGUCAAAUGCUCUUUCGAGGUUUGUAAUGGAAAUGUUUGUAGCCAGCAUUUGUCGUCGCUCAACCCGAGUAGCAUUGCGCAUCCUUCUUUCUUUCCUUUGAUCGGAAGUUUCAUCUUGUGGGGCGUUAGCUGUUGACUCGUCCUCUGAGACGUUGUCGAGUUGUGCUAGUCGCCGGGGAGUUCUCUGCUGGCUAGUACCCGGGUUGUUGUUUUGAGUAAUAACAAAGACUUCUCUGUCUGGGUAGUAGCUUCCAGAGCUUGAUGUUGCAAUUUCUGUGGAACUUUCCUCGCAGCUUGAAGUGAGUGGGACGCCUUCCUGGUAUGGGAGGUUGUCUAUGUGAGCGACAAGGCGCGACUCGUAGUCGCGGGCAAAGAGAGAUGGUCUCAUUCCUAGCCAGUGUACGAAUCUGCCUUGUGAUCUUGAAGUUAUUACCAGUUUUUGGGUUGGUCCUGUCAGUGGUAUCUCUGGGAGAUAGUCCGAGUCGGAGUCAUUGUCUUCGUCUUUCCCGUGUUCGAGUUGAGUUCGAGUGAGGAAACUUUGGUAGGCUUCGGUUGCAUUGCGGGGUUCGUGUGGAAACCGUUUCUGAGUCGAAGUUGAUUUGAGGAGUGACUGGGACCGACUAGUCCGAACUAGGGUCGAGUCCGACGGGUAGUCGAACUCGGUGUUGCUGACUUUGAAAUUUUUGUUUUUUCAAGCCGAAUCAAUUGAUUUCUUCUCCUGAAUGUUGAUGAUUUGGCGCUGAAACGAUCCGGCGCCGUUGGCGACACAGAGCUAGGAUCCAAAAAUGAACGUUUUGCCUGCUUCGAUGAUGAAGACAGGCUUGAUGACGACUAUUGCCAUUGAGCUCACACUGAGAAACUCGAUGAGGGCCCCUACCUGGCGCGCCAGCUGUCAGUGUCUUAGACCGGCAACCCGCCUAGGGGGUACCCUAGGUGGUCUUUUGUGCGGUAAUGGCCGUCGAGAAUCAAGGAGUCAAUGGUGACGCAAGGAACACGAUUUAGACAGGUUCGGACCGCUAGAUCGCGUAAUACCCUACAUUCUGUGAGUUGGUUGUAUUGAUCUUAGAUGUACUGGAGUUGUCCUUGAGGGGGGUCCCUGCCCGCCCUUAUAUACACAUACUUAACUAGUCCGAGUGGGAUAAGCCUAUCCCCUUGUCUUGAUUAGGGCCUACUCGUGGGGCUGGGGUGCAUGCCCGACAGUCACCGCCUCGUCGCCGCCGCACCCUCAUCAUUGUCGCCCCGUCGCCCGGCCCCGUUGUCCCCCGCCCGGGCCUCGACGCCGCCCUCAUCAUCGACCUCCGCCGUCGCCCCUGGCCCCUCCAGUGCCGCAAAGUGCCGGCCACUCCACGCGCGCGAGCACACUCGCGGCUACCUGCGAGCUUGGCUUCCCGCUGACGUAAGCCCGCGGCCGGCUGUGACAUCAUAAUUUUUUUAUUUCUGCAGCAUUAGAAAUUGUAAGAAAUUUCUAGGAAAUUAUCUAGAAAUUAUAGGAAAUUAUCUAGAAAUUGUAGGAAAUUAUAGAGAAAUUGUAAAAAAUUUGUAUAAGUGUUGGAAAUCAUGCCAUUUAUUUUUUUAUUUCUGCAGUAUUAGAAAAUUGUUUAAUUAGCUAGAAAAUAUAGAAAAUUUCUUAAAGUAGCUAGAAAUUAUAGAAAAUCCUGUUAAUUCUUAAAAAUGUAUAAAAAUACGUGAAAAUUACUUUGAUAUCUUUAGAAAUUACCAAGUUAUUUUAUGAUGUUGUCAUUUACCAAGUAAUAUUUGCCUGGAGGACGGAGCCCCCGCCUUGAUUUGGUUGUCACGUCAGCAAAUCCGGUUCGCCCUCACCCACGACGAGGAUUCGGCCGCGAGGUGGCCCUGUUGUCCGCCGUAAGGGGAAGGAGACCGCAGCCGUCAUCACGUGGAGGGGGAUGGCGCCAACGACCGUCACCGACCGACCAGCCCCCGUAGCUUGUGGCACCGUCCAUUAGGCCCACCCUUGGAUCUGGGUGACAGGGAGGGGAUAAGGAAGCGGCUGCCGCAACACUACCGCCGGAGUGCGAGGGAGGGGCGGAGGCGCUGCUGCGGAGGGCCUAGCGGCGGCGGCGGAGUGGAGCAGAGCACGAGAGGGAUGGGGAGAGAUGCGGUCGUGGUCUCAUAGGACUGUAAAUUCAGUUUGUAGGCCACGAUCUCCGGCUCUCCGCCGUAGAAAAAAAUAGCAAAAAAACCAGUGCGGGCGGCGGACCGGAGGGGCUCGGGUUAGGUUCAGCUCCAUGGAGCGACCCGGGUACGGAAUAGCUUAUUCUGUACCUAGGGUAUUAUUUAGUAUAUAUAUAUAUAGAUCUAUAUAUAUAGAUAUAUAUAUUACUGUCAUGAAAUAUAUAUACGACUUGCAUACAAUAUUAAUAUGACUCGAAUAAAAUAUUAAUAUGGAAAAGAAUAUUUUUUAAAAAAAUCUUAAGUAUUAAAGGGGGAAACCGUGACAAGGGGGUAGAACUUCCCUUUGUCUCGAAAAUUUAGUCCCGGUUGUAUUUUCGGGAUAUAUGACCCUUUCCAACCGAAACUAAAGUCGCGUUUUCCACCAGUGCCCUGCCAUCUCCACGGACCAUCCAGAUGUCCACCAACCUCCCAUGGCCAGUAGCGUUCACGCCGCCUCGGCGGCUCGAACUGCCUCCACCACCCGCUACUUUACCGCCCGAACCUCCUUCUAGAUCCACCUUCUAGAUCCACCGGGGAUAGGUACGCCCUUUCUUCAAAACCCCGAACCCUAAAAGCUUGUGGGAAGCUCCCCGGAGCUAGAGAAGAAACAUAGAGCUGAAAAAAACAGGUACGUAAUCUUUCCCCACCCGAGUCAUCUUUAGAAAUUUCGUUUUUUCUUUUGACGGAUAGAUCCGUGUUGGUUAAUUAAGUGCGCAUGCCGCACGUGGGCUCACAACACGACACAAGGAGCAUGCUCCUCCAUGUGAUUCGUCGUGUACGACUCGAACUAGAUCUCGUCUCCGAAAACAUCUCGGCAUGCUCGUGCAGACCGAGUAGAAAACACCCAAACCCUCUGCUAAAGAUUACGAUUAUUAGCCUUUGCGUACGGAACAUACAACCUCGAGGGAGAGAACCAGCUGAUCCAAUUCAAUCAAUCACGCCGACAAUGCAGGACAAGGCUGGGCAGUUCAUCUGCUACCUAGACUUGGUCAGGCUCAACUCGCCGGCGGCAGGCUCCAACCGGAACCGCGGGCUGGUUCUCAAGGGCAUGCCCGGGCCGAAGGUCGUCGUGCAGUGCCUCGACGGCACCGUGGUGACGGUGAAUGCUCGCAACGUCCGUGUCGCGGACCGGAGCUACUUCUGCCCGGGCAUGGUCGUCGCGUCGGCGUCAGACCGUGGCGGCCAGCUCGGGGUCGUCACGGGCGCCGCCGUGGAACUGGAUCUGGUCCGGCUAGACGGUGAGGACGCGGCGGCGGCGUUGGUCGCGAGGGGCGUGUCCCCAGCGGAGCUGCGCCGCGUCAGUGAGUUCUGCCUAGGGGACUACGUCGUGUCAGGACCGUGGCUGGGCCGGGUCUUCGAGGUGUCCCUCGACGUCGACGUGCUCUUCGACGACGGCACCGUCUGCAGGGUCACAACAGCGGACGGCAAGCUGUGGCCCGUCGGCGAGGGCUCUUCAAAACGCUACACCAACAACGUCUUCUAUCCGGGGCAGCGCGUCGGCGGCCGCUCGUCCGUCUUCAAGGCCGCCCGGUGGCUCAAGGGCUACUGGAAGCCCAGCGAUGGCGAGGGCACCGUGUCCAAGGUGGAAACCGCCAGCGUGCUCGUCUACUGGGUCGCGUCGUCGCAGCUGGGCGCCGAGAGGUCCGUCGUCCAGGCGUCGUCCACGCCGGCGCACCAGCAGAGCCCUCGCGAUCUGACAUUCUUCCGCGCUGGCGACGACGUCUUGGCAAGGUUCUGGGGCGUGGGCGACCGCUGCUUCUUCCGCGCUCCUUGCCGCCGCCGCGUACUCCCUGCCGGCGAUGUCGGUGCCAACCGGAAUCGGCUGCGGCGGCUGGGGGCGAAGCGGACGCCGCGACGAGAAAGCUGGAGCCACGCAGGGUUCGAGCGGCCGUUGUCCGUCGCCAGCACGCGCACGACGCUCGACGUGCUGUGGCAGGACGGGACGCGGCAGUGCCAGGCGCCGUCGGUGUCGCUCGUUCCCACCAUGCCACAGAACACCCACCACUUGUUCCCAGGCCAGCGCGUCGUUAGCAGGACAUCGUCGGACGGCGACGGCGACGUCGCGCGUUCUGGUGUCGUCAGAAGCCUCAACUUCACGGACCAGACCGUGCGCGUGUCGUGGCAAAAGGCGGCGGCUGAACACGCCGAUGACGAGACACUGAGCAGCACGUACGAUCUUGGCAGGGAUUUCGACAGCAAUGUCUUCUAUGGAGAUGUUGUCGUCCGCAGGCGUCCAACAGACUCCUCAAUUGGGGUCGCCGGCGACAUUUGUGGAAGCACGGAAGAGCCAGUGCUGACACCGUGCCGAAAGAAGGAGCCCACUAGAGCUCAUGAUCUUUCAUGGGUCGGACACAUAGUUGAUUUUUGUGAUGCACACCAUGUCCAAGUCAAGUGGGGUGACGGCAACAUGUCCAAGGUAUGCAAUACGUCCAUAGAAUUACUAUAAUAUUAAUGGACCGUUUUAAAAAUGCUUAAAAGGAAGUGGUUUUCUAGAAACAGCUUUUAUUUUUGACGUCCAAGGAACUUUUUUUUCACCUAGAUACCAAAAUCCAAGUUAAUUUUGGUACCUCUUGAAGGCUCCUUACCAAUACAAAUCACCUCACAAUCACUGAUUGAAUCUUUUUUUUUGCAGCUAUAUAUGUAUACAUUAAUUACUUCAUAUAUUAGGACCAUUAUUCAAAAACGACCUUAUUAACUUCUACUUAUUUGAUGGUACCGAUUUCAGGUGUCUUUCCAUGAGAUAACUGUCGUCAAAGAGCAAAGUUUUGGUGAGUUCCUUCAGGAAAUAGGCGAGUGGGUGUCUGAAGAUGGAGGCAUGAGCAACGACGCUAUUGAUCACGAAGCACAAGUGACUGCCGCUGCCGUUGUAAGUAUCCCUCCGCACACAAAUUUCAAUUCCCCAAGAGAUCGGGUAAAUGGUUGGACGGUGCCGGGAGCGUCAACCUCGGAGCUUACGGCCAGAGGGAACAACAAUGUAUCCGCACCCGUGUCCGGUGGUGAUGGUGAUGCCAAGGAGACCUCCACUGCUGUGGCAGGCAUCAAUGGAGGAGGUGGUGGUGAGGGGAAGCAGGCAGAGGCAGAUGCCACCGGCGAUGACAAGUCAUUUAGCUUCCCACAAUUUGAUAUCGUGCAGAGCCCUUCAGAUCACCAUUACCUUGAUAACAUGGAGCAGGUUCGUAAUUUUCUUUUUUUUCCUAAGGCCCUGUUUGGAUCUUUGGAAUUGAAUUUCAUUCUAAUAAUCAUUAUUUAGACAUAAAUUAAUUAAGCUAAUAUAAUUGUCUGUGGAAUAUAUUUGUAUAAUAUUGUUGGCGAUAUGGGAGAAAUAGUUAUGUGUUGCACUUCUGCUAUAGAGAAGCGAGUCCAAGAGCGUGCUAUAAGAAUUGAAUUCCAUUCUAAUAAUCAUAAUCUAUGGAAUCAAUUUCCAUCUCCCACCCCGUAAAUUUAAGAUAGGCUUAUAUCUAAACUUUGGAAAGUUGUGGAAUACCACAUUCAAGAUAAAUUAGCCUACUCCAUUAAGUAAAUUCCAAUUCCUUCAAAAUGAAGGAAGCUAAAUGGGUCCUAAGGGUUUUUUAGCUUUAUGAAUAUAUUAACAGUAAUACAUAUGAUGUAUAAACAGUAAUACAUUUUUUUUGGUAAAAAUUAAGAAAACGAUGGUUGCUGAAAACCCUAUAUAAUAUAAUACAAGUUACUGAUGGUUCAAAUUAAUUAAAUGAUUGCCCGUUUAGUUUUCAUACAUUGAAUCUGCCACAGUGAUGUGUCCUAUAUAUAUAGUGACUGCUAAUUAAGUUGAUGUGCUUUUGUAAACAGGGCACUGGUGGGGGGAAGAAGUGGAUGAAGAGGGUGCAAAAGGAAUGGAAUAUUCUUGAGAAUAACUUGCCAGGUACACAGUGAGUUAAUUUGCAUAUGGAGGGAAUAAAAAUUUUGAACUUUUGCAAUCAAACACAAACUCUUUCGACAUGUAUCUAAAGGUUUGCCCGUGCAUGCAGACACCAUCUUCAUGCGGGCGUACGAGGACCGCAUGGACCUCCUGCGAGCGGUGAUGGUCGGAGCUAGCGGGACGCCGUACCAUGACGGCCUCUUCUUUUUCGAUCUGCAGCUACCGCCGUCGUACCCUGCCGCGCCACCGCUGGUGUGCUACCGAUCGUUCGGCCUACGUGUGAACCCCAACCUCUACCCCUCCGGCACGGUGUGCCUGAGCCUGCUCAACACCUUCGGUGGCCACGGAGCCGAGCUGUGGUCCCCGGAGGCUUCGACCGUCCUCCAGGUCGUCGUCUCCAUCCAGGGCCUCGUGCUCAACGCCCAACCAUACUACAACGAGGCGGGCUACGCCGUCCUGGUAGGAACGCCGCAGGGUCGCCGGAACGAGCUCCCGUACAGCGAGAACACCUACCUGCUCACCCUGCAGACCAUGCUCCACCUCCUGCGCCGGCCGCCGGCGGGCUUCGAGGAGUUCGUCAGGGACCACUUCCACCGGCGAGGGCAGCACGUGCUCCGAGCGUGCGAGGCAUACCUAGAUGGCUGCCUCGUGGGCACGCUCGAUGGCGAGGGGAGCGGGGCGCGGCGCCCGUGCUCGGCGGGGUUCAGGCUCGCCCUCGCCAACGUGGUGCCCCGGCUUGUUGAGGCGUUCACCGCGAUCGACGCUGAUGGAUGCAAGGAGUUCGAUCGGAUACGGGUGCCAACAGUAUGCACUUAAUUUGUCUCUGCUACUCGCUAGUCCAUUUGUAUCCUACUUACAUUUUAAGUUACAAAACGCGUGUUCACACAUUUGAACUUUCACAUCAAUAUUAUAUUUUUGUAUACUGUUGGGAAUGGUACAACAGUUUUGCUACAUACUUCCUUCGUCCCAUACUUCAUAAAUAAUAUUUAUUUUGACUUAACUUUUGCGAUAUGUCUAGAGAUAGAUGUACCUAGAAAAUCCAAAUAAAAAUAAAUAGUAAACUUUGGGAGGUAGGGGUAUAGUUUGCAGCUGCAAUUCGUGAUCAAAGGUAGUAGUGUGUUGAUGGUAGUAUUUCGUUAUCCAAACACGGCACUCUAUUGUGGCGAACGAACACUGCUGGAUGAUCUCUAUCAGUACUGCUUGUUUGGUACUAAAUGCCACACCAAUCGGUACUAAAUGCACCAUUUAGUACACCAACCAGUACUAACUGCAUGCCACGUCUCGUUGUUGUCGAUGGCAGUUUAGCACCGGUUGGUUUUACUAACCGAUACUAAAUGUUAUUCUUUUUUCCUUUUCGUUUUCCUUUUGUUUUAUCGUUUUCCUUUUGUUUUAUAAUUUCUAUUCAUAUCCGACGGAGCUUUUACUAAUAAUAUUACGUUAAUAUAUUAACCCAUUCAAAUCCAAGUCUCACAAAUAUCAGCCCAUUCAAAUCAUUAACACUCCGAGAAGAUUGUAUAUGCAAUAAAAUAUAUACAUCAACACUUAAGGUCUAAGAGAGAACAAGUUCAAAUUCAUAAGCAAAUAGUAGGGUACCGGUACAUCCAUGCAUGUUACAUAUUUCUUACUUCGCUUCGCUUCCUUAGAUAUGGAACAUAGUUAAGGUCUCCAAUCGUCCAGCCUAGACCUUCGUCAAAAUAAGCUAGAGCACGGAUGAGUGCACUCUCCUUCGCUUCGCAUGGAUGGUCACAUACACUACCAUAGAUCUCAAACAAUGGAGAGGUAAACUGAUGUGGCCUGUAUAAAGUGAGAUGAGCUUGGAGCUUGAAAUCUCUGGUGAGUAUCGGAUUUCCACCCAUGUAAGUCUAAUCCAACACAUCCAAGACUUGAGCUAGAAUCACGCGAAAGCUCGUUGCUGCAUUGGCAAUACAAACUAAAAGAUGCUAAUAAUGUGAUGAAAGUAAAAUGAUAUAACAUAACUAAAGAUAAAAAAAUGUUCCAUACCAUGUCAUAUUGAUUUCUCCCUCCUCGAGCUGCUUUAUUCAAAAAUAUGAUAAGUCUGGCACAAAGUACCCAUGAUCCUUAAGUUGUUGUAGGUAGGCCUCCACGACGGUCCUAUCAAAAGUUACCCUAUUUGGUGCUACUUGACCCCAUACAACAAUUGAAACUAUUAGGAUGGCCUGUCCUGGAGAUAUCGAGGUGAAUUAUGUUUCUCGAACAGGUACUUGAAAAAAGAUAUGUACUCUUUUAAAACGAGGUUCACCAACAACAUCAGUUUGCACUAAAGGAGAAGUACCACCUAUACCUUCGACAACAUCUUUGAGCCAUCUAAUAGGGUCAAUAAGCUACAUUGUAUGUAAGUAAAUUUAGAAAUUAUUCACGUGUAGUAAAAAUAUCAAUUAUAUGAAGGAAAGAAUAUUACUAUGUUGGGAACUGCUCCUUUGGUUCGAUCGCUGGUAGGCAAGUCAAUGAUGCGAUUGGGAAAGUGAAUUCCAAGAGGACGAGAUAAUGGUGGCUCCUCGAAAAUGUAGUGUCCGCCCCUACCACCUCCACGCCCAUGACGACCAUAGUGAAAAGAACUUCCGCUUGCCAUAGUUAGCCCAAACAAUCUAAAUAAAAUUGUAAUAAGAUACAUUAUUCCACAAACAUCAACUUCAAUAGUAAUUAUAUCGUAAAACAUCAUUUAUAAUGCAAGAUAUUUACAAUUGUUGGUUUAGACCUUAUCUACAUUAUGAUAACUAAUCAAAACACAUUUAUUAUCAUAUUGCAAUUGCAUGGAAUAAAGAGAAAAAGGUAACAAUUUCCUAAAUGAAUUUACAGGAAAAAAAUGAAAAAAAUAGAAAAAAACAACCGGGGUGCUCGGGGAGGAGGCUGCGUCGGCGGCAGAGAGGAGGUGGUUCGGCGACACAUCGGGAGGACGGAGGCGAUGGGGAGGAUGCAGCGUCAGCAACAAGGAGGAGGUGGCCCGACGGCGUGUCAGGAGGAUGGAGGUGGCGGGGAGGAGGCGGCAUCACUAAUCUCAGUGUUUGCACAACACUAAUGGUUUUGAUUCUUGACUCCGUGAAGUCCUACAAUCUGAAAUCAGUGUUUGCACAUCACUAAUCUCAAUGAGUGUGCCCGUUUGCGUUCGGAUCUCACUAGCUAUUUAGAAUGUUCCUUUUCACCUCGGAUUUCUCGAUUGAAAUCACAUUGUUCAUGCGAAUUCCAAGUCUAUGGAGAGCCACCUCCGCUCCUCCGGUAACAGAGAAUAGCGUAAGCACAUUCAUGCCAUGUGUAGACACUAUUCUCACUAUUCAUGCCAUGUGUAUCCAUUGCCGGUCUAUCUUCAUCGUAUUACGUGAAAAAUGAACAUAGGGCUUCGUAUUAGAUAAAGAACUUGAUCCAUGUGUUUAUAAUAUUUAGUCCUUGCAAUAAACAUGAGAUAAAUAAAUUAUUGGUCAAGAAUCCUGAAAUCAACACUUUUUGCCUAACAUUGCAUACCGUUAGCACACUAGAAAUGCUGCAAUAAACUAUACAUUUUCCUCAAUCUAAUAAAUCAACAAGUACUCCAUUUGUAACAUAAAACUCAUUCUAAAAACCACUCCAUUCUCCUCAUUCUAAAAUACUCUCCUUAUUCUAAAAAAUCAACAAAUACUUAAUUUGUAACAUAAAACUCAUUCUAAAAUGGAAAGAAUCCAUUUUACUCCUCUCAUUUUACACCCCUCACCUAUUUAUUUUGUCCACAUAACCCCCUAAGCAAAAUUUACGCUCACUUUACUCCCCCCAAACUACUUCAUUUGGUCCAAUCUACCCCCUAAUUAGAUUUCUCUUUUUUGUUUCUUCAUGUACAAACUCUCCUUGUUCUAGCUAAUGUACUCUCCAUUCUAGCUACAAAACAUAAAAUAUAGAAUACUAAGUAUGAGAGGAGGGAUUUGCUAACCUUUUCCUCCCCUAGUUCGAGUGAAGAAGAAGCCCGAGCUCAUGGUCAAAUGGCUAAGCUCGGGCUUGGGAAGGAAGAAGCAGCUCAAUUUAUAGGAUUACCUCUAGCGCCAGGUGAUGGGUCGAGCUGGUACUAAAUGGUUUCAUGUUAGUACCGGUUGAAGAUAUCAGCCGGUACUAAAUGGUACAUCUAGCCGUUGGCCACGCGGUCCACGUGCUGCCAUUUAGUACUGGUUGAGACUCCAAACUGGUAUUGUAGGGGUUCUGGUGGCACUGUACAUGAUGACCGAUACUAAUGCGUUGGACGAAUGAUCAGUUUUUCAGCAGUGGAAUGUGCAAACACCAGCUAGCAGUACUGAAGUUGGAUGGAAGGUUGGCUUUGUCCGAACAAAUCAGACCUUGGUGGGCUAGCUUAUCAUUUUUGUUCCUUUUUUUUAAAAAAAGAGGGAGGAUUUUAAAUGACUAUAUUUUUUUUUAAAAAAAGAUGAACUGAAAUAAUUAUAUCUUUUGUGUGGAUGGUGGUUUGAAAAUGGGCGACAGUAGGCCCAAACUCGAGUCAAGGGCAUAUAACUGUCAAUACACGUAUUUUCGCUGUUAACUAUACUAAUGUACGCACCAAGUGUGUGUAUAUAUGUAUGUACAUAUAUAUAUAUAUCUGUGUGUGUAUAUAUAGAGUAUAUAUACUCUGUGGCUGGCUAUACAAUAAAUUAUUUUGUGUCCACCUAUUUAAAAUAAGUUUGAAUCAAUCAUUAAUUCUAUACUAGUUGUUUUAGUUUCUAAAAUAAUUAUUUUAAUGCAUCACUAUCAUCAACAAACUAUUCAAUUAAAUAAUUUUAAUGUGCAAAAAAAAUCAAUUGAUAUAUGUGGUUAACAUUGUUUAUAUUCUUCACCUCAACUAAUUUAAACACACAAAUUUAUAUAUAUUUUCCACUAGUUUUGUUAAAGAAAAAAAUAAAAACUUUACAUAUUUUGAACAUGCAAAAAUAUAUUAAAUUAGCAAGUAUAUUUAAAAUAAGUUUGAAUUAGUCAUUAAUUCUAUACUAGUUGUUUAAGUUUCUAAAAUAAUUAUUUUAAUGCCUCUCUAUCAUCAGAAAACUGUUCAAAUAAAUAAUUUCAACGCGCAAAAAAAUCAAUUGAUGUAUGUGGUUAACAAUGUUUAUAUUGAUUGAAUAAAACUUCACCUCAAUUAAUUUAAACACACAUGAAAUUAUAGAUACGUUAAAUUAAAAAUUGUAUCAAGUGGUACAAUUAAUAAGAAACAUGAAAUCAUAGAACAUUACAAUAUAAUUCACCAUAGAGCAUUACAAUAUAAUUCAAAAGUGCUUACAAUGUAAUGUUUAGUGCAUUACAUAAAGGUGAACCAUAUUUAGUGCAUGACAAUAUAAUGUUAAAAAACUUCUUCUUAUUGAAGGUGAACCAUAUUUAGUGCAUUACAAUGUAAUUUUAAAAACUGCUUCUAGUUGAAGGAUCGGAAAGGCGACCAGAUGGGGGUGAAUGGGAGCCGAUUCAAAUUUUUCCCAAGAACUUUUGCUAAAAACUCACAAGCCUCUCUUCUAUCAAAAUCAAGUCCAACUAGCUAUGCACAAGCUAAUGGACCUAGGAAUGAUGUUGGGAACCCAAUUUGAGAAUAGCGGAAGCAAGAAAGACUCCAAACAAGCUCCGGAAGACAAAUUUAGAAAACCAACACCUCUGUGCGAAAAAAUCCGGAGGAAUCUUCGGAAAAUUCCGGACGUGCGGAAAUUUCUGGAGAAACCUUCAGAAAUUUCUGGAGGUCCGAAGAUUUCCGGAAUUAUGUCCGGAGAUUUCCAAAAUUCUAAAACAGCCUGCAUGAAGAUGGCAGAAAAAAUCUGAAACUCGAUCAAACGACCCCAAAAAUCAUGAAAUUUUAACCAUAGCUUCCGAACAACAUAACAAACAUAUUACCAAAAGAUCUCCUCAAAAAGAUUAGCCAAGCACAGAGAAUUAAAAAUCUUGUGAAGAACAUCGCUUUUUUAACCCUAGAACUUGAAUCGUCCCAAUAUAUGAACUCGUGAGGAGUUAGAUGAAUUCCUUUGGUAGAAAGACUUCACUCAAAUCCUAGUUCAUUUCCAAAUGAUCGGUUUGACUCUAGACUCCCCAGAAAUCACGAAUCGAACGAAAACGUGAGAAGGGAAAAAUAGGAGAAAACAAGAACGCGAAGAACACAAGCAAGAGUUUCACAAAACCGUCAUCCUCCUACACUCAGAGGACACGAGGAGGUUAGGGCCUCCAUUCCCGCAACAAAAACUCAGUUCAAUACAUGAAUUUGCUGCUCAAAAUAUCCGAGGACCUCUAGGGAGAGACUAGAGAGAGAGAGGAAAAACCAAAUGAAAUCCUAGAGAGAGAGGUAGUGACAGAGAGGUGGAAGAGGUGCUAAAAACUUCAGCCCGCCAUCUCUAUCUAUAGGCGCAGACAAAAGACUAAACUACCCCUAUUGCUACUACUAAGAUAACUACCCACGCAGGGGCAUUUUGGUCCAAGUUUUUGUGCGCUCAUCGGACGGACACGCCACCUUCAUGACUUUGCUUCGCCUCAACGCAAGCUAUGCGCUAAUACCACAUGCCCUCCUUCUCGAAGCUCCGACCGCACCGGGCUUGCCCCUGGUUUGGAGGUCCAAACCGGGAAAGCUGCCAGCGCGGUGGUUUUGAGGCUCAAACCAUGCAAACCGUCCAUCUUCGCUUGGCCGCCACGCGACCUCCUCAAUGGCGACGCGUGUCUGAUCUCCGCAAAGCCUUUGAUGCCUCCAAGUCAUUUGUUCCUGGCUCCCGGGCCGCCUACUUGACUUGCCUCCGUCCCGCUUGACUCGACCGAUGCCGUCUCCAUCACCGUCAUGCUGUCUUGUCAUUCCGUGCACCAUGUGGACCGCCCAUGACUCCACCCGGACUCCUCAGGUCCAUCGGUCCAAGCCUACUCACGUUCAUCCUUCAAAGCCCUUGGUCCAUCAGCAUGAACCUUUCGCUUGACCUUCACCGCACGCUGUCGGCCGUCACACCGCAUCCUACACCUGCACAUCACAAGCCAAGAACAACAUCAAACCAACACAAUGUUGUCAAUCACUCAUCAUCCAAGGGUGACCACCAUUGGUCCUCAAUCUCCCCCUUGAUAAGUGCAUUGACAACACACCACAAAUUCAUAGUAUUUGAAAAAGAAAAUAAGAAACUAAAAACAGAAAAUCUCAAUCCCCUAAGAUAAGGGCAACGGCUCUACACGACUGAGAUAAAAUCAUGUGAUCCCUCAAGAGGCAGAAAACAGGCUCAACACCAAUCACAUGAAAAACCAAAUCUGGCUCCUCAAGAAGAGGUAAAACAGCUCAACACAACCGAAUAAAGAGCAAAAGAGCACGACAAAGCUCACAUAGACUCCCCCUGAACAAAUGCACUCCCCCUGAGCAAAUACAUGAAAUUUCUCCCCCAUGUUGAAAGAAAUGCAUGAAAAAUCUCCCAAAUUCUCCCAAGAGUCUUUAUGAAUUUCAAUUCUCCCCCUUGUUGACAAUGCAAUCAUCAAGUCAAACAUGAAAGCCUAAAAAAACAUGCCAUGAAAAUGCAGAAACUACCAAGCUUCUCAGAUAUACCACGGAAGACUCUCAAAGGCUAGCAAGAUGAAUUCAUGUUACAGCAAGGAGUUGAAGCAAAUGUCUAGUUUUAGCAUUGUUUUAAAAGAUCACCACAUGAGCAAAUACCUAGUCUAGAAAUACCCAAGCAAGAAGAACUAGGCCAUCAAAAGCUCAUACAAGGAAUAAACAUUCUUGACAAAAGAUCAGUGCAGACACCCACAACACAUCACAAGUCAUGUGAGGCUUGUUGAAACCAAGUGCCUACUUCUUUUUGGUAGACAUCUUGUAAAAACUAAAUGAGCCAGAAUAUCAACAAUUAAGCAUAAAAACUUGGUGAAUUUAUGAAUUUUUGUUUUCAACAUUUUCCUUUUCCAUUAUUCACAAGGCAAAAUACAUGAAGUGCCUUUGCGGCACAAAGAAGCCAUGCUUCCCUAAGGGGUGCAUCAUGGGCUAAACAUCUGCAAUGAUACCUAGAUCUUUGACCCAAUUGAAAAGAACAUGAAUUCCAGCCACAAGCUAAAUUUGGAACUAGCAUUCAAAUAGGGGUAAAUCAAAACUAAGCAUCUACUGAUGGGUGAUACACAAGUUAAUAAAGUAGAAUUUAGCAUUGAAUUUCAAAAAGUAGUUUUCAUCAUGUAUACAAGAUCAUCAAGAGCAUAACUGCACAUUGCAUCUAAGAUAAACAACCAAAGCACUAGCUCACAAGUAGCAUAAGGUAGUAGUCAGGGCAUAUAAGAGAAGCUCAUCUAGUGCAGUAUGAUACAAAUGCAAUAUGAUAUAGAUGCAAUGAAAGCCAAACUAGCAUACUACAAAGAUGCUAAAAAAAAGUGGUUGUACAGAUAUAAUACAAGAGAAACAACAAAAUCCAACUCAGAAAGAAAAGCAAACACCCAACUCCCCCCGCAAAUGAGCAAAUGUGGCUUGAUCCAGGGGUUUGGUGAAGAUAUCAGCGAGCUGGUUUUGGGUAACAACAUAGCCAAGGUCAAUAUCUCCUCUCUCAACAUGAUCUCUCAGAAAAUGAUAUCUCACAUUAGUGUGUUUGGUUUUGGAGUGGAGAACAGAGUUCUUGGCUACACUUAUGACACUCAUGCUGUCACAAAGAAGAGGAACAUGAGUAAAAUCCAAACCAAAGUCUCUCAAAGUGAAAAUCAUCGAAAGCAGCUGAGAACAACAACUAGCAGUAGCAACAUACUCAGCUUCGAUGGUAGACUAAGCAACACUAGGCUGUUUGCGCGAAGACCAAGAGACCAAAGAUGAACCGAGAAACUGGCAAGUGCCAGAGGUGGACUUUCGAUCCAAGCAACACCUAGCAAAGUCCGCAUUGGAGUAUCCGUGGAGAGUGAGUGUCGAGGAGGCAGAAUACCACAAACCGAAUUCAGGUGUGAAACGAAGAUACCUCAUGAUUCUCUUCACUGCCUGAUGGUGAGAUGUCCUUGGUGAAGCUUGAAAACGGGCGCACAGACACACUGCGAAAUGUAUGUCCGGCCUCGUCGCUGUCAAGUAGAGGAGGAAGCCGAUCAUGCUCCGGUACUCCUUCUGGUCCACCGGAUCGCCAUCUUCAUCCGCAUCUAGUGCCGUCGUCAUUCCCAUGGGUGUGGACAGUGGCUUAGCAUCAGCCAUGUCAAACUUUCUCACCACAUCCUUCGUGUACUUCCCUUGGUGCACGAAGGUUCCUUCCUUGCUUUGCUUGAUCUGUAGUCCGAGGAAGAAGGUCAAUUCACCCAUCAUCAACAUCUCGAACUCCCUGCUCAUGUCAUCUACAAACUUGGCAAUGAAAGCAUGAGAGGAACCACCAAAGAUAAUAUCAUUUACAUAAAUCUGAACAAUCAUUAAGUCUUUGCCUUGCUUGAGGAGAAAGAGAGUUUUAUUAACUGACCCCAUUUCAAACCCAUUCCAAAGCAAAAAGGAUUUCAACCUAGCAUACCACGCUCGGGGUGCUUGUUUUAGGCCAUAGAGAGCUUUUUGGAGUUUGAACACACCAUCAGGAUAUUUAGGGCUCUCAAAACUAGGGGGUUGUCUCACAUACAUUUUCUCGUCUAUGAAACUAUUUAGGAAGGCACUUUUCACAUCUAUUUACAAGAGCUUAAAACCUUUAGUCACAACAAAGGUUAGAACGAUUCUAAUCGCUUCCAAACAGGCAAUUGGGGCAAAGGUUUCCUCAUAAUCUAUCCCCUCUUUUUAACUAAAGCCUUGGGCAACCAACCUCGCUUUGUUUCUCACAACCAACCCAUUUUCACCCUAUUUGUUCUUAAAAACCCAUUUUGUUAUCGGGUGGCAAUUUGGAGGUGGUUCAAAUAAAACCCAAACCCUGUUUCUCUCAAAGUUUUCUAACUCCUCUUGCAUAGCAUUGACCCAGUUUGAAUUAGAUAAAGCAUGUCCAAUAUCUCGAGGUUCAAAAGAGGCAACAAAAGCAGAAUGUGGAAAGUGUGAAAUCUGCCUAGAACUAUGCCUAGUGGUGUGCUCAUGCAAGUUACCGAUCAUUUGUUGAUGUGGAUGGUUAUGCUGAAUGUGUCGUGGAGCUCCUCGCUCUGAAGUAGCCUCCCCCUCAACAGCAGCUUGUUCACUCUGAUCUUCUUCUUCAUCAUCUUGUAGUAGUACUUGGUGAUGGCUUGAAGUAGUGGAAGUAGGGGUUAGAGCCAUCAACUCUUGUAGUAGAAGUAGAAGGUACAGGAGGAGCAGCUGGAGCACAGUUCACUUCAUGAUCUUCUUCAUCACCACUAUCAGCAUGCUUGUCCUCUUCAAAAAUACUUUGUCCCAUUUCAUGUUCACCUGCAGCUUCAAAGACAAGGCAUAGUUUCAUCGAAAGUAAUCUCACAAGUUUCCACAAUCCGGUUAGUUUCAAGGUUAAGUACACGAUAAGCACGACUAUGAGAUGCAUAACCAAGAAAAAUACCAUCAGUGGACCGAGACUCAAAUUUCUCCAAAUUGCCUUGCUUCAGAAUAAAGUACUUGCAUCCAAACACUCUCAAAUGACUUACCUUAGGGGAAUGUCGAUGCAUCAAUUGAUAAGAGAUUUUCUUCAUAAAAGAUAACAAGAAGAUUCAAUUGGAAACAUAGCAAGCAGUGUUUAUGGCUUUGGCCCAAUAUUUCCUAGGAGUCCUAUGUCAUCAAGCAUCGUCCUAGCCAUCUCACAAAGGGUCCGAUUCUUCCGUUCAACAACACCAUUCCGAGGAGGGACAUAAGGCGAUGAAAACUGGUGUUCAAGACCAAGAUCAUUGCAAAAGGCUUUAAAACAAACGUUCUUGAAUUCUGUGCCAUUGUCAUUGUGGAUAGCUCUCAUGACAUCUUUAGGUUGCUCAUUUUUCAACCUCAAGAUCAAAUCUCAAACAAAAGGAAAUGCCUCCUCCUUAGACUCCAUGAAGAAAAUCCAUGAAUACCUCAAAAAAUCAUCAACGACUACAAGCACAUACCACUUCCCACCAACUGAGCAAACACAAGCUGGACCAACAGUGUCCAUAUGCAAUAGCUCAGAUAGAUGCUCAGUCAUCACCUGAUUCACAGGUGGAUGGGAAGCAACAACCAUUUUCCCAUGUCGACAGGAAGCACAAAUGAGAUCCUUCACAAAUUUCAAUUUGGGCAAAUCAUGAAUAAGAUCCAAAGCACUCAGGCGAGAUAGCAAAUCAAAGCUCAAAUGUCCCAAUCUCCUAUGCCACUUCCAAAGUUCAGAAGAAGAGCCAGCAACCAAACAUUGAGACAGACAAAAAGACUUCAAAAAAUCCACACGAAACACCUGACCCUCGAGGACGAUCAUACACACAAGACCUCCUCGAGAGUCUAAAAUCCUUGAGGUCCCUUGCUUAAAAUGGACCUCAAAACCAUCAUCAAGCAGUUGCAACACAGAGAGCAAAUUGAAACCAAGAGAAUCAACAAGAGCAACUUGCUUGAGCAUGAAAUUUUCACUCACCUUGAUUGCACCUUCAGACAAAACCUUACCUUUGCUAUUAUCCCCGAAAGUGAUGUACUCCUUGGUCAUCACCGGAGUGAGGCUGGAGAACCAUCUGUGAUCAUCGGUCAUGUGUUGAGAGCAACUGGAAUCAAUAAGCCACGUGUUCUCUAGGCCUCUGACCUACUCAAACAAAGGGAGACCAAGGAUGAGCAAAUGACUCAACACUAGGGUUAGAAAAACAAGUAGAAUACCAAUGUCGAACCAUUUUCUCAAGAGUGGGGUUAGCAAAAUCAACCAUCUCUCAUCUCACAGGAGGACUACGGCCAACACUAGGAGGGAAACGUGGUCCGUUGUAACUGCAAGACUCAAAGCCACGACCAUGCUUUCCUGGGCCAUAUUGAUCAUGGCGAGGAGCAUGCCUAGCAAAACCAUGCGACGGAUCAAAACGCACACUUUCCACAUGACGAGGUGGAGAAGCUGCUCUAGGCGCAUGUACACCAUGAGAAGGAUGGUACAUGUCCCUAUUGCCCCACUCACGCUCACAGCUCAAAACCUUCUUCUUGCGAAAGCAAAACUUCUCAAGGUGACCCCCUCUCUUGCAAUACUCACUAGAAGGUUGUUUUGGUUGUGGAUUUGCUUUGGGUUGAGGGUUAAAUCUUGGUUGUGGUUUGACUUUGAGUUUUGGAGAGGGAUACUUGGGAGCAAUUUCUUGAAGUGUGUCAAGCUUGUUCUUGAGGUGGUUUGGCUUUUCCAUCCAAAUAGCUUUCUUGGAUUCUUUGGGUGGUGUCUCAAUGAAAACUCCAUCUCUCACACACUCAGACACAUUUUGCUCACAAGCUAGAUUGGGUUGCUCUCUAUUUAGUGUGGGUGUCCCUCGAGGGGUAUAGUCAGCUGGUGGCUCACAUAGGUUGUAGCUUGGUUUCUUUCUCUCACCACUGUUUUGGCCCACCUUCUCACACAACCCAUCAAAGAACUUGUGCAACCCAUUAAAAUGACAGCCCUUGAUAACAGACCCAUGCCCAAAACCAUCAGCCCUUUUGAACUCCUGAAUCAUCAUGCCUAGCUGAGGUUCCCUACUUAAUACCCAACUAAGAACAGUACACAAAUAAGAAUUUUCAUCCUUACCAUGUUGCAAAGCAUCUCUAAUUUUAGGACAUUCAGUGCAAAUAGAAACUUCAGAUUUCUCAAGAACCUUAAUCCUAGCACAAGCAUCAUCAAAUUUAGUUUGUAAGGCAGAGCAAGAUUUGCAAGCACCAAACAAAACAGGUUUAGUCUUAAUCUCAUCUAGAGCAUCCCUAGUCAAAUCAAGUUCAUCUACAAGCAAAGCAUGCUUAGAUUGCAAAGAAGCUAUACUAGCCAUGUGAACAGCACAUUCAUCACACUCAACAACAUCAGAAAUGGUGAGAGCAGACUUGAGCAUAUCAAUCUCAAUCAAGGCACUCUCUAACUUAGCCUUAAGCUCAACUCGCUCUCUAGUAGCCUUCUUAAGCAAUUUAUCAUGACUGAUAAGGCAAUCAUUCAGUUCUUCUCCUUCUAAAGCAAGCUGUUCAGGAGUAGGUAUUACCUCAAUUUCUGUGUUGGAGUCGAUGUCGCUGAGGGAGGCAAUCAACGGGCACGCUUUGGCCUUCUUGUGAUGCUCCUUCUACUCACGGUCGGUGUACUUCUUGUUCUUCCUAGUGUCGUCCUUGUUCUUAUGCUUGUUGUAGUUCUACCUGCUCUUGGAUUUGUUCUUGUCGGGGCAAUUGGCUGCGAAGUGUCCUGGCGUCCUAGAGUCAAAGCAGGUGUUGUUGUUCCUUCACUGGUUCUUGUGGUUGUCAUUGAAGCACAUGAAUCGCCAUCUGAUCAAGGCGAGCUCAUCAUCAUCAAGAACCUCCAACUGCUCCUCGGACACUGAAACCAAAUAAGAUAGGGCAAAUGACAUCGAAGAAGAGCCACUCAAAGACUUAGGCUGUCCAGAGCCUGACAUGAGAACCAUACUAUUUUGAUCAGUAGGGCUCCUCUGUUUAGCUCGGAGCCUCUUGUCAACCUCUGUGGGUUUCAACUUAGCAAAGAGCUCAUCAGUGGAAAGCGUCUCAUAAUUUGGUGACUCAAUGAUAGCAUCAACCUUCAUACCCCACACUUCAUGAUCCAAGGCAUGCAGAAGCUUUAAAGCUCUAUCAUGAUCAGUGUAGGGUAAGACGGUGAUAUUUGUUUUCAUCUUGUUCAUAGUAGCCAAGAAAUGCUGAAACAAAGCAUCAGCAGACUUGCCAGGCAAAUGAACAAAGUUCUCAUACUCACGCCUGUAGGUCUCAAAGAGCCUAGCCUUCACCCAACUGUUUCCCUCAUGGAAAUUCUGAAGUUGGGACCAAAUCUCAUGAGCAAGAGUGAGAUCCUCAACUCGAUCAAACUCAGCACGACAAAGGCUCGCAAAUAGAAUAUCAAACGCCUUGUUGUUGGUGUGAUACUUAUCCCUAUCAUCUUGAGAAACACGAGCAGCAGGAAUCACGUAGUUCACAUCCUGAGUGAUUUCCCAAAUCCCUGCUCCCCUACUGUUAAGAUGGGCUUUCCUGCAAGUUUUCCAAUAUCUAUAUAGUCAGUCCCAUCAAAGUGAGGUGUAGCCGUCAAGGAAGAAUGCUCAGAGGUUGCCAUCGUGGGUUUCAAAACCGAUUAGGGUAUUGAGAAACCUUAACCGGCUCUGAUACCAAUUGAAGGACCGGAAAGGCGACCAGAGGGGGGGUGAAUGGGAGCCGAUUCAAAUUUUCUUGAAGAACUUCGGCUAAAAACCCACAAGCCUCUCUUCUAGCAAAAUCAAGUCCACUUAGCUAUGCACAAGCUAAUGGAUCUAGGAAUGAUGCUAGAAACCUAAUUUGAGAAUAGCGGAAGCAAGAAAGAAUCUAAACAAGCUCCGGAAGAUAAACUUUGAAAACCAACAUCUUUGUGCGGAAAAAUCCGAAGGAACCUUCGGAAAAUUCUGAACAUGCGGAAAUUUCCGAAAAAACCUUCGGAAAUUUCUGGAGGUUCGGAGAUUUCCGGAAUUCCAAAACAGCCUGCAUGAAGAUGGAAGAAAAAACCAAAAUUUGAUCAAACGACGUCCAAAAAUCAUGAAAUUCUAACCAUAGAUUCCGUACAACAUAACAAACAUAUUCCCAAAAGAUCUCCUCAAAAAGAUUAUCCAAAUAAAGAGAAUUAAAAAUCUGGUGAAGAACACCGCUUUUUCAACCCUAGAACUUGAAUCGCCCCAAUCUAUGAACUCGUGAGGAGUUAGAUGAAUUUUCCUUUCAUAGAAAGACUUCACUCACAUCCUAGUUCAUUUCCAAAUGAUCGGUUUGAGUCAAGCCUCCCCAGAAAUCACGAAUCGAACAAAAACGUGAGAAGGGAAAAAUGGGAGAAAACAAGAACGCAAAGAACACAAGUGAGAGUUUCAUAAAACCGUCAUCCCCCAACACUCGGAGGACACGAGGAGGUUAGGGCCUCCAUUCCUACAACAAAAACUCAAUUCAAUACAUGAAUUCGAUGCUCAAAACAUCCGAGGACCUCUAGGGAGAGAGUAGAGAGAGAGGAAAAACCAAAUGAAAUCCUAGAGAGAGAGGUAGUGAUAGAGAGGUAGAAGAGGUGCUGAAAACUUCAGCCCCCCAUCUCUAUCUAUAGGUGCGGACAAAAGACUAAAUUACCCCUAUAGCUACUACUAAAUAACGACCCACGCACAGGCAUUUUGGUCCAAGUUUUUGUGCGCUCAUCAGACGAACACACCUCCUUCACGACUUCACUUCGCCUCAACGCAGGCUAUGCGAUGAUACCACGUGCCCUCCUUCUCAAAGCUCCGGCCGCACCGGGCUCACCCCCGGUUUUGAGGCCCAAACUGGGAAACCUGCCAGCGUGGUGGUUUUCAGGCCCAAACCAUCCAAACUGUCCAUCUUCGCUUGGCCACCACGCGACCUCCUCGAUGUCGAUGCAUGUCCGAUCUCUGCGAAGCCUUUGACGCUUCCAAGUCAUCUGCUCCCGACUGCUGGGCUACCUACUUGACUUGCCUCCGUCCUGCUUGACUCAACCGACGCUGUCUCCAUCACCGUCAUGUUGUCUUGAUGUUCCGUGCACCAUGUGGACCACCCAUGACUCCGCCUGGACUCCUCAGGUCCAUCAGUCCAAGCCUACUCACGUUCAUCCUUCACCGCCCUUGGUCCAUCGGCAUGAACCUUUCGCUUGACCUUCACCACAUGCCAUUGGCCAUCACAUGGAAUCCUACACCUGCAAAUCACAAGCCAAGAAUAACAUCAAACCAACACAACAUUUUCAGUCACUCAUCAUCCAAGGAUGACCACCAUUGGUCCUCACUUGUCAAAAGUUCAUUGGUCAUGAUCGGGGCAUAAGUACGGAGCCUCUUCUUUGGCUCGCAUGAUGCUUGGGUCAACUUUGACAGUGAAUGGAGACAUGCCACCAAACUUAUCAUAAUCAUCUAACUGGUCUAUUUUGUCCUCGACUCCCACGAUUUUUCUUUUACCUAGAAGAACUAUGUGGCACUUUGGCUCCCAUGGCUCUUCUGAAUUUUUCUUGGGUUUGCUAGACAUAUCCUUCACAUAGAAAACCUGAUGCACAUCAUUGGCAAAAAUGAAUGAUUCAUCAUUGUAGGUUAGGUCCACUAUCAGGAUUCCGUACUGAUCUUUCGUUAUGCCACCUCCAGUUAGCUUCACCCAUUGGCAACAAAACAGAGGGAUGUUCAACGGUCCGUAUUCGAGUUCCCAGAUCUCCUCUAUGAAACCAUAAUAUGAGUCCUUGCUCCUGUUGUUGUCUAUGGCAUCUAUGCAGACACUAGUAUUCUGGUUGGUGCUUUUCUGGUCUUGAGCUCUUGUGUAAAAUGUAUAACCAUUUAUCUCGUAACCUUGGAAUUUCACAAUUGUGCUAGAAGGUCCCCUAGCUAACCAAGAGAGUUGUUCGGAGUUACCCUUAAGGUGUUGAAGCAACCAAGAGGAAAAAAUAUCCAUGUGAUGAUGUAUAAUCUAGGCACCAGAUUUUGUCAGGUAUUGGGAAAAUAGAAUCUGCUUCUGUUCCUUGAUAUAUGGAGCCACAAAGGAUGAUUAUUGUAGAACAGUGAAGUGUGCUUUGUGGAAAAAAUCAGUAUCAUUGCUCAAACUUGAUUUGCUUCCAAGAGUCCCCGUUCCCUGUAGACUCCCCUCGUGGUAUGAUGUUGGAACCCCAAUCAAAUUAAUUGAGUCAAUAAAAUCAACACAAAACUUAAUGACCUCCUCUGUUUGAUAUCCCUUGGCGAUGCUUCCUUCUAGAUGGGCACGAUUAUGAACAUAGUUUUUUAGGACUAACAUGAACCCCUCGAAAGGCCACAUAUUGUGCAGGAAUACUAGACCAAGAAUAGUAAUAUCUUUGACUAGGUGAACCAGGAGGUGUGUCGUAAUAUUGAAGAAGGAUGAUGGAAAUAUCAACUUAAAGCUGACAAGACAUUGUACCACAUCAUUCUGUAGCUUUACUAGCUUGGUUGGAUCGAUUGCCUUCUGCGAAAUCGCAUUGAGAAACGCGCAUAGCUUUAUGAGCACUAAUUGUACAUUCUCUGGUAGAAUACCCCUCAGUGCAACCGGAAGCAACUAGGUCAUCAGCAUGUGGCAGUCAUGGGUCUUGAGAUUUAUGAACUUUUUUCUUUCAUAUUUAUUAUUCCUUUAUAUUCUAGGUGUACCCAUACCGAGCCUUGAUACUAUUCAUGCAUUCAAACAUGCUAUCCUUCUCAUCCUUGCUGAGAGUAUAACUGGUAGGACACAAGUAGUGCUAUCCAUUAUCUCUCUUUUUUGGAUGUAGGUCAUCUCCUUGCUUCAUACGUUUCAGAUCCUGUCGUGCCUCCAAUGUAUCUUUUGAGUUCCCAUAAACAUCUAUGAAGACUAGCACGUUCACCCAAAAAUUCUUCGUCAGGUGCAUCAUGUCUAUUGCGUUAUGAACCUCUAGGAUUUCUCAAUAAGAUAGCUCCCAAAAUAUAGACUUCUUCUUCCAUAUGGGUGCACGUCCGUUAUCAUUGUUCAGAACAGGUUCGCUACCAAGACCAUUUCCAAAAACUAUCCUUACAUCCUUUAUCAUCUCAAAGACACACUUUCCAUUACAGUGUGCAGGUUUUUUAUGAUGGUCUGGCGCCCCUUUGAAAUGCAUCCCUUUCUUUCUUAACAGGUGGUUAGCAGGGAGAAAUCGAUGAUGACCCAUAUACAAGACCUUUCUACAGUGUUUGUGCAGGCCCGAUAUCCCUUUCUUGUCUGUUGUGAAAGGUUGUAGUAUUUAGUUCUUGCAUUAAACAUGAGAUAAAUAAAUUAUUUGUCAAAGAAAAUACAAUUAUUGUUAAAUUAUAUUGACAUGAAAAAUUGUAGCAAUGACCAAAUUCUAUUUUCUUACACGUACAAUUUAUUUACCUUAAUUUUAUUGCAAUGACUAAAUAUUAAAAACAUAUUUACUCUAUUUUUUCUCAUACCUAAUAUUGAUCAAGUUCUGCUAACUGAUACGAAUCAGAUAUAACAAGCAAGCCAUCCAUCAAAUUCUAGCUCAAAAACAUGUAUAAAUAAAAAUCCUCUCCAUUCUCCCUCAUUCUAAAAAACUCAUUUUUCUCCCUCUCUAAAUCAUAAAACAAAGCAUAAUAACAAUAAAUGGAGGGAGGAUGAAGUAGCUAAUCUUCACAACGCUUUGGAUGAGUGAAAUCCCCAUGGAAAUAAGGAAAAAAAUUCGGCCAGCACCUCCCCUAAUGUUGCUUGCUCGCCAUGGAGAGGAGGCAAAGUGUCUCUGGUGGAGUGGAGUGGCUCAGGCUGGGGGAGGAAGAAGAGCUCUUGGUCUGGUUAUUUUAUAGGGGAGGAGAUUUUGUCUUGGUAGGAAAUUCCAACCGGGACAAAAUACCACCCCUUUUGUCCCUAUUUGUGGUUUUGUCCUGGUUGGAAUUGCCAACCGGGACUAAACCUUUUGUUCUAAUUGGGAGGUCUUUUAUCCUAAUUGGAGUUUCCAACCCGGACAAAAGGGGGGGCGGCGUCGGUGCGAUAUUUCUAACUGUUACAACAAGGACUAAAGGGAGGGGCUUUAGUCCCGGUUGGUAUUUACAAUCGGGACUAACCCCCCUCUCCCCCCCCCCCGCCUCCGGUGGCCUUCGAUGGCACAUUUUUGACCUGGGACUAAAGCCACUUUAGUGACGAGUCCAAUGUUAACCGGGACUAAAGGGGCUCGAUGGCAGGUCAGCUCUCCAGUAGUGUACUCAAGUUCAACCAAGCAACUGGGAUGCUUGCGUCACCCCCGCGUGACUGACUCGGUGGGGCACUCCCGCCCCACCGUCGCCCCUCCACCGACGACCGCCCCUGCUGUGCUGCCACCCAAGUGGGUCGUCAGAAGCCCGUGCAGCCCACGAUGAGGGUGGCGGCGGGGCACCUUCCCUCUUCCUCAGGUGGAUCUAAGCGGGCACGGCCACCAAGCCGCCGAGGGGACUUGCUGGCAUGGGCGGCGUCCCACAGCGACGGAGAUUGGGUGGCCACGGAUCCGACACCGUGCUGGCCAAAUCCAGUGGCUAGACGACUGGUGCGCCCCUGUGGCGGUGGCGGUGGUGGCGAACCGCGGUGACGAUGUCCGGGCGGCCAUGGAUCCAGCCUAGCGCUGGCCAGAUCCGGUGGCUGUGCAACCGGAGCGACCCAAGGCAGUUGCGGCGGCCACUGGCGGCGUUUCGAUGGUGCGUGAGGAGGGCGACGACCGGGGAGGGGGGGCAUAACGCACUGCGCGGCGCCAGCCCAGACAGACGCGAGUGGAGAGCUGGCUGCGGCAGGUGCAGCCCCGUGCAUCCCCGAGGCGGUGGAGUCAUUGGCAGUGGCCAGCUGCGUGUCGUGUCUUCAACGGUGGCGGUGUGGUGUCACGGCUGAGGUCGUCUGCGCAAUGCGUGUUAGCGACACCAUGGAGGCACGGCAGGGACGCCUGGCAUAGGUGCAUACUUGUGGCACUGAGGUGGUGUUGCAGGCGUUGGCGGGCCACCUUCUCCUCGAUUGAGGAGUUACAGAGGCAGUGACGGGAGAGGGAGGUGACUGGGCACUGGUGAACGAUCGCAUGACGACGCAUGGGUGUAAGGUGGCGAUGCCCCGAGGAGACGCUCGACGACGCGUGUGAGGACUAGGGUACAGCUGCGUGAUGCAUGAAGGCGUGGCGGCAAAUGAGCGGAGGUGGAGGUACGGUAGCGUGGUGCAUGGUGGAGUGGCGGCGACGCCACCCCGAAUGGGCUACCAUGAUUGUGGUGAUAAAAGAAACGGAUCCGUGACAUGGAGUAUUGUGGCGGGCAUGGUGAGGCCCCCGCAUGUGGUGUUUUUCUUCGAGGCGAUGAGAGCGAAGUGGAGCCCAACGGCAGAUGUGGCGAGGCCCCCGCAUGUUGUGUUAUCAUGGUGUCAACUGCGUGGCUACCUGCGGGAGGUCCGGAUUCGGUGGUAUCACUCUGUCAGUUGGAGUGUGGUGUUGCAGCGGCACUACAGCAGAGGGUACCACAUGGCAGUGGCUUUCUCAGUGCGGUGCAGCGUGCUCUAUCGGUUCCCUGUCGACGAAUGGCGACGCCUGGAGGUUUUGACAAAUAUAUGAGCGGUGGGUGCCAUGCUAAAGGCUUCGGUUGUGCUGCCGUGGCGAGUGGAGUAGUGAGGCCGCGUUGACAUCCUAUUCUUACCAGUCGGGAGUGGCGGUUGAGUCGAGUAGUUACCCGUGUUGAUGUCCUAAUCCAACCGGGCGAGUCUUUUUUGUUUUUCUUUUUUUCCUGCCUAUGGCCUCUCAGAGCUGUAGUCUUGUAUUUUUCUGCUAUAUUAAUGAAACACGCACUAUCUUGUGGGGUCGGUUGAAAAAGAAUAUACAGUUAAGCAUGAAAAGAUGAUUUCAGAAAAUGCAGAAUGCAUCAUUCAGAACAGCACAGCAAGUUCAGAAACGGUCAGUGGCAAAAAGAUUAGAACUAAUCAAAUGUAUCCUGCAUUCCCACUUCAGUUGAUCUGAAGUCGACUAGGAAUUAACCUGGCGAGUUGCACAUAAUAACUAACCGAUUCGCGGAAUUUUCAAUGCAGAAAACUCGAUUCAGAGGCAAGAAUAAAGGAAAUCGUGAGAUGAGUAUUUCUCUCGCGCUUGACUGGAUGCUUGGCUUGCUUGGGUGGCAGUGGGGGUUGCGUUGGUGAGUGGUCUCUCUCUUAAGUGAUCCGGUAAAAGUCCUUGUAAAACUAGUUAUAUAACAUAUUCAAUCCAUCCAUCCCGAGUUGCAGUUGACUUUAGUUGUAUUAAAUAUCUAUCUUUAAACAAAUUUAUACAAAAGAAUUGGCAUCCGUAACGCUAAAUUAUUUUAAAAAAAAUCACCAUGAAAUGUGUUUUAAUUAUUCAUUAAUCGGUAUUGUAGAUAUUAUUAUAUUUUUUAAUAGCACCAAAGAUGAACAAUUUAGAUGCAAAUUUGGAGAGCUACUUGAGAUUCCGUUUUGCAAUGGGUGUAUAAUUUAGACAAAUAUUAGUGGUUAAUUUGAUUUAUUUUUUAAAAUGGUAGAGGUGUCCAAUUUAAAUAUAGAUAGGGGUUACUUUAGACUAGUUUCACAAAGAAGUAGCGGAUAAUUUGUAAGAAAAGAUAAAAGAUUAAAGAACUAUUAAUAUCAAUGAUUUAUAGGUUCAGAACCCGCCCGCGGUCGCCAUGAGCUCCGCCUGACCUGAACACGACAUGGUCGAGCUGGCAGAUGGUUCGCCCCGACGCAUCCUCCAUCACGUGGCACCUCGAUGUGGGGCUUGGAUCUCUAGCCUUGUGAUGUUGUGGUUGCAUCCGUGUCUCUGUCCAGUUCCUGCCCGACCUCAAGUCCUCAACAGGGGAGUAGUGUUGAUAGUAUUGAUGCACGAGUUGUUGGCUCUGCCGAUCAGGUGACUCCUAGUUGGACUCGGACUCUUACGCAUCUCGUUAUACAUAGAAGAAGGUGCCGUUGGCAAACGCCAAUCGAGGACGUCACGAUGGAUGCACACCAGCAACAGAAGAGUACACAGGCGUCGGCGAGGAAAAGAUCCAUUGUUACACCACCUUACAAUGGCCGGAGACAGCUCGCCUUCAGGAUCCGCCGGCGAGGCUUCACCUUCGAGGGCGGGCCGAGCUUGCUGAUCAUCGACCGCGACGGCAUCUGGUCCGUCGCCCACCGGUGCUACAUCCGGACGACGCGCCACCGCCGGUUCCACGGCCUGAAGGCGGAGCUCGACCCCGUCAGAGCAGGCCACGAGGCGUGGGUCCGCAGGUUCGGGCUGGACACGUGGCCGCAGUACGCCCAGGACGAGGACCUCCGGUCCCUGCGCCGGAAGCUGGCGGGCUUCUACUGGGGCGUCAUGCCGGGGGCCGAGAAGAGGAGGACGGUGAGGUUCUACCGUAGCCGGCGGCGGCGGCGGCGCGCCGCGUGCUUCGCCGCCGCGGUGGUGUGCCUGGCCGUGGCUGGUUUCGUGCUGCUGAGGCUGGUGAUGAUGGGAUUCUGCGGCGUGAGGGUGGGCCUGGUCCUGGGCUCGGGGUACCUUGUCGCGGCGUACCUGCUGGAUAGGGCGUGGCAUGCGUAUGAAGUAUGAACCCUAGUCUACGAAAUAACGAAACUGUGUUCCAUUGAUAUUAUAUUGCACCUUUAAGUUUGUGAAAAUCUUGCCACAUUUCCCAUAGAUAGCUAUCACCGCUGACUUGUAAUUCGGCCCGGCGGUGAAACCAGAGUCUCGGAUCCGAAAUUUUUAUGUGAUACGGUUUUGAGACGCUAUCGUCUGGCGCGAGCCCCCUAUCCUGCCUCGCCCCCACCCCUCCCGGAAUCUCCUCCCCCUCUCCCUCCCUUCUCUUCCUCUCUCAACCUCCUCUACCCGGUCCCCCUACCCCUCCCCCUCUCUUUCGCUCUCAGCCUCCUCCGUCCGGUCUUCUCCUAUCUCCAUCACGGAUCUCUCAUGUCUCCUCCUCUCUCCCCGUCCCGGAUCUCCACGAAGGGGAUGAGGUACGGAGGCAGCCAAGGUGCAAGGCUGCUGCCCCUCAGUUGACGCUCAUUAUUGCCACCUUUUUAAUGCUAUUUAAGUGGUAUUUUAGACUAAAUCUUAUACUAACCCGCAACUUGGUACCUGAAAUAACCUCAUAUUCGCAUAUGUAUUGUGUUUUGAACCAUAUUGCAAAAUUAGAGGAAAUACGACAUAAAGUGAGGGUUUUUGUAAAAGUUGGAUUUGGAUCCAAACUUUGGAUAUUGAAAGACAAAAUCAAGAAUAUUGGACAGCAGACCCGCAGGAGCAGCUGAAUUUGCAUGGGUCAUAUCUUCCUCAUCCGAACUCUGGUUAGAGUGAAUUUGGUGAGAACAUUGCAUGGCUUGAAAAGAUCUGCAACUUUCGUAUGGAGCACUUGGACGUUUGAGGCUUGUAGGGGGCAGGUCGAUCGGCUCAAGAGGCCUAUGUUGAUCGGCCUGGCCCUUUUCUGAGUUGGUUCGACGUGCCCUUCGUCCCAUGGCACCUCUAGCCUAUAAAUAUCUCCAUUCUUCAUCGGCAUACAUAUCCAUCCACCAGAACUUGAUGAAACCUAGGGCAUUCACCAGAGGAAUCUCUUUUGAAUCUUAAGCCAAAGCCCUGGCAGCGCCUCCUUUCUCUCUCUAAAUCUCUAAUCCAAGACAUGCAUCUCCAAAUCCAACACCGCAGCAGAGCACCACAUGUUUGAUCGAUGUUGUGGCUUCGAUAGAGAAGGAAUAAUGUAGCUGUUGGUUCCAUCGCGUUGGAACCGAGCGAUCAGCCUGCGCUAUUGAGCUGGCAGUGGCACCGGCUGACUAGCAGCAGGGCAUGCCGGCCUUCGCUCCUCCCUCAUCGCCACAGGCCCACAGCUGCAUAUGUGUUUGCUUUGCUUUAGUACAGAUACCGUUCUAGAAGAAGGUGCUGAUCAGCUGAUGCAUAUGCAUUUGCUUCAGUCGACAUGCUAUUUCACGGCAGGUCAAUAAGCAAAAUCAGUCCUCUUUAGUUGGAAUGCGCAAAGAAUGGCGUCCCCUUUGGAAUGAGAAUUUUCUCAGUUAAGCAGUGACCUAAUUACGCAGUUGCUACAAUCUAGGCAUGCACGAUUAUUUUUCCUCAUGUAAAGAUCAAAAUGAUACCGUUUUCAAUUUGUCUCGUCCCAAGACAAGUGACUAUGACUAUUUUGAGGAAACAAUUUAAGAAUUUAAGAUAAUUUAUAUGAUUGUAAUUAUAUAGAAUCUUUAUUCGUGAAGAAGAUGUUACAGGGAGUACUAUCAUCAAACCAGACUCAACCUUUCUGCUAACUCAUGCAGCAUAUAUUUUAUAUUAGAAGUGUUACAAUUUCUCUAGCUUCAAAAUUUCAUGUUUCACAUCCUUUAGAAUCCAAUCAAGUGACACUGUCCAACACUCAAAAGGGCACCCUAGCGAUGCACUGGCUAACGCAACGGUCGAAAAUUUGGUGCGGACGGUCCCCAAACCAGUCUCCAUGAGGACCAGCCUUGGAUGGCCGACGCGUGGACAUCCCAGCAAUCCGGGGCCUGCUUGCCCCUGCUCGCCCGGCUCCCAACCGCGACACGAGGACAUGGCGCUCGUCAUCGUACGCGCUAGACCCGGACGUGCUCCCGGCCUUCGUAUCGGCUGUCUCGGACGCGCACCCCCACCGACAGAACAUCGCGCACGGCGUCCCACCAGCGCAGCACCGUGGCCCCGCUCGUCCCACAAAUCAUCGCCGACGCGCUCGGCCGCGUGCGCGAUCAGGGCUCAUCUGUCAGUGCCACACUCGUUGACACCACGCACUCCGGCCUGGCGGCCUGUGAUGGACGCCCUACUCAUGCAAGUCAACAUCACGCCUGAAGCCGAGCCUACACGAGCGCCUGCCAAGAGCCAGCGAACUGCAUGUUAAUUCGAUCCGAUGGAUAGGUCUGCACAGAAACAACUCUGGGGACCAUCACGAUUGAAUUUUCUUCCCAGAUAUCCUACUUAAUGAUCUUUGAUGCUGACCCUGAAUGUCUAGUUCGCUUUGGGCUACCUUCCUUCUACCCGCGCACUCCUUUCUCGGUACGCUCAAAUUUCUAAGCCCUCGGAUUUGAAACAAACGGUUGAGAUCAACUUCUCUUCCUCCUUUUGUCUUCUAACUUGGACAUUCUUAUCCACUCAUCAACGUUGCCCGCACUUUCUCCUCCUCCCACUCAUUAGCUGGAGUCAAAGAUGAAUGUCGCGCCCUCUUCAAACACGACGGUGGGCUUAAUGAUAACUGAAGCCAUUGAGUUCGCCAGCGGAUCUUUAGCGAGAUCCCCUACCUAGCACGCCAGUUGUCAGUGUUUAGACUUGGCAACCUACUGAGGGGGUACUCGAGGUAGUGUUUUGUGCAUGGGGCUCGCCGAAUACUAGGAACUCGAAGUUGAACUCAAACACACCACUACUAGAAAAAUGAGCAUUCAUCCCGAGGCUUAGUACCGGUUGCAUUUUGGCUCAGUACUAAUGUAAGCAUUAGUAGUGGGCCUAACAGCUAGUCCCCAAGGGACCGCCCGUGAGGCCCUUUAGUACCGGUGCACAUUUGUACUGGUUGGUGCCCCCAACCGGUACAAAUGCGCCACCCACCAAUUAGUACCGGUUCGACGCACAAACCGCUACUAAUGUGCCACCCCCCUUUAGUACCGGGUGGGAGCACCAACCGGUAUUAAAGUUCCUCCUAUAAAUCCCCUCCUUCUUCCUUCUGCCCGAGCUAUUUCCUCUAGCUCAAGCUUCACCCUAUCCAUGGCGAAAUAGGGGGAGGUGCUGCCGGAUUUGUGACCAUUUGUAGGGGGAUUCCACUCAUUCAAGUGUUCUAAAGGUUAGAAACUUCAUCCUCCCUUGAUACAUGGUUAGUAUAGUAAGUUUUAUACUUUAGAGCUAGUAGUUUAUGAUUUUUAGAAUAAGAUAUAAUGGAGAAAUUUUUCAUUUAUAUGAAUGUGUUAUUUAUAGCUCAUAUUUAUUUUUUUAAAUAUAUGCACCAUUUUGUAUAGGAAAUUGUAGGAAAUCAUGUUAACUUAGAAAAAAUUCUUGAAGUAGCUAGAAUUUAUAUAAAAUCAUGUUAAUUCUUAGAAAUGUAUAAAAUAAGUGAAAAUUACAUCAUGUUAAUUUAGCAUUUAUGUUAUAAAAUUGUAGAAAAUAAUGUUUAUUUCUCGUUAAUUCAAGAAUUUUUCUAUAUUCUCUAGCUAAUUCACCAUUUUUACUACAAUUUCUAUUUAAUUCAUAUACUGCAGAAAUAGAAAAAGAAUUAACCACAGCUCAAGCUUCACCUUAUCCAUGACGCCAUAGGGGAGGUGCUGCCAGAUUUGUAACCAUUUCUUGGGGAUUUCACUAAUUCAAGUGUUCUAAUGGUUAGAAACUUUAUCCUCCCUUGAUACAUGGUUAGUAUACUAAGUUUUAUGCUUUAGAGCUAGAGUAAUUUGUGAUUUUUAGAAUAAGGUACAAUGGUGAAAAUUUUCAUUUACAUGAAUGUGUUAUUUAGAGCUCAUAUUUAUUUUUUUAAAUAUAUGCACCAUUUUCUAUAGGAAAAUGUAGGAAAUCAUGUUAACUUAGAAACAAAUUCUUGAAGUAGCUAGAAUUUAUAUAAAAUCAUGUUAAUUCUUAGAAAUGUAUAAAAAUAAGUGAAAAUUACAUCAUGUUAAUUUAACAUUACGUUAUCAACUUGUAGAAAAUAAUGUUCAUUUCUCGCUAAUUCAAGAAUUUUCUAUAUUCUCUAGCUAUUUCAACAUUUUUACUAAAAUUUCUAGUUAAUUCAUCUACUGCAGAAAUAGGAAAAGAAUUAACCAUAGCUCAAGCUUCACCCUAUCUGUGGUGCCAUAGGGGAGGUGCUGCCAGAUUUGUGACCAUUUCUUGGUUAUUUCACACAUUCAAGUGUUCUAAUGGUUAGACACUUCAUCCUCCCUUGAUACAUGGUUAGUAUACUAAGUUUUAUGUUUUAGAGCUAGAGUAAUUUGUGAUUUUUAGAAUAAGGUACAAUGGCAAAAAUUUUCAUUUAUAUGACUAUUAUUUAGAGCUCAUAUUUGUUUUUUUAAACAUAUGCACCAUGUUGUAUAGGAAGUUGUAGGAAAUCAUGUUAACUUAGAAAAAAAAUUCUUGAAAUAGCUAGAAUUUAUAUAAAUUCAUGUCAAUUCUUAGAAAUGUAUAAAAAUAAGUGAAAAUUACAUCAUGUUAAUUUAGCAAUUAUGUUAUCAAAAUGUAGAAAAUAAUGUUCAUUUCUCGCUAAUUCAAGAAUUUUUCUAUAUUCUCUAGCUAUUUCAACAUUUUUACUAAAAUUUCUAGCUAAUUCAUAUACUGUAGAAAUAGGAAAAGAAUUAACAUGAUUUCAGUUUAAUGAUAUUUUUUUCAUAUUUUUUAUGUUUCAUUUAUAAUUGUAUGGAUGAUCAGAAUAUCUUUGGUUCGGUAAUAUUUUGUAGAUGGAUGGACAAUGGAUGUACAACGCAGACAAACGUUCCAUGGAGUAUAUUAAUGGCUUGCGUGAUUUUCUCGAUCAGGCAAAAUCCAACAAACUAUGGUUCGGUUUCAUUUGUUAUCCAUGCAGAAAUUGCAUAAAUAAGAAGGAUUACUCAUCCAAAAAGACUAUUCACGCCCACAUAUACAGUUCUUGAUUCAUCCCUAACUAUUUUGUUUGUAUCAAGCACAGGAAAAGAGGAGUUAUGAUGGAUGAUGAUGAUGAAGAAGAAGAUGAAAACAUUCCUGAAUGGAUUCAAGGAAGUGCCUUUGUAGAUGCUCCAAUGGGCGAGGCAGAAGAUCCUAUCGAUGAUCUAGGUCAGGUGUUGCGAGAUUCAAAGGAAGACUGCGAGAAUGUGAACGAGUCAAAAUAGUUCGAGCAUAUGUUAGAUGAUCAUAAGAAAUUGUUGUACCCAGAUUGCAUACAAGAGCACAAAAAGUUGGGUACCACACUGGAAAUGCUGCAAUAGAUGGAAAAAAUGGAGUUUCUGACAAGGGUUUUGAUGAGUUAAUGAAAAUCAUAAAGAACAUGCUUCCCGAGGGGAACAAAUUGCCAUCCUCAAAGUACGAAGCAAAAAAGAUUGUUUGCCCUUUGGGUUUGGAGGUACAAAAGAUACAUGCAUGUCCUAAUGACUGUAUCCUCUAUCGCGGUGAGGAAUACAAGAAAUUGGAGGCUUGUCCUGUGUGCAAAGCGCUGCGUUAUAAGAUCAGGCGAGAUGACCCUAGUGAUGUUCAGGGGCAUGCCACCAUGAAGAAAGUUCCUGCAAAGGUAAUGUGGUAUAUCCCUAUAGUACCACGGUUGAAGCGUUUGUUCAGAAACAAGGCACAUGCAAAGUUGAUGCGGUUGCACAAAGAAGAACGUAAGCAAGAUGAAAUGAUCAGACACCCCGUUGAUGGCUCCUAGUGGAAAACAGUUGAUAGAGAAUUUCCCGAGUUUGAAAAGGAUGCAAGAAACAUACGGUUUGGUUUAAGUACAGAUGGAUUCAAUCCAUUCGGUGAGUUCAGUAGUGGUCAUAGCACUUGGCCUGUGACCUUAUGUAUGUUCAACCUUCCGCCUUGGAUGUGCAUGAAGCGGAAGUUCAUUAUGAUAUCGAUAAUUAUCCAAGGCCCAAAAUAAACUAGCAGCAAUAUUGAUGUUUACCUAAGACCGUUGGUUGAUGAACUUAUACUAUUAUGGAAGAAAGAAGGUGUACGUGUGUGGCAUGAGGACAAAAAUGAGACUUUUAAUCUACGAGCAUUGUUGUUCAUAACCAUCAACGAUUGGCCAGCGCUUGGUAACCUAUCCGGACAAUCAAACAAGGGAUUUCGAGCCUGCACACACUGGUUAGAUGAUACUUGCAGCAUGUAUUUGAAACACUAUAGGAAGGUCGUGUAUACGGGCCAUCAUUGAUUUCUUCCUGCUAAGCACCUGUUAAGAAAGAAAUGGAAGCAUUUUGAAGGAGAGGAAAAAAUGUACUAAGCCCGUUCACCGUAAUGGUAAACGUGUAUUUUCUAUGAUAAAGGAUGUGAGGAUAGUCUUUGGCAAGGGCUCUGGAAACCAACCUGUUCCGAACGACGAGGAUGGAAAUGCACCCAUGUGGAACAAGAAGUCUAUAUUUUGGGAGCUAGCUUAUUGAGAAGUCCUUUAGGUCCGUAAUGCAAUUGAUGUGAUGCACCUGAUGAAAAAUCUUUGUGUGAAUGUGCUUGGCUUCCUGGGUGCAUAUGGAAAGGCAAAGGAUACAAUUGAAGCACGUCGGGACCUGAAACGUAUAAAACAACGAGAUGGCCUACAUCCGGAAAAGACAGAUGAUGGGUAUUACUUGCAUCCUGCCAGUUACACUCUCAGCAAGGAAGAGAAGGAAAACAUGUUUGAGUGCUUGAAUAGUACCAAGGUCCCAUCGAACUACUCCUUAAAUAUAUAGGCAUUAAUAAAUUUUAAACAAAAGAAAUUCAUAAAUCUAAAGGCUCAUGACUGCCAUGCCCUGAUGACACAAUUGCUACCUAUUGCAUUGAGGGGUAUUCUACCAGAGAAUGUGAGAAUGACAAUUGUGAAGCUAUGUGCAUUUCUCAACAUGAUUUCUCAUAAGGCAAUCCAUCCAAAAAAUCUACUAAAGCUGCAGAAUGAUGUGGUGCAAUGCCUUAUCAGCUUUGAGAUUGUCUUUCAACCUUCCUUCUUUAAUAUCAUGACCCACCUUCUAGUACACCUUGUUGAAGAGAUUUUUGUUCUCAGUCCUCUAUUUCUUAAUAAUAUGUGCCCUUUCGAGAGGUUUAUGGAAAUUCUGAAGAAGCAUGUUCGUAACCGUGCUCGUCCGAAAGGAAGCAUCACAAAAGGAUAAGGAAUAGAGGAGGUCAUUGAGUUUUGUAUUGACUUUAUUGAUGACCUGAGUUCGAUUGGAGUCCCUAUAUCACGCCAUGAGGAGAGACUGAAGGGAAAGGGCACACUAGGGAGGAAAGUUUGGAUGGACAUUGAUAAGGAUACAUUUCAUAAAGCACACUUCACGGUCCUGCAACAAUUAUCCCUGGUCACUCCAUAUAUGGAGAGCACAGGGCUAUUGUACGGUCCUCAAACAAAUGGAAGACUGAGGCGUGGAUUACACGUCAUCACAUUCACACUUUCACCUCUUGGUUGUGACGACAACUGAUGGGUGAUGAUAAAAUUGAAGAACAACUAGCAUGGUUGGCUAGGGGUCCAUCUAUCUCAGUAUCGAUAUUCCAAGGAUACAGGAUAAAUAGGUACACAUUUUACACCAGAGGCCAAGAUCAAAAGAGCACAAACCAAAAUAGUGGUGUCUAUAUAUAUGCAAUAUACAACAAUGGAAAAAAGAUAGAUACUAUGGUGUCAUUGAGGAGAUAUGGGAACUCGACUAUGGAUCUUUGAAAAUCCCUCUGUUUCGGUGCCAAUGGGUGAAACUUACUGGAGGAGGCAUAACGACAGACAACUAUGGGAUGACACUAGUAGACCUCAACAAGAUUGGAUAUAGAGAUAAACCAUACGUCCUAGCCAUUGACGUGACUCAAGUUUUCUACAUGAAGGACAUGUCAAGCAAACCAAUAAGGAAGGGUGCUAAUAAGUCAGAUGACCAGCCAAAGCGCCACAUAGUUUUUCCAGGGAAUUGAAAAAUUGUUGGAGUUGAGGAAAAGACUGACAUUUUAGAAGAUUAUGAUCGGUUCGAUGAUCUUCCUCCAUUUUCAGUCGAGGUUGAUCCAAGCAUCCCGUUAGCCAAAGAGGACACUCCAUACUUACGCCACGAUCACAACCAAGGGAUGUUCAUCAAAAGGAGGGUUAUUAACAUCCCAUUAGAUGAUGUUGGGUAAUGUAUUUGAACCAUUAUGUUGUGUUUUUGGUUAUCAACAAAGAAAUUAAUGUAAUACCCUUAAUUAUGAAUGGUUAGAUCUUGUUUAUACUUUAUACCACUAGGUGAUGGUAUUGUGCACCGUAAAAGAGAUCCUAGUUUAUAAACAAAAGUAAAAAAGAAUAAAUGUAAGAACCUUUGUUGCCCAAGCAGGGCUGGCUUUAGUUGUAGAGUUAAAUUGUCUGGUCAAUUCGUCACUCUGCAUUUGACAUUGCUUAAGCACAUAUCUCUGCAUUUGACCUCGCUUAAAGACUUGGCUCUGUGCUUGACCUUGCUCAAGCACAUCUCUCUGCAUUUGACCUAGCUUAAAGACUUUGCUUUGCAUUUGAUCUUGCAUUUCUUAUGGACAUAGAUGGCCUUUGAUAAGUUGCCCUCUUCAAUGGACACAAGUCUUCCUUUUAGAUAAUAUACCAUCGGACCAUGAAUCUGAAAUAGGAGGAAAACAAUGCCAGUGUGAUGCAAUAGAUGUUACAUAAUGUAAACUAUAUUACCUCCUCAUUCGUUCUAAACGAAUGGCAGAAAAUGCAUUCAUCUUCGAAUAAGUUGAUUGGAGUUAGCAAUCUCUUCAAUUCAGUAGUACCUCCAAUUCGAAUAAGUUGAUUGAACAAUACUAUUUGCAAAAAUCUCACCCUAUUAAACAUGAACUAAUUUUUGCAUGGUUAAAAUAUUAAAUAUUUCAAUUUUUUUAGCACCAUUAAAUAUUAAACAAAAAAUUUACGUACCUAAACAAGUACAUGAUUAAAUCAUGAUAAACAUGUUAAUAACACUACAGGCACUAUUCUUCUAAUUUUUGCAUGGUCAAAAUAUUUAUUUUUUUGAAUUUUAAAGUUACCAUAUGUAUUAUGACCAUUAUAACCUAUUACUAAGUUAAAAUCAAUAACUUUACCAUGUUUGAUAUUUGAUCGCAUCUGACAUUUUUAUAGUGUAUAUCUAAUAAACAUGAAGCUACCAAAUUGUUUUUCCAAUUUUUAUGAAUGUUAUUUGAUUUACUACGCAAUAAAUUAAUACAAUAGCAAUUGUAAAAGAAAGAAAAAUAAAAAGAUGUUUGGGUGGGAAACUAAAACAGGAGUAUGCAACCCCUUUAGUACCGGGUGGUGGGAACCCGGUACUAAAGGCCUCCCCUUUAGUACCGGGUGUUCCCACCACCCGGUACAAAAGGGCCUUUAGUAUCGGCUCCCCUUUUUGCCCAGUACUAAAAGGGGAGGGGGGUUAAGGCUGGCGCCCCUUCUUCUCCCUCAACACUUAGGCGCAUUUUGCACGUCCUCCUCUCGCUCGAUCCGCCACCGUCGCCUCCUCGCUUCAUCCGCUGCUGCUGUGCCCCCUCAUCGCCAUUGUUGUCUCGCCGCGUGGGCCCCUCCUCACCUCAUCGUCGCCCGACUCUGCCACCUCGGGUCCCCGCGCCCCCCGUCGCCACCCUGUCGUUGCCACCUCCACGUCACUGUCGGUGUCUUAGACCGGCAACUCGCCUAGGGGGUACCCUAUGUGGUCUUUUGUGCAGUAAGGGCCAUCGAGAAUCAAGGAGUCGAUGGUGAUGCAAGGAACACGAUUUAGAUAGGUUCGGGCCGCUAGAUCGUGUAAUACCCCACGUCCUGUGAGUUGGUUGUAUUGAUCUUAGAUGUACUGGAGUUGUCCUUGAGGGGGGUCCCUGCACACCCUUAUAUACACGGGAGGGCAGGGUUACAAGUCUGAAUCCUAGUUGAGUACAAUUACAGAGUUCUACUCGGUAUGGUCCGAGUAGUUUCCAUAUACAUACUUAACUAGUCCGAGUGGGAUAAGCCUAUCCCCUUGUCUUGAUCAUGUCCGAGUACAUCCCUUAAUGGGUCAUUCAGGGCCUACUCGUAGGCCUGGGGUGCAUGCCCGACAAGCCCCCGAGUACUUUGUAGUCGUGCGCCACAGUCUCGAGUACUGUGGGCACCAUUCGAGUACUUCGUAGAGGCUGUAGUGUCCAAAGUGCUCGAGUACUAUCGCAUGGCUGGAAGGUAAUCUUCUUGUUCCUUUGAGUUGCUCUAUUCCAAGAAUUUUAUGGUAGUGCGAUGACAAUCGCACUCCAUAUGGAGUAGCCCCCGAGCCUUAGGUUGAGUCAAAGAGUCAGGCUUAGGGUCAAUCCUGCUUCUUGGCUAUUUUACUCUGGUAAUCUAAAAAAGAAAAUUCUGAUCAUCGGGUACAAUACCCGCAACCCCCGAGCACUUAGGCGAUUUUUUGUCGAUGAAGUGGUCAAAACCUGUUGAUAGGAGUAGCCGUUGGGUGUUAUGGUAAUAAAUCUAUUUCAAACCUGACCGUUGCGUAACUGACGCUUAGAAUCCGGAGGUGAAGGAGAUAUAACAGAAAGGUCCCCCUUUUGGUUAGGGUUACGUUUCAUUUCAACAGAUCUAUUUUGUCCCCUUUUCCCCCGCUUUUUUGUUCCUCCUUGCGCCACCGUGAUUCUUCAGUGCCACCACCACCAUUGUUGUUGUUCUUUGAGAGAAAUCUGAGGUUGACUUCCUUGCUGCAGCAAAGAUCAUCUGAUGUGCACCAAGAAGAUGGGGAAGAAACCCGAAAAAUCUCAAGGCGACGCUCCGGCGGCGGCUAAGGUGAGAUCCAAGAUGAAGAAGGGAAAGGAGCUGGCAUUGCCGGCGCCAAAGGUUGGUCCAACGAAUCAGACUGUGCCGCCAUCACCUGGAAUUACUUGGCAGAAUUCGGUGAUGAAGGAGGCUGCCAUUCAGGCGCUUGUUGAUUCCAAACUUCUGCAGCCAAAGGAGGUACUCGAGUGGAGGACUGCCUUUGCUAACGCGUGGCAGUUCAAGAAGCAUCCGAACGAGAAAGUCAUGCUCACUCACUUUGUGGAAAGGGGAUUGGUGGUGCCUACCUCCGACUUCUUCAGAGGUAUCCUUGAGUACUCCAAGCUUCAGCUGGUUCACUUGAACCCCAAUAGUGUUCUUCAUAUAUCUAUUUUUGUACACUUGUGUGAGGUCUAUCUGGGAGUUCCUCCUAGCCUUAAGCUAUUUAGGAAACUAUUUCGUUGCAAGCCUCAGCCUAGUGCUAUUAGGAUAGAGGUUUUUGGAGGGGCCAGGUUCCAACUUAGGAACUCGGGCACCUAUCUUGAUUAUAAUUUGACAGAUUCCCAUGGUGAGUGGAAAAGGAAGUGGUUUUACAUUGGGAACCAUAGUCCUUGCUUGCCGGUAGUUACUGGUCACGCCCCCAAGCAUGCGGAGAACUGGGUGAGCGAGCCUGAAGAUACCCUAGAGCUCGACCACUUGCUGACCCAGAUUGCUGAGUUGAAGGCACUGGGUUUAACUGGAAUUAAUGUGGCAGCCAGCUUUCUUAAGAGGAGAGUUCAGCCUCUGCAGAAACGGGCUCACUCGGGUUGGGAGUACUCGGGAUUUGAUGACCAGUCACGUAUGUCUACUGAGGAUAUUUCCGAUGAUGAUGUGGAGGCACUGUUGGCCAAGUUCUUCAGAAAUUAUCAAGGAGUACCCGUUAUUCCUUCAACUCUUCGCCAAUUCGAUGCUUGGUAUGGAUCAUCAAAGGUAUGUUUUUUGUCUGACCUCUUUUUUUUUUGAGAUGUUGGAAUAUUAUUUGUGUAACGACUUAUUCUGUAGUCCUGAGUUCUCUCCGGAUACCUGGUGUAUUCAAAGGAAGAGUCUGCCGCUGAAGAGUCAGAAGAUGAGCCUUCUCCUCCUGCGAAGAAACGCCGAGUAGUUCGCAAGAGGUCUGCUGCUAAGUCUGCCUCGACUUCAACUCCUGAGAAGUCUCAGGGUGCCAAGGUAUGUAGUCAUGUAUUCACUGGUAACUGGUAGGGUCUAUCCUAUAGCCUUUUGAUCACUUUAUUUGUCUGAAAAGGUUGACGAUGCGACUCUUGGUGACGAUGAGGCUACAUCCGAUGAGGUAGCCGCGGCCACCAAGGACGUAGGUGUUGCGUCUGUUGAAAAGGUACCAGGGGAGGUGCUGCCAGUGGAUGCUGGAGUAGCCCCCGAGCCAACAGGCCAGACUCCGUCGGCUACCGUGUUGCCGGUCCCUAACCAGGCAGUUCUAGGUUUGCCUGCUAGGGUUUCGGAUGUUGCGAAAGGGGUAUCGCCAGUAGUUGCUACUGGCUCUUUAUUAUCCAAUGUGAUCGCUAGUGGUGAGCCUUCUCCCCGACUAUUUUUGUUAGUUUGAGUUUAUUGUAGUCUUGACCCUAUUUUUGCAGGACUUAGCGAAAAAACUGCACCUGCAGCUACUCCUGUGGUGCCGAGUACUCGACCGUCUGUUGCUGAGAAAAAAUGUGUGCGAUUGCCGCCACGAUCAACUCAGUGAGUUUUUUAUUCUUGGUUUGUAUCUUCAAGUCUCCUGGAAGUCAUGUGAUGACUUUGUAUUUUAAUGUAGGGAUGCAGAGGAGACUGUCCCUGUAGAGGCAUGAGUAGAGUCUUGUCCCUCGACUACUCUUUCUACUCCUUUGGAUGAUCUAUCUGUUGAUGAUGUAUCCGGAGUUGAUGCUAGUCGUCUUGGUGCCACCAUGUCCAUGCUUCAGGAAGUGAUCCGCUCGGUGGAGGAUCCUUCAGUUGCUUCAGGUUCUGGUGGUGUACCCUUGUCGACGUCUACUAGCUGUGUCCUGGUUGUGGUUGAUAAGACCAAAGAGACAGCUCUGCUGGGUAUGUACUCGGGGUAGUGAUAUUGUAGUCGUUGUUUUUGUUUGACUCAUGUUCGUCACUUUUAGGUACAGCCUUGGGUACGGUUCCAGCUCCUCAUGUUGUAAAGAGUGCUCAAGGUCCGGUACUCGGGCUUCCAUCAGAGUCAGAGUUUCAGAGAGCUAUGCAAAGCUUUCAGGUAUGUUAUUUCUCUUAUCUGUCUAUUUGUUGCUAAGAGACUUGACCCUUUGCUUUUCUUUGCAGGAUCUGUACGACAGGACUCAGAGGAAUGCUUGGGCCCUUCAUGAACGGAAUGAACAAUUGGAGCGGGAGUGUGCCCGGCUUACAGAAUCUUUGAGGGUUCAUGAAGACGCUGCGAAGUCCUUCGCCAUUGAGCGGUCAGAUCAUGAGGUUUUGCAAGAGAAACUGGAGAGCCACUAUAAGUCUUUGAAUAAAAAGUAUCAAGGUGAGUACUUUCCAUUCCUUGGGUAUAUCCAACUGUAGUCGGUUUUUUGAACUUGUUUGUUUUUGUAGAUCUCAAGAGGAAAGAGGAUGAUGCGAGUAGUCAGCUCCUUGACUGGAGGAACGCGCAUGACCGGGUAGCCGAUGAGGCUAAUCUUCUUCGGGCUGCGCUGGCUGAAGCACAGGCUGCCUGCGAGCAUCAGCGGGAUAGGAAGAACCAAAAUGGAGUGAUGCUUGCUGUGGCCAUGGUGGCCUGUAGGGAUCAUGGCCAGACCAUAGGAAGACUUCGAGGCGAGCUUCAAGAGCUAACUGAUGCCGCUUAGGACUUGGUGAAUGCCAAUGCCCCUCUUGAAGAGGACGCAAGACCACAUUCACUAGUCGAGCGCUUGAAGGCUGCUCCGGGUAAGGUGGCUGGCCUCUGCAAGGCUGUAUGUAAACAAGUCCUUGUUGUGGUCAAGUCGUAUUACCCGGGAGCAGAUUUGACGGUGGCUGGUGACGGCGUUGCUCGCAACUGCACGGAGGAGGCUUAUACGCAGUACCUCGAGUAGGCUAAACCAAUUGCAUCGAAGAUGUCUGAUUUUAUAUCUUUGGAGGAGCCUUAGGCCUUGUGUACUUUUGUAGGCUUCCGAGUACUUGGAACAAUAUUUUGUUUGAAAAAUGAACACUUGUCCAUCCUUUGUUAUUUGGAGCGGUUUCGAGUGCUGAGUUUGAGUAGUCACGCUGUUGUCGAGUACUCUGCUUGUUAUUCUUUGAUGGGGGGUGCACGGGUGUACUGUACUCUUUUGUCCUUUGUAGCGUGAAUGCUUUCAUGUGGGCAUAGUCAGAGGUCAUCCAGACUCGUCGAUCACGGGCGAAUAGUAACUCCUGGGUGGUUGGUGGUUGCAGCGCUUGGCUAUAAAUAGACCGCCAUGGAGGUCGACCCGAAUCAGGCUUUGAGUAGCGAUGGAUUGCCUUCGGUUGCUGUUGUUUGAGUGUAGAGAGCCUUCAAAGAGUACACCGGUGCUAGAAGAUUCCUCGUAGAUUGGAGCCACCUUCCCUCCAUAGACUCUAGCACUUGUAGGGAUAGCCACGAUACUAGAAGAAUCCUCGUAGGAGGGUGCAUCGCGCGCCUCAUCUUGCAGCUCGUGAUCUAGCCAGGUACGCGCUGGAACUCGCGAGUGAUGGCUGAUGAGUGCCACGGUCUUUAUCCCGCUCUCUUAGAGGUGGAGGUAUGGCCACAGUGUGGGAUGGUUCGACAAGGCUAGCAAAAGAGCAGCCUUGUUACCUUCUUUGCGCAACACGCGAGAUUCAUCGUUGCCGCUGUCGAGGUAGCAGUGAUGCAGGAGUUCCUGGUGCUGCCUUGGGUAGAGGACCUAGAUAUGGCUGCGUUUUGCGCAGCUUCCUUACGUGUGGGCCCUUCCCAUUGUAGUCGGCAGACCUUAGUGGCCUUGUGAUAUUGUAAAAGCCUAAGGCUUAAAUGCAGCCCGCCAAUAGGCAAUUGCUUGUAGUCCAUUUGUAUUGUAUUUUGAGUACCCUUACUCAUAUGUAACUUUUGAUUUGUCCUCGGACUUGAGUAAAAAAUUGUUCUGCCUUUGAGACUUUGUGCCAAAGCUGGGAUGCCUAUUUUUGUAGUCUUGUGUCGAGAGUAGUAUAUUUUGUAGUCGGUAGUCGAGCUGUUGGCUCAAGUAGUUGAAAUGAGUUUCUGCUUGAAGCAAUAACUCGAGUUCUUUUGUCUACUACGGGUAGUAGUGACAGAGAUAUUCUAUAUUCCAAGAGUUUGGUACUUGUUCUCCUGAAAGUUCUUGUAGUAUGUAAGAUCCGGGCCCUAUAACCUUGGAUACAAUGUAAGGACCUUCCCAUGGUGAAUUGAGUUUAUGCAAUCCAAUCGUGUCUUGAAUUCAUUUGAGGACCAUGUCGCCUAAGUUGAAAGAUCGUUCCUUGACAUUGCGGUCGUGGUAUCAUCUUAACCCGUCAAGGUAUCUGGCUGAUUGGACUAAUGUUGCGCAUCUUGUUUCUUCUAGGCUAUCCGAAUCCGUGCAUCUUGUUUCCUCUGCCAUUUCUUCGUCAUAUUGUUCUACUGAAGGAGAUUGCCACAUGAUGUCCGCGGGUAGUAUAGCUUCUGAGCCAUAUACUAGAAAAUAGGGAGAGAGCCCAGUAAUCUUGCAAGGUUGGGUUCGUAGUCCCCACAGAGCGUUAGGUAGUUCCUUAAGCCAUUUGCCUCCUUUUGUAUUGCCAACGUCGUGUAGUCUUUUCUUGAGAGCUUCGACUAUCAUUCUGUUAGCACGCUCGACUUGUCCAUUUGCUCGUAGGUGAGCGACUGAGACGUAGCGGACAUCAACUCCACUAUUCUCGCAGUACUCCCAUAAGUCAUGAUUGUUGAAGUUGGACCCUAGGUCUGUGAUGAUUCUGUUUGGAAAGUAGUAACGGUGUACGAUUUCAUCCAAGAAGUCGAGGACUCGGUCUGCCUUGGGGCAAGUGACUGGUUUGACCUCAAUCCACUUGGUGAAUUUGUCGAUGGCCACGAGUACUCGGUUGAAUCCUCCUAGCAUAGUUGGUAAUGGCCCUAUCAUGUCUAACCCCCAGCAAGCAAAAGGCCAUGUUGGAGGUAUUGUGACUAGCUUGUAGGCAGGGACAUGUUGCUGUUUGGUGAAGAAUUGACAGCCUUUGCAUUUUCGAACUAACUGUUUCGUGUCGGCCAAAGCCAUCGGCCAGUAGAAACCUGCUCGAAAAGCCUUGCCUACUAUUGUUCAUGAGGAUGCAUGGUUGCCACAGAUCCCCUUGUGAAUUUCUUCUAGGAUUUCUUGGCCAUCUUCAUGGGUAACACACUUCAUGAGUACCCCUGAUGAUGCACUUUUUCUAUAGAGCUUGUCUCCGACUAGAACGUAGUUUUUUCCUCGUCGGGAAAUUUGCUCAGCUUGAUUUUUGUCAGAAGGUAAUUUGUGGUCCUUGAUGUAGUCGAUAAAGGGUGUCCUCCAGUCAAUUUUUAUCAUCAUGAUUUCUCGAGUGACUUCUGUAGUAUGGACUACCGGUGGUGUCACUUGUUCUGGUAUGGACGGCUUGUGGAGUUCGUGGACAAAAAUUCCUACUGGAACUUCUGCACGAGUUGAGCCCAUUUUUGAUAGUACGUCGGUGGCUACGUUGUUGUCGCGGACGAUAUGGUGAAAUUCCAAGCCUGAGAACUUGUUUUCUAGUCUGCAGGACUUUUUUGCAGUAAGCGUCCAUGUUAUCCUUGUUUCGAUCCCAUUCGUCAUUGACUGGGUUUAUAACUACUAGUGAGUCACCGUAUACCAGUAGUCUUUUGAUGCUGAGGGAAAUUACAAGGCGAAGGCCGUGUAGCAGUGCUUCGUACUCGGCUUUGUUGUUUGAGACUUCCUAGAAGAUUUGCAGUACGUAUUUGAGUUGGUCUCCCUUUGGGGAGAUGAGGAGUACGUCUGCACCAGCCCCUUCGAGUUUGAGGGAUCCAUCGAAAUACAUUACCCAGUGCUCUAGCCUCGACUGGUGUUGGUACCUGAUUUUUAGUCCAUUCAGCCACGAAGUUGACCAAAGCCAGGAAUUUGAUAGCUGUCUUUGGUUUGAAGUCCAAGGUUAGAGCUCCGAGUUCAACUGCCCAUUUGGAGAUUCUACCCGUGGCAUCUCUAUUGUGGAGAAUUUCGCCGAGCGAGAAGUCAGUGAUGACUGUGAUGCUGUGUUCUUGGAAAUAAUGGCGCAGCUUUCGUGAAGUAAGCAGGAUUGAGUAUAGGAGUUUUUGUAUCGGCGAGUACCGAGUUUUGGAGUCCGAGAGUACUUCACUGACGAAGUACACAGGUCGUUGGACUUUGUAAACAUGUCCUAGCUCAAACCGUUCAACUACUAUUGCCGUGCUGAUGACAUGAGUAGUAGCUGCUAUGUAUAGGAGCAAGUCCUCGUUUGGAGAUGGAGCAGUGAGGAUUGGAGGCUUUGACAGAAAGUCUUUGAGUUGUGUUAAUGCCUUUUCUGCCUCUUCUGUCCAUUUGAACUUGUCCUAUCGUUUGAGAAGCUUGAAGAAGGGUAGUCCUCGUUCUCCAAGUCUCGAGAUAAACCGAUUGAGGGCUGCCAUGCAGCCUGUGAGUUUCUGCAUAUCCUUGAUGCUAGCUGGUGCGUGCAUGUUUGUGAUAGAAGAUAUUUUCUCUGGGUUGGCCUCAAUGCCGUGAUGGCUAAUGAUGAACCCGAGUAGUUUGCCAGAAGGUACUCCGAAAAUGAAUUUGGUAGGAUUGAGUUUCCAUCGGAAAGCUCAUAAACUUGAGAAGGUUUCCUCCAAAUCGGCGAUAAGUUCCUCUUGGUUUCUUGUUUUGACGACUACGUCAUCCACAUAAGCUUCAACAUUACGAUGUAAUUGUUUUUCGAAGCACAGCUGUAUAGCUCGUUGAUAAGUUGCCCCUGCGUUUUUAAGUCCAAAUGACAUUGUUUUGUAGCAAAAAGCCCCAAAUGGUGUGAUGAAGGCUGUUUUAGCUUGAUCUUCUUCUUUGAGGUUUAUCUAAUGAUAGCCUGAGUAACAGUCGAGAAAGCAUAGUAGAUCGCACCCAGCAGUAGAGAGGACUACUUGGUCGAUCCUUGGUAAUCCAAAAGGGUCUUUUGGAUAGUGUUUGUUGAGAUCCGUGUAAUCGAUGCACAUUCUUCAUUCAUUGUUUUUCUUGCGAACGAGUACAGGAUUGGCUAGCCAGUCAGGGUGAAAGACUUCUUUGAUGAACCCUGUCGCGAGUAGCUUGGCUAGUUCUUUUUUGAUUGCUUCUCGUCUGUCUUGGGCGAACCUGCGGAGUCGCUGUCAUUUUGCAGUAGCUUUGGGAUCAACAUUGAGAGAGUGCUCAAUCAGUUCCUUGGGCACACCGGGCAUGUCAGCUGGUUUCCAAGCAAAGAUAUCAUGGUUAGCCCGAAGGAAACUGAUGAGCGCAGUUUCCUAUUUAGGAUCUAGCCCUAUUCCGAUCAGAGCUGUCUUGGACGAGUCGCCUGUCUGGAGAUCGACUGGUUUGAAGUCUCUCUCGCUUGCCGGUUUCACCUCUGUGGACCCGAACUUGUUUUCUGGAAUCUCGAGUUCGAUUGGGUGAAGUUUCUUUGAUGCUGUGAAGACUUGUUGCAUAAGGCUAGGUGCUUGAGAAGUUGCAGCAAUCUCCACAACUUCGGUGUCACACUCGUAAGAUCGUCGUAGAUCUCCUCAUAGCAUUAGUUCUCCCUGAGGCCCUGGCAUUUUGAGUACCAAGUAAACGUAAUGCGGUAUGGCCAUGAACUUGGCUAGUGCUGGCCUUCCGAGUAUGGCGUGGUAAGAUGUCUCAAAGUCGGCGACUUCAAAUCUGAUGUACUCGGUGCGGUAGUGUUCCUUAGUUCCAAAGGUAACUAGCAGGAUGACUUGUCCUAACGGUAUAGCUGCAUUUCCUCGUACGAUUCCGUAGAAAGGUGAAUCUAUUGGGGUGAGCAUUUCCGUGACAUCGAGGCACAUCUUCCUUAGUGUUUUGGCGAAAAUGAAGUUGAGUCCACUUCCGCCGUCAAUGAGUACCUUCGUCAGCUUUGAUCCUGCCACAACAGGGUCGAGUACUAGAGGGAAUCGGCCGAGCUCUGAGAAUUUUGUCCACUGGUCCUUCAUGCUGAAGGUUAUGGGUACUUCUGACCAUUUCAACGGUGUUGGAUCUGUUGGCUCGAUGGUCAUGAUUUCCCUGAGUACGAGUUUGCUGGCCCGCUUGGAUGCGGUGCCUGGGAUUCCGCCAAAAAUGACGUUGACUGUCUUGGAGGCGGUCUGGAAGUCGCCUUCUUCUUCUUCAUCGUUGUGGAUUUUGUUCUUUCCCUUAUCUUUUUUCUUGCUGUAUUCUUCAGGAGGUGGUGGUGUGGGUAAGUCUUGCAUUACUCGGUGCAUGCUGUAGCAGUCUACUGUCGAGUGUUUGCUAGUCGGGUGCCAUGGGCACUAUUUUUUGGGUAGUUCGGUGAAGGUUGGCCCUUCAUAGUUUUUGCAGGAUCCCUUUUUCCCGGAGUUAGUCGUGGAAGCAAUGGUGUUGUCGGGUUUCCUUUUGCGAUUUUGAUUACUCAAAAAGUUGUUUCGAGUAUCAUUGUGUCGAGUUCUAUCCUGGUCAUUAUUGUUGUUGUCGCGUCCACGGUUGCGAUGAGAACCGAACUGUUCUCGCUCUUUGUCUUCUUCAUCUGCCCACUGUUGCACCAUAACUUUGAGAUCUUUGACGUUGGCUGGUCUUCAUCGACUGAAGUCUUGGUAUGUUCGUCGAUCGUAGAGUCCAUUCUGGAAGCACUCAAUGACGUCUGUUUCGGAAAUGUCAACUAUAGUAGCCUUCUUUUCGAAGAAUCUUCGCAAGUAAUCGCGUAGUGUUUCGCCUUCUUUCUAUUUUAUUUGACUUAGGUCGAUCUUGUUACCCGGUCUAGCCAUGGAGCCGGCAUAGUUGUUGGUGAAAGCCUUUGUCAAGUCUGCCCAAGAAUCGAUUGAUCUAGACUUGAGGGAUUCAAGCCAAGUAAGCAGUGCUGGUUCCAUGCAUAUGGGAAAGUGGAUAACUUUGGUGUCGUUAUUGCCCCCAGCUGCUUGGACUACUAGCGAGUAGCAUCGUAGCCAUUGAAUUGGGUCUUGCUUGCCAUCAUACUUGGUGAUUCCUGUUGGUUUGAACUUCUUGGGUAAUCUUGUCCUCAUUACCCGAUUUGUGAAAGAAGGAAAGUGGUUGUAAUUGUCGACUUCUCGCUCUCGCCAAGUGUUGAUUAUUUCUCGUAAAUCACUGAAGUUUGAUACUUCGUGAUUUUUCCGAGUAUGAAGAGGACUUUUUACGGAGUUGGUGCAGCUGACUUCUCUAACGUCCUUCUGGCGUACUGGGGCAUUGUGUUUACUCGGGCCUUGGCUGUGUUGCCUUGGUUGGUUUACUACUUCGUUGUCAUUUCUUUGUACUUCAUUGAAGUUGUUGUUAGCUGCAGCACCUCUACUGCCUUCUGGUGAGCUACAAUGCGGGGAACGGACAGGAUUGGUGAUUCUUUAUUGAGUAGCUUGUAGGCUUGUUCCGCGAGUUGUGCGAUUAGUCCGUUGCCUCGCUGCGCGAGUUGAGCUAUGACUUUGUUGUCUCUAUCUCGAGGUAUGAGUGUUGAUGUAAGGUUGAUAGAGGCAAUUGCUGCGAGUGGAGUGUUGUGUUCUUGAGCCUAUACUGCGUCAAAUGCUCUUUCGAGGUUUGUAAUGGAAAUGUUUGUAGCCAGCGUUUGUCGUCGCUCAACCCGAGUAGCAUUGCGCAUCCUUCUUUCUUUCCUUUGAUCGGAAGUUUCAUCUUGUGGAGCGUUAGCUAUUGACUCGUCCUCUGAGACGUUGUCGAGUUGUGCUAGUCGCCGGGGAGUUCUCUGCUGGCUAGUACCCAGGUUGUUGUUUUGAGUAAUAACAAAGACUUCUCUGUCUGGGUAGUAGCUUCCAGAGCUUGAUGUUGCAAUUUCUGUGGAACUUUCCUCGCAACUUGAAGUGAGUGGGACGCCUUCCUGGUAUGGGAGGUUGUCUAUGUGAGCGACAAGGCGCGACUCGUAGUCGCGGGCAAAGAGAGAUGGUCUCAUUCCUGGCCAGUGUACGAAUCUGCCUUGUGAUCUUGAAGUUAUUACCAGUUUUUGGGUUGGUCCUGUCAGUGGUAUCUCUGGGAGAUAGUCCGAGUCGGAGUCAUUGUCUUCAUCUUUCCCGUGUUCAAGUUGAGUUCGAGUGAGGAAACUUUGGUAGGCUUCGGUUGCAUUGCGAGGUCCGUGUGGAAACCGUUUCUCAGUCGAAGUUGAUUUGAGGAGUGACUGGGACCGACUAGUCCGAACUAGGGUCGAGUCCGACGGGUAGUCGAACUCGGUGUUGCUGACUUUGAAAUUUUGGUUUUUUCAAGCCGAAUCAAUUGAUUUCUUCUCCUGAAUGUUGAUGAUUUGGCGCUGAAACGAUCCGGCGCCGUCGGCGACACAGAGCCAGGAUCCAAAAAUGAACGUUUUGCCUCCUUCGAUGAUGAAGACAGGCUUGAUGACGACUAUUGCCAUUGAGCUCACACUGAGAAACUCGAUGAGGGCCCCUACCUGGCGCGCCAGCUGUCGGUGUCUUAGACCGGCAACCCGCCUAGGGGGUACCCUAGGUGGUCUUUUGUGCGGUAAUGGCCGUCGAGAAUCAAGGAGUCAAUGGUGACGCAAGGAACACGAUUUAGACAGGUUCGGACCGCUAGAUCGCGUAAUACCCUACGUCCUGUGAGUUGGUUGUAUUGAUCUUAGAUGUACUGGAGUUGUCCUUGAGGGGGGUCCCUGCCCGCCCUUAUAUACACAUACUUAACUAGUCCGAGUGGGAUAAGCCUAUCCCCUUGUCUUGAUUAGGGCCUACUCGUGGGGCUGGGGUGCAUGCCCGACUGUCACCGCCUCGUCGCCGCCGCACCCUCAUCAUUGUUGCCCCGUCGCCCGGCCCCGUUGUCCCCCGCCCGGGCCUUGACGCCGCCCUCGUCAUCGACCGCCGCCGUCGCCCCUGGCCCCUCCAGUGCCGCGAAGUGCCGGCCACUCCACGCGCGCAAGCACACUCGCGGCUACCUGCGAGCUUGGCUUCCCGCUGACGUAAGCCCGCGACCGGCCGUGACAUCAUAAUUUUUUUAUUUCUGCAGCAUUAGAAAUUGUAAGAAAUUUCUAGGAAAUUAUCUAGAAAUUAUAGGAAAUUAUCUAGAAAUUGUAGGAAAUUAUAGAGAAAUUGUAAAAAAUUUGUAUAAGUGUUGGAAAUCAUGCCAUUUAUUUUUUUAUUUCUGCAGUAUUAGAAAAUUGUUUAAUUAGCUAGAAAAUAUAGAAAAAUUCUUAAAGUAGCUAGAAAUUAUAGAAAAUCCUGUUAAUUCUUAAAAAUGUAUAAAAAUACGUGAAAAUUACUUUGAUAUCUUUAGAAAUUACCAUGUUAUUUUAUGAUGUUGUCAUUUACCAAGUAAUAUUUUCGUAGUCAAUUAAUGUAUAAGUGUUUUAUUCUAUUUUUUUGUCAUUUUCUAGCAAUUCACUAUAAUUAUUGUAUAAUUGUUUCAUUCUAUUUUUGUUGUCAAUUCUUUUUUUAUUUCUGCAGUAUAUGAAUUAGCUAGAAAUUGUAGGAAAAAUGUUGAAUUAGCUAGAGAAUAUAGAAAAAUUCUUGAAUUAGCUAGAAAUUAUAGAAAAAAUAUUGGAAAAGCUUAUUAAUUGUAAAUUGUACGACAUGCCAUGUUACAAAAUUCUGUUAAUUGUUAGACAUGUCUAGAAAUAAGUUAAAAUUACCAAGAAAUUUUAUGACAUUGUCAUUUACUGUUACAAAAUUCAUCAAAUAGUUCAAAAUGUACAAUAUUCAAUAUUUUUGUAGUCAAUUAUUGUUACAAAAUGUAUAAAUAUUGGUCAUUCAUUUUCGUAGUCAUUUUUUGCAAUUAUAUGUAUAAGUUAUAGUCAUUCUUAUUAUAAUAGUCAUUCUUUUUAUUGUAAAAAAUUGUAUAAGUGUAUCAUUAUCUUUUUAGUCAUUUAUUAUUAUUACAAAUUGUAUAAGUGUUUAAUUCUUUUUUUGUCAUUCUUUUUAUUGUUGAUGCCUACUAUUUCUUAGAAUAAUUCCUUUUAUAUUAUACUAGUUACAAUGGCACGAUCAAAGGACCAGCAGGCCCGAAUGGUAGAGGAAUACAUAAUGCAGUUGAUUGUUGAAGGUGGCACAAACGAUCAACCAAAUGAAGAGAUUGAUCACAGCCAAACUGACAUCUACCUCAACAUGUUUGGUGAUAGCAACGAGGAGCAACCAAUUGCUAAGGAAGGCAAUGAGGCGCAACAAAUUGCCGAGGGAGGCAACGAUGGGCAACAAGGCGAGGUAUAGCAAUUAGUAUACGUAAACAUUAUUUGAAUUCUCUAAUUAUCAAGAUUACUGGGAAUUAAUAGUGCUUGUUGUUUUUCAACCAUCUGGAUCGAGCAGCAGGCCUCAACCAAAAUGAGGCAAGAAGAAGAAGUUAAAGGACCAUAUCAUCAUCACGGAAAUUGCUGAAGAUGGUGAACCGAUUGCUCCUGCCAAUGCUAAGACAAAAUUGGUGAAUCAGAUUAGGUUUCUUGUCAGAGAUAACAUCCCAAUAAGCUUUCAGAAUUGAAAAAGCCCUGACAGCAUCGCUUCAACAAGCACGGUACCUGACCGAGAGAAGAAAAUGUUAUGGGGACAGUUAAAAGACAACUUCAUCUUCAAAGGUGUAGACAAAGAUAAAGUGAAAGAAUGGAACUUCAAUAAGGGUGUAAUUGCUUUUCAGACGUACAAGAAAAACCUGAACAAAGAGUACAUAAAGAAGGGGCUUACACCUAAUUUCAUGAAGCACCCGAAGUUAAGAGAUCACUGGGAUUCCUUUGUACAGUUCAAGCAGUCAAAAAAGAGUGCUAAGACAACUCAGACAAACGCCGACAAUGCUCACAAGAACGAAUACUUUCAUCAUCUUGGGAUAGGAGAUUACAAGUUGGGGAUCAUGAAAUGGCAGAGGAUGGAAGAUGAAAUAAUUGCUAGGGGAAUAGUACCGCAGGCUCUCAAAUGGCCGGAGCAAGCAAAGAAUUGGUAUUAUGCUCAUCACGGCAUGCUCAAUCCCGAAGAUGGAUCAUUGUGUUCGGCCAUGAAUUAAGAGAAGCGGCUAUGAGGCUUGUUGACUUAAUAAAGGCAACGGUCGAUGGAUCUUUCAUGCCUGAUCAAGAGAAGGACGAGCUAACUAUGGCACUUGGUAAUCCCAAACACCCUGGACAGUGCCGAGCCAAAGGAGUAAUUCCGUGGAAGUUUGCCUUUCAUGAGCACAUUGAUUCAUACAGAAGUCGCCAAAGAAGUAAGGCCAACCAGGAACGACAGCUGUGAGAGUUGCAAGAACAAGUAGCUUUGAUAGAGGCAAGAAUGGAGGAAGCAAUCGACCGGUGUGUGGUGCUAGCUCUUAGCAAACAAGCCAGUGAACAAGCAGCUGCUGCAGCAUCAGGGGCACAUGUCGACUUACGCCCCACUCAAUGUCCAAGCAGUGUUGCUUCCACGAAAGUCCCAACUGGAGGAUCUUCUAACAUACUUGAGGACAACCAACGCCACCCCGUGGACUACAUCACUGGGAGAGCUCCUUGUGAGCUUGUUACUCCCAUGAAAAAUAAGCUCAUCGUGGUGGCUUAUGGUGUGGCUGAGCAAAUGACGCAAGGCCAAACACUUCAUAGCGUGGAGAUUCCAGCUCACAGUUACGCCAAAGUUGGGGUGGACCAAGUGGUCGACAUUUGGGAUGACCUGGAACUAGAUAUCCUUGGAGGUGAUGGGGAAAAGAAUCUAGGAGAAGCCAUCCACUAUAAGGAUUACGCAGCCGAAUCCCCUGACCUUGGGAUCAUCUCCUCAAGGCUCAAGGGCAAUAUCAGCUACGCCAUCUACCAGGGAACCCUCUCCACUACCAGACAGGGAUCUGAAGCAUCCCCACAUUAGCAGAGACUAAAUGUGAUACAAAUAUCAGUCCUAGGAGGCUGAUAACACAUUUAUUCAACAGAUGGUUCAUAAACCGUACAACUCCCAAGGGAGUGGGCGUGAAAGCCACGCCGAAAUGAUAAGUAAAUAAACAACAGCAGCAAGCCAACCUACUGUCAAGAGACAACACUCGAGACUACACGGCAGCGGAAGCAUUCUGCAAAGGCCAACACCACAGGCAGCGUUGGGUGCGGAAGUGACCUUCUACUCGAAAUCCCAGACGACGAAGUCCGGGUCUUCCUCUAAAGCAACAAAACAAGGGUGAGUACAAAAGUACUCAACAAGUCCAACCCCAUCCACGGAGGGGGACACAAUCAAGAAUAUGCACUGGAUAUAUCAAGGAUAAGGCUAAGGUUUAUUUGCUAUAAAGCUAGGUUUUUCAACACAUGCAAGGGUUCAUUUUCAAAAGGGUUUUCACAAAACAUUUUCUUUAGUAACCAAAUCAUUAGGUGGUGUUGAUCCUACACAAAGGAUCCAAGUUUUCAUGCUACCGGACUUCCCAUCCGCGGUAGCUCACGGCACAACUGUCGGACACCUUCCAAAAUUCAACUCACACCAUGAAAACCAUCCAUCACCCAAACACUAGUUAUGUGUCCAAGCUGUAACUUGUCCAAUGUCGUGGAUACGGCUACCCGAAUAAGUUUUAACUCUGCAGAUGUUGUACACUUUACCCACAAGUAGGGUUCCGCAGCACGAUCACCUUAGUGUCGGUGUAGAUUCUAUCAAAGCCAUUACCCAUCUUAGCUAAGACUGACUAGCUAACAAGGAAGUAACCAAGGGGUUAACGACCUUCCAACGAGGUCUUAACCGGGAUCUAAGUUCACAUAGUUUUUAGUCCUUCUCCAUGGUCUCCCAUUGCUCACCAGCUCUCCUGAUGGCUAACAGACCAGCUAGUGGGAUUUAUGCUAAGCCGCCGCCCACACAACAGUCGAGUGGUUGCAGAUAGUGGGUUAGGAAAUAUGGCACAUCAACUGAGUCUUUAAAUGUGACAAGAUGGAUAUCUCCCAACCUUGCUCAACCACAAAGGUACGAGCCCAACUUAUUGGCAUUUCACACAAGAAACACCCAUCCAUCUCAUCUAAGCAUUUCUUUUCUUUAUUUCUGAAAACCCAUUUUUCUCAUUUGAAAACACUCACACAUUUAUUCUUUAACAAAGCACAUUGUAGUCAUGAUUGAAUUGAGUAACAAUGUCCUAAGCAUUCUAGCAGUAAUUAUCAUCCAAACAUAGCAAAUCAUAUUUAGAGAUAAUGAUAGGACAAUCAAGGAAUGUUCAUAGCAAUCAAGGGGUGGCUAUCCAACCGUGUUUUUAGUAGUAAAACAAUAUGCAAUUUUGUAAAACAGGCCAAUAGGUUGUGUUUGAAAACCUGAGAUAAAUAUGCAUCAAAGGGUAAGAUUGGACUUGCCGUCCUCAUAGUUGGCCAGGAGUUCUUGUUCGCGGUGUUGGUCCUCAGGCUCAGGCUCACGGUCAAACUCCCCCUUAGGCUCCUCCUCGUGUACUCCAUGAUCUACGGCACACACAAUCGGGCACACAAUAAAUAAAAGAAAAAUUAAAGCUUUACCCGUUGAGCUCGAACACAGAACGCGAACGGAAAAUAGAAAGAAUGAGUAUUUUCAUGAAAUUAGGAGAUGACUUGACGAAAGUAUAUUGGAGGAUGCCGUGGUCGAAUUUGGGAUUAAUUGGAGGAAGUUUGGCGCAUGAAAUGACGCGAUAACUGGGUGUUUAGGGGUUAAAACAGGGUUUAGGGGCUUAACUGCGAGGAAACAUGGACUUGUUCGUAAAUAUUUAUGGAAGGUGGAAGGGUUGUUCUGUAAAAGGAGUAUGAGAGAGGUGGGAGGGCUAUUUUGUGAAUAGGGGAUAGUAGGGGGGUUAGAUCGAAAUGAGGAGUUUUCUUCUUCUCCUUCCUCGGUUCAGGAACAGAGAAGGUGGGGGAGGAGAUGGCUGGCAGCGGACAGCCAGCCAGGCCUCGCCGGCGGCGAGCUGAGUGGCUGGGGAGGUAGAGGAGGGUGAGGGGAACCCAUUUUGCCCCUUACCUUGAUGAUUCGGCGAUGGGAAGGGGGCGGCCGGCGGUGGAUAUGAGGCGGCGGUGGUGUGCUUGGCGGCGCGCAGGAGCGGGGUGGUGGCGCCUUGGCGCGGGAGGGAGCAAGAAGAGGGCGGUGAGCUUGUGGGUGGCGAGGGAGGCCAGGGCAUCACCCCUUAUAUAGCCGGCGGGAGGGGAACGGCCGGCGGUGUGGGGGCCGAGGCCAGCGCAACGGGCGGCGCGGGUAGGUUCCAGCGGCGGUGCAGCUGCAGGGGGCGGGUGAGCGGCGAGGCACGGCGGUGGCGAUCUGGGCGGUGGGGGACGAGGUGCUGGAGGGUGGUGUCACGGCGAGCAGCGCUAGCACCGGCGCCAGGCGCACUGCGCCUGCUACGGGCGGCGCGUAGGGAGGGGGCCGGGUGUGGGGCCGAUGGAGGAGGGGGAAAUGGUGGCAGGCUAGGGAGAGGGGCCGACACCAGAGGGAAUGGCGCUGGGGCCUGGGGCAGUGCAGUGCAGGGAGGGGAGGGCCGGCUAGGGACUAGGGGUCCUGCGCGCGUGACCAGGGAAGAAGGGAGGAGAAGAAAGGAAGAAGAAGGAAGGAAGAAGAAAGAAAGGAAGAAAGAGAAGGAAGAAAAAGAAAAGAGAAAACAAAAUAGGAAAAAAGAAAAAGAAAGAGAGGAUCGGCGGUGAUUGCGGGAAACGGUCGGAGCAUGCGCAGUGGUUUGUCGACCGGCAAGUGGCAGAACUUGCGAAGAGGAUAAAAAUGGUGGUUGUUGGCUUUGGGUGCCGGGACGGAGAAAUCGCCGGGAAGAUGGGAUUUUUGGGGGCUCAACGGUGAAAAGAUUUUGAAAACAAAUUUUUAGUGGGUGAUUUAAGUUGGUAAUUUAUACGGAUGUUACAGGAUCCUAGCAUGAGUCCACCUCCACCUCCUAUGAGCAUGGCUACACGGUGAAAGAGGCCUUCAGUUCCGCCUACUGCGGCUACGAAGAAGCAAAAAAAGUAGAAGGAGAAGCAACCACCGCCCAAGAACCCAUGUGAUAUGACAGAUGAGAAACUCCGCGAAGCAGUGAAUGCUGAGGUAAAAGCUUUCUUCAUGAGGGAGAAGUGAAGAAAGACCCACCAGUUGAUAAGGGUAAAAUUCGAGCUUUCAUCAGAAGCAUGGAGGUGGAGCGAAGGAAAGAGCCAGAGAAACCACCUCUAUUUGAUUACGACAGACAAAUAACAUAGGCUUCUAAGAAGAGGAAGAAAAGUGGGUCAACUAUUCCACAACUCGGAGCCCAAUCCAACCAAUCGAUUGCCCCACUCCAGGUGCUUUCUGAGUUUGAUAAGAACGUGCUACAAUUCGCUAAUGAUACAAAUCUCACCGCAACUCAACUUCAAGGGGAGGACCACAUCCCAAAGCACCCAGGGGCUGCUAAAUGGAAAUAUGAAUAUGGGAAACCGCUUGUGUGGCCCCAAUUGGUGGACCGUCUCCCAAUGAAGAUUAGCAAGUUGCACCAAUGGUACAUGGAGGCUUCAUUCGAGGGUUUUGCCGUGCUCGAAGUUUGAAUUGGUGGUCAACAUUAUUUCCGUGGGGAAGACAUCAUAAAUGUACUACUGGAGCCUGUACAAUCAAGACGCACUUGACAAGUCACUCAUCAGUUGCUUGGUUCUGUAAGUCUUUAAUAUCCUCUAACUUCAAAAUCCAAGCUCUAGUCAAUGUGCGAUGUCUUAACUCCUAUUCGAUUUUGUAUCAUGUAGGAUGGAGAUUCAAGCUUGUCAGAGGAAAGGAUACUAUGAUGUAGGCUUCAUGGACCCCGAUGUUGUAAAUGAGGCAAAUCUAAAAGAUAAACCAAAUCAGACAUUGAAGAAUAUAUAUAAGUUCCUCGACAAGCAACAUUACAAGAAGUACAUAUUACUACCGAACAACUUCAAGUGAGCGUGUUUCCCAUCUCUUUCUUUUUCGAACUAGCAGUUAAACAUAAAACUAACUAGCUUUAAUUUGGCUAUACAUAAUCCAUUGGAUACUCAUUGUUGUCGUGCCUGAUAUGAGCUUUGUAUAUGCCUUCGACUCUUUGAAGAAACCAAACCAAGAAUACAAUGACAUCAUAGAUGCUCUAAACAAAUCAUGGGCUCGACUCCGUCAAAAUCAUGUGAGUGAAUUCAAGGAGGAACUUUAUUGGAAGACUGAUUUCCCGGUAUGUCUUGAAUUUUCACAUCUCGUGACACUUCCUUUAACACAACAUAUAUUUCAUAACUUUUUUUUCCAUAUAUAUAGUGUUGGAGACAGGAGCCAGGUAACAAUUUAUGCAGAUACUACGUAUGUGAGUUCAUCCACGACUUUGUAGGUCCGAAGCGUAUGAUCGACCAUAAGUUAACCGUACGUAUAUAAAAUUCUUAAAAAUAAAUUCGUUCUAAUUAUGCAAACCCAUUGAUCUACUAUAUAUAUAAUAACCUUUGCCAAUGACACAGAUGAUGUACAGGAAGGAAAGAGUCCUCGACACGGACUGCAUCAGGGCAGUUCAAGAACAACUCUAUGGAUUUCUUAGGAAUGAGGUCAUAAAUCCAGUGGGGAAGUUUCAUAAUGAUGGAUUAAAUCUACAGCACCAUCAAGACUCGGAUUCAGAAUAGUAGAUACGAAAUGUUGAACUUGGAAAGUUGAGGCAAUGUAAGUAUAUAGUAGCUCAAAUGUAACAUUAAAAAUAAAUAGAAAUUUAUAUAUAUUAGUGUAUUAGAACUAGUAUAAACAAAUACAAAAUACAAAUAUAGAAUAAAAAAAUAGAAAAGGAAAUGAGAAAAGAAAAGAAAAAAUAAUUAGUAUCGGUUAGAGGCUUUAGGACCGGCUAGUCUCCCCAACCGUACUAAAGGGUUUCCUAAAGGCCCCCCUUUAGUACCGAAUUACUAGUACCAGUUGUGCAACCGGUACUAAAGGCGUUUUUCCUAGUAGUGCAUGAUUUAGACAGGUUCGGACCACUUAUGUCGCAUAAUACCCUACGUCCUUUGUGUUGGUUGGAUUGUAUUGAUUGAUGAUUGUUUGGAGGGGGUUCCUGCCUCGCCUUAUAUUACUGGGGUAAAGUUACAGGUUUGUUGUUGUACAAAAGUACUAGUCAGAUUCGAUCAGAGAGUCUUACUCUAAUUGCCACGAGUAGUUUCCUGAUCCACAACUAGUCCUUGUUUGCCACAUGGACCAUGCCGCCCUGCACCAUAAUUUCCAUAUCUGACACGUCUUAGUAUACAAUCCCAUAUGUUGAGGUGACCGCGCCGUCGCCUCGGCUGGCGUCUCUAUCACCACACCGCCUACUAUCUUACCAUCCCGAAGCUUCCUCUUGGACCGUUGGAGACAGGUAAAACCCCUACCUCCAAACCCCGAACUCUAUUGGCAUAGUUUAGCUUUCCCUGAAGGUAAGCUUUGCCAUAUUUUUUGUGAGAAAAGAUAGAGAAAAUCCAAAAGAAUUUGGACAGGCUUGCUGGGCCGGUGCGCGAGAGGCGGGCCGUGAGCGUGUCAAGUCAAGCGCACCGCCUGGGCCAUCUUGGCUGGGACCCACCCGUCAGCCCGACUUCGCCAUCCCUCUCCUCUCCCCGCCUAUAUAACGACCGGGCCCUCCACCUGUUGCCCGGAACGGAAACCAAAACCACCAGAGAGGCGCCACCGCCACCGCCGGCCGCGCAGCAGCACCGAGAACCCGGCGAGGGAGGGACACAUCACGCCGGUGACCCGAUGGAGACCGAGAGUCAUUUCCUCAACCUCGACCCGGAGGGGCUGGACGAGGGCGACGCCCACAACGCCGCCGCCGCCGCCGCCACGUUCCACCUCGCCGUCGCCGCCGCCGCGCCUAGGGGACAGCCACACGAGGACGAGGACGGAGACGCGACCCCUCCUCCUCGCUUGCUUCCUCCCCUCACCGUCGAUCACCGCAGGCCGGGCCCGGCUUCUUGGAGCCCCUUCUUCUCGCGGGUGCGGGCGGCGCUCCUCAUCAUGGGCACAGCCGCCGCGCGCGACCUGUUCCCUUCCAUGGUCCAGGUCCCGCCCCUGGACUCCCGCCCCAUCAGCACCGUACCAGGUGUCUAUUCUUCUUUUCCUUUAUCUUGUUUUCUUUUUUAUGGCCUUAAUAAUCCCAACUUCUUGAUUAUGAUGACUGAAGCAUGAUCGAAAUAGAUCAGCACAUAAUCCUAUGCUCUGAUUAAACCAAACAUUCUUGAUUGCGUUGGCAAUGAAUUACAAUCUGGACCCUUGUUGCAUAAAAAAAUAUACUGUUGCUCCAAAUCUUGUUUUUUUAGAUUAGCAUAAACUUGUUUUGAUGCUCUGUAUUACUUAUCAUCAUGUGUUAUGACAAUUGUAUUUGUAUCUUUCCGUACUUUGGUUACUGAAUCUUUUAAACUGAACUCAGGGGUUGUACCAAACCUGCUUGAGCACCAGUUGGUGUCGUCCAACAUCCCCCGUGGCGGAACCUCCAUUGUACUAUCUCAUGCUCUGGGUAUGAUUACAGAAGAUGACCUCAAUUUCUGACUUUCUUCUGAUAAUCUAGAAAAGUAAAGAAGCUUAUAAUAAUGUACACUUACCGCUUGUUGACAUUGCCAAAUAAUCUGUAUCUCUCAACAUAUUUUGUUGUUACAGUCUGUGUUAUGUGAGAUUGCAGAAAUACAAUCUGAAAAGUAGUCACUUGACACAAUACUGGUGCCUGUUGCCCAAAGCCCUCUUUGAAUUUUCAUCUACUCACUGUUCUUUAUUCUUCUACUGAACACUUAUCUGGUGAAAAAUAUUUGUUCAUAGUUGCUGCUAUCCCUGAUUCUGUGUAUGCAUUAUUCUCUAUUUGGUGCUGAGUUCAAUUGAAUGGCAUUUAUUAUUUCAGAUCAACUUUCACCUGCUAGGUGGUUAACACAUUCUGCGGCCCUAGUGUUAAUGAAAUGCAUUAGAGUAUUUUCUGGACAUUUAUGUAUUUGUUGUUCCCUGGAAGGAGGACUGUUUUCACCAUCCAUAGAGUUGCUGCUAGACAAAUAUUGUUUUUCUAGAUUGGCAUAAACCUUGUUUUGAUGCUCUAUAUUACUUAUCAUCAUGUGUUAUGACUGUUGUAUUUGUAUCUUUCCGUACUUCGGUUACUGAAUAUUUUAAACUGAACUCAGGGGUUGUAGCAAACCUGCUUGAGCACCAGUUGGUGUGGUCCAACAUCCCCCGUGGCGGGACCUCCAUCUCACUAUCUCAGGAUUCACGUAUGAUUACCAAAAGAUGAAAUUAAUUUCCAACUUUGUUCUGAUAAUCUAGAAAAGGAGAUAAGCUUAUAAUAUUGUACAGUUACUGUUUGUUGCCAUCAUGCCAAAUAAUCUGUAUAUCUCAACAUAUUGUGCUGUUACAGUCUGUUUAUGCGAGAUUGCAGAAAUGCAAACUGAAAAAUAGUCACCUGACACAAUACUAGUGCCUGUUGCUCAGAGUCCUCUUUGAAUUUUCAUCGCAUUGUUCUUUAUUCUGCUAAUGAACACUAAUCUGGUGAAAAAUAUUUGUUCAUUUUGCCGCUAUCCCUGAUUCUGUGUAUGCAUUAUUCUCUAUUUGGCUCUGAGUUCAGUUUAAUGACAUUUAUUAUUUGGUCUUACUUGACAGCCACUGUGCAUUUCUGUUGAGAUCUUUUAGUUUGUUGUCCUUAUGAUCUGAUAAAUUUAUGUGUCAAACAGAAAUUCAUGUCAGUCCAGAGGCCUUGCCUGUAGAUCAGAUUUUCUCCUGGUAAGUGGUUAACACAUUCUGCGGCCCUAGUGUUGCAAAGAACUGGAUCAGAUUAUUUCCUGGAUAUUUAUGUAUUUGUUGUUCCCUUGGAAGCAGGACUUUCUGCCCCUCCCAGCCUCAUCAUGGAUGAUCCGGUGCCACGGGCUAUGCAUCAUACUCAUAAAGGAACUUCAAUUGCAGUGCAAAGUGACAUCCAACAAUCAGGUAACCUUGGCAUAUAAAGGCAUUGCCAUAUGCAUGCCUCCUAGUAAACACAGGAGGCCUGCAUCAGCAAUUGUAGGACCUUGGUCAGCCUCUUGGGCGCAAGGCACUAUCUACUUCCUCAACUUCAUUAUAGUCAUGGUACUUUUUUCAGCAGUGGUGGCUAUGGUUACAGGAGCCUUGAGAGAAUCAGACCCUUUGGUCCUCAUGGCCUAGAGGAAGAUUCAUGUUCCAGUGGUAGUUACUGAAACCAGGGAUAACACUAUACUCUGUGGCAGCAUAUGCAGAAUCCUCUAGAUUUUCUCUGCCUGCUUAGCUUCUGAGGACAGGUCAUCUUGUGUGGUCCUUUGAAUGGUGAUUGAUGGUGGAGAUUUUGAUUGAUGUUGGAGAUUUGGAUUUGUGCAGUAUCUGCUAGUAGGAUGAUGUGCUGCAGGUGGAAUGGAUAUUGUGAAGUACACUUGGUGCCUUUUGUGGUUUUGACUGAAAAUGCUGAUGCUGAUGCUUCUGCUUUGAGUCCUAAAGUUCAGUUGUUUUGAUAUUGCCUUUAUUUUGGGUGUGUCCAGAUGAAAUUAAGAAGAGAGGGGAACAUAGUUGAGUAACAGUCCUGGAAUAUGCACAGUGUUAUAAAGGAAAAUACAGAAUAGUACAAGAUCUUGGGACAAAAGCAACUGUCUGAUAACCUAAGGGUUCAAGUGAAUUGAUGAUACUUUGAUGCAUAUCUGAAAUCUGUUGAAUUGAAUAAGUAAUACAGUAUGGAUUCUUGAUAAAUCAAUCUCAGGCGUCAUUGCUUCAUUUUUUUUGAAGGUGCGCUGGGGGGAUGAAACCCCCUCCUGUAUUCAAUUAAACCACAGACUUCUGGCUACUGAAUUCAUCCUGUUGGCUUCCCAGCCUCUGCGCCAUGGGACAGGCCCUUGUUGCUUUGUAUGAUGAUUGAUGGUCAACGUUUGGAUUUGUGCAGCACCUGCUAGUAGGAUGAUGUGUUGUAUGUGGAAUGGAUAUAGUGAAGUACACUUGACGCCUUUUGUGGUGUUGUCUAAAAAAUGCUGGAGCUCCACUUGGAAUCCUAAAGUUGAGUUGUUUCAAGAUAUCCUUUAGUUUGGGUGUCUUCGGAUCAAAUAAAGGAGGGAGAAAAUAGUUGAGCUACACUGCUGAAAGAUGCACAACCGUAUAAAGGAAAAUACAGAGUAUUACAAAAUCUGGGGACAACAGCAACUGUCUGCCAACCGAGUUCAGGUGAAUCUACAAGAAAUGUGGUGCGGGUACUUGAUCUAUCCAUCGCAGGCAGCAUUCCUUCCUGUUUGCAUUCAGUUGUAGACUACAUCUGCCCCUUAGGUAGAUUUCCGGCUACUGAAUUCCUCUAGUUCUCCUUCCAGCCUCACUAUGCCAUCGGAUGGGCCCAUGUUGCAUGCAAGCUUCUGCUAGGUGACAGUGACACUCCCCCACGGCCAUGUCUCCUCUCUGGUGCAGUGUUUUCCGUUGAGAUCUUAGUGCUGUUCUAGAUUAUUUGUCAUUUGCAUCAGUUUUUUUUAUGUGCAGCCACACCAAUAUUUUCUGCGCUUGCAAACCUCUCAUUAUACUUUCUCCGUAUGCACUAUUCUAUACUCUGCGAGCAUACUCUGUGGUAGUAAACACUUGAGUUACAUGCUGAUCAUAUGUCUGUUGCAGAUGUUGUCCCUGAUUGGCUGAGUCAGUAUCCACACCGAUGGAGGAGGUUCCACCAGCCUCUAUUCUAGCCUGGUCAGCCUGGUCCUCAAGAAUGUGAAGGUUAAGUGGUUAAUGACACAUUUUUCCUGUUGUGCUAGAGUAAACCAGCACGCGCCUUUGUUUGACUUACUAAUUUCAUUUUUAUGUCUUUGUUGUUCUAUCUUGAACUCCAAGGACCGUCGGGCUUGGGCUUCGGUCAAUCAGUCAGAGUACUACAGACACUCAGCCACUCAGGUACAAUUAGCAUGAAAAAGCAUUUGGAUCCAGUCACUCUGGUAAGGACUAAGGAGUCCUCAAUACAGCUAGUUUACUUAGUUUGUUGAGUUGGUUUUUCAUCCUAACCAAUGAUCUGAUAAAAUAAAAUAGUUCAGCAAAUUGCGCCAAGCUUGAGUCCCCACUCCCCAACAUGAUAUACCAUCAUUUAUCUUUUUAUGGUUACUUUCUGAAAUAGAGAUCGAGGUCACUCCAGAAUACUCAUCUACUUCUGAAAUGUCUGAAGGUAUGUGUCCAACAUAUUUCUACUGCUCCAGGGUUUCAGUGAGCCAGCAGAACUCUUGGGCAUGAUCUUUUUGUCUUUGUUGUUACCACGGAAACCGAGUUCUACUUGCAAUGCUUGAUUCAUCUCUGCUGCACUCAGUCAGGUCUGAUACUUGCUAGAUUUGUGUCCUUAGACUCUGAAGCAAAAUCUUGUUAUAGGCUUUCUGAAGCAAAAUUGAUUCCUGUUUUGCAGUCUGUACUUAGACUCUUAGACCGCUGUUAGUUGAAACUGACGAAUCAUACUGGCACCUAGGUGGUAUCUUAUCUCGCAAGUAGUGUUUGCAUUGGCUUGGUGCAGCGUUGUUCCUUGAGUCAGUGUCCAUGCAGAUUAUAGACGAGGUUGCACCAGCCACUCCGCUGUCCCAGUCAGGAAUUCCAAUGGAAUGCCUGGUCCUGGACUUUCUAAGGGUUAAAUGUUAACAACACCAUGUCCAAAUACUAACACUGCUUUUAUGCCUUUAUCCUUGCCAUGGAAACAGGGUUUGCUUCUCUUUCUAUCCUAAACAAUCACAUUCCUUGGGCUUGACUUUGCACAAUUAGCCAUGGUACAACAAAUAGUGUUAGGUAAUUAGCACUAAAAAACAUUUAGGUUCAGUCUGAUUACUCUGUACGUACGUUACAUUGGUGGUCUUACCUGGUAGUGCAUAUUGUGCAAGCUCGAGUACUGUACACAAUUCAGC